UAUAAUUUGUUGCAUUGAUUUUUAUGGGUUUGUUUGAUUAUGUUAUAUAUAUAUAUAUAGAGUUGGACUGGGCUACUAUUAGUAGCAAAAUUCCAUUGUUGCUACCAGUUUUUUAGCCUUUGGAUCAACUCUUUUCAUUAUUUCUAACCAUUGGAUUAAAUACUCUAACCCAGUGGGGACCACUCAACCCUAGGGGGACCAUUCAGCUCUAACCGACUAAUAUCAUCCUGACCUUACAAUUUUUCAUCCAAGGGUUAAAAACUUGAUAGCAAAAAGAACGUUUUACUAUUAAUAGUAUUCCAGUAUAUAGAACGUUUUCUAUUAUGCCUGAUUAGACCUAGUGGGAUAGUCGGCGUGGUUGGUUGCUGAACCCACUGAAAAUUUUGUUGUAGUUCUCACACCCCUAUUUCCACAGAGCCGGGACCGAGCAAGCCGGCAAAUGAUCGCGGUAAAGGCAUCGCGCCCUAGGUAGAGACUGCCCGAGAUGUUUUAUUUUUAUAGUCGCAUACCCCUUAUUAUCAUCUUUUGUAUUUUGAUGAUGUUAGUAUUGUAAUGAUGUUAAAGGAAAAAAGGGACCAUAUUUUGGAGAGCUUGCCAUAUAUAAAAGAAAUAAUACAAAGUUGUAUUAAAGUUGAAUGCAUGUAUGUGAUUUAAAUUUAAUCAAAUACUUGUAUGAUGUUAAGUAGAUUCUUUCACUAUUGGCCGUUGCUUGCCCUCGUGCAAGCCAUUAUGUAUGCUUCCGUUUUGUGCAAAAUUCAUACUCUAUUUGUACAGAAUGUUGAGUCUUGGGCGGAUAGGGGAGACUUUAUCCGUUCGGCGUUUGUUUGACGCGCUCAAACCGGCCAAAUAGAAUCGGGUUCGGGGCGUGACAGAUAAGAUGGUAUCAGAGCGUAAAGGAGCCAAAAGUGAAGGCAUAGGAUGGACCUAGAGACCCUUAGGAAUGGAAAGACCUUAAGGACCUAGGAAGCGUGAGUGACGUUGAACAAAGUAUAGCGAAAGUUUAUGAUUGGGUUAAUGUAAUAUGUCUCUAAUGUGGUUAGAGACUAAAUUUAAGUUGUUAUUUCUUUUCUUUUCCUUGUGUUGUGAUUGGCGGCCGACGACAUGAUGCUUUGGAAGGAAAAUAAAUGCACUUGUAUGCUUUCGCCGGAUUGGGUAUAAUCGAGUAUAUUGUCUAAGUAACUAACAUAAAUUGCUUCGUUUCAGGAAGCAAUGCCGCCUCGUGGACGACCCAAGUUGCCUCGUGGUCGACCGCGGACGAGGUCUAUAGCCGAGGAGCCAAGUGCGACUCCCGUGCAACCCGGAGCAGGUGGCGACGGGGAGCUUCGGGAGUAGAUGGCCGCGCUUAUUGGUUUAGUGCGGCAGCAGGCGGAAUCCGUUCAGUGCCAAGGCGAGCAGAUCCAGAGGCUCCAGGAGGCUUUGGAGCGGCAGCAGGCGGCGGCGGCGGUGCCGCCGCCGGCGGCGGCACCCGUGGAGGCCAUGCACCUUGCGCAUCCUGCAGUGGUGCCGAGUGCGGCCAAGCGUGUGGCCGCGGCGGCCGUGUCAGUUACGAUGGUGCCAGCGGGAUCGGGGACCUCAAAUCCCGAUAGUACGGCAGAGGAGGCGGAGCGGGAGCGCACGUUGGCAGCUCUCAUCCAGUUUUAGAAGUUUAACCCACCUACCUUCGAAGGGGGAGUGGUGGAACCGGCGGUGGUGGAGUCCUGGAUCCACUCCAUGGAAACACUUUUUGAGGAUCUUAACACCAUGGAGAAGGACAAGGUGUACCUCGCCACAUAUUGCCUUGAGAAGGCGGCAAAGGUGUGGUGGAAGCGCGUUAGGUGGGAUUGGUCACCCGAUCUUCUUCCGCCUAUGUUGUGGGAGGAGUUCCGGAGGGCGGUGUUCGCCAACUACUUCCCCGCUACGGUGAAGCGGAAGUUGCAAGAGAAAUUCCGCAAGUUGCGACAGGGGGACUGCUCCGUGGCAGAUUACGAGCAGGAGUUCUCCCACCUUAUCGACUGCGUCCCGAAGGUUGUUCGUGAUGACCGGGACCGGGCUAAUGGGUUCUUACGAGGACUCCAGCCGAGGAUUUACGAGAAGGUGCAAAUCCUCAAGUUGACGACCUUUGCGGAGGUCUUUGAUCAAGCCCUAUGGGCGGAGCACGGCAGCGCCCACGUGCGAGAGGAGCGCGAGGCAAUGGCGGAGUCAAGGGACAAGGGGAAGAAGCGAGCGGCGGGCGGUGCCGGGGGCCGGGGGCCGGUCAAAAGCAAAGAAACCCCCUCGGUAUUCCCGGCAGCAGACGAGGAGUGGCAGGCCGUUCCGUUGUGUCAUUUGCGGCAGUGAUCAUCGGCCGUCGGUAUGCCCGCAGCGCGAGGGAAAGUGCUUCAGGUGCGGCCAGCCCGGGCACAUGUCACGGGAGUGCCCGAGCUGGGGUUCAUCUGCGCCUACCUCGGCAUCAGUUCCUUAUACCCCGAGACAGCAGGCGGGGUUACCACCGGCUAUGUCGGCUGGACGUUUGUCUUCAUCGCGUCAGCCGGAGGCAUCGAGGGCACCUAGUGGGCGGGUUUUUGCCACUCAGGUGCAGGAGGAGCCGAUUCCUAUCCCCGACGACAUCGUGGCAGGUAUUAUCUCGAUCAGAAGCACCAGAGCCAGAGCUUUAUUCGACACAGGUGCAUCGCAUUCAUUCAUAGAUGCAUCAUUCGCUAGGACUCAUGGCAUUAAGAUCGUGCACCAUUAUGACUAUUGGACGGUAAAUUCGGUCAAGCAUACUUUCUAUGUUCAUGAAGAAUGUGUAGUGUGCCCAGUGCAGAUAGGUGACUGGGUCAUGCCGAUUGAUUUGUUGGUGUUAAACCGAAUGUGGAGUUUCGACGUGAUCUUGGGGACCAACUGGCUCUCCAAAUAUUAUGCCGUGAUAGAUUGCAAAAGUAAGGUGAUCACGUUUCGUGAGCCUAAUCGAGAGGAGCUAGUGUAUCAGGCAGCUAAAAGCUCGCUUUUUGCGGCGACCGUGUCGGCGGCAUGGGCAAGAAAAAUGAUAAAAGGUGGUUGUGUGGCCUACUUGGCGACAAUGGUAGAAGCCCAAAAAGAGCACCCGGAUUUGGGAGGCAUUCGGGUGGUGUGCGUAUUUCCGGAUGUGUUUCCGGCGGAGUUACCGGGAUUCCCACCGGACCGGGAGAUCGAGUUCGUUAUUGACUUGGUCCCGGGGGCGGCGCCAAUCUCGAAGGCCCCGUAUAGAAUGGCACCGGCAGAGCUAAAAGAGCUUAAGGCACAAUUACAAGACUUGCUCGACAAAGGCUUUGUGAGGCCGAGUGUGUCACAUUGGGGAGCUCCGGUGUUAUUCGUUAAGAAGAAGGACGGCACAUUUCGACUCUGCGUGGAUUAUCGCGAGUUGAAUAAGGUCACAGUGAAGAAUAAGUACCCGUUGCCAAGGAUUGAUGACUUAUUUGAUCAGUUGCAAGGGUCAAGGGUAUAUUCAAAGAUCGAUUUUCAAUCGGGCUAUCAUCAGUUAAAGAUACGGCCCAAGGAUGUGCACAAGACGGCGUACCGUACACGGUAUGGCCAUUAUGAGUUCACAGUGAUGCCGUUUGGGCUUACUAACGCCCCGGCGGCGUUCAUGGACUUAAUGAAUAGGGUCUUCCGUCCGCUAUUGGACCGGUGCGUCGUAGUAUUCAUUGACGACGUAUUGGUAUAUUCUCGGACCGAGAAAGAACACGAGGAGCACUUGAGGACCGUGUUGGAAAUACUCCGAAAAGAGAAGUUAUAUGCCAAGUUGAAGAAAUACGACUUUUGGCUAUCGGAGGUCACUUUCCUUGGGCAUGUAAUUUCGCGCGAUGGUAUCUCGAUAGAUCCGAGGAAAGUGGAGGCAAUUAAGGAUUGGCCUCGCCCGACGAGUGUGUCGGAGGUCCGCAGUUUCCUUGGGCUAGCGGGCUACUACCGGCAGUUCGUGGAGGGGUUCGCUAAAAUAACUACUCCAUUAACGGGCCUUACACGCAAAGGGAUGAAGUAUGUUUGGAGCCCCGAAUGCGAGCGGAGCUUCGAGGAGUUAAAGGAAAGAUUGACCACGACCCCGGUGCUUGCUCUACCGACGCUGGGGGAGACCUUUGUGGUAUAUAGUCAUGCUUCCUACGUGGGACUCGGGUGUGUCUUGAUGCAAAACAGGCGGGUUAUAGCUUAUGCUUCACGCCAAUUGAAGACUUAUGAGAAGAACUACCCGAUUCANCAUGAUCUUGAGCUAGCGGCGGUUAUUUUCGCGCUAAAGCUAUGGAGGCAUUACUUAUACGGGAAACAUUGUGAGAUCUAUACGGAUCACAAAAGUCUUAAGUACUUGUUCACCCAAAAGGAGCUAAAUAUACGAUAGCGGCGGUGGUUAGAAUUGUUGAAAGACUAUGACGUUACUAUUCUAUACCACCCCGGGAAAGCAAAUGUCGUGGCCGAUGCACUUAGUAGAAAAUCGGGAGAAAAUUUGGCUUCGGCAAUUACACCCCAACCAUUAUUGCAAAAAGAGAUGCAACGGCUUGGUUUGGAAGUAGUAGCGCCGGGAGUGCCGGCGACACUUGCGACGUUGGUUGUUCAACCGACUAUAUUGAAGAGGAUCAAAGAGUUGCAAGCUUCAGAUGAAUAUCUCCAAAAUGUGCGCGGGGAAGUUGAGAGCGGUAGUGCCAAUGAUUUUGGCAUUGGGACCGACGGCGCACUCCGGUUUAGAAACCAUUGCUGUGUGCCUAAGAAUAAGGACAUCCGCAGGGCGAUCAUGCAAGAAGCGCACCAAUCCCCUUAUAGUAUAUACCUGGGCGGCACCAAAAUGUAUCAAGAUUUGAAGUUGCACUAUUGGUGGCCGGGCAUGAAGAAAGACAUUGGGGAGUUUGUGGCGCAAUGCCUUACUUGCCAACAAGUAAAAGCGGAGCGGCGUUUUUCGGCGGAAAAAUUACAAAGCUUACCUAUACCCGUUUGGAAAUGGGAGAAUAUCGCUAUGGACUUUGUGACCGGAUUGCCACGAUCUCAAGGUGGGCACGAUGCAAGUUGGGUUAUAGUGGACCAGUUGACGAAGUCGGCGCAUUUCCUACCGAUUCAUAUUACAUGGUCGGGGGACAAAUUGGCUCAAGUAUAUAUCGACGAGAUUGUGAGACUUCAUCGGGUGCCCGUGUCUAUCGUGUCGGAUCGGGACCCGAGGUUCACCUCUCACUUUUGGAGGAGCCAGGAGGCUUUGGGCACGCGGCUUGGCUUUAGAACGGCAUUUCAUUCUCAAAGUGAUGGUCAAUCGGAGAGGACGAUACAAAUACUUGAGGAUAUGCUUCGAGCAUGUGUACUGGAUUUAAGGGCAAUUGGCACGAUCAUCUACCGAUGGCGUAGUUCGCGUACAAUAACAGUUAUCAAGAAAGUAUCGCGAUGGCGCCAUUCGAGGCCCUUUAUGGAAAGAAGUGUUGCUCCCCAAUUCAUUGGAGCGAUGUGGGCGGAGGGCGGCUCUUGGCCCCGAUGUAGUACGGGAGGCGGAGGAGAAAGUUCGUCUUGCUCGCCAACGACUUGCUACGGCGCAAUCUCGGCAAAAGAGUUAUGCCGACAAACGGAGGAAAGAUAUAGAAUUUGCCGUUGGAGACCACGUGUUUCUAAAGAUUUCGCCGAUGAGAGGGAUUAAGCGGUUUGGAAUCAGUGGGAAGCUAAAUCCCCGGUACCUUGGACCGUUCGAAAUACUGGAACGGGUCGGCGCGGUAGCAUACCGAGUAGCACUACCACCAAGACUUGCGGGAGUGCACGAUGUGUUCCACGUGUCGAACCUCCGCAAGUAUGUUCACGACCCCGAUCAUGUUCUCUUGUUUGAACCCUCCGAGAUUCAAGAGGACAUGACCUAUGAGGAGUUUUCGGCAUACAUUAUCGAUCGAGAAGUAAGAAAACUACGAAAUCGCGAGAUUCCGUAUGUUAAAAUUCGUUGGUGCAAUCACGACGACCGCGGAGCUACUUGGGAGCUUGAGAGCGCAAUGCGGGAGCAUUACCCUCAUCUCUUCGACGAGCUGAACUAAGGUACGAGCCAAGUUCGGGCUUAAAUUAAGUUAGUUUCGCGGACGAAACUAAAUAUAAGGGGUCGAGAAUGUAAUAUAUCGAAACUCGAAAACGACGAUCGAACUUUAAUCAAAUUGGUUAAAGUGUCGAGAGAAAUGGAUUGGUGAGUUUGAUUUUUGCAUUCCAGCAAGUUUGGAAGGGCAAAAAUGAGUUAAAGAAGUGUUGGAAUGGUUUUGGCAUCGAACGACGCGAAGUAGAGUCGAGUCGAAGCCAAAACAGCAUUCUGGAGCAUUGUGUACCGGUACACCAUGGUGGUUGUGCCGGUACAGUAAGCGACCCGAGCCCAGGUUGCUCUCGGGUUUGAGUCUGCGCGAAGACGUACCGGUACGGGACCCCGUGUACCGGUACACAAGUUGCGAAACCGAGAAACCUUGCUCUCGGGUUUGGACUUCUGCGCAGGGCUGUACCGGUACAGGAGCCCGUGUACCGGUACGCAGAGCCUCUGGCAGCAGGGAUUCGUCUGCUGCAGAAUUAAAGUUGAGGGGCCUAAAUGCUACUGUUACAACAUGUUAUUUGGCCAACCCUCUCCUCACAGCAGCACACACACCUCUCCCCUCUCUCUUUCUCAUUUUCCCUCUUUCUCUCUCUAAAAGCUUGGGCUAGGGUUUGGGAGAGAAGGAGAAGAAGCAAGGAAGAGAAGAAGAAAGGCUUGGAGGAGAAGGAGCUUAGGGUUUUAGUGGACCUUGAAGCUCUCCAACAAGAAGGAGCUUGCUAGGGCUUGGGCAAAGGUGAGUCUCUUUGCAAGUUAAGCCUAGGGUUUGGGUUUUAGCCCUAUGUUUAGGGGUUUUGAGUUUGUUUUAUGCUUUAGAAACCUCCUAGAGCCAAGAACACCAUGAAAGCAUGGCUUUCUUGAGGAGCUCUCAUGGUGGAUCGCUAGGGCUCAAAGUAGAUGCCCUAGGGAUGGUUCUAAAAGUUUAGAAACCUUAUUAGAGAGCUUCCCAAGUGAUUCUAAGCUAUUCCUUGCUUAGCGACAAGAUCAAUCUAGGAAAACAUGUUAGGGCAUCCCAAAGAGGGGUUUUGCCCAAGUUAGGUUUUGAUCUAUUUUGAUCAUAUAGAAACCUAAUUGAGGGUAUUUUAAACGCGUUGGAACGCUCGGUUCGACAAUCUGACGAGUGUACGCAAAAUUAUUGACAAAAACGUCAUUUUCCGUACAGAUAGCCGCCGCACGCGGACUACGGCUUCAAAAAUUUCAAGAAAUUCACCGUAGCAUCCUUGUAACCAUCUAAGGUGGGUGGUGCAUUCCAAGGACAUCGGAAAUCCCUUUAUGUCUAAAGCGUCAUAUUUGAGCAUAUGUAUUUAUAUUGAGCAUGUUGCAUAGUAGGGUUAAUUGUAAAUUUUUAUUGCAUGAUAUGAGUUCUAAUGCUUGAGAAAUAGUAGUAAAUGAAUGAGAAUUGGUAACCCUAUAUAUGCAUGACAAGGGAUAAGAACCUAGAAGGGUUAGUAAACAAUGGGACAUGUUGACAUAGGCAUAGAGUGUGGCAUAAGUACAAGAACAUAGCACUUAGAAAACAAGUGUGGCAUCAAUGACAAAGAGCAAGAACAAGUAGUGUACAUGAUACUAGUAGAGGUUAGAGAAUGCAAGUGAAUUGAGUUAGUGACAUUAUGACAAAGGCACCUUAGAGUUAAGGGUCAUAUGAACAUGAUUCUCCUUGAAGUCAAGGAAUGGUUUGAACUUGGAAUCUUUAAAGUUAAGGAUUGAUCGUACUCACCUAAUAGUCCUUACUCGAGGGCGGUAGCUCCCCCUCGGGCGAUGUGCUCUGGAGUUGUCAUUACUGGGUCGUAGCGGCUAUCUCCCCAGAGGGCGGUCCCGUCGGGUCGUAGCUGUUAUCUCCCCGACAAUAGGGAUUUGGGUUGGUGAGUUUGUGAGGGCGAAACCUACGGGCUAGCCAUGAGAUUGAGUAAUGAAAAGUUAAUCUUGCAUUCAUCAUAUGCAUUCUAUCUAGCAUAGUUUUACUUAUCGUUCAGGCAUAUUAGCUGCAUUUGUUAGUUGGUUAUUAUCUAUUCUUUCUUCUAUUAUGCCUGAUUAGACCUAGUGGGAUAGUCGGCGUGGUUGGUUGCCGAAUCCACUGAGAACUUUGUUGUAGUUCUCACACCCCUAUUCCACAGAGCUGGGACCGAGCGAGCCGGCAGAUGAUCGCAGUAAAGAUAUCGCGCCCUAGGUAGAGACCGCCCGAGAUGUUUUAUUUUUAUAAUCGCAUACCCCUUAUUAUCAUCUUUUGUAUUUUGAUGAUGUUAGUAUUGUGAUGAUGUUAAAGGAAUGAUGUAGAAAACUUUAUUUAUGUUAAAAUGGAAAAGGGACCAUAUUUUGGAGAACUUGCGAUGUAUAAAAGAAAUGAUGCAAAGUUGUAUUAAAGUUGAAUGCAUGUAUGUGAUUUAAAUUUAAUCAAAUACUUGUAUGAUGUUAAGUAGAUUCUUUCACUAUUGGCUGUUGCUUGCCGUCGUGCAAGCCAUUAUGUAUGCUUCUGUUUUGUGUAAAAUUCAUACUCUAUUUGUACAGAAUGUUGAGCCUUGGGCGGACAGGGAAGACUUUAUCCGUUCGGCGUCUGUUUGAUGCGCUCGAACCGGCCAAAUAGGGUUGGGUUCGGGACGUGACAUCAAUUAUCAGAUAUAUUGAAAAAUUAUAAAAUUUAUUUUCUAAAUAUUUCAAAUACUCUAAAUCAAACCUAACAGAACCGAUCAUCGAAUCACAAAUUCUAUCAUAAAAGAAACUCGUCAUUCGUAAGUACACAAGCUGGACUCUGUUGAGGAUACCAUUAUGCACAUGCUAAAAGAUAAUGACAAAAAUGAAUAAAUAGGUCUAUCCACAGCCGCAUAAAUUUCUUUAAAAUCUAUGUCUAAAAAUAUUUUAAAAUAACACUAAUAAUGCCAAACUAGUUUUAACUUUUUUUUUUUUUUUUUUUUGUUGUUGUUGCAGGAUUUGCAACUUGGUUUCCUAAUAAAUCGUGCUAUAAUAUAUCGCACUAAGAUUCCAAACCAAGCACUGUGCAUUGGAGACCACCUCCUCUGUUCAUGCCUCUUGCAUGUGUAAUAGAAAUUUCAGUGAUUUGGGCUUGCUCUCAAACUUUUCACUCAAAAGACAAAAUUUAGAGUUAAUAUCAUAAAACGCUCAAUAAAAAUAUCGAAUAGUAAAUAUUUUCCUACAAAGUUUAAUUUUUUAUAUUUAUUCCUGCCAAAAUUCAAUGGCAUUUACAUAUAUAUAUCCCUUUGAUUUGUUACCAUUACAGCACUUUAUUUUUUAACAGAAGAUAAGUAAAAUGAUAUUUUUGCCAUCAUAAAUAUAUCUCUCCAAAAAUUUCAACUGUUAGAAUUAUACAGAAAUGCCCUCCCAAAAAUCUCCAAUGGUCGUCUUCUUCGUUUCUACCAUCACAAAUAAUAUAAGAGAGAUAAAAAUGUUAAUUUAUAUCAUUCGCUAAUCAGGAUUACGUAUUUUACCUAUGGUUAUCUACAUUUUUCUAAUGGAUUCUAACAGCUAUAGUAUAUUUGAAAAUGUUAGGACUUUUGCAGGAAUAAAUCUGAAAAGUUGAAUUUUGUAGGGAUAUAUUUAAUAUUCGAUAUGUCUACAGAAAGCCGUAUGCAAUUAAUCCUAAAAUUUAUUAAUGGGUAUUUGGUUCGUUACGAAAUAUCUCAAAAAAUAGUUUUUUAGUCGAAAAAAUAUUUUUCGUCCGUUUAGUUAUUAUAAAAACAAUUAUUUUUAAAUUGUUUUAUUAAAAUUUUAUUUUAAAAACAAAAACUGUAGAAAAAUAUAUUUUUCAUGAAAAACUUUUCCUUCGAAAGGAAUUAAUUAAACACCCCCCUUAGGUAGGUACUGAAUCCAAUAAUUUGACAAGCAGAUUUAUUUAAAUAUAAAGUAAUCGACUAUAUAAAAAUAUAGUAUGCGUGGGACAUAUUAAAAGGCAAUUGUAAGGAAAUAGCAGAAAUUUUGAAUCGGAUAUGUAACUGCCAAAAGAAAUAGAAAAUAAGUUGAUAAAUGAGAAAAGAACUAUUAAAGAUAUUAUUCUUACUGUAAAAUCUAGCUAUUAUACUUUUGCUAUUCAAACUAGGAUGCGCGCACUACAACAGAAUUAGGUUAUAGGGAUACAUGUUUGGGACACUUUUGAGUAAGUGUCCUAUUUAUGCUAAAACUUAAAAAAAUAUCUACUUAUGCCUAAAUAUAAAGUCCAAUCCAACCAAAAAUAAAAGAUUACUCUACUCAACUCACCACAUCCAGUUCAUUUGACCCGAUUACAAACAGAAAAGAAAAAAAAAAAAGAAAAAUCAAUUACCAUUUUUUCUUCUCUCUUCACUGAAUCCACUGAAAUUCUAGACGAAGAGCCUUUCCUGUUGUCCUCCUCCGCCACCGCAGCCAACGAGAUAGAGUUUCGGCGGUUGCUAAAUGCUUAAAUAAGUGUUGGUAAAUUAGCAGCACUUUUUUAGGUUAUAGAGACACUCUUUAACUGUUACUAUAUACCUAGCGACCCCACAUAUAGCAACACUUUUUAAAAGUGUUGGUAAUUUUAGCUAGCAGCACUUUUUUGACAUGUACCUGCAUUUAAAAUUGUCGCUAUAGACCGUUUUUGUUGUAGUGGCGUCACAUUUUUAUUUUUAAACUUUAAUUUGUUGUAAUUUCUGCAUCGGAUAUUUAAAAAUUAUUAGAAUUGAGUCGCACGGCUUAAUUUAAUUGGAGUAACAUUUUAAGUAUUAUCACCAAUCAUAAUACUUUUAUAUCGUGAUUAUAUGAGCAACAAAACAAUAUUUACUCAACUAAAUUGAAUUUCUAAAACUUAAUUACAACAAUUCUAAAAGUUUAAGGGAAAAAUUAUAACAAAUUAAGAUCUAAAGACUAAACUAUCACGGCCUUGAGGACCAAAAGAGUGAUUUAGCCUAAUUAAUAUUAUUUGAAUAAAUAACGUAGAACUAGAUGGUUUGACAUUAUUAUUAUUAUUAUCAUUAUUAUUAUUAUUAGUUAAAAAAUAAUUUUUAUGUAAUUGGAUAUGGCCACAUUGGAUGAACUUUUCUUUUACUUUUAUGGUUGGUUUCCUUGGAAUCACUUCGGCCACGUGAGGAAUGUACAACUUCUUAUUCUUCUUCUAAACAAAAAGAAAGAAAUAAGCAAAAAGAAAAAAAAAAUAGCAAAUUUGUAUAUUUUAUUGUUAAUUACAUACCUUGAAUAUAAAAAUUGCAAGUAAUCUACUACCUACUUUUUAUAAUCUUUCAAAUUGAUGUUUUUUUUUUUUUGUUUUUAAAUGACAGCUAUAACAAACAAGGCCUUUAUAUUAGGGUAAAUUAUACUUUUGGUUCUCAAACUAUGAAAAUUGUAACACUUAGGUUCUCAAACUUUAAUUUAUUAUAAUCUUUUUGCUCAAACUUUUUGAAUUUUUGCAAUCGAAAUCCCACAAUCCAAUAUAGUUAGCUACAUGUUAAGAAAUUAUUGAUGUAGAAUCAUUGUGAUUGAUAAUACGAUAAUAUUUAAGAUGAUAUAUCACUUAUACAUUUAUAGACGAAGCUAGGACUCGAUUAUAAGAGAGGCCAAAAUAUAUACAAAUCGAAACUUUAACAAACAAACAAGAUUUACUUAAUCAAAUAUUUGAUGAGAAAAUAUGUUGAAUAAAUAAUUAGUGUAAAAAAAUAUUACCCUUUUUUUUUAUCUAUACUUAACUUUUAAUUAUUUUAUCUAUAGUAUUUCACUCAAAUAACUUUGAAAUUUACUAAAUCUAAUAGUAAUUCAGUUAAUGGUCUAAUUUUAUAAUUUUUAGUAAAUACAAUUAUGACAAUUGAUGACUAUUAGUUGAUAGAGCUAUUAAAUUUAAUAUAAUCUUUAAUUUAAUUAAAUAAAAAUAUUAUCUAAAAUAAUUAGAAUUAUGAAGAUACCAAACGAAAAAAAUGGAAAUAAAUUUAGAGUUGAGAGAGGACUGUGUUAGUGCCAAGAACUUUUUUAAAAGAUAGGUCAGUCAGUAUACUUUUGAGAUUGCCUAAAAGUAUCUCCUUUAAAUUUUUUAUAUGUAAGGUACUAUUAUACAUAUUAUGAAAAGUCUGGGGGGCCAUGGCCAUCCUCAGUCUUUGUACAGCUCUGCUCCUGUCUACAUUAACAAUUUGUCAAUAUUUAGCCAACUAUAAGUUGUGAGACUUAAUUGCAAUAAUUUAGUUGUAAUCCAGAAAAUUUGAAUGAAAAAUUAUAAUAAAUUAAAGUGUGCGAAUCAAAAUGUAAUUGACUUCAUAAUUUGAGGACCAAAACUACAAUUUCCCCUUUUAUAUUAUGUUUAUUUAAUCUCACUACAACAAAUCAAGAUUUUAGGGACACAUAUUUGGACACUUCUGUGCAAGUGUCCCAUUUAAGUCCAAAACCUUUUUAAAAAAAUCCACCUAAGGCCUGGCCCAAAUAUAAAACCCAAUCUUAUUCCUACUCAACCCACCCAUCCGGCCCAUUACAAAAACUUAAUUAAAAGUCCAACCCAGUUACAAAAAAAGAAAAAUAAAAGAAAAGAAAAGAAAAAAAAUCUCUCACACAGAUCAUCUUCUCCCCCAAACCCCCAAACCCUUCUCAACCCUCAAACAUAACCCUUCCCACUCGACCAUGGCGAACUCUCACCAUGGCAAGCUCUCUCCCGUGAUCUCCCAUGGCGAGCUCUCACCAUGUCCUUCCUGCGGCAUUCUCUCUCAUCUCGUGUCGAUCUCCUCUCCGCAAAACAUCUUCGCCUAGGUCGAUCUCUGCAGAGGGGAGAAGGUGAACUCCAUUUUGAAAUUGAUCCAAAGCUUGAUUUCCUUUUUCCUGCUAGAUCUCGCCCUACACACCUUCGCCUCUAUUGGGAUCGCCAUUUCCAUCUACGUCUAAGCAAGAAUAGUAAGAUUACAAUUUGGCUUUGAAAUUGCAAUUUAUCUUUUAGCUUUUUAUUUUUAAAUUUUUUGGGAUUGAAUUAAUUUAGUUUAUUUAAUAAAUUAGGCCCUAUGGAGAUCGAAUAUCUGUAAGCAUUCGAUUAUGCAGUUCUUUGAAUUAUAGAAUAUUAAUUCACUCUGUUAAUUUGACAACAUAUCAAGAAGCUGAUAAUUGCCUUUAAUUGUCGGCUUCUCUUUGGAUCAUUCUCUAAAUUAAUGCAAAAAUGUUUCUGUAAUGAAAAGUGGAGCAUCCCAAGUUUGUGAAGAGUAUCCGCUAAAUAAUAUGUCCAUGAUCAUAUUAUUAUAUAAUUUCUUCAUUAUUAGAUUAUUAUGUUGGUAUUAAUCGCUAUUGUCAAUAAUGUUGAUUACGACUUAACGUAGACGCAUUAUGCAUGUCUUAGUAACAUUUCAGGAUCCUUUCAUUACUUUAGUGCUAUUUUACUAUUGGCACUAAAGUGUUUCACUUUUUUAGAUCAACACUUACCGAAAUCAGGAUCCUUUCAUUACUAUUGGCACACAACAUGACAAUAAUCUAUUUUACUAUUGGCAUACUUUAUAUAUGUACUGCUAUAGUGCUAUUCAUUGGAAGUUCUUUGACUCCUUUUGCUAUUGCAUUUUGCUUGUAAGAUACUCAGGAUGCAAACACUAAUUGGUUUAUGUUAGUUUCAGUAUUUAAACUUUAGCUUGAAUACAUGAGAACAAAACCAAAUCUUGAGCAGGGCUUAUAUGACUAUUUAAUAAAUGACAUGAAACUUCUAUCCUAUUUAUGGUUCAAAUUUAAGCUUCAUCUAUGAGUAGGUAUUCCAUCUCAGCUGUACACUCUUAAAACAAGUGUGCACUCCUUUUCUCCUUGAUCAAAACUGCUCACUUACUUUAUUGCCGUGCAGUUCGGUUCGGUUCGGUUCGGUUUAUACAAAAACCAAAAUUUUCUAUGAAAAUUGUAUGGUUUAUUAAUAUAAUUCUAGUAGAGUAGAACUUUUUUGACUAUUUACUACAUUCAUGUUUCAGAUACACUAAAUAUUUAUAUUCAUCAUCUAAUCUCCCAGACUAGUUGUAAUGAUGCGGCCUACUAUAACUAAUAACUCAUUAGGCUUAUAUUACCGGUUUAAAAUGUUUAAGCCCAAUUAUUAUAUGACACUUUAAUGGCCCCUCAUUAGAUAAUGUGGCAAAGUGUUAAGGGAGUUAUAUGUAAUGGACAUUCUAGAAUUAAUGGUUGUGCUUAAGUAUUUUGGAUUGGCGAUUUAGAGCUCGAUGAGUUAUUAGUUUUAGUGUGCCAAAUUGUUACACUAGUAUUCCAAUGACACAAAAAUUCCAAUCUUAGUUUACAAUAAGAUAAAAUUUAAAUUCUUUUUUUGUCCCUUCCUGGUAGAGGUUUGCUCAUUGACAAUUUCUAAUCUAAAUAAGAUGAAAAAUCCCAGCAGGUGGCUAAAUCUUUCUAUUCUAUUUGCUUCAUGCUACCGAGUGAUGCAAUUCCAUUGACACUUGGAUUUAUUCUUUAUGCAGCCAACGACAGCUAAGUAUGCUAGAUAAUCAAUAUAUUAACCAAUCUUCUAGGAAGUAGGUUAUGUUCAAGCUAAUUAAUGAUUCAAAUAAGCAAGGGGAAUAAUGAGCAAAAAGUGAGAUAUGGAAAUAUAACAUAUUACAUAGGUGCUGAAAAUUUAUCAGUGAUUCCUCUUCCUUUUCAAUUUUCUUGUUAUGCAAACUAGCAAAGCUGUAGGUGCCUGCAGAUGGAAAGUAAGACAUCCCAAUUUUCCAGCUUAGAAAUCUCUGAGAUUCUAGAAAAAGUCAAUCCCACAAAAGCAAUGAACGAUUCAAGUUGCGCACGUGUGACUGAUUCUAUUAGAUUUUCGAUAUGACUACUUUAUUUAAGGAUUAGUGAAGAUCUAUAACAUCAACUAUAUCUAUUUGCAGAAUUUGACCUAGUCAUUAGAACACUGGAAUGUUUUGGUUCUUGGUGUGUGAUGGGUGACAUUGUUGUUAGCCUUCUCUAGCCUUCUCUUGAGACAAUGCCAAGUAGUGCAAGAGUCUCCUUUUACCCUCUGCCUGCUGUUAUAUAUAACAGCAGAUGUCCAUGUCAUGGGCAAAUUGCCCCUAUGUUGUUUUAUAUGGAAAAAUUCUUUCCAUGAAAAGCAUCUUUUCCAUUAAAAAAAUUCAGAUGUGUUAGAAUUAAUGUUGAGUCAAACCAUUAUUGAUGUAGCAAGUCAAACCCCUGUGAGUUAAUCAUAUGGAGUGCCUAGAUGCUGCUUUUAAUCAUGUGAUUUUUGUAGUUAGUAAUUCUUGAAAAGUGCUUUUUUACAAUAUUUUUUGUUUUCCUUAAAAUUUCUCUUGCUCUAGGGGUUUAUUGUCUCUUGUUUGUCUCACUAUUUGUCAAUGCCAAUAGUGCCUUUACUUUUACACGUACUGAAUUACAGGUGCUGCAAGACUUCUUCUAGGCUUUCAUGCGUGUAUAGGAAGCGGAAGUGAAAGGUUACUGCCUGAAUGGUACUCUGAAAAAGGUAAAAUUUGUUUCUUUCUUUUGAUGGUGAUAUCAUUGGAAUCUAAAGGCGUGUAUACGAAGAGAAAUUGAAGAAUCUCUUCAUGAUAGAACUGUUAGCAGCAUUUAAUUUGUAAUCUCCAGCUAAUAAGUUUGAUAGAAUAUGAUUAGAUGCAAGUUUCAUGACUAGACAGUGAAUGUUGUUGCCUACUUUUUGAACAGUGAAGCAUUGACACAUCUGACCUUAGGAAAUUUGGUGUGCUGAAGCUUUUACUGUUCAAUGAUAUUUGAGUACUAAGAAAUUGAAGAAUGCUUUAACAUUUUCAAUAUAUGUUGCCUAUAUAUUCAAUUAAAACCACUAGCUAGGAGUGGUUUGGUUCCACUUGCAUCUACUACUGUCCACAGUAGUGGAUGGUGACUUUGCUGCAACUCCAGCUUGGGCAGGUUUUCAUGGCAGGAGCUAGCCUAUAUAUGCAUGCAUAGCUAAUUAAGGUAGCUAUAUAUCUUUUUACAUGAAUAAUGAUACAAGCCCACAUGGUUUCAUUGGAAUGUACGGUACCCUAAGAUGGGAUGUAUGGUACCCUAAGAUGGGAUGCAUGGCUUCUCACCCCUCAACUUUUGCUUAUUUUAUUUCGAAUUAUUUUUGUAAGUUGAAUUAGAUAUUCCAAAAAAUCUAAUAGCGAUUUUAUCAAAUUUAACAGUUUUACCUGCUUUUCGAGCAAUGGAACUAUGGGUUCCAUUAAUGACCAAUAGUUAAAGGAGCUAUUAAUUUCAAUAAAAUCCCUGAUUCAAUUGCCAAAUAAAAAAAAUCACAAGUUGAGUGGUUGUCCCCCAAAAUCACAAGAACAUAGAACAUAGAUUCUAACACUUUUUUCUAUGUUCUAUGUUCUACGUCAUGAACAAGGUGAUACAUUCACUGCUGCAUCUGAUGGGCCACUAAUAAGUGUAUUAACGGGGAUUGUAGCUAGGAAGCCUCUGAUCAUUUAUUAGUUUCAAUCAUUAUCAGACAAGUUUGCUCACAUUUCGCUUUGCUGGAUUAGCUGGAUUUGAAAACUCUUGUCUCUUCAGGCAGAUAGGGAUGGGGUGGACUUGAAUGACUUGUUUUAAUGGUUUUACCCAUUUAUAUUGCAGUGUUUAUGCUCUCUUUGGUCAAUUAUGAUCAAUUCGUAUAUGCUUCCUUUGACAAAAAUGCAUCAGAUCUUGUCCGAGGUUCCCAAGUUUCUUGAUAAACUUACUUGAACAUACGAAUAAAAAUGAUAGGUAACUUGUCUUUGCUUUCAACAAAGGUUCAUUCAACGAAGAAAGCAAAAAUUGUUUUACUUUGCUCGAGACCGAAACACAAACCUGCGAGGCUAGGUCUAUAACGUGCUGCACUUUUCUCCUGCUGAUUCCAGCCGGCAAAAGAGGAAGAUGAAAACCGCUCUCGUUUUUCUACUUCCAUGUGCAAUUAUAUUUUCACGUUCGUUCGAAUCCUAAGUUUGGUAUAUUCCUUUCCUCUGAGUACUUUGAACUUUGGUUCAGGUUCUGCUUCAUCUUCGUCGAAUCUGCAAUUGUACUGAGAUCAAAAUCGCCCUUUUAUAAGUGUUAGAAUCUAUGUUCUUGUGAUUUUUUCCGACCGGCUUGCAUAUUUGUUCUCGUAAUCAAGCUUUUAUUUUGUAUUGUUUUACAAUUUGUAUUUUUGAUAAUCCUUUUACACUAUUGUUUGCUUAUUUAUCUUGUGUUAUUUGUUGGUUACAGGAAGGGUUACUGCUACAGAUGUUUUGGCUGUAGAAUGGAUUCAAAGUGGAGUUGUCCACUAUGGUGCAACUGUCUCAUACUUUGGCUUUUUUAGCGAUGGUAACGAGUUCUUACUCCAGGAGUUGUAGCUAAAAGUGAGUACAUUUAUCUUCACUUUACCUGCUUGAUUAUGUGUAUUUCGUAUCUAUUUCGUGCUUGCACAUACUCCAUCUACUCAUAUAUGUAUUUCGACGUGAUACGAGACUAGACUAGGAAAGAUGUAAAAAUAUAUUAGCAUUAAUAAUGCUUGGGCUAAAAGGGGUUGGCGCACAGCGUUUUAAACUUGUUAGCUUUCUCAUUAGGCUUAUUUUCGUGCCAAUCGUUCUAUAUUAUUGAGAGGCACAAGUUGUUUGAUCAGUUGAUAUAACUUCUAGCAUUGUAUAUUGUAUAUUUCUAAAGUUGGUUGACCAAAUUAGAUACAUAUAUGCUCUCUCAAUAAUUAAAUCUGCUCCAAAACUGCACAAGCAAACUCUGAAAAUAUCUAUAGAAAUAUAAGCAAAUCAAGUACUCUGAGAAUUUCAACAAGUCUCUUUAUUUUUAAUGCUUUGACAAAUCAAGAAUUCUGCACAAAUUUGAACUAAUUCAAAUGUUAUUCAAUGUGCAGGUUCAAGUAUAUAUUCGUGGAGUCGAUCAGAAUUUGUUUAUGCACUUUUUGAUUUUGUUAUCAUACAAUUUUUGAUUUUUUGUAUUUCUUUCAAUUAGAGAGUUUGAUUUGUUAUAAUUACUACAACGUAUGAGUGGAUAUUAUUGUUGUGACGUAUGGAUAUUUGAUUUUAGUUUUAUCUUUUUAACAAGAAUUUAAGAAAUUUUGUUGAUUGUUUUUUUGUACUCUCAUCGAUUUAAUGUAUAUGAGAUUAGUUUAAAUAAAGUUUAAUACUAGACUAGAUGUUUAAAUAAAAUAUUAUAUUUUGAAUGACAAUGGGACACUUAUAAAGUGUCACUAUAUAAAAAAAUAUAUAUAUUUUUUAAAAAAUUAGGGACACUUAUUUGUGUCACUAAAAAAAAAAGUGUCACUAAACAGCAGCACUUAUUUUGGGAUAUACCGACACUUUAUUAUGUGUCGCUAUAUACUCUAGGGACUGCACAUAUAGCGACACUAUUUUUAGUGUCGGUAUUUUUGCUAGCAGCACUUUUUUUAGGUUUUAGGGACACUUAAAAGUGUCGCUAUAAACCGUUUUUUUUGUAGUGUCUCAGUCUCAAUCUCCAGGUGACAAUCAUUCUUACUUAAAUUUCUUAUUUCUAUGAAAGAAAAUAUUCUAGUGCCAUAGAUACCCAAAUAGGCCGAUUUUCAUGUAACCAAUUUUAUUGAACCAUGUGAGUACAAAUUACUUAUUAUUAAGGCUAAAUUAUAGAAAAUUAUUUUAUAAAUAUCUAUUUUUAUUUUCUAUCCCUAAUUUUUAAAAACUUAUAUUUUAUCCCCUCAACAUUUCAACUUGUUGCAUUUAGCCCCCCUCCAAAAUGAUAGAAAUAUAAGGGGAUUUAUACCGAAAAUGCACNAGAAAUAUUUAUUGAAUCAAACUAAUUUAAAUAUGAAUCAAAGAGCCAGUUAACUAAAAAAAAAAGUUUCCAAAUCAAAAAUUUCCAAAGGAACAAUAGUCUUUAAAAAUAAAAAAAAAAAUUUAUCGGAGGGUUUCUAUAAUUUAACCUACUAUUAAUUAGGUAAUAAAAAAAUAUAUAUGGGGACUCCAAACUCAUAGAGGGCCAUAGCCCAUUCAAAAUGUCACUCUAAAAUAGCCUCCUUAACUUUAACUAUUUUUGGCUAAUACUGCUUUAAUUUCCAUUAUUUUUGUUUAUGCUUAUUUGAUUAGUUAAGCAUGGAUCCUUUUUAAGUUUAAUAACUUUAUUAUACAAAGUUAAAGUUAAGAAAAUAUAAACCCCAAAAAAUUAAAGUUGAGGGGCAAUUUAAGAAGCCUACAGGCAAGGGGUCUGUCGGAUUGUUUGCAAAGCUUGAGCUUUUAGAAAUACGUAACUAAUUUAUUUAAAGCAUUCAGACACAAUGCAUACGUCGCUUAGCACAAAUUUGCAGCAUGCGGGAAUCGAACCCGUAACUUUUGUCGCUGAUACCACUUGUUGGAUUGUUGGUGCAAUUAAUUUCAAAAAAUUCGAGCUGUUAAAAAUACAACCAAUUCACUUAAAGUGUAUAGAUAUAGCGCCUAUAUGUCUCGAUUUGAUUUGGCCCAACUAGCCUCACGCAUCUUUAAACAUGAUUUGGCCCAACCUAGCCUCACGCUAUUUCAAACAUGACUCAACCCAACCUGGCUUCCCGCCAGAAGGCAGGAUAUUGGCCCUUUUAAGCCAACAGGAUUUCCAUUCAUUUUUAAUUUUACCUAUUAAUUAUGAUAAAAGAUUUUUUAUUUUUGUGAAUAAAAGUGUGUGACAAUUAAGGAUUGUGUCAAGAUAAGGGUACAAGGAGCAUACAUUUCAAUCGCGUCAAUACUCAAAACCCAAACCUAGGAAUGUAAAAUUGGCCGGGCGGUCCCGACCCAGCAUGGCCUCGGGCUGGGCUGCAGCACGGCACAAGUGCUGUAGCAUUUGUGCCGGCAUGGGUCGCCCCGAGCUUCAGGGCCAUGCUCGGCCUCGCCCUCUAGGACCGACGGCUGACACGGCACGGCACGGUACGAAACGGGCUUAGGCCGUGCUGGGCCUAGGAGAGGCUGGUGACCUAGCACGGCCCGCUUGGGCCGAGCCAGUCAGGACAGCACGACCCAAACCACAAGGCCCAAGGCAACUUGCUUUGUGCCAUAGGGUUUUAGCUCCCGUGGAGAAGGGCUCUCUACAGGAGUUCUCCUCGUAAGGUGAGCCACCACAAACCUUGAGAGGAGGUUUUUGGUCUAAUGGACCAAAAUUGUUUGAUCCAUUAGACUAAAAAUCAUUUCAAUUCUUUUUUUUUAAAAAAAAUUGUUAUAUUAUAAUUAUUUUUAUAAAUUUUAAAUUUUUUAAUCAAAAUAUCAAUUUAAUAGAAAUAAUUUAUUGCUUCUAUUUUUAAUUUUAUAUAUUUUUUAAAAAAAUAAAAAUAAAUAAAAUCUUUUGGGGCCCGGCAUGGUCCGGCCCGGGUUUGGAGCUAAGCCGGACCAGGCCGGCUCAUAUCCCGAAUCAGCACAGUAAAUGUGGGCCAUGCCGGCCCGGCACGGCCCACAUUACACCCCUACCCAAACCGACUCCAUUUAUUAAAUGGGUAAUUAAAGUGGGUCUACUUAUUAUCUAAAUUAAAUUAUGUCUUUCACAUUGUUAUUUAGAGGCUUUAGCUUAAAUACCCCUCACUGCUAUUCAAACUUUUUCAAUAUAUUCAUUUAUUUUGAAAGUAUCCUUCUAAACUUCAAAUCUUAUUAGUAAAUCUUAGAAUUAGAAGUAUAUUUAACGAAAUUUUUGAAAAUCAAUAAAAAUAUUUUGGUCGACCAGAAAUAUAUUAGAUAUUAUUUCUAUUAUUAUUUAAAUUAUAUAGGAAAGCUUAAAUAAUAAUAAAAUCUUCAAUCAUAUAUGACGAAGAUGUAUGUAUAUACAAUAAAAUAAAAUUUAUUAAUUAUACAUCGUUUUGACCUUAUGUAUUUCAUAUAGUUCUCUAAACUUUUAAAAUAUAAAAAACUUUUGUUAUUUGCAUAUAUAAGAAAAGUGAAAAAAAUUGAAGUUCGGUUCAACCUUUUUUUCGAUUGUCAUGUUUAAUUAUUGAAACUGGAAGAGGAAAAAAAAAUACAAUUCCUUAUAUUUUUAAGUCUUAUAAAAUCAUGGGCACGACAUUCGAUUAAAAUGGCUAUUUAAUUAGUAAGUUUACUUAAAAAGAGAAAUAUUGAGCUAUUUGAUAAAGUUUAAAAAGUUUUUUUGCCGAAAUUGAAAGUUCAGACGUCUGUUUACAGAUGAACUAAUAUUGAUAGAUCUCCAUGCAUUUUAUCCAAAACAUAUCAGAUUUGAUAUCCAUCGGAUUGUAGGGAUGUAAAACAAGCCAGGCAGCACAUGUGCCGCCUGGCUUGGCAUAGCCUCGAGCCAGGCUACAGUGGCAUGGGUACUGUAGUACCUGUGCCCGGCCAGCCCAUCCCGAGGCUCUGGGCCGUGCUGAGCCUCUUAUUUGGAGCCUGACGGCCCGGCACAGUGCGGCUCGAAACGGGCCUGGACAGUACCGGGCAGAGGGUAGGCGAGCUACCUGGCACAGCAAGGCCCGCUUAGGCCGUGCCAGCCGGGCCAGCACGGCUCGGACCCCAAGGCCUAAGGCAAUUGCCUUGGGCCAUGGGGCCUCCUCCCCAGGAGCUCUCCUCCUAAGGUAUGUCGUCUGCCCAGCAGACCUUGGGAGGGGAGCGUUUUGGUCAAGGGACCAAAAUUCUAUCUCAUUAUUUUUUCUCAAAAAUAAUACAAAUUUAUUUUUUAAAAAAUUAAAUAUUUACUUUAGUAUAAUUAUUUUUAUAAUUUUUUAAUAUUUUAAUCAAAAUAUUAAUUUAAAUAAAAAUAUUUAUUAUUUAUAUUUUUAAAUUUUAUACUAAUUUUUUUAAAAAAAAUUAAAAAUAAAUACUUUACUAGGCCCGCCCAAAGCACGGCCCGGUCCAGCACGGCCAGUGCCUUUCUGGCGGAAGGGUCGUGUCAGGCCACAUUACACCCCUAUCGGAUUGUUAAGUACUAGUCACGUACGUUAUGCAGACCUAACUCAAUGAUAAACUGUUCAAUAAGAAGCCAUGUUAAGUGAGUUGAUUCGUUUCUACACUAAAUCUAUUUAAAUUAAGAGCAAUGUUAGGGGUACACCCUAAAAUAAGAAAACGUCUGAAGUGUCACACUUGCACUAUAUUAUCAGUAAUAAGUCAAUCAUAUAUAUAUUUCUCUACUUAAGAGAAAUGUACAAUAAAAUUUUUUUUUUAUUAACCACAAUGUGACAGCGAAUCCGAGGGGACAAUCAUAUUGGGUUGGGAGGUGCCAUGUCAGCAAUAUAAUUUGUGCAUUCUAGACUUUUUACUAUUGUAGAGUAUAUAUCUUACAUUCUCUUGAACCAAACUAGGGCCAUCAUUUCACUACUUAUUACAUCAAUUUUUUAAUUUUACUAAAAAAAAUUUGUAUUUCACUAAAAUUUGCAAGAGUAGCUUACAUUGGCUUGGAGAGAAAUCGAGGUAAAGAGACAAGAGACUGACAAAACUGCGGCAACAUUAGACAAGGAAAGGACUGGGAAGGAAAGAAACAUAUCAAAUCCUGUUAAAAGGGCUCUGAACAAUAAAAAAGAAAAAAAAAAAGAAAAAAGAGAGCACCUUUUACAAAUAAUUGAUUAAUUAAUUAAUUCCAUCCUCUCUGUGUUAUCCCAACCACUAGCCUUCCUUAUCAGUCCCAAACUGUCAGUGGGGGGGACAGAAUCCAUUCUUAGAAAUCUUUCAGAUCUUGUCACUUAAAAGCCCACUUCUUUUGUUUUUCUUUCUCUUUUUUUACUGUGUCUUGCUGGGAGGGUUUAGAUAGCAAAUUAAUCAGAUGGUAGGCCCCCUAGACACAAUUUUUGUUGGUUUCUUGAACUUGAUCUGUUCGCUUCCCCGGUCCAUUGUGUUUCUUCAACUAGAAAUUAGGUAUUUAAGAUUUUGUGGUGAGCCGUUGGUGAGCCGAUUGAUAGGAUUGUACUCUUGUACAUGCGGCACUUUUUAUAUAGGCUGAGAAGUUGAAGUACUGUCGACGGUAUUAAUUGAGAAAGUUAAUGAUAAAGAUUUCUCUCUAUAGCAAACCCCUCUAGGAUAUUCUUUUAGAAAAUCGUCACAUAUCAAGUGUAUUUUCGCAUUCUUAUAAGUCUGUAACGAGCAAUUAACAUAACGUAUAUAAGGGCACAUUAUCUUAUCAUUAUAGGAUGUAUUAUAAAAUACAAAUUCAAGAAAUUGUGAGACUCCACUCUUAUAAUCAUCACUAUUUCUAGGUUUUAUCAUCCAACUCUUAUCCAUUAUAGAAAAACAACUGAAAAAACAACAAAAGUUUUGUUUAAUACCAAUGCGUAGUUAUGAAGCUAACAAUUAACUUAGUGAUAAUAAUUAACCUAAUGAUAAUAAAACUAAAACAUUAACAAAAGUUAAGAAUAAAAAAAGGGAUACAGUAUAACUUACCUAAUUUUCAAACAGAAAAAAAAUUAGAAGAUGUCCUCAACUGCAGCAGUCCCACAAGUGACUUCUUCCCUCACUUUUUCUUCCUAAUAGAAAACAAAACUUUUGGAUCAUUCAAAAAAGUGGGUAUUGGUUAAUAACAUCAAAAAUUUCAAAUUAGAUAUAUAAUGCACUCAAAUUCACAUUAGAAAAAAAAUCUAAUAACAUAAUAUUAAAAUGGAUCAUAUAAAGAAGUGGGUAUUGCUUAAUAGCAUCAAAAUUUUAAAACUGGACGCAGAACAGCUCCAAAUUCAUAUAGAAAAAAAAAAAGAAAAAGGAUGGCAUAGUCAACCCAUGUUAAGAGAUUAAAAUGGUCCAAAAAUAGUCCAAAACAUGUAGGGUAACGUUAGCUAUACAGUUGGUCCUAUAUAUUCUCAUACUAAUUUGUUUGUUCCUACAAAUAAAUAAGUUGUCAAAACUAGAUUGGUUCUUGCCAAUGUAAAAUAGUUUGAUUACAUUGACAUCAUCGAUCAGCCCCAAUCCUGGAGUUUGAUUACAUUACUCCUCGGAGUAGCUUCUAUGAUGCUAUAUCCCAAGACUUCAAACUAUAUGGCUUACAUUAAUAGGCUGUGACGCCCCAACUUUCAGGGGACACCCAUUCUAGAACUACUCUCGUCUUAGUAUGCUUAACUCUUUUAAUCUCUUAGGCCUAACCACUAUCUAAAAUGCUUAAGUCGGGUUAAGAGUCUUAGCCCUAUUAUAUUUUAUAUAUAGGAUUAUCCGGGGUCUUACCCUUAAGCCCUGAUGUUCUUGUCAAACUCAAACUCACAAGUACCAAGCGAUGUGAGACUCAUCUCGCUAAUCUAAACCGACCUUCUAGGGGAGUCGCACUCUACCCACAACAGUCAACAGUAUGAGAGGCUCGCUCUCCCUGCUGUAUAACUUUGGCUUAGCCGAGACUUAUCUGACACUUCCGGCUGGUAAUUGGUUCUAAUAUCAACUGUGAUGCCCCAACUUUCCAGGAGGUCACCCAUCCUAGGACAACUUCCGUCCUAACACGCUUAACUCUCUUAACCUCUUGGGUCUAGCCACCUAAAAUGUUUAAGCCGAAUUAAGAGUUUUAGCCCUAUUAUAUCUUAUAUAUAGGACUAUCUGGAGUCUCACAUAGGCCUUUUCAAAAAAACUUUCAAAUUGGAGACCGAAAAGUGUACACUUUACCUGAGUUUCCACAACUGCUUCACUCAAAAGAGUUGCUAUGCUGUGGUUAGACUCGAAUUCCUACUGAAGAAUUGUUUGAACAAAGAAGUUUGAAGAAGCAUCUAUCUUGCUUCUGAUUUGAGAGCUUGAAAAACUUACUCAUGUUAUCUCUCGAAACAAAGCUUGAUCUAAAUUUUUGUUUGUUAAAGGCCAACUCCCAAAACAGUUUAGAAAUAAAAGCUAUACCAGACAAGCCCAUAAACGUUCUUACAUAGGUUAAGGAUGGCGAUGUAAAAUGUUUGAGAAUAUAGCAGCAAAAUAGAAACAUUUUAUACUUCAUGUAAAAUUAAGAUUAUAAUGCAGACGAUGAGUGAUGACAUAGCUAGGUGAAGUACACAACUGUGAUGCAAGUAGUUAAUCUCUACACUAAUAAGUACAAUCUAAUUUUUGUUUUAAAAAAAUAUGGAGAAUCUAGAAUUUAUUAAUUUCACUAGUACUCCAACUCGAUCUUGAUUUAUGUGAGUUACCACAAUUUUUUUUUUUCAAAACUUUGGAGCUUACUAGCCAUGCAACUCCAAACCAUUGCUCAAAUAUUGAACAUGCUGUAAUGCAAUUUGGCAUAAUCUAACUUAUGGCCCUGUUUAGCCUAUAGUGUAUUUCUAGAACUUAAAAUUUUGGUGUCUGCAACAUUGCACGACCAAAUAGGCUAUAAUAAUGCACAAUUCCAAGUUAAACCAAAGCCCAUUAAUGUAAGCAGUGCAGUAUGAAAGUUCCUUUGCUAAGGCCCCUAUAGAGAAUCUGUUUGCCUUGUUUGCCCUACAACAAGGUAAAUAUAACCCUAGACAACACAAAGAACAUCAAUAAAUUUUAGAUUUUGCAAGGGCGUAUAUACUAAUAAUCAUCACAAUAUCUAUGUGACAAUAUAUCCACAUCCAUACCAUCUUAGCUAAGCUUUUAAUUUGUCAUCUUUGUUGGAUGAGAGCUUGAACUGUUAAUUUCAAGUUAUCAAGAAAACGGAUCUAAUUUAUUAUGAAAUAUAGAACAAGGAUAUGCAAUUCACAACUCUCAACUUUUCAUUUUUUUUGAGAAAAAUACUCAACCAAUAUAAAGAAAAAGAAUUUGAAUGGUUAAAAAUUAGCAUUGAAAUAAAAAACGAUCUAAUACGUACUAACUAAUUUCGAAGGGUUGCAGAAACCGCCUCCAUACAACCGUUUCUAUGAUCGCCUUUUUUUUUUAGUGGGCCCUUUGUGUUUCUUCAACUAGAAAUUUGGUAUUUAAGAUUUUGUGGCGAGCCGUUGGUGAGCCGCUGGAUACACCCUAGCUCGAAUGGCAAUGUGUUGUCUCAGUUUCAAAACUCUGUACCAAGGUGUCACGGAAACGGAUAUGGGAUAUGAAACACGAUAUAAUUUGGACACGACAAUUCUUCUAAAAAAUUGGAACACGGACACAACAUGAACACCACUAAUAAAUUAAAUAUUAUUAAUACAAUAAUAUAUGUUUAUUAUAUAUAAAAUAUUAAUUUUGUUAAAAAAUUGUUAUAUAUUUUUUAUACAAAUGAAAAUUAGUGAAGUUCUCAUUUAUAGUUCAUAUAUUUUAAGAGAAAAAAAUUUCAUCCUAUAUAAUUUAUUUAUAUUGUCCAAAAAAAUCAUAUAUUUUGUCAAAAAGUCAAAAUAUUUAUCCUUAUACGUGCAUAGAAAAGAAAAAUAAAAUUAUAUUUUUUUAUGAGAUGUGCUAUGGAUUUGUAUGGAACACGCGUUUAUGGCGUAUCUGCGUCGGACACAAGUCCGAUGCGGACACGCAAGGCUUACAGAAAUGUCCAUGAUACAUAGCUUUGUACUCGAAUCUAAAGGCCUAAUGGGUGGUAGAUUCGGCUUGAAAUUUUAUGAAUUGAUCGAGAGUUUGAACCUAAAAAUUAGUUCGAUAUUAUUUUCAAAGCUAGCCAGUACUUUGUGUUGCUUGGUCGCUUGAUCUUGCNNNNNNNNNNNNNNNNNNNNNNNNNNNNNNNNNNNNNNNNNNNNNNNNNNNNNNNNNNNNNNNNNNNNNNNNNNNNNNNNNNNNNNNNNNNNNNNNNNNNNNNNNNNNNNNNNNNNNNNNNNNNNNNNNNNNNNNNNNNNNNNNNNNNNNNNNNNNNNNNNNNNNNNNNNNNNNNNNNNNNNNNNNNNNNNNNNNNNNNNNNNNNNNNNNNNNNNNNNNNNNNNNNNNNNNNNNNNNNNNNNNNNNNNNNNNNNNNNNNNNNNNNNNNNNNNNNNNNNNNNNNNNNNNNNNNNNNNNNNNNNNNNNNNNNNNNNNNNNNNNNNNNNNNNNNNNNNNNNNNNNNNNNNNNNNNNNNNNNNNNNNNNNNNNNNNNNNNNNNNNNNNNNNNNNNNNNNNNNNNNNNNNNNNNNNNNNNNNNNNNNNNNNNNNNNNNNNNNNNNNNNNNNNNNNNNNNNNNNNNNNNNNNNNNNNNNNNNNNNNNNNNNNNNNNNNNNNNNNNNNNNNNNNNNNNNNNNNNNNNNNNNNNNNNNNNNNNNNNNNNNNNNNNNNNNNNNNNNNNNNNNNNNNNNNNNNNNNNNNNNNNNNNNNNNNNNNNNNNNNNNNNNNNNNNNNNNNNNNNNNNNNNNNNNNNNNNNNNNNNNNNNNNNNNNNNNNNNNNNNNNNNNNNNNNNNNNNNNNNNNNNNNNNNNNNNNNNNNNNNNNNNNNNNNNNNNNNNNNNNNNNNNNNNNNNNNNNNNNNNNNNNNNNNNNNNNNNNNNNNNNNNNNNNNNNNNNNNNNNNNNNNNNNNNNNNNNNNNNNNNNNNNNNNNNNNNNNNNNNNNNNNNNNNNNNNNNNNNNNNNNNNNNNNNNNNNNNNNNNNNNNNNNNNNNNNNNNNNNNNNNNNNNNNNNNNNNNNNNNNNNNNNNNNNNNNNNNNNNNNNNNNNNNNNNNNNNNNNNNNNNNNNNNNNNNNNNNNNNNNNNNNNNNNNNNNNNNNNNNNNNNNNNNNNNNNNNNNNNNNNNNNNNNNNNNNNNNNNNNNNNNNNNNNNNNNNNNNNNNNNNNNNNNNNNNNNNNNNNNNNNNNNNNNNNNNNNNNNNNNNNNNNNNNNNNNNNNNNNNNNNNNNNNNNNNNNNNNNNNNNNNNNNNNNNNNNNNNNNNNNNNNNNNNNNNNNNNNNNNNNNNNNNNNNNNNNNNNNNNNNNNNNNNNNNNNNNNNNNNNNNNNNNNNNNNNNNNNNNNNNNNNNNNNNNNNNNNNNNNNNNNNNNNNNNNNNNNNNNNNNNNNNNNNNNNNNNNNNNNNNNNNNNNNNNNNNNNNNNNNNNNNNNNNNNNNNNNNNNNNNNNNNNNNNNNNNNNNNNNNNNNNNNNNNNNNNNNNNNNNNNNNNNNNNNNNNNNNNNNNNNNNNNNNNNNNNNNNNNNNNNNNNNNNNNNNNNNNNNNNNNNNNNNNNNNNNNNNNNNNNNNNNNNNNNNNNNNNNNNNNNNNNNNNNNNNNNNNNNNNNNNNNNNNNNNNNNNNNNNNNNNNNNNNNNNNNNNNNNNNNNNNNNNNNNNNNNNNNNNNNNNNNNNNNNNNNNNNNNNNNNNNNNNNNNNNNNNNNNNNNNNNNNNNNNNNNNNNNNNNNNNNNNNNNNNNNNNNNNNNNNNNNNNNNNNNNNNNNNNNNNNNNNNNNNNNNNNNNNNNNNNNNNNNNNNNNNNNNNNNNNNNNNNNNNNNNNNNNNNNNNNNNNNNNNNNNNNNNNNNNNNNNNNNNNNNNNNNNNNNNNNNNNNNNNNNNNNNNNNNNNNNNNNNNNNNNNNNNNNNNNNNNNNNNNNNNNNNNNNNNNNNNNNNNNNNNNNNNNNNNNNNNNNNNNNNNNNNNNNNNNNNNNNNNNNNNNNNNNNNNNNNNNNNNNNNNNNNNNNNNNNNNNNNNNNNNNNNNNNNNNNNNNNNNNNNNNNNNNNNNNNNNNNNNNNNNNNNNNNNNNNNNNNNNNNNNNNNNNNNNNNNNNNNNNNNNNNNNNNNNNNNNNNNNNNNNNNNNNNNNNNNNNNNNNNNNNNNNNNNNNNNNNNNNNNNNNNNNNNNNNNNNNNNNNNNNNNNNNNNNNNNNNNNNNNNNNNNNNNNNNNNNNNNNNNNNNNNNNNNNNNNNNNNNNNNNNNNNNNNNNNNNNNNNNNNNNNNNNNNNNNNNNNNNNNNNNNNNNNNNNNNNNNNNNNNNNNNNNNNNNNNNNNNNNNNNNNNNNNNNNNNNNNNNNNNNNNNNNNNNNNNNNNNNNNNNNNNNNNNNNNNNNNNNNNNNNNNNNNNNNNNNNNNNNNNNNNNNNNNNNNNNNNNNNNNNNNNNNNNNNNNNNNNNNNNNNNNNNNNNNNNNNNNNNNNNNNNNNNNNNNNNNNNNNNNNNNNNNNNNNNNNNNNNNNNNNNNNNNNNNNNNNNNNNNNNNNNNNNNNNNNNNNNNNNNNNNNNNNNNNNNNNNNNNNNNNNNNNNNNNNNNNNNNNNNNNNNNNNNNNNNNNNNNNNNNNNNNNNNNNNNNNNNNNNNNNNNNNNNNNNNNNNNNNNNNNNNNNNNNNNNNNNNNNNNNNNNNNNNNNNNNNNNNNNNNNNNNNNNNNNNNNNNNNNNNNNNNNNNNNNNNNNNNNNNNNNNNNNNNNNNNNNNNNNNNNNNNNNNNNNNNNNNNNNNNNNNNNNNNNNNNNNNNNNNNNNNNNNNNNNNNNNNNNNNNNNNNNNNNNNNNNNNNNNNNNNNNNNNNNNNNNNNNNNNNNNNNNNNNNNNNNNNNNNNNNNNNNNNNNNNNNNNNNNNNNNNNNNNNNNNNNNNNNNNNNNNNNNNNNNNNNNNNNNNNNNNNNNNNNNNNNNNNNNNNNNNNNNNNNNNNNNNNNNNNNNNNNNNNNNNNNNNNNNNNNNNNNNNNNNNNNNNNNNNNNNNNNNNNNNNNNNNNNNNNNNNNNNNNNNNNNNNNNNNNNNNNNNNNNNNNNNNNNNNNNNNNNNNNNNNNNNNNNNNNNNNNNNNNNNNNNNNNNNNNNNNNNNNNNNNNNNNNNNNNNNNNNNNNNNNNNNNNNNNNNNNNNNNNNNNNNNNNNNNNNNNNNNNNNNNNNNNNNNNNNNNNNNNNNNNNNNNNNNNNNNNNNNNNNNNNNNNNNNNNNNNNNNNNNNNNNNNNNNNNNNNNNNNNNNNNNNNNNNNNNNNNNNNNNNNNNNNNNNNNNNNNNNNNNNNNNNNNNNNNNNNNNNNNNNNNNNNNNNNNNNNNNNNNNNNNNNNNNNNNNNNNNNNNNNNNNNNNNNNNNNNNNNNNNNNNNNNNNNNNNNNNNNNNNNNNNNNNNNNNNNNNNNNNNNNNNNNNNNNNNNNNNNNNNNNNNNNNNNNNNNNNNNNNNNNNNNNNNNNNNNNNNNNNNNNNNNNNNNNNNNNNNNNNNNNNNNNNNNNNNNNNNNNNNNNNNNNNNNNNNNNNNNNNNNNNNNNNNNNNNNNNNNNNNNNNNNNNNNNNNNNNNNNNNNNNNNNNNNNNNNNNNNNNNNNNNNNNNNNNNNNNNNNNNNNNNNNNNNNNNNNNNNNNNNNNNNNNNNNNNNNNNNNNNNNNNNNNNNNNNNNNNNNNNNNNNNNNNNNNNNNNNNNNNNNNNNNNNNNNNNNNNNNNNNNNNNNNNNNNNNNNNNNNNNNNNNNNNNNNNNNNNNNNNNNNNNNNNNNNNNNNNNNNNNNNNNNNNNNNNNNNNNNNNNNNNNNNNNNNNNNNNNNNNNNNNNNNNNNNNNNNNNNNNNNNNNNNNNNNNNNNNNNNNNNNNNNNNNNNNNNNNNNNNNNNNNNNNNNNNNNNNNNNNNNNNNNNNNNNNNNNNNNNNNNNNNNNNNNNNNNNNNNNNNNNNNNNNNNNNNNNNNNNNNNNNNNNNNNNNNNNNNNNNNNNNNNNNNNNNNNNNNNNNNNNNNNNNNNNNNNNNNNNNNNNNNNNNNNNNNNNNNNNNNNNNNNNNNNNNNNNNNNNNNNNNNNNNNNNNNNNNNNNNNNNNNNNNNNNNNNNNNNNNNNNNNNNNNNNNNNNNNNNNNNNNNNNNNNNNNNNNNNNNNNNNNNNNNNNNNNNNNNNNNNNNNNNNNNNNNNNNNNNNNNNNNNNNNNNNNNNNNNNNNNNNNNNNNNNNNNNNNNNNNNNNNNNNNNNNNNNNNNNNNNNNNNNNNNNNNNNNNNNNNNNNNNNNNNNNNNNNNNNNNNNNNNNNNNNNNNNNNNNNNNNNNNNNNNNNNNNNNNNNNNNNNNNNNNNNNNNNNNNNNNNNNNNNNNNNNNNNNNNNNNNNNNNNNNNNNNNNNNNNNNNNNNNNNNNNNNNNNNNNNNNNNNNNNNNNNNNNNNNNNNNNNNNNNNNNNNNNNNNNNNNNNNNNNNNNNNNNNNNNNNNNNNNNNNNNNNNNNNNNNNNNNNNNNNNNNNNNNNNNNNNNNNNNNNNNNNNNNNNNNNNNNNNNNNNNNNNNNNNNNNNNNNNNNNNNNNNNNNNNNNNNNNNNNNNNNNNNNNNNNNNNNNNNNNNNNNNNNNNNNNNNNNNNNNNNNNNNNNNNNNNNNNNNNNNNNNNNNNNNNNNNNNNNNNNNNNNNNNNNNNNNNNNNNNNNNNNNNNNNNNNNNNNNNNNNNNNNNNNNNNNNNNNNNNNNNNNNNNNNNNNNNNNNNNNNNNNNNNNNNNNNNNNNNNNNNNNNNNNNNNNNNNNNNNNNNNNNNNNNNNNNNNNNNNNNNNNNNNNNNNNNNNNNNNNNNNNNNNNNNNNNNNNNNNNNNNNNNNNNNNNNNNNNNNNNNNNNNNNNNNNNNNNNNNNNNNNNNNNNNNNNNNNNNNNNNNNNNNNNNNNNNNNNNNNNNNNNNNNNNNNNNNNNNNNNNNNNNNNNNNNNNNNNNNNNNNNNNNNNNNNNNNNNNNNNNNNNNNNNNNNNNNNNNNNNNNNNNNNNNNNNNNNNNNNNNNNNNNNNNNNNNNNNNNNNNNNNNNNNNNNNNNNNNNNNNNNNNNNNNNNNNNNNNNNNNNNNNNNNNNNNNNNNNNNNNNNNNNNNNNNNNNNNNNNNNNNNNNNNNNNNNNNNNNNNNNNNNNNNNNNNNNNNNNNNNNNNNNNNNNNNNNNNNNNNNNNNNNNNNNNNNNNNNNNNNNNNNNNNNNNNNNNNNNNNNNNNNNNNNNNNNNNNNNNNNNNNNNNNNNNNNNNNNNNNNNNNNNNNNNNNNNNNNNNNNNNNNNNNNNNNNNNNNNNNNNNNNNNNNNNNNNNNNNNNNNNNNNNNNNNNNNNNNNNNNNNNNNNNNNNNNNNNNNNNNNNNNNNNNNNNNNNNNNNNNNNNNNNNNNNNNNNNNNNNNNNNNNNNNNNNNNNNNNNNNNNNNNNNNNNNNNNNNNNNNNNNNNNNNNNNNNNNNNNNNNNNNNNNNNNNNNNNNNNNNNNNNNNNNNNNNNNNNNNNNNNNNNNNNNNNNNNNNNNNNNNNNNNNNNNNNNNNNNNNNNNNNNNNNNNNNNNNNNNNNNNNNNNNNNNNNNNNNNNNNNNNNNNNNNNNNNNNNNNNNNNNNNNNNNNNNNNNNNNNNNNNNNNNNNNNNNNNNNNNNNNNNNAGAGAAAGGAAAAAGAACGAAAAGAAUUCGGAUUUCAAAUCCGAUACAUUAACCAACAUAGAAUAUAUAUAUAUAUACAUUAUUCUUUUCUCUUUUCGUUCGAACCGUUUAUAAAAAUGUUCUAUUCAGAACUAACUAAGGAAGGACUCGGGCUAUACAAGUGUUUUAGUUGGUUUAACUAAGGUGUUGUGAUUAAGGUUGAUCGUUAUAACGUUGUGAAGGGUUGAUAGCUGAGAUUAUGGUUACCGAUCCCCUCAAGUCCGGAUCGGAUACGCAUCUACUGGGUGCUGAAAGAUUAAAGCUAAAAUAUAGGCAACAAACCCCUCAAAGUUGGUUUAGAUUUGAGAACAGUAAAAAGAUCGACUCUGAUAAACCGUACACUUAAUUAAGAAUUGUCUACUCAGGACUAGUUUGGGGUAUGCUUACCGUAAUUUUACACUACAUAGACGAAUCGAAUGACUAAAUUCGGGUAAUUUCAUAUAGUUGUGAAGAUAAGAGAUUGUAUGCUCGUAGAUUGAAUAAGAUCAGCCGUUCUAGUUCGCUGGUUCGUUGUGUUUCAUGACCGAUCGAAACUUUUAUUAUAGCUUGAUUAAAAAUCCAAGUUUGAGAGCUAGUUAAGUAUUUUAAAGUUCGGCUUAGAUGGUGGGUAAUCCGGAAAUCUAAGCUCAUGUUUCGAUACAUAGUACCUGUAAAGACAUUCGGAACGCACAGGCGUAGCCUGAACACAGGCUGCGUCUAUGCGGUAUUUGCGCACAAGGUAUGUUUAGGUAUCGUGUCCUGUCUAAUAUGUACAGAAUACUUUCUUACCUAAUUUACAUAAUUUGAUAUUAGCUAAUCACGGAUUGAGAUUAGCAAAUAACAUUUUUAAUAUAUCUCACCCUUCUGACUGGCGAUUGGCUUUGAUACCAACUGUGAUUCUCUAUUUUCUAAGACUUUACCUAUCCUAAACCUAUUCUAAUCCGAACAUGCUUAACUCUCUUAACCUUCUGAAUCUAGCCACCACCCAAAAUAUUAUAAUCGAAUUUUUAGGUUUAGUCAUAUUAUAUUUCAUAUAUAUAACUAUUCCAAAUUCUAAAGAUAUCACAAAUAAGCAUGUUAUGCUUUGUUGAUUUGACCUUCAGUUGUACCAAAAUUCUUAAUACCAUCUAAGAUUGUGUUUGGUUGGAAAGAUAUUUCAGAACAAGAGGGGAUAUCCUCCUUUGUUCAACCAAACAGCAUCGCAAAAAUUAAAAAUCGGUUGUUCCGGGCUUAACGGGCUAAACGAAGAUAACCCAUUAACCCAGUUCUACCCCUCCUGCGGAACAAGACCGAACAAGAAAAAUUUGCCCUUUUAACUUUCUAAUUCACCCAUCUUCGUCUCUCAUCGUGCAGAAAAAAAUAAUAAAAAAAUCUUCUUUCAGUAGAAUCUGUACUGAAGGCUGCUUUCAAUGUGAACAAAUGCUACAUUUUAUAAUUGAUGUAGAUUUUAUUAAUAUUUGUACUCUAUUUUAAUCAAUUUUGAAAUUCAAACGAAUGCUAAAAUCCCAUGCUAUAAGUUAAUUUUCCUACAGUGAUUUCNNNNNNNNNNNNNNNNNNNNNNNNNNNNNNNNNNNNNNNNNNNNNNNNNNNNNNNNNNNNNNNNNNNNNNNNNNNNNNNNNNNNNNNNNNNNNNNNNNNNUGAUCUCUGCCAUUCGCAGCUAGGCGGAAGAUUUGAAGAGGCUAAAGUUACUUAAAUGUCCUAAAUGGAACUGUAACAAGUUGUGUCUCUUUUGCGUAUUUGGGUGUUGGGUUGAACCGUUGUGAAUUUUCUCAUCGUCUUUAUUCUGCCUUCAGUAAUGGGAGGUUUCGACGCCGACUGCUGUAGAAACUUGGAUAAAAGAUAGGAGGCCAGCUUUUAUUGAAUACAGCAGUAUGGUUCUUACUUUUCUUUUCUGCAUAAUCUUGUGGAGGCUUAUAUUUGCCCGCUUGAGUUCAUAUAUAUAAUAUACGUUAAUAUAUAUAUAUAUAAUAUAUAUAUAUAUAUAUAUAGUAUUAUAUAAUAUAUAUAUAUUCCUUUGUUUUACCAAGCCCACGACCCACUAGAGCCACCUUCAGUGGCUGAACAAGCUUCUGAUUGAAGUCUUGGCCUAAUUUUAUGGAACCGAAGCUUUCAAAUGAAGUCUUUCUAUUGUUGAGUGGUGUGAUUUGCAUUUUACUGAACUUUCAUAGUUCUUAGUUUUAAGCAUGUGCAGGUGAUUUAAACUGCUAGCAUAUUGCAGUUCCCAUAAUGAGGCUUCAGACCAAGUGCUUGAAUUUGUCUCAAGUAUAAUUUUCUUUAAUGCUGGUCCCAGAGAAAGCAUUUAUGCUCCUCCCUUUUCACAUUAAAACUAUUUGGAGGAUUACAUAAAAGUUUAUGCCCUAGAUGAUCAAUUAUGAAGAAUAAAUCUCAGUUAUCCGCAAUCAGUUCUAAUUUUUUUUUUUGUUGAGAGAUACGCAUCAGUUCUAAUAUUAAUUUGGCUCAUACUUGGAGAUUCAGAAUAAGGUUUUGUUAUCUUGUAACUCUCUGUUGGACAGUCUCUGUAGUUAAUGGGAAGUGCAAAACUCAGUGGCUACAGGAGACGAUUGAAGGAGUUAAUUUUUUAUUUUUAUUUUUUUUUGCUUUCAUUCAACACCAAAUGUUCUCAACUAUUGGUGGUAACAUUAAACUUUUGCUAGAAAAAAGAUACUAGAAAAGGUUAAGUGUUUAAAAAUAAUGUAAAAACAGAGAAGUAACUUUCUUUAAAUACUGCUAUGUUUCAAAAUACCUUAAUGUCUGCACUUGUUCACCGUAUUCCCUUGUUUUCACACAUUAUUCUAUAUCUGGCGUAUAAAGAACCAGUUAUCUUCAACAUUUUUCUAUCUUGCUUAAACUGUUAGGAAAUAUACUAUUAAUAAGAAUAUUCAUCAGUAUCUUUUGGCAAUAAUUGCUUAUAGUACAGAUUACCUAUUUUAAUUCUAUUCAUUUUGCAGAGGCGUCUAAAGAAUCGGAGACCAAAAUUGAUUGUAAGUUUCUCAUAUAAGUUCUUGGUUGUAGUGAAACUUUCUUAUUGCACAUUGCGAUGAAUAUAUUUUUCACGACAUUACUCUUUGUUUUAGGAAAAAAUAGAACUACAAGAUUUCUCACUAGGUUCAUGCCCACCUGACUUAGGACGGCAGGGUAUUCGCUGGGUCACCUCAGGUGAUCAGGUUUGAUUCUUUUCAUUAUAAGCUGCCUUUUUAUGUCCCAUUUUGGCUUUUAUAUAUGCUAUGCUAUGUUUGGUUUUUACUAUCUUUGUCAUUGUAAUCUUAGAGAUGAUCGAAGCAUUAUAUUAGCUUUUUGUAAUCAACUUUACGUUGAGGCCCUCCUUUUUCAGCAUAUUGACUCGAAAAACACAGCAAAGUCCAGCUCAUAUGACUGUUGGUAAUUAGGAUUGCAAUGGUUCAAACUAGCCUCAGUUGAUUUGUUACUUGUUUGGGUGUGAUUUUGUGUGUAGUUCACCAAUUAGUUGAGCCAAUUUUAUGGUAUGGAUUUUUUUUUCUUUUUUGAUCAGCUCAGCUUGACAUUUUUUUUCCUCUUUCUUGUAAAGAUCUGAUAGAACUUGGAAGUCCUAGAUAUAAGUAGUUCGUCGAAUAUGAAAAUAUGGCCAGCAGAAACUCUCCAUUGUGGAUCCUUGAUAGUAUUCUCAGUCUGCUCCUAUCCUUUUUUUCUUCUUCUUUUUUUUAAUGUUUGAAGCUAAAGCAGCUGCUGUAAUGGUUUAGUACUUUAGUGUAUUUAGUUAUUCUACUAGGUAAAUAUCACUCAACGGUCAAACCAUGGGAUUUCUAUCCCCAAGGAUAGGCACCCACAAAUAUUUGAGCCUGCCCAAUUCGAUAAGACCAUACGACAUAACCCAAAUUUAUUUGGUGGGAAAGGAGGGAAUAGAAAUAUUUACCACAUUUUCCUCUCCAUCCCCAUCUAAAUCCUAAGUUAUGGAAUAGCUGGUUCAGUUAUUCCUAUUAGGUAAGUAGUAUGAUCCGAUAUCCAAAGUUUUGUUCUAUAGAAUUAACCAUGAUCUUGGAUAGAAGUACCGAUGUUCGAGAUUUGACAUAUCAUUGAAACAUCUUCCCCUUGAUAAGUAAAUAUUUCUCAAUGGCUUAUAAAAGAAAAAACACACGCACACACGCAUUCUUUACUUUUAUGGUUUGGAGCUAUCAAACUAUCUCUAGUUGAAGUGGGCCAACAUUUAGGGUUUAUAGAAACAUAUGCACAAUGGGAUCCCCAUACUGUGAUUUAUCUUCCUGGAGUAACUAUAUUAGUUGUUGUCUUGGAAAAUUUAUAUGCAAAAAUAAGGCUGUGAACAUAUUUAAUUAUCUUAUUAACUUUCGUAUUUUAUGUUCCCACUAAACUAAUUGACCACUAUGAACUUACAGCAAGUCAUGCAGCUGGGAUUUGAUUGGGAUACCAAUGAGAUGAGCGUGAUGUUCUUGGCAAAGUUGGCAAAGCCGCUGAUCGGGGCUGCCCGCAUUGUCAUAAACAGCAUUCACAUAAAGGGAGAUGUAUGUGGACAUUUUCUCCCUUUUCUACGCUAUUUUUAUAUUUUUUUUCUAAAUUAUUUAAUUUGUAACUUUUGUUUGUGUUUUCCUUCCUGUGAUGCGUGUAUUUUAUCUAAAUUUAAUGGAUGUUUCUAUUUCUUUUGAUUUUUAUUUUGUUGAUUGUUUGGGGGAUAUUUCUUGAUUUUCAGUUGAAAAGUUCAUAAAGAAGUGGAUGUUGAUCGAGGAGAUAGAAAGAAACUUUAUAUUUGUGAUUAACUUACAACAUUAAAGAGUUUGGGAACUUGAUGCAGUAGCUCUAUAAUUUCUUCUUUUUUUUUGUGUUGUAUGAAAAGAAAUUUACUAUCUUUACCAGUUUUUCUUACUCAGUUCUUCAGUAAAGCUUGCAGGAACUGUUACCUGAGUGAUCCAGUUCUUGCUAUUUCUCUUCUUUCAAUGUGUCCUGUUCUAGAUGAUUUGAUUGAUCUGUGCUUGACUGUUUUAUUUAUGAUACCUAAAAACUAUUCUCCCAAACAUAUUUUGUUUCUCUUUAUUUAGUAUAUUACUCUUGCAGCUGCUUUUGAUACCAAUUCUUGAUGGCCAAGCACUGCUCUACUCUUUUGAGUCCACUCCUGAGGUCAGAGUUGGUGUUGCAUUUGGAAGCGGUGGAAGCGAUACACUUCCGGCCACAGAACUACCUGGUGUUUCAACAUGGUUGGUGGGUUUCUUUUUAAGCGGUUGAAUGCGUUCUUUUGGUUUGCCGUAGCUUCUAAUACUUUGAGGAAGAUAUAUUAACUUUUCUAUUUGGCAUAUAUUAAAUAUGGCAACUGAUAACUGCUUGCUCUUUGUUUAACCAGGUGAAGCUUUUUACUGAAACCUUGAAUAAAACAAUGGUUGAGCCUCGCCGCCAAUGUUUUCCUUUACCACCGGUAGAUCUAAGGAAAAAGGCUGUUGGAGGUGUUAUUUCUGUUACCGUGAUUUCCGCUAGUAAUGUGGGCAGGAAUACCAUAAAAAGUAACAACUCCGAAAGUCCUCAGCGUUCAAUGCUAGGCAGUUCUAAGGUUAAUGGGAGCUUCAGAAAUAAGGUGUUGCAGACAUUUAUUGAAGUAGAAAUCGGUGAUUUAAUGAGAAAAACAAGUAUCAGUGCUGGUUCAGACCCCAUAUGGAAUUCGACCUUUAACAUGGUAUUGCAUGGAGAUUCAGGAGUUGUUAGAUUUCACCUUUAUGAGUGUGAUUCAACCAGCAUCAAAUAUAAUUACAUAACCAGCUGUGAGAUAAAGGUACUAUUUAGAAUGAUAGUUCUUCUUAUGUAUUGAAUUUAGUUCUUGUUUCGCACUUUUCUUUGAAAACUUCUUUAUAGAAAUUUUUAGGAACUAAGCCAGAUUGGUCAAACAGCUGAAGUAUGUCUUAGACGAUUCGACAAUAUUUUGGGCAAUAGGAAAUGGAUCUGGUGUAAUAGCAAAACAUGCCGAGGAUUGUGGAAAGGAAGUUGGAAUUGUCGUUCCAUUUGAGGAUAGUAAUUUUGGAGAGGUACAAUUCUGCGACUUGGUUCCUUCUAAAGUACAUGUUCGAUGGCAUUCUACAAACUAUUUGAGGUUCUUAUUAUGUUAUAAUGUAUUUCUUGUGGUGCUAAAGUAUUACGUGUUUAUUUGCUUUCCAGUUGACUGUGAGCCUUGUACUAAAAGAAUGGCAAUUUUCUGAUGGUUCGAUCAGCUUGGGUAACUCUGUCAUAAGCAGAUCUCAACCUUCCUUUUACGGUUCACCAAAUCUUCAAUUGAGGACUGGGAGGAAAUUGAAAGUUGCAGUAGCGGAAGGUAGGAAUCUAUUUGUGAAGGAAAAAUCCGGAAAAUGCGACCCCUAUGUAAAACUCCAAUAUGGNUUUUCUGAUGGUUCGAUCAGCUUGGGUAACUCUGUCAUAAGCAGAUCUCAACCUUCCUUUUACGGUUCACCAAAUCUUCAAUUGAGGACUGGGAGGAAAUUGAAAGUUGCAGUAGCGGAAGGUAGGAAUCUAUUUGUGAAGGAAAAAUCCGGAAAAUGCGACCCCUAUGUAAAACUCCAAUAUGGAAAGGUUAGUUGUCACCUUGUCAACUCCCACUCGCAAAUUAAAUUUUCCACUUUGUUCAUUUUUUUUUCUUUUUUUUUUUUCCUUUUUGUUAUAUCUUAUUGAGGCAUCAUAAUUUUAUUUUUGUGUAUGACAUGACAGCUAAGGUAAUUUUUUUUUCUUUUACUUCUUUCUCUUUUAGACUCUCUACAGAACAAAGGCGCUCUCUCAUACCUUGUUUCCUGUUUGGAACCAAAAAUUUGAGUUUGAUGAAAUAGCAGGCGGUGAGUAUCUCAUGAUCAAAUGCCUAAGUUCAGAAAUCUUUGGUGAUGAGAACAUUGGAAGUGCUCGAGUGAACUUGGAGGGGAUUUCGGAAGAUUCUUGUCGAGAUGUGUGGGUUCCCCUUGAAAAAGUGAGCUCGGGUGAGAUAAGGCUCCAGAUAGAGGCUGUAAAGAACGAGGACAAUGAAGGACCGAAGGUACGCGGCAUUAGGUUGAAUAUUUUGGAGUUUGUUGAGUAGACAUAUUUAUUAAAUCCCCUCAUCUAUGACAUUAUUCCUGUGAAGCUUGAAAUUUAUGUUCUUGAAAUAUUUGCUGUUUCUCCUUGACAGUUUAAUAAGUUGUAAUCUUACCUGCUAUAUGUGUAGAAUUCAGCUACCAGUUACGGAAGUGGCUGGAUCGAGCUAGUCCUCAUUGAAGCUAGAGACCUUGUCGCUGCUGAUUUAAGAGGAACUAGUGAUCCUUACGUGAGAGUGCAAUAUGGGAAUACAAAGAAACGGACUAAGGUCUAACAAUUAUCGCAUUGAUAUUUUUAAUAUUCGAACUCGCAUUAACUACUUUUCUCUUUGAUUUUUAUUUACUGGUAUAUUUACUUAAACUUGAUUGUCACAUAGACACUUUGAGUGGUAAUGUAUUAGGAACAGUGAAGGCUUCCACAAAUUAUUCAAAUCAUUAGACUUGAGUCAAUAUUUGAUGAGUCAACUAUGGCAAGUAAUUACAAAAUUCAACCAAAGUUUAUUUGUAGAUAUCUCUUCUUUUAGGCUUUACGUGUUUAAGUCAAAUUGGAGGUCGUAUUGCUUUCCAUAUUAGAUUGGGACGUAAGAAGGUCCUUGCGAAAAAAAUACCGAUGUAAGAUUUUGCCUCAAACAAAAUAUGUGAAGUAACUGAUCCUGUAUCUUAAUCUAACAUCCACUUUGUUGAAAAAGUUUCUUAUCUAUACAUGAUUGGCAAAUAAUCUAUUGUAUUUUGCAUGAAAAUGGAUUGCAUUUACCGCCACAGUUUUUUAUUAUAGCAUUGCAGAAUGUGCUUGUUUGUGUUUCUGAUACUAAAGUAAAUUUAACCUGCAAAUGGAAUGGUGGUUUUUCACCUUUGUUUACAAUAUGCAGGUGGUGCACAAGACACUUAAUCCGCAUUGGAACCAAACCCUUGAGUUUCCCGACACAGGGAAACCUUUGGUCCUAUAUGUGAAAGAUCAUAAUGCCGUACUACCAACCUCAAGUAUAGGCCAUUGCACUGUUGAAUAUCAGGGGCUGGCCCCAAACCAGACAGCCGACAAAUGGAUACCGCUUCAAGGCGUAAGAAGUGGAGAGAUUCAUGUGCAAGUUACAAGAAAAAUUCCAGAACUAGAGAAGAAAAUCACCAUAGAGACCGAUAGUUCUCCAUUAACCAAAGGUCAUACGGUGUCGGUGCAGGUGAGACCUUUAAUCUAGUAUUCUAUAUUCUAUAUAUACUAUUUUGUCUUCAUUACUUGAUCUUUAUACUCUUAAGAAAUGUGGUCUCGAGUUAAUUUUUUAGCUAAGAGAGCUGCUUUUCAAUUCGUAACUCUGCAGCUUGUGCAUUGCAUAAUGUUGCAUGAUGUUUAUAAACUUAGUUGUUUCAUUGUUAAAUUCAGCUUGUUUAUAAUGCAUGAUUUUUUUUUUAAAAUAUAUUCUUGGUCGGAGGCUUAGUUAUUUGACCUAAUUUGGCUGUGAAAGUAUGCUCACCAAAAGCAUUUAAGUUGAGUGAUUCAUUUAUUUGUCAUUGUUCUAUGUAUAAAUUGUAACUAAUUGUUUAUUGAUUAUUACAUCAUACUUCGUGAGAAUUCUUAUAAGCCGAGAUUUUGUUUUCAAUAAGGAAAAAAAGGGUCAAAAAUAAUCUUUUUGCUGGGAGAUGUGAAUUGGAGAGGUCGUUGAGCACAAGAACUCAAACAAGAGCUAGACAUAUAACUGAAAAGAGCAACAACAAAAAGUAAGAUCGGAAGAUAAAUGGUAUGACUUGGAAGCUAAUGAUUUGCUUGGAUGCUUUCGUUGCUUUUAAUGACUUGUUGUCAGCUGUAAUGAAGGCAAAUGGGGUUCUACAUUUUGCGUUGAUAUCAGCUUCUUCCGUGUAAUGCUUUCUUACUCUUUUUAGCUCUACGACUUAAAAAGAGAGCAGGGAAAUGCUUCUGAGAUGGAAAAUUAUGAAGAGAAACUUAAAAUGCGAUGCUUAUCUUGGUUCUUUUGAUACCGACUCAUCAAUGGGACAGACUAAGGAGAACUCGUCACUUACUGUAACUCCUAGUUUAUUCGAUGUUUAUAAACUAAUACAUUCAUUGUCAGAAUGCUCUGACAUACUCUGAAAAUAAAUUAGCAUGUAGGAAGGAGGAUUUUCGCCAGUUCUGAUUAGCAUAAAAAAUUGGUAUACUGUAGAAUCUUUAGAUUUCUUUCCAAUUGUUAUCGAAUUAUGGUUCUUGAAUUGAAAAAAAAUUUUCGCAGAUGAGAGAUCUAUUAAAGAAACUGGGAGGCUUCGUGGAGGAUGGUGAUCUCGAGGGGCUGUCUCUGGCGCUGAGUGAAGUUGAAACUGUCGAGGACGCCCAGGAGGAAUACAUUCUUCAGCUUGAGAGGGAGAAGGCAUUACUACUUAGUAAGGUUAGCGAACUCGACCACGAGAUCAGUAGGACUUCGUCGAGCCCUGCAAACAUACUAUUCUGAAUCUCUCUUAUAAACUUGAACAGUUCUAGGUAGGUGUUUUACAGUAUAGUAGUAAGCAGAUUUGUAUGUGAAUUUACUGUAUCAUGCUGAAGGAUUGUAUCAUUCGUUCGGCGAUAGAGUGUCGAGAUGUAAUUGUACAAUGACACAUUGAAAUAGAUGGAAUUGAGGAUUUGUAUAGCAAAAAUAAAGUUCUGUAAGGUUUAUUUGAAUUUUAUUAGUGUCUAAUCCAAAUUAAUUUGAUGCUUGAUAACAGAAACAUCUGAAAAGUGACAAUGUUGAUGAUAGAAUCUAUAAUUGGCAAGGGCAUUUGUGAAAUUUUGAAAUAUGAGGUGAAAACAUACAGAGAUUGGACAUUUUUAAAUAUGUCACUCAAUUUUAUUAUUUUUGAUUGCUAAUUCCUUAGCUUUUAUUUAACUCUUCAAAAACUAAUCAAAUUUUAAAGAAAAAUAUUUCCAGAUUUUAUGUUUCCAAAUAUCUCUUUUUAGAAAGGAGAUAAUAUUUCUCUAAUAAAUCUUAGGGUAAAAUGUCCAAAGAACCCUGAAAUUUAACACUUUAGCAAGUUGGAACCUGAACUUUUAAUUUUGGUAAUUAGAUUCCUUAAGUUUUAUCAUAUAGUAAAAUACACCCCUCACAAGUGAAAUCGCUAAUUAACCAGUCGUUUUGUUUGAAGUUUUGUACAUAAUUUUGUAUAAAUUUAAAAUACAAAGAAUUCUAUUUUUUUUCUCUUCUAGUUACUAUGAUCAUUAAACACCAAGAUUGAAAAAGAGUGAAAUCUAAUUUUGAAAUGUGAGGUGCAGGGCCAGCGGUAGCUGGGGUUGAGGGAGGCGUGGAGAACGUAGAAGGGGAUUUUUUUUCAUUUUAACCCUUUAAAAAUUUAUGAUCUGCUAAAUAGUCUUGUAAAAAAUUUAUUUAUCAAAAUAAUUCUAUUUUAUCCAACUUACUGUAGGGGUAUAAAAAUAAUUGAAAAACGGCUAAUCAUAUAGUGUCUUUAAUGAAAUUUAGAAGACGGUGAAUGAUUCAUCUUUUUUUUUCUUUUCGACGGUAAAUGAUUCACUGCCAUUUUCUUAAAGUAUUAAAGGUGAAUGAUUUGUCCUUUUUUUUUAUUCUCAUAUAUAUAUAUAUAAUCUUAUUAAGAUUUCAACAUAUCACAUAUAAUCCUUACAAUUUAAAAUAUCUUAACAACCUAUCGAUAUAAUUUUAAUCAUAAAUAAAAAUUUAAUAAUUCUCAUACAAUCUUAACAAUCUCAAAAAAAUCCUCCCAACAUAUAAAAAAAAAAAAAAGAGAACAAUAUGAAAACGGUGAAUCAUUCACCGCUUUCUACAGACAGUGAACGAUUCACCGUGUUUUCUCAGAUUAGUUGCCCAAAUAAAAUUUUGAAAGAAUUAUUUAGCAAAUUAAAAAUUUUUAUAGGAUUACUGUGCAAAAGAGUCCUGUAGCUGUAGGAGGAGGUUUGCACUUCAUCCUCUUGACCCCACUGAGGAUGGAGCAAGAAAGCCCAUUUACUUGCAAAAUUGGGCUUUUAGUUGGCCUUUUUUGCAUAAUUGAUCCUACUUUGGGGCUCAAGUUGAUCCUAAGUAAGGCCCAAUCUUAUUAGACAAAGAGCAGUAGCGGGUCUGAUCACCCGCUAACUCCUUUUUUUUCCCUCUUUGGCAGUAGCAAAAAGUUAAAAAAGAUUCUAAUCUAUAUCUAUAUAUAAAAGCGUAUACGAAUUCCGACAAUGACAGACGAAAUCCAAAAAAAAAUAAAAUAAUAUUCCCUACGAAUGGUUAUAAUAAGAAAAAAAAAAAAACUUAGCCUCCUUUACCCCGUAUUAUCUUCCUCCUCAGUCUCACCCCGUCAUAUUAAAUCUAAUUAAUAUAUUGACUAAUAUUUCAAAAGCCAAAUCCAAUUCUAUUUAGGUGUCAGUGAGUUUUUAAUUUUUUAAUUGUGAUGUAUUUGAUGGCGUUUCCAAUGAGGAUAUCAUACAUUGUUUUCAAAAUAUGGAGACAAGUCAAGGACGAUUGUAAAAAAAAAAAGUAUUUUUUUUUAUACAAUAUUAAUGACUAGUUUAUUUUUUUAUUAUUUUUUUGUUUAUUUUUCCUCCCUCAUAUAUUGACUUCCAUGAGAAAAAAAUUUUAGAUCUACCGCUGGGUUUGGAGGAGAUUCUACCCGGAGGUGAUGGGGACGGAGGUGCCACAUGAGGUCUUCAGCUGGGAGAGCAGGAGAGAGAGGCGCAUCGAGUCACCGGAGCACGCCAACCGGAGGGUUGAGUUUAGCGGAGAGUCGACGGACGAAGAAGGGGUGGGGAGGAGAGAGAGAGAACAAUUUGGUCAUUUAGUCAUUGGUUAGCAGCGUUAUCUUCCUGUGAACAUUUUUUAAUUAUUGAGGGGAUAAAAUAUAAAUUUUUCGAAGUCGGGGAAGAAAAGUGAAAAAACAAGUAUUGAUAAAGAAAUUUUCUGUACUUUAGCUUUUAUUUUAUUAACUUUUCAUGUGUUAGAAUAAGAUUAUAUUUUUUCAAUUAAUUGCAUACAAUUCCCUAUAAAUAUAGCGAAUUGCAAAUAUAUUCCUAUAAAAUUCAACUUUCUUAUGUAAUCUCUACAAAAAGUCCCACUAUUUUCAAAUAUGCCCCUACCAUAAGAAUUCAUUAGAAAAAUUUAGUUACCUAUAUGUAAAAUACUUAACUUGAUUAGUCAAUAAGGUAUAUUGAUAUUUUUACAUCUCUUAUAUUAUACCUUCUUCUCUUAAUCAGAACCCUAACAAUGGGAACUCGUUUUUUUCGUCCUCUUCCUCUCUUUCCUUCAUGCUAGUUUCGAACCCGUAACUAGAAUUUCUCUGUCCUCAUUCAUCCACAACGCGUGUUGCUUCGCCCAUAUUGAACAUAUUUUGCUUCCCUUUCAAUUUUCUCUAUGAUUUUUUCUUAUUAAUCAAAAGAAAAGUUUUAGGAGAAAAAGAGUGAGAGAAGAGGUUGCAACAGUGAUGGAUUUGUUGGGUUUUAAAGAGAAAUAAGAUUGACCAUUGAAAUUUUUUGGGGGGGAUAUUUUUGCAUAAUUAUAGCAGUUGGAGCUUUUGGAUGGACAUAUUUGCAAUGAUAAAAUUGACAUUUCACUUAUCUACUGUUAAAAAAUAAAUAUUUCUCUAACAGUAGCAAAUUAACCCAAAGGACAAAUUUAAAUGUCACUGGAAUUUUGCAGGAAGAGAAUAAGAAAGUUGAAUUUUGUAGAGAUAUAUUUGCUAUUUGCUAUGUUUACAGAGCUGUAAGCAAUUAACCUAUAUAUUUUUUUGGUGUUUUAAAAUUUUACAAAAUUAUAUUCAAUACAAACAACCAAAAUGACUGCAUAAAUUAGUAACAUCGACAGAGAAGAGGGAGCCUAUUGAACUAGUAGACAAAGUCUAUUGAGCUAGUAGAUAAAGUUUAGGGGUUCUAAUUGCUAAAAUUCAAAGUUCAGAUGUCCGUUUAUAAAAGUGCCAAAAAAAAGUUUACAAAAUUUUUUAGCAUUUUUUUUAUAUAAUUUGUAGCAUUGAUUUUUAUGGGUUUGUUUGAUUUUUUUCUAUUUUCUUCAGAUAACUGUAUUCACUCAAAAAAAAGAAAAAACAGAGGUUCUAGAAGAUGUUAAUUGUAAAUAAAAAAAUUGUUUAGGGAGAAAAACGAAUACAAAUUCUUUUGAAGAGAAGAAGUAGGCCAGUAUACAUUCAAGUUAUUGUCGAUAAUGAGACUUUUAAAUUGAUGAUCGAUUUUAUUAGAUAUAAUCAAAAGUAUUUGAACAACUUGAAACACGAAUUUUGUUAUUUGUCGAUAUCAUUUAUCUCGUGAUUGAAUGUGCUAAAAAUAUAAUAAUCGAGGUGAGCCGUUUGUAAGUCUAGCAGUGUAAAAAUAUUCAAGCUAUGAUAAAAGCUCGAUCUUCAUAUUAGAUAUAAUAAGAUCAAUAUCUUUCAUCUAAAAUUUUGAUGCUGUAGCAUCACUUUCUGUAAAAUUUUUAUUUUAAUCCAUUAAUUUCUAUGCUUCCAAUUACCAGAUAUAUUUAAAAAUUAUAAAAUUUAUUUUCUAAACAUUUUAAAUAUUCUAAAUCAAUCGUAACAGAACCGAUCAUCGAAUGAAAAAUUCUAUCAUAACAAGAAACUCGUUAUUAGUAAGUACACAAGCUGGACUCUGUUGAGGAUACCACUUCGGCCACGUGAGGAAUGUACAACUUCUUAUUCUUCUUCUAAACAAAAAGAAAGAAAUAAGCAAAAAGAAAAAAAAAAAUAGUAGCAAAUUUGUAUAUUUUAUUGUUAAUUACAUACCUUGAAUAUAAAAAUUGCAAGUAAUCUACUACCUACUUUUAUAAUCUUUCAAAUUGAUGUUUGUUUUUUUUUUGUUUUUAAAUGACAGCUAUAACAAACAAAGCCUUUAUAUUAGGGUAAAUUAUACUUUUGGUUCUCAAACUAUAAAAAUUGUAACACUUAGGUUCUCAAACUUUAAUUUAUUAUAAUCUUUUUGCUCAAACUUUUUGAAUUUUUGCAAUCGAAAUCCCACAAUCCAAUAUAGUUAGCUACAUGCUAAGAAAUUAUUGAUGUAGAAUCAAUACGAUUAUAUUUAAGAUGAUAUAUCACUUAUACAUUUAUAGACGAAGCUAGGACUCGAUUAUAAGAGAGGCCAAAAUAUAUACAAAUCGAAACUUUAACAAACAAACAAGAUUUACUUAAUCAAAUAUUUGAUGAGAAAAUAUGUUGAAUAAAUAAUUAGUGUAAAAAAAUAUUACCCUUUUUUUUAUCUAUACUUAACUUUUAAUUAUUUUAUCUAUAGUAUUUCACUCAAAUAACUUUGAAAUUUACUAAAUCUAAUAGUAAUUCAGUUAAUGGUCUAAUUUUAUAAUUUUUAGUAAAUACAAUUAUGACAAUUGAUGACUAUUAGUUGAUAGAGCUAUUAAAUUUAAUAUAAUCUUUAAUUUAAUUAAAUAAAAAUAUUAUCUAAAAUAAUUAGAAUUAUGAAGAUACCAAACGAAAAAAAUGGAAAUAAAUUUAGAGUUGAGAGAGGACUGUGUUAGUGCCAAGAACUUUUUUAAAAGAUAGGUCAGGCAGUAUACUUUUGAGAUUGCCUAAAAGUAUCUCCUUUAAAUUUUUUAUAUGUAAGGUACUAUUAUACAUAUUAUGAAAAGUCUGGGGGGCCAUGGCCAUCCUCAGUCUUUGUACAGCUCUGCUCCUGUCUACAUUAACAAUUUGUCAAUAUUUAGCCAACUAUAAGUUGUGAGACUUAAUUGCAAUAAUUUAGUUGUAAUCCAGAAAAUUUGAAUGAAAAAUUAUAAUAAAUUAAAGUGUGCGAAUCAAAAUGUAAUUGACUUCAUAAUUUGAGGACCAAAACUACAAUUUCCCCUUUUAUAUUAUGUUUAUUUAAUCUCAGUCUCAAUCUCCAGGUGACAAUCAUUCUUACUUAAAUUUCUUAUUUCUAUGAAAGAAAAUAUUCUAGUGCCAUAGAUACCCAAAUAGGCCGAUUUUCAUGUAACCAAUUUUAUUGAACCAUGUGAGUACAAAUUACUUAUUAUUAAGGCUAAAUUAUAGAAAAUUAUUUUAUAAAUAUCUAUUUUUAUUUUCUAUCCCUAACUUUUAAAAACUUAUAUUUUAUCCCCUCAACAUUUCAACUUGUUGCAUUUAGCCCCCCUCCAAAAUGAUAGAAAUAUAAGGGGAUUUAUACCGAAAAUGCCCUUAAAAAUGGUAGAAAUAUAUUAAAAAAUUACUUUUUUAUAAAAGAAAUAAGGAUAAUUGAGUCAUUUUGUCCUCUCUAUUAAUGCCGUACCUCAUUAAAAAUAUUUCUAAAAUUUUAAGGGGAGUAGAUUUUUGAAAGUUAAGCAGAAAAAAAUAAAAAAAAAAAUUUAUCGGAGGGUUUCUAUAAUUUAACCUACUAUUAAUUAGGUAAUAAAAAAAUAUAUACGGAGACUCCAAACUCAUAGGGCCAUAGCCCAUUCAAAAUGUCACUCUAAAAUAGCCUCCUUAACUUUAACUAAUUUUGGCUAAUACUGCUUUAAUUUCCAUUAUUUUUGUUUAUGCUUAUUUGAUUAGUUAAGCAUGGAUCCUUUUUAAGUUUAAUAACUUUAUUAUACAAAGUUAAAGUUAAGAAAAUAUAAACCCCAAAAAAUUAAAGUUGAGGGGCAAUUUAAGAAGCCUACAGGCAAGGGAUCUGUCGGAUUGUUUGCAAAGCUUGAGCUUUUAGAAAUACGUAACUAAUUUAUUUAAAGCAUUCAGACACAAUGCAUACGUCGCUUAGCACAAAUUUGCAGCAUGCGAGAAUCGAACCCGUAACUUUUGUCGCUGAUACCACUUGUUGGAUUGUUGGCGCAAUUAAUUUCAAAAAUUCGAGCUGUUAAAAAUAUAACCAAUUCACUUAAAGUGUACAGAUAUAGCACCUAUAUGUCUCGAUUUGAUUUGGCCCAACUAGCCUCACGCAUCUUUAAACAUGAUUUGGCCCGACCUAGCCUCACGCUAUUUCAAACGUGACUCAACCCAACCUGGCCUCCCGCCAGAAGGCAGGAUAUUGGCCCUUUUAAGCCAACAGGAUCUCCAUUCAUUUUUAAUUUUACCUAUUAAUUAUGAUAAAAGAUUUUUUAUUUUUGUGAAUAAAAAUGUGUGACAAUUAAGGAUUGUGUCAAGAUGAGGGUACAAGGAGCAUACAUUUCAAUCGCGUCAAUACUCAAAACCCAAACCUAGGGAUGUAAAAUUGGCCGGGCGGCGGCACAAGUGCUGUAGCAUUUGUGCCGGCAUGGGUCGCCCCGAGCUUCAGGGCCAUGCUCGGCCUCGCCCUCUAGGACCGACGGCUGACACGGCACGGCACGGUACGAAACGGGCUUAGGCCGUGCUGGGCCUAGGAGAGGCUGGUGACCUAGCACGGCCCGCUUGGGCCGAGCCAGUCAGGACAGCACGACCCAAACCACAAGGCCCAAGGCAACUUGCUUUGUGCCAUAGGGUUUUAGCUCCCGUGGAGAAGGGCUCUCUACAGGAGUUCUCCUCGUAAGGUGAGCCACCACAAACCUUGAGAGGAGGUUUUUGGUCUAAUGGACCAAAAUUGUUUGAUCCAUUAGACUAAAAAUCAUUUCAAUUCUUUUUUUUUAAAAAAAAUUGUUAUAUUAUAAUUAUUUUUAUAAAUUUUAAAUUUUUUAAUCAAAAUAUCAAUUUAAUAGAAAUAAUUUAUUGCUUCUAUUUUUAAUUUUAUAUAUUUUUUAAAAAAAUAAAAAUAAAUAAAAUCUUUUGGGGCCCGGCAUGGUCCGGCCCGGGUUUGGAGCUAAGCCGGACCAGGCCGGCUCAUAUCCCGAAUCAGCACAGUAAAUGUGGGCCAUGCCGGCCCGGCACGGCCCACAUUACACCCCUACCCAAACCGACUCCAUUUAUUAAAUGGGUAAUUAAAGUGGGUCUACUUAUUAUCUAAAUUAAAUUAUGUCUUUCACAUUGUUAUUUAGAGGCUUUAGCUUAAAUACCCCUCACUGCUAUUCAAACUUUUUCAAUAUAUUCAUUUAUUUUGAAAGUAUCCUUCUAAACUUCAAAUCUUAUUAGUAAAUCUUAGAAUUAGAAGUAUAUUUAACGAAAUUUUUGAAAAUCAAUAAAAAUAUUUUGGUCGACCAGAAAUAUAUUAGAUAUUAUUUCUAUUAUUAUUUAAAUUAUAUAGGAAAGCUUAAAUAAUAAUAAAAUCUUCAAUCAUAUAUGACGAAGAUGUAUGUAUAUACAAUAAUAUAAUCAUAUAAAUUUUUACAUAUUUCUAUUCAUAUUUAUAAAACAUAUGGGUAAAAUGUAUGGACACCCCUAAUUAAACUUUAGUUAAUUUGCAACCAGGCACCUAAACUUUUAGUUUUGGCAAAGAGGCCUCUUAAACUUUAUUAAAUAGUUUAAUAAACUGUUCUUGUCAAAUAAAAUUUAUUAAUUAUACAUCGUUUUGACCUUAUGUAUUCCAUAUAGUUCUCUAAACUUUUAAAAUAUAAAAAAAAUUUGUUAUUUGCAUAUAUAAGAAAAGUUAAAAAAAAUUGAAGUUCUUUUCAACUUUUUUUUCGAUUGUCAUGUUUAAUUAUUGAAAUUGGAAGAGGAAAAAAAAAAAAAUUCUUUACAUUUUUAAGUCUUAUAAAAUCAUGGGCACAACAUUCGAUUAAAAUGGCUAUUUAAUUAGUAAGUUUACUUAAAAAGAGAAAUAUUGAGCUAUUUGAUAAAGUUUAAAAAAAAAUUUUUGCCGAAAUUGAAAGUUGAGACGUCUGUUUACAGAUGAACUAAUGUUCAUAGAUCUCCACGCAUUUUACCCAAAACAUAUCAGAAUUGAUAUCCAUCGGAUUGUAGGGAUGUAAAACAGGCCGGACAGCACCCGUGUCGCCCGGCUCGGCAUGGCCUUGGGCCAGGCUACAGCAUGGCAUGGGUACUGUAGUGCUUGUGCCCGGCCAGCCCGAGGCUUUGGGCUGUGCCGAGCCUCUUAUUUGGAGCCCGACGGCUUGGCACAGCACGGCCCGAAACCGGCCUAGAAAGUGCCGGGCCGAGGGUAGGCGGGCUACCUGGCACGGCACGGCUCGCUUAGGCCGUGCCAGCCGGGCAAGCACGGCUCGGAUCCCAAGGCCUAAGGCAAUUGCCUUAAGCCAUCGGGCCUCCUCUGCAGGAGCUCUCCUCCUAAGUUCUGCCUAGCAGACCUUGGGAGGAGAGGGUUUUGGUCCAAGGGACCAAAGAAUUUUGGUCUAUUGGACCAAAAUUCUAUCUCAUUGUUUUUUCUCAAAAAUAAUACAAAUUUAUUUUUAAAAAAAAUUAAAUAUUUAUUUUAGUAUAAUUAUUUUUAUAAUUUUUUAAUAUUUCAAUCAAAAUAUUAAUUUAAAUAAAAAUAUUUAUUAUUUAUAUUUUUAAAUUUUAUACUAAUUUUUUUAAAAAAAUUAAAAAUAAAUACUUUACUAGGCCGGCCCAAAGCACGGCCCGGUUCAGCACAGCCAGUGCCUUUCUGGCCGAAGGAUCGUGUCAGGCCACAUUACACCCCUAUCGGAUUGUUAAGUACUAGUCACGUACGUUAUGCAGACCUAACUCAAUGAUAAACUGUUCAAUAAGAAGCCAUGUUAAGUGAGUUGAUUCGUUUCUACACUAAAUCUAUUUAAAUUAACAGCAAUGUUAGGGGUACACCCUAAAAUAAGAAAACGUCUGAAGUGUCACACUUGCACUAUAUUAUCAGUAAUAAGUCAAUCAUAUAUAUAUUUCUCUACUUAAGAGAAAUGUACGAUAAAAUUUUUUUUUUAUUAACCACAAUGUGACGAGUGAAUCCAAGGGGACAAUCAUAUUGGGUUGGGGGGUGCCAUGUCAGCAAUAUAAUUUGUGCAUUCUAGACUUUUUACUAUAGUAGAGUAUACAUCUUACAUUCUUUUGAGCCAAACUAGGGCCAUCAUUUCACUACUUAUUACAUCAAUUUUUUAAUUUUCCUAAAAAAAUAUUUGUAUUUUACUAAAAUUUGCAAGAGUAACUUCUUACAUUGGCUUGGAGAGAAAUCGAGGUAAAGAGACAAGAGACUGACAAAACUGCGGCAACAUUAGACAAGGAAAGGACUGGGAAGGAAAGAAACAUAUCAAAUCCUGUUAAAAGGGCUCUGAACAAUAAAAAAGAAAAAAAAAAAGAAAAAAGAGAGCACCUUUUACAAAUAAUUGAUUAAUUAAUUAAUUCCAUCCUCUCUGUGUUAUCCCAACCACUAGCCUUCCUUAUCAGUCCCAAACUGUCAGUGGGGGGGACAGAAUCCAUUCUUAGAAAUCUUUCAGAUCUUGUCACUUAAAAGCCCACUUCUUUUGUUUUUCUUUUUCUUUUUUUACUUUGUCUUGCUGGGAGGGUUUAGAUAGCAAAUUAAUCAGAUGGUAGGCCCCCCAGACACAAUUUUUGUUGGUUUCUUGAACUUGAUCUGUUCGCUUCCCCGGUCCAUUGUGUUUCUUCAACUAGAAAUUAGGUAUUUAAGAUUUUGUGGUGAGCCGUUGGUGAGCCGAUUGAUAGGAUUGUACUCUUGUACAUGCGGCACUUUUUAUAUAGGCUGAGAAGUUGAAGUACUGUCGACGGUAUUAAUUGAGAAAGUUAAUGAUAAAGAUUUCUUUCCAUAGCAAACCCCUCUAGGAUAUUCUUUUAGAAAACCGUCACAUAUCAAGUGUAUUUUCGCAUUCUUAUAAGUCUGUAACGAGCAAUUAACAUAUCGUAUAUAAGGGCACUUUAUCUUACCAUUAUAGGAUGUAUUACAAAAUACAAAUUCAAGAAAUUGUGAGACUCCACUCUUAUAAUCAUCACUAUUUCUAGGUUUUGUCAUCCAACUCUUAUCCAUUAUAGAAAAACAACUGAAAAAACAACAAAAGUUUUGUUUAAUACCAAUGCGUAGUUAUGAAGCUAACAAUUAACUUAGUAAUAAUAAUUAACUUAAUGAUAAUAAAACUAAAACAUUAACAAAAGUUAAGAAUAAAAAAAGGGAUACAGUAUAACGUAUCUAAUUGUCAAACAGAAAAAGAAUUAGAAGAUAUCCUCAACCGCAGCAGUCCCGCAAGUGACUUCUUCCCUCACUUUUUGUUCCUAAUAGAAAACAAAACUUUUGGAUCAUUCAAAAAAGUGGGUAUUGGUUAAUAACAUCAAAAAUUUCAAAUUAGCUAUAUAAUGCACUCAAAUUCACAUUAGAAAAAAAAAUCUAAUAACAUAAUAUUAAAAUGGAUCAUAUAAAGAAGUGGGUAUUGCUUAAUAGCAUCAAAUUUUUAAAACUAGACGCAGAACAGCUCCAAAUUCACAUAGAAAAAAAAAGAGAAAAAGGAUGGCAUAGUCAACCCAUGUUAAGAGAUUAAAAUGGUCCAAAAAUAGUCCAAAACAUGUAGGGUAACGUUAGCUAUGCAGUUGGUCCUAUAUAUUCUCAUACUAAUUUGUUUGUUCCUACAAAUAAAUAAGUUGUCAAAACUAGAUUGGUUCUUGCCAAUGUAAAAUAGUUUGAUUACAUUGACAUCAUCGAUCAACCCCAAUCCUGGAGUUUGAUUACAUUACUCCUUGGAGUAGCUUCUGUGAUCCUAUAUCCGAAGACUUCGAUUCAAACUAUAUGGCUUACAUUAAUAGGCUGUGACGCCCCAACUUUUAGGGGACACCCAUUCUAGAACUACUCCCGUCUUAGCAUGUUUAACUCUUUUAACCUCUUAGGCCUAACCACUAUCUAAAAUGCUUAAGUUGGGUUAAGAGUCUUAGCCCUAUUAUAUUUUAUAUAUAGGAUUAUCCGGGGUCUUACAUUCUCAUCCCCUUAAGUCCUGAUGUUCUCGUCAAACUCAGACUCACAAGUACCAAGCGAUGUGAGACUCAUCUCGCUAACCUAAACCGACCUUUUAGGGGAGUCACACUCUACCCACAACAGUCAACAGUAUGAGAGGCUCGCUCUCCCUGCUGUAUAACUUUGGCUUAGCCAAGACUUAUCUGACACUUCCGGCUGGUAAUUGGUUCUAAUACUAACUGUGAUACCCCAACUUUCCAAGAGGUCACCCAUCCUAGGACAACUUCCGUCCUAACACGCUUAAUUCUCUUAACCUCUUGGGUCUAGCCACCAUCUAAAAUGUUUAAGGCGGAUUAAGAGUUUUAGCCAUAUUAUAUCUUAUAUAUAGGACUAUCUGGAGUCUCACAUAGGCCUUGGCAAAAAAACUUUUAAAUUGGAGACUGAAAAGUGUACACUUUACCUGAAUUUCCACAACUGCUUCACUCAAAAGAGUUGCUAUGCUGUGGUUGGACUCGAAUUCCUACUGAAGAAUUGUUUGAACAAAGAAGUUUGAAGAAGCAUCUAUCUUGUUUCUGGCUCAAGCAAUAGAUUGUUGGAGAAAACCCGCGACUAAUAAUCCGAUUGUAAUAAAAUCUAACUAAUUUUGUGAUUAAAUAAAUAAAAUCUACUUACCGAUAAUCGCUAAGUUCCAAAAAGAAAUUGUGGAAGAAGAAAAUCAACAAACUGAUCUGGAAGCGUGCGAGGCACUGUCCUAAGGCGUAUUCCCGUCCUUCGUGCGGGAUUAACCGGAAACACCGCCCCAAGAUACGACCGGUACUCCUCCUCCUACGGACACGAACGCGGAAGAGGUUGACGGAGCUUCUUUCAACACCCAAUGAUAAAAGAUCAAAUAAAGUGGAUUAAGCUUAAAAAUUAAAAGGGAACUCUCGAAAUUAUCUCUUUUCUCUGUGUUCUCCUUAGUAGUGUUCAUAAUCUCAAUGAACAGGUAAAGGACUAUAUAAAUAUCCAUAUAGGAGUACACUGUGGGCUCGAAUGUUGGUGUUACACCAACGUUCGGCUCCGUAGUCCGCCCCGCGUGAUCCGCACUCGCGCGUAACGACGCGCGCACUCGCGCGUAACGUCCAUGCCAUUCACGGACUCCACUCCGAACGGCUGUAAAGAAAUUAAUAAAAUUAAAUAAAAUAUAUAUAUAAUAAAUAAAUGUAAAUAAAUAAAUAAUUAGAAAAUUUUGGGUUUUUCCAACAUAGCUAACUCAUUGGGAGAUUGAAAAACUUACUUAUGUUAUCUCCUGAAACGAAGCUUGAUCUAAAUUUUUGUUUGUUAAAGGCCAACUCCCAAAACAGUUUAGAAAUAAAAGCUAUACCAGACAAGCCCAUAAACGUUCUUACAUAGGUUAAGGAUGGCGAUGUAAAAUGUUUGAGAAUAUAGCAGCAAAAUAGAAACAUUUUAUACUUCAUGUAAAAUUAAGAUUAUAAUGCAGACGAUGAGUGAUGACAUAGCUAGGUGAAGUACACAACUGUGAUGCAAGUAGUUAAUCUCUACACUAAUAAGUACAAUCUAAUUUUUGUUUUAAAAAAAUAUGGAGAAUCUAGAAUUUAUUAAUUUCACUAGUACUCCAACUCGAUCUUGAUUUAUGUGAGUUACCACAAAUUUUUUUUUUUCAAAACUUUGGAGCUUACUAGCCAUGCAACUCCAAACCAUUGCUCAAAUAUUGAACAUGCUGUAAUGCAAUUUGGCAUAAUCUAACUUAUGGCCCUGUUUAGCCUAUAGUGUAUUUCUAGAACUUAAAAUUUUGGUGUCUGCAACAUUGCACGACCAAAUAGGCUAUAAUAAUGCACAAUUCCAAGUUAAACCAAAGCCCAUUAAUGUAAGCAGUGCAGUAUGAAAGUUCCUUUGCUAAGGCCCCUAUAGAGAAUCUGUUUGCCUUGUUUGCCCUACAACAAGGUAAAUAUAACCCUAGACAACACAAAGAACAUCAAUAAAUUUUAGAUUUUGCAAGGGCGUAUAUACUAAUAAUCAUCACAAUAUCUAUGUGACAAUAUAUCCACAUCCAUACCAUCUUAGCUAAGCUUUUAAUUUGUCAUCUUUGUUGGAUGAGAGCUUGAACUGUUAAUUUCAAGUUAUCAAGAAAACGGAUCUAAUUUAUUAUGAAAUAUAGAACAAGGAUAUGCAAUUCACAACUCUCAACUUUUCAUUUUUUUUGAGAAAAAUACUCAACCAAUAUAAAGAAAAAGAAUUUGAAUGGUUAAAAAUUAGCAUUGAAAUAAAAAACGAUCUAAUACGUACUAACUAAUUUCGAAGGGUUGCAGAAACCGCCUCCAUACAACCGUUUCUAUGAUCGCCUUUUUUUUUUAGUGGGCCCUUUGUGUUUCUUCAACUAGAAAUUUGGUAUUUAAGAUUUUGUGGCGAGCCGUUGGUGAGCCGCUGGAUACACCCUAGCUCGAAUGGCAAUGUGUUGUCUCAGUUUCAAAACUCUGUACCAAGGUGUCACGGAAACGGAUAUGGGAUAUGAAACACGAUAUAAUUUGGACACGACAAUUCUUCUAAAAAAUUGGAACACGGACACAACAUGAACACCACUAAUAAAUUAAAUAUUAUUAAUACAAUAAUAUAUGUUUAUUAUAUAUAAAAUAUUAAUUUUGUUAAAAAAUUGUUAUAUAUUUUUUAUACAAAUGAAAAUUAGUGAAGUUCUCAUUUAUAGUUCAUAUAUUUUAAGAGAAAAAAAUUUCAUCCUAUAUAAUUUAUUUAUAUUGUCCAAAAAAAUCAUAUAUUUUGUCAAAAAGUCAAAAUAUUUAUCCUUAUACGUGCAUAGAAAAGAAAAAUAAAAUUAUAUUUUUUUAUGGAAUGUGCUAUGGAUUUGUAUGGAACACGCGUUUAUGGCGUAUCUGCGUCGGACACAAGUCCGAUGCGGACACGCAAGGCUUACAGAAAUGUCCAUGAUACAUAGCUUUGUACUCGAAUCUAAAGGCCUAAUGGGUGCUAGAUUCGGCUUGAAAUUUUAUGAAUUGAUCGAGAGUUUGAACCUAAAAAUUAGUUCGAUAUUAUUUUCAAAGCUAGCCAGUACUUUGUGUUGCUUGGUCGCUUGAUCUUGCUGACUAGAAUAAGUUAGAUGUUCGUAUGUUAGAGAAUAGAAGUGUUGAUAUACUUUAAUGGGCUUAAAUCAGUAAGCUAAGCAGAUACAUCACAUUUUAAUGCCAUUCGUAUGGGGUUUGAUCAGGACUCAUCUGUUAAGAAUUAAUUCACAUGCCAAAUAGUCUCAGCUAGAAAAAUGACAAGAGUUUAGAUUUGGUUGAAACUCCCCAAACAACGGAUAUAAAAUCGAAAUUAGAAAGUCGUGGGUCAUCUACGCACAGGCUAGGCCUGAACUCCCCUAGCCAUUGGUAUUAGAGUCGAUAGUUGGGAAGUGUUGCAAUAUUGCUAGUUGGAAUUAGUGUUGUGGAAUCAAUUUGGUUGAUUUUGUGAACAUAUCGGGCUCAGGAAGGAAUCAAUCAAGACUUAUCUCACCCUUCUGACUGGCGAUUGGCUUUGAUACCAACUCUGAUUCUCUAUUUUCCAAGAGUUUGCCUAUCCUAAAUCUAUUCUAAUCCGAACACGCUUAACUCUCUUAACCUUUUGAAUCUAGCCACCACCCAAAAUAUUAUAAUCGAAUUUUGAGGUUUAGUCAUAUUAUAUUUCAUAUAUAUAACUAUUCCAAAUUCUAAAGAUAUCACAAAUAAGCAUGUCAUGCUUUGCUGAUUUGACCUUAAGUUGUACCAAAAUUCUUAAUACCAUCUAAGAUUGCAUUUGGUUGGAAAGAUAUUUUAGAACAAGAGGGGAUAUCCUCCUUUGUUUAACCAAAUAGCAUCGCAAAAAUUAAAAAUCGGUUGUUCCAGGCUUAAUGGGCUAAACGAAGAUAACCCAUUAACCCAGUUCUACCCCUCCUGCGGAACAAGACCGAACAAGAAAAAUUUGCCCUUUUACUUUCUAAUUCACCCAUCGUCGUCUCUCAUCGUGCAGAAAAAAAUAAUAAAAAAAUCUUCUUUCAGUAGAAUCUGUACUGAAGGCUACUUUCAAUGUGAACAAAUGCUACAUUUUAUAAUUGAUGUAUAUUUUAUUAAUAUUUGUACUCUAUUUUAAUCAAUUUUGAAAUUCAAACGAAUGCUAAAAUCCCAUGCUAUAAGUUAAUUUUCCUACAGUGAUUUCUUUUACAUAAUAAAUUUUCAAAGUAAUCUGCUCUUCUAUAUUUAAAAUUAUAUAAUUAUAUAUAAUUUUAAUUAUUUGCUAUAUUAUAUAAUUGAAAUUAUAUUUUUAUAUCUAUAUUUAAUUAUAUCUUUUAUAUAUUAAUUUUAUCUCUCUUUUAACUCCAUAAAAUAUUUAGGGGCAAAAUUAUCAUUCUACUUAAAUUUUAUCAAUCCAAUACAUUAUUUUAACAUAAACAUCCAGACACUAUCAAGAAUAUUCUCCGGGGAACAAACAAGUAAUAUCCAAAUGCAAAUUUAUCAUUGUUCUAGCUUAUACCGAAACACAGCUUUUGGAUCAUGAGCGGUCUAUAUACUAAGGCUUAGUUUGGUAUUGAGAUGAAUCUAACGUUAUUAAAUAGAAUGGAGUUAAGAAAAAGCAUAUAAGGAUAUGCUUCUGCGUUCUCCGAUGGGACCGUAGAAAAUAUAUUGUAACUGACUAACCGCGGAACGCAAUAUUACGUACGGAAACAAACAUGAUAUUUUCCCAUCGUCGUUUCUCACCGCACUUAACGCAAUCUCCCUGCAAUCCCAAACAAAACCUAAGAUAACCAAAAGUAACUUAAGGAUACUCUCUCUCUCUCUCUCUCUUAUUUGAUACAUAGCUACCUACUACCCAAUAAUUUCUCUCUCUCUCUCUCUCUCUCUCUCUCUCUCUCUCCUCUCUCUCUCUCUCAAACUAGUCCUCGCACUAAUAAAAAAUUAACUAACCAUUUUCUCUCUUUAUCUCUCUAUAUAUUUGUAACCUAUAACCCCCUACCAAGAGAUAGAGGUCACUUAGACCUAGAGUGUAAAUAGUUAAGAAUAGUGUGUUUAUAAGUUAGAUUUGAGUGCAAGUUGGAUUUGAGUAGGACUAAAUAAUUUAAGUUGAUCUCUAAUUAGAUUGGAUCUAUAUAUUUUCCUAGUUGAAGUCAGCUUUGGGGUUCAUAAAUUAUUAAAUAAAUAAUACUCGGCCGAACCACAUGAAUGAGUGCCUAAGCUUGCUCCUUUGCAGAUUCUACAAGAAGGUUCCACAUGAGUUAUCCUUUCUGUCUCACAUUUUUCUACUGACAAGUGCAUAGAGUGGCAAAGUUGUCACAAAUUUUAAUAUUAACAUAUUUCGUGAUGGUUGAGUCGGAGCUUUGAAAAGUUUGUGGCAUUAAGAUCAAAUUUUUGAAGGCUCGAAGGCUCAAAAUACAAUUCAUAAUGCUCGGUAAGUUGUUCAAAUGUUUGUGGUGAUUCCAUGCAUGUUUUUGUUUGAAAUUUACUUGUAAAGUAUUUAAGUUGGAUUAGAACUUUUUAUCAUACAAGUUUACAUACCAAGUUCUGGAACUAGAGCUUUAGUUCCGAAACCCAAAAUUUGUAAUUAAGAUUUUAUACCGAGUUCUGGAACUAGAGAUUGAAUUCCAGAACCUAGCUAAAGCUUGGAAAUCAACUUUUUUAAACAAAGUUUCCGAACUUGUGCUUGAGUUUCGAAACUUGACACUUUUCUAAAAGUGUUGGAUUCUGGAACCUCACUUGCAGCCCCGCAAGUCAAUAUUUCAGAUUUUCUUGUUACCUAGAUGAUGUUUGCGAUGCAAAGUUUUGAAACUGCUUUUAGAUUCCAUAACCAACUUUUGAAAUAAAAAUUUGACUUCUAAUCCAACUCAUACAUGUUCCAAAACUAUAAAUAUAUGUAAGGGUUCUCUAACAUGAGGAUUUGCUAAAUAUCCUAAAGAAAAAUCAUAGAGGCUUGUUGGUGGCUAUUUCAUCUCUUUUUCUCAAUAAGCCUCAACCGGAUCAAUACUCGAUACCUUGAUUUCUCAUCUUCAUAUAGAAUUAAUCCGGUACUUGCUUAGAGAGCUUUUGUCCAGAGAUUUCAUGAUUCUCUAAGCAUCAAAUUAGCAUCAAUACAUCAUUCUCUUGCUCCAGAUACAGUGGUCAUGCAUGAAUUCAUAGGGGAGCCGAGGACUCAAUGAGAGCUUCGUGGAUUCGAAGUGGUCACGUGAUGUGGAGGUAGAAACGUGAUCUAUCGAAGGAGUUUGGUCGAUCGAGGACCAAUGGAAGAGAUGUUCUACAAGGUUAGAGUAGGUCGAGUCGGGGAUUCGAUAAAUCAUCUUGUAUUCAUCUUUAUUCAUAGCGGAUUUCUUUGCGUGAUCACUCUAGUGGACUUUUACCUUUAUUUAGGUUUUAUCAUGUUAAAUCUCAGUGUGCCCAUUUAUUUUUUCGCAUUUAGUUUUUAUUUUCCGAGUUUAUUAUUAUUUACAAGUUUCACUUAUUCACCUCCCCUCUAGGCGUCACACAUAACUAUGGCUGAGGGUGAUAAUAUUAAUGGACCACUACCAUUUAAUUACUGGCACUAAUCUUGCCUAUUGUAAGGUUUGGAUGAAAGCAUUCCUCAUCGCAAUUGAUAAGCGAGUUUGACAAAGUAUCAAAUUCAGGUAAACGCGCGCAUUCGACCGAGAAAGUAAUAAUGUUUAAGCCCUUAAAUCAACUAUGACUAAAUGGGCAAAGGAAUGUAUGAAUGCACCUUAAAUCAAGGACUAAAUGGACAAAGGAAGAUAUGAUGCAUUAUCUUACAAUAGGAAGGGCAUAAUGCCUUGUUCAAUGCUCUUUCCGAUCUGUCAAGUUCACAUGUGUCUCCGCAUCCCGUGUCUCCACAUGUAAGACGGACACACUACAACAGAAUUAGAUUAUAGGGACAUAUGUUUGGAACACUUUUGUCUAAGUGUCUCAUUUAUGUCAAAAUUUUAAAAAACAUCUACUAAUGCCUAAAUAUAAAGCCGAAUCCAACAAAAAAUAAAAUGUUACUAUACACAACCCACCCAACCCAGCCCAUUUGGCCCGAUUCCAAAUAGAAAAAAAAAAAAAAAUCGAUUACCAUCUCCCCUUCUCCCCUCACUCAAUCCACUGAAAUUCUAGAUGAAGGACCUUUCCCUCUCGUCCUCCUCCGCCACCGCAGCCAACGAGGUAGAGUUCCGGCUAUUGCUAGAUUCUUAAAUAAGUGUUGUUAAAUUAGCAGCACUUUUUUAGGUUAUAGCGACACUCUUUAACUGUCACUAUAUACCUAGCGACCCCACAUAUAGCAACACUUUUUAAAAGUGUUGGUAAUUUAGCCAGCAACACUUUUUUUGACCUAUACCGAUAUUUAAAAGUGUCGCUAUAGACCGUUUUUGUUGUAGUGACAAGAAGAUUUGGGGUGCAACUUUAUGUUGAAACUAGUAUUCAUAAUGAUACCAAUUAUAUAUAUAUAUAUAUAAUUCAAGAUCUAAAAUUCUAACAUAAAAUUUAAUAUGAAAAAGAGACAUUGGAAGAGAAAGAUAACUAAACUAAUACUUUAUUAAUCAAAAACUCUAAAUGUACAUCUUGGCCAUAUUAUCAUCUACCGGCUGCUACUUGGAUCAGCUCUCUAAUACUUAACCCCCGGCUUUAUUAAGUUCUUUGGCUGUAGUUUUUCAAUCCACAGGCCUCUACUUAUAUAUAGACCUCCAAACAAUGUAUAAAUUCUAAUCUAAAUAUUACACCAAAUUCCACUAACAAUCAAAGAAAAGAUUUAAACUUAUCUCUAACUAUAUUUUAAAAUUAAGUUUGGAUUAUUAGUCAACAUCCUCUCUUAAUCCAAACUUUAUCUUCGAGACUCAAAUCCGUGAAAUGCCCACUUUAAUUUUGCAAUCUCCGUCGCUGUCGUUGUUGUCGCGUUUGAGUUGUGCAACAUAUAUGCAUGAUGUUCGGACAUAUAGAUGAAGAUCAAGUAAAUUAUAUAUGAUCUUGAGACAUAGAAGUUCACUUUCUUUAAGGUGAUAUUUACCCCCACUUAAAUGUAUGCUGUCGGGUUAUUGACAAAUCAUCUCUAGGAUACAAACGGCCAAAAGACUGGAAACUGCAAAAAAUACUAAUGAAGACUUUUUCUUACAAACUUCUCUUUUAAGAAUAAAUGUAAAAAAUUAGAAAGGUGAAAAAAUUGAUUGUAUUGCCCUUGAAGCCUUUAAAUGCUUUUUAUUUAUAUGAUAUGAAUGGUUGCGAUAAAAUAAUACAAAAUUACCCUUUAAUGUUAUAUCUUUUUAUAAAAGAAUACAUUCUUUCACGAAUAGUGAAAAGACAUAUUCUUUCUCAAAGAGUUUAUCUCUUUGUGAUGAAGUAUAUCUCUUAGUAAAGAGACAUAUUUUUGCAUCACAUGAGAAGAUAUAUCUUUUCAUAAGAAUAACUAUUUUAUUAAAAAGACACAACCAUUCACUAAUUUAAUUCUUCAAGUUAUUUCUCACUUCUACUAUUACAAUCUAUAACAACACAUGACGCUAAUGAUAUUGCCAUGCGUGGAAUUUUUGCCACCUGUAGUCCUCACUAUCCACAUCAUCCUUAAAUAUCAGUAGGUUCCUGCAAAUAUCUGGAUAUGAUAUUUUGGGUUCGCUGGUUUCAAAGUGUGCACAUUGCACCAUGCCAAAACUCUACAUUUUUUAUUCUUUAUCUUCAUAUUAUUUUACCUUUUUUUCAUUCGCAUUCUGAUAUGUGAAAAUUUCUUUAGUAACAUUGGAAAAAGAGUAAACUUCCUCUUUGAUUAUUACUUCAUUGACAGAAUAUUACAUCAUUAUAAACUUUCUCAUUGGUCGGAGUUGCACCAUUUGAUCAUCACCAUAUUUUUCAUGAGUCAAAUUAAUUUCCUGCGCAUUAAUGGAGUUGAUUUCUUCUUCUUUUUGAAUUUUGUUCUCUUCAUGGAAAUUGUCUCUUCCAACUUUUGCUAUUAUUCUCCAUGCUUCACGUGUGUCUUUGCCGUUGAAAUAUUUUCAAUCAACGAUGAAUUCGUUGCUUAAAAAUAUACGAGAGAACUUUUCUAUCUUUUUGUCGAAGUUCUUCUUUAGAAAAUUAUUUUUCACAAUUUUUAUUAUCCACAACAUCCCAUAAAUUUUGGAAUUCUAAAAAAUAUCGAACGAUGAUUUUUCAUUGUUUAAAGUUUGUUCCAUCGAACUUUGGCAAAUUAGGUUGAAUGAACCAAUCCAAAUUCAUGGCAGAAGUUAAAAGUACACAAAUUAAGUUUCAAAUAUGUACCUGUUUGAUAUGUUGACAUUCAAUUGAGAUCUAGUUUUCUAUACUUCAACUUGCGUAGCCUUCCAGACUAUCUGGUCAAGUCUUCUUUGAUCUUUUCAUGAGCUCUCUUCGCUCUCUUUUCGUCAAGCUCACAACCACUUUCUGUUCUAUGUUGCAUAGAGGCCAACUUUUUUGAAGCAAUUCCUUUGCUUCGGUUUCACUUGAACGUCUCCUUCGUUGAUCUUGUAACAACCCGACCCACUAGCAAAAAUAAUUCGUUGGACCCAAACCAUCGGCUCAAAAUGUUUAAGCCCAAUUAUUACUAUUAGGGUGCGAAGGCCUCAUAUAUUUCAAAACAAAAAAAAUUUUCAUCCGAUGUGGGACUAUUGGGGUGUUACAAACUCUCCCCAUUUAGAUUCUGACGUUCUCGUCAGGUCAAAAUCAGAUUACAGACGUAUAGAUCAGAAUUACCUAGCAGUGUGAAAUUCUAGAAGUGGCACCUAUGGGUUCGAGAGGUGGCUCCUACCAAAACUUGCGGUAUGGCACUUUGCCCGCAUAAUACUUGACUCUCACACUUCCGACUGGUAUUCGGCUCUGACACUAAUAGUAACAACCCGGCCCACUAGCAAUAAUAAUUCGUUGGAGUUAAACCACCGACCCAAAAUAUUUAAGCCUAGUUAUUAUUAUUAGGGUGCAAGGUCUCAUAUAUUUCAAAUCAGAAUUAUUUUUCCAUCCGAUAUGGAACUACUAAGGUGUUACAAAUCUGCUACUAGUCGCUUGACUUUGAUAUAGCUAUCAUCAGUAUAUUUUUCAAGAAUCAAAUGUUUUGCACAUUCUUGAUUAGGAUUUCCUUUUUUCAUAAAUCAAAAUUUCUGCACAUUCUUGAUUAGGAUUUCCUCCCCAAAUUUCAUCAUAAACUGGGAUUUCUAUGUCUUCAUCUAGGGGUUAAUUUUCUUCUUCUUUCUGAAUUUUAUCUUCUUAAUGGAAAUUGUCUCCUCCAACAUUUGCUAUUAUUCUCCAAGCUUCAUGUGUUGAAUUUGUUAUUGAAAUAUUCUCAACCAACGAUCGAUUCACUGCUUGAAAAAUAUAUAAGAGAACUUCUCUAUUUUUUUUUUUGAAAUUCUUCUUACUAAAUUAUUUUUCAUUACUUUUAUUAUUCACAACAUCCAUAAAUCUUGGGAUUCUAAAAAAGUACACCAAGACUAUUUUCUAUCAUUUAAAGUUUGUUUCAUUGAACUUUGGUAAAUUAGGUUGAAUGAACCAAUACAAAUCCAUGACAAAAGUUGAAAAUCCACAAAUUAAGUUUCAGAUAUGUAUCUAUUUGAUAUGUUGACGUUGAGGUCUAGUCGAGUUUUCCGUACUUCGAUUGCUUGUCUAGCCUUGUAGACUAUCUGAUCAAGUCUUCGUUGAUCUCUUUACAAUCUCUCCUUGCUCUCUUUUCAUCAAGCAUCACAACCACCUUCCGUCCUAUGUUGUGUGAACGCCAACUUUUUUGAAGAGAUUUCUUUGCUUUGGUUGCACCUGAAAGACACCUUCGUCAAUCUACUACUAGUCGUUUGAUUUUGACAUAGCUCUCUGGUACACUGGUUCUGUGUUUUUUCCAAAUCUGCUAUCGUCUUGCUUAGAAGUUGCCCGAUACUUUUCGACUCUGAUACCAACAGUUGUAACCAGCAUUCACAUUAAUACUAAUUAUACAAUUCAGAAUCUAAAAUUCUAACAUCAAAUAAUAUAUAGAAGAGACAUCGGAGGAAGACGACUAAACUAAUACUUUAUUAAUCAAUUAGAAACUCUAAAGUACAUCUCGGCCACAUUAUCAUCUACCAGGCCGCUACUUGGAUCGGCUUUCUAAUUAACCCUCAGCUUCAUUAAGCUCUUAAUUAGCUGUAGGUUUUCAAUCCAUAAACCUCUACAUAUAUAUAUAGAGACCUCCAAAUAAUGUAUAAAUUCUAAUCUAAAUAUAACUCCAAAUUCUAAUAACAAUCAAAUAAAGGACAUAAACUUAUCUCCAAUUAUGUUUUGAAAUUAAGUUUGGAUUAUUAAUUAUUCCAACACUUUAAUACAUUCAUUGCCAUCAAAAUUUAAUUGUAUUCUCUUGUGAUGCCACUACAAUAGAAUUAGGUUAUAGGGACACAUAUUUGGGACACUUUUGAGUAAGUGUCCCAUUUAUGCUAAAAUUUAAAAACACAUCUACUAAUGCCUAAAUAUAAAGCCCAAUCCAACCAAAAAUAAAAGAUUACUCUACUCAACCCACCACACCCAGUCCAUUUGGCCCGAUUACAAACAGAAAAGAAAAAAAAAAGAAAAAUCAAUUACCAUAUUUUCUUCUCUCUUCACUCAAUUCACUGAAAUUCUAGACGAAGAGCCUUUCCUGUCGUCCUCCUCCGCCACCGUAGCCAAGGAGAUAGAAUUUUGACGGUUGCUAAAUGCUUAAAUAAGUUUUGGUAAAUUAGCAGCACUCUUUUAGGUUAUAGCGACACUUUUUAACUGUCACUAUAUACCUAGCGACCCGACAUAUAGCAACACUUUUUAAAAGUGUCGGUAAUUUUAGCUAGCAGCACUUUUUUAACAUGUACCUACAUUUAAAAGUGUCGCUAUAGACGUUUUUGUUGUAGUGUGCCGAUAAUUUUACAGUGUUAGGCCUAAACUAUUUUACAAUUUACUAAGAAACCUUUCUCAACAUAUGUCCAAACCAUGUUGUUUUUUUUUUCCCUGCAAAAGGACUUCUUUGUCUUGCAUAGAAGUGGCUCAGAAACAAUUGGAUCCUUUUGUAAUUUCUAUGACUUAUUGUCCUAGCUCUAAUCCAGACACAGUAAUUUAAGUGCCGCAGUUUUGAAAACCAUUUUCGGGUAUUUGAGACAUGAAAAUUUAUUUUUGGGACUACAUGGUAAAAAUGUAACAAAAUUAGAAUAUCAUAUGAUAAUUUUUCGGUCACGGCAAGUAUAUAUCCAUGACAUCUGUUAGUGAAAAUGCUAAUAAUUAAUUAGAUUAUAAGUAGAUUAUUUAUUUUAUGUGAUUAUUAGAUUUUGUAGUUUAAAUUGUGAUUAAGUCAAAAUCUAAUUAGAGUAGGACUCUAGGUAAUUAGUUAUAAAUAGAGAGGCCGAAGCGCUGUACGAGCAAGAAGCCUUAGUUUUUCUAGUUUGUAUUUUCCAAUAAAAUUAUAAGUUUAGUUUACUUCUAUCAAAAAGUACUAGAUUCUUGUAUUUCUCUUCUUCCUCUCUUCUCUUUUCUAUUUUAUUUUUUGUGGAGAUCUCAUAUAUCAUAACAAGUAUAUAAAACGGUAUUUGUUGAAGGCCCACUGCUAUAACAAUAUGAUCACAUGCAUGCUAUGCAGGUCAUGGAAAAUACAGCUAUCAACUUAAUUGUUUAUGUUAUGACAAACGCACAAACAGAAACGAAAUGACGAACACAAAAACAAUCAAACCACAAGCAGAAAAUAAAGAGACACAGAUUUACGUGGAAAACCCUUUGCAGGGAAAAACCACGGGCGAGGGAGGAGAGAACUUCACUAUGGAACGAAAAAGGGAAUACAAUAUUCUUCAGAUUACAACCGACCACCACAGACAUUCAUUUUUCCUCCAUAAUUUUCUUUUCCAAAUUGGUCGCACCGCGAAGCUGUCGGCGAGUCGUAAACCCGAACGUGGAAACAAUAGUAGAUUUCGAGUCACAUCUGACAGUUUACAUUUCAAACAUUUCGAGAAAACAUUAAUUAAUCAAAUUAAUCCCUCGGACACAACUUACUAUGGCGAAGCAUUUUAGCAAACUAAUAAAUAAUGAUCACAUUAAUUAGUACAUCUUAGACUAUAUAUAGAUACUUAAUUAAAUUAGCAAAAUCUUUACCCAUCUCAUUAUGUUUUAGGUUGAGAUUUUAAUGUGCAUCAUGUAGACUUCUCUUUGCUUUACAUAUAUGUACAUAUGUAUAUUGCCAGUAGUUAGCUAUGAACCAUACAUAGCUAUAGUCACAUGUUCACUUAGAAUAAAGUCAUAUAUCUAGCUUAUACCAUCCACAACAUCAUUUAAAAUUUUCGUUGUCAGCUUUUUAGCUUGGUUUAAGUUACAUGAAUAAUAAUCAUGGUGCUUCUGGAACUUGGAAGGGAACACAAUUGUAUAACUUUCAUUUAGAUGGAAAAGGUUUAUCUUUUGAAUCAUUUUCAUCAGCUCUCUUCUUCUUCUUCUAUAAUACUGCUAUAUGCUUUCACUACCACAAUUGAUUCUAUUAACAUACAUAUACCCACAUAUAUACAUACACCCACACACACACACAUAUAUAUAUACACUAUUGAUACAUAGUAGCCUAAUUCUAUAUAUAUAUAUAUGUAUGUAUGUAUGUAUAUGUGCUAUGUGAAUAAAGAUAAUGGUACGUACGUACUACUUUCACUUAAAUGGUUUUGUAAUAUGCAUGAUUACUUUUUCAGGGCUUUUUUGUAUUCUUUUCCUUGGAUUUUUCUUGUGGUUUGUGUGCCAAGGCUGAAGAUAAAAAGGGCAAGCAGCAUAUCUAUAUAGAAGCUAGAUUGUUGCAGGGGCUACAAAGCUUAGCUGGGCGGCUCUUUGCCAAAACACACUUAACUGGAAAGCUUUUUUAUGUAUGCGGCUCGCAGACUCACUGAUUAAAGCGUUUGGUAGCACCCAGAACUCUAGUAGGAGCAUUAGCUAGCCCCAUGACAGGUCAUGUGUAUAUGCAUAUAUAUAUAUAUAUAUAUGCUCGGUAAACUAAAAAUAAACAAAUAAUUCAAAAUUGUAUGUGGGAGAUGAAACCAUUGUCGUUGCCUUUUAUUCUCUAGGCCAUUUCUCCUAUUGUCCCCAACAAGCCCUCACCCCUUCAACUGCAACAACUGUUCCUAGGCUACAUGGUUCCCGAUUUGUACACUGGAGGGGGAGAGAGAGAGACAGAGAGAGAGGACCAAAUAAUAUAUAUUUUACUAUGUUGAUCAGUAGAUGUUCAGAGUAUCUUAUUAAUGUCCCUAGCUAUAUAUUUCUCAAGCCAACAAAGUGAGUAAAAUAAAAAAAGAGUGAAAAGAUGAUAAAGAGAAAGAAAGAAGGUAAGUAAGAUUCUCCCAAAAAUACACUUGGGUGGCCUAGAAAAUUUCUACAAGAAGCUCCGUAUUACAAACCAGUGUUCACAAUCACAAUCUUCUAUACCAACCAUUACGUUUAUGAUUUAGAAGCUAUUUUUUGAAAAAUAUUGGUACUGUUGAUGAUUGGAUUAUAAAUACUAGUUAAAUGAAGGACACAGAUCUUCAAUCAGAAGCUCUUCAUAGAAAUUUAGUUUCUUUGACGGUCAAUAAUUCUUGCUAUAACCCAGUCUCUUAUCUCAGAAUGAACUACUGCUACUCAGAACCACUUUGAUCAAUCCUAAAUUCUAUCUCGAAACCGAUCGACCGGACAAGUGGAAUCCAUCUGCGGCCGAUGGCCGCUACUGCAACUCCAGCUCGUGUUAUCUGGUCGAUUUGUUGGAUUACUAUCUGUCGGCGCUCGAACUCCGUCCACGGGAAAGCUACGAGCCAGCGGUGCCCCAAAGCAACUGAAGCUUGAGUUGGGACCAAAAUUAGGGUUAGGGUUUUGCGGUUGGCGUUGCGAGGCUCCGGUGAGGACGUGACCGACAAAGUAAUCACCGACCGUUGUAUUGGGAGGCGGAUAGGAUGUUGGGUAGUUCAUGGGGUGUGGAUUGGUGGAAGAAUAGAGAUAGGGUUGCAAAGGUGGUGGGUAUGGCGAUAGCGUCGGAUAGGCGCCUCGAUGCUGGAAAGCCCCCGGAGAAAUCGUUUGCGAGCCUCCGAUAUUCACAUCUCUCAAACUGCAACAGAAGAAGAAGGAAAUCAAGCUAAACAUUCAAAGAUAGGCAUGUACUGUUACCCCCUCCAUCAAAACCUAGUCAUUUUUUUUUUCAUUAUUAUUUUAAAGAUGAUUACUCUUAAUAUAAGAAGGAUUUCAAAUUAGGCCUUUGAGUUCAUGGUUUAAAUCAUGGAAAACCAAUAUCAUCUAUAAAUAGAUGAUUGUAAUUUACGAGAAGUGAAACCCUAGAAAUCAAAUUUGCACUGUAUGCACAGAGAGAAAGGGAGAAAUGAAAUUAUGCAGGAUAAGUUGAGAAAGUGAAACAUAUAUCAUCUAAUUAAAUAACUACCUCAUAUGACCCCCUCCUGCAGCUAGACCUUCGUUGCUAAAAACAAGUUGCCGAGCACGGUUAAGGGUUUCGGUCUCCCUCUCUGGUAAAUCGUAUAAAUAGAGAGCAAAAAAGGGGAAAAAAAAAAAAUAGAGUUAGCAUAGCGCUAGGUAAAAUGAUGAAAGGAACAUGGAAAUCAUGGGUAAAGUUCAUGGUGUAACUAUGUAGCAAGAUGAAAUUAUCUAAUUAUUGCCGUGCCUUGACGAUGUCGGUUCAUAUGACCACCCAGUGCUUGAGAUUUGCAGAACUUGAGGGAGCAGAAUCGGCACUCGUAGACCUUCGCGGCGUCGUCUUUUCCCCCAGUCUUCUUCUUCUUUAACCCUAAAAGGGAUUAGAUAAAAGUGUUACUUACAGGCAAAAUCUUAACAUGAGUCCAACAACUUUUCUUGAUCACCAGUUUUCUCAGCGGAAGCGGCGGUUGUUGUCGAACUCUCUUCCAACGCCUGCUUCGUAUAUUCCUCCGGCAAGUUGUUGAGGUCCAGUGGGUUCCCUCCUGGUCUCCUACAAUCAAAACCAAUGGAAUAUAUGUAGAUAUAUGUAUAUAGAUGGGUUUUUCCUACACUUAAACAUAAGGGAAGUAUAUCAAGGGAUGUGUAUGCAUACAUGGUUAUUGUUUUGUCAAGGAGAAGACAAGGAAAGAAACCAACACAGAGAGAGGUGAUUUAAAAUGGGGAUUUUGUUUGUUUUUUUUUUCCUUUUUUUUUUUUUUUUGUGGAAGAAAAAGAUGUGAGAAGGGAGAGUUGAGGAGAGUUAGAAAAAGCAAAAGACUGCAGUUUGCAACUGCAAUGUUGGGUUGAUGCAUGUUUUAAAGUGAGGGCGAUUUGAGAUGAGAGAGAGAGAGAGAGAGAGAGAGAGAGAGAGAGAGAGAGAGAGAGAGGCCUAAAAGUUCUCUAUCAGUUUCCCCUCUGCCCCAGCCGUCGCUUUCUCUUUCUACAUUACUCCCACUUUCUCUCUCCUCUCUCUCUCUCUCUCUCUCUCUCUCUCUCUCUCUCUCUCUCUCACUCUCUCUCUCUCUCAUACUACGAAAGAGGAGCAAAGUAGCCUUGGAUAAUGUGACUGUUAGACGACGAGGGGCUUUGGGGGGGUGGGUAGUAGUAGUAGUGUUUUUACUUGGUUGGGAUGAGAGAAGUGUGAGAGGGACGUGGCCUUUGUUCUCUCUCUCCCCCUACAAAACCUACUCUAGACUCUUGUCCAGCCCUAGUUAUCUUUUACUACUGCUUCAUAUCUUGUAACCAGUGAUAGAUAAACUGAGGCCUCUGCAUGAAUAAUUACAGGGUGAGCUUUUUCCCUGUGUUUCUACUCCACAUUUUUUCCUAUCAUGUAGAAACUCUUCCUCUUCACCGUUGGAUCGGCGGGCAAGGAUUCAUUAGGGUACACCAUGUGAGAUUUGUGUGAGUGCGCGGUGGUGUAUCGUUUUGGCUCUUGCGGGUGUGGACACUUUGAAGGGUUCGUAUAUCCCUUGGACGGCAAUAAAGACAAGGGCACCUCUUACAAUGUCCUACCCGGAUAUUUAGUUAAGAAGGGCAUGCUAAUGCUAGGCUUUAUAGUCUGAAUGGGCCCUAUGCUUGAUGAGGGCCAUCACAGGGUACCUUAGCUUUGGAUGGAGUAUCUCAUAUUGUCGGUAGACCCAGUGCGCUAGAAAUUUCACAAUCUUACCAUCUAUCCCUAAUAUCUAAGGUGCAGUUCGAACUAGUAUUCGAGAUUCGGUACUCAACUUUCAGAAGAAUAGCAAGAUCAAUCAGCGUAUAUAUGAUUUUCUUCAUACCAUGAUCGAUCUACAGAGUGGAUAUUCUUUAGUGACUCACUUCACUCAUAAGAUCUGAUCGUUCGUGUAAAAUACCAGGCAGCAUCUUCGCCAUCGAUUGUUAGUGAUCUGCUGGUCAUCCGAACCAAUGAUUACAUGGACAUCUAGAUCACUACCGAUGAAUAGAGAUUUUCUGCAUAUUAGGCAUAAGGAGAAUUUAUUCCCUAAUAAAUGAAAAAAAGGAGAUAGAUCGAUGAUCUAAUACCUCUUUUGACGUAUAUUUGGAUUCCUGUAUAUGCACCAGGUCUAGAGACAAUAUCUAGGGGAAGAGGGAAUGCCCUUGUGACCAAUUUGAGACAGUACUAGCUAGUAUUGAAUAUGGUUUGGAGGGUUCCUGUUUGGAACAUUGAGACAAGUGUGUUUAGUGGAAGUAAUAAUAAGAUUUUCAUGACAAGGACAAACGUGGUUAAGUGAGUCGGCAUCACUCAGGCUUUACUUUGUUGGCCCAAGCAAAUCUAGUGACUGUUGGAUAUGUGUUGACUUAUGCACCAGUUAUGUAGCAUCAGGUGUAUUAAUUACAAGGGAAUCACUCAGUUUUCCUACGGUAAUAUAAAUGCCAUACAUAGGUUUUGGCCCCGGUAGAUCAGAGCUUUGGUUUGCUGUCCCCGUGAUUCAACAUGCUCCAUGCAUAGCUACUAAUUGUAACCUAAUUUUGUCUAAAAAUUUGAUUGAUACAUUAAUUGUUCUCUAACACCUUAAAUAAGAUAUUAAUUGGAGGAAGGUUUUCCGAGAGAAAAAGGGAGCGAACUACUUGCUUUGUUUAUUUUUUUUAGAAAUAUAUUCAGCUAAAAAUAUGAAGCAACUAGGUUUCGAACUUGAGAACUCGAGUAUUAAUCAUCAACCCAUUAGCACGGUUGGUUAAUUGGAGGAAUGUUUGGCAUGGGAGAUUGUUACUUGCGUUGGGAGAAAAGCGACCUGAACAAUAAUUUGGCAUAGCUCGUGCUGUUUCGCAAGUUACUACACACUUGUCAUGGUGUGUAGCUUCACGCAAAAAAAUAAAAGAGAAGUAAAGGAGAGAUGCGGCUCGAUGAGAAAAAUGAAGAAUAAAGAAGUAAUGAUAUUUGUACUGCGUAAUUGCUCUUUUGAUGAGAACAAUCCACUAACUAAUUAAAAAUGUCAAUAAAAAGAUAACCGAUCGAAGUGACUAAUGAACAAAGAGAUUAACCCAACUAAAACAUUUGUUCCAACCAUCUACUAACUUAUCGCAGAAAAGUUAACAAUAAAACUAAGUUGGAUUUGAUCCUUAUCUUCAACAGAUGGUAGUAAUAGGUCGCUUGGCUCCACUUUUUGUUACUUUAGCAUGACAUGAAGUGUGGUUGUUGGUAGAAGAUGUGGAAUAUACAACUAGUUAAAGGGUACGUUUACAAACACAUUGUACUCCUUGCUUUAGGACAUGAAAAGAAGAACUAGAAAUAAGAAAUCUUUUUUAGUCAAAAAUAGAAAAUUAAUUAUUGGGACUAAAAACAACAUACAAGAUUCCGUACAAUUAUAUUUUCUCCACUAAACUCACAACACAUGUGUGACACCCCAGGUAGUCCUAUAUAUAAGAUAUAAGAGGGCUAAAACUCUUAACUCCGCUUAAGCAUUUAAGCGGUGACUAGGCCCAAGAAGUUAAGAGAGUUAAGCAUACUAGGACCGAAAUAGUCCUGGGAUGGAUGACCUCCUGAAAAGUUGGUGCAUCACAGUUGAUAUCAGAGCCAAUUACCAACCGGAAGUGUGAGAUGAGCCUUGGUUGAGUCAAGAUUAUACAACGGGAAAAGCGAGACUCUCAUGCUGUUGACUGUUGUGGGUGGAGCGCAGCUCACGACAAAGUCGGUUUAGGCUAGCGAGACGAGUCUCACGUCGCCUGGUACUUAUGAGUCUUAGCCUGAUAAGGACGUCAGAGCUUAAAGGGGGGAGAAUGUGAGACCCUAGGUAGUCCUAUAUAUAAGAUAUAAUAGAGCUAAAACUCCUAACCAGGCUUAAGCAUUUUGGGCGGUGGUUAGGCUCAAGAGGUUAAGAGAGUUAAGCGUGUUAGGACGGGAGUAGUCCUAAAAUAGGUGACUCUCUGGGAAGUUGGGGCAUCACAACAUGAAAGAGAGUUUUUGUCUAUUCGUUAGCGACUUGAUCAUUCGUGGAUCAAUCCUUCAUCUCAAUCAGCUUAUUGUUGAUGAGGUUGAUGAGAUUCUAGAUGAAGUGGUGUUGUACUUCAAUGUGCUUCACAUUUCGUUGAAAGGCCAAACUAUUCUUCAUCAUGAUAAUAGUUAGCAAGUUUUGUGUUUUUUUUUUUGGAGAGAAAGGUAGGCAUGCUAUCCGCUUUAUUCAGCAGGAAUAUGAAUAGUGAGGCAAUCAGCCUAAAAAAACACACCCAAAAAAAUGAUCAAAGAAGAAAGAAAAAAUACAUACAAAACACCUAACACUGAGCUAAGUGAUAUCUAACCACACAAAAAUCCUCCCACUGUCUCGCCAGAAACCUAGCCCUGCUUACUGCCACCAAUGGCUUAGAGUUGAUCCUUUUGAAAAUUACAUUAUUGCCCAUAUAUAGCUCACCAACAUGCUGCAAGCAUACGUACUCUUGUUGCCCUUUCCCUAGUAAGUCCUUCACAUGUCGCCCUUUCCCAAACUUCGCCAACAUCUUUACCGAAGAGCUAUUCCAUUGUCCCAUCACCAGUCAUCACUACAAGGUAACUACUGAAUACACAUCCUGUGAAGAUAUGGUCUAUCGUUUUGGGAAUCUGGUAUUCGCCUUGAUACCAAAAUUUGAGAACUCACAACUCUCUCUGAUAUCGAUUUAUGUUGAUUCGGUACUCGCUUUGAUAUCGGUUGUUGGAAUUCAGCAACAAAAGCAUUAAAUAAGAUUGCUACCAUAAAUUCGUCUUUUCAGUAAAAAAACUAUUGCUAACACAGCCACAAAAGAGAGGAAAAAAAACAAAAAAUAUGGUCAAAAUAAGAUUUACUAAUUAAGAGAAAAAUUACACCUGACUCAUAAUCUAUACAGAGUAACUUCAAUCCCGUCCCUUUUUCUGAAUCUCUUACCCCUCUCACGUCUUCUAUAAAUUUCAUAAGACUACUCACUCAUGCACCUGUGUAUAAAGUGCAUGCAAUUGCUCUAUCUCUCUCUGCCCUAUAAUGGCAUCUAGGAAAAAGGCUGGAUCUUCAAAGCACUUGAGCACUAGCCGUACUCUCACCUCUUAGGAGCAGCCGUACAACCCCAUAAACUUAAACUCCACUUACGCUAUAUAUAAAGCUCAAACAAAUGUACCCAAAUCUAGUAUAAUUAGGAAUCAUACUCUAAUUAAUAUUUAAAUCCAAAUUAAUUUCUAAUUUAACUAGGAUUCUAGUAUAAAUCUCACCAAAUACUUAUAAUCUCCACCUUGGUUUGACUUGUAGUCUUCAUCCACUAGUCGAGCACAUCAUGCAAGCUCCACCUUGAGUUUGUUUCCUUUGCUCGUUGUUGCUAUAUCCGCCUCUCCACCUCAAGCAGCUACAUCUCUGCAAACUUUUGGAACCCAAACUGGCUUCUAACUGUUUUCUCAUUCAGAACAUAUAAGUUCUCGUGCUUGUUCGCCACGCACACAAACCGAUCUCGCUUUCGGACUCUCAUAGCACCCAAAGUUGAAAAAACGUAACUCUUCAAGUCCAACACACCUAGGGAGAUUAGAUUCUGCUUCAAACCAAGAAUGUGACGCACACCUGUCAGCAUCCUCAUGACCCCAUCAUGCAAUCGGAUCUUCAGUAUGCCGACUCCUAUAACUUUGCAUGUCGUCCCAUUUUCCAUUAGAGCUUUUUCACCCUUUUCACCCUUAAUCACCUUAUUGAUGACAAAUGACUUCUUCUCCGGGUAGAUGUGAAACGAACAUGCCAAAUAUAGCACUCAUGCAUCAUCCAAAAUUUUAGCACCGCUAAUCGUUGCAUAUAGCACAUCAGAAUCGAUCAUCUUUGAUUAUGCUGCCUGCACCACAGCCAAUGUCUCCUCGUCGUGAUCCACGAUAGUUUUUUCCUUCUAUUGCUUCAACUCCUUCAAAUCAUUCUAAAGUUUUCGAUAGUUGUGCUUUAUGUGCCCUUUCCUAUGAAGUAGAAGCACUCCACCUCGGACAGCGAUUUCUUUUCUCCACCUGCGGUCGUCGAUAUUUUCGCGUCCUUUUUCAUUCUCAUAACUAAAGUAGUACCCUAAUUCUGCAUACCGGACUCUUCAGUCAUCUUCUGCAUCUCAUUCAGGAGAAUUGUCGCUGUGAUCUCUUCCACGCUUAUCGUCUCCUUGAAGCAACUUGGUCACUAGAUGCUCAUAUGCCAUCGGCAAUAAAGAUAGUAAAAUCAACGUCUUGUCUUCGCCAUCCAACUUGACUCCUAUACUGGUCAACUGGGCCACCACUUUGUUGAACUCAUUUAGAUACUCUAUGUAGGCUUGCCGUUUCAUGCAGUAGUCUGAACAGUCGUUGCUUCAAAUACAACCUAUUUGUCAGAAAUUUGGUCAUGUAUAGAUCUUCUAAUUUUUUCCACAACUUCGCUAGUAUUGACUUGCUACUUACAUUAUAGAGAACAUAAUUUACUAACAAUAGAUGAAGCGUAUUCAGUGCCUUAUGCUCCAUCUUUUUUCAUACUGCAUCCUUGACCUCUGCUCGCUUCACCUCUUUGCCAUUCAACAUUUCGGCCAACCCUUGUUGUACGAGGAUUAAUUGUCCAUACUUUAUCUACCAAAAGCCAAAAUUAUUCUUGCCGUCGAACUUCUCGAUCUCGAAUUUGUGGCCAUCUAUGUCGAUCUUUCUUGAGAAUUGGUAAAUUUAAGCUCUGAUACCAAUCGUUGAGAAUUUGGUACAAGAAUUUGAGAAUUUGCAAUCCGCUCUAAUACUGAUUGUAGUUGAUCAGAUCAAUACUGUCACGCCCCUAAUUACUCGUUUUUCCGGGGACGCUAACAGACCCGCCGUAUACAUAGAAAUUUUUCCUGCAUACGAAGCGGAACAGUAAAAGUAGCUGUAGUCAAACAAUACUACAAACAGUAGUAUAAAGCUGCUAGAAAACUACAACUAGCUAUAGCUGGUACUCCUCUAGCUCUACGACUCGUCUGGAAGGGCUCUAACUGGCAACGCCCGUGCCACGAUCAGAAACAGCAGCAGCAGCAGCCGAAGACGAUGGCUCUACAAAAACAGGGGUAACACAGGGUGUGAGAACUACUGCAAAAGAAGUAGUCCUCAGUGGGUACCGCCCUCAAACUCAUCGGCUCACCCACUAAGUCUGCAGAUGAAUGCUCAAUGAUAGAAAGGAAAGCUGGAAUAAAUCUACAGCUACAUGCCACUAUACUAUCAUGAUUUGAUACUACUAUCUGUAGAGUAAAACAAGCUCAGACCCAAACUCACUAGGGACUGUAAACAUACCCGUCCCAGGGACUGUGAGUACACCCGUCCCGCCGGUCGAAGCUAUACAGCUACCUCCACACUAAACAGUCCGUGGAGAGCAAGUCCAACCAGGACACAACGACACCAACGCAAACACACAAAGCUCGACUCCGGAGUGGCACUCGUAGGCGCUACCCAACCGAGUAUGCAAGCGUAUCUCUCCCGAGCUCAAUCAGGCUCUUACAGACUAUAGUCAAGCAACAAGGUCUAACAGGUCUAACAACCCAGCUCACGUGCCCUCGGCACAAUUUGAUGCAAAAACAGCAAUCUGGGUCCACCGUCAACCACGACGGCACCCGACAGUCCGAAACAGCCUAAACACCGCUAUAAAAAUAAGCUCGGCAUCCCAGCACGAGCGUAAAUGCAUUCUAAACUACCGAAAGUAUCCACCACGGUCAACCUGCGAUGAUACAAUCAAACUACGGCUCCUAGGGCUAAAUCUGGUAGUUUAAGCAUAUGUCAGUUAGAAUCGCGGGUUUUCUCCUAAGUCAUAUCCAAAUCCAAUAUGUAUGAAUAUCUAUAGAUAAUACACUAAGCUCCAAUUCAGAUUUUUAAUCAUGCUAAAUCAAUGAAUCGAGUAAUUACAAUGUGCGAAAUAACACAACGAAUACAUGUCGACUAUAUAUAUACUUAGGAAGUAAACCGAUGAUUAACCCACCUUAAUUGCUAAUCCCUGGCAGCAAGGAAGUCACGCCUCACUAGGAAAACUCAGCCGAACCUGCUCUCAGCCAGCAAUGAUCCACAACCAAGAUCUAAACAUCAAAAACCACUAAAAUCCAUCAAUUUACAUAAUUUCAACACUUAAGCUUGAUUUUCUCCCAAUCAACAAUGUCAAAACUCACCUAAUCACCUUCAAAUCAGGUGAGGAAAGUCUCAAAUCCAGUGAACCAUGCUGGAGUAUCCUUCUCUGGUUCAAAAUCCCACUUCCUCAAAAGAUUGCAUCAUGAAAACCCAAAAAUUCACAGUUUCAGUCCAAAAACACUAGCAGUGCAGUAAAAAGCCAAAUUGACUAAGCUAACCUCAACCAAAAUCUGUCAAAUUAGUCUCCACGAAUUUCUCUUGAAGUCUAGAAUCCAACAAACUAAGUUUCAUAGCAAUCCGACCUUCCUACGUCGCACAUGAGCCGAAAUGCCGAAGGUCGUUGCUGGAAAUCUGCAGAAUCAACACUCUUCAAGCUUGGAAUUGUGGAAUUUGGAGAAUUUGGAGGAUUUAGAGGGGUUGAAAUGCAAUCUAAGCCUUCACUGUGAAGAGAGGAUAAAAAAAGCUAAAAGGGGACGUACUCUACCUAUUUAUAGGGUGGUAGAAUGAUCCAAUAAGCCCCAGGUUCAUGAGCCGCCAAUCUGGUAUCCCUGCAGAAACAGCCAGUUUCGGGCGCCCGAAACCAUAUUCUGGGCGUCGGAAACCUCUAGGCUGCACAAAUGCUUCCCUUCGGAUCCUCCGCCCGCGGUGUGCUGCACCCAUAACCGACUCCGGCGGACCUCACCUACCACGAGCCAUGUGUCAGCGCAAGCGAUACUCACGAGGUGAAUUUUCGAACCCUCUUCCGGGCGCCCGAAACAAAGACCCGAAUUGGCUUCCAGUACUGCACAAACCAACACUCAGGUUCUAGGCGACCCAAACCCUAUUCUGGGCGCCUGAAUCUGGCAAAACUCCAGUUUUGCAUAUCGGAGUGCGCCGAGUCCAUUUCUGCAUCCAUUUCGUACAGAAUUGACUCCGACUCAGUUUGACACUCUCCAGAUGUGUCGACCAGUCACUAAUACUGUAGCCAAUCCUAUCCAAACCUCAGGAACACUACAUUCUCCCACACUAUAAAAAGUUUCGUCCGUGAAACUUAAAACAUACCUCAAUCCUGAGUCUCAAAUAGGUAGGGGUAGGUCUCCCGCAACACCGUCUCCGGCUCCCAAGUCGCCUCCCGCUCCUCGUGAUUACUCCACUGCACCUUUACAAAGGGGAUGACCCGGUUGCGCAAUUUCCUCGACUCACGAGCCAGAAUACGCACCGGUCGCUCUUCGUAUCUCAAGUCCUCGCCAAUCUCUAUCGGCGUGAAGUCAAUCACGUGGGAGGGGUCGAACAUAUAUCUCCUUAAAGCCGAGACAUGGAAAAUAUCAUGAAUGCCGGCUAGUCGUGGGGGUAGAGUAACCCUGUAGGCAACUGGCCCAACUCGCUCCAAUACCUCAAAAGGGCCAACAAAGCGUGGACUGAGCUUUCCACGCACUCCAAAUCUACGUUUGCCUUUGGACGGCGAGACUUUUAGAAACACAUGAUCUCCAACCUGAAAUUCUAAGUCUCGUCUCCGGGUAUUGGCAUAGCUCCUCUGGCGACUCUGAGCUGUCAAAAGAUGUCGACGCACUGCUUUAACCUUUUCCUCAUCCUCAAUCAGAAUCUCAGGCCUCAGCGUCUUCCUUUCACCCACAUCACUCCAAAACAAAAGGGAUCGACAUCUGCGUCCAUACAACGCCUCAAACGGAGCCAUCUGAAUGCUCACUUGAUAGCUGUUGUUGUACACAAACUCAACCAGUCUCAAAUGUCGAUACCACCCUCCUCCAAAGUCCAGGACACAUGCCCUAAGCAUGUUCUCCAAAAUCUGAAUGGUUCGCUCCGACUGACCAUCCGUCUGUGGGUGAAACGCCGUGCUGAAAUGCAACUGUGUACCCAAGGCAGUCUGAAGACUCCUCCAAAAGUGUGAAACAAACCUUGUGUCUCUGUCCGAUACGAUCGAAAACGGUACGCCAUGCAGCCUAACAAUCUCAUCCAGAUAUAGCUGCGCGAGUCUCUCCCUGGACCAGCUGGUCUGUAUUGGUAAGAAGUGAGCAGACUUAGUCAGUCUAUCCAAUAUCACCCAAAUAGCAUCGAAACCAUCCUGUGCUUUAGGCAACCCCACGACGAAGUCCAUCGUGAUCUGCUCCCAUUUCCACUCAGGUAUUGACAGACUCUGAAGCUUGCCAGCAGGUACCAGAUGCUCUGCCUUUACCUGUUGACAAGUCAAACACCGAGCUACAAAUCUGCCAAUGUCCCUCUUCAUUCCAUUCUACCAAAACUGUGCCUUCAAAUCCUUAUGCAUCUUGGUUCCACCGGGGUGAACUGUAUAAGGUGAACAGUGAGCCUCUCUCAAAAUCUCCUCUCGGAUCUCUAAAUCCAUAGGCACACACAGUCGGUCCCUGUACCGCAAUACUCCCGAACUGUCCACAACAAAGUCCUCAGCAUGUCCCCUCUCUAACUGCUCUUGAAUCCUUGACAAGUGCGGAUCUCUACUCUGUUUCUCUCGGAUCCUAUCAAACAGAGUGGGCUGCAAGACCAAAGACAUCAGUCUAGCAGUAGACCCAGGGGACACUAUCUCGAGCCUCAACCGCUAUAGCUCCUCAAGUAACGGCCUCUGCUGUGUGAUCAUCAGGCUCAAGCUCUGUACUGCCUUCCUGCUCAACGCAUCUGCCACCACGUUCGCCCUGCCGGGAUGAUACUGAAUACUAAUGUCAUAAUCCUUCAGUAACUCUAACCACCGGCGUUGCCUCAAGUUCAACUCCUUUUGGGUGAAUAGAUACUUGAGACUUUUAUGAUCAGUGAAAAUCUCAUAGUGCUCGCCAUACAAGUAAUGCCGCCUCAACUUUAAUGCAAAAACCACUGCGGCAAGCUCCAAGUCAUGCGUAGGGUAAUUCUUUUCGUAAUCCUUCAAUUGCCGUGAAGUAUAAGCAAUUACCCUACCAUGAUGCAUCAACACACAGCCCAAACCACUGUGCGAUGUAUCACUGUAGAUCACAAAUCCUUCCCCCAUCAAUAGAAGGGCAAGGAUAGGAGCCGACGUCAACAUCUGUCUCAACUCAUCAAAACUCCUCUGACAAUCCUCACUCCAGAUGAACUUAAUUCUUUUACGAGUCAAUCGAGUGAGGGGUGUGGAAAGCUUCGCAAAACCUUCCACAAACCGACGGUAAUAUCCAGCAACUCCAAGGAAACUCCUCACCUCUGUCACCAUCGUCGGUCUGGGCCAAUCUCGAAUAGCAUCAAUCUUCUUCGGGUCCACUGCUACUCCAACUGCAGAAAUCACAUGGUCCAAGAAAGCAACCUCCCGUAACCAGAACUCGCACUUCUUUAAUUUGGCAUACAACUUCUUCUCUCACAGAAGCUGCAGCACAGUCCUCAAGUGCUCCUUAUGCUCGGUAUCACUCCGGGAGUAUAUCAAGAUAUCAUCUAUGAACACUACCACAAAUCUAUCGAAGAACGGCUUGAACACUCUGUUCAUCAAAUCCAUAAAUGCGGCAGGCGCAUUUGUCAAUCCAAACAGCAUCACAGUAAACUCAUAAUGCCCGUACCGAAUCCGAAAAGCCGUCUUGGGAACAUCCUCGGACCUCACUCUCAACUGGUGGUAAAACCUGACUGUAGAUCAAUUUUUGAGAAGACACAAGAUCCUUACAGCUGAUCAAACAGAUCAUCGAUGCGCGGCAAAGGAUACUUGUUCUUGAUUGUCACUUUAUUCAGCUCCCGAUAAUCCACACACAAUCUAAGCGAACCAUCCUUCUUCUUCACGAAUAACACCGGCGCUCCCCAAGGCGAUACACUGGGUCUCACAUACUCCUUAUCCAUCAGAUCCUGAAGCUGUGCCUUUAGCUCUCUCAGCUCUGCCGGUGCCAUCCGGUAAGGUGCCUUUGAGAUUGGUGCAGUUCCAGGAACUACAUCAAUCACAAACUCAAUUUCCCUCUCCGGCGGCAUUGUCGUCAACUCCGGGAAAAACACGUCCGGACACUCGCGGACUAUAGGGAUAUUCUCGAAUCCCGGCGCCGCCAUAGACACCUCUAUAACCGUCGCCAGAAAAGCAAUGCAUCCUCUACUCAUCAGUUGUCAAGCCCUCACCGAAGAUAUCCAAGUGGCAAACAACGUACUCCUGCAGCCUCUAAAAGUGAACUCCUCCUGGCCUGGCUCGUGGAACGUCACAGUCCUCGCUCCAUAAUCAAUAGUAGUAUAGUACCGCGCCAGCCAAUCCAUACCGAGCACAACGUCAAAGUCCUGCAGCUGCCCUAAGACUAACAGGUCUGCGGGCAUGAUCCAGGAAUUUAACUACAACGGACACGACCAACAACACUCUGCAACAUGUAAAAUAUGAUCGGGGAUCUGCAUCUCUCGUGCCUAUGACAAUGACCCUAACUCUAGAUGAUGCAACAAUAUAAAUGCUCGGCUAACAAAAGAAUGCGAUGCACCGGUAUCAAAAAGUGUACGAACUCUAAUGCCAGAAAUCAAAAUGAUACCUGCCACCACUCGGUCGGCUGCUGUAGAGUCCUCCACCUGAGCUGCGUAGACCCUGUCACUCGGAGCCUGCUGUCGCCGCUCACCUGACGCGGCACAGAUGCUCUAUCCUCCUGGCGGUAACUCAGUGGUGCUCUGUAAGACUGCUGGGGUGCUCGCUGAGCUGAUGCUGAUGAUGGUGCCCGUGAUGCUACUCGGGGACAAGCUGAUCUCAUGUGUCUAGGCUGACCACAGGUAUAACAGCAGUCCUCUCUCUGCUCAUACUGUCGGGGCCAGUGUGGUCCCCGACAGAUCACACACUAUGGAGUCCGCUGUGCCUGUCCCUGCUGACGGGAUCCCCUGGAAUGCUGAAGCCCCGAAGACCCAUGACCCUGAGAACGUGAUCGUGGAGGCCACGGCAGGCGUCUGCUACUCGACUGUCCUCCGUCCUCUGGAAAGGCGCGCUUUCUGUCCUGACUCUGCCCCGGUGCCUGAGUCCUCUCCCGAAUCGAUGCAUCACCUCUCUCUACCCAAAGAGCCUGCUCUAUAGAUGGAUCCAAAGUCCUCAACCUCUGCGCCUGAACAAACCUGAAGAUCUCGGGUCUCAAACCCUGCUCAAAAAGGUAUACUCGGUGCACCUCGUCUCUGGCCACAAACGGAACACAGUUCAGGAGCCGAGUAAACUCCCAGAUGUACUCCUGAACUGUCUGCUCACCCUGCUAGAUCCUCUUCAGGUCUUCCUCGAGUUUCUGUUUUAUGCUGUUGGAAAAAUACAUCCCGAACAGCAUUCCAUAGAACUCGUCCCACCUUAUCUGUGAAGCCACCAACCCGUAGUCUCGCCUCACCCUCCUCCACCAUGCAUGUGCAUCACCUGCUAAGCAGUAAACUCCCAUGUGUACCUGCUCCCGCUCAGGAAUGAACAGAUCCUCGAACAGUUUCUCCAUCGCGCUAACCCAGCCCUCAACAACCCAAGCCUCUGUGCAACUGCCAUCAUAGGUCGGCGGAUCAAAACGACGAAAGCGAGCAAGUCUCUCAGCCAUCCGCUCCUGCUCAGCCUCAGUCAUCUGUGGUGCCUCACCAAAGAUGCAACUGGCGCUGCGGGAACAUCCACUGGCGGGGGUACAGCUGUGGCUGGUGCUGCCGCUGGAGUAGUCGGAGGUGGAACUGAGGCUCUGGUGCUCUCGGUGCAGUACUCUGCGGUGUAGCUAACCUCUCACACAUCUUCUGUAACAACUCCCCCUGCUGCCUCGUCACCUCUGUCAGGGCAGCUAACUGCUCCCUCAGAUUAGGGGGUGCACUAGCCUCUGGUCAUGCACUCGGCUCUGCCUGCUCAGGCAUCUCAGGCGGUGCGGCACGAUCCCUGAGCAACAGUCGACCUCGGCGACGAUACAUAGCUGAAAGGAACAAAACAGGGGUCAGAUACAACAGAAAUACUCUCGACCGAAUCAAACGAAAGUCUAGAAGGCGACCCCUGUUUUUCCUCAAAAUUAUGUCGUCGGCAGCCAACAUAAUUUUUCAGGCCAAGACAGGCACUCCUCCAAUCACCCACUCUACUCUAAAAGGAGUUAGAACAAUCAAUCAUUGACUUUCGCGAUAAUUCACGCCUCUCGCGUCUUGCCUUCCUAAGGUUUGCCAAACAUAGGGUUCCUAGAUCCCAACGACCUCUAAGCUCUGAUACCAAUUUAAUCUGUCACGCCUCGGAUUACUCGUUUCCCGGGGCACGCUAACAGACCCGCCGUAUACAUAGAAAUUUUUCCUACAUACGAAGCGGAACAGUAAAAGUACUUGUAAUCAAACAAUACUACAAACAGUAGUAUAGAACUGUUAGGAAACUAAACCAUAUAUAAAAACAGUGGUUCAAUAUAUACAUAUCAUCCUGGAUACACAAAGACUCGCCUUGGCAAGAUACAACAUCUGUAUGUAAAUGACCAAAAACUACAACCACCUGUAGCUGGUACUCCUCUAGCUCUGCGAUUCGUCUGGAAGGGCUCUAACUCACAAUGCCUUUGCCACGAUCAGAAAAAGCAGCAGCAGCAGCAGCAGCCGAAGACGAUGGCUCUACAAAAACAGGGGUAACACAGGGCGUGAGAACUACUGCAAAAGAAGUAGUCCUCAGUGGGUACCGCCCUCAAACUCAUCGGCUCACCCACUAAGUCUACAGAUGAAUGCUCAAUGAUAAAAAGGAAAGCUGGAACAAAUCUACAGCUACAUGCCACUAUACUAUUAUGAUUCGAUACUACUAUCUGUAGAGUAAAACAAGCUCAGACCCAAACUCACUAGGGACUGUAAACAUAUCGGUCCGAGGGAUUGUGAGCACACCCGUCCCGCCGGUCGAAGCUAUACAGCUACCUCCACACAAAACAGUCCAUGGAGAGCAAGUCCAACCAGGACACAACGACACCAACGUAAACGCACAAAGCCCGACUCCGGAGUGGCACUCGUGGGCGCUACCCAACCGAGUAUGCAAGCGUGUCUUUGCCGAGCUCAAUCAGGCUCUCACAGGCUAUAGUCAAGCAACAGGGUCUAACAGGUCUAACAACCGAACUCACGUGCCCUCGGCACAAUUUGAUGCAAAAACAGCAAUCUGGGUACAUCGUCAAUCACAACGGCACCCGACAGUCCGAAACAGCCUAAACACCGCUGUAAAAAUAAGCUCGGCACCCCAGCACGAGGGUAAAUGAAUUCUAAACUACCGAGAGUAUCCACCACCGUCAACCUGCGAUGAUACAAUCAAACUACGGCUCCUAGGGCUAAAUCUGGUAGUUUAAGCAUAUGUCAGUUAGAAUCGCGGGUUUCUCCUAAGUCAUAUCCAAGUCCAACAUGUAUGAAUAUCUAUAGAUAAUACACUAGGCUCCAAUUCAGAUUUUUAAUCAUGCUAAAUCAAUGAAUCGAGCAAUUACAAUGUGCGAAAUAACACGACGAAUACAUGUCGACUAUAUAUAUACUGAGGAAGUAAACUGAUGAUUAACUCACCUUAAUUGCUAAUCCCUGGCAGCAAGGAAGUCACGUCCCACUAGGAAAACUCAGCUGACCCUGCUCUCAGCCAGCAAUGAUCCACAACCAAGAUCUAAACAUCAAAAACCACUAAAAUCCAUCAAUUUACAUAAUUUCAGCACUUAAGCUUGAUUUUCUCCCAAUCAACAAUGUCAAAACUCACCUAAUCACCUUCAAAUCAGGUGAGGAAAGUCUCAAAUCCAGUGAACCAUGCUGGAGUAUCCUUCUCUAGUUCAAAAUCCCACUUCCUCAAAAGAUUGCAUCAUGAAAACCCAAAAAUUCACAGAUUCAGUCCAAAAACACCAGCAGUGCAGUAAAAAGCCAAAUUGACUAAGCUAACCUCAACCAAAAUCUGUCAAAUUAGUCUCCAUGAAUUCCUCUUGAAGUCUAGAAUCCAACAAACUAAGUUUCACCGCAAUCCGACCUUUCUACGUCGCACACGAACCAAAAUGCCGAAGGUCGUUACUGAAAAUCUGCAGAAUCAGCACUCUUCAAGCUUGGAAUUGUGGAAUUUGGAGAAUUUGGAGGAUUUAGAGGGGUUGAAAUGCAAUCUAAGCCUUCACUGUGAAAAGAGGAUGAAAAGAGCUAAAAGGGGACGUACUCUACCUAUUUAUAGAGUGGUAGAAUGAUCCAAUAAGCCCCAGGUUCAUUAGCUGCCAAUCUGGUAUCCCUGCAGAAACGGCCAGUUUCGGGCGCCCGAAACCAUGUUCUGGGCGUCCGAAACCUCCAGGCUGCACAAAUGCUCCCCUUCGGAUCCUCCGCCCGCGGUGUGCUGCACCCAUAACCGACUCCGGCGGACCUCACCUACCACGAGCCACAUGUCAGCGCAAGCGAUACUCACAAAGUGAAUUUUCAAACCCUCUUCCGGGCGCCCGAAACAAGGACCCGAAUUGGCUUCCAGUUCUGCACAAACCAACACUCAGGUUCUGGGCGACCCAAACCCUAUUCUGGGCGCCUGAAUCUGGCAAAACUCCAGUUUUGCUUAUCGGAGUGCGCCGAGUCCAUUUCUGCAUCCAUUUCGUGCAGAAUUGACUCCGACUCAGUCCGACACUCUCCAGAUGUGUCGACCAAUCACUAAUACUGUAGCCAAUCCUAUCCAAACCUCAGAAACACUACAAAUACUUGCUCCGAUACCAAUUGUUGGAAUUCUGCAAUGAAAGCACCAAAUUGGAUUUUUACCAUAAAUCCGUCUCCUCAACAAAAAGCUAUUACUGGCACAGCCACAAAUGAGAGAAAAAUAAACAGAAAAUAUAGGUGAAAUAAAAUUCACUAACUAAGAGAAGAAUUACACCUGACUUCUAAUCUACAUAGAAUAACUUCAAUCUCGGCCCUCUUUCUGAAUCUCUCACCCCUCUUUUGUCUUCUAUAAAUUUCAUAAGACCACUUACUCAUGCACUCGUGCGCAAGGUGCAUGCAAUUGACCUCUCUCUCUCUCUCUCUCUCUCUCUCUCUCUCUCUCUUUCUCCACCUGAUAUUGGCUUCUAGGCAAAAGGUUGGAACUUUAGAUCACUUGAGCACCAACCAUUCUCUCACCUUCGAGGAGUAGCCUCUCUCUCUCCAUCUCAUAAUGGCUUCUAGGUAAAAGGUUGGAACUUUAGAUCACUUGAGCACCAACCGUUCUCUCACCUUCGAGGAGUAGCCAUACAACCCCCUAGGCUUCAACUCCAUUUAUGCUAUAUAUAAAGAUCAAACAAAGAUGUACCCAAAUCUAAUAAAAUUAGGAAUCAUACUAAUUAAUAUUUAAAUCCAAAUUAAUUUAUCUCUACUGGAUUUAAAUAUUUAUCCUAAUUUAACUAGAAUUCUACUAUAAAUCUGAUCAAAUCCUAACAUAUCGUCUCCAAAGAGGAUCCAAAAAGCACACAUACUAAAUUCCCCAUCCAAACCUUCUUGGCCAGAUUGUCUGCCAUUGGUGAUCUUUCAGAAGUAAUAUCUAAAGAAAUAUAUGUACUUUCAAUGGUAGUCUCAAUCACUAGAUCUUCCUAAACCAUGCAUUUUUUUCUCCCCCUGUCAACCAACAUAAAAACAUUGAUUUGACCGUGAAUCUCCACUCUAAGUUUCAUCUCCAACAAAUGUCAUCAUGUCUACUCUCUAUAGUGACAUUGGAAACCUUAUCUUCAAGUUCACGUAUUCUAACACCAAGUCCUAAAUCCAUUGCGGUAGACCCCCUCAAUAUCUUUCCCCACCCCCACUCCUUGUUGGAUAGGCACUCAUUGAUCCUCAACGCCUUUAAUGUCAUAUUAAUAUAUAUGUCAAAAAAACUCGUUUGUUUUGAGGCUUCCCCACACCAUCUAUCGUUCCAAAAUUCUAUUAAUAAUAUGUCAAAAAAACUUUUUGUAAUGAAGCUUCCCCACACCAUCUAUCAUUCCAAAAUUCUAUUAAUUGGCCAUCUCCCAACUUGUAAUUUACUUCAUAUUUGAAAAAAAAAAAAUCCUUAAGAGAGAUUUCUCCACCACUGCGAGGUGGGUUUGAACGACCUUCCUUCUUUAAGUGGCCUCUUUUUAGUGUGAUAUAAUGAUCUAAUCAACUUGUUCUAUUGCAAAUCAUUUUCUAUAAAAAACCUCCACCACUACUUAAUGAGUGGGGUCUUGUCCAUCCUUAACAAAAUGUCUUUCUUUCUUCUAAACGCACUCCUCCAAGCCACCAAGUACCCUUCACCUUUCAUUGCCAGUUCUCCUUUCCAAAAAAGUCCCCUCGUAGUGUCUUGACGCGUUCAACUACCUAUGUGAUGCUUUGAAGAUUGAGAAGAAUUAUAACGGUAAAUUCGAAAGAACAGAAUUCACCAACAUCAAUCUUCCACCUUUAGAGGGCACUUUGGCUUGCCAUCCUAAUUCUCCUUUUGAACUUUAUCGAUAAUCCUUUCCCAAUCAUCUUUAUUUAUUACCCUAUUCAAUGAGGAUAGGUCAAGGUACCUGGUUGAAAAACUUGCCACCGUAUAUGAUAAUAUUAUGGCCAACUCAAUACUUUGUUCUCUUUACUCCCUGUGUAAAUUUUUUUUGAUUUUUUCUUGUUAAUCUUCAACCCAGAAACAUUCAAAAAGGUUCCAUAGGAGCUUGAGAUUCCUAAUAUAUCUCUUCUUGACUUCUCAGAAAAAAAAAAAUCAUGUAAUCAUGUAAUACCCAGACCCAAUUAAUUCCAAUUUGAAAUUUUAAUAUGCUGACAUGAUUGUGUUAUCGAGACAAACCCAGUAAUAAAAGUUUUGAUUUAUUUAGGCUGUCGGACUGAGACAAUUUGAUUUGAUUUGAUUUUGGAUUAAAUUAUUUCCUAAUACCAAUUAUUGUAGGAUUCCUAACUAAUCACCUUUAAAUAGGGGAUUGAGAGACGGUGUAUGGCUUGUUUGGGUGGUCGUCUUCUCCACGCACAAGUGAGAGGUCGGCGGUGAUUGAAAGCGAAUCGUCAAUCACGGGGAGAGAACACGAGAUAGAAGUAAGUUUCCUUCAUCCUUUUCUCUCCUUUUUUUCUCCUUCUCCUUCUUUGUUUUUUCAUCUCCUCUUUUAUAGCCACUACCGCAUCUAUAGCCGCCACUACUGUAUCCUCAACUAUGACCAUUGUUGAAGUGGCUACCAAUCGUCAUAAGAGUUCAGCCCACCGUUGUGUAUUGUGCUGAGCAAGCCCAUGAAGGCGGUAGCCAUGCUUGCCGAAGAGAAAAGUUGGUUUGGGGAGGAGCUUUAUCGAGAUGAGAAGAAAAGAAAAGGAUGAAGUGUUUUAGAUCUGGGUAGAUCAGGUCAAUAGUGGACUAUGCAAUUUUUACAUAAUGUAAUCUAUAUUUGGGCUUAAAUCUAUCGUAGUAAUAUUUAGAUGCAAUUAAUUAUUAUUUAGCUUGUUUUAAGUCCUAUUUUGUAUGAAAGUUUUGUGAUUUCGAUUGUUUUGAUUAUAUAUAAAGAAGUAAAAAUGAUUUUUAUAAAAGUGACUUUUGAUUUUGAUUGUUUAAUUGGUUAUAAAGCGAUAUAUAGGCAAUUAUAGUUUUGUGGUUUCAAUUGUUUGAUGUGUAAAGCUACUAUACUUUCGGAAGUAUAAAGUAGUUGGUGGUUCUAAUUUUUUGGCCCUUGGAUCAAGAAUUGUAGGGUCGAGAUGAUAAUAGUCCUCCUAGGAUUUAGUGGUCCCUCUUAGACUACAUUUGGUAUAAGAAUUACUGGGGAAUAAUUCAUUUUAUACUCUUUAUUCUACGAAACAUGUAUACAAUAUAAUUUUUUUUCUAGAAUAACCUGUUAAAAUAAUUGUACUCUCACCCUAGAAUAGGAUUUAUCACUGGAGAUAAUCAAGGGCAAGGUAAUAAUAGCCCUUUCUCUUUUCCCAUUACGCCUCAUAAUUCCCGCCGCUUUACUCCCUCCAUCCCACCAACCCUCUUUCCUAUUAUACAUAUAAGAAAAUUAUUAUUGCUUAAUCAUAAUAAUAAGAUAUUUAAUUAGUAAAAUAAAUAAAUUAUAUUUUACUUAUAUAUAUUUGAAUUUAAAUAAUUAUUAAUUUGUUUGGUUGACAAUAGGAUUUGGAAUUGGAAUCAACUUAUUAUUAUUAUUCGGUUAAGAAAAUUUUAAUUUACUAUUUAAGCUCAUAAUCAUAAUUUAAAUUAAAAUCAAAAUUUAUAGUUUAAAUUUAAAUUUAGAUUUGUAAUUUAAAUUUAAUUUCAAAGUCAAAAUGUAAAACUAUAUGUAAAUUCAAAUAUAAAACAUAUAUUAAAAUUUAAAUUUAAAUAUAAAAAUUAAUAAAUUUUGAAUUUAUAUUAUAAAAUUAAAUUUAAAAUUAUAAUUAAAUCUACAAGAAAUAAAUUAUAUUUUUACUUAUAUUAAGUAUUAUUGUCACGCCCCGGAUUACCCGUUUUCCUGGCCACGCCAACAGACCUGCCGUAUACAAAGGAAUUUUCCAUACAUACGAAGUGAUAGCUGUACCUGUAAACAAAUCCAAGCUAUAACUGCAAGGUAAAGAGCUGCUAAACUGAAAAGUAAUAUAUAAACCCUCGAGGGGUUCCAGUACAUAUAAAAUGUCUACUACACUACUCGCUCCAGCGAGUACCCAGGUAACAACCAUAUGUACAUAAAUACCCCAAAACUACCUGUGGGAGGUACUCCUCUAGUACUGCAGCAAUCUGGCAAGGAUCUAGCUCGCAACUUUCCACGAUUAGAAUCAACAUCAAUAGCAGCCGCAGACGAAGAGGGGUCAACAACUGAAUGUGAGAACUACUGCAAAAAGAAGUAACCCUCAGUGGGUACCACUACCGACCUCACGGCUCACCCAUUAAGUCUACAGAAAGUAUGCACAAGGAUAUAUAGUAAAGGAUGCUGACAAAACACUACAGCUAUAUGCCACUAUACUAUCGCUAACCACUAUCUGUAGAUAAAAACUGCACUCUCUGACCCAAUCUCACUAGGGAUUGUGAACACACCCGUCCCGCCUGUCGAAACUACACCAACCACCACCACGCUGGGUUGUCGUGGAGAGCACGUCCAACCAGGACACUACGACAUCAACGCAAAAGCACUAAGCUCGACUCCGGAGCGACACUCGUGGGCGCUACCCAACCGAGUAUGCAAGAAUAUCUCUGUCGAGCUCAAUCAGGCUCUCACAGGCUGUAAUCAAUGCAAAUGGGCCUAAUUAGUCUAACAACCAAAGCUCAUGUGCCCUUGGCACAAUCUGAUACAAAUACAGAAAUCUGGGUCCACCGUCAACCGCGACGGCACCCGACAGUCCGAAACAGUCUAUACACUAUUAUAAAAUAAGCUCGGCAUCCUAGCACGAGCGUAAACUCAUCAUAUACUAAUCUGGGUAUCUACCGCAUACGAACAGCGGCGAUACAAACGAACCACAGCUCCUAAAGCUAAAUCUGGUAAUUUUCAGAAAGUGACAGUAUAGGAUCUAUAUGUUUUCUCCUAAGUCAAUUCCAAGUCCAACAUGUAAAAUUAUCCUACUAGCUUAACUCCAAAUUUAGAUUUUAUCUCUAAUAUUCAUGAAUUCAAGUACUAGCAAGAAAAUAACCCAAUGAAACAUGUCGACGAUAUAAGAACUUAGGAGGUAUUCCGGCGAUUUCGGUAAACUUCAACCCACCUCGGAAAGCUCGUCCAACUACGGCGAGAAGUCAAAAGAAGAGGAAAACACACGCUCGCUCGGUCUCCAACGGCGCAACUGCGACGCAAGCAUGCUCAAACGGCCCUCCGGAUCGACGUCGAAAAUCUCUCGAGCUUGAGUCGCGAUCUCCACCUCGAACACGAUCAAAAACUAGAAGGGGAGAGAGAGCAGCAAACAAAACCUCUUCUCAAUGCUCUCAGUAAGUAUAUAAGGUUGAGGAUAAGGUUGAAAGUAUCGAUACUUCAAAUGACCAAAAGGCCGCUCAUCAACUCAAAAUUCCAGCUGGAGUAUCGGUACCCGAUUUGGUUACUGGUGCUCGGCCUCUCAGCCCGCAAGCUCGCACACCGAGUACCAGUACCAGCGCGAUGAUGUACCGGCACUCAGCAUCAAUUGGCGCAACCCGAGAGCAUACUGUCCAGGAUUUACACUGGGGUACUGGUACUUCUCUGUAUGGUACUGGUACUUAAUACUGAGAACCUGCACUUUGCAGAUUCCAAUGUUAAAACUCUGCUCUCGUGUCGCACUGAGUCCGUUUUGCAUAUAUUUCGCGCCAAAACGACUCCGACUUGUCCCUACACUCUCCAGAUGUGUCGACAAGCCUCAGAUGCUGAAAUCUCACUGGCAACCAACUACAAGGGAUACUACAUCCUCCCCCACUACAAAAAGUUUCGUUCUCGAAACUUAACGCAUACCUCAAUCCUGAGCCUCAAACAAGUAAGGGUAAGACUCCCGCAUCACCGUCUCCGGUUUCCACAUCGCCUCAUGCUCCUCGUGAUGAAUCCACUGCACUUUUACAUAAGGGAUGACCCGAUUGCGCAAUUCCUUCAUCUCACGAGCAAGAAUCCGCACUGGUCGCUCCUGAUAUCUUAAGUCCUCGCCAAGCUCCAGUGGAGUGAAGUCGAUCAUGUGUGAGGGGUCAAACAUGUAUCUUCUCAACGUCGAGACGUGAAAUAUAUCAUGAAUACCGACCAAGCGUGGGGGUAGAGCAAUUCUGUAGGCUAUUGAUCCGACUAGCUCCAAAAAUGUGAGACAAACCUCGAGUUUCGAUCCGAUACUAUCGAGGUAAGCACACCAUGCAAUCUAACGAUCUCAUCCAAGUACAACUGAGCGAGUCUCUCUCUGGACCAGGUGGUCUGUACUGGUAGGAAGUGAGCAGACUUAGUCAGUCCGUCCACUAUCACCCAAAUAGUAUCGAAACCACCUUCUGCUCUCGGUAAUCCCACAACAAAGUCCAUCGUGAUCUGCUCCCAUUUUCAUUCUGGCAUUAGCAGAUUCUGAAGCUUGCCGGCAAGUAUCACUACUAGAAAAUUAGUCAUUAGUGGCAUUUAUUUAUACUGCUAAAUGAUCAACAAAUGCUGCUAAAAGUUUUAGCAGCAUAUGACACCAAAUGCUGCCUAUGCUAAUGUUGCUAAACAUAUUAGCAGCAUUCAUUAUAAAUGCCUUAAAUAUAAAUCAAUUAGUGUCAUUAGGAACAUGCCGCUAAAAGGAAUUAAAUGCUAAUUUUAAAUUGCUUAUUAGUGGCACAUAAAUAUAAUGCCGCUAAUACAAAUAUAUGAUUUUAGAAAUUAAAAUUUUAAAAUCUUAAUUUUAUGAAAUUAAAAUUUUAAAAUUAUUUUAAAUUUAAUUUUUUUGAGAUGAUACCUGCUUCGUUUAUUUUUUUUUUGAAAUGAACUUUGCUGGAAAUGUGAAUUAACUAAGAUUCGAACUUGAGACCUCGAGUACCAACCACCAAGCCCUUUGCUACUUGUGCUAGCAACUAUUAGUUAUUUAUAUUUUAAUUUUUUUUAAUUUUUAGUCUUCUAUUUUAAAAUUUUAAAAUUUUAAAUUUUAAAUUUUAAAAUUUAAAUACUAAAUUUAAAUUUUUAAUUUUGAAAUAUGAAAUUUUAAGUUUCAAAAUUAAUAGUUUUAAAUUUGAAAUUUUAAAUUUAAAAUGGAUUUAAAAAUUUAAUGUAGUAUCCCUGGUGUGCAGCAUUUGAGGCUUGUCGACACGUCGUGAGGGUGUCGGGACAAGUCCAAGUCGUGUUGGCGCGAAAUAGACGCAAAACAGACUAGUGGGCACGCGAGAGCAGGAGUUAACAUUGGAAUCUGCAAACUGCAGAUUUUCUGCUUGUUGUACCGAUACAACAUCGGAAGUGUACAGGUACACUUUCUAUACCGGUACAACAUCGGAGGUGUACCGGUAUACUUUGCCUGUUUCCGCACAGCUGCUCUCGGGUUGCCAUUUGUACCGGUACAGUUGCUCGUGUACCGGUACACCAGGGUAAGUGAGAGGGCUUUUUGGUCUUUUCUCACCUCGUUUGUGUCACCCUCUUCCCCAGUCUAUAUGUUUGCGUAGAGAGGAGUUGAGGGAGAGUUUUUCUGCUGGUUUUCUUCCCUCUCUUUCUAGCUUGGACCGAGUGUGGAGGAGCUCUCGGGUGGAGUUGUUUCGUCGCCGGCGUCGCGUCGCGGAGCCAUUCGAGCACACGAGCGUUGUGGUGGCUGCGUUGGGAGGCUGAGCGAGCGUGUGAUUCCGCCGUUUCGACGUCGCGCCGGUGUUGGAUUAGCAUUUGAGGUGGGUUUAUCAUCGGAUUUCUACUCCUAAAGUCUCGGUUAAUGGCAUGUAUAUUUUGUGUUAUGCAUUUCAUGUGUAAUAGCUCGAAUUUGUGAAUUGUUCAUGUCUUUGACAUCUAAACUGAAUUUGGAGCAUAGUGUUAUUGGUAGAUAAAUUAGACAUGUAGACUUGGAUUUGACUUAGAAGAAAAUCCGCGAAUAUAACCCGUCAUAUGCUUACACUACCAGUUUAGCUUUAGGAGCCGUUGUUAUUUGGUAUCGCCGCAGUAUCAGCGUGGUGGAUACCCCAGGUAGUGUAGAUUGCUGUUACGCUCGUGCUGGGAUGCCGGGCCUAUUUUUUUUUACAGUAGUGUUCAGACUGUUCCGGACUGUUCGGGGCCGUCGAGGUUGACGGUGGACUCAGAUUGCCGUGUUGGCACCAGAUUGUGCCGAGGGCACGUGACUUGUUGGUUGUUAGACCAGUUGGACCCUGUUUCUUGACUUUAGCCUGUGAGAGCCUGAUUGAGUUCGACAGAAAUACGCUUGCAUACUCGAUUGGGUCGCGCCCACGAGUGCCACUCCGGAGUCGGACUUAGUGCUUUUGCGUUGGUGUCGUUGUGUCCUGAUUGUACUUGCUCUCCACUAACUACCCAGCGUGGUGGUUGUUAGUGCAGCUUCGACAGGCGGGACGGGUGUAUCACAGUCCCUGUUGAGAUUGGGUCAGUAUUUACUUUUACUACAGUUGGUUAGUGUAGCGCAUGAUAGUGUAGGGACAUGUAGCUGUAGGUUGUCUUCCAGCUUUUCCUACUAUUUUUACUUCCUUCUGUAGACUUAGUGGGUGGACCGAUGAUGUUGAGGGCGGCACCCACUGAGGACUAUUUAUUUUACAGUAGUUCUCACACUCAAUUGUUCCUUUUCGUUUUGUAGAGCCGUCGUCGUCGGCUACUACUGAUCCUGAUCGUGACAAGGGCGUCGCGAGUUAGAACCCUACCAGACGAGCCAGAGCUAGUGGAGUACCAGCUACAGGUAGUUAUAGUUUUUGGUUCAUUACAUACUGAUGUUAUACCUCGCUGGAGCGAGUGUUUUUGUACCAGGAUACUGUGUAUGUACUGAUCCAUUUUUAUUAUAUACUCAUGUUCUUUUUCCUAACAGCUCUAUACUACUGGUUGUAGUAUUGUAUUAUUGCAAGUACAGUUACAGCUUCGCUUCGUUUACGGAAAAAAUUUCUAUGUAUACGGCGAGUCUGUUGGCGUGCCCGGAGAAAUGAGUAAUCCAGGACGUGACAUUUAAAAUUUAAAAAUUAAAAAUUUUAGAAUUUAAAAUUUAAAAUAUAAAUUUUAAAAUUUUAAAAUUUAAAUUAUAAGUUAAAUUUUUAAAAUUAUAUGUUUCGAAUUUUAAACUUUAAUUUUAGAAUUUUUAAUUCUAAAUAAAAAAGGAAUAUAUUAAUUAGUAAUGAUAUUUAGUAAUAAGUGCUGCUAGUUUAUUAUAUUUAGCGGCAUUCACUAAUUUAUACUGCUAACUUAUCAUAUUUUGCAACCUUAAUAGUAAAUUGCUGCUAAAUAAUUAAAUCUAGCGGCAAUUAUCAAGUAAUGCUGCUAAAUAUAUUAAUUGGUAUGAUUUAAAUAAAAUAUUGCGGAGCAAAUAUUGCGGCAUUUAGCAAUAAGUGCUUUACUUUAUUACAUUUAGUGUCAUUUUUUAUAAAAUGGCGGCAUUCACUCAUUUAUGCUGCUAAUUUAUUCUAUUUUGCAACAUUAAUAGUAAAUUGCUGCUAAAUUAUUAAAUUUAGCGGCACUUAUAAAGUAAUGCUGUUAAAUAUAUUAAUUAACGUUAUUUAAAUAAAUGCUGCGGAGUAAAUACCGCUAAAUCAUGAAUUUGUAGUAGUGCACCUGAUGCUCAGCUUUCACUUAUUGGCAAGUCAGACACUGAACCACAUAUCUACCAAUGUCCCGCUUCAUUCCAUUCCACCAGAAGUGCGCGUUCAAGUCCUUAUACAUUUUGGUUCUACCAGGGUGAACCAUAUAAGGUGAGUAAUGAGCCUCUCUCAAAAUCUCCUCUCGGUUCUCUGAAUCCAUAGGCACACACAGUCGGUCCCUGUACCGCAGUACUCCCGAACUGUCCACAGAAAAGGCCUCCGCAUGUCCCCUCUCUAACUGCUCUCGAAUCCUCAAUAAGUACGAGUCUCCACUCUGUUUCUCCCUGAUCCUGUCUAACAGAGUAGGCUGCAAGACCAUAGACAUCAGUCUCGGAGUAGACCCAGGGGACACUACCUCGAGCCUUAACCGCUGCAGCUCCUCAAGUAACGGCUUCUGCUGAGUAAUCAACAUGCCCAAGCUCUGCACUGAAUUCCUGCUUAACGCAUCUGCCACCACAUUCGCCUUGCCGGGAUGAUAUUGAAUACUAAUAUCAUAGUCCUUCAAUAACUCUAACCACCGGCGUUGCCUCAAGAUUAACUUCUUUUGGGUGAACAGAUACUUGAGACUUUUAUUAUCAGUGAAAACCUUGCAGUGCUCGCCAUACAAGUAAUAUCGCCACAACUUCAAAGCAAAAAUCAUCGUAGCAAGCUCCAAGUCAUGCGUAGGGUAAUUUUUUCUCGUAAUUAUUCAGUUGCUGAGAAGCAUAAGCAAUUACCCUACCAUGCUGCAUCAGCACACAACCCAAACCACUGUGUGAUGCAUCACUGUAAAUCACAAAUCCUUCCCCUAUAAUUAGGAGGGCAAGGAUAGGAGCCGACAUCAACCUCUGUCUCAACCCAUCGAAGCUCCUCUGACAAUCCUCACUCCAGAUAAAUUUAAUUUCCUUUCGAGUCAAUCGAGUGAGGGGUGUAGAAAGCUUCGCAAAGCCUUCCACAAACCGACGAUAAUAUCCAGCUAAUCCAAGGAAAAUCCUCACCUCGGUCACCGUCAUCGGUAUGGGCCAAUCCCGAAUAACAUCAAUCUUCUUCAGGUCCACUGCUACUCCAACCGCAGAAAUCACAUGGCCCAAGAAAGAAACCUCCCACAACCAAAACUCGCACUUCUUCAGCUUAGCAUACAACUUCUUUUCCCUCAAAAGCUGUAACACUAUCCUCAACUGCUCCUCAUACUCGACAUUACUCCAGGAGUAUAUCAGAAUAUCAUCAAUGAACACCACUACGAAUCUAUCCAAGAACGGCUUGAAUACUCUAUUCAUCAGAUCCAUAAAUGCGACAGGGGCAUUCGUCAAUUAAAAAGGCAUCACAGUGAACUCAUAAUGCCCGUAUCGAGUCCGAAAGCCUUCUUGGGAACAUCCUCUGAUGCAGAAUCGGGUGCGGAUAGGAUUGAUCCGUUUAGGUUUUAAAUUUUUUUCUAAUUUUCAGAAUUAUUUUACUUUUUAAUUUGUUUUAGUCGUUUUUGUGAAGAUUUUUAGGAUUUAUCAUAUGGAAUAAAUUACUAAAAAUUAGGGAUAUGGUUUAGAUUUUUUUUUAUAUACUCAAAUUAGGAAAAUAUCUCAAAAAUCUUGAGAUUUGAAUUAGAUUAGGAUUACGGUUGGAAGGUUAUAACUAUAGCCUAUAAUUUGUAAUUUGGGAACGAGUUAUGAUAGAAUAAAAUUUGGGUUUGUGUUUUGACUGUGGUCAUGGUAUCUUCGUCCCCUCUCAUUCUCUGCCGUGUGUAUCAGCAAGAUCCUUCUCAAGAGGUUCUAUCUUUUUCUUUCUCUUCUUCUUUUCUCCUUUCAUCUAUUUCUCUUAUUCUUCAAUCUUCUCUUAAUUUUCUUUUAAAAGAAAAUGUCUAAAUCUUUUUUUUUUCUUAGAGCCGUACUACUUUUUUAAUUUUUUUCCUCUUUUUUUUAUUACGAAAAUUAAUUUAAAAUUUAUUAAAAUCUUUAAAAAAAUAUUUUAAAAAAUCUAAAAAUUAAUCUAAAAUUUUUAGAAAAUUCUAAAUUUGGUUUUAAAUUGAUUUUGGGCUCAUCACUUGGAAGAUAGAUUAUGGUUUUCUUAAUCUGUCCUGCAUCAGUUUUGGUAUCAGAGCAAAAUUGAUCAAUAAAUUAAUUUUCAUAAUGCCGACAAACGCAAUACUUUGUUCAAUGCUUGAAGAAUUUAAAUUUUCUACCAACACUCGUUUUGAAAAGUUAGAAACUAAUUUGCAAUCAACUAACCAACAAUUAGCGAAAAUCAAACAACUCCUUGAAAACCUAAUUCAUUCUAAACCUCCACCGCUCACGAGCUCGUCUAUAACAUCUGCAACUUUCGUCCCACCUUUGUCCCACCAGAACAUCAUUUCUAUUUCUUUUAUCUCUUCUUUCCAAACUGUUCUGAGAUUUGAUGGUGUUCAUUCUCGAGUGCAAAUUAAUCAGCAAUUUUCUCGUAAUCUUAUUUCAAGAAAAUUGGUAGAAAAAUUAAAUUUUAUGCCCUGCCGUUGUUCUUCUCCUUAUCUUAUUUCUUAUGGUGGCACUAUUAUCAAAUCUAACUAUAUUAAAUCCGGCAUACUCACAAUGCAAGAUGAAUACCAACAGGAAAUUGUAUUCGUCAUGGUUGAUAUUGAGGGAUGUGAGAUAGUACUUGGACAACACUGGCAUGAAUCAAAAAAUGCUUUUCAAGCCACAGAGGAAAAUUAGUAUAUCUUUCAUGAUAAUGGCAUUCAAUAUGCUAUUUUUCCAAACGUAAAGAAGCCGAAGCCGAUGUAGCUACAUCCAAUCAUGUCCGACUCUUCACCACCUUCAUCGACUCCACAAACUUUGGAGCCAUCUAGGCAGAUUACGGAGCUGCCUGUUAUUUCACCUUCGUUACCACCACCGAAGACUCCUUUUCUACUACAAGUUGAGUUUCAAACUGCAGUCGUGGCUGAGAUGGUGCUGACAAGGAUUAUUCGACAUUCAGGUGUCGGACUACAUCAUCAUAUCUGUGUUAUGGUUUGGUGCUAUUAACUUCUUCUUCUAAAUAUAUUGAUCUCGAGGACGAGAUCCUGCGCAGCGGAAGCGAAUGAUGCAAAAUUGAGGGCGGAUAGGAUUGAUUCGUUUAGGUUUUCAACUUUUUCCUAAUUUUCGGAAUUAUUUUACUUAUUAAUUUGUUUUAGUCGAUUUUGUGAAGAUUUUUAGGAUUUAUCAUAUGAAAUAAAUCCCUAAAAAUUAGGGAUAUGGUUUAGAUUUUUUAUAUAUAUACUCGAAUUAGGAAAAAGCCCUAAAAUCUUGGGAUUUGAAUUAGAUUAGGAUUACGGUUGGAAGGUUAUAAAUAUAGCCUAUAAUUUGUAAUUUGGGAACGAGUUAUGAUAGAAUAGAAUUUGGGUUUGUGUUUUGAUUGCAGUCAUGGUAUCUUCGUCCUCUCUCCUUCUCUGCUGUGUGUAUCAGCAAGAUCCUUCUCAAGAGGUUCUAUCUUUCUCUUUCUCUUCUUCUUUUCUCCUUUCAUCUAUUUCUCUCUUAUUCUUCAAUCUUUUCUUAAUUUUUUUUUUAAAAAAAUGUCGAAAUCUUUUUUUUUUCUUAGAGUCGUAUUACUUUUUUAAUUUUUUCCUCUUUAUUUUUAAUUACGAAAAUUAAUUUAAAAUUUAUUAAAAUCUUUAAAAAAAAUAAAAAAAUCUAAAAAUUAAUCUAAAAUUUUAAAAAAAUUCUAAAUUUGGUUUUAAAUUGAUUUUGGGCUCAUCACUUACAAGAUAGAUUAGGGUUUUUUUAAUCUGUCCUGCAUCAUCUUCGGCUCUCACCCGCAACUGGUGGUAACCUGACUGGAGAUCAAUAUUCGAAAGGACAGAAGAUCCUUGCAGCUGAUCAAACAGAUCAUCGAUGCGCGGCAAAAGAUAUUUGUUCUUGAUGGUCACUUUAUUCAGAUCCCGAUAAUCCACACACAAUCUAAUUGAACCAUCAUUCUUUUUCACGAAUAACACCGGCGCUCCCCAAGGCGAUACACUGGGUCUAACAUACCCCUUAUCCAUCAAAUCCUGAAGCUACGCCUUCAGCUCUCUCAGCUCUGCUAGUGCCAUCUGGUAGGGUGCCUUCGAAAUUGACGCAGUUCUAGGAACUACGUAAAUCACAAACUCAAUCUCUCUGUCCGGCGGCAUAGUCGUCAACUCCGGGGAAAAAAAAUCCGAAAACUCGCGGACUAUAGGGAUAUCCUUGAGUCCCGGCGCCGCCGUAGGCACCUCUACUACAGUCGCCAAGAAAACGAUGCAUCCUCUACUCAACAGCUGUCUAGCCCUCGCAAACGAUAUCCAAGUGGCAAACAAUGUACUCCUGUAGCCCGUGUACGUGAACCCCUCCUGGCUUGGCUCGCAGAACGUCAUUGUCCUCGCUUCAUAGUCGAUCAUAGCAUAGUACCACGCCAGCCAAUUCAUACCAAGCACAACAUUAAAGUCUUGCAGCUGCCGUAAGACCAACGGGUAUGCGGGCAUAAUCCAAGAGCCCAACUGCAUUGGACACGACCAACAACACUCUACUACCUGCAAAACAUAGUCGAAAAUCUGCACCUCUCAUGCAUGCAACAACGGCCCUACGUCUUGCCCAUGCAAUAAUGCAAAUGCUCGGCUAACAAAAGAAUGUGAUGCACCAAUAUCAAAUAAGGUACGUACUCUAAUACCAGAAAUCAAAAUGAUACCUGCCACCACUCGGUCGGCUGCUGUAGAGUUCUCCACCUGAGCUGUAUACACUCUGCCACUCGAGGACUGCGGUCGCCGCUCACUCUGCCGCGGCACAGAUGCUCUGUCAUCCUGGCGGUAACACGGUGAUGCUCUAUAGGACUGCUGAGGUGUCGGCGGUGCUGACGUCAUCGAAGGUGCUGGUGAUGCUGCUCGGGGCCAAGCUGCCCUCAUAUAUCCAGGCUAUCCACAUGUGAAACAUCGGCCCUCUCGCUGCUCACACUGUCAGGGCCAGUGUGGUCCCCCACAAAUCACACACUGCGGAGUCCCCUGCGACUGUCUCUGCUGACGAGGUCCCCCAAAAUGUUGUCGCCCCGAAGACCCACGAUCCUAAGAGCAUGAUCGUGGAGGCCUCGGCGGACGCCUGCUGCUCGACUGUCCUCCAUCAUCUGGAAUCGGGCGCUUCCUAUCCUGAGUCUGCCCCGGCACCUGAGCCCACUCACGGAUCGAUACAUCUCCUCUCUCCACCUACAACGCCUGCUCAAUCGACGCAUCCAAGGCCUCAACCUCUGUGCUUGUACCAACCGGAAGAUCUCUGGCCUCAAGCCCCCCUCAUAAAGAUAUGCCUUGUAGGCUUCAUCCCUGACUACGACGGUACACAGUUCAGAAGCCGAGUAAACUCACGAGUAUACUCCUGAACUGAUCGCUCUCCCUGCUGUAGCUUCUUCAGAUCCUCUUCGAGUUUCUGCUUCACGCUGUUUGGGAAAUACGCCGCAUACAGCAUUUCGCAGAACUCAUCCCACUUCAUCUGUAACGCCACCAACCCUCGAGUCUACCUUAUCCUCCUCCACCAGGAGUGUGUAUCGCCGGCCAAAUAGUGUACUCCCAAAUGUACUCGUUCUCGCUCUGGUAUAAACAGGUCCUCGAACAACUUCUCCAUCGGGCUCACUUAGCCCUCUACAACCCAAGGCUCCGUGCAACUGCCAUCAAAACGCAGUGGAUCAAAUCGACGAAAACGAGCAAGCCUCUCUGUCAUCCACUCCCGCUCAGCCUCAGGCAUCUGCGACGCUUCUCCAUAGAAUGUGAUAGGCGCCGUAGGAACUGUGAUUGGUGGGGGUACAGCUGUGGCUGGUGCGGCCACUGGAGUAGUCCAUGGUGGAGCUAACUGCUCUGGUGCUCUAGGCGUUGUGCUCAGCGGCGGAGUAAAUAUCUCGCACAUCCUCUAUAACAGUGCCCCCCUGCUACCUCGUCGCCUCAAUUAGGGCAGCUAACUGCUCUCUCAUAUCAGGGGGUGCACUCGGCCCUGCCUGCUCAGGCAUCUCGUGUGGCGUGGCACGAUCCCGCAUCGACGGUCGACCUCGGCGUCGAUACAUGGCUACCUAAAACAAAAACAAGGGUCAGAUACAAAACACAAUCACUCUCGACCCAAUCAAGCGAAAGUCUAGAAGGCCGCCCAUGUUUCUCCUCAAAAUUAUACCGUCUGCAGCCAAUAUAAUUUUCUUAGUCGAAACAGACACUCCUUCAAUCACUCACUCCACUCAAGAAGGAGUUAAAACAAUUCAAUCGCUGACUUUCGCGAUAAAUCACGCCUCACGCCUCUCGCGUCUUCCCUUUCUAAGGUUUGCCAAGCUUAAGGUUUCCUAGGUCCCAACGACCUAAUACUAAACUCUGAUACCAACUUAAUCUGUCACGCCAGGCACGCCAACAGACCUGCCGUAUACAAAAAAAUUUACCAGGCAUACGAAGUGAUAGCUGUACCUUAAACAAAUCCAAGCUACAACCACAAGGUAAAGAGCUGCUAAACUGAAAAGUAAUAUAUAAAACUUCGAGGGGUUUCAAUCCAUACAAAAUGUUUACUACACCACUCGCUCCAGCAAGUACCCAGACAAAAACUAUAUGUACAUAAAUACCCCAAAACUACCUGUGGGAGGUACUCCUCUAGUACUGCAGCAAAUCUGGAAGGGAUCUAGCUCGCGACUCCCUUUCCACGAUCAGAAUCAGCAACAGCAACAGCCGCAGACGAAGGCUCUGCAAAAAGGGGUCAACAACUGGAUGUAAGAACUACUGCAAAAAGAAGUAGCCCUCAGUGGGUACCGCUACCGACCUCAACGGCUCACCCACUAACUUUACAGAAAGUAUGCACAAGGAUAGUAAAGGAUGCUUACAAAAUACUACAACUAUAUGCCACUAUACUAUCGCUAACCACUAUCUGUAGAUAAAAACUGCACUCUCUAUAUAGUAUCCUUGUUUGUUAUUGUGAGUUGGUAAAGGGCAUACUGGUCUUUGCCAAUCCUUAUCACCUCCACCGCCUUAAUUAAGGCGGCAAGCUGUGAGUUGGAGGAUUGCUAAUUAAUGUUGACUCUCAUUUCUCUCUCUAGAAUUGGAAUGUAAGUUGGAGGAGGAGCUCGGUGGAGUGCCGUUGGAGCUCGGAUUCGACGCCGACAUCGCGCCGCGAAGCCGUUCGAGGGUACAAUCGCCGCCGUAGCAUCGCGAGGAGGCCGGGCGAGGGUGUUUUUCCGCCGUUCUCGAUGUCGCGCCGGAUUGGAUUUAGCGAUCGAGGUGGGUUUAUCAUCGGAUUCUUACUUCUAGAGGCUUGUUGGUCGACAUGUAUAUUUCGGGUUUUCACGUACUUGUAUUAUAGCUCUAAUUCAUGACCGUUUCAUGUUUUGUUGAUUAGAAUGAGUUUAGAGCAUGAUUCUAAUUAUGGAUAAAUUAUGAAUAAGUUUAGAGCAUGAUUUUGAUUAUGGAUAAAUUAUACAUGUUGGACUCAGAUUUGACUUAGGAGAAAAUCCGCGAAUAACCUGUCAUUAUGCUUACACUACCAGAUUUAGCUCUAGGAGCCGUUAUAUUUUUGUAUCACCACAGUGUCAGUGUGGUGGAUACCCCAGGUAGUGUAGUCAGCUGUUAAGCUCGUGCUCGGAUGCCGAGCCUAUUUUUUUUCAGUAGCUUCAGAUUGUUCCGAAUUGUUGGGUGCUGUUGGGACUGACGGUGGACCCGGUUUGCCGUUUUGGCAUCAGAUUGCGCUGAGGGCGCGUGACUUUUGGUUGGUAGACCAGUUGAACCCAGUGUACUUGACUAUAGCCUGCGAGAGCCUUAUUGAGCUCGACAGAGAUGCGCUUGCAUACUCAAUUGGGUAGCGCCCACGAGUGCCACUCCGGAGUCGGGCCUAGUGCUGUUGCAUUGGUGUCGCUGUGUCCUGGUUGGACUUACUCUCCACUAACUACCCAGCGGGGGUGGUUGUAGUGUUGCUUCGGCAGGCGGAACGGGUGUAUCACAGUCCCUAAAUAGAUUGGGUCAGCAUUAAUAUUUUUACUACGGAUAAUUAGAGUAGAGCAUGAUAGUAUAGUGAUAUCUAGCUGUAGAUGUUUCCAGCUUUCCUACUAUCCCAGCUCCUUUCUGUAGACUUAGUGGGUGGACCGAUGAUUGUUGAGAGCGGCACCCACUGAGGACUACUUGUUUUUACAGUAGUUCUCGCGCCCAGUUGUUACCCUGUGUUUUGCAGAGCCUGCUGUUCUAGUUGCUGCGCCUUCCGAGGCUGAUCGAGGCAAGGGCGUCGCGAGUUAGAGCCCUACCCGACGAGUUGCUGAGAUAGAGGAUCCACCACUGCAGGUAGUUUCGGUUUAUUUUGUUGAGUUCAUGUACAUACAGUUGUUAUAACUCGCUGGAGGGAGUACCUUUGUAUAGCGUUUUGUUGUAUGUAUGUGAGACUUGUUUUAUCCUACCUGUUUGGUUUCUUUACAGCUCUAUACUACUACUUGUAGUAUUGUAUAUUUUCAGUUAUCAAUACGCUUCGUAUACAGGGAAAAUUCUUUGUAUACGACGGAUUUGUCGACGUGCCCGGGAAUUGUGUAAUCCGGGGCGUAACAGAUUAAAUUGGUAUCAGAGCUUAGUAUUAAGUCGUUGGGACCUAGAAAACCUAAGUUUGGCAAACCUUAGGAAGGCAAGACGCGAGAGGCGUAAUUUAUUACGAAAGUCAGUGAUUAAUUGUUCUAACUCCUCCUAGAGUGGGGUGAGUGAUUGAAGGAGUGCCUAUUUUGGCCUGAGAAAUUAUGUUCGCUGCAGACUACAUAAUUUUACGGAAAGAUAGGUGCCGCCUUCUGGACUUUCGUCGAUUGGGUCAAGAGUGCUUAUGUUUAUCUGACCCUGCUUUUCUUUUUGCAGCUAUGUAUCGUCGUCGAGGCCGACCGUCGACACGGGAUCGGGCACAGUUGGCACAGGAUCGUGUGGGACCUUCUGAGAUGCCUGAGCAGGCGGAGCCGAGUGCCCGGCAAGAGCAGGGUGUUCGACCGGAGGCGAGUGCAUCCUCGGGCUUGACUGCACAGUUGGCCGUCCUGACCGAGGUGACGAGGCGGCAGGGGGAGUUGUUGGAGAGGAUGUGUGAGAGGUUAGCUUCGCCCCAGAGUUCAGCACCGAGGGCACCAGAGUCGUCUGUUCCACCUCCGACUACUCCAGUGGCAGCACCAGUUGCAGCAGUACCUCCGCCAGCAGCCGUUCCAGUAGCACCAGUUGCGCCUGCUUGGGGGCCAAUACAGUUGACAGAGGCCGAGCAGGAGCGAUGGACGGAGAGGUUUGCUCGUUUUUGCCGUUUUGAUCCACCGAUUUUCGAUGGCAGUUGCACUGAGGCCUGGGUUGUUGAGGGAUGGGUCAGUGCGAUGGAGAAACUAUUUGAGGAUCUGUUCAUUCCUAAGGGGGAGCAGGUGUCUUUGGGAGUCCAUUGUUUGGCAGGUGAUGCCCACGCCUGGUGGAGGAGAGUGAGAAGAGAGCAGGGACUGGUAGCGUUGCAGUUGAGAUGAGAUGAGUUCUGUGGAAUGCUGUUUGGGAUGUUCUUUCCCAACAGUGUGAAACAGAAGCUCGAGGAGGAUUUGAAGAGGAUUCAGCAGGGGGAUCGUCCAGUGCAGGAGUACAUUCGAGAGUUUACUCGACUCCUGAACUGUGUGCCAUUUGUGGCCAGGGACGAGACACAUAGGGUCUAUCUGUUUGAGCAGGGGCUAAGACCUGACAUUUUCAGGUUAGCGCGGAUGCAGAGGUCGAGGACUCUGGAUGCGUCCAUAGAGCAGGCCUUGUGGGUGGAGAGAGGUGAGGUGUCAUUGCAGGAGAGGACUCAGGCCGUGGGGCAGAGUCAGGACAGGAAGCGCCCCUUUUCAGAUGAUGCUGGACAGUCGAGUAGCAGGCGUCCGCCGAGGCCUCCACGAUCACGCUCUCAGGGUCGUGGGUCUUCGGAACGUCAGCGUUCUAGGGGAUCCCAUCAGCAGGGGCAGACUCAGAGGACACCGCAGUGUGUGAUCUGCGAGGGGCCACACUGGCCCCGGCAGUGCGAGCAGAGAGAGGGCCGUUGCUACCCUUGCGGUCAGCCAGGACAUAUGAGGUCAGCUUGUCCCCGUGCAGCAUCACCAGCGCCAUCCACUGCAUCAGUGCAGCCGGCAUCUCAGCCGUCCUUUGGAGCAGCACCGAGUUUCCGCCAGGAGGAUAGAUCGUCUAUGCCGCGUCAGGACGAGUGGCGACAGCAGGCUCCGAGCAACAGGGUCUAUGCAGCCUAGGUGGAGGACUCUACAGUGGCCGACCGAGUGGUGGCAGGUAUCACUUUGAUUUCUGGCAUUAGAGUUCAUACUCUCUUUGAUACCGGUGCAUCUCAUUCGUUUGUUAGCCGAGCAUUUGCAUUGUUGCAUGGUCUAGAGUUAGGAGCCUUGUCUCAGGCACGAGAGGUGCAGAUCCCAGACCAUACUUUACAGGUUGCGGAGUGUUGUUGGUCGUGUCCCGUGCAGUUGGAUUUGUGGAUCAUGCCCGCAGACUUGUUGGUUUUAGGGCAGCUGCAGGACUUCGACGUUGUGCUCGAUAUGGAUUGGUUGGUCCGGUACUUUGCUACGAUUAAUUGUGGAGCGAGGACAGUGACGUUCCGUGAGCCAGGCCAGGAGGAAUUUACUUUUAGAGGCUGCAGGAGUACACUGUUUGCCACUUGGAUAUCUUCGGCGAGGACUCGACAGCUGAUGAGUAGAGGAUGUGUUGCCUUUCUGGCGACUGUUGUUGAGGUACCUACGGCGGCGCCGGGACUCGAGGAUAUUCCUGUAGUCCGCAAGUUUCCAGAUGUGUUUUCCCCUGAGUUGACGACGAUGCCGCCGGAGAGGGAGAUUGAGUUUGUGAUUGAUGUAGUUUUUGGAACUGCACCAAUCUCAAAGGUACCUUAUCGGAUGGCACCGGCAGAGCUGAGAGAGCUAAAGUCGCAGCUUCAGGAUCUAAUGGACAAGGGGUAUGUGAGACCCAGUGUGUCACUUUGGGGAGCGCCGGUGUUAUUUGUAAAGAAGAAGGAUGGUUCGCUCAGGUUAUGUGUGGAUUACCGGGAGCUAAAUAAAUUGACCAUCAAGAACAAAUAUCCACUGCCGCGCAUUGAUGAUUUGUUUGAUCAGUUGCAGGGAUCCUUCGUCUUCUCGAAGAUUGAUCUUCAGUCCGGUUACCACCAGCUGAGGGUGAGGGCCGAAGAUAUUUCCAAGACGGCUUUUCGGACUCGGUACAGGCAUUAUGAGUUUACGGUCAUGCCUUUUGGAUUGACGAAUGCCCCUGCCGCAUUCAUGGAUUUGAUGAACAGGGUGUUCAAGCCGUUCUUGGAUAGAUUUGUGGUAGUCUUCAUCGAUAAUCUUCAUCGAUAACAUUCUGAUUUACUCUCGUAGUGAUGCUGAGCAUGAGGAGCACUUGAGGAUUGUGCUACAGCUUCUGCGAGAGAAGAAGUUAUAUGCCAAGUUAAAGAAGUGUGAGUUUUGGUUGCGGAAAGUUGCUUUCUUGGGCCACGUGAUUUCUGCAGAGGGAGUGGCAGUAGACCCGAAGAAGAUUGAUGCUAUUCAGGGUUGGCCUAGACCGACGACGGUGACAGAGGUGAGGAGUUUCCUUGGGCUAGCAGAAUAUUAUCGUCGGUUUGUGGAAGGCUUUGCGAAGCUUUCCGCACCCCUUAUUAUUUUGACAUGGAAAGGGAUUCGGUUUGUUUGGAGUGAGGACUGCCAGAGGAGCUUCGACGAGUUUAGACAGAGAUUGAUGACAGCUCCUAUCCUUGCCCUUCCUGUGAUGGGGGAAGGAUUUGUGAUCUAUAGUGAUGCAUCGCACAACGAACUGGGUUGUGUGCUGAUGCAGUAUGGUAGGGUGAUUGCUUAUGCUUCACGGCAGUUAAAGGAUUAUAAGAAGAAUUACCCUACGCAUGAUUUGGAGCUUGCAGCGGUAGUCUUUGCUUUGAAGUUGUGGCGGCAUUAUUUGUAUGGCGAGCACUGCGAGGUUUUCACCGAUCAUAAAAGUCUCAAGUAUCUAUUCACUCAAAAGGAAUUGAAUCUGAGGCAGCGCCGGUGGCUAGAGCUACUGAAGGACUAUGACAUUAGUAUUCAGUAUCAUCCCGGCAGGGCGAAUGUAGUGGCAGAUGUGUUGAGCAGGAGGGCAGCGGAGAGCUUGAGCUUGUUGAUCACUCAGCAGAGACCGCUACUUAAGGAGCUACAGCGACUGAGGCUUGAGGUGGUGUCUCCUGGGUCUACUGCAAGACUGAUAACUCUCGUCUUGCAGCCCACUCUAUUGGAUAGGAUCCGAGAAAAACAGAAUGGAGAUCUGCAUUUGUUGAGGAUUCGAGAGCAGUUAAUUAGGGGACAGGCCGAGGGUUUUGGUUUGGACAGCUCGGGAGUACUGCGGUACAGGGAGCGACUGUGUGUGCCUGUGGAUUCAGAGAUCCGAGAGGACAUCUUGAGGGAGGCUCAUUGUACACCUUAUACGGUUCACCCUGGGGGAACCAAGAUGUAUAAGGACUUGAAGAUCCAGUUUUGGUGGAAUGGAACGAAGAGGGACAUUGGCAGGUUUGUGGCUCAGUGUCUGACUUGUCAACAGGUAAAGGCCGAGCAUCAGGUACUUGCUGGCAAGUUUCAGAGUUUGUCAGUGCCCGAGUGGAAAUGGGAACAGAUGGCGAUGGAUUUCGUUGUGGGGUUGCCUAGAGCACAGGGUGGCUUCGAUGCGAUUUGGGUGAUAGUGGACAGACUGACCAAGUCUGCUCACUUCCUACCAGUUCAGACCACCUGGUCCAGAGAGAGACUCGCGCAGCUUUACUUGGAUGAGAUCGUCAGGCUACAUGGUGUGCCAGUAUCGAUUGUAUCAGACCGAGACCCGAGAUUUGUGUCGCAUUUCUGGAGGAGUUUACAGACAGCUUUGGGGACUCAGUUACAUUUCAGCACAGCAUUUCACCCACAGACGGAUGGUCAGUCGGAGUGGACCAUUCAGACUCUAGAGAACAUGCUGAGGGCGUGUGUCCUGGACUUCGGAGGAGGGUGAUAUCGACACUUGAGACUAGCAGAUUUUGCGUAUAACAACAGCUAUCAAACGAGCAUUCAGAUGGCUCCGUUUGAGGCGUUGUAUGGACGCAGAUGUCGAUCCCCGUUGUUUUGGAGUGACGUGGGUGAGAGGAGGACACUUGUGCCUGAGAUUUUGCUAGAGGCUGAGAAAAAGGUGAGAGUUGUUCGACGACACCUUUUGACAGCUCAGAGCCGCCAGAGGAGCUACGCCGAUACCAGGAGACGAGACUUGCAGUUUCAGGUUCGAGAUCAUGUUUUUCUUAAAGUCUCGCCGUCGAGAGGGAUUCGCCGAUUUGGAGUGCGUGGAAAGCUCAGUCCACGUUUCGUUGGCCCUUUUGAGAUAUUGGAGCGAGUUGGACCAAUUGCUUACCGGAUUGCUCUACCACCCCGACUAGCUGGGAUUCAUGAUGUGUUCCACGUCUCGGCACUGAGGAGAUAUGUUUUCGAUCCUUCUCACGUGAUUGACUUCACUCCACUAGAGAUUGGCGAGGACCUGAGAUACAAGGAGCGACCGGUGCGGAUUCUUGCUCGCGAGACGAAAGAAUUGUGCAACCGGGUCAUCCCGUAUGUAAAAGUGCAGUGGAGCAAUCACGAGGAGCAGGAGGCGACUUCGGAGCAAGAAACAGUGAUGAGGGAGUCCUACCCCGACCUGUUCGUUGCCCCGUCUUGAGGUAUGUUUUAAGUUUCGAGGACAAAACUUUUUGUAGUAGGGGAGGAUAUAGUAUCCUUGUUUGUUAUUGUGAGUUGGUAAAGGGCAUACUGGUCUUUGCCAAUCCUUAUCACCUCCACCGCCUUAAUUAAGGCGGCAAGUUGUGAGUUGGAGGAUUGCUAAUUAAUGUUGACUUCGUUUCUCUCUCUAGAAUUGGAACGUGAGUUGGAGGAAGAGCUCGGUGGAGUGCCGUUGGAGCUCGGAUUCGACGCCGACAUCGCGCCGCGAAGCCGUUCGAGGGUACGAUCGCCGCCGUAGCAUCGCCAGGAGGCCGGGCGAGGGUGUUUUUCCGCCGUUCUUGACGUCGCGCCAGAUUGGAUUUAGCGAUCGAGGUGGGUUUAUCAUCGGAUUCUUACUUCUAGAGGCCCGUUGGUCGACAUGUAUAUUUCGGGUUUUCACGUACUUGUAUUAUAGCUCUAAUUCAUGACCGUUUCAUGUUUUGUUGAUUAGAAUGAGUUUAGAGCAUGAUUCUAAUUAUGGAUAAACUAUGAAUGAGUUUAGAGCAUGAUUUUGAUUAUGGAUAAAUUAUACAUAUUGGACUCAGAUUUGACUUAGGAGAAAAUCCGCGAAUAACCUGUCGUUAUGCUUACACUACCAGAUUUAGCUCUAGGAGCCGUUAUAUUUUUAUUUCGCCACAGUAUCAGUGUGGUGGAUACCCCAGAUAGUGUAGUCAGCUGUUAAGCUCGUGCUGGGAUGCCGAGCCUAUUUUUUUUUCAGUAGCUUCAGAUUGUUCCGGAUUGUUGGGUGCCGUUGGGACUGACGGUGGACCCGGUUUGCCGUUUUGGCAUCAGAUUGCGCUGAGGGCACGUGACUUUUGGUUGGUAGACCAGUUGAACCCAGUGUACUUGACUAUAGCCUGCGAGAGCCUGAUUGAGCUCGACAGAGAUACGCUUGCAUACUCGGUUCAGUAGCGCCCACGAGUGCUAUUCCGGAGUCGGGCCUAGUGCUGUUGCGUUGGUGUCGCUGUGUCCUGGUUGGACUUGCUCUCCACUAACUACCCAGCGGGGGUGGUUGUAGUGUUGCUUCGGCAGGCGGGAUGGGUGUAUCACAGUCCCUAAAUAGAUUGGGUCAGCAUUAAUAUUUUUACUACGGAUAAUUAGAGUAGAGCAUGAUAGUGUAGUGAUAUCUAGCUGUAGACGUUUCCAGCUUUCCUACUAUCCCAGCUCCUUUCUGUAGACUUAGUGGGUGGACCGAUGAUUGUUGAGGGCGGCACCCACUGAGGACUACUUGUUUUUACAGUAGUUCUCACGCCCAGUUGUUACCCUGUGUUUUGCAAAGCCUGCUGUUCCGGUUGCUGCGCCUUCCGAGGCUGAUCGAGGCAAGGGCGCCGCGAGUUAGAGCCCUACCCGACGAGUUGCUGAGAUAGAGGAUCCACCACUGCAGGUAGUUCCGGUUUAUUUUGUUGAGUUCAUGUACAUACAUUUGUUAUAACUCGCUGGAGCGAGUACCUUUGUAUAGCGUUUUGUUGUAUGUAUGUGAGACUUGUUUUAUCCUACCUGUUUGGUUUCUUUACAGCUCUAUACUACUGGUUGUAGUAUUGUAUAUUUUCAGUUAUCGAUACGCUUCGUAUACAGAAAAAAUUCUUUGUAUACGGCGGAUUUGUCGACGUGCCGUGGAAUUGUGUAAUCCGGGGCGUAACACUCUAACUCAAUCUCAUUAGGGACUGUGAACACACCCGUCCCGCCUGUCGAAGCUACACCAACCACCACCACGCUAGAUUGUCGAUGCAGAGCAAGUCGAACCAGAACACUACGACAUCAACGCAAAAGCAUUGAGCCCGACUCCGGAGCGACACUCGUGGGCGCUACCCAACCGAGUAUGUAAGCAUAUCUCUGACGAGCUCAAUCAGGCUCUCACAGGCUAUAAUCAAUGCAAAUAGGUCUAACUAGUCUAACAACCAAAGCUCAUGUGACCUUGGCACAAUCUGAUACAAAUACAAAAAUCUGGGUCCACCGUCAACCGCGACGGUACCCGACAGUCCGAAACAGUCUAUACACUAUUGUAAAAUAAGCUCGGCAUCCCAGCACGAGCGUAAACUCAUCCUAUACUAAUCUGGGUAUCCACCGCAUACGAACAGCUGCGAUACAAACGAACCACAGCUCCUGAAGCUAAAUCUGGUAAUUUUCAAAAAGUGACAAUAUAGGAUCUAUAUAUUUUCUCCUAAGUCAAUUCCAAGUCCAACAUGUAAAAUUAUACUACUAUCUUAACUCCAAAUUUAGAUUUUAUCUCUAAUAUCCAUGAAUUCGAGUACUAGCAAGAAAAUAACCAAAUGAAACAUGUCGACGAUAUAAGAACUUAGGAGGUAUUUCGGCGAUUUCGGUGAACUUCAACUCAACUCGAAAAGCUCGUCCAACUACGGUGAGAAGUCGAAAGAAGGGGAAACCACGCGCUCGCUCGGUCUCCAACGGCGCAACUGCGACGCAAGCACGCUCGAACGGCUCUCCGGAUCAACGUCGAAAAUCUCUCGAGCUCGAGUUGCGAUCUCCACCUCAAACGCGAUCAAAAACUAGAGGGGGAGAGAGAGCAGCAAACAAAACCACUUCUCAAUGCUCUCAGCAAGUAUAUAAGGCUGAGGAUAAGGUUGAAAGUAUCGAUACUUCAAAUGACCAAAAGACCCCUCACGAACUCAAAAUUUCAGCUGGAGUAUCGAUAUCCGAUUUGGUUACCGGUACUUGGCCUCUUAGCCCGCAAGCUCGCACACCGGGUACCGGUACCAACCCGAUGCUGCAUCGGUACUUAGCAUCAAUUGGCGCAACCCGAGAGCAUGCUGUCGAGGAUUUACAGUGGGGUACCGGUACUCCCCUACAUGGUACCGGUACUCAAUACUGAGAAUCUGCACUUUGCAUAUUCCAAUGUUAAAACUCUGCUCUCGUGUCGCACUUAGUCCGUUUUGCAUCUAUUUCACGCCAAAACGAUUCCGACUUGUCCCAACACUCUCCAGAUGUGUUAACAAGCCUCAGAUGCUGAAAUCUCACUAGCAACCAACCACCAGGGAUACUACAAUUGUAUAUAUUAUGCAAUGAUGUAAAUUUGAGCCAUACAUAAGGGCAAACUUGGCAUUUUGGAAAAUCAAAAUCUUUCGAAGGUAUUCUAGGGAUAAAAAAGUUUGUCCCUUAUAGCAUUAUCGCAUUUCCAAACGCAGCCUUAGGGUUUAGUAGUCCCCUUUGGGAAUUAAUAUUAAUUCAAGGGCCAAAAAUAGUCUGGGGGUUGAUCCAACAGUUAAAAAAGUCGAAAGCACCAACUAUUUUAUGCUUUCGGAAGCACCAUAUAUACUCGGACUCUUAGUUGACUAUAUACAAAGAAGUAAAAAUAUAAACAAACAAUUUAAAUCAAAAAAUUUAAGGUUAAAUUUAUAUCUAGAAUUCAAAAUUAAAUUUUAAAAUUUAAAUUUAAACUUAAAUGUGAGUUGAAUUUAUAAUUAAAAAUUAAGACAUAACUGAAAUUAAAUUUACAAUUUUAAUUUGAAGUUUAAGAUACAAUUCAUAACUGAAAUUAAAUUCUAAAAAUCAAAUUUGAACAUAAAAAAUAAAAUAUUAAUUCAAAUUUGAAUUCAUAAUUUGAACAUAUGAUUCGAAUUAAAUUUUAAUUUAAUAUUUGAUCUCAAAUUUUGAAUUUAAAUAUGAACUCAAAUUUCAAUUAAAAUUUAAAUUAAAAUAAAAGUUUGAGUUUAAAUCAUAAUUCAAAUUGAAUAUUUGAAUUCAUAAUUCAAAUUCGAAACUCAUUUUGAAAUUAAAUUCAAAAUGUGUUUCCACAACUCUACCACCCGGCCAAUCCUUCUUACAAACUUAAAUUCAACGUUGAGUGUCAACUUAAUUAAAAAUUUAAACUUUGAAUUCAUGCUUCAAUAAAUAAUUUGAAGCUAUAGUUUGGAAUAAUUUGAAUUCAAAGUUCAAAUUGAAGUUCUUAGGUAAAAUAAUUUGAUUAAAAUUUUAAUUUAAAUAUUUUAAUUUAUAUUUUAAUUUAAAAAUUCAAACUAGAAUUCAAAUUUAAAUAAAAAUUAAAUUUUAAAAUUUAAAUUUAGAUAUAAAUUCACAAAUCUAAAUUUAGAAAUUUUGUGUUAAAUUUAAAUUUACUAAUAAAAUUCAUAAUGUGAAAUUAAAUUCAUAAUUUCAAUUCAAAUUUAAGUUGAAAUUCAAUUUUAAAAAUAAAUUCAUAGAAUAAAGUUAAGACCAAAUAUAAUCUUUUGAAUAAGCUUUUCAUUUUCAGCGGCGUCAAACUUUUUUGAGCCAAAGUCUAAAGACGAAGUUAUAACUUAUUUUAUUAAUCCACUUUUAUAAAAUAACUUUCAUAUUUAUUUUUACAAAUCAAACAAUCUAUAAGACGUCACUUUCCAAAAACAUUAUUUCGAUGUUUUACUUUCGGCUAGCCAAACAAGCAAAAAAAAGUUAUAUGGAAAGCUACUUUAGAAAGGACUAAAAUGUUGGAUUGACAUUGUUUAAAUCUUUUACGCCGAGAGACAUUUGAGACACAGGGCAAAGUACAUGGGACAUUUUUGCAACCAAGCCAAAAUUAUAAAAUUUAUAUGCAAAAGAUUCAUGAUGGAUCUUAUAGUCUCGCCGCAUUUUCUUAUUUAUUCUUUAUUACUAUUUCAAAAUUUUUAGAUUUAUCAUAAAAUUAUCAAAAUACGUUUCUAAAACUCAGUUCCAUUAGUAAACCCUAGAAAAAAUAGAGAUAUUUGAAGAAUUUUUUUUCCAAAAUUAACAAGUUUAUUUUGGUCCUCUAAGAAUAAAUAAAUUAUUUUUGAAGUUUUGAAGGGUAUAUUAGAUAUUUUUUUAAAAAAAAUUUCCUACGAGUGUCAAACGGGCCGGAUGGCUCGCGGGUCGGCCUUGUUCGCGCACGGCCCCCCACAGCAAAACCCAUAUGGGCCCUCCCUAACAAGCCGGCUCGGCUCGGCUCGGCUCGGCUCACACCUUCUUUCUUUUUAUUAUUUUAAUAUUUUUAAAAAAUAUAAAUAAAUCUAUUUUAAAAUUUAUUUAAAAUAUAUAUAUGUGUGUGAAUUGAAUAUAUGUUUAAUAGUAAUAAUAUGAAAUGUUUAACUUAAAUUUAAAAAAUUUAAAUAAUUCAUAAAACCUUUAAAAAAAAAAAGAAAAAAAAGAAAGAAAACUUUGUGCCUUGAAAGUUGGAUAACGCCUAAGUCCCAAUAAAAAAAGGAGUAAGGUCCCGUGAGGUAUAGUUAUUAUUUUUUAUUUUAUUAAAUACUAAUUCUAAUAUAAUUUGAUAUGUUAGGAAAAAAAAAAUUACUAUUAUUGUUGGUUAGCUUAUAAUACAUCGGGCUAAAUAUAAAUCACAGCUUCUUGUAAAAAAUUUUAAAAGUAAAAAAGUUUUAUUUUCAAGUUUUUAUUUUUGUUUUCAAAUAAAUACUUUAGAUUAACAGAUUAUUUACAAUCAACAAUCAGAUUAUUUCCAAUAGUCAGAUUAUUUAGACAAAUUUUUUAUUUUAAAAAAAAUACUUUUGGACCAAAAUAUUCCCUAAUAGUCAGAAAAAAAAAAAAAAAAAAAAAAAAAAAAAGCUGACUAUUGGAAGUUUUGUCUUUUUAUUUUUUAUUAUUAUUAUUUUAAAAUUAUAAAUAAUAAAAGUUUAAAAAAAUAAUAAUAAAAGAAAUAUAAUGAGACGGCACGAGGGUCUGCCCGGGUCAGCUCGGGCUGUGCUGCCCGGGCCGAGGGGCCAUGCUGGACCAAGUCUAGGAAAUCCGACCCGACCUGGUGCUAUUGGAUAUUAUCCGACCCGACCCGCGACUAAAAAUUUUCGGAUGCGGAUUAAGUUAUACUAUGCAACUCAGAAUCCGGAUACGGAUUAGAACUGUACUGUCCAACUCGAUUUUUGCUAUGAUAUUUUGGUAAUCCAGCUCGCUAUUUGUGAGCAAGCUCAUGUUCGGCUAGAAAUCAGCUUGAAAUCGAUCGCUAAUAUAAUAAACGAGCCCAAUAUGAACUGGAAUUAGCUCACUCCUGUUGGAGAAUAAUUGGGGGACGAUGGACACAAGACACCUGAUGUAGCUUUUCGAUCACUUGUUUAAUAAACGAGCCGAACACAAGUUGAGAUCAACUUGCUCCUAUUCGACUCAUGUUCGACUAGAAAUCAGCUUGAAAUCGAUCACUAAUAUAAUAAACGAGCCGAACACGAACUGGAAUUAGCUCACUCCUGUUGGAGAAUAAUUGGGGGACGAUGGACACAAGACACCUGAUGUAGCUUCUCGAUCACUUGUUUAAUAAACGAGCCGAACACAAGUUGAGAUCAACUUGCUCCUAUUCGACUCAUGUUCGGCUAGAAAUCAGCUUGAAAUCGAUCACUAAUAUAAUAAACGAGCCGAACACGAACUGGAAUUAGCUCACUCCUGUUGGAGAAUAAUUGGGGGACGAUGGACACAAGACACCUGAUGUAGCUUCUCGAUCACUUGUUUAAUAAACGAGCCGAACACAAGUUGAGAUCAACUUGCUCCUAUUCGACUCAUGUUCGGCUAGAAAUCAGCUUGAAAUCGAUCACUAAUAUAAUAAACGAGCCGAACACGAACUGGAAUUAGCUCACUCCUGUUGGAGAAUAAUUGGGGGACGAUGGACACAAGACANGGUGAGUUGGGAUACUCUGGUGAUGGUAGGAGUGGCGUGGAAAAAAGUAGAUUCCCGGCUUUUGAAUUAACGUGGUUAAUGAACCACAAUAAUUAUCAUAUUAUCGGAUCAAGAUUUAUAUAUAACCAAACAACUUAUGAUACUAAAUUGCCCAUCUUUAUUAGUUUUCCCAUCCGGAUUACCAUCUUUUAAACCAUUACGGUUUGCGAAUUACGAUAACUAUCAUAUCAUCGGUCUGAGAUAUAUAUAUAUAUAUAUAUAUAUAUAUAUCUCAGCUUAUCCUCGCUCAACUAGAGUUGAACACAAGCCGAGCAAAUAAUAUAAUCACUAGCUAAAGUUCGACUAAAGAUCGGCUUGUACUCAGCUUAUCCUCGCUCAACUAGAGUUGAACACAAGGUGGUUGGUUGAAUAGUAUGAUUUAACGGGUGAAAAUAAUCAAGGCGGUAAAAUCUAGUGGCGGAAAACUUGAUAGCAACAUGCAUUUGGUAUUAUUGAUAGUAUAAUAGCUAGAAUAUAUAUAUAUAUAUAUAUAUAUAUAUAUAUAUAUAUAUAUAUAUAUAUAUAUAUAUAUAUAUAUAUAUAUAUAUAUCAAUUAUUAGAUUUAAAUUUUAAUUUCUAAUUUUCUUUCAAAUUUUCAUCUAGUAGUGCUAAAAAAUUUGACUUUGCUGUUUGCAAGUGAGCUUAUGGUCUGCUCAUUAAUAAACAAAUCGAACACAAGCUGAAUUUUUCAACUCGAUAUUUUAACAAGCCAGCUGGUUUUCGACUCGUUUUAAUCGAACACAAUCUAAUCCCGGCUCAGUUGUGUUCGGCUCAUUGACGGCCCUAGUUUUCAAAAAAUAACAUUCAUGUUAAAAUCCAUAUUUCAUAUUAUUUUUUAAAAUUUCUUUUCUACAUUUUUCUUUAUUAUAAAUUAAAAAAAUAUGGAUAAUUAUAUUUUGCUUCCAGUUCUAUAUAUUUCUUAAAUAUUCAAUUCAUACUCGUAUCCGAUUAAUACCCAACCCGAAUCCUAACCUAUUUUUAUCGGAUAUGGAUUUGAGUGCUAGUAUCUAAUCAAUAUCCCAAUCCAUAUCCGAAUCUGACAUAAAAAUAUGAAUACGAAUCAUAUCCGACCCGUUUUUCAUCCCUACCAGCCCGACCCGGCCCAAAUUUGAAGCCGGCUGGGCCAGACGGGCCCUCAGUCUGGUUCAGCCCGGGCAAAUGCCGACUGUACAGUCCCAGCUCGGCCCACAUUACACACCAACUGCCACUGUCGUGGCCUGCAGGCACGCUGUGUCAAACAAUUGAACAUUUCAUUGCUCUAAACAAUUGAGCGUUUCACAUUGUUAAACCUGAGUACAUCUGAAACAUUGUUUUAGUUUUGCCAUAAGAGCAUGCCCUUCACGGGGAGGGCAAAGAAUUGAAACUAGUAACUCAAAGAGAAAAUACAGAAAAAUAUGUACCAAAGAAUUCACCUAAGAUUAUUCCAAAUAUACAAAGAUGGAUUGAAUUAAUUGUUACAGACAAAAUAGAUCAGUCCUCUCGCGAAUUUUAAUCAGAAAAAGAAGUAAUAAAACAUAGAAUGGCAUGGAGAAACUAACUUGGAGAAUUUUGCUAGGCUUCUUGAUUCUGUACACCUGAUUAUGAUGCAGUACUUGUCGUACAGUGGGCGUUGAGCCAAGAGAUGAUGUCGUCGAGGACACUGAAUAUCGUCUCGUCGGGCUCACCUUCAAGAAGGGAAUGGUAUGCAUCUUUGUAUAGGCAUAGCUUCUUGUCCGAGCUGCUCGCCUUCUCGUAUAGAGCCUUGCUCACUGAAGGAUCCGUCACGAGGUCGGCCUCUCCGUGUAGAAUUAUUAGCGGUAAUGAUACCUGAAAGAGGAAAAGGAGCUAUGUUUCAGUUUUCAGUACUCCAGCAUCUAGAGAUGAAUCCUAUUGUCCAAACCAGCAAACGCGAAUCGUUUACUUCUGAUCGCUAAUAUGCUGAGAUACUUCGUCUCCAAUAUCCAAAGAAAUACUACCACACUGCUGCCGCAAGGCCCACAACUGCUUCCACAACCACCUCUUGUUUCAAAAUCAUCCUCGCUGCUACAACUGUUGCCGCUAUCAUCAUUACAAACAACACUGGCGGCUAGUGAUGUUGCCAUCAUAAUACGUCUCUACCAACAUCACAACUAGUGAGCACGUCUAUUGCUGUUAUCGCCGUUACCACCGACCAUACAGCAGAGCUAACACUGCUAGCAUCAUAACCACCAUAGCUGUCGCAACCACAACCCACUGAUGUCCACCAUUCCUGCCAGUGAUACAAAUGAUGCCACCACAAAUGCGCACUAACAAUGACACUGACCGUCACUAGAGCAAGUGGCAAAAGGCUUUGUGGUUGGUACCCGAGACCCAUGUUCGAAUCCUAGUUGAUUCACAUUUCUAGCUAAGUUUAUUUCUAAACGAAAUAAACGAAGCAGGUAAGCGUGCUACCUAUCUCUCAAAAAAAAAAAAACAAUGACAUAAAGACCAUUAUGAACACCACCACAAGCACUACCAUUAUUUUCAAUCAUGUUGCCACCACCUUUGCAACUACCAUUGCCGCUCAACAGUUGUAUUGCUUCUACAAUCACAAAAUCUGACAAGAUUUACUUAUAUUUCUAACUUCAACAAAACAAACGAUACCGACGGGAAUAAGCCAUUUAAUUUCGGUUGCAACUAAGAACCAAAUGCACUGGUGAAUUGUUCACUCGGAUUCCCAUUUCCUCAUUGCAAACCUAAUGCGCCAAAAUGAAGGUUUUCUAUUUUUGAUUCAAUCCAUCUGAAAUUCAUCAUUUUUGUUCUCAUCACCGUUGUCAAUAAGAAAACAGAACUUGUCGUGAUACUAAAGAUAUAUAUAAUUUUUGAAUUUAAAAUACUCAUAUUAUGAAGAAAUCGAAUUUUCGAAGUAUGUAACACGUAUUCAGUACACGUCUAACGAGUAUUACUGUAUGAUUUGUGUAUAAUGGGUGCCUUAUUAGUUAUGUUAAAUUUACUUUUUAUCUUAGGGGGGGGUUUGGUUCGGCGUAAAACGAACCGAAAAAUUGUUUUCAGUAUGAAAAAUGCUUUACCACUUGUUUGGUUCGAUGUAAAAAUAUUUUCCCGUAAAAGUAUAUUUACAGAUUUGAUAAAAAUUGUUCUUAUUUUUCACUGUUUUUUAGCAGAAAACAAAAACUCAAGAUACGUAAAACUUUUUCCAUUCAUUUUUUUUUUCACCGGACCAAACAAAUGUGAAUAUUUUUUUCCUUUCAACCAAACAAAUGUUGAUGGAAAACUACUAUUUUUUUUUUUUACAAACCAAACACUACAAAAAGUAAAACUUUUUUUCCACAGAAAUUUUUUUUCCAUGGAAAAUUAUUUUUCACGGUUUUACGUUGAACCAAAUGGAUCCUUAGGGUGUGUUUGGUUCCUCGUAAAAAUUGCCCAAAAAUGUUUAUCGGCCUGAAAAAUAAUUUUCUGAAUGUUUGGUUGAACAUAAAAUAAUUUUUCACGGAAACAUAUUUUACAGAUUUGGGUGAAAACUUGGGUUUUUGUUUUCCGCUUCUUUACGCGAAAACGAAAACUAGUUCCUCAAAAACACGCUGCUCAUGGAUUGUAUAGUCGCGGUCCACGAGAAAGGCCGAUUCUCGUGGACCGCGUGAGAGGUCCCACUAUGGACCUCUCUGUCCAGAUGCACCUAUGGCCUUUCUUCUGAUAAUUGUUAUAUAUAUAUAUAUAUAUAUAAUUGAGCCGAAAUACUAUUAAUAGUAUUGGGGCUAUUUUGCUAUCGAGUUUUUAACCCUUGGGUAAAAAAUUAUAGGGUUAGGCUGAUAGUGGUCCCCUAGGGUUUAGUAAUGGUCCCCCUAAGGCUGAGUGGGUGGUUGGUUGAUUAAUAUGAUCUAAAAGGUGAAAUUGAAUAAAGUGUAGAUUUGACGGCUAAAAAAUCGAUAGCAAAAGAGUCUGAAUACUAUUAAUAGUAUUCUAACUCAACUCUAUAUAUAUAUAUAUAUAUAUAUGAACUAGGCUGGAAUACUAUCAAUAGCACCAAGCUAUUGGUGCUAUUGAUUUUUUAGCCCUUGGAUUGAGAAAUGUGUGGUUAGGAUGAUGUGGGCCCCCCAGGGUUGAGUGAGUGGUUGGUUGAAUAGUAUAAUCUAACGGGUAAAAAUAAUCAAAGGGUUAAAUCUAACGGUGGAAAACUCAAUAGCACCAAAUCCUUAGUGCUAUCGAUAGUACCCCAGCCGGACUCUAUAUAUAUAUAUGCAUAGAGUUGAGCUAGAAUACUAUCAAUAGCAAACGGGCUCCGUUGCCACCCAUUUGUUUUCGAUGAUGAAGCCUCCAAAUCGACGAUCGGCACCGUUGAACUUGAUCUAUACCACUUGAAGUGUUUAGAAAUCAAAUUUCAAAUCUUUUCGACAUCAUUUGCCUAAUGAUCAAAGGGUUUCAAAAUUUGUAAUUUUAAUGGUCGAUAUGAGGCAUUUUUUCUCGUUUAACGGCGUAAAGAUAUCCAAAUCAAUUGAAUUUUUGUUAGAAAAUUCUUUAAACUAUUUAAAGCAAGAUCUAUACUCUUGAUCUUGAUUACAAGACUCCUAUUAUUAUUUUUUAAAGAUUAUUCAUUUUCAGCCGUUCAUUUUUGUGUCCGCUCGCUGGAUAAGAGAACAAUAUCGAAUAUGUAUGAAAUUUGAUUUCUAAACACUUGAAGUGGUAUAGAUCAUGUUUAACGGUGCCGAUCGUCGAUUUGGAGGCUCCAUCAUUGAAAACAAAUGGGUGGCAACGGAGUAUUCAAACUCAACUCUAUAUAUAUAUAUAUAUAUAUAUAUAUAUAAAAUAAAGAUAGUAUUUUAUAUUUUAUAUAAAUAUGUUAUUAUAUAACAUUUUAUUUAUAAAUAUAUAGUAAUUUAUUUUAUAGUAUUAAAUAUAUAAUAUUAAAUAUUAUAUUAUAUAUUUAUUGUAUAAUAUAUUUUAAAUAUACUUUAUUUAUAAAUAUAAACUAUACUAUAAUAUAUAUAUAUAGUAUGAUAAUUAUUAUAUAUUUAAUAAUAUAUAAUAUAUAGAAUAAAAGAAAUUAUAUAUAAUACUUUUUUAUUUACUUUUCUUUUCUUUUCUUUUCCUUUCAACCAAACAAUCGUAAUGGAAAACUAUUUUUCGUUUCCUACAAACCAAAUAUUAAAGAGUGUUUUACACCGAAAACUAUUUUUCAUAGUUCUACGUGGAACCAAACAGCCCCUUUAACUUCUUUGGAACUCAUAAUAUUCCUAAGCUAAGUCUAGUUGACAAAAGUUUAUGGCAAAUUUUCACGGGAAAAGGAAGUAAAACUGCUAAACAACCAUCAGCAGUAAAUAAACCAUUCAAGGAUGAGGCAGAGUGCCUCCUAAAAGGAAAACCAAGUUUAAUUACCUAGCAUUGUUCAGCUACUAGAAUGUUUCGAAUAUCAAAUCGAAAUAAUGAACUGAUACGACAUUUAUGCACCAGCACAAAGGUGUGGUCCCUUGGCCACUCCACAGAAGGCGAAAUUGUAAUUUCAACUAUGAUUGAAUAGCAGUAACAUGAGUUACUUGCCUUUAAUAAGACAUCAUGAGUACAUAAAAGAAGGUUACCCAUGAAAUUUCAUUAUAUAUGUACGUAAAACACAUAUGGCAUAUUAGCGAAUUAUUAACCUUUAUCGGGAUUAUUUUAUUGUUUGAUCUUAAUGAAUGUUUCUUGCAUUGACUCGAAACUUAAAUAUGACUCUUUAUUAAGUUAAAAUACAUUUUAUAAGCCCAACUAGUUCAUCAGAACAAUUAUUCGCUUCUUGAAUCUUCCAAAGGGUGCAAUUUUACUAAUGAUAUCCUUGUAGAAAUAUUUGGUGCAAUGAUAAAUAAACAUACAAUGUAUGCACCAAUCUACUGUGCACACUCUUUAGGGUUUACCCCCACAUCUAUACCUACCUUACAGAAUACUCUGGAAAAGAUCAUCCAAUCUACCUUAAACACCCCAUUAUUAUGGAGAGAGUAACUUUUCUACUCAGUAAUUCAUCAAAGAAAUGAGAAACAAAACUACCCAACACAAUAACAAAGCUCCGCACUUCUACUCCUAAACUUUUAUAGAUAUUCUCAUGACACGGUAAGUAACAGAGAUAUAGUUCAUCUACCGAAAAUCAUGAUUCAAUUUUAGUUUGCUGAAAUGUAUCAGAUCAACUAUGUUAAUUAUGCUGCUGCAUAUCACUUGCAAAAGAUAUGAAAAUAUCAUACUGCCCAUAUGGUAUAGACAACAGAAUCAAAGCAUGGAACGCAUGAACACAAAUGCAUUAUCCAUUGUAGCAGUAGUACUACACAAGUACAAAGAAAGGAGGUAUGUAAAAUCUCACCUCUUCUAGUCUGCUCUCUAUCUCUUGGGUAGUUCUGAGCAUCUCUAGUGCAGUCCGGAGCCGUGGUUUAUCCUUGUAAGCAAUUAUAUUGUAAGAAGUCUGCAUGUAGGCAAAAGAUAGAGCCUUAUUAAGCUGCUAAUUUGACGGAAAAGAAGUGUUACAAUGUACACCUGUUGACUGGAAAAUAUUGAUUAAAUAUAAUCCCGCUGAAUCGAAAUUUUUUAGUAUCUCAUAGCAGUGAAUAUAAGAGCUUUGGAUGAGGGGAUAAGAAAGAAACCUGUUCUCUCUUUUUUAGAUCUUUGAAUGCCAACUCAGCUAAAUCCUUUUGAGGAACCAACUUCUCUCUGGGAAGUAUUUUAGCUAUACAAAUCAAAAUUUGCUGAACAGGCCAGGAAGGAACAACAUCUUCAGCUAUCUGCUAGAAAAAUUUACUUAAUAGAAGGGACGAUUGAAGUUCAUCAAGAUUCAGAAAAUAAAGCAAAGGUUUUAUAUACCUUGCACAUUGGUGCUACUAAUAUUGCACCAUCCCAUGCAUCAGGCUGUUUGAAGUGUAUUUUUAAUGCAACUGCUCCUCCCAUUGAUUGACCAAAUAGAAAGCUGGGAAUACCUUUGUACUCAGGAUUUGCUAUAAAUAAAAGUAUACCUUAAAUAAGAUACCGGACAGAUUAAUAUAAAACAUCAAGAACAUUAUACGGACAAUCUAAUAUUAUUAGUUAUAUAUUCAACAAUUUUUAACAGGAUGGAGGGCAUAUAUGCGCCAAGAUUUAUAUCAAGGGGAAGACGACUAUACGUUAAGGGUAUGUUUGGUUCAUGAUUGGAAUAGGAAUGAGAAAUAAAAUUGAAUUAAAUUGGAAUGGUAAAUGGAAUGACGAAUCAUCUAGAAUUGUUCGGUUCAUUACUGGAAUGAAAGUCGAAAUAGAAAUUUAGGAUUUUGGUUAAGAAAGAAAAAAUUGAUGAAGGAAGAGGAUGGGGAGGUAUUUGUGAGAGAGGACUUCGAAUGAUUUACUUUGGGAUGGGCCACUCCAAAAUUAAAAGCCAAAUUAGGCCAUAAAUGGAUUAAGUAUUCCCAUUCCAGAGUGGAAUGAGAUCAGAGUCCGAUUUCUGUAAAACAAACAGCAACUAUCGUAAUCAAUGAAUCUCAUUCAAAUUUCAUAAUCUAAAAUAGAUGAGCCAAAUAAGCCCUAAGUAUUACCUCUGAUAAAUCCGGUAAAACCCGAUAUAUCUUAAGACAAUGGAUAAUAUAUUAUCAACUAGCACUCCACAUAUAUUCAUCUGUUACAAUAAAAACAUAUGAUAAAGAGCAAUAUCUAUAACACUCUGAUCCUUACUGUGGGCGAUAAAGAUUAGUUUGUCCAUUCAUAAGAGCUUAAGAGAUCAUCCCUUCAAGAAAUUUUGAAUAAGAAAGAAUUUUCUGUAAUCCAAGUGGUCAUAUUGUCUAGCCAAAUGUAAGACCAAACAAGUGUAAAAUUAAAAACUAAUGCCACCAAAAUGCACCGAUUUAAACGAGAGGCUAUCCAAGACUUCCUUUCUAUUUGCUUACUGUGCCCAAGAAUUUCUUUGGAUUUGUCAAUGAAGCAGCUCUUUGAGACUUUAAGAACCAUCUCAAGCUCAAUAGCAUAUGCUUGUCCUUGGCAUAGUGUGACUUCAGAAGCUUUAAAACCCUAAAUAAAAAAUUAAAAAUUUCAAAAUCCUAUUCUAUUAUGUAAGAGUGAAAAAGUGAGUACUUUUAGACUAUGGAGACGAAAGCCUCACACCAUCCAAAGAUGGUUCAUCUCUAUAUCAGAGAGAGAGAGAGAGAGAGAGAGAGAGAGAGACUCUGCUUAAGCUUGGAGAUAGAUGAGAGAAGGGUACGUGAUUUUUUUUUUCUUUUUAAUUGUCAUGCUGAACCAAUUCUUUUCUUUAAUGGGUUCGUACUAAACCCACCGAUCGUGACGCCGUGAUGGACUCGACGUCACGGCGUGUCUUAUUUUUUGUUUUUCGAUGGGACACUUCACGAACACCCCCAUCGAGCGUGCGUCCAUGGUGUAUCUGCAUCGAACUCGUGUCUGACGCGGACAUGUAGGAGAUAUGUCCGCAUUGGUGACACAUAGCUCUCUCUCUCUUUCUUUCUCUCCUCUUUCUCUCUCUCUCUCUCUCUCUCUCUCUCUCUCUUAUCAGAUUCGACAACUAAAAUCAGGCUAGACUCGACAAAAGGCUAUUACCUCCUUUCAACAAAUCCAGAAACUAAGAUAUGCCACCAUCUCGUCCUCCGAUACCGACAUCGACACCUUCUCUUGAGAUGUGUAGCUUUUCGUGAAGGUUAGACACUGCCUCUCUUUAUUUUCUCGCUUGCACUCCUGACCGAACCGAAAUGAACCGAGCCGAACCGAAGCAUUUCAGUUCAAUACUAGUUCAAUUCAAAGAAUAUUUAGUACAAUUCAAUCGCAAAAUUGGUAAACCAAAAAAUUCAAUUUGGUUCCACUAAUUCUAUGAAAACCAGCCAAAUCGACUAGCUGCUCACCCUUACACCUUCCCCUCCCCAACCCAAAAAAAACCCAUUCAAUUGUGAAAUUGGUAAAAUCAAAAAAUUUGAUUUGGUUCACAAAAUACAUGAAAACCAAUCAAACCAAUGCCACCCUAUAAGCACACCAACCAACUCAACGUCUUCAUUCUCUUUUCUUUCCCAGGUUAACAUACAAAAGACAACAGGCCUUUCACCUUUCUUUCACACACAACUUUUUCCUUUCUUUUCACAAGUUUACAUACCCCUCUCCUUUCUCACUGGUUUAUAUACCUCUCUUUUCACAGGUUGAGUAAUUUAAAGCAAUACAUGCUUUCCUAUGUACUUGGUAUAAUUUGACGUCAAAUGAACACAUAUAUAGAACAUGGUACAAUUAUUCACCAAAUUGUUAUAUGUCAUAAAUGUGUCAGUAGAUAGAUGCUAAACAUAUCCUUAGAGGCUUAAAGAUUUAGUGAUUGCUAACGUGUAAUUGAAAAUUUUUCAAGGCUUAUACCUCGUCAUAGAAAGGCCAAAGAUCAUCAUUGCCUUCCAAGUCUACUAUAUUCCAAACAUUACAAAGGGGAAAGUUGUUCUCCCCCUGCACCACCCUCCGCCCUCCGUUUUUUUUCUCUUCCCACAAACCAAAAAUAUAAAAAAAAAAAACAGCAGAGGGAAAAUGUUUGAGGUCCCUUCACAUUUUAGUCAAGCAUGGUCAUACUUAGUCAAUACUAAUUAUAUCCUGGAAAGAAGAAAAUAGUUGGAUGAAACAUACAACUAUGUGAUCAACUUUGUCACAAUUAUGAGUUCCUAAAAUUAUUACUUACAGUUCAUCUCUAUCUUAGCAUUAUUCCUAAUCACUAUUUUUUUUUGAGAAAAGGGCAGCAUGCUAUGAGCUUCAUUCAUUAGGAAAAUGAAUUUAGUUACAGAAGUAAGAAAUCAAGGACUCAACCCAAAAGGUAAAAGAAGACAAAAUAGGUGAAGAGACAGAAGAGAAAAAAGAAAAAGAACAAAAAUGAAGAACAAAAAAAAGGGGACAUCGAUGUGUCAAAGCAAAAGCAUUAAGUUACCCUCUGCCACCAUUCACGCACAAGGUUACUGCGACUAACCAUUGUUUAAAUGAAGCCCCUUCCACUAGUUCAUCAAUCACCUGAUCCUAUUAACGGCAAGCAGAGGGUCAGUGUUAACCUCCUUUUUAAUCACCAGAAAACCCACCAGCUAGCUAAUAGUACAAUUAGACUCUUACUAGUCGACUGCCUCCCCUUCGCCAUCCACUUUUUCUAGCCUCCUCUAACAUCAUCACUCAAAUCCUCGAUCUGCACCCCCGCCAGAGCCAUCACUAGCACAUACCUAGUAAAGACGCAUCUCAUGAAUAAAUAAUCCAUCGUCUCAAAGACACUACCACAUAGCACACAAGAUGCGUACCCCGUCCACCCUCUCUCGGCAAGAUUGUCCGCUAUGAGAGACCUCUUUUUGAGAGCUAGACAAAUGAAAAUUUGUACUUUAAGUGGUAUACGUAAUCUUCAUAUCUUUUUGAAAUAGUCAUUCCUCAAUCCCACAUCACUGAGCACCAAAUAUCUAUUAACCUAAAUAAAGCCACAAUGUUUCUUGCCACGUGGCAAAAAACCCUUCAUCUUCAUAAUAAUAAUAAUAUAUAAUAUAAUAUAAUAAUCUAUUAACCCCUCUCCUAUAUAAUUCAUUAAUGUUUCAUCAAUUAAUUCUAUAUUAACGUUUCACCUAUUAAUUAUAAUGUUUCAUCUAUUAAUUCUUCUUUUUUUUUUUUUGUAAUAACUCUCUCUCUCCCACCCUUUCCCCUCCUAUUAAUUAUAACGUUUCAUCUAUUAAUUCUAUUUUUUUUGUAAUAACUCUCUCUCCUCCACCCCUUCCCCUCCCCUCUCCUCCCCAACUAUACGUUCUUGGCCGUAUAGUAUAUGAUUCAUUAAUGUUUCAUCAAUUAUUUGUAUAUUAACGUUUCAUCAAUUAUUUGUAUAUUAACGUUUCAUCAAUUAAUGAUAAUUAUAAUCAUAAUUGAUUGCUAGACCAAUUAUUCGUAGCCACCGUUUCAUUCUUUCAUUUUGUUAAUUUUUUUAUGAAAUUUUAAAAUAUAUUUACCUAAUAUGUAAAAUAAUUAGAUUUUAAAUUUAGGCUCUAAGUAUCAAUCAUUACAAGAUUAAUUCUAUUUGAAUGUUCUCACGCUGAUCUUUCUCUACACAUUUCGCCUUUGCAAUUUUCAUGCCACCGAUCCCAUCCGUUAUUAUUUUUAAAAAAAAUAUAACAAUUUUUUUAUAUAUAUUUGAGUGAUUUGGCGAGAAUUAGCAAUAUUUUGAGGUUAAUUAGAAUUUUUUUGGUUCAAUUUGAGCGAUUUGGCAUGGAUAAAUGACAUUUUGAAAUGCUAUGUGUUAUAGAAAUGCUAUAUGUUACUUGCACAAUUAUUGUUCGUAUUAUAUUACACCUUCCAGACUAAUAAAUGAAUGAACAAUCUAUAUUGUAGAGUCCGGCUACUAUACUUUUAUGAGUAUUGGCUCCCUUAUACUCAUAAGUUUUCGGCCCUUAGAUUUAUUCCAUAAUCAUUUUCACUCGUUAGAUCAUACUAUUCAACCAACUACCCACUCAACCUUAGGGGACCACUAUCAUUCUAAGUGGGGACCACCAUUAUCCUAACUACACAUCCCAUCAAUCAACGGUUAAAAAUUUAUGAGUACAAAGGGUUCUAUACUCAUAAAAGUAUAGUAGCCCCAGCCCUAUAUUGUAUAUAUUAGUAUAUUUCUAUAUACUCUAAUUAGGAUUUACUUAAAAUAUUUUUUUUCCUGUUGCAUCGAUUGCUAUACAAUUAUCUAUAUUGUACCCUUUUUGACAUAGUAAUAUUUUAUUUAGUUAUAUUGAUAUUUUAUUUAUAAAUUUUUUAUUUUAGCAGUAACUAUCCGCCGCAUCACGCAGGUACCUACACUAGUAUAGAUUUAAUAGUGAAUAUUCCAUUUGCAUUCCAAUGCCAAAACAUCCCACCUGCCUCAGAGAGCCUAUCUUUGAGUUCAUGUACUCGUGGAUUACGCCCUUGCUCUCUUAUAUAUACCCUGUCAAAAUUUUCCUCAUCUCCACCCAUUACAGGCGAAGCAUUCACUAACUUUAGUUUUUUCCUCUCUACUCCGUCACUCACAUUGAGGAACAAAAAUUGCAACACAACCUCUCCGCACCCUAUCUUUACAGAAGUCUAUAAUCCUUCCAUCCCCUAACGUAUAUGACACCCCUUCUAUGAACAUAGCUUUGAGGGUGGUUACGUUCAUCCACAAUAUAAGGUAGGACUGAACGAUCUUUCCUCCCGCAACAGUCUCUUUUGUUAGUAAAGCGCUCUAAUGAGCUUAUUCCACUGUAAUUCUAGUAUCGUGAAAAACCUCCACCACCAUUUAGUGGGCGGAGCAUCGUUCAUCAUUGCUAAGUCUAAAAUUCCCAGCACACCUCCAUUUUUGCUCCUGCACACAUUCUUCCAGGCUACUAAACACCCAUUCCCUGUUGAAGUCAUUCCUCCGCUCCACAAAAAGUCUUUUUUAGCAAGUCGAUUCGCUUAAUAAGCCAUUUCGGCACCUUAAAAAUUGACGAGAAAUAGAUAGAUUAGUUAGAACUAUAUUUACCAGCGUAAGCCUACCAACUGUAUAAAUAAGCUUGUCCUGCCAACCAUCUAUUCUCCUUUGUAUUUUCUCAAUUACCCCUCGCAAUCCUCCUUUUUCAGCGCCCUAUCAGAUAGGGGCAAGCCAGAUAUUUAGUCCAGAAUUUUUUCACCCUAUAUUCCAAAAUAUCCGCGAGCCUAAUCACAUUGACCUAUUUUUAGCCACUAUAGAAAAGUAUCAACUUCUCCCUGUUAACCUUCAAUCCGAAGACCCACUCAAAGAGGUGCCAUAGGAACUUAAGGUUCUUCAUAUACUUCUUUCUAGCUUCGCAAAAAAAAAAAAGUGUCAUCUGAUAUUGAAUAAGUAUAACCCGGCUCACCCCAAACAGGUCAAUCCCUUUUACUAGCUUAUUUCUGACCACCUCUUUUGACAUCUGAACUAAACACUCUGCCACCAUCAAGAAAAAGUAGGGGGAGAAAGGGUCCCCCUGCUUCAUCCCUUUCUUGCUUUUGAUCCACAUUUACAAUGCAUUGCUAUAUCUAUUCACACCAUAUCUCAUCAAAGACCCACCACACCAUUAUCCUACGUAAGAAAGCCUACUUGAUCCUAUUGUAUGCCAUUUCUAAAUCCACUUUGACUCUUACUCUCUCCUUUUUAGUUUUACAUCCCCACCCGAUAAGGUCACAAUCCGUGACGAACGAGUCAAAAAUAUUUCUUCCCUUCAAAAAAAGUAGAUUGGGAAGGAGAAUAGAAUGCAUGACUAAUUCCAGUCUAUUAGCCAAAACAUUUGAAAUUAUCUUUUAUAUCCCAUUCAAAAGAUUUAUCGAUCAUAAAUCGUUUUCUUGCACUCUUCCUACUUGGUGACAAGGCAUAAGGAGUAAUUGAGAUGGCCCGUAAAAAGUCUUCCCUCAUACAUCUCUUGAAAGAUGUUUUAGAUAUCCUCAUUCAAAGUGUCCUAGAAAGUCUGAUAGAAACUCAAAUGUACUUUAUCACUAAAUUUAGUUCACAAAAAGUAGUACAAGCUUUUUUUCCUCUUCUAUCUCACGUAUGUGCAUGUUCAUACACAAAAGAAAGCAACAUGCCUAAUCAACCCGUAAUCCAUAGCAGGACAUAUGUCCUCUGUGAAAGUAAUAUUAUUAUUUUACUAUGCUUUGUUGCAGAAUUUUUUCUUUAAAUGACUAUUAAAAUAAAUGAUUAUCUAAAAAUAUUAAUAGCAAAUGGAAAACAAUUAAGUCGCUAAACCAUAAUUUUUAAAAAGCACAAGGUGCACCAAAAAGCACAGAGACUCCUACAACCUAGGUGCAAGGAAUAAGGCACCAGCCUAAGAAAGAUGAGGCUCACAUUUACUCCAGUUUUUAGAUGAAUAAAUAAUGGUCAAAGACCUAUAUUACUACAAUGAACAAAUCGUAAGAUUCAAAAAUCAAAUAGUAACAGUAACAUAACAUAGACUAAAUUAUCAAAAUAAACAAUAACACUAGUGCUAAAAAGUGGUAUAAAGGAAUGCUUAAAACCAUAAAUUACGAAACCCGUGGAGUACGUCUCCUAUACUUUCGAAAGUACGGAAACCUUCGUACUUGUAAGUUGUUUUCGAUAAUAGGACAUCCAAUUCGACGAUCGGCUCCGUUAGGUAUAAUCUACCCUAUUGGAACUAUCUAGAAACCAAAUUUUAUAAUUUUUUGACAUCAUUUACCAAGCGAUCAAAAGGUCUCAAAAAUGACUUUUAACGGUCGAUGUGGCAUGUUUUUAAGUUCAACGGUGUAGAAGUAUCCAAAUUAUAUAAAAAUUUAAUAGAAAAUUCUACUUAACAUCAAUAGCAAGAUCAAUACUUCCGAUUUGAAAUUUGAGUCCUUUAUCACUGUUUUUUAUGAGAUUUUCAUUUUCAGCCGUUCAUUUUGAGGCUACUCGUUCACUAGACAAACGAAGUCAAAAAAUUAUGAAAUUUGAUUUCUAGAUAAUUCCAAUAGCGUAGAUCAUGUCUAACGGAACUGAUCGCCGAAUCAGAUGUCCCGUCAUCGAAAACAACUUACAAGCACGGAGGCCUCCGUACUUUCGAAAACAUAGGAACCUAGCUCAAAACCGUGUACAUCAACUAUAUAUAUAUAGAUAACUGAAAAUGGCAACUUGGGUUUCUAAACCCAUCUAUGUAAACUUCUAAAUCCUGUUUUUGAAAUCCGAAGCUUGUAUCUCAGUUAGAAUCACCCAGCUGAUUGCUAGCCCCGAGUAUAGGGUGUGUGCCCAGGCCCAAAGGUGUACAUCUUAGCAAAAGCGCCUUACCUGGUGUAGAUAAGACACUAACCCUGUGCUUCACAUCUAGAUGGCAAGGCAAGUGCCUCAGACAAGCCUUUUAAAACUACAUACCAAACAAGAUAUAUGUUUUCCCAAUCAAGCUUCAACAAGUUCGAGUAUGCAGCAAAGAAAAUCCUCUUUCUUAUCCAAGAAGUACAUAAUCAAAACUGAGUUGUAAGAUGAAAGCUAAAUGACUCUAGAUUUUAUUCCCUUUCAUAAAUUGAAAGCAAGCUCUAUGAAAGACCUAUUGGUGAGAAAAGAUGAAAUUGACCUGAUAAAACAAUCACCCUAUAGCUCCAUAUUUGGAAAAAUAUUAUGAAACUACGCUCAUAUGGGGCUAGCAUGCUACUAUGUACUACUACUAAUUAGGUCUUAGGCAUUUUGAGCCACAUUGCAAGCCCAUUGUAUUUAACUUAUUGUAGUAGUAGGUUGGUUUGGGCUUUACAUACGAAAUUCACAACAAUGUAACGGGACCACUAUGGGGUCACUAUUACAUAUGAUCAAUUAGUGGGAGUAGGAUGCUGAGGAUGAGCCAAUAGUGUGGCCUAUCAUGUCAUUGGAAUCCGGCAACUCACAAGCAUAUAUGGGAUUGGACGUGGUAAAAUUGUUACAGCUAGUGGUCUUGACCCUUCAAUGUUCUGAAAAUAUUGGCUUUAUCCACAAAAAGUGUUCUAAUACUGCUAGUAACUUUGGCUUAAUCAUUGUGAGCUAUGCUGGCAGGCUUGUCCAGCUUAACCUCCUAGAAGAAGUAUAAUAGUUUGCCCACUAAACACCCACAACACAACACUACUUCCAUCCUCCUCGUUGACUCCUUCCCUCGUUAGAAUGAGAUUGGCGCCUACGAUAUACCAUUACGUGGCCUUAUAUGAUAAUACCCAACUAGUCAACCAAAACCAACAAAAAUACACACAUGUUAAAUUUAUAGGUUUGAUCACCAUUUUAACUAGUGCGAUAGCACAUUAACUUGUCCUAGGAAUUCAACUUAAAAUACUAUACUACGAGCUCUAAUCGAUGAAUAGUAAGCUAAUGAAAACAACAACUCACCAGAAUAUUUGUAAGAAACAUUUAUAAACAGUUUCUUUUGCAGAAAGUGUUUAGAAAAUUUCCUUAAAGAGGCAGAUAGCAAAAUACCUUUGAUUUUGGAGAAGUGCUCAAUUACGUCAUCAACUAGAGCAUCAAAGCUCGGUAUAUAUCCAUGUAGACCUUCUGAAAGACCAAACCCAGGGUAAUCUAAAGCAAAAACCCCAUAUCCAGCUGAAGCUAUCUUCUUUGCAAUUCCUGGAGCAUAGAGAAAGGUAAGAACUAAAAUAGCCUCGAAAAUAUACAAAAAGAAAUGGCUGAAAAUCAAGUUAACAAGCUACAAUUAGGGAUGCAAAUGAAUCUGGGUUGAUGGAGCUUGUGGCCCGAUUCACCCUGAAUGGGGUGGUAAGUAGGAGCCAAAAAUAUAAAAAAAGAUAACACGCCUCGAGUCUUCUCCGAUCUGCCAAGAAAAUAGUGCAGGAGAUGAGAGACCGCUUUCUUCUUCUGAUCCACCCUAAUUCGCCAAAAAUCUGCUCCCUCCCAGAUCCGGCCGGAAUGGAGCAGUAAAUAAUAAGGCAAACAAUAGGAUAAAGUUUAACCCACCCCGAAUCCGCACCAAUCCAACAAGAAAAUGGGGCGGGAGGUGGGGGACCCCUCCCGCCCCCGAAUCCGCCCCAUUUGCAUCCCUAGCUACAUUAGUAGAAUAUAUACCUUCAAAGAAGAAAGUGCAGGUGUCUCCAUAACCGUGACAAAAACAAACAAGCGCCUUGAUUCUAGAGUUCUCUGGAAGCCAACUCUUGGAGAAAAUCUCAAUGCCCCUAGAGUUACGAACAUAAGACUGCAAAACCAUUCAAAUGAGUUAAAGAAGGACUACAAAACUUCAGGCCAAAGCAUAGAGCCUAAGCGCAAAGUGUAAAGCGUAGGCAUGGGCCUGAGAUAGUUGAGGUGCACAUUUUCAUAAUCUUUAAAGAUGAAUAUAAUACUCUUUAGAAGACCUAGUGACGACUAUUAAAUGAUACUAAGGCCCUAUUUGGAUGCAUGAAUAUCUUAUUUCAGAUAUACCUUCGAAUUAUUCAAAAAGUUGUAGUAUUUGGUAGAUGAGAAAUGUGAUCAAACCUCUAGGAUGGAAUAACAUAUUCCACUUUCUAGUCAAUUUUUCAGAAUAAGGUAAAUUGCCUUGUAGGUGAAAUAUGUUUAUCCUACCAAAUCAUUGAUGACAAGACCUUUCAAGGAGCAAAAAUUAAACUUUUUGCCUCCAGUCACACAAAAAAAACUUCAUGCCGAAUAACUUAUUCAAGGAUAACUUAUUCCAACAUCCACACAAGACCUAAGUGCACUUAAAAUCAAAUUAUCACAAUAAACAAUUCAUAAAUAAGCACACUAGGGGAAAAAAAAGACAAAAACAAUUAAAAGAAAAGAGGUAACAUAUGUAAGAGAAGAAAACAGCACAUUUAAAGAAAAUUUGAGGGCUCAAACAACGAUAUUUGCAAAGUACAUAUAUAUAUGACGGCUAAAAAAAGAACCACCACAAAUUCAAUGAAAAAAGAAUAUAAAAUUUUUUAGAAACCCACUUUUAAAAUUCAAAAUUUUCAAAAAGAUAUAACACCUCAGCAAGGCACACCUUAUGUGCACCUACCGCCUAGGCUCAGGCACGCACCUAGGCCCUCCAAGCAUGCGCCUAGAGGAGGGUGCCUCAUCUUAGAGGCCUCUAGGAGAAGGCCUGUAAGCUUGGCGCCUAGGCACUCAGGACUCAAGCGCAUGCCUUUUUAAUCAUUGGGCCAAAGUAACAUAGUCCACAUUGAUACUACAGGCAAAGACAAAUUAAAAUGGGAGUGAAUUCUUGAAAGCAAGUUUUGUCAAAUGAGCGGCACGGGGGAGUUCCUAAUCUAUCAAAGCUGAACUGAAUACCUCCUUCGUUUUGACUCCAGCGUAUUGUGCCUGUUGUAAACACAAGAAGAGGUGUGAGCUAUAUUCCUCAAACUAUAAAGAAUAAUCAAUAAAAUAAAGGUGAUAUUUCCAUGAGCUGAAUAGAGCACUUUACAAGGAGUAGAUGAUCAUAUUCAACAAAUAAGUUAAUGAAAAGAUCAUUAUCCAGAAAAUACUGAUGUCAACAAAAACUAAUGACAAGAGUGCCUCAAAUAAAGUUGGAGUAUUGAUAUAGCUCACUAUAUUUAUCAAUAGAACGAACUUCAUAUGUGUAAGUAUUUGAGUAUUGAUAUAGCUCACUAUAUUUAUCAAUAGAGCGAACUUCAUAUGUGUAAUGUGUAACUGUAUCAAUAUCCUAUAGUCCAUCUGUUGCUCCAAGGCAACAGUUCCUGAACUAUGCAUACCAUGCAUAAAUAAUGCAUAAGAAGAUAUAAAUAACUAAAGCAUGAUAUAUCCUUAAAAUUCAAAAAUUAGAUGAUUAAUGAAAGUCGGCAGGAUAAAUUACUCCACAAACUACUUUAUAACUCGAUAAAUUCAAUACAGAAACAAGGUUUACUAACUCAACCUGCUCCAUAGCAGAAUUUUCUUUAUAUUCUUCACGAAAUUACUUGGACAAUGAGGCAGACCCUAAAGAUACUUGGGACCAUUGUAAACUAUUCCAACACAUUAAGUGCUUGCAAAAUUACAUAACUAUAUAUAUAUGACUUGUAAGCCAGGAAUAAACAAUGUUAAGAAGUUCUUUUGUUAUAUUUGCUUCCCUUACAGUUAUCCAAUUAUUACAUCAAUAACACAGCACUCCUCAAAUAAAAACACCUUUAAGCGGAGUUCUAGCCUUUCUCCUUCCAUGGCAUCAAUAAUACAGAACUCUUCGAAUAAAAACAUCUUUUAGCAAAAUUUUUGCCUUUCUCCUUCCACCGGAGAGCAAGGCAGGUGCAUAGAAAAAUGUACAAAACAAAUUUCAGGAGUUCAUACAAAUAAAAUAUAAAAAUUUAGCUAGACAAACUCCUCAGGCCAUUCCAUCUUCCCUGGCGUGCAAUGAAAUGCAAAAAACAUUUAGUCUUUCCAGUUGUGUCAUACAAGAAAGAGCUAAAAACAAAGUUGUAGAUCAUUUUUCAAAUAAAACAAUUUCCAGAAACUUUGUUUGUUUUCAUCCUAAAUACAACAUGCAUGAAUUUUGAAAAUUCUAUGAGAUUUAAGCCUAUCAGACUGCCACAGAAACUAAAAACAGUUCUGCUUCGAGAUCUAUCCAACUACUAUUGAUCCUCAAAAUUUGUCAAAUCCAAGUUUAAAUAAAAGAAAGUGCUUGUUAGAACUCAAAGAAAUGAAAAGUGAAGAGAAAAACAUUAUAACAUCUAUAUAUCCAAGAACUUUUGAUCCCUAGGCAAAUUUUAGCUGAGAAUCCAAAAUUGACACACAAACUCUGCAUUACUUCCAAAUUAAACCUGUACUGCUAUGGUGCUCAAAUACUUCAGUUUGCUUGUCGUAUCAUAUCAGAUAUGUAUUAAAUACCAAUGCUCGCACAAUACACGCUCGAUACGUGUCAGAUACUUCUCAAGAGUAUUCGGCAUUUUUGAAAAUUCAAAAAAAAAAAGAGCUAGAUAGCGUUAAAAUUCAAAAUUAUACCGUAUAUUUUAUGGAUACACUACGAAUACUUGCAAGAAAGGGGGUAGAAUUAUUUUGCAAUGCAAUGAUACUUGUACCAUGAAUUCAUGGCUGAUAAAAACUAAAGGAUACUGCUGGUGUGAUUAAUUUUGUUUCUUGAUGAACAAAAGUCAACUAUGUUCAUAUCUUUACACAAGUUAAGUCAAUUUAUUGCUGUGGAUAAACCAUUCAUCCAAAGUUCUAGACUUUUUAAAGUUGUAUAUGAUAUAUAAUAUAUGCAUAAAACAUAUUUGUUUUGCAAUAUCCCCUAUGUACCGUAUCCUAAGAUUUUCAAAUUUGUCGCGUCGUCGUAUCUGUAUUAUGUCAUAUCUGUAUCCCAUAGCUGUGUCCGUGCAACGUUGUUGUAUUAGCUUCAGCCAUACCAUUCAAUCCUUUAAAUAAUAGAUACAUUCCUCUAUCUCUAUUUGUUUUCUCUAUCUGCCUAUCCCCUUUCAUUUUUGCUGUUUUCCUUCCAUUUUUUUAAAUUUAUAGGUUUUAAGUCGCAUACACGAAAUAUACACUUAUUUUCUUUUCCAAUAAGUAGCUUGCUUCGGUGUUUUAUACUUUCCAAUACUCUUAAUAACCCACCCUCUUCCUGUUUUAAUCGUACUGUGCAGGACCAGUUUACUCUGAUAUUGGUAUUCAAAAUGCAAUAAUCUUCGACAAGAUUAAUUAAUAGGGUAAAAUCUAGACACAUCAAUUAAAAAUAAGGUUUUUCUUAAUUGUAAACUCCAAGGAACCAUUAAAAAUUGAGUUACAUACUGAAACAUCACAUAUAAGGGGGCCUUCACUAAAUGCUUAACCUAUAUGAUAAAUAAAAGAACUCAUAGAACUAAAAGUCACUUAGAACCUAGGCAAUUAUGAUACAUCCAGGGCUGAUAAAGAACAAUUAUGAUACAUCCAGGGCUGAUAAAGACCUCCUGCAAUUUCCAGUACAGCACACCAUUUUGUAUAUAACUUUGAACCAACAAUUGUCAGAUACUAGCAUAAAAAAAAUCAGAUACUAACACUAUAAUAGGAGUAAGGACAAUGAGACAUUAGUCCCAAUACUUAUUUGGUUGGCUUAUAUCAAUCCUAUUCCUUCACAAUGCUCCAAUCUACAUAUGACAAGAGUCUUGCUCAAAAGUCAAAACAUGUCUAUCAUAACUAAAAAAAAAAAAAUCUAAAUAUUUUACCUAGAGUCGAUAGUAACAUAAUGCUCCCUCCCAAGGCACUUGCUAACUAAUAUAAAUCAGUCCUCUUCUUUCUUAUUUCGAGCAAAAAUAUAUAAUCACUCUUCAGUGCUGCACCAUAUGAUAUCUUUUACACGUGACUUAACAAUCUUACACGGUUUUCACACAACAUAUCCUUUAUGGACACAAUAUUGUGUCAAAUUCAAUUAGAGCACGUUUAGCUCUGCUGUAGGAUAUAGUGCUGCUUUGAGAAAAUUUUCUCCGAGUAGUGAUACAAGAAGAAGCGCUACAUUUUAUUCGGCCGCAGAAUCAAAAGUGUGAUUAGAGCUUCUACUUUUCAGCCACGGAAUACCAUUUUCCCUUCCAACUGCAGCAAAAGCUCCAAACUUUUUUCUUUGUUUGCAGCCAAAAGCAUUACCAAACAGGCCCUCAGUAAAAGGAUAUCCACAAGUACUCUGGCUCAGAUAUCUACAUUCAUUACUACAACAUUUCUUACCAGCCACAAGAACUCCGGCUUGCAUAAUACCAAAAAUUAACAAAUUUAGCAAAUAACACGGAAUCAUAUUAAUCGAGAUUAAGCAAUACGCUUAAACCCGAUUAAAAUGCUUUAACGAUCUAAAACGAUUCAACAACAAAACCGAAUUGGGCAAACCCAUGAAUGUCUAAGAUCCAAAAAGGAGCGAACAAGGGGAACAAAUCCGCGGAAUACCUUGAACAAGCAGUGAUCGAUCCCGAGCUGCGCCUCCUUGAACGCCUCGCGCACGCGGCGCCGAUCGGGCGCGUGGUCGAGGUUCGCCUCCGCCACCACCCUCGCCACCUUCUCGUCCACUCCCUCCCACCUCACCCCCCUCCUCCCCUUCUCGCACAGCGAGGCGACACCGAGCCCACUAACGAAACCUAUUGAUCGUUAGAAAAACCCUAGACGCCGACGACGAAGACGACGACGAUCGAAGAGAGAGAGAGAGAGAGAGAGAGAGAGAGAGAGAGAGAGAGAGAGGGGAGGGAUACCGCGAGAGGGACGAGAGAGGAGCUUCGCGAAGGUCAUCGUCGGAGGAGGAGGAUUCAACACCAUUUAAAGCGGCGGGGAAAAGUGAGGGGGGAGUAAAUUUAAUUUUAAUUUUUUUUAAAAAAAAAAAAGGGCGUGGAAAAAUUUGGGAAAUAGGGGUUAAAAUGGAAUUUUAUUUAUUUAUUACAUAAUAAUAAAUAAUAAAGUGGAAAUAAUGGUGUGUAACACGAGAGAGAGAGAGAGAGAGGAGAAAGAAUCUGCGUUUCGUUAUGGAGUGGACAUUGAUGGGGUACGAAAAGGUCGGUGGGGGAGGGGAUGAGACGUUGGUUUUCGGUGUAACGCGCGUUUGCCACGUUAAACUCAUAUGUGGGUCCCGCAUGUUGAGGGAGUUAUGUAGAAGCGUUACACGGUAGGAGUUGGGGAUAAGGUAGUGGAAUAUAUCCGUAUCCAUUGGAAUGGUGUUGAGAGAAAUUAUUGGAUAGGUAUUGCUUACCAUUAUCCCCAAACCUUUUUAUUCUUGUUAUAAUUAUUAUAUUUUUAAUUUUAUAAUCACUUUUAUCCUUUUUUUUUUAGUUUGAUCGAUUCCACACCUCUUUGCUUAUUUCACAAUCCAAAAUACGGUCGUAGGUUCUCAAUCUUGCACACAAUAUUAAUUAUCUAUUUUUUGAGCAUUCUAGCGUCUUAAUAUUAAUUUAUACGUGCUACCAAACUUUACCUAAAAUUUGAAGUUAAGUAGGUGUCAAAAUUUACUUAUGACAGAGCCCAAUAGUACUAUAUCGGAUGAAAAUGAGCUUGUGAAUAGAUAUAUAAGAGACCAUGAGCACAAGUAAUAAUAACUAAGUUCAAUCAUUUUCGACUGAUUGGUUUGGAUUCAACAAGUUAUUAUUGCUAACUAAUGUGGUUCAUAUGAGUGGAUAAAACUUUAUUAGACUAAAAUAAUCUCGUCAAGAUUAACUAAACUUUGGAGGCUAAUCAUAUUCAUACAUGUAAAGUGACACAGAGUCAAAUCAAGAGCCAUACAAAAUUUUAUAUUAAAACAAGGACUUUUUUUUGCAUUUGGCCUCUUGAAAAAAAAAUAUUUUGAAAAUAAUCCCAAUAAAUUUAUAUUUACAAAAAUGACCCUAACCCUGCUACGCAUGCGCCACGUCAGCGUCACGUGAGCGGGCUGGGGCCAAUUUGUUAAGUUAAACACGAUGAACCAUUCAUCGUGUUUAGACACAGUGAAUGAUUCACCGUGUUCCAUACUUUUAUUUCUCUUAUUCCUCAUUUCCCUCUUUUCAAAAAAAUGAAAAAAUUGGAUCUAUGUUCAACGGAUCACACCUACCAAGAAAAAGUAUUUUGUUUCGGUUCGACCCGUAGUCACAUAUGAAAUAUCCGAUGGGAUAAAUUUAGCAAACAUGUUUGAACACGAUGAAUGAUUCACCGUAUUCAACUUAACACCCUCGUGCUUGCGUGGCGCUGAUGUGGCACCUGCGUGGCGGGAAUAGGGUCAAAUUUAUAAUUAUAAAUUUGAUGGGAUUAUUUAUAAAAGAAAAUUUUUUGAGAGGGUCAAAUGCAAAAAAAGCCCUUAAAACAAUAAUAUAGACAAAAAUUAUUACUAUAUUUCAAUAUAAUAGGAAGUACUCAUUAAAAGAUUGCUUCAGUAUAAUCAGAGGUACUAAAAGAUUGGGAUAAUUAUCUAUAUAUCACUCAAAAACUUUAAAAAUAUCUAAAUUAUUUUUUUUUUUCAAAUAUGUUUUUCGUAUAUUCCUCCGUUAUUCAAAAAUGCUCCCACAGUUAACAUUGGUUAAGUUAUCUCGGAUUAAACAUUAGUUAUAUGUCUACCGGAGUUAAAAAAAAAAAUCAAAAUACCUCUAAGAACGGACAAAUAUUUUUUUGUCCCUAACUUAAGGGUAAAUAAAAAAAAGUUGAUGAUGAUAGAAGGGUAUAUUUAAAAGGGUAAAAUAGUAAUUUUACAGUAAUAACGAUUACUGUAAAUAGUAAUUUUACAGUUAGUAAUUUUACAGUAAUUUUACAGUAAAAUAGUAAUUUUACAGUAAUUUUACAGUAACAACUAUUACUGUAAAUAGUAAUUUUACAGUAAUUUUAAAUUAUAGAAGGGUAUAUUUAAAAGGGUAAAAUAGUAAUUUUACAGUAAUAACGAUUGUUGCUAACCGUUUACUAACGGAAUUUAUUUCUAAAAGUAUAUUUAAAAUAACUUGUAAUGUUAAAAGGAUAUUUUUAAUAUUAAACUUCUAAAAGUGAUAAAUUAGGAAAUCAAAAAAAAAAUUGCAAGGAUACAUAACAACAAAACAACAAUAUGCACCAAAGCUCCUCAACAAUGAACUAUUAAAAAUAUAAUAUAAAACGUGUUUGGCAUAGUCACUAUAUAUAGUGACUAUACAUAUCUCAAGUGUGUUGGAAAAAAAUAAUAAAAAUACCAAAACGCAGGUAAAAUCUAGUAUAAUUUUAUAAGUUUGAACACAUAGAUCACUUUCGAUGACUUUAAAUUUUAUAUUUAAAACACCUAUGAUGGCGUUUAGUGACUAAAAUAAAAAACAAGUUAUUAUCAAGAUCAGAUCCCGUGGAUCCCCCGUUACAAUGGAAAUCAAACGUGGGGUUAUUAUUAUGCUUCAAUAAUUAUAUUAUUUUAUUUCAUCUUUUAUGGGAAAAAAAAAAACCCACUUUGUAUUAAAUCACAAAAUGAUCGAGAAAAGAUAUAUUGUUUUUAGUUUUAUUUCUUUUUGUGCCGUGUAGCGCCAAGAUUACUGUUAAGUGGUCAGAGUCAAGAGAGUUGUGCGGUCGCUCAGAUUUGUGGGAACUUGGUUGGUUGGUCAAAAGAGAUCUUUUGAUUAAUUGGUUUUGAAGCAGUCGUAAUCCAAGCAGUUUUGAAGAAGAGUAUUUUAAAAAAUAAGGAUAAACUUCAAAUAUCAUUCUGUGAUUUCGCACUUUCUCACUUUAGUACUCUGUGGUUUAAACUAUAUCAAGUUAGUAUUCUGUGGUUUCAUUUUUAUCUUUUCGUCAGCUUUUCCGUUAAUAUUUUGUUAAAUUAUAUACAAAAAACUUCAGAUAUCUAUCUAGGUUUAUCAAAUAUUCACUUUAGUACCAUUUAGUUUUAACUUUAUUACUAAUUUAAAGAAAAAAAUUAGUGGAAUCGAUAAUAAAAGGAUAAAAAGAAAAACACAUGACACUAGAUUAAUACACUUUAAACCACAAGGCACUAAAGUGCGAAAGUAUGAAACCGCAGGGGUGGUAUUUGAAGUUUUUUCUAAAAAAUAAGAAUAAUUACCUAUAUUAUACCAAUUAAAAUUUUGAAAAUUUUUUUUCUUUCCAAUAUACCUCUUAUAUAUUCCUCCGUUAUUCCAAAAAAGUAAUACAUCAAUACACCAUAUAAAUCUCAACUAUUUAUUUUUCUUAAUAAAUGGUUUAGAUUUAAUUGACUCUAGAGAUGACCUACUAUUGAGGCAUAGGUACCAUUCAUCAGAUACUCUAGAAGUGACCUACUUUUUUUAAAAAAAAUAACUUUUGAGUUCGAUUGUUUGAUUCACUAUAAAGUGAAAAAUAAAAAGAUAUGCUUUUGUAGCCUUUCUUAUGAGAUCAUGUUUGGUUGUCUGAAAGUAGUUGAAGUGAAAAAAGUCAAUUUUUAGAAAAAUGACUUUUACGAAAAAUAACUUUUCAGUUUGAUUGUUUGAUUAAUUGUAAAGUGAAAAACAGAAAGUUACGCUUUUGUGUGGUUUCGGUUGUUUGAUUAUUUGAUUAUAUAUAAUUUGAAUUCAUGUUUGAAUCCAAUUUUGACUUACUAUUUGAUCUUAAGUUUUGAAUCCAAAUGUUUAAUUUGAAUCAAAAUUUAAAUUUAAAUUUAAAUUUAAAUUUUGAUUUUAAAUUACAAUUCAAACUGAACAUUUGAGUUUAUAAUUUGAAUUCAAAGUUCAAACAAAAACUCUUUUUUGAAAUUAAAUUCAAAAUGCAAACUUAAAUUCAAUUUCAAAUUUCAACGUAAAAAUUUAAAUUUUGAAUUCAAUUUUCAAUAGAUAAUAAUUUUAAUUUGUAGUUUAGAACAAUUUGAAUUUAAAGUUCAAAGUGAAGUUCCUAGCUAAAAAUAAUUUUCUCAAAUUUUAAAUUUAAAUAUUUAAGUUUUAAUUUAAAUUUAAGUUAAAAAAUUAAAAAUAGAAUUCAAAUUAAAACAAAAUUGUGGUUUUUAUUUUAUAUUGAAAUAAAAUUUAUAAAUUUGAAUUGAAAAAUUUUGUGUCGAAUUUGAAAUUAAUUACAACUAAAUUAAAAACGUAAAACUUUAAUUGCGAUUUCAAUUCAAAUUUAAAUUGAAAUUCAAUUCUAAAAAUAAAUUCAAAAAUUAAAGUUAAACCAAAUAUAACCAUUUAGAUAAGCACUUCUUGCUUUAGGUGAUCGACCUUGAAAUAUUUUGGGCCGAAGUCAAAAAAGUGAUAUUUAGCUAUAACUCUGUUACUUUUAGGGGCCGUUUGGUUAGAUGUAAUUAUAAAUGUAGUGUAGUUAGAGAUGCAUGUAGUUGAAAAUACAGCAGUUAUAACUACAUGAAUCUUGUUUGGUUGGAUGUAGUGAAAAACGCUGCAAGUAUAAAUAAUUUAUUUGGUUGCAUACAGUUGAGAAAUAAUUUUUAAAAUUUUAUUAUUUUUAUAUAUAUGAUGGUGAGAUUACCUCCAAUGUAAAAAAGAAAAAUAAUUUUUGUUUAAAAAAUAUUGAGGAGGUAAGCAAACCUUUUAUUUAAAAUUUCUCUCUCCAACUGAUGUAGUUGGAACUGCGGCCAAUUUGGGCGUAGUUCGAACUGCUGCAAUUGAGCCUCCUCCUGCAAUUCCUACUGCAGUGAUUGGAGUUAAAUACAUUAAACCAAACACGAAAUUUGUAUUUACAUGCAGUUACAACUGCAGUGCAGUUGCAACUACAUGCAACCAAACGGUUUAUAUCCAUUUUCGCAAAUCAAAUAGCUGAUAAAGCGUUACUUUCUGAAAGCAAGAUUUUUAAUUUUAUUUAUUUUUUUGAAAGAACACCAUUAAAACAUUUAUUCCACAGGAUAAACAAUCACAGACUCCUCAAACUCUUCAAAACAGACCCAACUAGAAGCUACCUGGGAGGCAAAGCUUCAUUUUAGCUAGAUAGUUUAUUAGUACUUUGUGAAAAUGGACCAUAUCUGGAAGACCAUCCUAUAAGAAUAUUGUUGUUAUUGGAUUUCAAAAGGCGACGAAACGAAACAAUUUGCUAUCUAUGCUAAUUGCAGUGAAAUCUGAAUAUGUCGAUCAGCCGACCAAUCAUGCCCUCAAUGAAAGCGGUCUCAACACUGCAGACAGUGCAUACCCAAAUGCCAGUCGAGCGGUUGAUCGGAAGUCGAUUCCCCACCUGCACGUUUGUUGAAAGCAGCAUUCAAGCUCCCCGCAUCCUGGGGAACUCAAACAUAAAUAUGACGUUAACACCCUAGUACGAUUUCAAUUCAUUCAACAAAAGAGAAAAAAAAGUGGAUUUUUUCUCAUAAUUUGACGUGGGAGCUGGCGAUAAUUCAUUUGCUAUUAAUUAUAUAUUAUUUUAUCAACAAUCCAAAAUUACUCUCCUUCUAGAAACAGUUACGUUAUUAUCAAUAUUAUUACUGUAAAAUUACGUGCUAGAUUUGAAAAUAUAGUCAAAAUCUUGAGCUGUUAGAAAUACGAAACCAAUUCACUUGGGCCGUGUUUGGUAAUAGGAUAAUUUUUGCAGGGUUAAAUUUUUUUUAUUCCUAGAAUAUCUCAAUAUUCUAUGAUAGAGAGGAUUGAAAAUAAUUUUUUGUUUAGCAAAAUUUGUACUUAUUCUCUGCAAUAGACAAAAUGAUGUUUGAUAACUUUCUUGAAAGAAAAAAAAAAAUAGUUAGUAAAGUUGAUUGAAAUAUUUAAAAAUACCAAGUUUGCCCUUGUAUAUACCGUGAAUUUUUUUCUUUGUAUAAUACAUAUACAAUACUUGAUAAAUUUUAAUAUAAUUUUUUCAAAUAUAAUUACAAUACAAAAAUUAUAAUUAAAAAAUAAUAAUAUUUUUCUACUGAGCAAUGCAAUAUGCAGUAAGUAAGAUAAUUUUAAAUUAAUUUAUACAAUUAGAAAUCAAUAAUAUAUGCAAUAGUAUCUAAUUUAUUUAGCUGUCAAUCAUUUCACAUAGUUAAACAAAAAUCCUAAUAUAAAUAUAUUGGACUAACCAAAUCUCUACGUACUUGGCAUUCGGAAAAGAGAUGAGAGCUUUGGUAGGUGGGUAAAGUGGCGCCGAGAAGGCCUUGCUGCCCCUCGGGUUCCAGGAAUAAACCUUAUUCCAUGGUUGGGAAAGAAUAAAAUUAACGGAUUAUUCCAGUGAAAAUUGGAAUAACCUGUUUUGACCGGUAUAAAUUAUUCCGGUAUUUUUUUUUUCCGUUUGGCAUAAUAACGAGAAUAAAUUUGAUUAUUCUGCAGUUAUUCCGUUACCAAAUGGAGUCUUAAAGCGUAUAAAUACAAUGCCCACGGGUCUCGAUUGUAACUCGGCCCAACCAGCCUCACGCCACUUCAAAUAUAACUCGGCCCAACCCAGCAUCACGCCAUUUCGAAUAAGACUCGACCCAUAUGGCCUCCCGCCACAAAACAGGAUGCUGGCCUAUUUAAGCCAACAGUCAUAUCCAAAUGAAUUUGAUCUUAUACCCAAUAACAAAAUGGAAUGUAAAUAAGAGGUAUCCAAAAAAUAGACAGCACGUAUCACUAGGGGUGUAAACGAGCCGAAUACGAACUGGCUCGUUAAAGUAUCGAGCCGAAAAAUUCAGCUCGUGUUCGGCUUGUUAAUAAACGAGCCGAACAUGAGCUGGCUCAUGAGCUGGCCAACGAACAAUAAGUUAAAACGGAUUAGAUUUAAUAUAUAUAAAAAAUAAAUUUAUAAAAUCUUAUCUAUUAGACUUUAAUCUCAUAGUUGAAACUUUAUAUAUAAAUGAGUCUUUUUAUAAUUAAGCUUGCAUUUAUAUUUUUAUUUUGCUAAAAAUUAAAUAAUAAAAAUAUAUAUUAUAUAUAAUUAUUUAUUUAUAUAUAAAAAUAUAAAUUAAAUAAAUUAUAUAAAUAUAAAAUAUAUAUAUUCNCGUAUUUCUAACAGCUCGAGCUUUUGGGAUUAAUGGUUAGCGCCAACGAUCCGACAUUAAUCACGUUCGUCCAUCAAAAGCGUAAAUAAUUAAUAUAUGUCAACUGUUGGAUCGGCUUUAUCCUUAUGGGGAUCGCUUUGAAUAAAUCAUAUAAAUCACAUCCAACAAUUUCCUCAAAUGGAGUAAGAAAAUUAUUAUAAUAAUUAUCAGGACAAAGUAUAUUCUUUUCAAGCACAACACACUCAACUAUAUAUCAGGGGAUUACAAGGAGUAUGCAUUACGUAUAGUGAGAACUUACGAAAGAAAAAAAAUUUGGGUUUAUAUUUUUGUAACAAAUAUAUAUAUAGCCAGCCAGUAGACUGAUCCAAUUAUGAUAUAAUAUGUGAAGUCCAAGUAAAGAGCGAAUCUCUAUGCCGACUAGUUUAGUAUAUAAGAUUUAUAGUUCUAGUAGAAAGCGAAUAUCUAUAUGCUACAGUACUGGUUCAUUAAGAUUUAACAUUUACGAAAAUGGAUAAAAAUAUUUCUAACACUCAAUAUCAACCAUCCUCAUGUACAUGGUUCAUUAAUUUGGUAGACUAUGUAGACCCUUUUGAGAGGAUUUGGGUCGAAAAUUUUUUUUUUCUCACAAUCAAUUUUACAGUAUUUAAUCUGCUGAUUGGGCUUAUUAGAAAUGUUUUAGAAUAUAUAUUUGAAGAUGCCAUAAAUUAACUUUUAUAAAUUUUAAUAUUUUCUAUUAAUUAGUUCAUCAAGUCAUUUCUAGUUUGACUAUGUUAAUGAUGAUUGGAUAGAGUUGCUAUUUUAAUAUAUAAAUAAAUAUAAUUUGAAUAUAUCGAAAUAUUGUAAUAAUAUGUUUUUUUGAUGCCAUGAUAAAAAAUGAUGACUUGUUUUUAAUUAAUAAAGAUAAAGAAAAAUAAGUAAAAAUUCGUACCUAUUAGCUAGAUUUUGGCCGUAUAUUCGGCCAAAAUCCGGCCAAGAAGCAGGAGUGAAGGGAAGUAAAAAAGAAGGAAAGUCAAUAGAAAUGCUUGGAAAAUGAAAGAAAAGUCAUUAUCUUUUUAUUACAAGAAGAUACGACUUUUUCUUCUUCUUGUUUCCUUUUAUAUAUUCUAGCAUUUUGGUUAGAUUUUGGCCAGGGGCCAAAAUUUGGCCAAUAGUUAAGGAUUUUUGUUUAUUUUUCCUUGCCAUUUUUUUUUUCUUACUACCUUUUGACCUUUUUUUUUUUUUUUUUCCUNUUUUCCUUGCCAUUUUUUUUUCUUACUACCUUUUGACCUUUUUUUUUUUUUCCUAUAUAUGAUCUACACUAUAAUCAUUUAGAUCUUCACCUCCAUUUUGCUUUGCUCUCUCACUACUCGGAACUACCCACUCUUCUAAUUUGUCAGAUGCCACUAAUUUAAUGUAUGUUUUUCCUAACUUAACAAACUCGAUCGGAGAUCGAAAUGUUCUGCUAUACGUUGAGGGACGGUACGUAGUUGGACCAAGUGUAUAAUCUGAGUGAUUUUUUUCGACCAUCAUAUUAAUUAUUCUAUAUUUUUCUAUAUUAUGAACUUAUCUAUAAAAGCCCAACCUUCUAGUAAUAAUAGCUCACUAGGCCUAAACUAGUGGCCUAAAAUGCUUAAUCUCAGUUUUUAAUACUAGUGUUCAUGAUCUCUUAUAUUCUUAAUCAUAAUUUCAUUUUCAUCCAAUAUGAGACUAUUGUGGUAUCACUUACUCCCUCCGUUUAGGUCUUGGCAUUCUUGUCAGUCUACUACAUAUACAGUCUAAGAUCAUCAAGCGAUGUGAGGCAUACCUUAUACUUUUGGUUGGUGAACUCGGCUCUGAUACCAAAUAUCAUGUCUUGCUUUCUAAGAGGAUACCCAUCCUAAAAUUACUUUAGCCCUAGCACACUUAACCCUCUUAACCUCUUAGCCCAAAUCAUCAUUCAAAAUGUUAUAUCAAAAUUAAAAAUCUCACAAGCACCAAGCUUUUAUUGCAAAUGUCAAGUUCCACUUCUCGGGACGGUACCCAUUCUAGAAUUACUCUAGCUCUAGUAUGCUUAACCCUCUUAAUCUUUUGCCUAAUGCACAUCCUGCUUUUCGGCGGUUACUCAUCUUAGAACUACUCUACUGCUAGCAUCUUAACCCUCUUAAUAUUUUACUAAAUGGCAUGUCGCUUAACCCUGUUAAUUUUUUAGCUUUAGCUACCACCCAUGAUGCUAUAGUGAGUUCAGAAAACUACAAGUACCAAAUGAUAUGAGAUUCGUCUCGCUAGUCUUAACCGAUCUUGUGGGACCUACACUCUACUUGCUCUAUGAUUCUGACUCAGCUAUGACUUAUCUCACACUUUCGGCUGGUGAUUGACUCUAAUAACAAAUGUAACGUCCCAGUCCAUUAGUAAUAAUAAUUCGUUGUACCCAAACUACUGGCCCAAAAUCUUUCAACCCAAUUAUUAUUAUUAGAGUUAACUCCAAUCUUAUGUGGAACUAUUGAGGUGUUAAAUUCUCUUUUAUCUAGUUUUACAGGUACUUAUGUCUUAUGUCGGACCUUCUUUCUUUAUUUAGAAAUAAGCUUAUUUUAAUUCCUAAAACUCUAUAUUAUUGUAAUCAAACACUACUUUUGUAAUAAAAUGUUUACUGGCCUUACUCAAAAAAAAAAGUUUUGAAUAAAGAGAUUUUAUACCUUGUUUUUUGAGCCUAUUUGUUUCACACCAUAUAUUCAAUUUUCUCUUUAAUUACUUGAUAUAUAUGUAAAAGUAGCGACUAAGAUCAGUUCAUACAUUGUACAUUCAAUGGCAGUAAAUAUCGAUUUUGAGGAACGAUUUAAACAAUGUAUGAUCAUAGAAGGAAUGCAUUUUCGAGUUUUAAUAUUACCAAUUGAAACUUGGUCUUUAGAUGGCCAAGUUGUUGGAUUGCAACCUAUGUUGGACUUAAUUUAAACCUAGCACUGCUAUGUAUUUAAACUCUAUUGCUUAUGAACUAACACUUUUUUAUUUAGAAACUGUUUCUAGUUUAUACUGGUUAGUUAUGUUAGUUUGGAUAUGUGUUAAAUCUCCGCUGUUUAUGAAUUACAUUUUUUUAUUCAGAAAUUGCUUCUGUUUUAAGUUGGCUAGCAAGGUUAAUUUGGAUUAGAAAACAAUAAUAGAAUCCUAACUCUCAUCUGUGUGAUCAUGUAUGAGAGGUGCUCUUUCUAUUUUAAAUUGUUAACGAAGUUAAUUUGGAUUAAAAAAACCAUUACUUAGGACAAUAGAAUCACAACCCCUCAUCAUGUGUGAUCAUCUAUGAGAGGUGCUCCUCCUAUUUUAAAUUGGUUAGCGAGGUUAAUUUGGAUUAAAAAACCAUUAGUUAGGACAAUGUAUAGACACUACAACAGAAUUAGAUUAUAGGGACACAUGUUUGGGACACUUUUGAGUAAGUGUUCCAUUUAUACUAAAACUUAAAAACACAUCUACUAAUGCCUAAAUAUAAAGUCCAAUCCAACUAAAAAUAAAAGAUUACUCUACUCAACCCAUCACACCCAGUCCAUUUGGCCCGAUUACAAAAGAAAAGAAAAAAAAAAGAAAAAUCAAUUAUCAUCUUUUCUUCUCUCUUCACUCAAUCCACUGAAAUUCUAGAUGAAGAGUCUUUACUGUCGUCCUCCUCCGCCACCGCAGCCAGCGAGAUAGAGUUUCGGCGGUUGCUAAAUGCUUAAAUAAGUGUUGGUAAAUUAGCAACACUCUUUUAGGUUAUAGCGACACUCUUUAACUGUCACUAUAUACCUAGCGACCCCACAUAUAGCAAUACUUUUUAAAAGUGUCGGUAAUUUUAGCUAGCAGCACUUUUUUGACAUAUACCUACAUUUAAAAGUGUCGCUAUAAACCGUUUUUGUUUUAGUGAGAAUCCCAACAUUUAUCAUGUAUGAUCUUUUACGAAAGGUCCUUCUAUACAAGGAUUUAAGUGUCCAUCAGCACAGAUCGUAUCCACCAUGCCGUAUCAUGCCAACAAAUUAUCAGCAUGAUACAGCAUCCGUGCUGAUGGUACGGUUCAAAAUUCUUUAUUCUUUAAAUUAGUAAAUAAUUUUCUCAAUUAAGUUCAAAGAUUUGAUAAAGAUACAUAAUAAACAGUUAGAAUAGUUUGUUGCUAAAGGAUAUAAAUAUUUUAUGCCAUCAUAUGUCGCCACAUAUAUAUUUUUUGUGAUCGGCACUCAUAGGCAUGGCCCGGUACGCACUGUGCCGUACCGUGCCUGUAAGUUUCUGACACGCCCUGUGCCAUGACAGUAAAAUCCUUGCUUCUAUGGAUGUUACAAGACAAGUUAGAAUUUACUAUUUAGUGGUGGUAUUAAUAUGGAUUCUAGGGUUAGAAAGUUGAUAGUAUUCCAACUCAAUAGCAUUCUAGCUAUAGAGAUUUUUGACUUGAAGUGUAAUUAGACCGAGUACUCAUGCUGGGCUAAGCAGCCCAUGCAUGGCCUUGGGCUGGCCUGGCCCAUUUUAUUUUACAUCGAGUGCAUGCACAAGUGUAUUCCAUCACAUCAAUCAUCUGAUUACCUAAGAGAGUGUUUGGUUUUGCGUAAAACUAACUCAAAAUUAUUUUCGGUUCAAUUUUUUUUUUUUCACUCGUUUGUUCCGUCAUAAAUGUAUUUUUUUUGCAAAAUGCUUUCACAUAUUUGUCAAUUUUUUGAAAACGAAAACUCAACCAACGAACAUAUGUAGCCUACGAGGUGCAAGCUUGACGCGAUCUACAUAAAUGAGUGAAAAUUUGACUCUAUGAAAAAGUAAAAAUAUUGUGUACACCAGGUGUAUUGCAUAUAUACACUAUUUUUUUUUUAUAUAUCAUCAAUCUUCUACUAUAUUUUAAUAUAUAUAUACAUAUAAUUGGAUAUUUACUGGUUGUUUUUAUAUAUAAAAUUCUAAUAGUUAAAUUAAAAAUAUGAGAUAGACUAGACAAGUGAUUGAAGUGUGGUGCAUGAGUGCACACAAUAAAAUGAAUUUUAUAAUUUUUCAUUUCCAUUUCCUAUCAUCCAAGCAAGGGUAGCGCUAUGGAAAAUUUAAUUUCCUUUCCUACGGACCAAGCACUAAACUUAAAUUUUUUUCACUAAAAAUUAUUUUUUUUAUAGUUUUACGUGGAACCAAACAAUUCCUAAUUUAUGUUUGACAUUCUAAUCCAAUCCCUUCCUCCUAUCUCUCCUUCUCAUUCAUGCAAAAGCUAGUCCUCCUCCCCUUCAACUUUCUAACUCAAAAUUCUAAUUUAAAUUUAGAAUUUAUAUUUUAAAUAUAUAUAUUUCAAAUUCAGAUGCGAAUUUGAAUUCAAUUAAAAAUAUAUAUUUUUAAAGUGUAUAUUCUUUUUCUUUUUUUCUUUUUUCUUUUUUUUAAGUGUAUAUUCAAUGUUGGGUUAGUGAUAUUAAAUUCACUUAUUAGCCUAGUUGGCUUUAUUUUGGAUUUGGUUCAACAACUCAUAUAAUGAUCUAUUUAGUAAUUAGUUUGGGCUUUAGUUGACCCAUUUUGGCAUAUUGGGCCAAGUGAUGUUAAGAGAGGAUUCUCUUUGGGUUUAGAAAGAGAGAGUUCUCAUUUUUGCUCUCACGGGUUCUCUUUUCUUGAGAUAGAGAAGAGAGGUAUCGAGAGGGUUGGAAAAGGAGCUCUUUUAUUCUUCUUUGUUAGAAUUUUGUUAGAUUUGUAGAUUAAUUAUAGUUGGAUUAGGAUUAAUAUUGAAAUCUGUUGGAGAUAAAUUAAGAUUUACAUAUUAAUUAGAGUAUGAAUCUAACUAGAUUAGGAUAAAUAUUUAAAUCUAUUUGUGAGAUACCGAACCUUAGCAAAUUGGCAAAGUUACAUUAUAAGUUUAUGUUUGAUUGAGUUUGAGACGUUUUGCGCAAAAUAGACGUAAAAACGGACUUUGAAACUCAAGAUUUAUAUUGUAGAGGAAUAAGUGGAAUACUUAGUUAUAGAGGGGCUUGUUGGCAAUUUUGCUUUCUUAAAGCGGUGGAGUCCACGUGCUUCCCCUAUCCUUAUCCCCACCACUUUAAUUAGUUGUGGAGAGGCAGGGAAUGAUGUUAAUUAUCCUUUCCCUUUCUCUCUCGAGCUUAAUUGUAUGCUUGGUGGAGGCCACGACGGUUUGAGCUCGGAUCGACGUCGGCGUUGCGCCGAAGAGCCGUUCGAGCGUGUGGACGUCACGGUUGCGCCGUUGGAGGCCGAGCGAGCGCGUGGUUUCCCUUCUCUCGACUUCUCGCCGUGGUUGGGUUAGCGUUUCUAGGUGGGUUGAUGUUAAGUUACCGAAAUUUUCGGAUUUCCUCCUAAGCUUCAGUUGAUAGCAUGUAUUAUUGGAUUUAGUAUGUCAUGUUUAAUAGCUCGAUUCGUAGAUUUGCAUUGUUCUUAAAUGAAAUCUGAAUUGGAGCUUAGAAUGCUAGAUUUACUAUACAUGUUGGACUUGGAUUUGACUUAGGAGAAAACAUAUAGAUCCUACACCGUCACUUUCUGAAAAUUACCAGAUUUAGUUUCUGAAGCUGUUGCGCCUUGUAUCCACGCUGUUAGUGCGCAUUUGAUACUCAGGUAGCUUCUGAAGCUGUUGCAUCUUGUAUCCAUGCUGUUAGUGUGCAUUUGAUACUCGGAUAGCUUCUGAAGCUGUUGUGCUUGCAUCCACGCUGUUAGUGCGCAUUUGAUACUCGGAUAGCUUUAGGCGUUGUUGUUCAUUUGUAUAGCCGCUGUUUGUAUGCGGUAGAUACCUAGAUUAGUGUAGGAUGAGUUUACGCUCGUGCUGAGAUGCCGAAUUUAUUUUUAUAGUAGUGUGUAGACUGUUUCGGACUGUCGGGUGCCAUUGCGGUUGACGGUGGACUUAGAUUACUAUUUUUGCAUCAGAUUGUGCCAAGGGCAUGUGAGUUUUGGUUGUUAGACCAGUUAGACCCAUUUGCUUUGAUUAUAGUCUGUGAGAGCCUAAUUGAGUUCGGCAGAAAUACGUUUGCAUACUCGGUUGGGUAGCGUCCACGAGUGCCACUGCGGAGUCGGGCUUUAUGCUUUUGUGUUGUUGUCGGUUUGUCCUGGUUGGACUUGCUCUCCACUGAUGACCCAACGUGGUGGUAGUUAGUGUAGCUUCGGAAGGCGGGACCGGUGUGUUCACAGUCCCUAGUGAGAUUGGGCCAGAGAUUGCAUUUUCUACAGAUAGUUAGUGUUGGAUCGAGAUAGUAUUGUCACGCCCCGCGACCGCUCGCCUAUUUGGCCGGGUCGCGGUGCCGUCAACAGACCGCCGAACGGACAGAGUUUCCCCUGUACGUCCUAGGCGUCGCAAUCAAAACAAUGAACGAGUGUUCCAACCAGGAACUGAUAUCAAUCGAGAUUGCUUAAGGAAGUAUCAAUAACAUAAAACUAACUGCUAUUACAAGCAUUCAUUUCAUACAAUAUUUUUCUUUUAUAUUUACUUAACUUUCAAAUACAAUCACAUUAUUAUAUUUGAUUUACAAGUUUGAUACAUCUUGGUUCACUAUCCUCUAGUCCCCUAAGCUAGACUGCCUCAGGGUUCUGCUACCUCGGUCUCUGUGGUAGAGCGCUAUCUACAAAGCUAUGCCCUUGCCUCGCGCCGCCGCGCCGCUCACGUGUGUACCUGUAACACCCCAAAACAACGUAGGGUGAGAACCAACUCCAUGGUUCCCAGAUGUACGACCACCCAAGGAAAAAGCUAGACCAAUAGGUCCGAGGAGGCACUGCAAUAUGUUAGAUCAACAAUAUACAACAGAUAUAUAUUCAAAUUGAAAUACAUGCCAUGCCUCACAAUAUGCGAAUGAAAUCAUGCAACUCUAUGCAAGUAGAUUAAUUGAUUCUACUUCCUAUUAUUAGCCAUUCUUUACUUGUAGCCGUUCUUUACUUUAUUAGCUAUUCUUUAUCAUUAGCUUUUCUCUAGUCCUUACUUGGUCACAUUAUGCUCAUUGGCGAUUCUUUUCUAAGGUUGCUCAUGCCUUAGCUAUCUAUGCCACUCGACUCGGUCUUGAGUCAAUCCUCUGCGGAUAGUCCGCACAUUGGCUGCUUAACAGCCAAACACACUCGAUGACUCAGCCACCCGGCGGCGAAGUCAUCGCACACGCUCAGCUCUUGCUCAAGUCAUCCUGCGGCAUAAUCCACAAACCGGCUCAACCAUCCGGCGGCAAAAUCGUCGCACACGCCACGACAAUGGUUCUUUAGCCCCAGGCGGCGAAAUCAUCGCACGCACCCCGCACCACUCUGGGUGUUCCACAAGUCCUGGGAUUCCGGAAUCCACUUCACAUUACUCAAGGAUUGGUCUUAACCCUAUGGAAUUGACCUAUCUAGGUCCAAGCCUUUACUCAACCUAAGUUAAUAUUUUAGGUUCGUUGCUCUCUACUCAUAGCCUAGGUUUGUUAACACUAGAUCCAUUAUUCUCGUCUACCUAGAUUCACUUGACUCUAGGUUCUUACUUUUACCUUACAAUCUAUGUUCUCUAACAUUAGGAUUAAUGCCUUUCUCGUUAACCUAUGUUCAUUAACACUAGGCUCAUUAUCACUCUUGUUCAACCUAUGUCCUUGACGCUAGGUCCAUUGUCAUUCUUGUUCAACCUAUGUUCAUUAACACUAGGCUCGAUGCCACUCAAUCUUUUCUAGGUUCAUGACACUAGGUUCAAUGCCACUCGAUCUAUGUGUAUAUAAAUGUUCGCAUGCACAUGUCAUAUAUUUAACCUCUUUACAUUAAGAUCUCCACAAACAUGCUUGUCAUAUAUUUUUUUUAGCAUUCUUAUUUCAUAUCUAUAUGCAUUCUUACAUUAGCAUUUUACCAUAUGCAUCAUCUAUGUCAUUUCAUUAACAUGCAUCAAUAUGAAUUCGUAUGUUUCUUAGACAAAAAGGGUGAUCUAGUCGCUUCGGUAAACACAACCCAUCUUAAAUCGCUUUCCGAUUGCUCGUCGACACUUGCAAAAGGCCUUCCGCGGCACUCCGCACCCGUUUGGGCCCGAUCUUGUAGUAGCACUCUAAUAGCGCGUCGCUUCGCCACUACAAGAGUUAAAGGUCUUUGCCUUGCUAUUAUGGCGCUCGGGACUCGAUCUCGCUAUUUAUGGACGUCGUCUCGGCCUUCCAGGCGGAAACGAAGCUCCAAACGUCUGUUUCUUCAAUAUCUUUGUAACGGCUUGUCGGAUUGCCGAACCGACUUCGCCAACGCGUUUCGUUACCUAUCAAUUAGGUUUAUGGAGGGUCAAAUAAGAUCAAACCCUCCCAAAUCACAAAACCCUAUUUUGGAUGCUCUAGAUGCUAUUACUACCAAAUCCACCAAAUUGAUCUAUGAUUUGGGCACAAUACAUCUCAAUAGCAUGAUAGGGUACCAAAAAUAUCAUUUCUAGGGUUUGAAAUCCCCUCCUUAAAGAUUUACCAUGAGAUGAGGCAAAGAGCUUACCUCUCUAGGUUGCUCCAAGCACGAGGAAGACGAAGGAGAGGAUGAAGAUCUCCUUCUUUAUUUUCUUCUCCUUCUUCUCUUCUCUUUUCCUUCUCUUUCUUCUUCUCCUCUUCUCCUUUUCCCUCUUCUUCACGCACAGAGAGAGAGAGAGGAGGAGGUGGGAGAGUGAGGGAGUGAGAGAAAGAGAGAGAGAAACCCUCUCUUAAUCCCCUCUCAUAUUGUAACAAAAUGCUAAGAAGCCCCUCAACUUUCCAUCUCUCAACUGGCCCUCACUGGGCUGAACCUAUGCGAAGGGACCGAUCUCCCCGACAUGGGACCGAUCCCAGAGGACCUUCCCAUUUUCCACGCGUUCGGGAACCGGUCUCUCCCUGAGGGAUCGGUCCCCCGGAGACCGGUCUGCCCACUAAAGACCGGUCCCCGAGAGCUCGUCUCGCGGGGCUUAGCCAAUUUUUGGCCAUUCUCGCUGGUAUCGCCUGCGGGGACCGGUCCCUCCCUGCCAGGGACCGGUUGCAUCAGCAACCCCGCAACCCUCAGCCGAUGGGACCGGUCUCUCCCCGCCAAAUACCGGUCCCCGAGAGCAAAUCUGCUUAAGAUGCAGAUUUUGCAUCUUUGCUCUCGCGGACUCCAUUCCAAUGCACUUUUUGGGUUUCGUGCAUCCCUAGCUUUUUCGAGGGGUACUCACUCGACUAUUAGUCGAUCCUGGACGAAGCGUAACUCUCGGAUUUCGAGAAUUCACUUUGUUACAAGUAUAGUGGUAUAUAGCUGUAGAAUUGUUUCAGCUUCCUUUACUAUCUUUGAGUAUACUUCUGUAGACUUAGUGGGUGAGCCGUUGAGGUCGGUAGCGGUACCCACUGAGGACUACUUCUUUUUGUAGUAGUUCUCACACCUAGUUGUUGCCCUUUUUGCAGAGCCUUCUUCUCCGGCUGCUACUGUUGCUGAUACGGAUCGUGGAAAGGGAGUCGUGAGUUAGAUCUCUUCCUGUUUUGGCUGCUGAUCUAGAGUUAUACCAGCUACAGGUAGUGUUGAUUUUUUAUGCUUAUACAUACUGAUGUUAUAUCCUUGCUCGAGCGAGUGCUUUGUAUCUGGAGACUAUGUAUGUAUAGUGAACCUAAUGUUAUUUAUAUAUGCCAUUUAGUUUAGCAGCUCUAUACUACUAGUUGUAGUUUUGUAUAAUUUCAGGUACAUGUACAGUUAUCGCUUCGUAUACAGAAAAAUUUUCUUUGUAUGCGGCGGAUUUGUCGGCGUGCCUGGAGAAACGAGCAAUCCGGGGCGUGACACUAUUGGAGAUAAAUCAAUUAAGAUUUAGAUAUUUAUUAGAGUAGGAAUUCUAAAUAUAUUAGGAUUGUGGUACGUUUUGGUGGAGCUUUAUAAAUAGCUCUUGAUGAGAUGCUUUUGAGCAGAGAGUUGGUGAGAGAGAAUGUCUUCUUAGGUGAAAUCGUACCAGGAGAGAGAAAGUAAUGAUUGCAUGCACCUAGUAUACGGGUGCAUGUGAGAGAGAAAGAGAGGGAGUUGUCUUCUUUGUGGGUUUAUAGAAGACGAGAGAAUGGUGGAAGAGAUUCAAGAAAGAGAGCUCGGGUUCUAGCUACUUUAUGCAGAAGAGGAAUCAUGUGUAAUCUUCUCUUAUUUAAUGAAUCUUAUUUUAUUCACAUAUUUUCUGUUUUGAUUUUUCUCACUUUUGUGAUUGUAUUAGCUUUUGCUGAGGAGAUGGAUUUAUAGUAAAAAUUCGAUUCGACGCUUCCGUUGUGGAAUCCGAACAAUUGGUACCGGAUCAACAACAGUCAGUAUCGAAGCGGGUUACGGAUUCUCAAAAUCCAGUAUUGGGGCGAGUACCAGAUUCCUACAUUCUUGCUUGAUUCAAAUCUUCCAAGAUUGAUUGAAGGAAUUCUAAGAGGCAUUUCGAAGCGCGUUUCGCGGAUUCGGAGGGUGCUUAGAUGAAGAUGUAGCAAGAAGUAUUUUUUCCAAUUAGAAGGUUGCAAGCCCAUUGUAAUAGAGUGGUAAUCUCUAACCACAUAUUGUAAUCUUCUCAUUGGAUAGUGGAUUUGAUCUCUCCAUGCCCGUAGAUGUAGCUCGGUUUGGGUGAACCACGUAAAUCCUCUUGUGUUGUUGUGAUUGUGCUUGGAUAUUUUUCUUUCAACUUUAUUUACUUCAAUCUUGUAUAUCUUGGUUGUGGAUAAUUUAGAUACAUCACAUUUGUUUACUAGUGAGAUUAGUAUCUUGAUAGUGAGGGUUUCGUUAUUAGCUCACUACAUUCAACGGUCCAAUUAUCCCCUGUGCUGAAUUUUUAAAGUAUAGAUUUGAAUUUGAAUCUAAAGAGUAGUAUUGAUCAAAGAAUUUUGGAACGGCAAAUACUACUGUUACACUCUAUCUGGGGUGUAGAUCUUACAUCCCACUCAUCCAAUGUGUAGGAAUGUUUUACUUGUCACAUCAUGUGAGAAAUAAAAUAUUGUCAACUAUUGAGGUGUGUCUAUCAUAUAAAAAUUAGUUUUUGGACAGUGUUGUAGGUUUAAUUUACAACUCAUUUUGAGUUAUAACCCUAGUAUUGCUCUAUGAUGUUACACAAUGAAAGAAAUUAUUUUGGUCAUUUGAUUAGUGUGCACCUUAAUUUGUAUGAAGUUUUUCACUGCAUGCAGCUAAUAUACCACCACAACAAAAGAUAUUUUAGACGACAUUUUUUAGGUGACGUUCUAUUCUGGUGUCUUUAAUAUUUGGCAUGCAAGAAACCUUCUUUGCAUUUACUUCCCCUUCAGGGAAUGCGUUCCAAAUCAAUCACCGACAUUGCCUAAAAGCAAUAUCAUCGGUGCAUCGCUUCAUCGUAAGUGCUCUAAUUCCGCACCGACAUUUUGCUCUAAUGUGAGAUGGCCCACUUCGGCACAUCCCCACUUUCAAUCCUCAAAUUCCACGUGGCUUGCUAUUAGCUCAAGGCCUCACCAAGAGCACCUCAUUACUUGAUACCAUAUGCCACGGUCAACAUCAUACCACUUUCGCAACGACUCACACGAACACGUCGUUCGUGAACUAACUCCCCGAUAAGGCUACUCGCCAAAUCACUUUCCUCGAUUUUCGUUGGUGGACCAAGGGCCACCAAUACUACGUAGGCCUACAGCCUAAACCUGUCUUAACAUACGCGCAGCGUCUCUCACUCGCAAGCGUAGACCCAAUCAUAAUCGGGGCAAAAUUCUCACUUGGGAAUUCGCACACACUCCAACUAGGAGCAACCAAGACCCCAAACCGCAUUAAAUUCUCGGGUUGUGUCACAAUCGUACUCUCAGCAUUCUCUCAAUCGCAUUACACGCUCUAUCGAGCAAUCUGUGUCACUACCGACUCCUAUGCACCUAGUGCGAGCCACCAGCCCCACGAGUGAUCCAUGGCACGCUUCACACUUGGCAAUGCCCAAGUGCUACUGCCAACAAACUCACUCUGCCGAUCCAUAUUCGCACUCCACGAGUACCUGUACUCGGGCGUCGUAUGCUACUACAGCAUUCCACACUAAGUCUCGAUUUUGGGCAAUCUUACCCCCGCGUAUCGUCCACUAAGCACAUUCUCCUACCUCACAUUGAGGUACAACUAGGCCCACAGGCCAAACUUGGGUACUAACCAACCAUUCUCUCAACAGUGAUUCACUUUUACUGUUCGAUCUACCGAAACAACAUCUGGAAUACUCGGACUACUCGAGUAUCCAUCAGCGUCAUAACUCAACUCUCGCAAUUUGCUACACACAUUGCUUUGCGAGUUGGUCCAUCAUUUUCAUCUCUACUACGAGUCUCAUCACCAGACCAUCACUAGCAACUCGCUAGUGCCACAUAGCUCGCUACCUACACCGGCAGGUACUACGCUCUCACAACACAAGCAGGCCCGGGUAUCCACAUUUACCCGUCCCCUUGGUCCCUACUAUACUUACACAUAUAGUAGUAAGUGACUAUAUGCUCCAUGCAUGCAAUGCACCACUUUAUAUCAUGCAGAAACACAUAACUGCAUUAAUAACUCAUACCUGCCACGACGUCGUCAGCAGCAGUUCCCAUAUCCCGGGUCGCGUGUCCAUGGCCACUUGGCGCCCGCCGCGAACCCCUCGGUUGCAUCAUUGUCAUCGCUCGCUCUCCCGACCGUGCCGCAGGUGGCAGACCCACCGGCGGUCCCGGAGAGGAAAAAUCCGUCGCCAACGCCAAGGCUCGGCUAUCACUUUGCAGACACUCAUCCCGCAUAUGGCUUGGCUGCCCACAACGGAUACAUCUUCCAUCACGCAGCGCACACCGCCACGCCUGGUGGGUACCACCACAAAUCACACAGCCUGGGGAGGAUCGAGUAGAGGACGACUUUGAGUGGCGCCUAGAACUUGACUGCCCACCCGAACUGUUCGAUAGUGGCCUCACCCCUCCCCACUCAUACUUAUGAGAUUCGCGCUCCUCAUGCACGAAAGCCUCGCCAUGCUCUGCCCACAAUGCUCAAUCCAACACCUUCGUGAAGGUUGUGAGCUUAAGGAUUUGCACCUUCUCGUAAAUAUCUGGUCGAAGUCCAUGUAAGAACCAAUCGGUCAUAUCCUUGUCAUCCCGUACCACAUCCGGGACGCAUCCCACGAUACGGGAGAACUCCCGUUCGUACUCCCGCACUGAGCGGUCUCCUUGACGCAGCUUCCUGAACCUGUCCUUAAGCCUUCUCUUUUCACUGUCGGGGAAGUAAGCUGAGAAUACCAAUCCCCGAAACUCAUCCCAUGCCAUAGGAGGAAGACUAGGCGAUUGGUUCCCCCGAAUGCCUUUCCAUCACACCUUCGCCGAUUGCUUCAAGCAAUGCACGGCUAGGGGCACCUUGUCCCGCUCCAAUGUGUACAGCUCCUCGAAGAGCGUUUCCAUGGAGUCAAUCCACAUAUCCACAAUCUAGGGAUCGACAUUCUCUCCAUCGAAGGUAGGCGGAUCAAACUUCUUGAAGGUCAUGAGGGCCGCCAAAGCCCGCUCUUUCUCCGCCUCCACCAAUGCACUUUCAGGAGUCGGAUCGCCCGACCCCGACGGAACCAUCUCUGCCGCAAGCCCCGCCCAUCCUCGACGAGCCGCAACUGGCGCAGCCACUAGCUGCUCCACGGUCUCCUGGAGUCUCUUGAUCCAUUCUUCCUGGCGCAUGGUAGCCUCCUACUGACGCUGCACUACGCCCACAAGCACUCCCAACUGUUCGCGGAGCUCCGAGCCUCCUCUCGCUCCGGAUUGCUCAGGGACAUCACUUGUCCUAUCCCGCGUCGAUCUAGCCGAAGAUCGCCUACGCGGUGCCAUCAUUCCCUGAAACAUGACAACACGAUUAAUUCUCAACCUUCGAGGUCGAGUACGAAACAUUUAACAUUGACUCAAAUCGGGCGAAAGUCAUACAAGGGCGUCUAUUCUCAUCACUCGGUUUCAUGUUGUCGUACAGCCAACAUGAACACACUCGGUUGAGAAUAAACCACACCUUGAAUUUACCUCUAAUCUCUUUUUUAGAGGUUUACAACAUAACCCAAUCCAUUAUCCUUUCGCCACAAGUCACAAGUCCUCGUCUCUCACGAGCCUUAAUCUCCUAUGGUUUACUAUCCUAGGGUCUCCUAGGUCAAGCUAAACCAUUUUCUUUAUACUCUUUUAUGUUCUUUUUAGGUUCUUUUUAUGCUUUGAUACCAUCUUAUCUGUCACGCCCCGAGCCCGCCUAUUUGGUCGGUUUCGGGCACGCCAACAGACCGCCGAACGGACAGGGUUUCUCCUGUACCGCGGACAGAGUCUCCCUUGUACAUUCAAGGCGUCGCAAUCAAUACAAUGUACGAAGUUCCAACCAGGAACAUAUUUCAACCAAAGAUUGCAUAAGGAAGUAUCAAAACAUAAUUCUACUUGCUAUUACAAACAUUCAUCUCACAUAUUAUAUUUUACAUUACAAAUUAUAUUCUUAGAUUACAUCACAUUUGAUUCCAUGAUUUCUACUUCCAAAUACAAUCUAGUUUUAACAUAGUUAUUACAAUAUUGUUCUUAUAAUUAUCAUACUCUUGGUUCUUUGCAUUUUAUACCCCUAAGAAGCCGACUCAGGGUGCUGCUAUCUGGUCUCAAUGGUAGGGCGCUAACUACGGAGCUACGCCCUUUCCUCGCGCCGCCGCGCCGCUCGCGUGUGAACCUGUAACACCCCAAAACAACGUGGGGUGAGAACCAACUCCAUGGUUCCCAGUGGGUACGGCCACCCAAGGGAAGAGCUCGACCAUCAGGUCCAAAGGAGGCAAACAACAUGUUAGUCCAAUAGAUAGAUGUAAAAUCAUAAAUCAUGCAACUAACGUUACCAUGCUUUUGUCUCACAACAUGCAUCAUGUACAUUAUGCAACUCAUAUAAGUAGAUUAAUUGCUUCUACACUUUAUUCUUAUCCAUUCUUUACUUUUAGUCAUUCUUUACUUUACUAGCUAUUCUUUAGCAUUUGCCUUUCUUUAUUCUUUAUUACUUGCCAUUCUUUAGCAUUAGCCUUUUCUUAUUCUUUAUUUUUUAUUCUUUAUACUUUGCUAAGGGUACUCAUACCUUAGUAAUAUUAUACACAUUAGCCUUUCUUUCCUAAGGUUACUUUACCUUAGCCAACUAUGCUGUCCAACUCGGUCUUGAGUCAAUCAACUGCGGAUAGUCCGCGCUCUGUCCGGCUCGAGGUGAAGGAACUCUCACAUGCACCUCAGCCUUCAAUCGCAAACCACAUCGCCCAACGGGUCGCCCAGAGCUGCGUACACUCGUGGUCAGGGAUCUCCCGGUGGGAGAGGAACAUGCCGCAUGCACCCGCAGCUGAGAUCCCCGAUAGGGAGAGGAACAUGCCACAUGCACCCUAGCGCUCAUGAUUCUUGCUCAAUAACAAGUCUCGAAGUUCUUCCGGUGGGAGAGAAAUAUGCCACAUGCACCCGCGGCCAAGAACUAUCGAGCUUGUAUGCUGCACUAGCAACCGCUGCACUCGCAGCAGGGAUUUCGGAAUCCACUUUACAUAACUCAAGGGUUGGUCUCACCCUAUGUUAUCGACCUAUCUAGGUCCAAGUCUUUACUCAACCUAAGUUAAUACAUUAGGUUCAAUGUUAUUAUCUUCUUAGCCUAGGUUCAUUGACUCUAGGUUCAAUAUUUUUAAUCACCUAGGUUCAUUUGACUCUAGGUUCAAUGCCACUCAUGUUCUUGUUUUCCUAGUUGUCCACACCUAGGAAUCAUACUUGACAUACCACUCGUGAAUAACCUAUGUUCAAUGACACUAGGUUCAUUAUUACUCUUGUUUAAUCUAUGUCCUUGACACUAGGUUCAAUGCCACUCGAUCUAUAGGUGCAUUUAUGUCCACUUACACAUAUCCUAUACUUAGCAUUCUUAUCUUAUCAUUAUGCAUUAUCACUAGCAUGCUUUCUACUUUAUGUUAGCAUGCAAUGCCAUUUAUCUCAUGCCUUUAGCUAACAUCAUUCAAUGCAUUUACUUAGCAUUCUUAUCUUGUCAUUUUCAUUACUUGGCACAUAUCACAUGCAUUCUUUAUUAGCAUUUCAAUUAUGCAUCCAUUUCUAAAACAUGCAUCUAGUUCAUGUUACUUGGCAUUUAACUCAUGCAUUUAUCUAGCAUAUGUCUUACAUACUCCUUUAGCGUUUAGCUCUUGCAUUCAUUAGCAUACUUCACAUACAUUUACUUAGCAUCUAGCUCAUAUCAUUAUAUGCAUUUAUUAGCAUCAUUAUGGUACAUUCUUACUUAGCAUUCUUAUUAUGCAUUCUUACUUAACAUUCUUAUCAUGCAUCAAUAGUGAAACACACUACACUUUAGCAUGAAGGCGACCUAGUCGCUUCGGUAAGCACAACCCACCUCAAAUCGCUUUCCGAUUGCUUGUAGUCACUUGCAAUCGGCCUCCCGCGGCACCCGUGAUCUGGUUUGGCCCGAACUCUUGUGCGACCACCCGAACGGCCACCAAUCCGCGAUCCGUCUAUUCGGGAGUUUAUUCCCCGUUACCACGAUGCUCCAGAUCCAUUUUCAUGAUUUUUGGGCGUCUAUCCCGCGUGCUGCGGCUAUCUGUACCAAAACAGACCGUUUCGUCAAUAACUUCGGGUACACUCGUCGGAUUGUCGAACCGAGCGCACCAACGCGUUCGUUAUACCCCCAAUUAGGUUUCUACAAGGUCAAUUUACCUCGAAAACACCCGGAGGCAAAAUUUCCAAAUUUGGUGCCCUAACAAUGCCAUAAUGAGAUUUCUUGGGAUUGAUCUUGUUGCUAAGCAUAAUUAAGCUUAGAACCACCCAAGAAGCUCUCUAAUAUCAUCUCCAACCUAAUUGGACCAACCCUAAGGUAUCUAACACAAACCCUAGGUGAUCACCAUGAGAGCACCCUAAGCUUCCAUAGAUUUUCAUGGAGCUCAAGCCUCUAGAGAGGUUCCAGUCUUACAAGAAGUCCAAAACACUAAAUCUUAGGAUAUAAAUCUAAACCCUAGAAGUAUUCUUGCGAAAUAACUCACCUUAGCCUAAGCUCUUCCAAGUCCACCAUGAAGGAGAGCUUCUUGAUCCUCCAAAACCCUCAAAAUCCACCUUCAAGAUCUUUUUCUCCGUCUCUUUAAGCUUUGGUGGAGAGCUUUUAGAGAGAGAAAGGGAGAAGAAAUAAGGGAGAGAGGUGUUUGCUGCUGUGAAGGAGUGUUUGGGAACAUAUGGGAUGUGCCACAAUUGCAAAUAAGCCUCCCAACUAUUUUUAUUUGCAGCAGACUAAUUUUUGCUGUCGGGUCCACAGCGUACCGAUACACGGGCUGGUGUCACCGGUACACGACUCGCGCAACAGCCAAACCCGAGAGCCAUCUUCUCGGAUCUUACACUGCGUACCGGUACACGAAAUCCUGUCACCGGUACACAGCCUUUUUUUUUCAGGAUUAAGCCAAUUUUCAGCUUUUUCACCGUUUUCGCUCGUUUGACAUCCGAUUUGUUUCAAAUCGAACCGAGACUCUCCAAACAUAUUUUCAUGCAUGUUUUCAUCAUCUUUUUAUCCACGCUAAUGCCGGAUUUAGUCCAUGGUCCAAAAUAGCCUUUCGGGUCUCGUUUUCGCGCCCUAUGCGCACCGAAGCACCCGAAUGCUCCCGAACUUCGCCGGAAUGAUUCCAACGGCUUUUUAAGCUAACAUACAUCGUGACUUCAUGAAUUAGAAGUUCGGUAUAUUACAAAUAUGUUGUUAAUUUGCUUAGUCUAGUAAUAAAUUGGUCAAAUAUAUAAAGUAAUGAUACAUAUAUUACUUAGAUUUAAAUUUCUCACCUUUCAAUGGGAUACAUCCAUCUGUAAUGUACAGGACCACCUAACUUGGCCUCCGAUGCUAAGUGAAUAAUAAGGUGACGGCAAAGAGGUGCCUUCAGGAAAUGAAUCCUUUAAUAAUUGAAUCAACAUUGUAAAAGAUUUUCCGGACCACCCGUUUAAGCAUUUGAGGUGGAAUAAACGGAGAAUGAAUGAUAUCUUGGAAAACUUUUUAUAACCUGGAUAUAAUUCUUGAUCACAAUCUUUCACCAAGCUUUUAUAUCGGAUUGUUUCACUAGGUGAUGAAUGCAUUGACCGCUCAUUAAAAUUUUGCUCGCCAAGAAAUCUGGUAGCAUACGCCUCGUCAUUACAUUCUUCUAAAUUAUUAGGAAUAGUCUCAUUCAUUACUUGUUCAUUAUUCAAAUUAGUACCCACAAUUCCAAAGACAUCUUGUAGCAAUCCUCCUAGACCAUCCUGUCUUGAACUACUUUCUUGUGCAUUAGUAGACCUUGGAGCAAAUGAAGUGCAUUCGAUUUCACUUGGAGAUGUCACAAAUGACUCUCCAUGAAAUACCCAAACAUUGUAACCUAAUAAAAAACCGUUCCACACUAAAUGCACUUCGACAAGUUCUGGAACAAAAGAAGAAUUAUUGUAACACUUUCGACAUGGGCAUAAGACCUUACCAUUUAUCGAUGAUUUUUUCAUAGCAAAUUUAAUAAAAUUUCUAACACCAUCAAUGUACGCAUUAUCAUUUCUCGGCUUACUUAUCCAACUUUUGUCCAUUGUAUCACAAUUUGUAUGAUUAUAACCCAUAUGUUAAAAAAAAAAGGUAAAAUAAGGAACAAGAACUUCAGCCUCAACUAUAAACAUUAGAGUAGAAAGGGACGUUUAACUUUAUAAAAUUGAGACCCAACAACAAAAAUCAUAAAUAAUGGACUGUUCUAAACUUCAUAUUUAGUUAGAGUAGACACUAAUACUUCUUACUAAAAAAUUUAGCACUUCAAUUAACACACUUACUUCCAAAAAUAUGCAAAUUAAUUUAAAAAUAACAAAUCAGUUAGAAUCCAUAAUUAUAAAUGAUAAUUCUCAUAAUUUAAUUUGCCGUGAUUAUUAAUUAUAUGGUUAUUUUAAAUUCAAUUACAAUUAUGAAAGGAAUUCAUCUACAACCAAUACAAGAAAAGAAUUAAUAACAAAGAAAGAUCAUACUUUAUUUGCAAAUUAAAAUUAAGAAAUUUUACGACUUCCUAUGUCAAUAAAGAGGAAAACAAUACUACAAAAUUGAAGAAAAAUACAAAAAAAUAUGCAAAAUAAUAAGCUUUACCAUACCAAGAAGAUCUUGCUCUCCUCACUAUAGAAUUUUGAAGCUCUUUAUCCAAAACUUUCGCUUUGAUUAACUAUUACCAAUGAGCUUGUCGAGCCGGUAACAAUGCUGAUGGUGUUGGUUAGGAAUAAUUGUAUUCCUAAAAUAUUUAAAACUAUUAUUUAGCAGUCUAAUAUUACUUGUGAAUCAAAUGUUUGACAUGAUAGAGCUUAUCUAGAAUUAAACACUAAUUGUAUGGAUAGCUUCACGUAUCAAACAAAAUUUAAGGGCAAUAUAGGAUUUUUAGAAAAGUACCAAAGAAAAAAAAUGCUAAGUUAUCUUGUUUUCAUAAAAAUAUCAACCAACAACAUUUCUUAGGUGACAAAUAUAUUUUAUAGGAUAUAUCAAAGUAAUUUUUUUGACAAAAAGAGCUCACUAUAUUAAAACACUACAAACUAAAAAAAUUAGAUCUUUUUUCUCAUGUGCAUAUAGAGUAUGGGCCUUCAAUUAGUAAUGCAAUUUUACAUGAAGCAGCAAUUAUGCAAGGUUUACACAAUAUUGGAAAUGUUUAACUUUCCAAGAAGAGAUCAAGACUUUGACCUAUUGCACUCCUUCGCUAGUGAAAGUUGAUGGAUUAGUAUCCUUCUUUGAGGUAAUAGACCAUACAAGAAUGAAAGAUGGUUUAGCCUUAUAGCAAAAGAGCUAUGAGGUUCUUUACAGUGAAAAUGAGUUUGAAUUUAGCUAUAUUUUGUUGCUAUUUUAAUUCAAGGAUAUUUCAAGUAGGCAUGUGCUCUCGGUGCUAAAUUAUCAAGGUGUGGUUGAAAUUCUAUCAAAGGACAUUGUUGAACAAUGGAAAAAGGACUUCAAGCAUAUUAAUUCAAUUAAGCACUUUCCUAAUAAGGUGGUGGCUAAUGAGUUGGUAGAACAAAACAAAAAUUUCUGCAAUCAGUACCUGCAACUUGCUAAGAUUGGAAUGACAUAUGAUGGAAGAAUCAAUCAAAUAAUUAACCUUAUGUGGGAAUUCAAAAGAAUUCUACUAUGGGCAUCUGCUAACAAACGUCAAGCAUCUAAGACCACACAAACCGUCAGAUCAGUCCAACAAAUUCCAUCAGACUUUAUUUUUUUAGAGUUUGUACUAUCUAAACAUUUUAUGCCAAAAAGAAGCAAAGUAAGAUGUUUUAGAAACCAAAAAAAAUUUUGGAGCAUACGAAUGAGGACAAAAGCUGCAUCAAGUUACAAAUAAGAAAUAACUUUUGUAGUAACAUAAUAGUAUUUUUACAGUAAUAGUUUGCAAUCCAAUGUCCCAAUCUACAUACCAAGAACAACUUUGGCAGUUGAGAGAGUAAAAGCAGCAUCACGAGUUGUCAAUGGAAAUUCCUAUAAGAAGAGGCUCGGUUCAGUAAGGGGCUGGUAUUCGAACCGUGGAUGGACCGGAUCUCAUGUCCUCAAUAAUGAGAUUGAAGAGAGCUUGAGCUAUGGGGCCUUCUUGUCCUGUAAAGAAAUCGAAAGAGAAAUUGAACAAUCCAACUUUCAAAAACCCUACGCGAAAUGGAACAAAAAUAAGAAAAAGGGAGAGGGACAGGGGAAGAAAACCCUUACUCAGCUGCUCGUGUCUUUGCCUCUGGAUCCGGAUAACCUCUGCAGGUCCUGCUGAGCCAAUUCCAAGCAAGCGUUGAUCCAAAUGGCAGGGUCGAAGGUGCUCCGUGCAGCCCCGACGGAUCCCUUGCGCUCGUAGCACUCGCCGAGGAGGGCGAAGGCCUUAGCGUUGUCGUGGCUAAGGCGUGCGGUGUCGAGGAGGUCGGCGAGGGCUGCGUCGAGGCAGCGGUGGUGGUUGAGGGCGAGCUGGAUCCCGGCGCACUUGAAGAGGGCGUCGCCACGCUCGCUAGGGGAAAGGGAUUUGGUGGCAGGUAGGAGAGGGCAGCGUCGAGGGAUCGGAGCAUGGGGGGGGUGGUGGCCGAGGAGGUCGAGGGCGAGGGCCUUCAAGAUGUGGGGCACGGCAUCACGGGCGUCGAGGGCAGUGGCGAGGUGGGCCUCUGCGAUGGCGGAGUGGGCGAGGGUGAAGGCGGGGGAAAGGGAGAAGGAGUGGGCGCGGGUGAGGAGCUGGGCGCGGCGUCCUAGACGAAGUGGCGUUGGGAUUGGGCAGAGAAGUGGGAGCGGCGGCAGAGGCGGGAAAGGGCGUAGCGAUGGAGGCGGGAGAUCGAGGACUUUUUUCUUUACCUGUGAAGGAAGAUGGGAAUGGAAAAAGGCAUUUUAGUGACAGAGGAAAUAUGAAAAUAGAACUAAUAUGAGGUUUAGGGCUUUUUUUUAUCACUUUUGGCGCUAUUAUUUCGCGCUAUGCGGGCGUUUCGCGGGCAUAGCGUUUCGCGGGAAGUUAUUUCAGCGCCCAAAAUUUCAUCUCAUCGACGCUUUGGGUAAGCAUCGAUAAUUUAGGAGAUAAAUUGGGAUUUGCCGGCACUUUAAUAAAGCAUCCCUAAAAAAGCGUCGGUAGAGCUCCAUUUUCUUGUAGUGAGAGUUCCGGCAGUUGCUAGAUACUUAAAUAAGUGUUGUUAAAUUAGCAGCACGCUUUUCAGGUUAUAGCGACACUUUUUAACUGUCACUAUAUAUCUAGCGACCCCAUAUAUAGCAACACUUUUUAGAAGUAUCGGUAAUUUAGCCAGCAGCACUUUUUUUGACUUGUACCGACAUUUAAAAGUGUCGCUAUAGACCGUUUUUGUUGUAGUGUAGAACGUUGGCUUUGAUUCCAACGUUCCAUCCACAUCCCUAUUUAUAGUACCUUUUCAAUUGUUCAAAAAGAUGAACAUUGUAGAGAGAAGAAAAAGUAAAACAAUGAAAAAUGAGAGAAAAGAAUUUUUUAUUUAAUUUCAAUUUUAUUUUACUUGAUCUCUUUAUCGUGGGUGUUGAAAGAGUCUCCGUCAAUAUCUUCCGCAUUCGUGCUCGUAGGAGGAAGAAUUCUGGUCGUACCUUAGGACGGUGUUUCCGGUUAAUCCCGCACGAAGGACCAAAAUAUGCCUUAGGGCAGUGCUACGCACGCUUCCGGAUUAGUUAAAUUAUUUACUUGGAUUUUAACUUUUAUAUGUAAGUUUGAUUUUAUCUUUAUCAUAAAAUUAGUUAGAUAAUUAAUCACAAUCAGAUUUUCUUUGCGGUUUUUCUAACAAGACCAACUACCAAAUGAGUUAGUACAAAUGUAUAAUGCUCUUAUCAUAGCUAGGGAUAUUGUUAGAUGUGCCUCCAAAUUUGCUAAUCGACUUCGAUUUUGGACCUUUGAUUCGUCGACAAUUUUGCGAUGUGACAGAUUUGGAAAAGAAAUGUGAAGGAAAAAUAGAUAUGGUGGAUAUCCUUAUAAGGAUGAUGAUAGAGGUGUACCAAUUAAUUACAGCUUCCUUCGCACUGCUCAUAUUAGUACGCUCUAGAAGAUCUCUGAUGUAUUUGUGCUAUGAGAGAAAUAAACCAUUUGGUAUAGAAAGUACAUCAACACAAAGGAAAUAGUUUAAAGCCCCUAAAUCCUUGAUAGAGAAAUAAUAGGAUAAGGUCUUAAUGAACUGACCCCUAAAGAAGUUAUUAUUUCCUGCGAAAACGAUAUCAUCAACAUAGAUGGGCAGAUAAGCACAAAUUCCAUGAGCUAAAUAGGUGAAUAAUGAUGCGUCACAUUUAGAAUUUGCGAACCCAUUUGAAAUUAGAAAGGAGUGCAACUCCCGAUACCACGCGCGAGGGGCUUACUUGAGAUCAUAUAGAGCUUUUUGUAGCCUACACACAUGAGAUGGAUUAUUUGCAUCAAUAAAACCUGGGGGUUGAAUCAUAUAUACCUCCUCCGACAAUGUUCCGUGAAGAAAUACAUUGUUGAUAUCAAGUUGUCUCAGUGGCCAACCUUUGGAUAAUGCUAGACUGAGUAUAAUUCGAAUAGUAGUGGGUUUAACAACAUGGCUAAAUGUUUGUGUAAAAUCAACCCUAGGUCGUUGGUGAAAGCCCUUGGCUACUAAUCUUGCUUUAUAGCGAUCAAUGGUUCUAUCUGAGUGAUGUUUGAUUCGAAACACCUACUAUAUUGAUAAGGUUAGGAUGGCACAAGUUCCCAUGUUCCAUAGCGGAUAAGAGCAUUAAACUUCUCUACCAUAGUAGCUCGCCAUUUUGGAUCUUGAAGGGCUUGUAAGACAAGAGGGUCCAAGAGAUCGAGGUAAAGGAUGCUUUGUAGUAUCAAAAACUCGUUUAGGUUUGAAUAUAUUAUUCUGAGGCCUUGUAACCAUAGGGUGUGUACAUUGUUUUAAAGGUGGAUGAUGAAGGUUUUGAGAAAUAGAUAUAGGAGGACUUGUGCUGUCAUUAGAGGAAGUACCAUGGGUAGGAUGAAAAUUCAAUGGAGAAGGAGUAGGAGAAGUUGCACUAAAACGGGGUUUAGAGGGCUGGUGUGUAGGAGGAGAGGUUGAUGCUUCCACACUGAGAAAAGCUGAAUCUCUUUUGCUAAAUUAGCUGUUUGCUUGAUAGGAAGAUGGAUGCAUGAGUGGCAUUGAAAAAUAAGUGAGUUCCAUAGAUAGAUGAGACCGAGUAUCAGUGGUGGCGGGAUUUCUUCUUUUAGAAAUGGAAUCAUCAGUAGUAUAAGGAAAGCGACUCUCAUCAAGUACAAUAUGGCAAGAAAUAUAAAGCUGAUUUGUGAAUCGGUCUAAAUACUUAUAGGCACUCUGGGAACUGGAAUACCCUAAGAAAAGGCAAGGACGAAACUUUGGCUCAAGUUUAUUAGUGUUGUAUAGACGUAGCCAUGGAUAGUAGACACAACCAAAAAUACAUACUUUGAGAUAGUUAGGAGAAUGACCAAAAAAGGACUAUAUAAGGAGGUUUAAAAUUAAGAAUAGGUGUAGGUAACCUAUUAAUUAGAUAUACUACAGUUUCGAAAGCACAAGACCAAUAUUUUAAUGGUAUGGAUGCUUGAUGAAGUAGCGUUAAACCUGUUUCAACUAGAUGGCGAUGUCGACGUUUAACUAAACCGUUAUGUUGGGGAGUGUGAGAUAGAGUUGUAAAAUGUGAGAUUCCAUGCGUAGCAAAAAAUUUUUUUAACUUUUGAUAUUCACGUCCACCAUCUGAAUAAAUUGAAACAAUAGAGGUUUUUAAAUGAUUUUCUACCAAUGCUUUAAACUUCACAAACAUGGAAAAGACAUCAGAUUUAUUUUUCAUUGGACAGAACCAUACAUAUUUGCUGUACUGAUGAACAAAAAUUAUGUAAAAUCUAAACCCAUCUAUAGAGGAAAUACAUGAAGGUCCCCAAAUAUCAGUUUAAAUUAGAUUUAAAGGGCUAUGACUUGACAAAGAUGAUGUACCAAAUGAAAGUUUAUGGCUUUUAUUACAUUGACAUGAAUCAUAUAAAGAAAUAUUAUUUGCGAAAGAUGAAAUAGGUAAAGAAAAUGACCUGACAAGAAAUUAAAGGAUGCGGGAGGAAAGAUGACCAAGUCUUUUGUGUCAACAUGAAAUAGAAGCCUUCACACUAACUAAAGCCAAAGGUUGUACUACAGAAUCAUUCAACUUCGGCCACUCAUACACAUCAUUAUUAUUUGGUCCUCGAAGUAGAAUCGCCCCCAUGUGCAAAUGCUUCACAACAAAAAAGGAUGGAAAGAACUCAAUGGAGGUAUUAUUGGCUUUACAAAAUUUUAACACAGAUAUCAAGUUAUUUUUCAUAGAGUGAGCACAAAGGACAUAAUUUAAGAAGAAACUACUAGAGAAGGAGUUUAGUUUUGCAGAACCUGUGUGAGUGAUAUUCAAACUUGUACCAUCUGCAACAAUAAUCUCAUCUUGUCCUUCAUAGUCUGAAUGUAAUGAGAGGUUGUUUAAAUCCGACGUCACGUGAUGGGAUGUUGUUGAGUCCACGAGCCAACUUUGAGGAGAAUUGUUUUGAGAAUAAACAUGAUUUGCCAUCAUGGGUUCAUGAAACAGAGCAGUUUGUUUUGAAAACAUUGCUUUGCGGUAUGUCCUUGUUGGUAACAUAAUUGACUUGUGACUUGAGAAGGAUUAAAUCCUCUAUAGGAAUUGUACUACCCAGGACAGUGUUGUGAGUUAGAAUUGCUGCGGAAAUUGGAAUUUCGGUUAAAGUUAGAAAACGAACGGUUGAAGUUGGAAGAACACUACAACAAAAAAGGUCUAUAGCGACACUUUUAAAUGUAGGUACAUGUCAAAAAAGUGCUGCUAGCUAAAAUUACCAACACUUUAAAAAGUGUUGCUAUAUGUGGGGUCGCUAGGUAUAUAGUAACAGUUAAAGAGUGUCGCUAUGACCUAAAAGAGUGCUGCUAAUUUACCAACACUUAUUUAAGCAUUUAGCAACCGCCGAAACUCUAUCUCGUUGGCUGCGGUGGCGGAGGAGGACGACAGGAAAAGCUCUUCGUCUAAAAUUUCAGUGGAUUGAAUGAAGAGAGAAGAAAAGAUGGUAAUUGAUUUAUUUUUUUUUCUUUUCUGUUUGUCAUCGGGCCAAAUGGACUGGGUGUGGUGGGUUGAGUAGAGUAAUCUUUUAUUCUUGGCUAGAUUGGGCUUUAUAUUUAGGCAUUAGUAGAUGUUUCUUUUAAGUUUUAGCAUAAAUGGGACACUUACUCAAAAGUGUCCCAAACAUGUGUCCCUAUAACCUAAUUCUGUUGUAGUGGAAGAAAUUGAGUUCUGAUUGAAGUUUCCCUUUUGCCUUGCAUGUGAUUGAAGCUUCUGCUUCGCAUGCUGUUGGUGGCUUUGUGUGUAGCAUUUGCUGUCACUACAGAAACUUUAUCUUGUUGCUUCUCGUUUAAGAAACUCCUCAUAUUCAACUAACUUCUCAUAUACCUUUUCAAAAGAGAUAUAAGUUUUUCUAGCUCAAAUUGCUGCUACAAUUUCUUUAAAAUCCGAGCCUAUGCCGUUGAGUGUAUGAAUAAUAAGGUCAUCAGGAGAAACUAGAGCACCAAUAAGAGCCAAUUCAUCAGCAAUCACUUUUAAAGUUUGUAGAUAUUCACUUACAAGCUUGGUGUCAUGGAAGGUUGACGUAAGCUUCUCCUUGAGACUCAUAAUUCGAGAUCGAGAACAAUUUGCAUAGAGUUUUCUUAGUUUUGUCCAAGCCUCGUGUGAACUAGAAGAAGAUGCAAUCAGAGGGAUAAUUGAUUUAGAAACCGAUUGCGAUGAUGGCAUGGAGCAAAAGUUUAUCUUGUCGAAGCCAUAGGGUGUAAUCUGGAUUUGAUUUUUUAGAUAAUAGUUUUGGAGGACAAGAUAGUGAGCCAUCAAUGAAGCCCAUUAGAUCAUAUCCUAGAACUAAAGAUGUGAACUGGGCAUGCUAGGAUGAAUAUUUUGAUGAAAAUAAUUUGAUAGGAAGUUGAGAGGUUGCAUUGAUAGAGACCAAUGCAUUGUUUUGAUUGAGAGGGACAAUGGACUUGGCAACAAUUGAGAUUUCAGAGUUGCUUGAGUCCUCUGCCAUAAUUGUAGGAAUAGUUGCUCGUUUGAGCUUGUAGGCUCUGAUACCAUAUAAGAAGGAAAUAAGGUAUAUGGCAGAGUAUAUUUUCAUUAGUUGUACAACUGUUUUUUAUAUACAUGAGUUCGAAAUAUGAAAUCCAAAAUAAGUUGUUUAUCUUUGUAACAACAUUUCAAAGUUGAAAUCAACUAGAUAUUUGACUAUCCUUAUCUCUAGGUAAGUAGUUAUUUCUUUACUCCAAUAAUCCUAUCCCAUUAAGAAAUUUCUUUCUUCUUUUGCCUUACGUGCGAUACAGCGUGUUGUACUUACAAACUUUGUACUCUUUUUUUUAUGAUAAAGUUCUCACAUUCUACGCCCGUGUUUUUUCUUCCUCUACAAAGGGUCUUUCACGUAAACCUUUGUGUUUGUUUUAUUUAUUGUUUUGUGUUUUGUCUAUUUCGUGUUCUUCAUUUUCUUGUUUUUGUUUGCGCGCCCAUUGCAACAGAUAUAAUUAUGCAAUUGAAUUUCCGAUUCACCUCGAAUGGCGGAGUAAAGCGGCUAAAAAAUAGGAAAAAUAUAUAUGUACUUCGAAUAUGUCCUCAUCUGCUAAAAAAUUAGAGUAAGAUGUGGGAGGCUCUUCCUCUCCUUGAUUCAUCGCAAUUUGUCUCAAUUGGGGGAGUAAGUGAGGGGGCCAAAGAAAAAAAAAGAACACAUUGCAAAUCUGGCAUGAUCUGCUAGGAAAGUAAGUGAGAUAUGGAAGUCGAUCUAGCUCUUUCUUUUCUUGAUUCGUCACGAUCUGCAAAAAAAAUUUGUCAAAAACUCGCCCCCGUCUUGAUUUAUUUUGAAUGGAACGGUAAGUUGGUGAUAACAAAAUUUUGAAUAAAACUCAAUCUGCCCAGAAUUAGCUCCGACGCAUAAAAGAAAAAAAAAAAAUUUCCGGAUCUGCCUCGUUUUCGUCCCUAAUCACAACAAGCAAAUCACAACAACAAUGACAAUACAUAACCAACCUUUCAAAAUAAGGAAAACAUCUAGAAUCGAAAAGAUUAGCAUACAUAAAAUAAUGGCUACUUAUAAUUUUCUCCUCAUACUUGGAUUACUAAGCCAUUAAACAAAUGUAGUUUGGUAAUGAAAAGAGAGAGAGAGAGAGAGAGAGAGUACUAAGUACGGCAGGGAAUUAGGGUUUCGAGAAGCCCGUCGCUUUCACCAAACAAGGAAGUUCUAAAUUGUUAGGAACGAAGAAUAAUGCACGGAACCAUGCAUGAAGGUACAAUACAAUUAAUAAUGCCCUUAAUCUUAGCCACGUUUUGUGUGUAGAAAAAUAAUUGUUUAAUUAUGUGAAUAUGUGUAUGUGGACACCCAUGCAUUAUUGGUCGUUCUACUUAUUUAUUUUCACUUAGUACUCUAAAAUAAGAUUUUUUAUUUUUCUUUUUUGAAUUGAGCUCCUUUAUUUUUAAAAGUAGUAAAUUAUUGAUGCUUAUAAAUUUUUGGCUUUUUAAAAUAAUAGUAAUCUCCUAGAACUGAGUAAGUGGUUAGUGGAAUAGCAUAAUCUAAGAAGGUGGAAUUGAUCAAAGAGAUAGAUCUAACGGUGAAAAACUUAUAAGCACCAAAUACUCGGCGCUUUUAAAAGCACCAUACCCAGACUCUUUUUUUUUUUAGUUUAAGUUAAUUUAUAUCAAUUAACACAUUUUUUUUACGUCUAAAGGUGAUUCCAUGCUUAAAUUUAGCUAUUUUGAAUAGUUUUCCUGAUAAUAAAAUUAUUAUUAUUAUUAUUGUUAUUAUUUCGAAAGAGAAAGGUAGCAAGCUUCCUGCUUUGUUUAUUUUUUAGAAAUUAAUUCAGCUAGAAAAUUUAAAAUAUAACUAAGUUUCGAACUUGGGAUCUACGCUAUACGGUCAAAAUACUUGAAAAUUAAAGAUAUGUCAAUGAUACAGGAAAAUUAAAUGAUAUUAAAUUUAACUCUUCUAAAUACCAUUUCAGCUAAUAAAAUUAUUAACGAUUGACCGCUAAUAUAACCGUUAAUUGUGUAAUUCAAUUUACACAAGAAAAGAAAAUGGUUCAAAGCAAAUUAAAUACUUGAAAAUUGAAGAGAUGUAAAUCAAAAAAUUGAAACAUCAAUUUUAAAAUAGCAUACAAAUAGUUGAGGGGUCUCCAAACCUUUUUAAACCUUUUUAUAAUAUAGAAAGAUGGAGAAUUCAAACCCACGAAUGGGAAAAGAGAUAGGAGUUAGGGGUCUUGUGGUUUGUUGGGUUUUGUUUACUACUGUAGCACUUUUGUUUUUCUCUCUCUCCUUUUUUCUUUUUUUCUUUUUUUUUUCUUUUUUUUUUUUUUCAGUGUAAUCCUUGUUCUCACCAAACCUUCCCUUUUCUUACACUGCAUGGCAUCAAAGCAACGGUUGGAUAUAAAAAAUGUUGCUCAACUCAGCGCGAUUAUAAAAAUACUAGAGUUUCCUUUCCACAAAUCUUCUAAAAGAUACUAGUACAUGCUAGCUGUUAAAAGUGUGUUGCACACAUCAUUAGGAUCAUUAAAGUAAUGGAAAUUGUUUUGGCCUAUUCAUACUAUUCUUUUUUUUUGUUAUUAACAUAAUUAUUAGCAAACCUAUGUGAUAUUUUCCAAUUAAAAGAACCUUCACAAUAUGACUGUUAAUUCAUCAACAUAUGAAAAUAUUGUCAUGAGGAGUUUGUGGCAAUACUCUUUAGAUAUAUUAAAGGAGAAAGUCUUCAUACUAAUAGUUAAUUAAGCUAUAAAAGAAUCCCUUAACAUCUAAUCAAUGAUUUUCAUGCUGCGAAAAGUCGACAUAAAAUUACUAUAUUACUGUUGCUUAGAUUCCUUGCUAUCGCCCAUGGGAUUAUAGGACUGGUUAAUUUGGUGCAUAUCCUCUGUGUUGUAAUUGUUACAAAGAAGAUUAGUGCAACAUAAUUCUUGCUAUACUGGUUCAAACACUCAACCUUUUGGUGAAAAGUUCUCAAGGAUCACAACCAAUUAUUUCAAACAGUCGUUCUUCAUGAAUGAUAUUUAUUGCAUAUAUAUAUAUAUANNNNNNNNNNNNNNNNNNNNNNNNNNNNNNNNNNNNNNNNNNNNNNNNNNNNNNNNNNNNNNNNNNNNNNNNNNNNNNNNNNNNNNNNNNNNNNNNNNNNNNNNNNNNNNNNNNNNNNNNNNNNNNNNNNNNNNNNNNNNNNNNNNNNNNNNNNNNNNNNNNNNNNNNNNNNNNNNNNNNNNNNNNNNNNNNNNNNNNNNNNNNNNNNNNNNNNNNNNNNNNNNNNNNNNNNNNNNNNNNNNGGAACCGAUCGCCGAAUCGGAUGUCCCAUUAUUGAAAACAACUUACAAGUACGGAGGCUCUCGUACUUUCGAAAGCAUAGGAGCCUAGCUCUCUUUCUCUCUCUCUAUAUAUAUAUAUAUGAGUCCGGCUGCUAUACUAUCGGUAGCACGGAGGCUUUCGUGUUGCCAAGUUGUUUUCGAUAAUGCGGCUUUCAAAUCGACGAUCGGCUCCGUUAGACUUGAUCUACACUAUUAAAAGUAUUUGAAAACUAAAUUUCAAAUUUUUUCGACAUCAUUUGACUAGUGAUCAAAAGAUCUCAAAAUUGACAAUUUUAAUGGCCAAUGUGGUGUAUUUGUGAGUUUAACAGUAUAAAAUAAUCCAAAUCCGAUGAAAAUUUUAUAAAAUUUUUUUUUUCACUAUUUAGAGUAAGAUCAGCAUAUCUGAUCUUGAAUUUAAAUCUUUUAUCAUCAUUUUUUAUGAGGUUUUUAUUUUCAGCCGUUCAAUUUUAGACUAAUUGUUUGAUAGGUAAAUGAUAUCGAAAAAUUAUGAAAUUUAGUUUCUAAAUACUUUUAAUAGUGUAGAUCAAGUCUAACGGAGCCGAUCGUCGAUUUGGAAGCCGCAUCAUCGAAAACAACUUAGUAGCACAGAGGCCUCCGUGCUNAUACUAUUCUUUUUUUUUGUUAUUAACAUAAUUAUUAGCAAACCUAUGUGAUAUUUUCCAAUUAAAAGAACCUUCACAAUAUGACUGUUAAUUCAUCAACAUAUGAAAAUAUUGUCAUGAGGAGUUUGUGGCAAUACUCUUUAGAUAUAUUAAAGGAGAAAGUCUUCAUACUAAUAGUUAAUUAAGCUAUAAAAGAAUCCCUUAACAUCUAAUCAAUGAUUUUCAUGCUGCGAAAAGUCGACAUAAAAUUACUAUAUUACUGUUGCUUAGAUUCCUUGCUAUCGCCCAUGGGAUUAUAGGACUGGUUAAUUUGGUGCAUAUCCUCUGUGUUGUAAUUGUUACAAAGAAGAUUAGUGCAACAUAAUUCUUGCUAUACUGGUUCAAACACUCAACCUUUUGGUGAAAAGUUCUCAAGGAUCACAACCAAUUAUUUCAAACAGUCGUUCUUCAUGAAUGAUAUUUAUUGCAUAUAUAUAUAUAUAGAGAGAGAGAGAGAGAGCUAGGCUGGUAUACUAUCGGUAGCACGGAGGCCUCCGUACUACCAAGUUAUUUUUAAUGAUGCGGCUUUCAAAUUGAAAAUUGGCUCUAUUAGACUUGAUCUACAUUAUUGAAAGUAUUUGAAAACUAAAUUUUAUAAAUUUUCAACAUUAUUUAUCUACCAAACGAGUAGUCUAAAAAUGAACGGCUAAAAAUAAAAAUUUCAUAAAAAAUGAUAAUAAAAGAGUUGAAUUUAAGAUCAGAAGUAUUGAUCUCACUCCAAAUAGUGAAAAAAAUUUUCUAUAAAAAUUUUAUUAUAUUAGGAUCGUUUUACACCAUUUAAUUUACAAACGCAUCACAUUGAUUAUUAAAAUUGUCAAUUUUGAGACCUUUUGAUCACUAGCUAAAUGAUGUCGAAAAAUUAUGAAAUUUAGUUUUCAAAUAUUUUUAAUAGUGUAGAUCAAGUUUAACGGAGCCGAUCGUAAAUUUGGAAGCCGCAUCAUCGAAAAUACCUUGGUAGCCGGGAGGCCUCCGUGCUACCGAUAUUAUACCAGCCUAUAUAUAUAUAUAUAUAUAUAUAUAUAUAUAUAUAUAUAUAUAUAUAGGUGAGGCUACUAUUGCUAUUGAAAGCACGGAGCCUUCCGUGCUUCCGCUCGUUUUUCGAUGGUUUCGACUUUCGAAUCGUCGACAGCUCUUAAACGUUGAUCUAGAGUAUUUGGAGUACCUAAAAUAAAUUUUUAUUAUUUUUAAUAUUUAUUUUGCUAGUGACUCGAAUGGCUGCAAAUCAACAAAUUUCAAUUGGCCGUUAGUGAGCCUUGCAGUUUAACGGUAUAGAAAUAUUCACAAUCACGUGAAUUUUGAUAGAAAAUUCUUUUAUACCUAUAUAAAACAAGAUCCAUUAUUUUAAAUUUAAAUUUUAAUGUCAUAUUAUUACAUUUUGUAAGAUUUUAUAUUUCAACCGUUGAUUUGCAGCCCCCUUGUUCACAUAGGCAAAUGGAUAUCGUAAAUCAUAAAUUUAUUUUUCUAGCGUACUUCAAAUCUCUAGAUCAAGUUUUAACCGGAGCCGAUCGACGCAUUCGAACAGUCGCCAACAGUCGAAAACGAGCUGGAAGCAUGGAAGGCUCACGUGCUUCCGAUAGUAUAGCUCACUCAUAUAUAUAUACUAUAUAUAAUAUAUAGAUAUAUACUAUAUAUUAUAUAUAUAUAUAGAUAAUUAGGCUGGUAAUACUAUUUAAUAGUUAAACGCUCUUUUGCUAUCAAGUUUAACCAUUGGUAUAAAAUUGUAGAUCAGGAUGAUAUUAGCGUCGGUCUAGAGUUUGAUGGUCCUCAGGCUGAGUGGUCCCCACUGGGUAUAUAGUAUUUAAUUCAAUGGUUAGAAAUUAAUGCAAAGAUGUGAUCCAAAGGUUUAAAAAACUGGUAGCAACAAUUGGAUUUUGCUCUAAUGUGAGUAGUUCCAUCCAACUCUCUCUCCUAUCUCUUCUCUCUCUCUCUCUAUAUAAUACUAUAUAUAUAUAGGUCAAGCAGCGCGAUUAUAUAUGGUCCGGCUUGCUAUCACUAUCGGUUGGCACGGAGGCUUUUCGUCCUCCACAUGUUGUGUUCGAUAAUGCGGCUUUCAAUCGACGAUCGCUCGUUAGACUUGAUCUACACUUAUUAAAGUAAUUUGGAAAAACUAAAUUUCAAAUUUUUUCGAAUCAUUUGCUAGUUGAUCAAAAGAUCUCAAAAUUGUGCAAUUUUAAUUUGGCCAAUGUGGGUAUUUGUGAGUUUAGCAGUAUAAAAUAAUCCAACAUCCGCAUGAAAAUUAUUAUUUAAAAAUUUUUUUUUCAUCUAUUUAGAAGUAAGAUUCAGCAUAUCUGAUCUUGAAUUUAAAUAUUUUAUCAUCAUUUUUUAUGAGGUUUUUAUUUUCAGCCGUUAAAUUUUAGACUAAUUGUUUGAUAGGUAAAUGAUACUCGAAAAAUUAUGAAAUUUUAGUUUUCUAAAUACUUUUAAUAGUGUUAGAUUCAAGUCUUCGGAGCCGAUCGUCGAUUUGAAUAAGCCGUGCAUCGAAAACACUAUGUAUAAAUUAAUUAACACAGCAGGCUCGUGCUCUCCGAUAGAUAUAGAGCUUACCGGACUAUUAUAUAUAUAUAUAUAUAUAUCUAUAUAUAGAGAGAGAGAGAGAGAGAGAGAGAGAGAGAGAGAGAGGCUACUAUGCUUCUGGAAGUACGGAGCCUUCCGUGCUUCCAGGUUGUUUUCGAUGUUGCGACUUUCGAAUCGUCGAUCGGCUCCGUUAAAUUUGAUCUAGAGUAUUUAAAGUAUCUAGAAAAUAAAUUUUAUGAUUUUUUGAUAUCAUUUGCCUAGUGAACGAAGGGGCCCAAAAUCAACGGUUGAAAAUAAAAAUCUUACAAAACAUGAUAAUAUGACAUUAAAAUUUUAGAUCAAAAAUAUUGAUCUUGUUUUAUAUAGUAUAAAGAAUUUUCUCUCAAAAUUUCAUGUGAUUUGAAUAUUUCUACACUGUUAAACUUGCAAACGGCCUACUACGACCAUUAAAAUUAUUGGUUUUGAGCCCUUCGAUCACUAAGCAAAUGAUAUCGAAAAAUCAUAAAAUUUAUUUUCUAGGUACUUCAAAUACUCUAGGUCAAGUUUAACGGAGCCGAUCGACGAUUCGAAAGUCGCAACAUCGAAAACGGCCUGAAAGCACGGAGGGCUCAGUGCUUCCAAAAGUAUAGUAACCUCACUCAUAUAUAUAUAUAUAUAUAUACAUAUAUGUAUAUAUAUAUAUACAUAUAUGUAUAUAUCACUCUAAUAGUAGAUAAUAAGUGUGAGCUAAAUGCCAACCGUCUCUAACGCUAUUGGCUAAAGGCUUAAUAGUUGNUAUAUAUAUAUAUAUAUAUAUAUAUACAUAUAUGUAUAUAUCACUCUAAUAGUAGAUAAUAAGUGUGAGCUAAAUGCCAACCGUCUCUAACGCUAUUGGCUAAAGGCUUAAUAGUUGAUAUAUGAGAUUUCAAGUUUGAAGCCUACUUGGUUCACAUUUCUAGUUGAAUUCAUUUCUAGAAUAUGAAGGAAGCGGGUAGCAUGCUAUUUUUCUCUCAAAAGAAAAAAAAUUAAAUAUGAUGUUAGAUAUUUUAAGGUUCUAAAAUGAAAAUUUAUUAUUUUUCCAAAAUAACUCUAGUUCAUUAAGUAACAAAAUGAAUGGUUCAAAUUGAACAAUCUUAUAGAAAUAAAGGAUCAAAUUCUUCAAUUUAAGGUUAAGGCCAAGACAUUGUUGAUGCUGAUUUAGAUAUGUUCAAAAAAAAUUGUAGCAAAAAGUCAAAAAAUACCAAAUGCUUCAUGCUUUACUUAAUUAAAAGAUGAUGUCAAAAGAAUCAUAUAAUUUAGUUUCUCAAGUAUUCAAAUAUCGUGGAUCAUAUUCUGUAGUGUUGAUCAUCCAAUUAUAUAGAUGCUUGAUCAUCCAAAAUUAGCCGAGCAAUUAUGUAUGAGACUUUUCAUAUCUAAUAUAAUAUGGUUCAUAUAUUAUAUAUGUUUAAUGCAAGGUACCUAUUUUGUCCUAUGUAGUUUAAUACCAUUGUUUGGUGGAAUUAAUUAAUUGUCCCUUCUAUUUGAUGGACAUCUUGUUUCCGGAAUUAGGAGAUACUUUACAGAGCAGUUAAUUAAUAAACCUGAUUUGAUAGUUCAUUCAUGAGUAAAUGAUUACGUACCCGAGAAGGUCCCCUGAAAUUAAUACUGCAGUUUACUUAACAUUUAUUUAGUGCCAGUUAAAAAUGCAAGGGUUUGCUUAAUUGGUUCUGUUGUAGCGUGUAAUGCUAUUCAAAUAACGUUGUCGAAAUCAUUUAUGUUACGAUGAGGUCUAAAGCAAUACCAUCUGUGCAUUCCUUUGCUAGCUAAGAAAAAUUUUACACCCCACUUACCUGAAGACCAUUUUCUUCAAACUAGUCUUAUCUUCUUUUUUUUUUUAACUAAAAACCUAAUUUUUAUGUUUUGUGAAUCCUAGAAUCUAAGAGGUGUAAGAUCUAUACUAAUAAACAGGUGUCCGUAGCAUUUUCCUAAGUUCUAUGCUCAAAUAUCCAUAUCAAUUCUUCUUGUUAUAGCAGAAUUAGAAUUAUCAGAUUGAAACUCGUACACAAUGAAUUAGAAUCUCAUUCGUACUCUUGGUACAUUAGAAGCACUAUAUAUUUUUCUUUGUCGAAUACCAAAUACGAAAAGUUACUGAUGCAAAAGCAAAAACAGAAGCACAGACUAUGCAAAUCCAAGAACGUUAAUUUGCACCAAUAAAUCAUCAGGUAGAGAUGCAUACCCAUAUCCAAGAAACUUUAUUCCAUCCAAUUUAAAACUACUAAUUAAUCUUAAUUAUAUCAUCUAAAGGUGUGAUAUGAAAUUACAGACUCAUCAGCAACAUUUAAGUUGAUCUUUUGGCGUACACAUUGCAGUACUAACUCCCAAUUGAGAGAGAGAGAGAGAGAUAUAGAGAGAGAGAACCAGCCGACACAGCUUAAGAAAGAGGCUUCUCACACGUGCCAUGUAAGAGAAAAAGGGCAAAAUAAAAUAUAAAAUAUAAUUAAUCCACCACGUACGUUCCAAUGGAGCUUGUCACCCAAGCGUGCGAGGUUCGACAAGACCUUGUCCGAGUGGGUAGAAACGGUUGGAGUUGGUUGGACUAAGGAUAAGGGGAUCUACUAGUGUGACCCAGUCACCAUAAAAUGCCCCUAUCAUUUUCCCUAUUGACUCUCCUAUCCUCCUUGCUUUGAGUGGCAACACCUCGUAAUAACACCCAACUCUAGGCCUUGUGAAAACCCCGCACCUUCCAAUCCUUUUCAAAGAGUUGGAUGAGAUUUAAACAGUGGUGUAGAAGAAUAAUAGAGUGCGUGCAUUAUUAAUAUCUCUAUCCUUCACAUAUGAACCUUUGCUACUUAAAGAUGUUCUUGUACAUCUAACCAAAACAAGCCCAAUAAAUACUAACUCUUAUGCAAGGUUUAAUUAUCAAAUUUUAGCAAGGAUUUAAUGGAGGAGAACCUUCCUCCGGGGUUCAGGUUCCACCCUACAGAUGAAGAGCUCAUCACUUACUAUCUCACCCGCAAGGUCACGGAGUUUGGAUUCGUCGCACGUGCUAUUGCCGAUGUCGAUCUCAACAAAUGCGAGCCUUGGGACCUCCCUGGUAUGCGCUUCUAUUCGUUGUUCGUUCGCGUCAACCGAUUCCCUCUAUAAAUGUGAAAACUUCUUCAAAAAGCAACUAACAAAUUUUUUUUUUCUAUCUUCAAUUGUAAAAAUUGCAUUAUUUAUCUAUCAAUAUGUGAUUAUGUUCUUAUGUGUGCAAGAGUAGUUACAAUGUUUGCAUUGCUUUUGCGAUAUUGUAUUGUAGGGAAGGCGAGCAUGGGGGAGAAAGAGUGGUACUUCUUCAGCAUGAGGGAUCGAAAGUACCCGACGGGGCUGCGCACGAAUCGCGCGACCGACGCCGGGUAUUGGAAGACCACAGGCAAGGACAAGGAGAUCUUCCACUGUGGUGUUUUGGUUGGCAUGAAGAAAACCCUAGUUUUCUACAAAGGGAGAGCACCCAAAGGUGAAAAGACCAACUGGGUCAUGCAUGAGUACAGGCUCCAAUCCAAGUUUCCCUUUAGAACUACAAAGGUAAUUAAAAAGCUAAAAACAUAUGGGAGCCAACUACCUAACUAGCCAACUAACCACUAUAUAUCUCACUUUUAAACCACCAAUAACUAAUAUUCACCUUUAUAUUUGCCCUUUUAGGAGGAGUGGGUUGUUUGUAGGGUCUUCAAAAAGAGCUCCAUACUAAAGAAACCGCAAGCAGGUUCUCCACCACUGCCGUCGUUGCUCGAGUCUCCAUGCAACACCAACUCGCUGAGCGAGCUCGGAGAAAUCGACGUAUCGGUGUUGAACAAUCUCAUGAACGCCUCGAGCUCGACGAGCGAUAUACAAGCUAAUGAGAAUAUCAGUAACAAGGUUGAUAUGAGCACGUACAUGCACUGGGUUCUGGCUAGAGAAGCUGCUGCUAGCCAGAAUACGCUGCCUUGGCCGCCGAACUUGUUAGGCUCGGUCUUGGCGAGCAAUCCUGGGAUUCUGAAGGCGCUGCCGCUGAUCAAUUGCUACAAUCAACCCAGAGAAGGUACAAAUCUUGCAAAUUUAAGCUCUUUUGUAGCACAUGGAGAUGGGAUCUUUGCGAAUGAAUCGAAAUUAAGCUUCAAUGGCUCUUCAUCUAAAGGAGCGGAGUGUGCACAGCAACAGCAGCAGCAGCAGCAGCAGCAGCAGCAAGAAGCAUUUGAUCAGGAAGCAAUUUGGAGAGGCUAUUAAUAGUGUGAACAUGACUAACAAGCAAUUUGUUAUAUGUACCUCUUUAUAUUAUUUAUAUAUCUUAUAGGUGAUUCUCUAGCCAAAAAAUAUAUAUAUAUAUAUGUAGCGUAAAUGGGAACAAACCCACAAAGCCUUUACUAUUAUAUUGUCGGUUAAAAACUGCGAGUUAUACUGUUGUUCUAAUUACAUGUUCAAGCAUUAGGCAUUGCCAGAAUUAAAAAUGACAAUGUAUAACAGUGCCAUUGUCAUUUAUACAAUAUAUACAAAUGAUGCAUGCAUAGAAAGUUGUUGAUUUAAAACUUUUAAAUAGUAUUUUUGAAAGCUAUGUGUUUAGUUUCUUAAAUUUUAAAUAGUAUUUUGGACCUUAUUGAGCCCAUUGGGCUUUUGAAUAGGCCCAAAGGUUUGGGCCCGCAUGGGAAGGUGUUGAGACCUAUCUUGUGCUUGAUUUUUAGUCCUACAUUGAGAUAAGAAAGCUCUAUAGAGGAAUUCAUAUACACCCCCACACUCAUUACUCUCUGUUAGAAGCUUAGCCCGUUCACCAUCUAGUCCUACCAUGAAGUUGUGAUCAUGAAGUAGAGGGGCUUGGCCCCUGGUUCGUUGUAUCGCUAGAGGCGUCGUCAAGUUCUAUAGGUGAGUGGAGCUACUUUCUAAAUUUAAGGUCUAUAGGUGAGGGGCUAAGCCCGUAUUUCGUAGUAUCACCUCUUGUGCUGAUGGAAGCAGACGGGGCUUGGCCCCUAGUUCAUUGUAUCACUAGAGGUGGUCGUCGACUCUACGUUAAAAGCUCAGUCAGUACACUAUCUGGUCCUACUACGAUGUUGUGCUGAUGAAGUAGACGGGGCUUUGGCCUCUUGUUCGUUGUAUCACUAGAGGUGGUCGUCAAACUCUACGGAUGAGGGGGGAUAAUGUUGGAUUAUGUAAAGUAAUGUUUCGAGUCGAUAUCACGGUAAAAACAGCGAAGGUUUGAGGUUUUUGGAUGUUGGGUAUUGGUACUUGAAGUUUUCGUACCGGUACUAUUGAGUACCUCAGCAGUUUCUCAAAAUCCAAAAGCUGAAAAAAUAAUUUUUUGUACUGAGUACCGGCCGGUACACGACUUUGUACCAGUACGCAGUUCUCCAUUUUUUGUACUGAGUACUGGUACAAGACUUUGAGUACCGGCGAUAGGUUAGAUAUGUAGAGUUUGACUCUAAUUGGAUCUAAUUUUGUUCCAAAAUAUUAGGGAUAGUCCAAGAUUACUUAAAGAGGAUUUCUAAGAGAUAUUGACGGUUAGAUAUGAAUCGGAGACUUGGAUGGAAGGCAGAGAUCGUUUCCUAUUAGAAUUGGGGUUUUAAGAUUAUAUAAACUCUUGUAAUUAAUCUUUUAAGUAGAUUAUGAGUUUCAUUAUAGACACCCUAAUUGAGAGAAAAACGUGAAGAGCUCCUGAGGAAGUUUCUUGUAAUCCAAUCUAAUUCUUUGUACUUUUGAGCCGUGGAUUAAUCGAAGAAAGUAUUGAUGUGGUCUUGUCCGUGGACGUAGGUCGACUCAUGAUUGGCCGAACCACGUAAAUCUUGUAUUCUUGUGAUUUCUUGUUUUCUUUAUUACUUUGCUAUCCUUGUGUUUGUUUUUCUACGAUUGUUCUCGUCUCUUACGUCUACAAAAGAUCCUAUUUUCGCUGCGCUCAUAUGCUUUGUGGGUUUGAGCUGUGCUCGGCAACCUCACGUCCGGUCCCUUCAGCUAAGUUUCUAAAUUUAAGCUCUGUAGGUGAGGGGCCACACCCCUAGUUCAUUGUAUCACUAGAAAUGGUCGUCAAGCUCUAUAGAUGAGGGGGCUGCUUUUCUAAAUUUAAUUUCUACACAUGUUGAAGUACUAUAAUUUAGCAAUUACAUUACAAAACAUUAAUACUUCUAUCAAAACAUUGAUGCAUAGUUGUUUUUACGGUAGUUAAUAUGUCGUUGCAAACACACAUGACAUAUGCUAGAUAACCACUAUUCUGCCAAACUAGCCAACUCUAAUGGUCAAAAUUUUAAGUGGUGGCAAAAUCAAAUGAGAUUCUAGCUCACCAUCCUUGGCCUCAUAUCAGGUAUAUCCACCCUUUAAUUGGACCAUAGUAAUGGGUCCCCUGCACCUAGACCCUUACAACAUACUCCACAUUAUUGUGCUUCUCAUGAUAGAGGCCGGAGUAGUGCCAUUCCUUCCGAAAGUAAUGCCCCGAUCAUCUCUAUAGUUAGUCAUCAGCAGUUAGACUAUUAUUGUCUUAAUACAAUACUCGAUACCUUAUCUAAUAAACUAUUAGAUCUGUAGUAUCAUAUUAAAACUGCUAGAAAACUAUGGACACUACAACAAAAAUGGUGUAUAGCGACACUUUUAAAUGUUGGUAUAGGUAAAAAAAAGUGCUGCUGGCUAAAUUAUCUACACUUUUUAAAAGUGUUGCUAUAUGUGGGUCGCUAUAGGUAGAGCUGCCUUGAUAUUUGGCACACACUUCUCCAGCGACCUGUGACCGAGGGAUACGUGACGACCAUAGUCCCCUACGGUUCCUACGAGAUUCUCGCAGUCGAACUCUAGCCGCCGGAACCAUAUCUCGUCGGCUAUAGCAGCGGAGGAGGAGAAAGGGAGAUAGUAAUCAAUUUUUCUUUUUUUUCUUCGGUUGGUUGAGUAGAAGAACUUUUUAUUUUGGAUUGGAUUGGAUUUUAUUUUUAGGCCUUAAUAAAUUUUUAAAAAAAGUUUAAGCAUAAAUAGGACACUUAUAUAAAAGUGUCCUAAAAAUGUGUUUCUAUAGUCUAAUUCUAUUAUAGUGACUAUUCUAGAACAAAAAUUUGGUCAACCCGAUCCUCCCCAAAAGAGAUAGAAAUCUAGCGACCCGAUCAACUUCAAACUUGUAGACAACAAAUUGAUGAAAGAUGAGCUUAUAGAAUUUGAGUACAUAUAUAGUAAAACAACUCAAAACUAACCGCGUGAUUUUAGAUGAGGUUUAUCUAGUAGCUCUCUUGAUAGAGAAGCCUUAGAAGCCAAUAGGGAUGAUACUUUUUUAUUUCUUUGGGACACAUUUUUCUACUUGAUCUUGAUUAUUUAUAUAUAUUUAGAGUGCCAUCUAUUCUAUUCAACUUUAAUGUGUUCAUGAAUUGUCUAUGAAUUAAUAAGAUUGUGAAGUCUAAUCUCAAGAUACAUACUAUAAGUGAUUAAUUAAUUUUUAAAUGCUCUCUGUCUGUGGAUUGUCAUAGAGAACGGUGAUUGUCAGGUUAGAUUGGUGUACAUUAUAAUAGAUAUAUGUUGGUUGCAGUGGGUUUAUAUUAGGAAUGAGUGUGUGAUCACUCUUAGUAGAGAGAUAAUUAAUUUUAUGCUUUAUUUGUAAGGCACGACUCAUAAACUCUCAAGCGAGAUAAUUAAUAUAGUGAAUGGAAAGGAGUUUUCGAAGAUAAUAUAAGAGCUUUUGUUCUAUCAAAUUUGUCAUAGAUAGAUGAUGUGAUUUGACAAGUAUUUUAUAACCUCCACUUAGUCGAGACUAUGCGAUAGAAAGAUUAUAUCGUAUAGUAAUUGCACCAAAAGCUUUAGCCCAAUAUUCUCUUUUGACUGGUUUGCAACUAUAUGCUACUUGGCGUCGUUAGUAGAUUGUGAGACCUGUGAGAAAAAUUAUAAAUGAUUAAUUAAUUAUUCCAUGAGGCCAGGGUGGAAUCAAAAGGAAUUUUGUUUCAUUGAAGGGAGUUUCGAUGAUGACUAUCGGGUAAUUUAAUUGCAAUAAUAGUGUUGAAAAAAAGUAUUUAGUUUACCAAGUCAUUAGUAAAGAGACUAAUUUGGACGAGUUAAAAAUUAGGGGUCUUAAAAUGCAAAAGUUGCAUGGUAUAUUUACCAAACCUUAGUGGAUAGUACAAAGACUUAUAUGUAAAUAUUACAUGUGGAAUUAUAGUUUCAGUUUAAAUUAUGUGAGAACCAAUUCAAAGGCUUAGAGAAUAUCCAAUAGGAUUAGGAUUAGGAUUAGGAUUAGGAUUUUUGCACUGUAAAUACAUAUCGUAAGAUAUAUUGGAUAUGACUUAUGAUAGAAAGAGAAAGCCCUAGCCAUAUAAUAUAACCACCAAAGGUUUUAAUGAUAAUAAUAAUAACUAAGAUUAGGACCAAAUAUCGGAGCGGCCUCGAGCGGGCCCAGCCCGGCACUGCUAGAGGCCGUGAUGGGCCGCCAUCAGAGGUCCCGCGGCCCAGCAUGGGCCGUGCCUACUGGCCCGGUGUGGCCGGGUAACUUUUUAAAAUUAAUAAGUACAACAUUUAUUAUAUUAAUAGAAUAAAAAUUUAAACAUGAAAUCAGAAAAAAUAAAAGAUUAAAAAAGUUUAAUUAAAAAGGGUAAUGGGCCUUGGGCGGUCCGGUCCCAAGGAGGCAGGGGGCAGGCCACCAAAGGAGAAGGGGAAAAAGUCUCUUCUCUAGGAAUUUUUUUAAAAAAAAUUGAGUUUCAAUAUUUUGACUAAAAUACUUUCCAACAGUCAGAAAAACCUAACUUAUUUUAGUAUUUCAAUUUUAUGAAUUUUAGAAAUUAAUAAAUAAUGGGCCAACACUCGCCUGACCAGGCAUGGCCUGGUCUGUGCUAUCUGGGCCGGAGGCCGUGCUCUAGAGUCUGAAAAUUCCAGGCUGGCCCGACACGACCCAUAUUACACCCCUAGCUGCCCCCCUCCUAACGAAAAAUUCUAGAAUGCACCAGCGAUAUUACUAAGGUGGCGUCCCCAUAUUUCUCGCCUUGGCUAAUGAAAUGUAUUUAGUUCGGCAACCGAAUUCGUUUGCAAGCUUUUGAGUUCAACUUUUUUUACGCAUUGAGGAAGGACCCGUUGAGCCGAUCCCUACUCAACCUAUCGCCUGAUCACAUCACCGAGGGUCAUUCUAAAAGCCGAAUCAUAAAUCGAAGAAAAUUUUGACUCGGACAUUAUUCCAGAAAUUCGACUCAAGGAGAACAAUUUGAAAAAAAUAUAAUAAUAAAUUAUAGAAAAUGAUGUAAAAGAAAUUCUAUAAAUUUUUAAUUAUAUUUAUUUAUAAUUACAUUAGAAAAUAAAUAAUAUUGGCAAUUGGGAAGCAGAGUGAGUAGGAAAAAAAAAAAUUUAGAAUGUAUCGGAUAUAUUGCUGACGUGACGUCUUCGAUCAAUAAAAUUAUUUUCCUAUAAAAAAAUACUAUUAAUUUAUUAUUGUUGAUACAGUAAGGCUUCGUUUGGGAUUGCGGGGAGAUUGCGUUACUGUUGAUAUCCUGUUUUGCGUUCCGCAUAUCGCGAUGAGUCGGUUACGAUAUAUUUUCUACGGUCCCAUCGGAGAACGCAGAAGCAUAUCCCUAUAUGCUUUUUUCUCAACUCUAUUUUAUGUAAUAGCGUUAGAUAUAGCUUAAUACUAAACUAAGCCUAAGUAAGAGUAAGGGUAAAAAGAGAAAGAAAUAAUGAGUUUAAUAAUGUAAAGGAUUGUUGCGUAAAGCUGCGAACAAAAGUACGCAGCUUCCUCAUCUGGCUUUCAUGACUCUCUUCUCAACUAAAGCGGAAUCUUAAGGCACGUGACCCGCCACGUGGAUCUCAAAUGGCUCUUCGAUCUCCACACUCUUGUCUUCUACCUCCGCGUGUCACAAUGCCACCACCUGACACAUUGUGAAUUGACCAUUAUGCCCUUGUUUUUUUUUUAGUUUCUACUGUUGCUAGGAAAGAUUAAAAAAAAAGGAAAACUUUAAAUACAAUUCAUGUGAUUUCACACUUUUUCACUCUAGUAUUCUGUGAUUUUAUUUUUAUCUUUUUAUUAUCGAUUCCACUAAUUAAUUUUUUUUAUUGAAUUAAUGACAAAAUUAAAACUAAAGGAUACUAAAGUGAAUAUUCGAUAAAUUUAGGUUGGGUAUCUGAAAUUUUUUAUAUAUAAUUUAACGAAAUAUUAACGAAAAAGCUGACGAAAAAAUAAAAUUAAUGAAACCAUAGGACACUAACUUGAUACACUUUAAAACACAGGGUACUAAAAUGAGAAAGCGCGAAACCACGGGGGUGGUAUUUGAAGUUUACCCUAAAAAAAGGAAAAAAACUUUAAAUACCACAUAUGUGGUUUCAUGCUUCUCACUUGAAUACUCUAUAAUUUUAAGUUUAUUACUUUAGUACCCUAUAAUUUCUUUUUUCUUUUUUCGUUAUCCCUUCUGUUAAUUUUUUCGUUAAAUCAGUGAGAAAGUUAAAACCACAUGGUACUAAAGUGAAAAUUCGAUAAAUCACAGAAUUCUAAAGGGAAUAUUCGAUAAACCAUAGAUGAGAUAUUUGAAGUUUUUUCUAUAUGAUUUAACGGAGAGUUGACGGAAGUGCUGAUGGAAAGAGAAAAACGAAACCAUAUGAUAAUAAAGUGAUACAUUUUAAACCACAGGGUACUAAAGUAAGAAAGCGUGAAACCGCAGGAAUGGUAUUUAAAGUUUUUUUUUUUUUAAAAAAGAUAAUUGUUUAUAUAGCUCUGAAAAGUUUCAAGCUUACUUAUUUCCCCCAUUUAAAAGACUAAUAUAAAAAAUAUUUUUUUAACGAUCCAAAUUCUUUUAAAUAUAUUCAUAUUAGAGUUAAACUCUGUUAGUAAAUUAUUACGAACAUCAAUUAUUUUUUGUGAAAUUAUUAUUUUGUACUUUCAAAUAUACCCUUCUACCGCCACCAAUUUUUCUUAUUUAUCCUUAAGUUAGGAACAAAAUAAAUUUUUUUAUUCUUUUGUCCUUUCAAAUGUAUAUUCUUCUACCGUUCCUUUUCUUGCUUACCCUUAAGUUAUGGACAAAAGAUGUAUUUUAACUUCUUUUUAACUUUGGCAGCAAUUUAACUCGAGUUUGAGUGGGUGGUUAGUUGAAUAGUAUGAUCUAAUUGAUAGAAAUGAUCGAAGAGAUAAAUCUAAUGGCAGAAAAUUUGAUAACACCAAACGCUUAAUAGUAUCAAUAGUAUAGUAGCCGGACUCUCUAUCUCUCUCUCUCUCUAUAUCUAUAUCUAUACUACUUAUAAAAGCGUGAGUUUUAAAUUUUUUCCUCUUUCCAAAAAUAACUCUAUCUUUUCUACUAAUAUUUUCAUGUCCAGUAAUUUUCAACCAUUCGUUUCAAAUAAUUUUUCGAAUAAUAAAUUAUUCUCAAAUAUAGAUCUUAAGUUUUUAUCAUUGAAUAUCAUCCAACGAUUAAAAAUAAAAGUAUCUGUCACUUUUCUUGACAAAAAUACCCUCAAUAUCCAUUCACUCCUAUCUACGCGUUUUACAAAUAUCUACGCAUUUUCUCAAACGUAAUUUUCGUCAUAACUUAAACAUUAUAUCCUAUUUACAGCGUUUCUCAAAUAUUUUCUUUCUCACACGUAAUAUCAGCGUCAAUCACGUAGAAUGUUCAUAGAAAGAUUUAAUACCCACCUAAACAAAACUAAAUUGUUAAUUAAAUAUAAUUUUACAUUUUUGAAUUUUUUUAGUAAAAUAUUCAAAAGCAAUACCUGUCAAACUAUUUUACGUGUUUCUCAAAUACAGAGCAUAUCUUAAUAUACUCGCAUAUAAUAUCUAAAUAUCUUUACAUAUAAUACGUACACUAUCCAAUCUUAUCUUUGCAUAUAAUAUCUAUACUAUUCAAUCUUAUCUUUGCAUAUAAUUAAUAUCUACACUAUCCAAUCUUUUCUUGUCAUAAUAUUUAUUCACACACAGAAUAUAUUUUUUUUGAGACAUAUUUUUUUAGUAAUAUCUUUUUUAUUUUCACCUAUAUUUUUCUCAAAUAUUUUUUUUAGUAAUAUCCUUUCUCAUAUGUCCUUAUCGUUAACACCAGUACAUCGUAGUACAUCGUCAUCAUCGACACUGGCACAUUGUAACUUUCGCCACCUUCGUCAUCUGUCACGCCCCGGAUUACACUUUUCCCGGGCGCGCCGACAAAUCCGCUGUAUACAAAGGAAUUUUUCCUAUAUACGAAGCGAUAGCUGUACCUGUAAAACAAACGCUACUACGAACAGUAGUAGAGAGCUGCUAGAGAAAACAGAAGCUAAACAAACUGAGUUUCAUAUACAUAGUCCAAAUCCAAAAUACAAAGCUACUCGCACUGGCGAGUUAAGUCCACUAUGUACAUAAACUCGAAACAAAACAUCUACCUGCAGUAGGGGCACCUCUAGCUCAGCACGUCGGGUAGGGCUCUAACUUGCGACGCCCUUUCCUCGAUCCUGAUCCGCGGACGGUGCAGCAGCCGGAACCUGUGACUCUGCAAAAACAUAGGUAACAACUGGGUGUGAGAACUACUGUAAAAACAAGUAGUCCUCAGUGGGUACCGCCCAAAACAAUAUCGGUCCACCCACCAAGUCUACAGAAGGGAGCAAGAGUAGUCAGAAAAGCAGGAAAUAAACUCUACCGCUAUCGAUCACUACACUAUCAUGCUCUACACUAACCAACUGUAGGAAAUGUCAACUCUGACCCAAUCCAAUCGGGGCUGUAAGCAUACCCGUCCCCGGGACUGUGAAUACACCCGUCCCUGCCCCGUUGCGACUAUCAAGCUAUAUCCACACUAACUGCUCCGUGGAGAGCAAGUCCAACUGGCAUGAGCGAUACCAACGUGAAAGCACAAAGCCUGACUCCGGAGUGGCACUCGUGGGCGCUACCCAACCGAGUAUGCAGCGUAUCUCUGUCGAGCUCAAUCAGGCUCCAACUAGCCAAAGUCAAGUGAACAGGGUCAAAACAGGUCUACAAACCAAACCCACGUGCCCUCGGCACAAUCUGUGACCAAAACAAGAAUCUGGGUCCACCGCUAACCCGAACGGCACCCAACGACCCGAAACAGCCUAAACUCUGCUGAAAAAUAAGCUCGGCACCCCAGCACGAGCGUAAAUGCCUUCUAAACUACCCCAGGUAUCCAUCGCACUGAUACUGCAACGAUACAAUCGAAUCACGGCUCCUAGAGCUAAAUCUGGUAGUUUAAGCAUAUGACGGGUCAAAACGCAGGUUUUCUCCUAAGUCAAAUUUCAAGUCCAACAUGUAUAAUUUAAAUAUUCAUUUCAGCAUGCUUCUACAUUCAUAUUACAUUCAAGAUGCUAAUCGAUGAAUUAAAGCAUGAUAUACAAAAAUCGAACUAUACACGUCGACUAAACAUGCACUUAGGAGCGAAACCGAUGAUACACCCACCUCUAGUGCAAUUCCUGGCAGCAAGAUGGUCUCGGAUCACAAGCAACACUGCUGGAAACACCUCCAAACCAGCAACAAAGCCCCUCAAGAUCUGGAUUUACAAUUCACCCAAAAAUCCAAUAAAAACCAUCAAUUUACCAAAAUUUCAGCACUUAAGCUUAAUUAUCUCAAUUCCAAUGUCAAAACUCACCUAAUGAUCUCCAAAUCGGGUGAGGACAGAUCCAAAUCCAGCAACUACUGAUGGGUGAUCAAUCUCAGGUCCAAAAUCCCACUGCCUACAAAGUUAGCAUCAAGAAAAGCUCAAAAAUUCCAAUUUCAGCUCAAAGUCAACAGCAGUCCAGAAAAACCUCAGUUCGACCAAGCUAACCUCAACCAAAAUCUGCAAUUCAGGGCUUCGUGGAUUCCUCUGGAAGUCUAGAAUCCAGCAAACCAAGUUUCGUCGAAAUCCGACCUUCCUACGUCGCGCACGAGCCAAAACACUGAAGGUCGUCGCUGAAGAACUGCAGAAUCAGCACUCCAUCAAGCUGGAUCAAUGGAAAUUUGAUGCAAAUUGAGGCAAAUCCGAGUGUAGAGAUGCUAAAAGGGACUUCUCUGUGAAGAAGGGAGGAAAAGAGCAGCAAAGGGGCGCAUUCCAUCUAUUUAUAGUGAGUUAGAAUGAUCCAAAAAGCCUCAGGAACUCAAGCUGCUAUCCAGUGUCCCUGCAGAAACGGGCGUUUCUGGGCGCCCGGAACCAUGUUCUGGGCGACCAGAACAUCCCGACUGCACAAACCGUGGUCCUCGGACUCUCCGCUCAUGGUGUGCUGCGCCCGUAAAUGACUCCGGCGGAACUCACCUACCGCCUGCCACGCGUCGAAGCAAGCGAUAUUCAUGAAGUCGAAUUUCCGGACCCACAUCUGGGCGCCCGGAACAUGGGAUCCGAAUUGGCUUCCAGUUUCAGUUAAAUUCAACACUCGUUUCUGGGCGACCCUAAAAAUGUUCUGGGCGCUCGAAUCUGGCAAAACUCCAGUUUUGCUUAUUUGAGUGCGUCGAGUCCAAUUCUGCAUCCAAUUCAUGCAGAAUUGACUCCGACUCAGUCCGACACUCUUCAGAGAUGUCGACCAGUCACUAAUACUGAAGCCAACCCUAUCCAAAACUCAGGAACACUACAGUCAUAGUUGGAGAGGUAUUUUAAUCUCACCUGAAAAUAUUUUAUUUUUUUAAUGUGCAUUUAUACUAUUUUAGCAUAUUUUUUUGGUAUUUUCACAUUCUUACGUAUACUUUUAUCAAAUAUAAAGUAUAUAUUUUUUUAAUAAUAUCCUUUUUCAUUUUCACCUACAUUUUUCUUACAUAUUCUCAAAUAUUUUUUUUAGUAAAUCCUUUCUCAUUUGUCAUCGUUGCCGGCACCAGCACAUGGUCAUCGUCCUCCUCAUCGUCAUCAUCAUUGUCAUCAUCGGUGCCGGCACAUUGUCGCCUUCGUCACCAUCGCCACAGUUAUUUUGAUCCCACCUAAAUUUUUUUUAUACUGUUAUAGCAUAUUUUUUUUAGUAUUUUCUUAUUUUUACUUAUACGUUUCUCAAAUAUAAAGUAUAUAUUUUUUUAGCAAUAUCAUUUUAAAUAUUUUUUUUUGUGACAUAACUGUCAAUCUUUUCUCACAUAAUGCACACGUUUUCUCAAAUAUUACAAAAUAUAUAUGAAAAAUACUUAUAGUAUAAAUUAAUUAAAAUUAUAUAAAACUUAUUUAGAGAUAAAUUAAAGUUAGAAAAAUAAUAAUUAAAUAAUAAACAUACACCACCAAUAACGAUUUAAAAUUUAAAAUAUAAAUAUAAAUUUAAUUUAAAAUUAGAUGUGGCAUUUUAAAUUAAAAAUAAAUUAAAUUUUUGAUUCUUUUACAUUAAAAUAUAUAUCAAAUCUUUUAAAUUUCCUUUCUGACGAGAAUACUCAUUACCUAUACAUUUGUCACUGCCUUCUCAAGUGUAUUUUUUUAAUUCCUUCCACACCUCCUCUAUUAUGGUUCGCGCCGGCACAGUCAUCACCUUCACCAGGACAUCUUUAUCCUCCUCGCCGGCACAACUUCAUUGUCACCUUUGCUAGCAUGACGUCGUCGUCCUCACAUUGCAUGUACAUCGACGGAAGUCCACGAAUCAUAUCGGCGUUGUUGAUGGUCUACCGACAUGUCAUCGGUGGUCGAGAUAUAUGCGUAUGCGAAUUAUCGGUGGUCGACAAUCUAUAGGAUAGAUUCAAAAUUCACCCAAAAUUAUAUUAAUAUUUUUACGAUUUUCUUCAAAUCAAUUUGUAUACAUACAUACAUAUAUAUAUAUAUAUAUAUAUAUAUAUAUAUAUAUAUAUAUAUAUAUAUUCUUUUUUUUGAGGGUAUAAAAAAUGUUAAAUAUUUGUUCAAAUUAAGCUCAAUUAAUUUGAACAGUAAUAAUUGUGGAAUAGUAGUACAAUCAGAUCUAUUUUCAAUUUCAUUAAUAACUUAAAAUUAAUAUAUAUUUUAGAAAAAAAUUAUUUGAUUUUUUCAAAUAAGUAGUCUUACGUCCAUUGCACGUGCAUAUGACUAUAUAUUAAUAUAUAAACGUGAACUUAGACCUUUUCAAGUAUUUUUUUUUUUUUUUUUUUUUGAGAGAUAGCUAGCGUGCUACCCACUUCGUUUAUUUUAUUUAGAAAAUAAACUUAGCUGGAAAUGUGAAUCUACUAGGAUUCGAACUUGAAUCUCGGGUACCAGCCACUAAGCCCUUUACCACUUGCUUUAGGGACGGUCGGUACUUUUCAAGUAAAUUUUGGAUAUAUAGUUUUGUAGCACCAUUAGAUACUCUACUUUUUUUAAUUGCGUACGAUGGGGAGAUGGAGAAUUAGAAAAUUUGCCGAGGCUAAUAUGGUAAUUACGCCAGGGAUUCGUAUUCGCCACAAUUCCGGGAAUCUGGCGCGAGAAGUACAAGCCAGGUUGCGACAAAAGUUACGAGGUUGCCUAUGGUAUGCUUGCCAUUACAACGUAAUAAAUUAACCUACUCCACCUUUUUCUUAGAAUUUUUCUUUUUUAAUUUAGGAUAAAAAUAUACGUAAUUUAUUGGAACUAUACUGAACUACUUUGAAAUGACUAUUCAGGUUUUUCAAAUUUUUAAUUUGGUUUGAUUUGAAUCGGUUAACGAUAUUUUGACUUAAAAUUAGAAUAUAUAAUUUAUUUUUGUAGAUUUAUUUUGUAUAUUUCAUAUAAUUCUUAAUUUUUUUAAAAUAGUAUAUAUAUAUAUAUAUAUAGAGAGAGAGAGAGAGAGAGAGAGAGAGAGAGAGAGGGAGAGAGAGUUUUGCUAGGUUAGUAUCGAUAGUAAACAGCUCGAUUUACUAUCGAUUUUUUUUUUUUUUUUAUGAUAGAGCAUUCAAAUUUAUGAUCGAUACCGUUGAAAAUAAUCUACACCAUUUAAAUUAUUCAGAAAUCAAAUUUUAUACUUUUCGAUGUUUUUCUCUUAUCCAUCAAGUAGACAAAAAGUAUAAGGCUGAAAAUAAAUAUGCUUCAAAAAGUGAUAAUUGUAUUCAAUGUUGUUUUUUCUCUCUCUCUCUCUAUAUAUAUAUAUAAUUGAGCUAAAAUGCUAUCGGUAGUAAACGGGCUCCAUCGCCACCCAUUUGUUUUUGAUGAUGGAGCAUCCAAAUCGACGAUCGGCACCUUUGAACAUGAUUUAUACCACUUGAAGUAUUUAGAAAUCAAAUUUCAAAUCUUUUCAACAUCAUUAGCUAGCCUAAUAAUCAAAGAGUUUUAUUGUAAUUUUAAUGGUCGAUAUAAGACGUUUUCUCGUUUAACGGUAUAAAGAUAUUCAAAUCAAUUGAAUUUUAAUUAAAAAAUUAUUUAAACUAUUUAGAAUAAGAUUUAUACUCUUGAUCUUGAUUACAAGACUCAUAUCUUUACUUUUUAAGGAAUAUUUAUUUAUUUUCAGCCGUUUAUUUUUUAGUUCACUUGAUGGACAACAGAACAAUAUCGAAAAAAUACAAAUUGAAUUUUAAUUAAAGACAUUUUCUCGUUUAACGGUGUAAAGAUAUCCAAAUCAAUUGAAUUUUAAUUAAAAAAUUAUUUAAACUAUUUAGAAUAAGAUUUAUACUCUUGAUCUUGAUUACAAGACUCAUAUCUUUACUUUUUAAGGAAUAUUUAUUUAUUUUCAGCCGUUUAUUUUUGAGUUCACUUGAUGGACAACAGAACAAUAUCGAAAAAAUACAAAUUUUGAUUUCUAAAUAUUUCAAGUGGUAUAGAUUAUGUUUAACGGUAUCGAUUGUCGAUUUAGACGCUCCAUCAUCGAAAAUAAAUGGGUGACAACAGAGUCAGUUUAUUACCGAUAGCAUUCCAGCUCAACUCUAUAUAGAUAUAUAUAUACACACACAAUAUACAUGAGAGAUUCUAAAAAGGUGCAUAUUAAAAAUUAAAAAAAAUCCUUCAAACUGGAUCAGCUUAAGUAGGAUCUCAUGCGAAGCAUGGGAUCAAAAUGGGAUGCAUUGUGGGUAAACUGACAAGUGACAAGCACAGUACACAUUUGCAGCAAUGGAAAGUGCAUGCAGUGAUGCAACUCUUUGCCCAAGAGGCUAUGCAUCUCCGGCCCUCUAAGCUGCUCAUUAUUAUUCCAUGUAGAAUAAGGUGUCCUCCAGAGGACAGGAGAAAGAGAAAUAAUUCAAGAGGUGAAUAUGUACCCGGGUAUAUAUAUAUAUAUAUAUAUAUACCUUUACACUUAGAUGAUCCUAAGCUUGAACUUAGAGCCCAUGGUCGGUGAUUCGGGAAAUGGUGAACGAAAUCCCUGCCAGCCAUGAAAAGUUCAUUUAAAACCUAUAUAUCAAAACAUCGUGGUAAUCUAUGAGAUGAAAAAAAUUAACGCAUGCUACCCCUCUACCUCUUAAUCUUUUAAACGGCUCCGAUUAUACCAUUAAUGCGGUCCCUAAGCAUAAGCGGUGUUAAGGCCCUUAGACCGCGCUCUUCAUGUUCGGUCCAACGCUGUUUUCAAUGCUCCAACGGAUACCAUACGAACGGUAAUGUUGCAUUAUUUAAUUGGAUGAGGUGGAAAAAGAAUCUUAAAAAGAAAAAAUUAAAUCCUAUUUUUAUAUGCAUUAAAUAACCUUGAUAUGACUUGAUGAAACUUUACUGAUAAGUCCAAAAAGUUUAAAAAUUAAACCAAACUAAACUUAGCCAAUUGCUAUAAAACUGAAUUUUAAUCUUAUAUAUUAAAUAAAAACAUCUAAAUAAAACAUAUAAAGUAUAUUAAGAAUUAAAAAAAUUUUAUCAUAUAUAUAUAUAUAUAUAUCUCUCUCUCUCUCUCUCUCUCUCUCUCUCUCUCUCCCUCUCUCUCAAAACGAUCCAAUCAUAGCUAUCAUUUGUCGAGCUAAAUGAUAGCUAAAAAAAAAAAAAAAAUACUAUCUCGUAAGUUUAAAUACUAGCUAUGGCAACUUUUAUUAGAUGUGGUAAAUUUAAUAAGUCUUUAGUUUAAAAUAUGAAAAGCUACAAAAAGAGAAUAGGUAGUUCAUCUGUUUUUCAUAUUCCGACUUUUAUUUAUACGAAGUUUUUCACUAUUAACAUAAGUUACAACAAAAAAGAGAGAGAGAGAGAUAUAUAUAUAUAUUAACUCGAUUUUACGAUAGCCAUCAUUUGCCCGAGGUAGCGGUGGGUAAACAAAAACUACUACCUCGUAGGUUUAGCUGCUAGCCGUGGAAACUUGUACUAAAUAUGGUGAACUUCAUAAAUCUUUAGUUUAAAGUUUAGAAAAGUUGUAGUAAUCGAUCGGAUUAUUAGUUUCUCAAAAUAACAUUAAAAUUACCAGCUAUAUUCUGCAAAAGAGCAAAUUGCCAUAUUUCUAUAAGUUUAGUUAACUUAAAAUUAAUUUUUUAAUAAAUUUGAUAAAUCUUAUUCUAAAUAUGAGAACUAGAACUAAUGUUCUGAGUAUAGAAAUGAAAAAUUCCUUAUAAAUAAAUAAAAGUCGGCAAAUAAAAAAUCAAGUGAACUACCUGUUGUCUUGUUAUAGCUUUUUUAUGUUUAACUUAAAAUUAAUUUCUGUAAAAGAGCAAAUUGCCACAUUUCUAUAGGUUUAGUUAACUUAAAAUUAAUUUUUUAAUAAAUUUGAUAAAUCUUAUUCUAAAUAUGAGAACUAGAACUAAUGUUCUGAGUAUAGAAAUGAAAAAUUCCUUAUAAAUAAAUAAAAGUCGGCAAAUAAAAACUCAAGUGAACUACCUGUUGUCUUGUUAUAGCUUUUUUAUGUUUAAAACUAAAGAUUUAUAAAGUUCACCAUAUCUAAUACAAAUUGCCAUAGCUAACAGCUAAAUCUGCGAGGUAGUAGCUUUUAUUUACCCACUGUUGUCUCAGUCAAAUAAUGGCUAUCGUAAGGUCGAGUUGAGAUAUAUCUAUAUAUAUAUGUGUGUGUUAUAUGUACUCUCUAAGAUUUUUCCACGUAUAAUUUUUAAUUUUUUUUAGGAAGUUUGACCUAGUCGAAUUCAUCCUAGAGUACGCUUCGUACCCUAGUUUUACCCUACGUAACACCCAUUUGACUGUUCACUGUUCGUGUCAUGUGUAAACGUCGUUACCUUUCACGUACGUCACUACGUUGAGAAACGGGUUCUCCGAUACGUAGAGGCCGGGAGAUUCGACGAGUAAUAAUAAGGUACAUCUUAUUCCACAGGAGGUCUCCUGUCCUCUUUCUCUUUAUUAAGUUCUCCACUUAUACAUGGGCCCAUAUAUAUAUAUAUAUAUAUAUAUAUCUCUCUCUCUCUCUCUCUCUCUCUCUCUCUCUCUCUCUCUCUCUCUCUCAGGCCGACCCCAUGAUAGCUAUCGUAGUUCCUAAACCACGAUAGCUCAAAAGGUUAAAAUCUAAAUUGAGAAACUAAUAAAAAUGGGUAAUUUAAUAUGAUAAGUUGAUUGGUGAGUGAGUUGGGAUACCCGGGUGUAGUAGGAUUGGUAAGUAAAGAGUUAGGUUCCCGAUUUUUUAGUUAUCGUGGUUAUCGAACCAUGAUAACUAUCAUAAGGUCGGAUUAAUAUAUAUAUAUAUAUAUAUCUCAGGCCGAAGAUAUGAUAGAUAUCAUGCGCUCGAGGACAUGAUAUCACAACAAAAGCUAGAAGCCCGCAAGUUUAGUUGCUAGGUGUGGCAAUUUUGAUUAGAUCCCAUAAAUUUCAAAAAUCUUUAUUUUAAAAUAUAAAAAAGCUGUAUCAAAUGAAAUACUAGUUUUAUAAAGUUUUAACAGUUUAAAGUUGUCGAUAAUACUGCUCAAACCUCAAAUUGCCACAUCUUCUUAGAUCUAAAGAAGUUUAAAACUAUCUUUUAAGAAAUUUGAUAUAUCUAAUUCCAAUUGUAAGAACUAGAACUUAAAUUUUCAGGAUAUGAGUUUAAAAUUUCUCAUAAGUUAAGGGUGGCAGGUAAAACUGUAUUAAAUAAAUGAUUCAUUUGCUAUAGCUUUUCUUGAUUUUAAAAUAAUGAUUCUUGAAGUAUAUAGGAUCUAGUAUAAAUUGCUACACCUAACAACUAAACUUGCGGGAUUCAAGCUUUUGUUGUGAUAUCAUGCCCUCGAGGGCAUGAUAUCUAUCGUAUCAUCGGAUUUAUAUAUAUAUAUAUAUAUAUAUAUAUCUCUCUCUCUCUCUCUCUUAAUACGAUGAUAUGAUAGUUAUCAUAAUUCGGGAACCAUGAUAACUCAAAAGCCGGCAACCUACUUUCCUACACGACAAUCCUACUGUCGUCAGGGGCCAAGUUAACUAUCACCAUCACCAGGGGAUCCCAACUCACCCACCAACCAAAUUAUCAUACUAGAUUGCCCACCUUUACUAGUUUACCAUCUAGAUUGCCAUCUUUUGAGUUAUCAUAGUUCCCGAACAAUGAUAGCUAUCAUAUCAUCGGCCUGAGAUAUAUAUAUAUAUAUAUAAUCUUUCUGAAUUAAAAUCAAGGACUCAAACAGUAAACGAAACAUUAGGUCUUAGAGAAGUGACAUGUACGGCACGGUAGUCAUAAUAUAUAUAUAUAUAUAUAUGAGCUGUUAAUUAUUUACUACUCAUUGACUCCAAAUCAAAAAUUAACAUAAAACAACCACAUAAGAAACGGUUCAACUGCUAUAAAAAUUACUAUCUUUAAAUUGAUUUAUUUAUUACUUUUAAUCUUUAGACUACUUUUUUUUAAUUCCAGGUUGGUUUUUUUUUUCCAUCCUAUUCCCCAACCCUCAUAACUUCGUUAAUUGGGGAAGGAGGAGGGGCCAUGCCUAACGGGCCAAGUUGGCUUUGCCUGGUGUUCAAACAGACCAAGCCCGGCUUUGCCUGGCCCGGUGGAAAACAACCUAACACUGGAUCAUACCGGGUCCGGGUUUGGCCUGUCUCGGGACGAUCAGAUGCCGGGGCGGGUAAUGCCAUAUGAGAAAAUAAAAGAAUAUAUAAAAUCAAAAUUAAAAAUUUUUGAAAAUUAAUUAAAAUAUGAUAAUUUAUUUAGUAAAAAUCUAUUGGAAAGAUUUUUUAAUAAAACUUAAACUUAUCAAAUUUGAUCAAAAAUUCUUAUUUAUUUUUGUGGUUUUUUUAUAUAAUGUUUUUUCUUUUUAAUUUAUUUGUUUUCGCGGCAGGGCCAUGAAAAACAUUAAACAUUCGACUUUUACAUACCUUUUGGGGAGAUGAUAUCCUAUCAAACUUUUGGUGGAGAAGUUUAAAUAAAAAAAAUAAUUGGAGGUAAAUUAAAAGAGCCAAAAAAAAAAAAAUAAACCAUAUAGUUGAGCCAUCUAUGUUUAAAUUAAUCCUUUAUGUUAUCGGGAACAUAAGUUAAGAUAGCCUAUGAGUAAACAUAACAUAUACAUUUUUUUAUCAUAAAAUAAUUAUAUCAUCACGAGUAAAAUACUUGUUCGUUACGAUAUAUAUAUGUAUAUGAGGUUUAUCUCAUAUUUAGAAUGCGAAUAAUAAAUUCCUUGUAAUAACAUAAAUCAACAAUAGUUAAAAAAAAAUAUUAUGGUUUUUGAGGUUUUUUUUAAAUUUGAGGUGGUAAAAUCUACAUUUUACAUGUAGGAGAUAAAUCUUAUAUGGCGCUCGUAAAGAAAGUACCUGUUUAAAUCACAUAGUUAAGCCAUCUGUAUUUGCAUUCAAUGUUAGGGGGCAGAUAAUCAAGAAACUGGAUGAGAGAAGAUAUGUGAUUAUUGAUAUAAAAGACUGAUGGCUAGCCGGGAUCUCGUUCACCAUUUUCCAAACCACCAACCAUGGGCUCCACCAACCAGGGUUCAAGCUUAAGAUUAAUUAAGUAUAAAGGUUGAUUCAAAUAAAGAAUUAUUUUAUUUGCUUGAUAUAAAAGAUUGAUUAUAAUAUGCAUCCCAGGCAAACCAAGUGCUAAACAUUAUAAGGCUAAUAGGAAAUGAAAAGUAUUAAUUUUUAUAAGUUUAUUAAUGGUUUGUUGCGUUCAACCUAUCAAUAAGUUUAUUAAUGGUUUGUUGAGUUCAACCUAUCUACAUUUUCUAAUAUACUUCAUCACCCUUAGUAACAUCUAAAGAUUUAUUAUUUUUAUGAUCCAAUGAUACCCAAUGUUCUAUAAGAAUAAAAACACAGGCUACUUUUAAUAAUCAUUAAGUAAUUAUUCUUAUAUGAUCAUGAAAUGUUGAAAAGCUGAGUUUGCCGCACUAUUUAAUCAUUGUGUGAAAAGUAAAGUUUAUAUUUUAUAUAUUAAUUAUAAAAGUUUUAUAAAGUUUGGAACUAGUUUCAUAGGGAAUGAUGAAAUAAUAAUAAUAAUAAUAAUAGCCGACAUUUUAUGCUCCAUUAAAAGGCACGUUAAACGGCGAUUAAUUAGUCCUUGUUGGAAACCGAGGUUAUGGUUAGGCAACCAAUCUCUAUAGUAUGUGGUGUCAUUGGAAGUGGACGACGCACAAAGGUUAUUAUGAGUCAACAACCAGCAAUGAUAAAGGUCGUUUGCGAUUUGUCGAGACGCGACCGAGCGGCUUGUAAUAGGGCAGCUACAGGUCUAACUCCGAGCGAGGCGGCAGCUUGUGGUCGAGGUGGCGGCCGUGGAAGUGGUGGAGCACGGGCGAGUCUAACAUUGUGCACAGGUCAAGUAUCAGGCGCCCACGGCAGCACAUCAAGCGGUACACGGCCGCCUUGUGGCGCGCGUAGGGCCUCAUGCGCCGGCCGCCGUCAGACCACUAGUGGCAGGGCCUCAGGUAGUCGCAGGACCGACAGCUCUUGUGGAAGACCAAAUAUAGGUCAAAGAACGGAGGCUGAAACUAGCGGUGCUCAAAAUGCAUCAUGCAACUGCCUAGCGAGCGAAGCGCAUAGUAGCCGCACAUAGCAUACGGUCGGCCGCCCGACGGACAUGACGGCUGAUCGUCCAUCGGUCAGCUCGAGCGAUAACUGCCAUCCGUCAUCCUUUUCUAGAGAGGCAUGAAAACGCUCCGGACGCUCUAGUCGCUCCUGAGCGGCGCCGGAUUCGGCUAGUCUGGCCGUUGGGCUGGUUUGCUGGGAGACAAUACUAGCGGCGUCGGCUUGGAUUUCAAGCCGUCGUCCAGGGUCCCUGAGUCUCAUUCGCACAGCACCGACUUCAAGGGUCUCCUGGACCUGAAUAGCAGCAUAACCUAAAGCACCGCCGUGCAGGCCGGCCGUCUCGUCGCCCGUCCCAGCUCAACCCGCGUGAGUCGACUCGGCGUCACCUACGACGAUAUGCACCUACUAAACCGGCCUAGCUUUUCACCCAGCAAAACACCCAUUGUUACCAACGUCCCGAACGUGACCUCGGUCCUCUCCAGCGACGGCCACAGCUUAAGGUGCCUCUUCAGGACAAAUCCUCAAGGCUACGGGCGUAAGUACUACAUCAACGACCACGGUUGCUACAGCGGCCACACCCGUCCUUGGCUGUGCCGGGCGUUCGACGGAGACGGCCGAUACAACUUACGCCAUCUUUCUGCUGCUACAACCUCGCUCAGCUGAGCUCGAACUAGUAACAAUUACUAAACGAACACACUGCCAAAAAGGAGGAAGGUCUCACCGCUCGUGCCAGGCAUGGCUAACCUGCUGCCAGUCGGAGCUGUCUAAACUUAGACUAGUCCUUAGGUUUGUUUGUACAAAAUUCAUCCUCUUGAGGUAUCUUCCCUCGACUAUAAUGGUACUUGUAUAGUCGAGAAAUGUUAAUAUAGGAGUAGGUCACUUUUUAUCAGGUUCAGGAUAAUAAUGACCUUAACUUGAUGCGAAAGCACCUCAUGAGACAACCAAAUUUACACGAUAGUAAGACAAGAAAUUACCUUCCAGUCCAACUCAGCUCAUUGCAAGUUUUACUACCUUCCAGUUCAACCGGGCUCAGUAUAAGCUUUACUACGUUCUGACUAACCCGGCUCACUGUAAGCUCUGGACGCCUACAACAUAGGCAUACAAAAUUCACUUAACCAGUAAAUAAAAAUUGUCGAGCUCGAAAACCCUAAUUAUUAAUCGUGGUUGCUAGGCUGUUCACUAUAGUCUUAAUCACCGCGCUUAAGCUAAAGGUGUAAAAUAUAAUUGCCACGUCCACAACCUUCUACUAACAACCGAUAAAUAAUAUCCGAUUUAUACAGGUUGAAAAACGGAGUACUGUUAUCCGGGUUUCUGAUUAUUCAACUCAACCUACUCGGAUUAUUCAACUCACUCCAACUUCAGGUGUUCUCUGGAUUACCGUUUUCCGGGUUGUUAUCCGGAUUACAGAUCUACCUAACUCAAUUUAGCUUUGGGCACUCGCGACGCCAACUUGAGAAUUCAGAGAAUUCACGCUACCCACGCGAGAAGGAUAGUUGUACACAAAAACUUUAUCAACCAAUUGCGAUUGUUAGACUGUUUACCAUGGUCUCAAUCUUUAGUGCUCAAGCUAAAAGCGUACAAUGCUUAUACACGUCCACAACCCCCCUCCCUUAACAACCGAAUUUACUCGGUCAUAAGACAAGAUAUCGUCCUCUAGUCUAACCUGGCUCAGUGUAAACUUUACCGCCUUCUGGUCCAACUCGUCUUGGAAUAAGCUUCACCGCGCUUUGACUUACCCGGCUCUUCUAAAUCUUUCUUCCGAGUCGACUAUAAUCACACAUAUUCUUUUUUUUUUCAAAUUGAAAGAUAAAUAAUCAUGUUUAAAAAAAAAAAAAAAACAAACUAAAAAAAAAAAACACCAGCAUAAUCAAAUACAACUGCUCUGCUUAAAUACCAUUUUAAAACCAACUUGUGAAAACAACAUAUGAUUGAUGACUAAAAUGACCAUCAAUGAACACCUAUUAUCUAAAAGUUGUUUUCUAUGAAUUAAAAUCAGAGGCUUAAAUAAGAGUCUUUUUGCGUUUGACUUUCGAUUUUAGCUUCCUGUCUCACCGUAAGAAUGGAAAACUGCUCCUUGUUUGCCACGACCCGACGUUACCCGCGUACGAUUAAGUUGUAGAUUAAAAUAUGGGUUGUGUGUAUUUCUCUUUCCUUCUCACCUCUUGUUUUCUUCUUGUGUUGUUAACGUGUCUCACGGGUUCUUGUCUCGGUACAGUGUUUUUUUCCCUUGAAAGCACUUAUUGUGUGAACUCCGCGAACACGACCGCUCCUCCGCGGUUCCCAGCGUACGAAAUAUAUGGCUGCGGUUACAAAAACAUCCUUAUAAAGAGUGCAAAGACUACGCUGUAGAUUGUCAAAAUACACUUUACUUAUUUCGAAGCUUAUUUCUUAGUACUUACUUUUUCUUCUUAUUCUUGAGAUCACAAUUAUGAACACGAAGCCCUGGUCUUUAAAUUUGAUUCUCUCAAUAAUCAUAAACACAUGACAUAAUAAUAUAAACUAUAGUUUUAAUUAAAUAAUCAGUUUUUAUAUUCUACUCAGAAUUUAACAAAUCAUUAAAAUGUCUUUCACAUUACUCUACUCUGCGAGACCGUUGUUUGAAACUUAUNGUUUAGCAAUAUAAAAGAGUCUAAUCAAUUGAAUUUUUGUUAGAAAAUUCAUUAAGCUAUUUAAAAUGAGAUCUAGACUUUAGAUCUUGAAUACAAAAAAAAUCGUAUCAUCACUUUUUGAAGAAUAUUUAUUUUCAUUCAUUUUUUUUUUUUUUUACUUGAUGGACAAAAGAAUAAUAUCGAAAAAGUAUGAAAAUUAAUUUUUAAAUAAUUUAAAUUGUUUAAAUCAUGUUCAACGGUACUUAUUGUCGCUUUGGAAUCUUUAUCGUCGAAACCAAAUCAAUAGUAAACUGAGCUGUUUACUAAUGCCGAUCAUCGUUUUUGAAACUCUAUAUAUCAUAAAAAACAAAAUCAAUAAUAAACUAAACUGUUUACAUCUGAUAAUAGUAUUCUAGUAAACCUCUCUAUAUAUAUAAGAGAGAGGAUAGUGAAAGAAGAGAGGGAGCCAUAUAUUUCUACAUUACAAAGGGGGUGGGGGGUUUGAAUAAGAGCUCCAUUCGGUCCAAUAAAGGGGGUAGAGGGAAGGAUAGAGCUGCCACAUCAUGGAUUAGGCUAAGCCUUAUUCUUGGAUCCCAGAAUAGUGGGAGAAUAAGGCUUUGGCCAUUGCAUGGUGUGGGAGCAAUUUAUUGUGUUUAUAAUUACAUCUCUACCUUUUCCCUUGACCCACUCAUUGGACUGAAGGGAGCUCCUGCAUGCUUAUGAUCAUCCAUUAAUGCUUUAUUAAUUAUCAUCUCCUUAACUUGUUUGAUUUUAUUCUUAUUCUAGCUACUUAUUCAUGUGGAUAUAUAUGCAUAUCCACAGGGGGUUACAUUACACUUCUUCUUGUUCUUAUACUUACUGUUCUUGUUUCUCCUAUGUGGUUGGUUUAUCAUGAUCAGGAUGAGGAGGAGCAUGUGGAAAUGGGUUUCAAGUGGACCACAAGCAGCUUUGUUUCUCUCUUCUCUUUCUACUUGAGAUUAAGACAUUCUUGGUAAGAUCUUGGGUUUAUCUAUAACCCCCCACUUGUUCCUGUUCCCUAGCCUGUUCCCUGUUCCCAUAUGUAUUAAUUCAACUUUUUGAGUUAUUUAUGCUUAAAUUAUUCACAACACAACAUGUAUUGUUUAGAACAGUUAGUUGUUAUCUAUCUUUCAUAAAGGAAAGAUGACAGAGUGGUUUGAAUACUGUUUUAAGUGGGCAUAAUGAGUGCUUAAUUGUUUUCUGUGGCGUAUGUAUAAUCUUAAUAAAAUAAUUAUUUGCUUCAUUUUUUGUUUACUUAAUGUUUCAAUAACCAUCCUUUGGGUGUAUAUAAAAGCUCUUCAAUGUUUUCCAUUACAACUAAUUAAGCUUCAAAAACUGAAUCUAAUCUAAACCAUUGUAUUCGGGUGCACUUAAUUAAUUGGUUUGAGCAAUUUCCAGGUUGAGUUUUGUUGAGAACCUAGUUCAUGUACAUUUUACUAUGUACAUUUAAUUACACUGGGUUGGGCCUAAAUGUAUAUGUUGAGACACAAUCGUUUUUAGACCAAUCUGGGCCAUUAAAUAAUCAUCGCAACUAGGGGUGUCAACCAGCCCAACAAGAGCAAGUUGGGAUCGGCUCGUGUUCAGCUUGCCGAACACGAGCCGGCUCGUUAAAGUAUCGAGUUGAAAAAUUUAGCUCGUGUUCAGCUCGUUUCUGGCUCAUGACCAACAAGUUAAAAGAAUUAGAAAGGAUACAUAUAGAAAAUGAAUUUAUAAGAUUUUUAUCCAUUAGUCUUUGUUUUAAUAAUUGAAACUUUACAUAUAAAUGAGCCUCUUUAUUAAUUGAGUCGGGCUUUAUAUUUAGAUUGGACUAAAACUCAAAUAAUAAAAAUCUAUAUUUUAUAUAUAUUAUUAUUUAUUUAUAUAUAAAUAUAAAUUAUAUAAAUUAUAUAAAUAUAAAAUAUAUGUAUUCGAACUGUUAUCGAGAUGAACACGAGCGAGUUGACUCUAACUCGUGUCCGGCUCGAUUGAGAGGUGAAAAAUUCAGCUCGUGUUCAGCUUGUUUAUUAAACUAAUGAUUCAAUCUCGAACUCAUUUCGAGCCGAAUACAAGCUGACUCACGAACAGCGAGCUGAAUUGCCAUCCUAGUUAGUUGCAACUUGAGUGAGUCAAGUAGGCCAUGUGGUUAUUUUUGAUCUCCCAAAUGUUGCUCUUAUACGCGUGUUUGGUUUAAAAUAAGGAUGAUAACCGGCCCCAUGAACCAACUUUCAUACAUUUAUUUCUUUUAUAAUUUAAUUAAAUAUUGUAACUAUAUUUUUAUUUUUUAUAUAGUAUAUUAGUUAAAUAAUAUUGAUUGUUAUAUAUUUUUAGUAAUUUGAUGCAUCAUGCAGGCUUAUUGGUAAUGAAUAAAAAAUAAACUUAGUGAGAUUGAUGCACAAUAUACUACAGCAAAUUUUGCACUUAAAAAUAUUUUAAACAAUAACCAGCGAUGCUUUAAAGCAUUGUCAAGAAUAAUCUCGACAUUUGUAAAAGUGUCAAGUAAAGAAUCGUUAAAUAAAUAUGUCAUGAUAAAUAUAUAUACCGACGUUUUAAUAUAGAGUCGAAAAAUUUUUAUCAGUAUUUGAUAAAAAUAUGUUUAUUGGCGGCGCUUAAUUAUAGUAUCAAUAUAUUCCAAAUAUUAAAGACGCUAGAAUGAAUUCUAAAAUAUAUUUUAUUGUAGUGGUAUAUUACCUGCAUGCUGUGAAAACUUGAUAAAAAUUAAGGUGCACACUGAUCAAGUGACCAGAAUAAUUCCUUUCAUUGUGUAACGUCAUAGAGCAAUAGUAGGGUUAUAACUCAAAAUGAGUUGUAAAUUAAACCUACAACAGCAUCCAAAAACUAGUUUUUCUCCACUAAUCUUAUCACUGUUUUUCUUUUAAUAUAGAAUCUAAAACGGGAUUAGUAAAUCCUAAGAAUCUUUAGAUAAGAAAUUGUAGGGAUUACGAUCCCAUUUUGAUUGUAGACUUAGCGAUUCUCACAUUGAUAAUGUUUGCAUACGCUAACACAUGUAAUUACAAAACACAUUUAACAAACCAAAUCUAUUUUUGUUGGAGAGUAUAAAUAGAGUUCAAAUAAAUUAUAUACGGUUUUGGCACGAGUAUAAAUACUUUUUUUUUUUGUUUUAAUGUUAUCAGGUUACUGACAAAUCACCUAUAGGAUACAACAAAACUAUCGAAAGCUUACAAACAGCACUUAAAAGAUGUUUUUUUUUUUUUUUUAAUUCUCUCUUAAAAAUUGGUGUGAAAAUUAAGAAGAAGAGAGGAUUGGGUGUAUUUUCUAUGAAGCCUUCAAUUAUUUUCUUAUUUAUAGGAUAUGAAUGGUUAUGAUUAAAAGAUCUAACAUUUAAUAUUACAUCUUUUCACAAAUUAAAGGGCACACUCAUUUAGUAACAAUCCGGUCUUGUAGCAAUAAUAACUCGUUGGUUCCAAAUUACCGGCCUAAAAUGUUUAAGUACAGUUAUAAUUAAUAAUAUCCAUGGUCUCUUAUAUAUCCAAUAAUAACUUCAUUCCUAUCUGAUAUAAGAUUAUUCGGGUGUAACAUCAUACAAAUAUUAGAGUGAUGCAUUCUUUUACAAAUACAGAAGGGACAUCUCGUUUCACUAAUAUUAGAAAAACGGGCUUUUUUUGCAUUUAGACCCCUGACAAAUUUUUAUUUUAAAAAUAGCCCUGUUAAAAUUUAAUUUGUAAAAAUGGCCCUGGGCCUGCCACGCAGGCGCCACGUCAGCGCCACGCGGGCAGGGCUGGGCCCGUGUGUUAAGUUGAACACGGUGAACCAUUCACCGUGUUCAAACACGGUGAAUGGUUCACCCUGUUUAGUACAUAUUUUUUGACACAUAUAUUGAAAAGUGGAAUAAGGAGUAGGGAUGUCAAUAGAUAUGGAUAUACGAAAUAUUAUCCGAAUCCAAACCCGAAUAAAUUAUAUAUAUACGUAAUUUAUUUUUGUUUAUUUAUACAAUAUAUAAAAUAUUUAAUAAUUUUUAUUCCUUAAAUCUUCAUCCAACCCAGCGGGCCGUUGGAUGAAGAUCUAAAGAAUAAAAAUUAUUAAAUAUUUUAUAUAUUGUAUAAAUAAACAAAAAUAAAUUACGUAUAUAUAUAUAAUUUAUUCGGGUUUGGAUUCAGAUAAUAUUUCGGGUAUCCAUACCUAUUGACAUCCCUACUCCUUAUUCCACUUUUCAAUAUAUAAAAAAUACGUAAGAAACACGGUGAACCAUUCACCGUGUUUAGACACGGUGAAUGAUUCACCGUGUUCAACUUAAUACCCUGGCCCCAGCCCUGCCCGCGUGGCGCUGACGUGGCGCCUGCGUGGCAGGGACAGGGCCAUUUUUGCAAUUUUAAUUUUGAUAGGGCUAUUUUUAAAAUAAAAAUUGCUCAGGGGCCUAUUUGCAAAAAAAGCCCUAGAAAAACAUAUCUCUUCAUGACUUAGACAUAUUGUUUUACAAAAAACAUAUUACUAGUAAAUGAAAAGACAUAUCUUUUCAUUAAAAAAAAAAAAAGAAGCUAAUUGUACAGAAAACACAACCAUUCAUUAAUUUUAGUUCUUCAAAUUAUUUUCUCACUUUUAUUAAUACUUUUAAUAAUACAACCUCACUAACAACUUGAGUUAUUAAAAAUUAGGAUUUAUAAUUUAUGAUUCAUGUAGAAAAUGACAAUUGUUAGAAUAAAAAUAUCAGAAAUAAAACGUGAUGUUAAAUAUAAUACAAAACUAUGUAUUUUUCUUCGAGGGUGGAAUUAAUGGCCAUUUUGUAGAAGAAAAGUCAACUUUAACCAGUUAGCUAAUAGAGAGGAAUAUAUUACAAAUUACAUAAUCUUGGAAGAAACAUAUUUGAUAAUUAAAACUUUGUAGGGAAAAGAUAUGUAAUUUUAUUUCUUUAUAGCAAUACAUAUGCAAUUAACCGUCUAUUGCAGUAUUAUUAAUUUGUUGGGAAAACUUCAAAUAACAUCUCCGUGGUUUCGCACUUUCUUACUUUAGUACUCUGUGGUUUAAAGUGUAUUACUUUCAUACUCUGUGAUUUUAUUUUUCUCUUUUUGUUAUUCUCUCCGCUAAUUUUUUUCGUUAAAUCAGUAACAAAGUUAAAACUAAAGAAUACUAAAGUGAAUAUUUGAUAAACUAUAGGUGGGGUAUUUGAAGUUUUUUUUUAUAUGAUUUAACGAAAAGUUAACGGAGUGACUGACGAAAAGAGAAAAAUGAAAUCACUGGGCACUAAAUUGAUACAUUUUAAACCACAGGGUAUAAAGUAAGAAAGUGCGAAACCACAUAGAUGGUAUUUGAAGUUUAUCCUUAUUUGUUUCAAUGGACAAGUUAGCAAUGCAUAUCUAAAUAUUUAAUUCAAUUGCCAAAAUGCAAGGAUGAUUCCUUACUUAUAUGACAAUAAACCUUAAAUUUUUAAGAAAAUAUUAUUUAAUAAAUGAGAUAAUUAUUUAAAUAUAUUAGUGUGUAAUAUUAUAUAUAGGGAAAGUGAUGCACAACUUAUAAUACUUGUACUAAUAAUAGAAAAAAAAGAAGAAGAAUCCUUUACGUACAUUUGAAGUACAUUUUGCACAUGAAGCAUUUUGAUUUGCCAUGGAGAGUACAUAUAUAUGCAUGCUUGUUUUACUAUCAUUAAUAUUCUAAAAGGUUUAAAUGAACGCGCUUUUUUAAAAAAUUGUACCUAAAGCUAGAAAUGGAAUAUAUGUACUAGAAUAAAUUUCAAAUAUUUUUGUUUUACGAUAUAACAUUAAGUAAUUUAAUACAUUUUUUUUUUCAAAAUAUCCAUAUUUAAUGGAAUAUUUUGUCAAAAUAUUGCAAAUACUGUUAGUUAUGUAUGUACUAGAAUAAAUUAUAAUAUAUGCAUCAAACAUGCAGAAAAGCUAAGAAAUGGCAAAAUAAAAAUAUUUAAAAUGAAAUUAUACAUUUCAAAUUAAACACGAGAUCACGAUCUCAUCGGUGGUAAAGAAUCUACUUUAAGAUCCGAGUUAGUUCUCGAAUGAUGGGAUUUCUUCUCAUACAUCAACAAUAUUUUGAUUUUAAAAUUUGAAUAUAUCAUUUAUUUUUAUAGAUUGAGUUAGUACUUUUCAUACAAUUCUUAUAACUAUAAAUUAAUCAAAAUAAGCAAUUAGUUUAAAUUUUAAAGUCAAAAGUAACGUUGAAACUCAAAUCAAACAACUUAAAAAAGUAGGAUUAGGACAAUCAAAAUUUUGAAAGGUUCAGUAGUAGACGAGUCAAAAUGAUAAACAGUUAAGUUUUUAUAUGUUUUUAUCCUAAUCCUGAUGCCUAAUUACCAUAAUCUACAAAGGAGUAAUAAUAUUUUAUUUUGUUAUAGUUUGAAUUUCUCUAAGACCAUAUGCAAGACAUAUGAUACAAAUUAGAAAUAUUUAAUUAGUAAUACUUCACUUAAGAAAAUAUCUAUUACAUAAUUUAACAAAAUUAGAAAGACUAAAAAUUAUAAUGAGUUGAGCUGAAAUGUUAUCGAAUUAUAAUGAGUUGAGCUGGAAUGCUAUCGGUAGCAAGUGAGCUCUAUUGCCGAAAAUAUUUAACAUUUGGUUUUUAGAUACUUCAAGUGAUAUAGAUCAUGUUCAACAAUACUAAUCGUCGAUAUAGGCGUUCCAUCAAUAAAAAUAAAUUGGUGGCAACGAAACUCGUUUGCUACUGAUAGCAUUCCAGCUCAACUCAAUUAUAAUUGUUAAAAAGUCACUUUACAAAUUAAUGUAUAAAAGUUUAAGGGCAUUUGUACAUUUAUUUUUCCUGUUUUUUAAGAGGAGACUUUAGCACCUGAGCAAUGCAAUAUAUACAUCCCAAUCGGGGUAUAUAUUUUACAUUUCACCCAUCUAAUACAUGGGACGAUUUUACUAGUCACUUGAUGUGAUUAGCGAUUCACUUUCACCCAUUAGAUUGGUGGGUUGGAAUUAACUUGUCCAGUCAGAUUGGGGCCUUCAAGUAAUAUUUUUUUUUUUGGAAAAACUUCAAAAAACCCUCAUGUGGUUUCGCACUUUCUCACUUUAGUAUUCUGUGGUUUAAAGUGUAUCAAUUUGCCCCCCUGUGGUUUCAUUUUUCUCUUUUUAGUAUCAAUUUUAUUAUUUUUUUUCUUAAAUCAGUAACAAAGUUAAAAUUAAAGAGUACUAAAGUAAAUAUUCGAUAAAUCUAGAUGGUAUCUGAAGUUUUUUUGUAUAUAAUUUAGCAAAAUAUUAAGGAAAAAGAUCCCAAAAAGAUUAAAAAGAAAACCACAGAGGGGCAAAUUGAUACAUUUUAAAGCAUAUGGUACUAAAGUGGGAAAGUGUGAAAUCACAUGAGGGGUUUUUGAAGUUUUCCCUUUCUUUUUUUACUGGCUAAAUUAUACUUUGAUCCUCAAACUAUGACGUGCAUGAUAUCUUGGUUCCCAAACUAAUUAUAGCUCAAUCUUUUUUUAUUAUUAUAAUUAAAUCUCACAACUUAAUUUAGUAGAUUAAAUAUUAAUGUGUUGCUAAUAGAGGAGUGAUGUAUUAAUAUUAUGAUUGAUGACGUGAUAAUAAGUAAUUAGGAUGUUACAUCAAUCUACAUCAACGAUAUGUUAAUAUUUAAUCUACUAAAUUAGAUUAUGAGAUUUUAUUGCAAUAAUUUAUAAAUUUAAGGCUAGAGCCAUAAAUUACAACGAUAAAAAAUAUGAGGAUCAAAGUGUCACACGCCUCAAAGUUUUAGGACCGAAAAUGUAAUUUAGCCUUUUUUUUAAUUUAUAUUACAAUAAGUUCAGAACCUGCAUGCUAGCUAUCGAGAAACUACGGCUCCAUCUCCAUUCCAACAUGCUUUGUAGUUCGAGAGAGAGAGAGAGAGAGAGAGAGAGAGAGAGAGAGAGAGAGAGAGAGUUAGACUAAUAUAUUUUCAUAAGUACAAAAAAUUUCAUAUUUGUAAAUUAUUUUCGAUAGUAGAACAUUAGAUUCGACGAUCGAUUUCUUUAGAUAUGAUCUACAGUGUUGGAAUUAUCUAUAAAUCAAAUUUUAUAAUUUUUUGAUUUUGUUUGGCUAGUAAACUAGUAGCCUCAAAAUAAAUAGCGGACAGUAAAAACCUUAUAAAGAAUAGUGAUAAAAGAUUUAAAAUUUUUAAAUCAAAAGUGUUGAUUUUGCUCUGGGUAAUAAGUAGAAUUUUUUUAUUAAGGUUUUAUCUAACUUGGAUUGUUCUAUACCGUUGAACUUACAAACGUAUCAUAUCGGUUAUGAAAAUGUCGUUUCAAGACUUUUUGAUCAUUUGGUAAAUGAUGGCGAAAAAUUAUGAAAUUUGAUUUCUAAAUAAUUCUAAUAAUGUAUAUCAUAUCUAAUGAAGCCGACCGUUGAAUUCGAUAUUUUAUCAUCGAAAAUAACUUUCAAAUACGAAAAUCUACAUACUUUUGAAAUCACACAGGAUUAAUAUAUAUAUAUAUAUAUAUAUAUAUAUAUAUAUAUAUAUAUAUAUAGAGAGAGAGAGAGAGAGAGAGAGAGAGAGAGAGAGAGAGAGAGGGAGGAGCCUUCUGUGCUUGCAGGUCGUUNNNNNNNNNNNNNNNNNNNNNNNNNNNNNNNNNNNNNNNNNNNNNNNNNNNNNNNNNNNNNNNNNNNNNNNNNNNNNNNNNNNNNNNNNNNNNNNNNNNNNNNNNNNNNNNNNNNNNNNNNNNNNNNNNNNNNNNNNNNNNNNNNNNNNNNNNNNNNNNNNNNNNNNNNNNNNNNNNNNNNNNNNNNNNNNNNNNNNNNNNNNNNNNNNNNNNNNNNNNNNNNNNNNNNNNNNNNNNNNNNNNNNNNNNNNNNNNNNNNNNNNNNNNNNNNNNNNNNNNNNNNNNNNNNNNNNNNNNNNNNNNNNNNNNNNNNNNNNNNNNNNNNNNNNNNNNNNNNNNNNNNNNNNNNNNNNNNNNNNNNNNNNNNNNNNNNNNNNNNNNNNNNNNNNNNNNNNNNNNNNNNNNNNNNNNNNNNNNNNNNNNNNNNNNNNNNNNNNNNNNNNNNNNNNNNNNNNNNNNNNNNNNNNNNNNNNNNNNNNNNNNNNNNNNNNNNNNNNNNNNNNNNNNNNNNNNNNNNNNNNNNNNNNNNNNNNNNNNNNNNNNNNNNNNNNNNNNNNNNNNNNNNNNNNNNNNNNNNNNNNNNNNNNNNNNNNNNNNNNNNNNNNNNNNNNNNNNNNNNNNNNNNNNNNNNNNNNNNNNNNNNNNNNNNNNNNNNNNNNNNNNNNNNNNNNNNNNNNNNNNNNNNNNNNNNNNNNNNNNNNNNNNNNNNNNNNNNNNNNNNNNNNNNNNNNNNNNNNNNNNNNNNNNNNNNNNNNNNNNNNNNNNNNNNNNNNNNNNNNNNNNNNNNNNNNNNNNNNNNNNNNNNNNNNNNNNNNNNNNNNNNNNNNNNNNNNNNNNNNNNNNNNNNNNNNNNNNNNNNNNNNNNNNNNNNNNNNNNNNNNNNNNNNNNNNNNNNNNNNNNNNNNNNNNNNNNNNNNNNNGAGAGAGAGAGAGCACGGCUGCUGUGCUCUCAGGAGCACGGAGGCCACGAUCGGCUUCGUUAGACUUGAUCUAGCGUAUUUGAAGUAUGUAGAAAAUAAAUUUUAUGAUUUUUCGAUAUUAUUUACUUAGUGAUUGAAAGGGUCCAAAAUCAACGACUGAAAAUAAAAAUCUCAUAAAAAGUGAUGAUAUAGUACUAAAAUUUUCGAUCAGAGAUAUUGAACUUGUUGUAGAUAGUAUAAAUAAUUUUCUAUCAGAAUUUCAUCUGAUUUGGAUACUUCUACACCGUUAAACUUAAAACGGCAGAUAUCGACCAUUAAAAAUUGUUGAUUUUGAAUCUUUUCGAUCACUAAGUAAACGAUAUCGAAAAAUCGCAAAAUUUAUUUUCUACAUACUUCAAAUAUGCUAGGUCAAGUCUAGCGGAGCCGAUCGUCGAUUCGGGAGUCCCAUCAUCAAAAAAGGCUCAGGAGCACGGAGCCUGAAGGCUCCGUGCUCCUGAGAGCACACAAGACCUAUUCAUGUAGAGCAGGGCUGCUGUGCUCUCAGGAGUACAGAGCCCUCUGUGCUCUUGAGCUGUUUUCGAUUAUGGAACUUCCGAAUCGAUGAUCGGCUCCGCUAGACUUGAUCUAGCAUAUUUCAUUAUAGAAAAUAAAAUAAAUAAAAAAUAAAAUUAAAUAUAUAUAUAUUAUAUAUAAUAAUUAUAUAUAUAUUAUAAGAAUAUAAUAUAUAUAUUAUAUAUUAAAUAAACAUAUAUAACACGGCUCUGCUCCAGACACGGAGCCUCCGUGCUCCGAGCCGUUCGAUGAUUGAGUUUCGAUCGACGACGCUUCUCGUUAAACUUGAUCUCCGUAUUUAAGUCUAAAAAAAUUUUUUAUGAUUUUCGAUAUCAUUUACUCAAGCAAUCUAUAAGAUCAAAAUCAAUAAUUUUUAAACGCUGAAAAUUAAAAAUCCUAUAAAAUAGUGAUAAGCAAUAAUUUCGAUCCGAAUAAUAUAUCUGUAGAUAGAAUCAAGAAUUUCUAUCAACACUUUCAUCUAUUAAAUACUUACUAUAAUCCCGUAAACUUGAAAACGCAAAAUAUCAACCAUUAAAAAAUUAUGGAUAUUGAAUCUUCGAUCAACUAAUAAAUGAUAUCGAAAAUCGCAAAAAUUAUUUUCUAGAAACUUCAAAUCGGCUAGAUCAAGUCUAACGGACCUGACGUGCGAUUCCGAAAAUUCCAUCAUGAAAACGCUCAGACACGAGCCUACGCUCCCUGAAAGACCCCACAAAAAAAAGCACCCCUGCUCUAUAUAUAUACUUAUAUAUAAUAUAUAUAUAUAUAUAUAUUAGGCUGCGGCCUCUCAGGACACAGAGGCCUCCGUGCUCCUGAGUCGUUUUCGAUGAUGAAGUUUCCGAAUUGACGAUCAGCUCCGUUAAAUUUGAUCUAGCAUAUUUGAAGUUUUUAGAAAAUAAUUUUUGCAAUUUUUCAAUAUCAUUUAUCUAGCAAUCGAAAUAAUUCGAAAUUAAUAAUUUUUAACGGCUGAAAAUAAAAAUCCUAUAAAAAGUGGUGAUAUAGUACUAAAAUUUUCGAUCAGAAAUAUUGAUCUUGUUGUAGAUAGUAUAAAAAAUUUUGUAUCAAAAUUUCAUCUGAUUUGAAUACUUCUACACCGUUAAACUUGAAAACGACAGAUAUCAAUCAUUAAAAAUUAAGGAUUUUGAAUCCUUUCGAUCACUCGGUAAUGAUAUCAAAAUAUCGCAAAAAAUAUUUUCUGGAAACUUCAAAUGCGCUAGAUCAAGUCUAACGGAGCCGAUCGUCGAUUCGAAAAUUCCAUCAUCGAAAACAGCUCAGGAGCAUAGAGGCCUCCGUGCUCCUGAGAGCACAGCAGCCCUGCUCUAUAUAUAUAUAUAUAUAUAUAUAUAUAUAUAUAUUAGAGAUAAAAUAUUUUUAGUAGUAUGGAAUCAAUAUUUACUAUUAAUUUUUUUCAACUAUUAGAUAUCUAAGAUUUAUUGGUGGUUGAUGAAAUAGUAAUAAUUUAAGGAUAUAUAGAAAAGUUUAUAGUAAAUACUAUUCAUAUUUAUUAAUGGUAUACUGAAUGAACACACACACUCUCUCUCUCUCUCUCUCUCUCUCUCUAUAUAUAUAUAUAUAUAUAGUAGGGUAUUAUGUGUUACUGGAUGCACCGAAGACUUUGUACUCCUAAACCGUUUUUUAUGAUAGAAAUUUCGAAUCGACGAUCGACUCUGUUAGACUUAAUCUAAUAUAUUUGAAGUAUCUAAAAAAUAAAUUCUAUAAUUUUUCGAUAUCAUUUAUCUAGUGAUCGAAAAGAUUCAAAAUCAACGGGUGAAAAUGAAAAUUUCACAAAAAGUUUGAUAUAAUGCUAAAAUUUUCGAUUAGAAAUAUUAAUCUUAGUGUAGAUAAUAUAAAAAUUUUUUAUAAAAAUUUCAUCUGAUCUGAAUAUAUCUAUACAAUUAAACUUGCAAACGGCACACGUCAAUCAUUAAAAAUUAUUGAUUUUAAACUCUUUUGAUCAUUUGGUAAAUGAUAUAAAAAAAUCGUAAAAUUUAUUUUCUAGCUAAUUCAAAUACACCAAAUCAAUUCUAACGAAGCCGAUCAUCGAUUCGAAAGCUUUAUAAUCGAAAACGACCUAGAAAUACGAAGUCUCUGCCUUUAAUAGCCCAGAAGACCUACUCAGUCUAUAUGCAUCCCCCCGUUCACUUCUCCCUCCUAUCCACACUAUUCUCUCAUCUUAAUUCUCUCUUACUCCCCUCAACUACUACGCGUGUGUGUAUAUAUGUAUUCUUGUUCCACUCCGGAUUCUCUCCCUGCCUAUAAGCAGAAGUCGGCGCCGAGAGUGAAGAAUGAGCUGCAACGGCUGCCGCGUCCUCCGCAAGGGCUGCAGCGCGGGCUGCGCCAUCCGGUCGUGCCUGCAGUGGAUCCGCAGCCCCAACUCCCAGGCCAAUGCCACCGUCUUCCUCGCCAAGUUCUACGGCCGCGCCGGCCUCCUCAACCUCAUCUCCUCCUGUCCCCUCCACCUCCGCUCAUGUACGUACAGACUAUAUAUCAAAACAUGCACCGUUCUCUAACAACUAAAUUUUUCAAAAAAAAUAAAGUACUGUAAUGUUUGUUUGUUUUUCUGUUCUGUACAUGUGACAGCUAUUUUUCAGUCGUUGUUAUAUGAGGCCUGCGGUCGGGUUCUAGACCCGGUCUGUGGGUCCGUCGGCCUGCUGUGGUCCGGCAAUUGGCAACUCUGCCAAGCCGCCGUUGAGGCCGUCUUGAAAGGCGUGCCAAUCACGCGAACGCCCGCAACGUUGUCCGGCGGCGGGGUCCCGCCACUCAAGACCUACGACAUCCGCCACGUGGCCAAGAACACCGACCGGCUUGGUGCCGCCGCCAAGUCCCGGUCCCGGUUCAAGCGGUCCGGAUCGGCACGCCGCAAGCCCGAAGUGGAACUCGUUGACUGGACCGAGUUUCACCCGGCCGAGCCGAGCCACGAAUCGGACCGGGAAAGUGAUAGCAAAGGUGGUCCGGUCGGGUCCGCCGACGGUUCGCAUGUGAGCCAAGCCGAGCCGAUACGAGCCAAGCUGGUGCUCGGCGUGGAGGAGAAUUGCGGCGUGGCCUUGGAUCUCAGCUUGAGCCUUCUCACAGCGGUUCAACCCGCCUGACCGGGAGCCGGUCCGGUUGAGCCGGACCGCUGGUCCAGUGAGGACCAAUUAAAAUAUGACACGCGUCCACCGGAGCGCCCUGUUUUACUAAUUAUUUCCAUAUGUUGAACUUUUAUUUUAAUUUUUGUUAGCUGCCUCUCAAAAAUGAUUUGGUUUGUGGAGAAUGAUUAUGAUCAACACGAAUUUUCUUAGUGGAUGCAUGGUUCACAACUAAUCUAAGUUACACUAAUUUCCAACGGACAUUAGGGCAUAUUUGGUUCAUCUAUUUUAAACUAUGGAACAGAAAUUGAAUUCAUUGAAUCCGAUAGUUAUCAUUUGUUUUAUAAAAAUCGAAUUUCGAUUUUCAUUUCACUCCGGAGUAGAAAUGAUCAAAUCUAUUUAUGACCUAAUCCAGUUUUGAAUUUCAGAUUGACUCAUUUCAAAAUAAAUUAUUCAAAAUUUUUUUUUACCAACACUUUUUUCCACUCUCUUCAUCACUUUUCUGUUUCUUAAUCAAAACCCCUCUCUAAAAAGUUUUAAAAAUUUUUAGUCCAAUUGACAUUCCAAUAAUGAAUCAAAUAUUUUUGAAUAAUUCUUCAUUUCAUUUUUUAUUCCUAAACAAUCUAAUUUUAUUUGUUAUUCCUAAUCCACUGAUGAACUAAACAUGCCUUUACUGUGUAUCCAAAUGAAAAAAAAAAAAAAAUCCAAUGUGUCAGAACUGACUGUUACAAAACUAAUGGAUAAAUUAAUUACUGAAUUGUAAUUGCGUAAAUCCAAAUGCUCCUGAAGUGUCAGUAUUAUUGAAAGGCACCAUUUAACUAGUCUUUUUUUUUUUUUCAAUUUCUAUACCAUAAGCAAUUAACCUAUAGUUUUACAUAAAAACUGUUAAAAAAUAUUAGUUAAAUGCAUUAGAGCAUUUAUUCAACUUAUUUUGACACAAAAAUAAUAAAAUAUAUAUAAAUAAUAAAAAAAUAAUUAAAAAUAAUUUGACGGAAAUUUUUAAUGAGUCAAUCACGAAGAUUUAUCUUAUAUAUUUUUUUCAAUAUUUAGCCAAUGUCACCUGAUAAAGCGGUUAAAUUUUGUCUAAAAUAAUAGUUUUGUUAAUAGUAAUAUAGAGAUUGACGAUAAAAGAAGAGUGAUAAAUGAGAAAAGAAAUAGUAUACGGUAGAGAGUUAAAAAUAAUAUUAAAUACAGUGUAGAGAUUAAUAAAAAUACAAUAAUAUAAUGGUGUUUUUGAAAAAAAAGUACAAUAUAGCAAAUAAAAAUAAUACUAAAGUACAGUGUAGACUAAAGUACAGUACAGUACAGUAUAACUAAAACCUUUUAAAAAAUGACAAAUAAACAGUAAUUUAGUGCUAUGGUAUAUAUGCAUUGGUGUCAUAUAUAGAACAUGGUUUUUGGCUAUUCUUGUUACAAGGGAAACUCAUGCAAUGCCCACUGUUUUCAUAUAAAUUUAAGAUCAUAAUAAUAGAUUAGGAAAUAUAAAUAGAAAUAAUAAUGGGUAACUUAUGUAAGCCAUGAAACUUAAAGUUUUAUUCUAGUUUAAGAUAAUUUUUAAAAUUUAUGUGACAUCAAUUAAUCACAAACUGUGAACUUUUUAUGCUCCUUGCUUGUGAUCAAGUUAAUUCCUUUUUAACUUUGAUUUUAGUAGCUUCAAUAAGUGCCGUUCGAAAAUCUUUUUUUGAGUUUCUUGCUAAACUAAUUAAAAGCUUUACAUUCUUUUUAUUUUGUCUGAUGCUUAAUUUCUACUUGUAGAAUGGAACAAGUUAUUUUUUUGGAAUUAAUUCUACUUUUAAAAGUUGAAAAAAAAAAGAAGAAAACUUGUUAUACCAAAUUAUCAAACUUCUACUUACAAGACCGGAUCCAAAACUACGAAAGGUAGAGUUGACUUCUUAACUUAUAAUUAAGUUAGAUUAAACAAUACAACUUUUUCGACUUCAUAUCCACCUUUAAUAUCAUAUAUAUGUAAUUCAAAGGUAGAUUUUAUUAUCGAACAUAAUUUUAUAUUCACAAUAAAACAUAUUUGUUCUUAGUUAUCACUAUUCAAUUAUUAUUUUUGACCAGAUUUAAUAAUUUUGAUCUGUUUUUGGUAAAUAUAUGACUAUGUCAAUAUCACUAUCUUACUUAAAAUAACUCUCUAUAUGCUAUUAUGAAAUUUUUUGGAUACUUAGAAAGCAUUAGUAACUCUUUUCUUAACCUCAGUAAGUUGUUUACGCGUUUCAUGAUGUACAUCUUUAGACCUAAGCAAUGACAAAAGCAAAGCACAUUACCAGUUCAUUAGCCAAUAGAGUUAAUUACUUGGCUCUAAAUCCAUUUUACAUUUCUUAAAUUUCUCCAAAAUUCUAGAAGUUUCCAGAGAGUCCUUUGGAUACUUUAAAUUCAUAAAAUAAUAAGGGGCGCGUGGUCUCCACAGGACGCACUCCCACAUGGCAAUAUUGGUACAACCCCCUUAUGCUAUAAUAAUAAUAUUAUUAUUAUUUUAUUAUUUAUUACUAUAACAAGUACAUCUAGAUUACCUACCAAAUUUGACCCACAAAAGAAACUACGCGUUUGGAGAAAUGGAAAAAAAAAAAAAAAAAAAAAAAAAUCAAACCCUAGUCAAUUAGUAGUGUGUUCUUAUAAAUCUUCCGUCAUUGAACUUCCUAUUCAAGAAGCAUAUGCACACAUAAUAAGUCAUUUUCGAUGUUAUUUUAUUGUGAAUAUUUUGAAUACUUAUGCUUAAAGUUUGUGUCUUCUUUUGAUAAAUUAAUGCCCUUGUUGUUUGGUUUUUCAAUCAAGUUGUAAGGUUUUUAUCCACAGGGACCGGCCGAGGGUUUACUGCGCACACUUUAAAUCCUUAUUGCACACGAGCGUAGCGAAAAGUAGAAUCUUAUAUAGAUAAAAAUAGACGAGAACAAAAAUAAUAAAGUAAUAAAGAACAAAAGAGCAUAAGAUAUUUAAGCGAGUUUGAUCUAUAGAGUGCCGACCUACGUCCACGACUAAGGCCUUCUGAUCAAUAUAUAUGUUCUUCAAUUAAUGCAUGGCAAAAUAAAUAUAAAGGAAUAGAUUGGAUUACAAGAAUACCUUUUUAGGCUCUCUUCUAUUUUUUUCUCUCAUAAUUUCUUAAGGUAUUAUAUAUAAUGAAGCUCUAAUUCAAAUUCAAAAAUAUGAAUUAUGAGGGUUUAAAACCUAAAACCCCAAAUCAAGUAGGAAACGAUCUACCGUCCACUUUAAUCUUUGAUUCACUUCUAGCAACCAACAUCCUUCUAAAACCCUCUCCAAAAUGUUUUAGGGCCAUUUCUUCACUUAAUAGCACAAAAUUAGAUCCAAGUUGAAGUCGAAUCCAAGUUAACCAAUUCGCCAUGUCUUGAGUACCUAUACUAUGACGAGGAUUACAGAUUUGUGCAUCAUUCCAGCGUAUGAGUACCACAGUACUCACAAAUGAGUAUUGAUACUGGCCUGUGAUCAACUUAGCCAGUAACACUUUCGGGUGUUGAGAAACUUCAACCUGAACAUCGAUACUCCUUGGAGUUCUGUUACUCGAAUAUUAUUUUUGGUACUUGACAUUCAAAAAUCUCAAAAUCUUUGAAUUUUUUUUGUAAUAUCAACUCCAAAUGUAACUUCAUAUAAUCCUGUGCCAUAUGUGUAAAUCUUAUAUUACUCUAAUCUAUCCAUGGCUAGAAUUUUUUUACUCGAUCUUAUUAAAUUUUUUAAAAUCUUUUGUAAGAAUCCUAAUUGAAUUUUUUAAACUUAUGAAGAAAAUAUAUAUAUAUAUAUAUAUAUAUAUAUAUAUAUAUAUAUAUAUAUAUAUAUAUAUAUAUAUAUAUAUAUAUAUAUAUAUAUAUAAAAGAUGUACCUUAAACAUUAAGGCACAUUGGGUGAUAAAAUUACUAGCGUGUGGAGUACACGUACGAACCAUGUGGGGUUUGUACUACAAAAGCUAAAUAAUAGAGCUAACCCAAUUUAGAAUUUAAUAAAAUAAAAAUAUGACCCAAUAGGGUUAAUAAAAUAAGUCAUAGAUCUACUAUGAAUUUGAAAAGAAUAUAUAGCCACGUCGUAUGAACAAUGUGAGAUUCUCUUGUCAUUUGAAAAGAAAUAAAAAAUGAAAAUUCUAUAACAAGACAAAAUCUUGGAAAAUUGUUACCAUGAAUUUACGUGGAGUUUUGGUAACUGGUGAAAGGUCACAUUAAUCAAAUGUUCUUUUUUACUUUUUCACAUAAAUAACUUCUUCAUAUACAGUUAAAUAUUAUUUUAAAUAAAAUUUUUUUUACAUUUUUUUUUCUCUUCUAGUAAUGACGAAAAAAGAAUAAACGUACAGUUUCACGUACGUACCAAAUGAACUCAUUGUCGCUUAAGCUUUCGCUAUAGCAAAAAAUUAAAUUGACAUUAAUUCAAGGCACAGUGCGAAGCUCUUUUUUGAAAAGAAAUAAUUAUCUACGUACCCUUCAAAAUAUAAAAAAUAUUUUAUUUAUUCCUAAAAUUUUGUUUUUUUUUUUUUUGAGGAAAAAAUUUUGUUAUUGCACGUAGAAAAUAGUUUGAGUGAACCAUGUGCAGUUAAAUCACAUUUUGUUAUUGCACUAACUCACUUUUUAUGCAUAACAUAUAUCAUUGCACCUAAUACAUUUUGUAUGCAAUUUCAGAUAGAGUAAAUUACGUUGAAACGUUCAAAUUAAUACUAUGUAUUAUAUUUUGUAUAUGGAUGUUAUUGCAUCUAUUCUAUCAAAGUCUUUGAUUUUUAGAAUCUAGAAAUCAGUUGAGUCGCUUUUCCAUUAUUCAUUUGAAACUUAUUUUUCAUAAAGAUUUAUUAGAGUCUGUUUGGUUCAACGUAAAACUAUAAAAAAUAAUUCUAGGUGGAAAAGAGUUUUUCAUGGAAAAAAUAAUAUUCUUUGACGUUUGGUUUGUAGGAAAUGAAAAAUAGCUUUCUAGCCAUACUUAUUUGGUUAAAUGGAAAAGUUUGAAUGAAAAAUAAUUUUAUAUAAUUUUUUUCUAUUAUAUAUUAUGCAUUAUUUAUAUGAAUAACUACCAUAUUAUAUAUAUUAUAAUUAAAAUUUAUAUCUAUAUAUAUUAUCACCAUCAUCAUCUACAUUUAUAAAUUAAAUAUAUUCAAAAUUAUAUUAUAUAAUAUAUAAUAAUUUAUAUGUAUAACAUAAUAUAUAAUAACACAUAUAAUAUAUAAUAUAUCAAUAUAUUUAAAAAUAAAAUAUUAUACAAUAGUACCUUCUCGAGUCCUUAUCACGGACAAGUCUCCUAAACUUAACAGCGGAAUACCAAUUCAAGCAUUUUGCCAAGCUUGCUCCUCGCGAGACUUAUAGCCCGACCCUUCGCCUGUAAUCGAACCCCUCGUCGGACUCCUCGAGUUCCCAACGAGCAACCCCAAUACCGAGGUUGGCCACCAAGUAAGGUGCAUCCCGUUUCGCCAACCGAUCUCUCCUCGAGAGUGCUUCAUAACCGAAUGCCUUGCUGCCUUCAUCACUAGCCCAAGAACAUUACAAAUUCUCCCCCAACUUGUCUCAUUAUGAGUUUAGCCAAGCGUCUCGCCUCCCACGCGUCUCGCUCUCGUGACUUAAUCUGCACGCCUCCAACGUCAAGGCCUGGGCUUCGCAACAUCGCAUGCCACAAAGGGCAAUCAUAACCAUGUAUUUCUCACCAUCGUGCCUCAAGCGCUUGACAACGUCCAUGGCCAUACCGUAUACGCGGCCUGCUCGCUCGGUCCAACGGCAUACAUCCGAAAAGCCGCCCAAGUGUGCGCCACAAGCUCGCCUGUCUCCCAAUGCCAGCGACUUAGCGUGACACCCCGCACGCCCAUGCUUCGUACUUCCGUGCUUCACAUCCGACCCGUACGGCUCUCGUGUCCCAUCGCUCCUGGCAAGGGAGCCAACAAGUCAACACCGUGCUUCCCGACCGUCUCGACGACCCUUGUUUUGCCAUGGCGCUCCACGCCCUUGGUUCCCAUAGGUUCGCCUCGUAAGGCCCCAUACAAACGAACCGGCCUCACUCCGCAUCGCUAGCCACUGGCCCCUUUUUAGCUCGACCAUGCCUAACCGUUCACACCAUUGGUCCAGUCCAUCAAGGUUCACUAUACGGAUACCGAUACCGCUUACCUCUUUGGGUUCCGCCCCUCGAGUCUCGUAGGCAUCCCACCUUGCGAAUUCUCCCCCGGCGUGCCUACCUUUAGCGAGCCAACAGAGUUCCGCCUCUUUGGCAUUCGUGGGCACCGCGCCCCACGAAUCCCCGCUAAGCACACUUGCCUUCGCGAGUCUUGUCCUUUAUGGAGGACCAUCCGUUGCUAGACUAUCCCUCAUCCGCUCGUACGCUCCACUACGAAGAUCCAAGCCGGCAUAAGGUAGCGCAAGUGAUCCUAGGAGGAAAGCCUCCCGGUAUUCCCCGCUCCGUAAUGUCGUCGACCUCUCGCGUCUCCGACAUUACCCUAGGCCCGUGUACCUUCAACUGUCUAAUACUCGGUCACACGGAACGCUAGGCUUGGCUACUCCGCUAGCCAAGGGACGACCCAUGUUCUAUCGGUCACCCAUAAUAUUUGCACCGGUCAAUUUUUUUGCCACAUAAUAUCCGUGAAUUUUUUAAAUAUCUCAACAUAAUUAUAGGUGACUAUGAAAUAAUUUCUCCUUCAUUAUAGGUGAUUUUUAAUAAUAUAGCAAAAGAUAUUAAUUUUUUGCCAUUAGAUCUUAUCUAAUGAUUGAAAAUAAAAAUAUCUGUUAAUUUUUGUGACAAUAUUACCCUUGCAUUUAUAUCCUAUUUUCUAUCUUUUCUAAAAUAAAAUAUCUAUAUUUGAACUUGGCACGUAGAUUAUUUUUCCUAAAGCAGUAAUAUCCGCACCCACCAAUUCUUUCGCGUGAAUUUCUCAAAUAUCUCAACAUAAUUAUAGAUAACUUUGAAAUAAAAUCACCUUCAUUCAUUAUAGGUGAUUUUUAAUAAUAUUGUAAAAGAUACUAUUUCCUUAAAAAAUUUAAUUUUAUUUUUCCUAAAGUAGUCAUAUUCCCUAAAAUAGUAAUAUCCGCACAACAUAAUUAUAGGUGACUUUGAAAUAUUCCCUAAAAUAGAAAAUCUAUAUUUGAGCUUAACACGUAGAUUUUCUAUACAGUAAAAGAUAUUAUUUUCUUAAAAAAUCUAAUUUUUUUUUCUAAAAUAAAAAAUCUAUAUUUGAGCUUGACACGUGGUAAACAUAUAAAGCGCCACGUGUCAGCUUUUCACAUAAGGUUCAUUAAGGGAUCUACUUUAGUAUAUAGUAAUAAAAAUAAUAAAUAAUAAAUAAUCUAAAUAAAAUAUCCAAAAUUUUAAAUAUUAGGUAAAUUUGAGAUAACUUUUAUAUAUUUUGCUUUGAAAAAAUAUGAUUUAAUAUUAUAUAUGCAGAAGGUAUUAUGUGAUUGAAUAUUAUAUAGGUGGUGGAUAUUAUGUGUGAGAAAAAAAAAAAUUAAGGUAUGCGAAUAUUAUUUGUGAUAAAAUAUGAUAUUAUGUGGGCGACGGUUAUUAGAAAAUAUGAUAUUAUUUGUGAUAAAGCAAAUGUAUGUUAAAUUUGAAAAUGAAAUCGUAUUUUACAUUUUGAUCAGAAAGAACUAACUCUAUAAAAAAAAAAAUAAAUAAAACAAAUGUAUGUUAAAUUUGAAAAUGAAAUCGUAUCUUACAUUUUGAUCAGAAAAAACUAACUCUAAAAUAUUCACCAUCUCUGGGCGAUGAAAUUCAGGCAUAGUAUACAGACAAAUCACUCUAACUUUGAUCUUCCAUUUGUCUCCAAGACGAGUGAUGUCACGUAUUGAAUUAUACCCAAGUGUCAUAUCCUGAGAAAAAUAAGACAUCCAAUACAAAAAUUAAUACAUCAUAUUUAAAUAAUAAAAUAAUAAAAUAUAUGUUCUAUUUUAAAGCAUCAACAUUUAAGAACUAAGAAAAUUACAGGAGUGACAGUAGAGAAAACAAAAUUACGAAGGACAGUAGAGAAAAAAAAAUUACGAAGUAAAAAAUUAUAUCUAUACUACUUAUAAAUUUUUUCGCAAAGAAUAAUUUCAAAGCAACCGCGAAUCAUUUCGUUUUUACUUUGGUCAUCUAUACCGAUUUUUUCGCAACCAAUCAUUUCAAAUAAUUCGUAACAGAUUAUUACGUAUUUCACAACCAAUAAUUUUAAAUAAUUAAUUAUUUGCCAAUACGAAAUUUGAGUUUGACCAUUUUUUUCGCAACUAACCAUUUCAAAUAAUUCGCAAUAGAUUAUUGCUUAUUUCGCAACCAAUAAUUUUAAAUAAUUAAUUAUCUGCCAAUACGAAAUUUGAGUUUGACUGUUAUCUGCCAAUACGAAAUUUGAGUUUGACUGUUAUCUGCCAAUACGAAAUUUGAGUUUGACCGUUAGAUUAUUGAUUUCGGAACCAAUAAUUUUAAAUAAUUAAUUAUCUGCCAAUACGAAAUUUGAGUUUGACCCUUUUUUUCGCAACCAACAAUUUCAAAUAAUUCGCAACAGAUUAUUGCUUAUUUCGCAAGCAAUAAUUUUAAAUAAUUAAUUAUCUGCCAAUACGAAAUUUGAGUUUGCAACAGAUUAUUUCCACCAUGAAAAAAUAAUUCGCAAUAGAUUAUUGCGUAUUUUGCAACCAAUAAUUUUUAAUUAAACCAAUAAUUUCAAAUAAUUCGUAACCAAAUAUCCAUAUUUGAGUUUGACACGUGGCAAGCAUAUAGAAAGCCACGUGUCAGCUUCUCACAUAGGGUUCAUUACACGUGGCAAGCAUAUAGAAAUAUCCAUAUUUGAGUUUGACACGUGGCAAGCAUAUAGAAAGCCACGUGUCAGCUUCUCACAUAGGGUUCAUUAAGGGUUCUACUUUUAUAUAUAGUAAUAGAAGGGCUUGAAUAAGAUUAUGCAAUAUAUGUAGCUCUAGAUAGAUAUACUAAUUGCACACAAUUUAUUUUUAUAAUUGUGGAACUAAAUUUUCUAGUUCUCCUGUUUGCUUAAUCAGCAGGAAAUUAAUGGUGUAAAAGCUAAAGUUUUCUACGGUUAAUAUUUUAUUAUUUGUUCUUACUCUUUUUUUUCGUAAUUGACUUAGCCCUAUGGUAGAUCAAAGUCAAUUACGGUAUUUUAAAAAAUUUUAGUUCCGACUGAAUGUGGAGUUAUGGUGAAUCAAACAACAAAAGUGGGUAAUUAUAGUGAAAAUAAAUUCACUUUUCUCCACUUUCGGUGAAACAAACAGAUCCAGAUGGUGUCAAUAAUUUGGCUCGGUCAAAUUAGAAAUUUAAGCUACAAAACUUUGAUCCUUUACUUGACACUUUACGAAGGACCUAAUUUUAAAGCAAAUUAAAGAUAAAGAUGUAGGGCUCGAGAUUCUUUGCUUCUAUAUCCUUGGGCUGAUUAGUACACACUAGGUACAGUCCCGCGCUUCGCUGCGGAUAACAGUUUGAUUAACGCUUAAAUAGUUUGAUAGCAUAUGAUUUAAAUGUUUGAUAAACAAAGAGGAUAACAGUUUGAUAAACACUUAAAUAGUUUGAUAGUAUAUGAUUUAAAUGUUCAUAGUUUGCCUUCAUCUGUGGAAGGACAUAGUUUGAUAAAGAGGAAGCAGAGAGUCGAAACAUANAAGAUAAUAAGUAGCCAAAUUAAAAUUCAAAUUCAAACAAAAAUGAAAGGUGGAAACCAAAUCAAAGAAGAAAGUAACACCAGCAGAAAAAUAGAGAUUUUUUUGCCACAAAUAAAAAUUUUAUAGAGGCAUAUUAUAUAGGUAAAAAAAAAUCGCAUUUAACGUAAAAUGACCUUUUGGAUUUAACAAAUACAAAUAUCCGAGUAGUUAAAAAGAGCGUAGAAAAUGAAUCCGAGCCAUUUUUGCAACCGAAGAGGGAUUAAUCUACAGGAACGAAACGUUGCAAACAAAAAAGGCGCGACGACCGACAGGAAAAAGGACCGACAAUGAACUUGGCCCAAUUUUCUGUGUACGGAGGACGCAUUAGGAGUCGAAGAGGCAUUUAAAGGGGCGAGCAGUAUCUAGGGAGGGCAAAAAAAAAUCACAUUCAACGUAGCAUGUGUAAUACCCUUCAUUUUGAGUUGGUCUAGGGGCAUAGUGGUCAUUUUUUUGGAUAAGGAUGCCACCACCCUUUUUAUGUUUCUCUCUUCAAAUUAACAUAGAGUGUGCAUUUUUUUUGUUCUCUCUAGUUAAUUACGUGCAUGGUGGAGAGCACGGGUAGAGGUAGCCGAGAAGCUCGGAUUCGACAUCGACGUCGCGCCGUAAAGCCGUUCGAGGAUACGGUUGCAGUCGUAGCAUCAUGAGGAGGCUGGACGAGGGUGCGUUUCCGCCGUUCUCGAUGUCGCGCCGGAUUGGAUUUAGCUUUCGAGGUGGGUUUAUCAUCGGAUUCCUACUCGUAUAGUCUUGUUGGUCGACAUGUAUAGUUAGUAUUACACAUUACUAUUGUUUUAGCUCAGUUUCAUAUUUGUAAAUGUUGUUUUCAUCUAAACUGAAAUUGGAGCCUAUUUUUAUAAAUAAAUUAUACAUGUUGGACCUGAAUUUGACAUAGGAGAAAACCCGCAUUCGGGACCUGGCAUAUGUUAAACUAUCUUAUUUAGCCUAGGGGCCGUUGUAUUAUUUUAUACUGUUGCAGUAUCCUCAUAGUGAGUAUUCCAGGUAGUUUAGUUUUUAGUUACGCUCGUGCUGAGAUGCCGAGUGUAUUUUUAUAGUAGCGUUCAGGCUGUUCCGGACUGUUGGGUGCCGUAAGAGUUGACGGUGGACUCGUAUCGCCUUUUUGGCGUCAGAUUGUGCCGAGGGCACGUUACCUGUUGGUUGUUAGACCAGUUAGAGUCGGUUACUUGACUUAGCCUGUGAGAGCGGUAUGAACUUGACAGAGAUACUUGUAAACUCGUUGGGUCGCGCCCGCGAAUGCCAUUCUGGAAUGAGGUUUCAGUGCGAUGAGUGUCGCAGUUUCUGUUGGACAGUUCUUGAGCCGGCUACCCUCGGGGUGGUGUACGGCGCAACUAGAUACAGGCAGGGUGGGUCCGUUUUGGGCAGUCCUGGUGAGAUAGUGAGUGACAUUUUUUCCUACCUUUAGUGAGGUUGUGACGUGAGUGCAGUCUUAACCAUCCUGUUGGACCUUUUUCUGGGACCGACUAUUCUCGAGGUAUGGUGUAGUCUAAUUAGGUGAGACGGGUGUAUUCACAGUCUUUAGAGAGUUUUCUCCGCCGAUUACUCUUGAGAUACGACGUAUUCUAGUAGACGAGACGGGUGUAUUCACAGUCUCCAGAGAGUUUUCUCCGCCGGUUACUCUUGAGCUACGGUGUCACCUAAUUAGGCGGAACGAGUGUAUAUAUAUAUAUAUUAGAUAUUUAAAAAUACUUUUAGGUACACAAAACAGGUGUACCGCUAUAAUCGAAUUAAAAUUCGAAAACACCCUGGAUGGACAGUAUGAUUUAAUGGAGAGAUUUAUGGCGAGCGGAAGGAUCUACGGAGAGGUUGAAGACUACGUAGGAGAGAUUUGUCUUUUAACCUGGUUUAAGUAAAUGAUUUAAUGGAGGGAUCUACGGCGAGCGGAGGGAUCUACGGAGAGGUUGAAGAAUACACAGGAAGGAUCUAUCUUUUAACCUGGUUCAAGUAACAGCCAGGAAAAAAGGCAGCGCGGAAAAAAACAAUCGUUGCAAAGCAAUGACGGCUAAUUAGGGGAAGUUAACGUUUUUACCAAGCCUAAGUAAAAGAUGUGAGAGAAGCUAAGGAGCCUAUAAACAAAAACAACUUAGACUUCCCAGUACAACAGUGCGGGGCCUAAUGUGCAAGGGGCCCGUGCGGCUGUUUAGGCGGCAUAUGUUUCUUUAAAGGGGCCAUAUGCUUCGCUGUCGACAUGGACAUUUUGUAUGUUAUGAUGUUUGUCAUCAUAUCUCGACGAUCUUCUUGAUCAUUUCAUUUUCUUUGGCUCAAGGUAUAUGUAUGUGACUUAGGGUCUCAUGUUUCGAUGAGCGCGACCGCUCAAUUUUCAGACAUACAUGUACUUGGCUUUGGUUUUGUAGAUGGACGUCAUCCCCACGUAGAUCGAGACGAGGAGCCCAUCUCGAGAUUGAGCACUGCGGGAACGGAUCGAUGACUGGUUGUUGUCGUCGUCGGCUUCUGCUUCCGAGACGUUUUUACCCCAUUGUUGACCCGCACUCUUGAUGUCAUUUUUGUGCAUCAGGAGUCACCUACGGCGGGAGUUGUUAGUAACCAGGUGGGUGAUUCAGAUGUCUUCCAUUGUUCCGAUCGUCCUUUUCGACCUUUCUUUAGAUGGCGAUGUAUAGCGAUGUGAUCGUACUAGAUGUGAUUGGUUGACAUCAUUUUCAGUGUUGACUGAGUUAGAGUGAUCCUUGACACUUGUGUGGGCAGGGCGGACAGCCUAGCUUGGGCAUAGGAUGAGGUCCUUAUCGACCACCUCUUUUGAGAGAUCCCUGACACUNNNNNNNNNNNNNNNNNNNNNNNNNNNNNNNNNNNNNNNNNNNNNNNNNNNNNNNNNNNNNNNNNNNNNNNNNNNNNNNNNNNNNNNNNNNNNNNNNNNNUUGACGGGGAUUCUUUCUUUUCUAGUUCUUUUUGUCUCUUCCUAUCUUUUCCUCUUCUUACUAUCUUUGUCUUUUACAUUUCUUUUCAUAUAUUUUUAGCUCCAACCAAUGGGCUUUCUUUCACCAUACUACUCGUCCUCGCUGAUUACUUUGUCAAAACAUAUCGUUCACCUAUCGGACCAAAUACUCGCUCAUUUUGGCUUUUUUACCCAGAUCAAUCCUGAGAAUUCCUUUUGUGAGGAUCUUCCGUUAUGGCUAUUACUAUUUCAUGAAUUCUUUGGUACCCUCGAUCUGACCGAGGAAGAGUCUUAUGACUUUCGCGAGUACUUAAUGAGUUAUUUGUCUUUGGCUGGCUCGUAUCGAAUUGUUAUGCGGUGAUUUGGAAAUGAAUCGAAAUUUUCGAGCAUCAAAUUAUUUAAGACCUCCCGUGCUGACUCAAACUUCCAUAUCCCUCAGCUCUUCUGUUUUUGUCCCUGCCUCACAUUUUUUCUUUUCAGAAGGGGCCUCUCACUCGAACUUUCGAUGUACUCCGUAUGUAGUUUAGCCCAUGGCGUCACUCUUCCAUGGCCUCAAUCCUGAUGUGUGUUGAUUUAGCCACAUUGAUCUAAUGAUUAUGCACUAUUAUAAUUUUUAAAAUUUACAUUUGACUUCUACUCCGGUAAGAAAAAGAGACACAGCGUUCCUACUAUAUUGAGCUGUGCCUAAUUCUUUUCAGUACUCCGUCGCAGAAAAUUAAUUCAAGAUUUUUUCCAACGCGUUGUUUAGUACGCUGAUAAUGCCUUGGGCCAUAUUUCUUUCUUUGUCUAUAGAGAAUUUUGAUCGUUUAAACGUACUCUGAAGGCUGGUGUAACAUUACUCAUGGCUGACUUAGUCUUCUUUUUAUGCAAUAUUUUUGCAAUUAUUUUUCGAAAUUGUAUAUGUACGAAUACUCUACAUAGAUUCAGCUUGCCAUUUUGAUCCUACGAGUUCUCGUUGGUUUGCCAUAGCCACCAUUGACUCGUUCAUCCUUUGAUUUUUUACUUAUUCUCUUUUUUUAUGAAUUCGUCCUAUUCUUGUUUUUUGGUCUCUUUGCUGACUGCUCACUGCCACUCGCUUGUUUUGGCAGAAGAAUCUUUCCAAGUGUGAAUGUGCUUCCUCGUUGCAGUGACAUUUUGAUGUUUGCUUAUUCUUUUUUUGGACCCUCGGAUUUACGUUGGCCUAAACCGCUAUCGAAUGUGUUAGCCAAGCAUUCGGUUCACCCCGCAAGUUUGUCAUAGUCAAUUGAAUUUUACCAAGCAAUUUCUUCUCCUGGCAGAAUUUUUACGGCAAAUUACUGUCGAUCUCUCGCACCGCUUACCAAAGUAACGGCGACGCGAUCGAUUUCACUCAUGAAAUCUUCUCCGGCGAUUUUCAAUUGCACUAUUUUAACGAAUUUAUACCCGAAUAUAUGGAGUUUCGCUUCAAUGCUAAUGUGAUUCUUUUUCCGAGAGAACCUUUCUCCGUUGUUUCGCUGCACAUUACAAACUCUCAUCCCUUGGUUUUUUUAUUUAAUAUUACUCUUCAUUCUUUAUUUUACUUAUCUGCUUCUUACUCGCAGUCCCCUUUCCGGCAAGACCAUGGUCGUAUCUAGUCUGUCUGAACAUCUGUACUCUGAAGAAAGUCGAAGAGUGCUAGUCCUCGCCUCCUUCCUCUGUAAAUAUCAUUCCUACCAUUAUCAUCUUAAUUCAUCGUUGCUUUUUCUUAUUCUUAUUAUUGUUUGUUUCAUUUUCAUAGUCUGUUCGUUUCAUCUGUCCCAACUCAGGCACAAACGACGAAGUUGUAGUGUACUCCGCCGUCCUCAAAAAGGCAUAUAGUGGCAAAGAAUUUCAACAAGGCGAAGUACCCUUCUGGCUGGAAACCCAGCUAAAGACAGAGCCGAACUUCCUUUGGCGGGACAUUCAAUGCAGAACUAUCACACCGUCUUGGCACAUGGAAUCCCCCAUAUUCUCGUCAUCAACAAUUAUGUUGGAGUAAGCGAUAAUUAGCCAUCCAAAACAACAUUCUUACUUAUUUAUGUUUUCUUUUUACUACACUCUUUUCCUGAUCGAGCCCUUUGCUAAUUUUGAAGAUGACUAGAUGGAAUGCAACUUAUGUUGAGUUCCGACUUGAGAAAAAGAGAGGGAUGGAAAAGAAGAAAAGGUCUAUCAAAACGGCGAGCGCGGCGCCGUUGCCAAGUGAGGUUUCGCCACCUCUUUUCAUUCCUGCGCCAACAUCAACUAUAGAGGAUGAACGAAAAGACAUACCUCUCGAGCGAACCUCUGAAGACAAAGUCACUAUUUCUCCCCGUUCGACCCAGGGAGUUUCUUCCCCUACUCCUGAUGAUCCUUUAUCUACAAUUCUUCAUUCUUUUUUGAUUUCAAGCCCUAGCUCCAAUGAGGGGGAUGAUUCUUCGACUGUGACCAUUUCAUCGGACACCCAGAACAAGUUCGAUGAAUGUCUUAAAAUAUUUGGCACCGGAAUUCCGAGUUUGGCUCAAAAUCCAGAGCAAUCUGAUCGGCUAUACGCCCUUUUACUCGAUUUAGCCGAUCGAUCAGAUGUUUCCCCUGGUAUCAAGUAUUUUGUAUCAACCUUAUCACUCCAACUUUCAUCUUUUUUGGCUCGGCAGCAAUCUUUAGGCGCCGAACUUGUAACUUUAGAUCAACAUUUUCAUCGCGUUGAUCAUUCUAAGAAAAAUAUCCCUGACAUAGCAUCUCCAAUGGUUGAAGUGCAUCAAGAAGAUAGGGAGUUGGCUGAUCAAGAAUCGGCUCUGCAAAAAAGGAUUUCCACUCUGAAAGAAGAAUUGGCAGCAGCCGAAUCCACUCUAGCACUGUAAUACACUGAACUUUUGCAAAUUGCGGAGUUCGAGUAUAUGGAAUGGUGCGUGGAUCACUCCUACAUGUUCUAAAAGAUUAGAACAAGUUUUUGGAUAAGUUUGAGGAUGAUUUGAAUGCUAAAAGUGAGAAAUUGCAUUGAACUGGCAAAAAUCAGCCUUUUUCUGCUUGCUGUACCGGUACAGCCAUCACCUUGUACCGGUACAAGCUGGCAGAUUCGUGGCAGCAAGGUUAGUUUCGUAAUUUCACAUUUGAUACCUACCUAUUUGAUCCCAGCACGACUCUGGGACUUCAGUGGAGUGUGCUAGAGCUCAGCAAAGGGUUCUUUCACCUUCUUCUCUCUCUCUCUUUAGGGUUUUUCUCUCUCUACUUCGAAUUCGCCGAUUUCGCUCGUUUCCGUCGUAUCGCGUGUUCUUCGCUGGUCGCGAGCGUUGUGGAGCCUCCGUGGGCGUGUGAGAGAGUGUUUUGGAAGACUCUUUGCUGUCCUGAACCAGUAGGGUGCUGGUUGGAAGCUCGAGAAGGUAAUCGACUCGAUUUUCUCCAUUAGCGACGUUCGAGUAGACUUUUAUGUGUUGCUUUUGAGUUAUUGCUUCUAGUUGCUUUAAUUUGAGAUUUCAGCAAUUAAAAUUGGAUUAUUUAGCUAUGAAUUAAGGUCCUUAGACCAGGGAUAAGCUACUUUGGGGCUUAAUUGAGACAACUAGUUCAAUAUGAAACAAAUUUGGAAUUAAACGCGAACUAUUGCCACAACUUGAUGUAGUUGGACUUGUUCUUUCGCAGCAGGUUCGCGAGCUCCUUGGGGUUGAUUUGGGGACCAGGGAGGCUAGUUUGGAAGGUACUCCAACUAAGGGUAAGCUGGAAUUGCAGCUAGAAACUGAAAUCGCAUAAUUCCGACUAUAUUUGCUAUAUAUGAUGAUUUUGAUGUCGUGUUUGUGUUGAUCGCAGUGGGAGUUCGACCGACCUUUGGGUCAUCCUUGGUUGGCUUUGGGAAGCCUUUAGAGACUUAAUUGGAGGUACUAAAGUGAACCAAAACAACGAUUUAUGUUAUUACUUGAUACGAGAUGUGAAUUGAGCCGAAAUCGGACAUUUCGGCCGUAGAUUUAAUCCGAUCUUGACGUUUGUUUUUCAGCAGCAUUGGGGCUUCGUUGAGCCGUUGUGGGACUUCUUGUGGAUAAUUGGAGCCUAGUACUAGGUGGGUCGGACCUAACCAGAGCAAGUGAAACUCCUCUAUGUUCUAUAUGUAUUAUAGAAAUGGUCUUAUUGUGUGCUUAUGUGAUUGAUAAGGGCUCGACGUUCGUUAUCAUAAUGUUGAACAUAUUCGAAAUGAAGUCUCUAUAAAGUAGAGAACACUUUUACAUGAAAGUAUUUAUAUUCGUAUUCAAUUCAGUUGAAUGACUUAUGAACAAGUGUAGAAUGCACUUAUAAGGUAGAGAACAAUGACAUCCUUUUGACUCUAAAGUAGAGAACUAUGACAUGCUUAUGACUAUGUUGAUAGUGCCAUGAUAGUAGAAAGACUCUAAUGCCAUAUAUGAACUAGCAUUACUCUUACAUGUUUGUUAUCUAGUGGAUACUAGUCGUUAUUAAUAUUGGCUAUAUUGAAAUUCCGAUCAAAGGAUCGAGAGCAAGAAUAUUGUGAGCUAAUUGUGAUAGCUGAGACAUGUUGGACUGUGGAUAUGCUUGCUUGCCAUCGUGCUCAUUCGCACACGCUUGUGAGGGUCGCUCCCUACAAGCUGGCACUCCGGAGUUGGCCUACGCGACAGUUGCUCGCCCGUGCGGGAUUGGGUGCCGAAGUGGAUUGCCGUGGGGAGUGUAUACUACCACGGGGCCAUUAGGCGCGGCGCAAGCUGGACUACCUUGGGUAGGUCCCUGUGAAUGAAAGGAUAGUACUCAAUGAAAAAGGACAGUAAUGAAUGCUUAUGAAUUAAAGUGUACAGUAGUCACUUUCAUGUUCGUGCUUAUAUUCAUGUCUAUGUUCAUGAUUACAGAAAUUGCCAUAUCCCUAUUAUGCAAAUGAUUCAUUACUGUAGAAUGCCAUUACAUGUUGAUUACAUGCUUAUUACUUGUUAGCAUCAUGCUUAUAAACCAUGCAAUUAUUGUUUUUGCUUUCAAUUAGUACAUCAUGAGCCUAGUGGUGUAAUUCGCCGAGGCUGGCGGCUUACCCACUGGGAACUAUUGUUUAUAGUUCUCACGCCCUUUUUGGUGGUUGUUUUUACAGAGCUAUCUACAGGAGAGGCUAGGGAUCGUGGCAAGGGAGUCGCGCCUAGCUAGGCACUACUAGGAGCGUGCUAGUCGAUCACCUUGUUACUCGGGCUACGGCCGAGGGUGAUGUCCAUUGUAUAGAGUGACCACCAUUGUACCUAUUUUUGUAUACCCGUGAUGUAUAUUUACUGUUGAUCCAGAUGUUUCUGUUGUGAUACUUGCCCUUUAGCCGAGAUUUUGGGAUUGUAGUUUCCUUUGUUAUUUUACUGUUAGUAUACAGACUUGUACAUUGCUCUGAUAUCAGGACAGGACUUUCGUUGUUUCACUUCCUAUCGACUUGCUUUCUUCGUAGACGCCUUAUAUACUGCAGGUGUAUGGCGGGUCUGUACACGUACCGGAUAUGCUUCCGCUGGUACCCGGGCGUGACAGAUUAUAGUGGUAUCAGAGCCUAGGGUUGAGUCUUCGUAGACCUAGCAAACCUUAGGCUGGUUGGACUAUAAGGAUAGGCUCGUGAGAGACGAUGUCUAGUCGAGGUUGUUGUUAGCGAAAGUACUUUGAUUGGGUACUUAUAAACUCCGAAUAGUAGGAGUUUGAUCGGGAUGUGCAAGUACUAACUUUGCAGAGGGUCACGUUGGCGGCCGACAACGUGACAUCGGAAGUUAGUACGCGUUACAUUUCAUUACUUUCGCUUGAUUAGUUGGUUUCUAUCCUCAAUGAGGAUUCGAUAGUAUAGGGUUUAUUGACCUAUGUUUGUUUUUGUGCUGCAGCUUAAGAUGCCGUUGACUCGUUCGCAAGCCGCCGGGGCAGCUGAGGCGGCGGAUGCAGAGGAAGUGGGGACUUCUGUUACUUCGGGAGCUAGUGCGAUCCAUGAGUUACAGGAUCAGCUUGCGAUGUUGACGGAUUUGGUUACUCAGCGGGCUGCAGCAGCACGACAGCAGAUGGAUGCCGUGCGUCGGCAGGAGGACAGGAUGAAGAGGUUAGAGGAUCUGUUACUGCGACAGACGACUGACAGAGGAUUCCAGCUUCUGUACUCCCAGAUUCUGUACCUAUAGCACCAGAGAGGGGCACCACAGUGAGAGCAUAGUCACCUGUACUGGACACACCCCCAGUAGCUCCGAGGGCAGAGACCCGACAGGAGACAGUAGUACCACCACCAGUACCUGUAGCAGCAGCUGGGACAGUGUUACCCGAGAUGGUGGGGGUUGAGGAGCGAGAGCGGAUGAUGGAACGACUGAAUGAAUUCCGUCGCUGCAACCCUCGUAUCUUUGAUGGGGAGAAGGCGGAUCAUUGGGUGGUCGAGAAAUAGUUAAUGCACAUGGAGAAGCUAUUUUAUGACACUUUUGUUGAGGAGCGGUACCGAGUUUGGUUUGCGACACACCACCUUGAUGGCGAGGCUUACAGGUGGUGGGUAGAUAUCCGUGAGGAUCCUCGUACUGAUUUGUCCGCUAUCACCUGGGCGAGGUUCAAGAACUUACUGUUGACUACUUACUUUCCUCAGAGUGUCAAGAGACAGAUGGAAAGGGAUCUGAGAAACCUGAGGCAGGGGGACAGGACAGUGGCAGAGUACGAGCGAGAGUUCUCCCGAUUACUGCACUGCGUUCCUUUUGUAGUUUGAGAUGAUGAGGACAAGGCUCGCAUAUUUGAGGUGGGUUUGCGACCUGCGAUUUUCCGAUUGGUCCANGCGAUAAAUGCAGGAAAGAAAGAUGCAAGAAAAUAAAGGUGGUCUUUUGUGCGCAGGGGCGAAGACCUGUUUUCAGGGUACUGCAGGCCUAUUUAUAGAUUUGCCUUUGCAUUCAUUUGUUGUUAUUGCACGAUCGGCCAUCUUCUCCGGAUUUGGAGGACCACGUUCGGCCGAUUGGAACCGCCGUUUGGAACCGCUCAUAACCGCUUGCGGUUGCCACGUUUUUGAACAAACGCGGCUCAUAUCUCUUAGCGCAUUUUUUCCGUGCUCUCGGUCCAACAUUUCGAAUCCUGAAUAUGGAUAUGAACUCGGCGUGCCAACUGUCCGCGCCGGAUUGGUCCAACAGGAUACGAGUUCGAAAUGUAGGUACAACUGUAGUACGUGGAUUCAACAACAACAAAUUAAAUAGAAUUUUUGGAGUUUAUUUUGGGAGUUUAUUAUGAUUGCACUUCCUAAUUAAUAGUUGAAUUUAAUGCAACCAACCAUAUAUAUUACUCGAUCCACGUCAGUAAGUGACUGAGAUAAGCCAUACUUUUCUUUCGGCCCUAAUAGUACAAAGAACGUGACUAGAUCUUACUAAAAUGUCAAAGAUAUAGUUAGCUUAUUCCUAAAAUUAUAUGUAAAGAGUAGUUAUCUUUGUCAAAUGGAUUGUGACACUUUGUGCAUGAAAAUGGCAAACUUCAAUUAUCACCCCGUGAUUUAGCAUAUUUUCACUUCUCCAUGCCAUUCUCUUGUUGAAAAUUUUCAUUUUUAUUCGAUAAUUUUAUGCUUGUCUCGAUCCCACCAUAAUAAUCUGUUGCCAAAUAGCAUAAUAACAUGAUAUAUUUUACAAAUUAUAGAGUGGCUAAGUCAAUACAUUGCAGGCUACUAAAAUGCAGCAUUUUACAUACCAUCGUGUGUAUCAUUUAUAAUCCUAUGGUUUGUAAAUUAUAGGAUUUUAGUAUAACCCACUUAAUUAACGGCUAAUCCUUACAGGAAUAUAAAGAAGAAAACCGCAAGACACUAACCUAAAAUAUUUUAAACCACAGGAUAGCUAAAUAAAUACAUGAUGAUAAAUAAGAAGGGGACAAAUUGAACUUUCCUCAUCAAAACUAAUAAAAUGCAUGGUUUGUUUAUUGUUUACCUCUUCCAACAAAUAAGAAACUAAGAAGUUGUUAGGAGCCGAAUUCCGUCCUCUUUGACCCAAUCAAAGAUCUUCCUCGGGAAGCACGUUGGGAAGCGAAAUGGCUACGAUUAGUAACCCUCGAAGUUUGCGCCCUUCAACUGGAUCAAGCGAUUCGGCUGAUGAGUGAUCGAAUCAGCCGAGUUCGAAAACCUUUACUGUAGAAUUGGUUCGGCUAGAUGAGCCGAAUAAAAUGCACAGAGUUUUUGGUCGGCUGAUAAGCCGAAUAUAUGGAAUACACAGUGAUUGGUCGGCUGAAAGAGCCGAAUGCUUUUAUAUAUAUUAAUAAAACAGAGUUUGCCCGAAGGGCAUACAGACUCUGAAAAUCUAGUUUGCAACAGAGUGUGCCCGUGGGGCAUACAGACUCUAGAGAUUUAAUUUAAAAACUACUCCUAGAAAAGCAGUAAAUGCGGGUAAAAAAGAUUACAUGUUGACCGCUUCUAAAAAAGCGAUAAAAUUGCAAAGAAAAUAAAGGUGGUCUUCUCGUUCAGGGGGGUGAAAGACCCCUAUUGCAGGCUUCGAAAUUACUAUUUAUAGUAAUAUCAACCCACAUUAUUGGUUGGUUGAAAGUAGUGGGGUGAGUGGUUGUAAUCAUGAUCGUGGAAGUUAUGCCCACUUCUCACGGAAGUUACAGCCCAUCGUGGAAGUUACGCCCCACUUCUCAACCGUUUCCGCUUAAAACCUUCAGGUGCCUUAUUGUCGACUCCUGGUGUCACGCCACGAAUGCGAUCCUAUUUGGCCGGUUAGAGGGCGUCAAACAGACGCAGAACGGACAGAGUCUCCCCUGUACGCCCAAGGCUCAACACCCUGUACAAAUAGAGUAUGAAUUUUGCACAAAACGGAAGCACACAUAAUGGCUUGCACGAGGGCAAGCAACAGCCAGUAGUGAAAGAAUCUAGUAAACAUCAUACAAGUAUUUGAUUAAAUUUAAAUCACAUACAUACAUUCAACUUUAAUACAACUUUACAUCAUUUCUUUUAGACAUCACAAGUUCUCCAAAAUAUGAUCCUUGUCCAUUUAACAUAAAUAAAGUCUUCUACAUCAUUCCUUUAACAUGAUCACAAUACUAACAUCAUCAAAAUAGAAAAGAUGAUAAUAAGGGGUAUGCAACUAUGAAAAUAAGACAUCUUGGGCGGUCUCUACCUAGGGCGCGAUGCCCUUACCGCGAUAGUCUGCCGGCUCGCUCGGUCCCGGCUCUGUGGAAAUAGUGGGGUGAGAAUUACAACAAAGUUCCCAGUGGGUUCGGCAACCAACCAUGCCGACUAUCCCACUAGGUCUAAUAAGGCAUAAUAGAAGAAAGAAUAGAUAAUAACUAACUAACAGAUGCAGCUAAUAUGCCUGAACGAUAAGUAAAGCUAUGCUCGAUAGAAUGCUCAUGAUGAAUGCAAGUUAUUAAUUCCAUAACCCAAUCUCGUGGCUAGCCCGUAGGUUUCGCCCUCACAAACUCACCGACCCAAAUCUCUACUAUCGGGGAGAAUUCCGCUACGACCCGACAGGACCGUCCUCUUGGGAGAAUUCCGCUACAACCCAGUGAUGACAACUCCGGAGCACAUCGCCCGAGGGAGAGCUACCGCCCUCGAGCAAGGACUAUUAGGUGAGUACGAUCAAUCCUUAACUUUAAGGAUUCCAAGUUCAAUCCAUUCCUUGACUUCAAGGAAAACCAUAUUCAUAUGACCCUUAACUCUAAGGUGUAUAUGUCAUAAUGUCACUAACCCAAUUUACUUGCAUUCUCUAGCCUCUACUUGUGUCAUGUACACUACUUGUUCUUGUUCUUUGUCAUUGAUGCCACACUUAUUUUCUAAGUGUUCAAAACUCGUCAAUGCUACUCACUAUGGUCGUGUCCAAUGUCACAAUUAUUUUCUAAGUCCACUAGGUUCUUGUUCUUCAACAUGCAUACAUAGGGUUUAUAAAUUUUCCAUUAUCAUACGAUAUUCCACAUGCAUUUGAACCAACAAAGUGCAAUAAAAACUCAUGAGUAACCCUACUAUGCGAUAUGCUCAAUGUAUAUGUACAUGCUCAAAUAUGACACUUUAGACAUAAAAGGAUUUUCGAGGUCCUUGGAAUGCACCACCCACCUUAGACGGUUGUAGGGAUGCUACGAUGAAUUUUUUGAAAUUUUUGAAGCCCUAGUCCGCGUGCUGCGGCUAUCUGUACGGAAAAUGACGUUUUUGUCAAUAACUUUGUGUACACUCGUCGGAUUGUCGAACCCAGCGUUCCAACGCGUUUAAAAUACCCUCAAUUAGGUUUCUACAUGAUCAAAAUAGAUCAAAAUCCAACUUGGGCAAAACCUCUCUUUGGGAUGCUCUAACCAAACCUAUUGCUAAACCCUAGGUUUUGAUCCCUAGAACAAGCAAAAGAGAGCUUGUUCAAAGUUUAGAAACUCAUUUUACUUAUUUUCUAUACCUCUCAACUCCAUUCUAGGGCACAAAACCCAACCCUAGAGUUUCUACUAUGAGAGCACGUGGUAACAUCUUGUUUCCAUGUGUUCUAUAGCCAUUAGAGAUUUCUAUUCUAGCUAAAAGGUCAAAACCCAAAGGUUUAAAACCAAACCCUAAAGUUCUAUGAGCAAAAGAACUCACCUUUGCCACGAGCUCACCCAAGUCCACCUUGUUGGAGAGCCACAAGAUCCUCUCAAGCCUCCAAAACCACCUCUUCAAGCUUCUUCUCCACCUUCUCCACCAAACCCUAGAGUUCUAGAGAGAGAAAAGAGAGAAAAUACGAGAGAGGUGUGUGUGUGGGUCUGUUGUGAAGGGGAGAAGGGAUGGGUAUAACACAUGUUGCAACAAUAGCAACUAGACUCUCCACCUUUCUAACCUGCUGCAGUUCGCUCCCUGCUGACAGAGGCUUCGCGUACCGGUACACGGUUUGGUAUCACCGGUACACGACCUGCGCAGAGGCAAACCCGAGAGCAUACUCGGCUCGGGUUGCUUGCUGUACCGGUACAGCCAUCAUGGCAUACCGGUACACAAUGCUCCAGAAUGCUGUUUUGCAUCGUUUCGACUCUACUUUGCGCCGUUCGAUGCCAAACUCAUUCUAAUACCUCUUUAACUCAUUUUUGCCCUUCCAAACUUGUUGGAAUGCAAAAUAAAACUUGCCCAUCCAUUUCUCUCGACACCUUAACCCAAUUCGGGUUAAGUUCGAUUCCUCGUUUUCGGGUUUUUGAUAUGUUACACCUGGUAUACCACGUGUCCUUAUUGGCUCAUACGUGGGUUAGGUCGGCAUGUUAAUUUCAAUUUUGGCAUCAACAAAAGUAAAGUACCCUAGACCUAAGUUCGAAUCCUAGUUGAUUCACAUUUUCAGCUAAGUUUAUUUCUAAAUGAAAAUAAAUGAAGCGGGUAGCGUGCUACCUAUCUCAAAAAAAAAGAAGUAAAGUACGUACAGUGUGGAUUAUUUUGAGUUGACUAUCAAUCUCUCAAAAUUUUUUAAUUUUUCUAUCCAAUCUUUAAAUUUAUUAAAAUAAUUAGUUUAAAUUUUGAAGUUAAAGUACCAUUGACUGACUCAAAUCAGACAAAUUAAAAAACUGGACAGUAAAACCAAAAUUUUUGAAGUUUGAAUAAUCGAUUUAAAAUAAUCCAUAACUUAGAUAAAUUCUUUACCUACUAAGAAACUAGAUAGAUUAAACUAGCACACUAAACAUGACUUUAAUAUCAAAUCAAGCAGCCUUGACACGGGAAGUUCAGCACUUGAGAACAGAUAAAUAGUUAAUUUGGACAAGAUUUUACAAAGUAUAACACUACAAUAAAAACGGUAAAUAGCGACACUUUUAAAUGUCGGUACAGAUAAAAAAAAAAUGCUGCUGGUUAAAUUACCGACACUAUAUGUAGGUCGCUAGGUAUAUAGUGACAGUUUAAAAGUGUCGGUAUAAGCUAAAAAGAAUUUGCUAAUUUACAAACACUUAUUUGAGCAUUUAGUAACCGCCGGAACCCUACCUCGUAGGCUGCGGCUGCGGCAACGAAGGAGGAAGAGAGCAAGGGGCUCUUCGUCUAGCAUUUUAGUAGAUUAAGUGAGGGGAAAAGGGGAGAUGGUGAUCGAUUUUUCUUUUUUUUUUUCUUUUUCUGUUUGUAAUCGGGCCGAAUGGCCUGGGUGGGGUGGGGUGGGGUGGGGUGAGUAGAGUAACCUUUUAUUUUUAUUUGCAUUAGGUUUUAUAUUUAGGCCAUAGUAGAUUUUUUUUAAACUUUUGGCAUAAAUAGGACACUUACACAGUGUCCUAAAAAUGUGUUUCUAUAAUCUAAUUCUAUAAAUGAAUUAGGCCAAAGAGAAUUUGAAAAAAUCAAAAUGCAUUUACAAAUUUGGGUUUAGGGUUUAGGGCCAAUAAAUUUGGAAAUUUGGAAAAAAAAAAUUGUUAUAGAAAUCCAAAAUAAGCAAAAUCAGUGCUUGUUAAUUAAUGCAACAUAUCUGGUAGACUAGAAAUAAUAUGUUCCAAAAGCAUCCUUAGAAACCAUUGUAAGGACUGAGAUUUUCGACAGUGCAACUAAACUUUCUGUUGAUGAUGUUUAUGUGUGUAAUUUAAUUACAUAAGCACUCGUCAAGUUUCGGGCGAAAACGAGUUAAAACGGAGAAGUUACGCGACCCGGAAGUUUGACUUAAGUGAAUAGUAACUCCGGUUUUUCGGAGAGGCUGCGGAGUAGAGUGGACUUUCGACGCGUAUCGGACUCCGAAUAUAGCCUUCCAAUAGCUCGUUUUCAACCGCUCGACUAUCCUGGACCCAAUGGCACUGACGGAAUUGGAUUUGGAUGCACGGAUUUCGAGAAAAAGGGGUUUAAUGGUUUUUGCAUAUAGUUGGCUAUAUGUGGUUUUUGGUGGAACCUAGGAGGGAUGGUUUUGUCGCAAAUCGGGAACCUUUUCGGGCGAAACGAAAUGCUAGAUUCGAUGCCUCUGUCGUGCUGAUCGCGCUGGUGCGAUCCGAUCGGAAAUCCGACGGACGGAUCUUCGGGAAUCGCGAAAAGUCCGCGAAGGGGCUGAUUUGAGUAAUCGGAUUAUUCGCGAAAAGGCCCUAUAUUUUAUGCAUCGAAUUGCGAGUCUUCGAACUCAGAGGGACUAUCGCGCAUUGUGCGACUGCUGGUUGAGAGCUGGGAUUAAAUAGAUUCCUUUCGAGGGGGUUUUCCGCGAGUUUUCCACACCUUUAUAUAGGUGGAUCUAGGGUUUUCUUGGACCAAACCCUAACCCUAGAACCCCCCAGCUGACCCCAGCCGCCCCUGCCAUCCCAGCACCUCCCUGCCCUGCCCGUGCUCGCGUUCCGGCCGCCGCCGAGCAGCCCCGGCCGCCGGAAACAGCCUGCAGCUAAUAUUCCUCCUCUCUUGGACCACCUCACCACCGGUUUAAGCUUGGUGCUUGGAGAGGCCUGUUAGCCCGAGCACCACCUUCCCCUGGUCGAGACCUUCCUCAGGCGCCCUCCCCCGCCGGCCCCGGCCACCCCCGAGCGUCGCCGGAGCCGCCGGAAGAGGCUGCAGCCAGCCGGGUCUGCCCAGACCCGAGCCAGGCCGAGCUCAGGUUGCGGGCCUUGGGACCGCACUUCCCCUGCGGCCAAGCCCCCCUGUCGACCCCGGCGACCUCCAGCAACCCGGCGCGCGCGUCCCCGGCCGUCCCCGCGCCCCGCCGGCCGCCGCCAAGGUCUCCCGCCGCCGCUCGGGUCCUGUGCGGGCCGACCUUGGAGCCGCGCCACUCCCGAGCGCUGCCGUUGCCCUCUGAGGUGAGCACCACCUCCCCCUUGGUCUCCGGCACCGGAUCAUCGCCGCCCCGACCUCCCCCGGUCGCCGCCUCGCCGCCGGCAAGCUCCAACCCGAGAGGAAGUGUGCGGGCCCGAUCUCCGCCGCCGCGCCACCGGCUGCUGCCCGCCGCCGGCCAGCACCUCCCCCGGACCUCCCCGACCUGCUGCUCCCAUCACCGGCCGGAGCGCCCGCCGCCCGAUCGCCGGCGGCCAUCCCUAGCUCCCACAGCUCCGGUGAGUAGUUUACUUUGGUUCCAGCACUGCUGUUUUGCGUUCCGGUCACUUUUCCGGUGAUCCGAUGACUCCCUGGCACCUCGGGAGGUGAGCACGGUGAUCGUGGGCUCGUGCUGAACACGAUGCUCACCUCCAUUUAGGUUAACGGUGCCCUGGUUAGUGAGAAAAGGCUGUUUUCCACAGUGUGCGCACUGAUUCGCUGAGGUUCGCGUCGCUCGUGCGCGCGUGGUUGCUGCCGGCAGUGCUCCGAAAGGUGAGCACGGCCUCAGGCAUGCUGAAACCUUGCAGCAAGUGCGAUGGCAACCUCCGUAGAUCCCUGGUUUGCUGGUACGACCCGUUAGAGCCAUGAAAUCACAUAAAAUAAUGUGAUUUCAUGGGCCAUUAGGGAUCCUUUUGCGUUUCGCUUCGUUGUGGCUGCUGUUGGCAGCAGGUUAAGGCUUAAGGUAACCUCUGGACUGAUCGUCCAAGGCCCCAAGCCCUUGCGGAAAUCUAUCUGUCAUUUCCGGAGCGUUUUCGGUGAAAUCCGCCGAUAGAACGCGCGUUCGACUCGGAAUUCAUCCGACGGUGCCUCGUGGUUGAUUGUAGCGUCGCUGAGCCUUGUUGGCUGGUCACCCGCGUCUUCUCGAGGGUUCGGAAACGACGGGUGAGCGACGGUGGAGUUUCGGUACGGUUUCCGGGAUUUCCGGCUGGUUCGGUAGUUGCGUUUGAGAAACCGAUUUCCGAGGGGUUAUGAUUUUGGGAUUUGUGUGAGAAUGGUCGUGUUAUUGUGUUUGUGGGUUAGACUCUAACCCGGUGGACCCUUCGUAGGUCCGGUCGCUUCGUCUCCGCCUUCGCGAGACCGUUUCAGCUUUAUACAGGUGGGUACUUCGAUCCGACGUCGGUACAGUGGUGCACGCUCGGUGAUAUUUCUUCUAUCCCUGUUCUUCUGUUGCUAUUUUCGUAUUAUAUAUUGAGCUUGCAUCCCCGUUGUUUCUAUUAUACUCUACUCAUAUGUUUCUAUGCUUAGUAUCAUGUGUAGGAGUAGAGUAGUUUAUCCAUAUGUGAUACCGGUGACCUGAUUGGUCGGUUCUCGUACUUUGUUUCGGUGACCUGAUUGGUCGGUUCUCGUACUUUGUUUCGGUGACCUGAUUGGUCGGUUCUCGUACUUUGUUUCGGUGACCUGAUUGGUCGGUUCUCGUACUUUGUUUCGGUGACCUGAUUGGUCGGUUCUCGUACUUUGUUUCGGUGACCUGAUUGGUCGGUUCUCGUACUUUGUUUCGGUGACCUGAUUGGUCGGUUCUCGUACUUUGUUUCGGUGACCUGAUUGGUCGGUUCUCGUACUUUGUUUCGGUGACCUGAUUGGUCGGUUCUCGUACUUUGUUUCGGUGACCUGAUUGGUCGGUUCUCGUACUUUGUUUCGGUGACCUGAUUGGUCGGUUCUCGUACUUUGUUUCGGUGACCUGAUUGGUCGGUUCUCGUACUUUGUUUCGGUGACCUGAUUGGUCGGUUCUCGUACUUUGUUUCGGUGACCUGAUUGGUCGGUUCUCGUACUUUGUUUCGGUGACCUGAUUGGUCGGUUCUCGUACUUUGUUUCGGUGACCUGAUUGGUCGGUUCUCGUACUUUGUUUCGGUGACCUGAUUGGUCGGUUCUCGUACUUUGUUUCGGUGACCUGAUUGGUCGGUUCUCGUACUUUGUUUCGGUGACCUGAUUGGUCGGUUCUCGUACUUCGUUUCGGUGACCUAGUUGAUCGGUGCUUUUAUCUUAUAUCUGUUGACCUGGUUGGUCGGUUGUUGCAUUAUGUAUUGGGUUGGUCUGUUUCUUGACUUCUGUUGUUCGAUGACCUUUGAGGUCGGUGUACCCUGAGGGGUAGGAUUGUCGGCUGGUGCUGACGGUAGUUCUGGACUAUAUCGAAUACACUCCUGUGACCUAUCGGUCGGUUCUUGCGUUCGUACUUUUAGUUGACAUCGAGCAGUAUCUACAUACUAUCUUUAUUUACUCUGCCUGGUUGUUCUAUGUGUAGUAUCCUGUAUAGGGGUAGAGUAGAUGGCAUUCGUAUAUACUAUACUUGUGACCUGGUUGGUCGGUUCUCCUAUUUGCAUCGGUGACCUGUUUGGUCGUUCGUUACUUUCCGUACAUUGACCUAUCUCGGUCGGUUCACGUUGUUACUUGAUGACCUACACGGUCGGUAUGCCCAGAGGGGCAGUGAUUGUCGGCUGAUUGCCGACGGUUGGCUAUUGAUCAUAUCCGCAUUGAUCGCCACAGCUCGAGUGCAUUUCACGUACACCAGCGGGUUGAUCCCCCGCAGGAGGGUGUUCUUUUCCGGAAAAGUGGUCGUACAUCCGACCCGUGAGCCCAGCGGUGUUCUCUUUGUGCUAGGGUUACAUGCCAGGUGUGAGCAGAUAGUGGCUUUUGCCUGAGGUCCUUAGACCGACACGGCGGUUUAGAUUGGGUACUUUUGGACUUCUCGUCCGGUUGACGCAUAUAGCUAUAGUAGCGGUUGUUGCAUAUAUACUUCUAGUUCUUUCUUUACAGUUGUCUUGCUACUAUAGUUUUGAUAUCCUUGUAUGCUUGCAGUUGUACAUUACAGUAGCGGUAGUUGUGCUUUCAUAUAUAUAUCUCAUUCGUUCAUUAUCGUUGCUACUGUAUUUUACUUACCCAUACUGUUGUUUAUCUCUUCCUGAUCCGGUGAGUACUCCUCGCCUUCUUCGGCUUGCGGUACCCACUGGGAGGGGAGACAUGUUUACAUGUUCUCACCUCCCCCACUAUUUUUCAGGUACUGCAGACGUUGAGUUUUGGGACGAGACGUGAGGUACGUUCGUAGCGGUCGAUAGAGCUUCCGACCCAGGUUAUCGGUUUAGUUUUAUCCCUACUAUUCUGUUGUUAUAGCUUAGUCAGUUUAUAUGGUUCAGUAUUUUUAUUACAUUGGAAUAUAUGGACUUUCAUGAACGUAUUAAAAGGAUUUCUGGAUUUGGUAAAAUAAAAGGUUUUCUACCCCUCGUGGUAGCUUCUAUAAAAGAUAAAAGUUUUCGCAUAUGGAACAGUUUUCAAAAGAUUUUUUGUGACUUCUGUUUAAACAUCGAGUGUAAAACUACGGUGUGAAUGGUGAAUGUAUGAAUGUAUAGCUAUCUGUAUAUUCAUUUGAUUGUGGUUGUAUACUGUUUGUACUUUUGUACUUGUGUGACGCCGUGCAAGUACAGGGGAGACUCUGUCCGUGUGAACAGUGGAUUCCCUGUAUUUGUGGCGGAUCUGGCAUACUCUGGGGUCAGGUUUUCAAAAAAAAAUUUCAAACGCUUUUCCGCUGUGUUUCAAAUAAAAAGGGGACCCCGGGGCGUGACAACCAUAGUCGGGCUCUGUUUGGAAUUUGCAAACUGUAAACAUUUUGUGGCUGCACUUUGGUGAUAUAAAGUUGUAACUGCACUAUAAUUAUAAUCACAUAUAUCUAUACUAUGAGUCUUACUACUAUGUCUUGCUACUAUGUUACCAAUAGCACCAAUCAUUUGGUGCUGCCAAUUUUUCCACCAUUCGAUCUCUACCCUUUUGAUCAUUUCUACUCGUUAAAUCACACUAUUUAUGUGAUAUACUAAACCUUAGCAAAUUGGCAAGGUUACAGUAUAAGUUUCUGCUUGAUUGAGUUGGAGACGUUUUGCACAAAAUAGACGUAAAAACAGACUUUGAAACUCAAGGUUUAUAUUAUAGAGAACUAAAGUUGAAUACUUAGUUAUAGAGGGGCUUGUUGGCAAUUUGGCUAUAUUUAAGCGGUGGAGUCCACGUGCUUUUCCCCUAUCCUUAUCCUUUCUUUUUGUUGCUUUUUUUUUUUUUGCUAAGUUUUGAGCACAAAUUAAUUAACAGGGAAAAACACUUGGUUUCGUUCUUAUGAGCGAGCGAGGCGAGCGAGCGCACGUGUAUUUUUAGCAUGUGGACGUCACGGUUGUGCCGUUGGGGGAGGCCGGGCGAGCGCGUGUUUUCCUCUUCUUUUGACUUCUCGCCGUCGUCGGAUUAGCUUUUCGAGGUGGGUUAAAGUUUACCGAAUUCUUCGGAUUUCCUUCUAAGCUUAGAUGUUGUCAGCAUGUAAACAUCAUCUGUAGUAUCAUGUUAGUAGCUCAAUUUGCCGAUUUGCAUUGCUUUUAAUGAAAUCUGAAUUGGAGCUUUGAAUGCUAGUUUUAUUAUACAUGUUGGAUUUGGAUUUGACUUAGGAGAAAACUAUAGGUUCUACACUGUCAUUUUCUGAAAACUAACAGAUUUAGCUUUAGGAGCUAUAGUUUGUUUGUAUCGCCGUAGUUUGUAGGCGAUGGAUACCCAGAAUAGUGUAGAAUGAAUUUACGCUCGUGCUGAGAUACCGUGUUUAUUUUUACAGUAAUGUAUAGACUGUGCCAGACUGUCGGGUGCCGUCGUGGUUGACAGUGGGCCCAGAUUUCUAUAUUUUGCACCAGAUUGUGCCGAGGGCAUAUUUAUUAUGGUUGUUAGACCAAUUAGACCUUUCUGUUUUGACUAUAGCCUGUGAGAGCCUGAUUGAGUUCGGCAGAGAUACGCUUGCAUACUCGGUUGGGUAGCGCCCACGAGUGCCACUCCGGAGUCGGGCUUUGUGCUUUUGCGUUGUUGUCGUUGUAUCCUGGUUGGACUCGCUCUUCACUGACGACCUAGUGUGGUGGUAGUUAGUGUAGCUCCGAUAGGCGGGACGGGUGUGUUCACAGUCCCUGGUGAGAUUGGGUCAGAAAUUGUAUUUUUCUACAAAUAGUUAGUGUUGGAUCAUGAUAGUAUAGUGGCAUAUAACUGUAGAAUUGUUUUAGCUUUCUUUACUAUCCUUGAGCAUACUUCUGUAGACUUAGUGGGUGAGCCGUUGAGGUCGGUAGCGGUAUCCACUGAGAACUAUUUCUUUUUGCAGUAGUUCUCACACCUAGUUGUGGGCCCCUUUUUGCAGAGCCUCCUUCUUCGGCUGCUGUUGUUGCUGAUCCUGAUCAUGGAAAAGGAGUCGCGAGCUAGAUCCGUUCCAAUUUUGUUGCUGCUUUAGAGGAGUACCAGCUACAGAUAGUUUUGGAUUUUUGGGUCAUGUACAUACUGAUGUUUGAUUCUCGCUGGAGCGAGUGAUGUUGUAUCUAAAGACUAUGUAUGUAUAGUGAACCCGAUGUUUAUUUAUAUAUGUUUGCCGUUCUGUUAGCAGCUCUAUACUACUAGUUGUAGUUUUGUAUGAUUACAGGUACAGGUACAGCUAUCGCUUCGUAUAUAGGAAAUAUUUCUUUGUAUACGGCGGAUUUGUCGGCGUGCCCGGAAAAACGAGUAAUCCGGGGCGUGACAAUUUAACCAACCACCCACUUAACCCUAAGAGACCACUAUCAUUCUAACCGCACAUUUCUUCUUCCAAGAGUCCAAAACCUAAUAGCACCAAUAACUUGAUGUUAUUAACAGUAUAUUAGCCUAGUUCCCUAUACUAUAUAUAAAAGAGGAUAGGAAUUGACAGAUGAAAUUCUAGAUUAAUAAAAAAAAAUUCCAUAGAUAUUAUAAAAAAUAACUAAUUAUAAAAAUAGACUCACACCACUAAUAACUAUUUAAAUUUAAAAUAUAGAUUUAAAUUUUAUUUCAUAUAAAUUAUUUAUUUAAAUUUAAAUUAAUAUAUANAACUAAUUAUAAUUAACAAACUAAAAACAAAUUCAAACAAAUCAAAUUUAGGAAAUAACUUAAUUGAAAAAUAGACUCACACCACUAAUAACUAUUUAAAUUUAAAAUAUAGAUUUAAAUUUUAUUUCAUAUAAAUUAUUUAUUUAAAUUUAAAUUAAUAUAUACUAUAUAUAAAAGAGGAUAGGAAUUAAUCGAUAGAAUCCUAGAUAGAAUAAAAGAAUAUUCUAUACCAAUUAUAAAAAUUAGUUAUAAUUAACAACCUUAAAAAAUCGAAACUAAUCAAAUUUAGAAAAUAAAUUAAUUGAAAAGUAGAAUCAUACCACCAAUAUCUAUUUAAAUUUAAAAUACAUAUUUAAAUAUUAUUUUAUAAAAAAUUUAUAUUUAAAUUUAAAUUAAUCUAUACUAUCUAUAUCUAUACUAUAUAUAAAAGCAUAUAGAAAUUCCGAAUCCAAAAAGGAAUAAACGAGUAUUCCCUACAAACGAUCAUAAUCAGUUUGUUAAAAAAUAUCUCAAAUAAAAAUAAAUGGUUAUGAUCAAUCUGUUAAAAAAUAGCAUUCUUAUCUAUCAAUAUGUAAAAUCCAACGAAUGGCUAUGAUUCAUUUGUUAAAAUAUAUAUAAAUAAAAAUUAUUGAUUGUGAUCAAUCUGUAAAAGAAAGUAUUCCUAUCGAUAGAUUUUAUAUUAAAAUUAAAAAAUAUGAGUUUAAAUCAUGAAUUGAAUUUAAUUUUGGAUAUCAAAUUGGUAUUAACAAUUAAAAAAUUUUAAUUACAGUGAAUCAAAAUUAAAUUUUAAAAAAUUUAAAUUUAUAAAUUUUGACACUUUUACUUUAAAUAAUAAACAUAAAUUUUAAAUUUAUCAGAAUUCAAAAAAUAUAUAAAAAUAUUAAAUGUAUAUAUUGAAAAAAUUAUCGAAUAAAAUAUAACAUAUUCAUUUAGAAAACAUAAUUUUUAUUGUAAAUUUUUGAAUAAAUAUGAUGUAAAAAUUUAUAUUUAAAAUAAAUUAAAAUAAUUUUUACAUACAUUUGUACGUACACUUAGCUAGUAUAUAUAUAUAUAUGUAAGAGGAUAGGAAUUAACCGGCGGAAUCCUAGAUCGAAUAAAAGAAUAUUCCAUACAUAUCAUAAAAAAAUAGUUAUAAUUGACGAAACUAAUCAAAUUUAGAAAAUAAAUUAAUUGAAGAGUAGAAUUAUACCACCAAUAUCUAUUUAAAUUUAAAUAUAGAUUUGAAUUUUAUUUUAUAUAAACUUUAUAUUUAAAUUUAAAUUGAGAAAAUAAAUUAAUUGAAAAGUAGACUCAUACCACCGAUAACUAUUUAAAUUUAAAAUAUAGAUUAAAAUUUUACUUUAUAUAAAAUUUGUAUUUAAAUUUAAAUUAAUUAAUAAAUAUUAUUACAUAUAGAAGAGGAUAGGAAUUGAUAGACAAAAUCCUAGAUGGAAUAGGAAUUAACAGGCAGAAUCCUAGAUAGAAUAAAAGAAUAUUCCAUACAUAUCAUAAAAAAAAAAGUUAUAAUUGACAACCUAAAAGAAAUGGAAACUAAUCAAAUUUAGAAAAUAAAUUAAUUGAGGAGUAGAACUUUACCACCAAUAUUUAAAAUACAGAUUUGAAUUUUAUUUUAUAUAAACUUUAUAUUUAAAUUUAAAUUGAGAAAAUAAAUUAAUUGAAAAGUAGACUCAUACCACCGAUAACUAUUUAAAUUUAAAAUAUAGAUUAAAAUUUUACUUUAUAUAAAAUUUGUAUUUAAAUUUAAAUUAAUUAAUAAAUAUUAUUACAUAUAGAAGAGGAUAGGAAUUGAUAGACAAAAUCCUAGAUGGAAUAGGAAUUAACAGGCAGAAUCCUAGAUAGAAUAAAAGAAUAUUCCAUACAUAUCAUAAAAAAAAAAGUUAUAAUUGACAACCUAAAAGAAAUGGAAACUAAUCAAAUUUAGAAAAUAAAUUAAUUGAGGAGUAGAACUUUACCACCAAUAUUUAAAAUACAGAUUUGAAUUUUAUUUUAUAUAAACUUUAUAUUUAAAUUUAAAUUGAGAAAAUAAAUUAAUUGAAAAGUAGACUCAUACCACCGAUAACUAUUUAAAUUUAAAAUAUAGAUUAAAAUUUUACUUUAUAUNGAAAAAUAGACUCACACCCCCAAUAACCAUUUAAAUUUAAAAUACAUAUUUAAACUUUAUUUUAUAUAAAAUUUCUAUUUAAAUUUAAAUAAAUCUAUCCCAUAUAAAAAAGAUAGGAAUUGACCGACUGAAUUCUAGAUGGAAUAAAAUAAUAAUAUUCCAUACAUAUUAUAAAAAAAUAAAUAAUUAUAAUUAAUAAACUAAAAACAUAUUGAAACAAAUCAAGUUUAGAAAAUAAAUUAAUUGAAAAAUUGUCUCAGACUACUGGUAACUAUUUAAAUUUAAAAUACAGUUUUAAAAUUUAUUUUAUAUAAAAUUUAUAUUUAAAUUUAAAUUAAUUAGUAAAUAUGAUGUGGAUUGCACGUGCUCUGCAAUUAGUGUAUAUAUAUAUAUAUAGAGAGAGAGAGAGAGAGAGAGAGAGAGAGAGAGAGUUGAGCUAGAAUACUCUUAAAAGCACCAAGGGAAUGGUGCUUUUGAGUUUUUAACCAUUGGAUGGAGAGAUGUAGGAUUGGGAUGAUGAUGGUAGAUGGUGGUAGGUGGAAUAGUGUUUAAUCCAAGGGGUAUUAGUAAUUUAGAAGUAGAUCUAAGGCUAAAAACCUAGAAGCACUAAGGAGUUGGUGCUUCUAAAAGUAUUCUAGCUAUAUAUAUAUAUAUAUAUAUAUAUAUAUAUAUAUAUAUAUAUAUAUAUAUAUAUAUAUGAUUGUUUUGUAUCCAACUACUGUAGUUAAAACCGUAGAAGAACAGCUGUAACAUUAGGAAUUACGCUCAAAUUGGCUACAGACGAAAUAUGGCAAUUGAAAAGAGUAACUUUAAUCGAAAGGUGUGCUUACCAUCUUAAUCAUUCGUUAAAUAGAAUGUGAAUUUUUUUUGCAUAGAGAUAAUUCUCACCACCUUACAUACAAGAUGAUAAAAUUUAUAAAAAUAGGUCUCAACUGUAUGCUACUAAACAAAUUAUUUAUUAGUUAUAAUUUUUCUCAUUAUAUUCAACCAAACAAAAUACAUGUAAUUACAAUUGCUAAAGUUUAAAUUACAUGCUUAUCCAACUUCAUGACAUUUACAGUUAUGUUCAAUCAAACAACCCCUUUGCACAGAAAGUGCGAUAACAAUAUAUUCACUUUGAUUCCGUAAUAGUAAAUGAUAAUGUCAUGCAGAUCGCACUAGUUCAAUAUUUCACCGGAAAACAGAAAAGCAUAUCGUUGGUCGAUUUCACCCAACUCGGCAGUUUUCAAUGCCAAAGGGGGGCCCUCCAGCAUUCACAUCACACUUCACUUCCAACUGCAGAAUGCAUUCAGUGGAAAAAUUAUUGAUUGCAUCUUGGUGCUUCUGUGACAUCAUGUCAUCUUCAUUAAUUUCUCUUUUUAUUUCGUCCAAUACUUCCAACCUAAUCAUUCAUUAUUUUCAAAUUAAAGAAAAAGAUUGCAGUGUUGAAAUACGUGAUAAAAGCAGGGGUGCACAAAAUGCACCAUGAUCAGCAAUAAUCCCCACAUGCUAUGUGCAAACAUAGUACACAAGUUAUCAAACCUGUCCGAUAAGUGAUUAUUCCUUAGAUGUGACAGGCAAAAUAUUUUAUAAAAAAAUUAAGGGAUAAUUGCCUAUAUACCUUUCAUGCGUUCGGAAAUAUCCGAUCUACCCCUACUUUUUUUUUCUUUCCAAAAUGUCCCUCAUACGUUCCACCGUUAUUCCAAAAUACCCCCGCAGUUAUCCCCUGUUAGCUUAACUCGGGUUAAACAUGGGUUAAAUCUAUACUAGAGUUAAAACCUGAACAAAAUACCUAUUUUGCCCCUACUUUAUUAUAGUAAUCCCUAAGAUUAUCCUCUCUUUCUUCCCCAAUUUUGUCGCCACCACCGGCCGACUCCUCCGCCACCACCGGCCGGCUCCUCCGCCUCUACCUCACCUCCUCGCCUCAUCUCCUCCCAGACCACCACCACCUCCCACACCUCCACCUCCAACACCACCCAUCUCGUCGCUCUCGUUGUCCUACUCCGUCGCCACUCUCGUCGUCGUCGUCGUCCUCUUCCUCCGCCGCCUUGGCCGGCGCCGGGAGCAAGAGGGCCGCAGCGACGAUCCCAUCUCUCGCCGCUCUCGUCGUCCUUCUCCUCAUCCGCUGCCUUGGCCGGCGCCAGGAGCAAGAGGGCCGCAGCUCCAUCGGACCCCUGCACGCCUUCUGCUCCGAAUCCGGCUGAAGGGUAAAUAAGAAAAGUAUUUGCUAUAUGAAGGGUAUAUAAGACAAGUUUGUUACGGUACAAGGGUAUAUUGGAAUGGGCAAAAUGGUAAUUUUUCAGAGCUAACGGCAGCUCACUAACGGAACUUAACUCUAGGGGUAUUUUAGAAAAACUUGGAACAUAAGAAGGGUAUUUUCAAUAUUAGCCUUCUAAGAGGGGUAAAUAAGAAAACGAGGAACUUUUCAGGGGUAUAUAGGCAAUUGCCCCAAAAAUUAAAUAAGUAAUUUUUUUGGAUGAUUUUAAUAAAGAAAGAACAUCCAACUAAAAAAAGUAAGCACAAGAAAUUGUACCAUUCAACAUACAAUGAGUGCGCGAUUAAGCUAUAUAUUGUGAUUAAUCCGGAUCAGUUAAUAAUCGAUCUACAACAAUCUCCUAACUAUGCUUAUAAAUGUCUGUGUAAUUGAGCGUUGCCCAACGAUUGCAAUCAAGUACCUUACAAGAAAAAGGACGGACUAUAUAAUUUUCGGAAAGUUUAGAAAAAGAAAAUAUGGUUAAGAAUUUGUUUGAGAAAAUAAAAUAGAAAUUAAACUGUUUUCCAAACCAUGCUUUUUAUUACUAAUAGAUGAUAUGCGUAGGUUUAGAUAUAGAUAAGAAAAAAAAAAAAAAAGAAAGCUCGGAUGGGCGCCACUCGCCACAUGAUGCCCAUCCGAGUAAUCCCCAAAUAAAGUUGUUUGGGCAUAAUGCCCCUAAAAUUUUUGUCCACUUAUUUGAAUACAAUGCCCGCACAUGUUCUCAACUCGAAACCCUCUAAUUUUUCAAAUCUCAACUAAACCUCAUAAGUAGGUAGUCAAAAUUUGUACAAAAUUAAGAGGAACUCAGAUCUAACGAAAUAUUAAAACUCUGGAUCUAGUCAGAACCAGAACACAUUGGGAAGAAAAACUUUUAUCCUAAACCUUGGCAACAAAACUCAAAAUUUUAUCCAGUAAUUAUAAGUAUCCCUAAUAAAAGCCUUGUGGGCUAUUUAUAUACUAAAGGGUUACAUCCGAGAAUGAUUAAAGAUUCUAACUAAAGCCUUAUCUAAAAGAAAACAUGAUAAAAUAUUUCUAAACAAGAUAAUUUCAAAAAUUAACAUAAUAAAACUAAAAAUCUUCAGAUUCACAUAGAGGGUUUAGGUGCUGACUUGCGCUGCCUUUAUUGAUAGACUUGGGACCCGAACGACGAUCUCCAUCAUUUAUCAACUUACAUAAAGGCAAUAUAAUCUUCAGAAAAAUACAAAUACGCACUCCAAAAUGAAUUGUAUAUCUUACAUUUUGCCAAAAAAUAGAUAAGGGUUAUCUACUUACGUACUGACAUAAUUAGAAUGGAAAUGCUUUUGGAGAAUUCCAUUGGAGCAAUUUACCGUACGUACACCUAUAGAGUAGGUACAUAUCUUACACAUUAAAAGGCUACAAUUUUCUCAUUAAUAUUAUCAACUUUUAUAUUAAUAGUAAAGUCCGAAAGAGUUUUGUGAACUUAUAAUAAAAAAAAAAAUUAAAAUUUACACCAUUGUAUAAAUAUUUAGGUAGCUUUUCUCCCUUUGGCCUCAUCUUUUGUCAGGAGCAUAAACUAUGAGUAUUUUAAUGCUCGCACUUUUAUAGAUGUCACAUCACCUGUCACAUAACACAAUUUACACGGAACCAUCCACAUGUAUAUAAAACAACCCUCGUGAUGCAGUGGACACUCACAAAAAAGCAUGAUGUAAUAGUUAAUGACGUAAUUUACUUUCUAGAUACUUCACAAUAUAGAACCACCCACAUAUAUAUACUGGCGAUCAAAUAGCUAGCACGCGCGAUACAACGAGCACUUCAAUAAAAGCGUGAGGACGAAAUUUGCUUAAUUUCAAAAUAUUUCAAAUAUUGUAAAUCAUAUUUAGCGAUAUGAAUCAUUGUUAAACUUAACUAUAUUUUAAAAAUAAGAAUUCAAGUAAAAUAAAUAACAAUUAAAAUUAAAUGACAGAUGAAAUUUUCUGGUGCAAUUAAUCUAUAUUUAAAUUCCAUUUAUACUUUUUUUUUAAAUUUAGAACUUAACGUGAUCAAAUAUUAAAGAAAAAUGUUUUUUUUUUUUGAAGUAUGCAAUGUGCAACGUACAUGCGCAUAGCUAAUGUGUCUGUAUAUACUUCAGUAAGAAUACUAUCAAUAGUAUAUGAAUAAUAUUUGUUGCCAAUUUUUCAAGGGACUUUUUUUGCAAAUAGUUCCCUGAUAAAAUUUUUUUUAAAAUUGGCAAUGUCAAAAAUUUAUUUGUAAAAAUGACCCUACCCCUGCCACGCAAGCGCCACGUCAGCGCUACGCGGAUGGGGCAAGAGUUUAAGUUAAACACAGUGAACCAUUCACCGUGUUCAAACACGGUGAAUGGUUCACCGUGUCCAGUAUAAAUAUUCCCACUUAGCCAAAAAAUGGUUAAGUCGAAUUAGUUGUAUUGGAUACGGUGAAUCAUUCACCGUGUCCAAUACUAAUACAACCUUAGUCAAAAAAUGGCUAAGUCCUAGGUAGUUGUAUUGGACACGGUGAAGAAUGAUUCACCGUGUCCAAUACAACUAACUCAACUUAGUCAUUUUUUGGCUAAGUGGGAAUAUUUGUAUUGGAUACGGUGAACCAUUCACCGUGUUCAACUUAAACACCUGGCCCCAGCACCGCCCGCGUGGCGCUGAUGUAGCGCUUGCGUUGCAGGGGCAGGACCAUUUUUGUAAAUAAAUUUUUAACAAGGCCAAUUUUAAAAUAAAAUUUUGUCGGGUGGCUAUUUACAAAAAAAAAAGCCUUUUUUUAACCCUUGGAUGCCUAGAAUACUAUGGGCUAAUUAUAUACUCAUUAAUUAAAAGAAAGACGAAAAAAUCAAAACAGAAAAAGAAAAAGACAUUGAAGGAGUGACUGCCACAUGACUGAAAUUAUUAAUAUAUAGUAUUAAAAGAUAAUAGAUGAUAGAUGAACUCUAUGUAAAUAUAUGUGAUUGAUGACUUUUGCUUAUUCAUUCAUUUUGUGAGCUUACACUGUUAUACUAGUUCGAAUCUUAUUAGGGUUUAAUUAGCGGAGGCUUUCUACUAGUGAUCAAUAAGCAUUUGGUAAAUAAAAGAAUUUCUAACUGUAUGCUUCCCAUUUUUAAACCUCUGCUUAAUUACAAUUGAUAAAACUUAAUAAAAUAAAUGAUAUAUCAAUUUUAAUUAAUUUAUAUUAUAUAAUAAAAUUAAAGUAUAAAUAUAUUAUCAUAAAAAUAAUAUUUAUAUUAAUAUAUUUAUUUAUAUAUCUAUUAAUCUAAUAAAAUAAAAAAAAGAAUAGAAUUGUUCUCAGUUUUUCUAUAAAUAAUUUUUAACGAGUUAUUUCAGAACAACACAGAACAGCCCGUUUAAAUCGGAACAAUCCAUUCCAUCUUGUUCGGCUACAAUUUGAGUAUAUUUUCUCUUAUUAUGAGAUACUAGUUACGGAACCCCGCGCGUUGCGGCGGAAAGUCGAUACAAUAGUCAAUUAUUAAAAUUAUUAAAACUAUUUUUAAUAUUAUUCAUUAAUAUUUUUAAAUAAUAUUUAUUUUCGUAGUGAGUAUAUUUAGAAACAGAGGUAAACGGAAUCUCACGUGUUGCAACAGGAAGUCGAUACAAUAGCCAAUUAUUAGAACUAUUAAUAUUAAUUUUAAUAUUACUUAUUCAUUAAUAAAUUUCCCCUUCUAUAGAUAAUUGAUUGAAAGGAGAUGGUAUGAGACAAUCAAUGANAGAAGGCGGAGAGGACGAAAGGACGGCGAGGGGGGCAACGCCGCGUCGUACGGGAGGAUGCGACGGCGUUCCCGAGGGAGGACAGCGUUGGCGUCGCGGCUACGAAACGGAGGAGAGGACGGAGGGUGAGCGGGGGACGGUAAGGCCACGCCGUUCGGACAAGGAAAAAUCAGAGCGAGGGGGGUGGUGGGGAGGGGGGUGCGCCGCCGUACGGGAGGGCGGAGAGCGCAAAACGCGGAGAGGGCUCGAAACGUAUCGCCCUUUCAUAAGCUUAUAUUGAUUCCUCGUGCCCAACACUGUCUAAAAGAAUUUCUCGUUACAAUAUUGAAACUCUAAAUAUUGGCACUGCAAUGUGACGUGCGCGCGUCGUGGCCCAUGACGAGACAUUAAUUAGUCCCUUCACGGGUCUACGUUGAGAAAGCGUUGGUUUGAUUGAAAAUGUGAACAUACAUUGCAUUACAAGUUACAUAUCCCACUUUUGGGACAUUGUGAUUGCAUGCGCUACUCAACCAUCACAUCUUCCUCGAAAAUUGCACCAAAAUGAAUGAAGCUUUUAAGUUAGGGUGUGUCUGCAUCGGUGUGGCUAACUUAUGCGAGAUUUUUUUUUUUUUCUUUUUCCUAUGUUUGGUUGUUCCCUUAAUUGAAAAAAGGCCAAUUUACAUAAAAAAUUCACUUAUUUUAGGCUUUUGCAAAAUCGGGCCAUCUUUUUCGUUUUUACAGAUUCGAUCCACUUUUUCAACAAACUGACCAAAAUGCUCUUAUACUUUUUUCUCUUUCUUCUUUUUUUUUUUGUCGUUCUUUUUUCCUUUCUCUUCCCAGAGAGCGACAGAGGCGGAAACGCCACCCUUGCCCCGGCGACGUCGCCUUCGUCCGCUCCGGCGACGUCGCCGGCAACGAGCCCCUCUCCCCUGCCUCGACCCAAAUCCUCCGACUCUGCUGAGGCCGCGCCGCCAUCCUCUUUUUUUUUCUCUCUUUCUUCUCUUCUUCUUCUUCUUUUUCUUCUUUCUCCUGCAGGAACAGUUUUCUUUUUUUUUUUUUGUUUUACUCUUUCUUUUUUUUCUUCUUCCUGCGGGAGAAGCUUCCUUCUCUUUUUUUUUUCCCUCUUUUUCUUCUUCUUCUUCUUCUUCCUCAUGUACACCAAGUUUUGCCACCCCGCAACCAACCUCUUUGCCUCCACCGCACCAGCCUCGCGCGGCUCCGCGGCACCCCGCGCCUACCCCCAACACUGCUCCGCCGCCGCACCGUGCACCGUUAAUGAUGUAAUUACGCUAUUACACCAUUAAUGGUGUAAUGGUGUAAUUUCACCAUUAAUGGUGUAACCAUUGCACCAUUAAUGGUGUAAUUACGCCAUUACACCAUUAAUGGUGUAGGUGUAAUGGUUAAUAGUGUAAUGGUGCACCAUUACACCAUUACGACGAAAAAGAAGCAGCCGCAGCGCGCCCGCGUGCCUGCUCGCCGCCGCUGCGUGCACCGGCCCGCCGCACCGGCCCUGCCGCCGCCUCCGCCCUCCUCAUCGCGUACGCGCCCCUCGCCGACCCUACGUUCACCCCGCAGGCCCAAGAGGCCGUGGACGACCGUGGACGAGCGCGGUCCACGCGAGCAGGUCCCUCACGGGCAUUUUGUCGAACACCUUGCGGGCUAGAACAAACAGAGGACUAAACAAACAGAGGACUAAACAGAGGACUCUCUCUCUCUCUCUCUCGCCUCCUCUGGUGGAGCUCGUCGAGGUGGAGAUAGAGGGCUCGCCGUCGGUCGUGGCGGCGAAGAGGAGGGCGGUGGGCGGAGAGCGCGCGGCGGCGGGGAGCUGCGCGCGGGGGCACGCGGGCGCACGCUGCGGCGCGCGGGCACGCUUCGGCGCGCAGGGGCGCCGACGCACGCUGCGGAGAGCGGGGCCGCGGGCGCGCGGGGCCGCGGGAGAGCCAGCGGAGGCGGCGCGCGGGCGCACGCGGUGCGGGGGCACGCUUCUCGCGGGCGCGCUCGGCGCACGCGGCGCGGGGGCACGCUUUGCGCAGGCGCUCAUGGCGCAUGCGGCGCGCGGGCGAGGACAGGGGCCACGACUCGCUGUCGUAGGCGUCGACGUAGUUGAGGCGCUUCCACGCCCAGCGCGAGCACCCCACUCACACCACGCACUCUAACCCACCCACCACAGACAUCGUCGACGACGACGACGACGACGAUGGUGGAGACGAAGAUGGAGAAGACGAAGAUGGUGGAGACGACGAUGGUGGAGACGACGACGACGCGGACGCGCUGUGGCUGCUUCUUCUUCGUCGUAAUGGUGUAAUGGUGCACCAUUACACCAUUAAUGGUGUAAUUACACCAUUAAUGGUGCAAUGGUUACACCAUUAAUGGUGUAAUUUCACCAUUAAUGGUGUAAUGGUGCACCAUUACACCAUUAAUGGUGUAAUGGGCGCGACAGCGAAGAGCCGGGCCAGAGGGAGAAGGCGCCCUCGUCGCACAUGGUGCGGGCGACGCAGUCGGCGAAGCUGCGGAAGCGGCGGCGGUAGCCGAGGAGCGCGACGUUCACCUCCUGCGUCUGGAGCAGCACGCUUUAUUCUCCCCAUUUUGUUUUUCCAUCUUUUUUUUUUUGUUUUUCUCCCCAUUUUUUCUUUCUCUCAUCAUCAUCAUCAUCUUCUUGGGUGUUUUUUUUUUUAAUUUUAAUUUUUUUAUUUUAAAAGUUUCUCUGAGGGGGGCGAGCGUCAAGAAGAUCACGCGCGACGUCCUCCUCCAGAAGGUCUCCCACGAGCGUGGAGGACGGUGGCGGCGGAGGAGGAGCCGGCGGCGUGGCCGCGGCGCCGGUGCGGGCCAGCUCGGCGGCGGCAUCGCGGAGGCGGUCGACGCUGUCGGCCAUGUUCUCGAGGCAAUCGCGGACGGGGCCAGAGCCGGAGCCGGAGCGGGGGGGACGGCGGCGAGGCGGGCGACGGCGGCGAGACCGGAAGUCGCCGUGGCGCGCCUCAUGCUCUUACAGGAAGAAGAAGAAGAAGAAGAAGAGGGGAAAAAAAAAGGUGCUCGAGCAGGAGGAAGAAGAAGCAGGAAAAGAAAAAGAGAAGAAAAAAUUGCUCCGCCUGGCCUUCGCUUUUUUUUUUCCGGCGAAAAAAAAAUUAAAAGAACGAGAGAACGAAGAUGAGAGAGAAAGAGGAAAGAGAAAAAGUAAUAAGGGUAUUUUGGUCAGUUUGCUGAAAAAGCGGACCGAAUCUGCAAAAACGAAAAAGAUGGCCCGAUUUUGCAAAAGCCCAAAAUAAGUGAAUUUUUUAUGCAAAUUGGCCUUGAAAAAAUAUUUGGGAUUGAAAAAAUAUUUUAUAAAUUUCUGAAAAAAUAUAGAAUCGCCUAAUUGAAAAAAUAUUUUAUAAAUUUCUAGAAAAAUUUGGGAUUUUCUUUUCUGCUUAAAAAUUGAAAACGAAAACCCAAAGCCGAAAGCAUGCAGCUCUUGGUGCAUGCACGGUCCAUGAGGUCCACUUUACCUCAUGGGCCGCGUGGGAUGGAGUUCAUGGUGAUCCAACGUCGACUCCUCUCUCACUUAUAUAUAUAGUUCAGAUGGGAUACUAUCGAUAGCACCAAGAAUUUGGUGCUAUCGAGUUUUUCACCGUUAGAUUUAACCUUUUGAUUAUUUAUAUCCGUUAGAUUAUACUAUUCAACCAACCACCCACUUAACCCUAGGGGGCCCACAUCAUCCUAACCGUAUAUCUCUUAAUCCAAUGGCUAAAAAUCUACAAGCACCAAAAACUUGGUACUUUUAAAAGUAUAGGAGCUCGAAUAUAUAUAUAUAUAUAAUAUAUAUAUAUAUAUAUAAUAUAUAUAUAUAAAUAUAAAUAAUAUUUGUAGUAUUAUAAUUAUUAUAUAUCAAUAAUAUAUAAUAUAUAAAAUUAGAUAAAAUAUAUUUAUUAAAUAUUUCCCUUUUUUUUUCCUACGAACCAAACAGUACAGAGCGUAAAAUUUAUUUUUCUCUAACAAUUUUUUUUACCAAAUUUUUUUUAGUUUUAUGGUGGAAUUAAACACACCUUUACUGAAAGCUUUGAUAUUUACAUAUAAUAAUAUUUUUACUAAAUUAUACAUUAAAUUAUUUUUAAAAUAAUUGAAAUUUUGAAUUAAAAUUUAAAAUUUGUACAAAAUUUACAAUUUGAAUUUCUAAAGCUAAAUAUAAAUUUUCAAUUUCAAAUUUAAAAUCUAAAUUUAAAAUUUGACAUUUGAAAUUUACAAUUUAAGAAUUUUAAAUUAAAAAUUUAUAAUUUAAAUUUGAAAUAUAAAAUUUAAAAUUUAUAAAUUAAAAUUAAAAAUUAAAAAUUUGAUAAUUUAAAAUUAAAAAAAUAAAAUUUAAAAUUUAAAACUAAAAUUAAAAUUAAAAAUUUAAAAAUUUAAAAAUCUAAAAUUUAAAUUUUGAAUUUAAAAAAUUGAAAUUGGUAAUUUCAAAAAUUAAAUGUUUUAAUUUUAAAUUUUUUAUUCUUAAAUUUCAAAAUUCAAAUUUUAUCUUGAAUUUGAAAUUUGAUAUUUAAAGUUUUGAAUUUGAAAUUUUAAAAUUUGCUAUUUCAAAUUUAAAUUUAAAUUUUGUGUAUUAAUUUUAAAUUUUUUAUUCUUAAAUUUCAAAAUUUAAAUUUUAUCUUGAAUUUGAAAUUUGAUAUUUAAAGUUUUGAAUUUGAAAAUUUAAAAUUUACUAUUUCAAAUUUAAAUUUAAAAUUUAAAUUUAAUAUCUAAAUUUUAAAUUUUAAAUUCUAAAUGCUAGAAUUUAAAAAUUCAAAAAUAAAUUGAAAAAUUAAAUUAAACAAUAAAUUUAAAUUUCAAUUUUGAGUCGAAAAUUAAAAUACGAACAUAAAGUUUGAGUUGAAAAUUAGAAUUAGGAUUCAUGAAAUAGGCUUUUGCUGCUUUUGUUUUUCGGUCUCGAAAAUUCCAAAAAUAGUUCUAAAAAUUAGAAUUAGAUUUUCAAAAUAAAAUUGUCAAAUGUUCUAUUAAGUCAAAAAUCACUUUUGAGUACAAAAUCACUUUUCAAAAAUUAUACCAAACACCCCCUAUAUAUUAGAGCUGUCUGCAUUAAUUUGAUAUUAGUGCUUCAAAAUUUUAUUUUUGUCCUUCAUCUUCUUGAAUAGAGCAUCCUAUGGGUCUCACGUGGGAGCCCACUUUUAAGUUUUUUAUAUGUAAGGUUACUCAAAACUAAAAAUUAGUUGUUGCAUCUUUUAUACUCCAUAAUUCUCAAGCUAGUUGCUUGAAAGAUAAUGCGAGUGAUGCUUUCCACAAAGCACACACGCAUACGGCACGAGCACGAGCACGAGUCGACCCGGGCAGCGGCACGUAGGUCUCGGCUACUCAGUUCGAGUUUGCACCACCCUGAAAAUGCACAUGACGGGACGAACAAUGGUUGUUAUAUCGCUAGUAGUGAUUACCGGAACCUCACACGUGGAGGAACAAUCUCGUUUUUAGAACAGUGCUUAGCGCGCUUCGAUUCAUAAGUCUCAUCUGAUUUUUCAUCCUUACAAUAUUUAGUUAUUAAUUCUUGCAUGUAUUUUAAAAACGCUUGUUUAACUUUAAACUUUAUGUUUUAAAAUAUUUAAAAAGAAUAUAAAUUUUACUAAUUAAAUUAGAGAGAAUUUUUCUAACAAGAGCCACAUAAGUCGAAAAUUAUGGCACAUUAAUUUGUUGAAAUUUAUGCUAUCCAAAUGCUUAAAUCUCUAUGUUUGGAUAUUUUAGAUAUGACAAUUCUUUAUUCUAGUUAAUUAAUUAUUUAAUUAUUAUUUAAUGUGGGAUAGAAACAUGUGAGCUCCUAAUAACGUCUCUCUUUCGUUCUAUGUUCAACCCAAUUGUCUACCUCCAAGUGUUGACCGAUCUAAUCUCAGCUUUCCUCCAACACACGCCAACAAAUUAUUCUCUACUGGUGUUGGGCCCAUACUUCGCGACGAGUAGAUAAUAUUUUAAAUAAUCAACAUAUAUAAUACUAUAAGACUAUAAAUUAAAAAUCUUAUAACAAAAAAAAAAACAAAAAAAAUCCAUAUAUAUAUAUAUAUAUAUCCUUUUAUAUAAUAUUAUAAAAACUAUUUUUUUUAUUUGUAUUUUUUAACUUUCAAUAUUUAUAGAGUUAAAAUAUUCUAAUAACUUCACUUACAAAUUCAAUCAAAUUUGUUAGUUUUAGUAGCUAUUUUAUAAAUAAAUUUUUUAAUUAAAAAGUUAAAAUUGGAGAAUUUAAUCUAAAUUGCCAAAUACAUCAGGUUGUUUUUACCUUAUUAAAUCGAUUGAAAAAGAAUAAGUUAUUAUAUGCACCUAGUUUAUAUUAACACACCAUACACCGCAACUUAUAUUAGAGAACGAAUUUCUAAUAUCAAAAUUUAAUUACAUAUGUCUGAUCUAAAAAGUCUAAUAGUUUAAAUAUGUUUACUGAAUUAAAUUUUAAAAUCUCUAUUAAAGAUUUAAGUAUGUGGUGGAUAUAAAUAUAUACACCCGGUGUAAAGAAUGCUUAAUAGAGUGCACUCAUAAUUUUAAGAAAGAGAGCAAAAAUCAUUGCUUGCAUCUGAUGUAUACUAAUAUUUCAUACACCGUAAAAGUAUAUUAGAUGAUUGAUAGAAUAUCCGAUAAUUUGUAUUGUGAAAUAAAAUAUGAUAUUGGAGUACAUCUCUUGUGCUUUUGAAAGUACGGAGGCCACCGUUCUUGUAAGUUAUUUCCAGUAAUAGGACAUCCGAUUUAACGAUCGGCUCUUUUAGGCAUAACUUACGCUAUUGAAACUAUUUAGAUACCAAAUUUUAUAAUUUUACAACAUCAUUUACCACGUGAUCAAAAUGUCUCAAAAAUAACUAUUUUAAUGAACGAUGUGGCACGUUUUAAAGUUAGAUAGUGUAGAACAAUCCAAAUUAGAUAAAAGUUUAAUAAAAAAUUUUACUUAAUAUCAAUAGCAAUAUCAAUGUUUUUAAUUUAAAAUUUGAGUCUUUUAUCACUAUUUUUUAUGAAAUUUUUAUUUUCAAUAUUUUUUUAGGCUACUUGUUUACUAGGUAAAUAAAGUCAAAAAAUUAUAAAAUUUAAUUUCUAGAUAGUUCAAAUAGCGUAGAUCAUGUCUAACAGAACUGAUCAGCGAAUCGGUUGUCCCAUCAUCGAAAAUAACUUACGAGCAUAAAGGCCUCCGAGCUUUUGAAAAUAUAGGAUCUUAGCUCUAUAAUAUAGUAUAUAUAAUAUAAAAUAUUUAAAAAAUUUAUUGUACUGUAAAAAUUGAUCUUUGAUGCAUAUUUUAUAUUCGAUUUACGAUGCAAUGAAUGCAUCCAAAAUUCCUAUUACAUAUGUGGCAAGCUAAUAUUUGUUGCUGCCUUAAGGGUUCUUUGAAAAGCUCUUUUUCAUAAUUCCAAAGAGCAGUGGAGAAAUUUUUAUGCACCUAGUAUAUAUUAAUAAGUAUAUAUAUUAAAUUAUUAAUAAAAUAUUUAAUAAUUAAUAUUUUAAAAUAAAAUAUAAUAUAUUAUACGUAAUAUAAAAUAUUUAAAUAAUUUAUUAUACCAUAGGAAUUUAUUUUGAUGCACAUUUUAUAGUCAACUUAGGGCACAAUAUAUAGGUGGAUCCAAAACUUCAAUAAGGUAUGUGGUAAGUUCUCAUUGGCUAUUCCCUAAAUUAAAGACACGGCUCUCUGAGAGGACAUCUUUGUGAUGUGAUAAAAUUGUCAAUUAUAUUUUCUUUUAUGCAUAUUUUAUAGUCAAUUUACAGCGCAAAAGGUGCCUCCAAAACUUCUAUUAGCUAUGUGGCAAGUUCUCAUGUGCCUCUUUCAGAGAAAAAAUUUUAGAAUAUACCGGGUAUAUUAAUGAUAUGACGUCACAAACCAAUCAAAUAAAUUCUUUUAAAGAUAUAUGUCUCAUCAUAAUUGUAAAAAAAUAUUUUUAUUAUAUUUUUGUUUGAAAAAAAAAUAUAAUUGACUUGUUAUUGAUGACGUGGUACAAGCGUGACAGUAUAAAACUUCUCCUUUAAGAGGCCAUCUUUGUGAUGUGAUAGAGCUGUGAAUAUAUAUUUUGUAACCCACACAUUCGAGCUAGCCCACGUGCCUAACCAGCGUUUCCCAGCCCAAAUAUAUAGUCCUAAUUUAUAAAGACCUACUAGCUAGGUCUUAUCAAGUGCGCACCAGAUGACUCCACCUCUACAAACUGGUCAUAUUAUCUAUUAUAGUGCUACACAGUUUGGCAAAUUAUCAAGGAUCUUAAGACCAUUGACCUUAUUUUUGCACCUUAUUUUUGCUAAUCCUUAAUAAGAAAUUCCACCCCAACUGAAGGCUUUUAUAAGCUAAAGAAUGUGACAUAUUUGUUUAACUUAUCUAACCCGAAAAUUUAAGCUUGAGGGUUUAGACCUAUUGAUAUAUUUUAAUCAUUGGCUAAUUUCAUACAGAUUCCUGCAAAUAUAGUGAAUUGUAAAUAUAUUUUUUAUGAAGUUCAACUUUUAUAUGUUGUCCCUGUAAAAAUCUUAAUAUUUUCAAAUAUAUUCCUACUGUUAGACUCCGUUAGAAAACUUUAGUUAACCAUACAUAGGUUAAAUGCUUAAUUUUGGUUAAUUUUUUAGAUAGCUUGAUAUUUUUAUCUCUCUUAUAUUAUACUGUUGUGGCUUUUGGAGGAAGAUAUUUAUGAUGGCAAAAUUAACAUUUCUCUUAAAAUAUAAACAGUUCUAUAACGGUAACAAACAAGAGAGACACAUUUGAAAAUAUUAGAACUUUUGUAGAAACAACAUAUGAAAGUUGAACUUUGUAAAGACAUAUUUGCAAUUCACUAAAUUUGCAAGGACUAAAUGCAUUUAACCCUUUAAUCAUUAAGGUGUUAUUUUAUGUGGUGCAAUAUAUUCUCAUGUGUCAAAUUCUAAUAGUUUUUGAGAAAGAAGAAUUUUGAAUUUGUAGCUUAUAUAGUUGAUUUGAGUUGAGAAGCUAAUUUGACUUUCCUCAAUAGAACCUACUUUAACUUUCUCUUGUAAAAAUAUUUGAAAUUUUCUUUACUAGCAUUAAGUGCUAGCUCCUCUAAUUCAUGGCCUCUUGUUAGAUUAACACCAAAUUGUUAGAAACUAUAUAUGAUAACUUUCAUAUAAAAUUUAUUUUAAGGAUAAUUUUGUUUUGAGGUUAAAGAGAUGAAAUAUGUGACACCCUAAACACCUCACAUUAGAUGAGAAUGAAAUUAUGAUUGAAUAUAUAAGAGACUAUAGAUACUAGUAAUAAUAACUGGACUUAAACAUUUUGGGCCGGUGGUUUCGGCCCAAUAAGUUAUUAUUACUAGCAGGUCGGGUCGUUACAUUUAGUAUCAGAGCCAAUCACUUAGCUAAACCAGAGUCGAAAUGACAAAACUAGCGAGACAAAUCUAGCGUUGCCUAGUGAUUAACAUCGCCUGAUGAUACCGACCGUCCCUAGAGCAAGUGGCAAAGGGUUUGGUGGUUGGUACUCGAGACCCAAGUUCGAAUGCUAAUUGAUUCACAUUUCUAGCUAAGUUUAUUUUUAAAUAAAAUAAACGAAGCGGGUAGCGUGCUACUUAUCUCUCAAUAAAAAAAAAAAAAAAAAAAAAAAAAAACAANCCUAAAUGGGUGGAUGAAAUUGUGAAGAUAAAUUUUAAUUUCCAGCAAUAUAAAUUUGCUAAUUUCAAAUAUUAGUUAUAAAAAAAAUAAAAAAUAACAAGACUAGUGAUGAUGAAAUUGUAAGAUUACAAGCCCAUUUGGGUUGUAGGGCUAGCACUUCUCAUUUGGUCAUAAAACACUGUUUCAUUUUCUUUAUCCUCUUUUCUUAAACUCCAAAAAUAUCAAAAUAAUAUUAAAAAAUUCCAAAUAUUUAUAGAAAAAAUUUUAGAAAUUGUGGAAAACCUACGGAUUUCCUUGCAAAGGAAACGUUGAAAAAUUUGUGGACUUACCUUGACGAUGAUACGUCGUAUCUUUCGAUAUUACCGCCGCAAAUGGAGCCGUGGAUUGGUGGACAAUCACCAAAUCAAACUACUCUCAUUUCUAAUUUUUUGAAUCAUCGCAUCUUAAUUACAGCACUGAUAUCAAAUUAUUAGGAUUUUCUAUCUUAAUGUGAUGCCUCAGUUUAAUUUAUAGGGGGGUCAUCUAUUAUAUUACUUCUCUAGUCCUAGUACGAUUAACUUUUUUAAACAUGUGGGUUAAUCAUCAUCCAAAAUACUAUAACUUAUGUAUAGGAUUAUUAAUUUUAUAUUCUACAUUUCUUCCUUCUUUAAAUGCUGAUGUUCUCGUGAGGCUUAAAAACACUCACAAAUAUUAGGCAAUGUGAGGCUCGUCUCGCCAGUUUUAACCGAUCUUGUGGGGAGCUGCGCGCGCUUCACCCACAACGACCGUCAGCUGUGAAGUCACACUCUGACUGCUAUGUAACCUCAACUCGAUCGAAACUUAUUUCACACUUUCGGCUAGUGAUUGGUUCUGAUAUCAACUGUGACACCUCACUUUCGAGAGGCAUCACCCAUCCGAAAACUACUCUAACCCUAGGACACUUACCAUUUAACCUCUUAGACCUAGCAACUGCCUAAAAUAUUACACCCAAGUUAAGAGAUUUAUAUAUCACUAUUAUAUCUUAUAUAUUUGACCAUUUCAAAUCAUACAUUUAAUGAUAACAAAGAUACAAAAUCAUUACGAGAAAAUUAAUGCUCACUUAUUUAAGAUUUAACAAUUAUUCUUUGACAUUUAUUAAUUUUAUCUCUAAUUUGAUUGAGCUUGUUUCCUAAAUUGAAGUGGCAGGUAUAUAAAUUCUAUUGUACUUGGUUGCAAUUUAAAAAUACAGGUUAGAGUUAGUCUUCUUAUUUCUACAAUAAUUAGUCAGGCUCGCUUCAAAAUUUAUUCUUCUCUUUAAUAUUCUUUUUUUAUGUUUUAUUUAUGCAGUAAAAUAAAUAGUGUGAGACGUUAUUUACUGUGAAGGUUUGUCACCGUAACAAGUCCUGUUUCAUUGAUGCCUCUGAUGGUUAAAUCACUGUUACUAUUUUUUAUUAACCAAACAGUCGGAUCGUUGGCGCUAAUCAUUAAUCCCAAAAAUUCAAAUUGGUAGAAAUAUAUAACCAAUUCAAAAAAACUCAAGCUGGUAGAAAUAUAUAACCAAUUCAUUUAAAAAGUAUAGACAUAUUACCCACGAGUCUCGAUUGUGAUUAGAUUCAACCAGUCUCAUGCGACUUCGAACAUGACUUGAUCGAAUCUAGCCUCACGACAUUUCGAACGUGAGUUUAAAAAUUCUUUGAGUUUUUAGUAUUAAAAAAAAUUUGAUAAGAUAAGGGCAUAAUAUGGCCUUUGGAUAUGUGAGGGUGGAAAACUUGCAUCCUUUUUGAGGUCUACUAGUAGCAGGGCUCAAAAAUGAUAUAUCGGGGCAAUUUCAAACUUAAGAAGUUAUAUAAUAUUAUGGAUUAUGGAUGUUCUUCCAAAAUUGUUAAUAUUUUUGUCACUAUAAAUUAAUGAAUUAUAUUAAAAAUGUCCUUCAGCAUGUUUUAGGCUAAUUUGUCCCUAGUUAUACGUACAUUUUUUUUAUUAAACAGGGGUAUACCUAUUUAAGAGAAUAUACAAGUCGGAAGCAAAAAGGAAAGCAAAAAGGAAAGGAAAAGGAACUUGCUCGGCCUCGAAAUCUUGAAGCAAACACAACCAAACAAACUAGAAUUAGGCUCUAAAAAACAAAAUGCGCUCUCAAGCCCUCAGGACAGAUAGCCAUAACUUAACUGCGAAAAAAACAACUCUCCUUCCCAAUUCUUUGCAUCGAGCUUGUCGAUUGCCGAAUAUUCUCGAAUUCCGCACAUUUCAUAGUUUCCAGCAAGCUGCGGAGAAAUAGAAAUCAAAAGUAGUUUUCGAUAGCGCCGACAGUGACAUCCUGACUCGACUUCACCUAAUCGCCAUAUCCCUAGUUACGUUUGACAUCAACUCCCUAGUAGUCAGAAUGCUUUGAAGUAGCUAAUUCCACAUGGACCUGGAAUAGCUACAGCAAAAGAGUAGAUGUCCUACGUUUUCUUCGUUCGUGGAGCGUAACAGAUUGAUAGAAGAGUCAUGCCAGGCCACCACGCUUUGCUAGUGUGUCUGCUGUCAAAAUCCUAUUUCUCACCGAUAGCCACAUGAAUAAUUUAAUCCUGAGGGGAGCCUCGAGUUUUCCCUAAAUAUAUCUUAUUACAAAAAUUUUGUGGUAUUAAAUGUUGGCUCAAUUUUUAUUAAUUUUUAUAAAUUGAGUUUAUGAAUGCCUUUUUUGUUUACAUAAGUUCAUUUUUUUAAUUCAAUAUCAUAUAGGUCUCAAGUUGAUCUUAAUUAACAAUUAAUUAAAACUAAAGAUAUAUUAAUUGUACAUUUUUAUCAAUUUAUUUUCUAGUUUAUUUAAAUUAGUACGAUUUUUUUUUGUAUAUUAUUUGCGUAGUUUAGUUUGUUCCAGUUAAUGAGUUUCAAUUUAGUAUACAUCUAACUAUAUUAAGUUAAUUAAAAAAGGCAUUGCUAAUAGAUGAAGGGCAAAAUAAAUAUUUACCUUUUAGAUGAAUUUUUAUCAAUAUAUUGGUGUUUAUGAUAGUUUUUCCAAAUUAGAGAGGUAUGUUUUAUAUCAAUAUUUUUAAAGAAGUUUCUUUUAAACCACGAUUUGGAUGAAUAAUACACACUAUAUAUAUAAAGAGGAAAGAAAAAACUCUAGUCCGAUUAGCGAUUAGUAUUCCUUGAAUCCAUGGCGUAAUCUAAUUCCGACUUCGUCAAACUCGAUUGUGCAAUGGAUAUAGUAGCUGCUCGAUCGCGCCAUUGCGCACAGCUUUUCUGGCGCGCAACCCCGCACGCCUGUUUGGAUGGUGCAGUUGUGCGUGUGGUGCCACGUGCAACCGCACAUCCGUGCGUCUCUGGGAAAGCUCUGAAUUGGAGCUUAGACGAGCACUGCGGUUCACCGCUUGGCCUAACAAGUCCUUGUAUGAAAUUGGUAUGGUUCAGAUGAUAAUAGAACAAAUAUAUAUCACUCUCAUGUGUCACGUCUCAUUGAUCGGUUUCGUGAUAUGAAUGGCAACAAUUCGAUCCUCGUCUUAAUCGUCACCCCACAAUCAAUUUAGUGAAGUAGGAACCGGACCUCGCAUGAGCUAAGAGAUUGCACGAACCAACUCACUAACAAGAUUGCAGAUCACAGCGAAUGUCGAGCUCGACUUAAGCUAGAUAUAUCACAUUCUUGGACUUACGUGAGCUAAGCCAGAUCAAAACCUUUCGAACAUUUUAGUGACUCUUAUGAAUACGACGUACUCAUAGAAGAUGUCAUGGUAACGUGAUAUAUUGGUUUGGUAACGCUCAAAAUUGUAUUAAGUCCAAGAACGUGCAGGUAAUUAGUUGCUUCACACUAAACACAUGGUCUCGAGGGAAAGAGUUAGGUGCAUAUAUAGACUGAUCGGAUGAGUGGAUUCAUGGUGACUUAAAAAAUAGAUGAAACAACUAAUUGAACAUUCACUUAAUUAUACGCUGAUAAUUAAUUAAGCAAUUGAUGUUCAAUCAAUCCUUUCUACAAUGAGAAACGUGAAGUCUACAACAUUCCAAAAAAGGUUGGAAUCCUGCAACCAUCCUAGUCCUAGGGUUGAGUCAGCACUUUUUUAAUUUUAAUAUUAAAAAAAAAACAUAUAUAGCUAUUAAAAAAGAAAAGGUUAGUAAGAUUAACGUACGGAACUUAGUUUUUAGAUGGCGAUAUAUGUUGUAGAGUUAUAAUUUAUAUUGGAUUUGCGUGGAUAGCAAUCUCCAAGAAGAUGCAUGCCUUGCAUUCGAUCUACAUCAUAUUUAUUUCUAAAUAUAUAGGACACGCAAAGUAGAAGACUCAAUCUGUAACGAGAAAUGGCAGGAAAAAUUAACUACUUGGAUCUACUUAGUCACGCCGUGAGAUUAGACAGGCAUGCAUAUUACAAUAAGAGAGAAAUAUUUUUUUUUUUGAGAAAUAGGUAACACGCUAUCCAAUUCAUUCAUUGUAAGGAUGAAUUAGGCUAUAUGGGUGAGGCAACGAUGGCCUCGGGAGUGGGUGAAAACAAAAAAAAAAAAAAAAAACACUUGGACCCAAAAGUUGGUCCCAAAAUACUACGAUCUGCCAGACAAAACUCGGUCCCAACACUUCGUCAUAUGAUUAACAAGGGAGAAAUGUUAAAUCUACAACUCAGAAGGAUUUGUAAUUUCAGGAUUAUAAUAAUAGAGUUAUGUGAAUACGCCGAGAAAUACUACAUGUGCAAACAGCUAACUUUGUGGAUGUAAAUCUUACACCCGCUAUCUAAAAAUAUAUGGAACCUCUUUUGGAGUUCCAACAUUAAAAUAAAAUAAAAAGUAAUGAGAGUACUAGUGUGGAAAAGGUGGCUCUCAAAUGACAAGGAUGCGAAAUUUGCAUUCAUUUUUGAAAGUAACUAGUCAAGCCCCUUUUUUUUGUAUUCUUUCUCUCAUAUAAAACUAGGCUCCAAAUCUAGGAGAUGGUGUGGCAAUUAAUGUCAAUGCCUCAUAACUUCAAACAACAAGUACAACAAGCAUUGGUUGUUAUCGUUUUGAACAUCGUUGUCCAUCCACUACUUAUCUAGCUUUUAAUUCCAAUGUUGUAGUGUUAGAGUCACAUACGGCAUUUCUUUCUCUCUCUCUCUCCUUUUCAAUUUGUGGUGUUUUCCAAGCACACAAAAUCGGGUAUGGAAUCCAAGUCUCCCUGACUUGGUGCCAUUUUUUCUUUGCAAAAGUCAUCCGAACUGAAGGCCGGGCUUGCAAAUUCGUUCUUUAGACGUAACCAUUUUGAUGCUUUUUUGAAAAAAAAAAAAAGAUUGACUGAAAAAUAGUACUAAGCGAUUCGUUUCAUUCAUAUUUCUUUUUUGACGAACUGAUCAGCUAAAACUGUGAGACAAUUAGGCAUUCAAACUAAAUUCAAAUAGAAAAGUAAAGCGAGUCGAUGGCUUCUGGUGAAGGCCGAAGCUGCAUGGAGGGGAAGAAGAGGAAGAACGAUAAAGAUGAAAUUAUUAUUCAAAUCUCAAAAUCUGAAUUAUAUUAACUAAACAUUAUGUCUUUAUAUAUAGAGGCGAUACCCGAAUCCUACUAAACAAAAAUAAUAAAUUCUAAUAUAUAUCUAAACCUAAUUAGAUUAUAAAUAAUCAAAUAAUCGGACUAAAAAUAGAAAAAAUGCAGGACUUUUCGGAAAUAAUCUAAACAUAUAAAAACAGAUCGAGGCCAAAAUAAUUAAAUAUCGGUCCCAAACUCGGCCGGAAUGGCUGCUCAAUUUGAUGCAUCGAUCUCAAAAACUAUUUUCUAAAUUAGAGUUGCACGCUAAAUUCAGACACUCGAGCGAAAAGUUAUGAUCGUUUAAAGAUAUCUCAUGCCAAGUGUAAAAUUUAUCAGAACUCAACGAAAUUUUUGGCUCAACUUGGUCGAAUCGUGUUUUUUCAAAACUUCGAACGCCAAACUGGUCACAUUUGCUUCGAACUUAAGAUUUCCGUACCAACCAUCAAGUACUUAACUAACUGCAUGCAUACGUUAGAUGCAGUCAAUAUUUUGUUACUCUAUAGAUCACGAUUUAGAAAUCUAAUAUUAGAGGUGCAAAUUAAUUGACGUGGGAAACUUCAUCGAACUAUCUGAGACGAUAUGUUAUUUUUAUGGAGACGCUAUUGCAACUUUAAAGCAUCAAACUAAUUACAUAUGCAUUCACAAAGUAGCUAGCCAAAAAAUGAUCAGUGUAAUGCUAUUAGCUAGAUGGGGGAGAGCUCGAUCGGCUCAGGAAAGUGCAUAAGCAAAAAUAUAUUGUCUAAGCUCUUUAAGUCAAAACCUGCUGCUCUGAUACCAUACGAAAUAACCGUUGUAUUAAUUCGUAAAAACUAUUAGAGAACAGUAUUUAAAUAUAUUUAUAUUUAACAGUUUGCUACUAAUUUCAUUUGCAUUAUAAUUCGGAAUUUAUUCUACGUACUGUUUGGCCCACCAUUCAGUAAUCUUUUUAUUCAAAAUUUGAACUAGACUUAUUUACAGGGAAAAGACAUUAGAGGAGCACAUUUUCCUGUUUGACUCACCAUUCACUAAUCAUUCUAUUCAAAAUUUGAGCUAGACUUAUUGACGGAGAAAAGACAAUAGAGGAGCGCUUUUUCCUCCAAAAAUCGCGUAAAAUCUAGAGAAAAAAUGAAAAGGUUUAAUGGAAGAAGCAAGAAAGGAGAAAACUACAACAUAAAAUGAUGGGAUCCGUUUCUUUAUAGUGCAAGCUUUUAUGAAUACAUCGAUACUCCAAAUUUAUUGGAAAAUAGAGAUUAACUCAAUCUCAAAGAGAUAUGAUUAAACCAGCAAAUACGGAAAUCACAUCAACUUGAUUUGACUUUAAAAGACGAGGAAUCUGAACCCAAAAUGACCCGAAUCCGAAGUGAACCAAGACUCGAGACAUUUUAAAUCAAAACGAUAUGAAAAACCUAAUGUGAAUCAACUAGAAAAUAAAAUGAAACGCAAGAGCAUGUUUAUUUUAUCGAAACUGAAUUUUGGGUUGCAGUGAAAUUCGCUAGAAAUUACUUUUUUCUGCAGUUUAUUUCGUAGUUAUAAAAGUAAGUUUUAUUAGUUCUGAUGUUUGUUUAGUAGAAAAUAUAUGAUGUAAAAUUAUAAUUUAUGUAUAAAUAAUAAAUAAUUUAAUAAAUAAAAAAUAAUUUAAUUAUAUUUUUUAAUUUUUGUCAUAUUUUAAUUGUACAAAUUAAAUAAAAAAAUAUUAAAACUUAAUUAAUUAAUUUUUAUAAUAUUUUAAAUAUGUUAACUGAAUAAAAGAAUAAUUACUACCAUAAUUAAAUAUAUUUAAAAAUAAUUAUCUUUAUUUAGUAUAUUAUUUUAUUAUUUUUCUUCACCUCUCCUUACUAUAAUUGANAAUUGUACAAAUUAAAUAAAAAAAUAUUAAAACUUAAUUAAUUAAUUUUUAUAAUAUUUUAAAUAUGUUAACUGAAUAAAAGAAUAAUUACUACCAUAAUUAAAUAUAUUUAAAAAUAAUUAUCUUUAUUUAGUAUAUUAUUUUAUUAUUUUUCUUCACCUCUCCUUACUAUAAUUGACUUCCGCCCACCACGUGCCGAAAUUAAUUACAUCGUUUCAGGUUAACUCAAAUUUCAACUAUAACUUAUUUACGGUGAACCAAACAACAGAGAUAAUUGUUUAUAGCGAAAACGACUUUCCUCCUCUCCACUUUCAUCCCACUUCCACCCAAACAAAUAUGCCCCAAAUAUAAUAAUACAUUCAGCACUGCGACCUCAGUGAGCUGAAUUUGAAUGAUCAAAAUGCCUGUAAUUGAGCUAGUUUUGAACACUUGAAACAUUAUUGUGCUUUUUUCCUAUCUCGGAUUAUGUCACAUUGUAUUAUUUUCUCACUACACAUUAUUUUCUGAAUGAGUUAACCGGAACGGUUAGAUAAACACGUUCGCUCUAUCAAGACCACUCAUGUAAAAAUUCCAAGGACACUACAACAAAAAUGGUAUAUAGCGAUACUUUUAAAUGUCGGUAUAGGACAAAAAAAGUACUGCUAGCUAAAUUACCAACAUUUUUAAAAAGUGUUGUUAUAUAUGGGGUCGCUAGGUAUAUAGUGAUAGUUUAAGAGUGUUGGUAUAACUUAAAAAGAAUGCUGCUAAUUUACCAACACUUAUUUAAGCAUUUAGUAACCGCCGGAACUCUACCUCGUCGACUGCAGCGCGGAGGAGGAGGAGAGCGAGGGGCUCUCCGUCUAGGGUUUCAGUAGAUUGAGUGAGGGGAGAAGAGGAGAUGGUGAUCGAUUUUUCUUUUUUCUUUUUUUUUCCUUUUCUGUUUGUAAUCGGGACGAAUGGACUGGAUGAGAUGGGUUGAGUAGAGUAACUUUUUAUUUUUGGUUAGAUUGAGCUUUAUAUUUAGGCCUUAGUAGAAUUUUUUAAAUAUUUUGGCAUAAAUGUGACACUUACGAAAAAUGUCCCAAAUAUGUGUCCCUAUAACCUAAUUCUGUUGUAAUGGAUUAGUCGUACCAUCGAAUUGGCUAUGCUUUGGUCGAAUCCUUGGCUAAACUUUGGCAACUAGUGCUCGAAUCUUCAUUUCUUUUCUUUCUUUAAUGUAAUUUUUGUUAGUGUUAUGAGCCGAAUUCUCCAACCAUCGACCCGGUCAAAGAUCUCCUUUGGGAUGCGUGCGAGGAGUAGAUGCGUGCGAGUAGAUACGGCUGUACGCUGUGACCCUCGAAAUAUGCGCCCUUCGACUGAUCAAGCGAUUCGGCUAAUGAGGGAUCAGAUCAGCCAAGUUCGAAACUCUCUAACACAGAAUCAGUUCGGUUGAAUGAGCCGAAUAGGAUAUUGCGUAGUAAUUUUAAGUCAGCUGAUGAGCUAAAUGACCUUUAUAUAUUCAAACUUAAAGUCGAAAAAACUUGUACAAAAGAGAUUGUGCCUGUAAGGCAUACAGACUUUAGGAAAUCUAACUUACAGACUACUCCUAAAAAAGGCAGUAAAUGCAGGAGAGGAAAGAUUACAGAUAAACUACUCCUAGAAAAGUAAGAAAAAUGCGCGGAAAUAGAAAGGUGGUCUUCUGUUCGCUGGAAAAAGACCCCUCUUCCAGGCGUUACUCGCCUAUUUAUAGUCCGCGCAUGGUUAUUCGGUUAUGUACACGAUCGACUACUUUCCUGAUUUCGUAGGCCACUACAAGCCGAUUCUAACCACUCAAGCCGCUUGCGGUUAUAUUGUGAUUUACUUUAUGCUCCUGGCGCACCACAUGUCAAGUUUUAGAAUCCCUUACGAGUUGAGCGCCAAUUUUCCACGUGGCAUUUUAUUGGUGUCAACAAUUGCCCCCUCGGCAGCCCCCGAACAAGUGGUUCCGUAGCUGACGUAAUCUCUUCCAAAGGCGUGGAUUUCGAAAUUAUUAUUUCGAGUUGUUUUGUACCAUCUUUCUCUCAGCCAUUCUUUCACCUUUGACGGCCACGAUCUCCCACACAUUCCUUUUUGUCUCUUAUGCGGCAUUUAUUAGGUCAUUUAUUGCGGCUGUCUUGUCAUCAUUAAAGCCGUUUUCAGAAUUCUAUUCGACGGCCCUUUUUCUUUUUUUUCUCUUUUGUUUUCUUUUUCUCUACGCUUUCUUUUUCCUCUCUUCGUCCUUCGUUUUUCUUUCUUCUUCCUCUUCGCCCGAGAAUCCCUUUCUUCUUUUGUCUUCUCUACUUUUUCUUUCGUCUCCUUUAAUGGCUUCGUUUCCUCAUCUUCUUUUUUCUCCACCUCUCAUUUACACUUUACUUAAACAAUAUGUUGGGUCGGAACCUUCUUAAUUUAUUUUAUAUCCCUCGUUUACAGAUGACCCUAUCCCUGAGAAUUUUCCUUUCUCAAGUAAGGGUCUUCCUUUAAUGGCUGAUGUCAUUCAUCUCCACUCUUGGUAUGCUUCAACUUCGAUGGGAAAAAAUCUUCGGACUUGGCCGAAUGUUUCGGAAGCAUAUCUCGCUUGGUUGGAUUGGGUGGAAGCGUCGUAUGCCGAUCUCUGGCGCGAGAUUGGAAUUUAUGAAGCCAUUCAAUUAUCUCGAACACCUCCCAUAGCUGAUAACCUUUUUUUGGCUGCGGCUCUUUGUUUCUUGUCCCCUGUUUCCAACACCUUCUUUUUUAGAGCGGGACCCUUUACCCCUACUCUCCUUGAUGUAGCAGCGAUCGUUGGUUUGCGCCCUCACGACAUUACUCUUUCGAUGGCCUACAAUCCUAACGACGUGACCGAUUUUAAGGCCCGUCUUGAUCUACCUGAUCUAACUUAUACCAAGUUUAUUCUCCGGUUCGCAGGCCAAUCCGCUGCUUCGGUUACAAAGAAGGAGCACACAAUAUUCCUUCUCUACUGGUUAUGUCAUAACCUCUUCUGUACUCGUUCACAGAAGAUAAAUCGACAUUUUGUUUCAAUCGCCGUAGGUUUAGCUAAUGGCAAAAAAUUAGCCUUGGGUGUAUAUUUUCUUGCUUUGUUUAUAGAGAAAUUUUUGAUUCAAUCAAACCAUUACCAUUCGGAGAAGGUUUUGCAAUUAUGAUAGCAGGGACUAUUUUGGGCAGCAUGAGGCCACUUGGUGUGACCUCUGGACUAGUUGCCGAAGCAUUCGAUACCCUUGCGGAAUCAAAAUUUCUUCCUGAUGCAUUUUUUGACAAAAUUGUCGGCGGAACGCAGUGACAGUUGUCGAGUCCACUUGUUGGUAGUGCUAUCACCCCUGGUGCAUUGCAGAGCCUUGUUGGCUAAUUACACUGAUUGUCUUAAGUUUCUGAAGACAACAAGUGAGCGACGGAGGGUUUCAGUGCUAAAAACAGCACUUUUGGGAACCUGGAAUGGUAAUAUAUGCAUUUUGGUGUAUCUCGAUGUUGUGGGCUGACGGUGGCUAUCCGAACACCCAUGUUGGUGCAUUUCGGGACAGCGGCGAUUAGUCUUGUACUGUGGUAUCUUCCGAAACACUCUGUGGCAAUCGAAAGUGUUUCGAUGGAGUUUUGGAACUCUCGGAAGUUUUGGGGUUGUGGGUUUAGUGUUUUAGAGUCAAAUUGGUGGAUCUUGACUCGGUGGGUCUUUCCUAAAUCCAGUCGAUGUCCCAGCAUGCCUUGAGCAUUAGACAUUGCGACGAUUUUAGGUGGGUGCUUCAAUCCGGAGUCGGUAUAGUGGUGCUAGCUCGUUGAUAUUAUUCUCUUACCCUUUUUCAUUUUCUUUGCAUAUUAUUGAUGAGCAUAUCGCCACUAGACUUUCGAUUUAUUUACUCUACUUCUGCUCGUUCAUAUAUUUGUAGUAGAAAGGUGUGAGAUGAUUGCAUGAUUUCUAUCUGUGGACCUAAUUGGUUAGUGUUGGCCGGUUCACCGAUCUGGUGAUCUAUUGUGGACAUGUACAUUGUUUAUCGACUUAUUCUCGGCUGUUUGUCGUUUCGUUGACCAUUGAGCAUUUCGUGUCAAUCGUCACAACUCAUGUAGCAUGUCACGUACACUAGCGGUUUGGCCACCGUAUUGGUGUUUUUUUUUCGAAAAAGUGGUCGUCUUCUCAACCCGUGAGCCUCUGCAAGGUGCUAGCAAGGGGUUUUGUGCCAGGUGGGUGAGCAAACUGUGACACUGCCUGCGGUCUUUAGACCUAUACGGCGAGGUGCUUGGAUAUCGGUUUCAUACAGCUGAUACAUUGAUUAUUAUUUACAGUAGCGGUAGGUGAUUAUUGUUAUUCAUAUCCAUAUUUAUUUAUCCGCUAUCGUGCAUAAUUAUCUAUCUAUCUCAGUUGUUUUCUCUCGCAAGUGAGUACACUCGCAUUCGUCGGCUUGCGAUGCCCACUCGAAGAUCCUUGUUGGUUUCUCACCCCCCCUCCCCUUCAGGUGAUAUUGGCGGUGGGAGUCGGGAUGGGGUGUGUGAGGUGCAACAACUUGCGAGUUUUAGAGGUCCCGGCAGUUCUACAUCAUCUACGGUUAUUUUGAAUCAACCCUCUUACAUUUAUGGUUAAUAAAUUAGACACUGUGGUUCAGUUAUUUGUUUGAUUGGUUGUGAAUUCUUGAAUAAUCUUGGUGGUAGAUGAUCAUUUAAUUGCAAUUACUUGAAAUAAUUAUUCUUUUGGGAUUUUCUAUGUGAUGGUAUUUUAGUUGUAUAAUAUGUGAUUUUGUACCCCUCGAGCUAGUCGCCAUUUUCAAAAAAAUAGGUUUCCGUGUGGGAGACUACUUUCAAAAGGCUUUUCGGUUUCUCGAUCCUUAGUUUUUCAAAAAUAAAGUUUUAAGGUUGGAAACACUUUCAAAUGGUAGACUUGGUUACUGUAAUGAGCAUUUGCAUCAUCCUUCGCCUACGGAGUGCUUAGAGCAUGCAAAGGAUUGUUAGCUGAAUGUUUAUUGUGAGCAUAUGCAUUGUGAAUGCUGCUUGUGUGAUUGAAUGUAGUGUCGCAACAGCUCUUAUAGUGGUACGCCGUGCAAAAACAGGGGAGACUCUGUCCUAGUGGUGGCCGGAGGAAAACAUGUAUUUUGUGGCAGGUCUGUUUCGUCCCCUGACAUAUUUGUAUUUCAAAAAACAAAAGAGGCAAUUCCGUUGGCUUCAUUUUCAAACCAGUUUUUUCUUCGAAAAAGCUUUACAAAAAGGGGCCUCGGGGCGUGACAGGGGUCUCACAGAUAUAAUCAGGCUAAAACUCUUAAUCCGGCUAUAGCAUUUUAGCGAUGGCUAGGCCCAAAAGGUUAAGAGAGUUAAGUGUGUUAGGGCUGGAGUAGUCCUAAAAUGGGUGACCCUCUAGAAAAUUGGAGCGUCACACAAGUCACUUAAAGCGUACAAACAAAGUGUCCAUGGAUCUCGAUUGUCACUCGACCCAACGAGCCUCUACUUCGACCAUGACUCGGCUCAACCCAACCUCACGCCAUUUUAAAUGUGACUCGACCCAACCUAGCCUCCCACCACAGAGCAAGAUGCUGAUCCAUUUAAUGCAACAAUCCUCCUUCCAGUACCCAUAUAAAUUCACAGCAUGCGGGAAUCGAACCUACGACCUCUUGUUCUAAUAUCACUUGUCGGAUUGUUGAUACUAAUCAUUAAUCCCAAAAGCUCGAGCUUAAUUUUUUGUCAGUGGCUCAUCCAACCGUGAUAAUAUCCCACAUAUAAUAUUUUCUCUACCAAUCAUCUCAUCAUAUCAUUUAUUCUCUAAUAUUAGUUUUAUCCUUUCUCACGCGUAGUACUCACCACCUAUUAUGUAAUAUACCGAAUCUCCGAAUCGUAAUGCUAAUUUUGAUCAAAUUGAUCAAAGUAAGCUAUGAGGGUGAUGAGCGAGGUUUUCGAGUUGCCUUGAAGGCGUUGGGAUGGUUGGAAGUGAGUUUCAGGAGUGUUUGGAUGUUUUCGGCUCAAACCAGGCGCGAAAACAAACUCUGAAAUAUUGCAACUGCUGGACUACAGAAGUGACAUUGAGUACCGGUACAAAGGCAAUGCAGUACCGGUACCCAAUGGAAGUGCAGUUUUGUCAGGUCUCGGGUUUGGGACCUUGGCAAGCUGUGUACCGGUACCUGAGACGAGUACCGGUACUGGACUGGUCAGGUACCGGUACAAGUACCGAUACUGGUGUUAUGUACCGGUACUACGCAUUGGACUAGAGUUGCACAGCCUCGGGUUGAGUGGCUCGUACUGGUACUAUGUGGUAGGUGCCGGUACUGGGAGCCCUGCGUACCGGAACUCCAGCCCGAGUAUCGGUACUCAGUCUGUAAAGGACUAAAUUGUAAGGCUAAAAAUGAGACUUUGUGGGGGGCUUAUUUGUAAAUGUUGGGGUCUAAAAAUAACCCCAACCCUACACUUGUACUUCUUAUGCAAGAGAAGACCUCGUUCCUUCCCCUUCUUAUCUCCUUCUCAUUCUCUCUCUAGAAUUACCCCCUCAAGGUGGAAUUGGAGGAGAAUUGAAGGUGAGAAUUGGUGGUUUUGGUGUUGAGGAAGCUCAAGAAUAAGAAGGGCUUUGUAGAGCAAGGAGCCAAGGUAAGUUCUUUGCAUUUGUAUGUUAGGGUUUAGUUUAAAUUCCCUAAUUUGCUUAGUUUUGUGGUUCUUGGGAUUCUAGAGCUUGGAUUAUGCUAAGAAAUCCCAAGAAAUUUGGACUAUGGGUUGCAUGUAUAAACCCUAAGGUUAGAAAUGGGAUUUUGAAGAAAUGGAGAUCUACCAUGGAAUUGUUCUCUUGUAUUCCUAAUUAAAGGUUAAUCCGACGUGUUGGGAGGCUUGGAUCGAAGUUCCGACGACUCUACGGCAAGAUAUUAAGGAAAAAUCUCAUUUUGUCUUCGUUAGACGUGGGUCGAGAGUUUAGGCAUCUAAAAAUUAUGGGACUUGGAUUCUCGCAUCUCAACAUCUUUAAGAGGUGGGUGGUACUAUCCGAAAUCUUCGAAUUACCUAUUAUAUCUAUGUCACCUUUUUGAGCAUAUAUGUAUAUGUAUAGUGUUGUAUUCAUGCAUUGUAGGGUUAAUGUUAAUAUAUAGCUAAAAUGUGGGAUAUCUUAUAUGCUUUUAAUGUAAAGAUACAUGUGGACAAUAGACUUUGGACAUAGAAACCCUAUGGAUGUAUGAACUAAAUGUUGGAUUAUGACAAUAGCAAAUAAGGUGACAUUGUUACUAGAUGAUUGUUUAGUACAUAAAAAUGUGGAAUGCUAGACAAAGAAAACUUUGUGAAAAAUAUGGCAAUAGUGACAUGGUAUCCUCGAAGUCGAGGAUGGGAUUAUACUCACAGGUAGUCUGAUAGGCUUGAGUGUGAUCGCUCCACCUUAAGCGAUGAGCUCCGAAGUUGUCAUCACUGGGCAGUAGCGGAAUUCUCCCCAGCAGACCGUCCCGUCGGAUUGUAGUGGAAUUCUCCCCGACAAAAAUGGAUUUGGUUUGGUGAGUUGGGUUUAACCAAAUGGUUGACCAAGAGGAUUGGGUAACGGUAAAGGUAAAAGAGAAAUGCAUGCAUCAUGAGCAUCAAAUUUGUUGUUUCAAUUAUACAGGCAUAGUAGUAGCAUUAGUUUGGUUUGCUAUCUAUUCCUUUUCCUAUUUAUGCCUGAUUAGACCUAAUGGGUGAAUCGGCGGGGUCGGCGGCCGAACCCGCUCAGAACUUUUUCUAGUUCUCACCCCACUAACCAUGCAUGUCCUAGCACGAGCGUGGCGGUCGAGGAUCGCGGCAUAGGCAUCACGCCCUAGAUAGUGGACUUCCUCGAGUAUAGAUAUACCUUGUAUAUUUCAUCUUUUGUAGUUGAUGAAACGAAUAUGUAAUAAUUGUAUUUGAGAGAUAAUUUGUAUUGGAAAAUGAAUACAAGCUUUGUAUUUUGUUUAAAGUAAUUAAGAUACAAUGUAUGGAUUUAAUAGCUAGUUUACUUUCACUUACUCAUGUUGCUAGCCCUCGUGCAAGCAAUGUAUAUCAAAAUUUUUCUGAGCAAAUUCUAUAUACAUGUUACAGGUUGUGGAGCCAUGGGCGGACAGAAGAGGCUCUGUUCGUUCGACGUCUCUUUCCCUUUACUCCAAUCUUUGUUUCGGCUCCAUCUAAGCCGAUCUUCAUUAUUUCCUUUUCUAAAUUGCUCAUAUUGAGCAACUCGAACUCCCAAAUAAAAAAGAUUUGAAAAAUACUUAUCUUUAAAAUGAUCUUUAAUUUUGAAGUGUAAACUAUUAAAUGCCAUUUUGGCAAAUUUCGAUUCUGGCAUUCUUACAAAGCAACGGCUUCUUGCUGUCUUGAAUCGAUUUAGAUACUCUUCAACCGAUUUUCCUGUUCUUUGCCUGAAUUGGGCUAGAUCAGUAACUGAAAGUUCUAGCUCUGAUCUAUAAAAUUGUUCGUAAAAUUUUCUUUCCAAUUCGUCCCAAUCUCGGACGGAAUUAGCAGGUAGACUCAUAUACCAAGUAAAUGAUAUUUUGGUUAACGAGGUAUUAAACAGCCUAAGCUUCAGGAAAGGAUUUUCAGCGGCUUCUCGGCACUGAGCCGUAAUCCGCACGACGAGUUCAAUCGUAUUUUCGGUCUCGUCGCCAGAGAAUUUAUCGAAUUUCGGUAUUUUUUAAUUUGCCGGAUAAGGAUAUUCUGUAUCUAUGUUUGCAGGAUAGGGUGAUGUAAACACAGGCCGCAUUGCCGGCCUAGCUCCAACUCCGAAAGUAUUUCGGAUGGCUUCCUCAAUCUGAGCAUAACUUUCAUUAUUGUUCCCUUGUAAAGAUACAGGCACCUGUGCCUGAACUGGAUUUGGUCCUGGUGGUAGCCCGAAAUUCUGCACUGCAGGGAUGAUCCCUUGCAUAUUUGGGGCCUGCCCCCCAGCUCUAGCCUCGACAUUUUGGGGCUAAUAUACUGCCACUGGUGGGGAAGGUGGUAACCCCCAGGCUAUUUCUAGUUGUUGACCGACGUUCGCAGCAACCGGUCUGUAAGCCGCCUGAAAUGGUGCCCCAUAGUGUUGGGGUUGACUACUUGCCGGUGUUACAGGAUUUUGUAACACCGGUGUAACUAAGGCCCUUGCAGACCUGUUACAGGUUGUUCAUUACGAGUCAAUAAUUGUCCUAUUCGGGCAAUAUUCUCGUUAGAGGCCGUGAUUGGGGCGAGUACUGCAUCUAAACGGGAAGUACUCCUAUAACUAUUUUGGUCCAGUACUUGUAGGAUGCGUAUUAUUUGUCCAAGCGCUUGAGCCAAACUUGGCUCUUGUUGGUCGGACUGACCACUAGUCUCACCUUCAACUGGCAAACUGUUCGGCGUUCGCUAGCAUUAUCGGAAUGGGUUGAUCGCUCCCGGAAUUUCUAGGAACGACCCUAUGGCGCAAAUUUAUGGCAUUAUCAUCAGCCAUAACUUCAAUAAGAAAGUAAAUUUACCUAGACUGGUGUCCCACCGGGCGUGCCAAAAUUUGUUAGGAUCCGAAUUCCCUGAUCCUUGACCCGAUCAAAGGUCUCUCUCGGGAAGAGUGUAGGAAUGUGGAAUGGCUGUGAAUGGUGACCCUCAAAAUUUGCGCUUUUCGACUGGAUCAAGCGAUUCGGCUGAUGAGGAAUCGAAUCAGCCGAGUUCAGAACCUUCUACUAUAGAUUCGGUUCGGCUGGAUGAGCCAAAUGUAUGGAAUAUACUGUGCUUUGGGUCGGUUGAAAAGCCGAAUGCUUUAUAUAUUGGAAUUAACUUGUAUAACUAGUACAAGGGACGAGUGUGCCUGAGGGCAUACAGACUCGGUUGAUCUAACUUAAACUUACUCUUAGGAAAACAGUAAGUGCGGGAAAGUAAAAGAUUACAAGUAGACUACUCCUAGAAAAUAUGAGAAAAAUACAGAGGAAAUAAAAGUGGUCUUCGAUUCUCGGGAAAAAGACCUUUCUUUUGGGCGUUAUUUGCCUAUUUAUAGCUCGCCUCUAUUGAUCCGUUAUUACCACAUCCAUGAUCGCCACUACUCCUAUUUUUUCGGGCCACUUCAAGCCAAUCAGAACUACUCGUAACCACUUGCAGUUACUGUAACUUCUUUCAAUUACACCUGGCAGUUACUUAAUUAUAUUGUCGAUGCUCUCGGUGCAUACCAAAAUCUUCUUUAAUUCUUGCUCUUAAAGAUUGGGGUUGUGUGGUGCACCAGCAUACCACAUGGCCGGAUGUUAUUGGCCUAACACCAUUAAAUCUAAAAAAAAUUUCAAAAAAGUACAUUUUUCAAGAACCAAAGGAACAAAAUAUAUUUUUUCAACUAAAAAAUUAUUUUCUAAAAAUAUCUUCCAAAAAACCGAGCAACCUUUUAUUUCCUAUCAAAUAAAUAAUAAUGAAAAAUAAAAUUUAUGUAAACCUUAAUUUAACUAGAAAUUAUUUAACUCUAUAAAUUACUCACACGCAAACAAAUAGAUUCAAAGCUCAAGAGAGUCUAUAGUUUUAUCUUUUUACUUUUUUUUAGUUGCCUUUUUCUCUCCUUUUUAAAAUAGCACGUUUGUGAUGUUUAUAUUUAAUGUGGUGGAUCCACAAUGGUUCACAUCACGAAGGUCAUUUAACUGUCAUGCACGUAGCAAUCACGUGGAAGCAUCGCACGUACGACAAGUGGCUGAACCUGUUUGGGAUGUUUUAAAAGCCUAGUUUAAUAGCGAUUCAAAAAUAUUAUAACAUAAAAAGUUAUAUAUAUUUAUAUAUAUAUAUAUAUUUAUAUAAUAAAUUAAUUAAGUUAAUUUUAUUAAUAUAUAUACAUAUAUUUAUAUAAUGAAUCAGUUAGAUUGAUUUUAAGUCGUUAAAUUUUAAUAUAAUUUGAUAAAAAAAUUGGACUAAUUUGGAUAAAAUCAGGUAGGUUGGUUGCUUGGAUAACAGUUCACAAAUGGAUUUUUUGAAAAUUAUCAUCCUAUUCAAGAGGUGAUUGAAUAGGGUUCGAUUCGACUCAGUUUUUUAAAUUAUUGCUAACUCGCUGGGGCCCACGCGCGUGCGAGUUGACGUCGCGACAGCUGUCGCCAAUCCCGAGGGUUAUGAGAUUGCUGCCGGUGCAGAUGCGUUACUUGGAUGCCCAAGCAAUCGCAAUCGCAAUCUAUCACUCUGACAAGAUGUUUCCUUUUCCUCAUAAAUAGUGAAGCUAGUAACUAGUGUGUGUAUAUAUAUAUAUAGAGUUGGACUGGACUACUAUUAGUAGCAAAAUUCUAUUAUUACUAUCAGUUUUUUAACCUUUGGAUAAACUCUUUUUAUUAUUUCUAACCAUUAGAUUAAAUACUAUAACCCAGUGGGGACCACUCAACCCUAGGGGACCACUCAACUCUAACCGACUAAUAUCAUCCUGACCCUACAAUUUUUUAUCCAAGGGUUAAAAACUUGAUAGCAAAAAGAGCGUUUUACUAUUAAUAGUAUUCCAGUCUAAUUCUAUAUAUAUACAUAUAUAGAGUCCGACUGGGGUACUAUCGAUAGCAUAAAGGAUUUGGUGCUAUCGAGUUUUCCACCGUUAGAUUUAACCUUUUGAUUAUUUUUACUCGUUAGAUUAUACUAUUCAACCAACCACUCAAUCAACCUAGGGGGCCCACAUCAUCUUAACCAUCCAUUUUUCAAUCCAAGGGCUAAAAAAUCAAUAACACCAGUAGGUUUGUGCUAUUGACGGUAUUCCAGCCUAGUUCUAUAUAUAUAUAUAGGCUAGGGCUACUAUACUCUUAUGAGUAUAGACCCUCUUGUAAUCAUAAAUUUUUAACCGUUGAUUGAUGGGAUGUGUGGUUAGGAUGAUGGUGGUCCUCACUUAGAAUGAUAGCGGUCCCCUAGGGUUGAGUAGGUAGUUGGUUGAAUAGUAUGAUCUAACGGAUGAAAAUGAUGAAUAGAAUAAAUUUAAGGGCCGAAAACUUAUAAGUAUAUAGGAGCCAAUACUCAUAAAAGUAUAGUAGCCGGACUCUCUCUCUCUCUUCUCUCUCUCUCUCUCUCUCUCUCUCUCUCUCUCUCUCUCUCUCUCUCUCUCUCNAAAAUUUAGAAAAAAACUACAAAUACAAUCCAUAUAGUUUUGAAUUUUUUCAUUUUAGUAUUCUGUGGUUUAAAGUGUAUCAAUUUAGUAUUCUGUGGUUUCGCACUUUCUCACUUUAGUACCUUGUGGUUUAAAGUGCAUUAAUUUAGUACUCUGUAGUUUUUUUUUUUUUUUUCGUUGGCUCCUCUUGUUAAUAUUUCGUUAAAUUAUAUACAAAACUUCGGAUACCCUACCUAAAUUUAUCGAAUAUUUAUUUUAGUACCCUUUAGUUUUAACUUUGUCACUGAUUUUUUUCUGUUAAUAUUUCGUUAAAUUAUAUACAAAAAACUUCAAAUACCCUAUCUAGAUUUAUCGAAUAUUUACUUUAGUACCCUUUAGUUUUAACUUUGUUACUGAUUUAACGAAAAAAAUUAAUGAAAUGGAUAAUAAAAAGAGAAAAAUAAAUCUACAGGGUACUAACUUGAUACAUUUUAAACCACAGAAUAUUAAAGUGAGAAAAUGUGAAACCACAUGGAGGUAUUUGAAGUUUACCAUAGAAUUUACUAUUUAUUUCUAAAAGGUUAAGCUUUUAAAUUGUAUACCCCUUGAUUUUCUUUUGAUUUGUUAAAAAGUGCAUAAAAGUUACUAUACUUUGUUGAAUUUAUUGGUGAAUUAAUUUAAUAAAAUUUCUCAUUUGAUUGGCCAGAAUUACUCAAUUUAUAAAAUUUAAAGGUUGAGGAUCUGACUAUUGAAAAACAUUGAGGAGCUUCCAAGACAAUUUUCUCCUUUUUUUUUUUUUUUUGCCGAAAUGGUUACUAGUACUAGUCUAGAAGUCAGGAACUAGAAACUUUUUUAUCUAAAAAUACAUGCAAGUCAGUCUUGAAAUCUUUUGCCAUCUAGGGUAUAUUUUGGUAUUGAGAGCCACCUAACAUUAUAAUUAGGCGAAAUAAAGUUGAGAUAAAAAUAUAUAAAAACAUAUAUGCUUCUUUGUUUUUGACUGCAAUCGAUCACAAAAAUGAUACCCCUAUCAACACAUUGCAGCAUACUCAAUGUAAUACGAAAACGAAUAGAAUAUUUUCUUACCAUCUUUUUUUAUGGCACUAAAUUUAUUCUCUUUCUGCAAUCCCAAGCGUAGUCUUGGAUAGCACCCGAGAUGACGACGGCCCGCUACAAAAAAAAAAAUAAAAAUAAAAAAUAAAAAAUAAAAAACUUUCACUCUCUCAUAACUUUAUCCCUCUUCUGGGGCUUUACUUAUGUCAUGCUAGUGAUGCAAUUCAAUUAAUGUGGGUCACCUCUUUAGUGGGGAGUCUAGGUAGAGGGUGCAGGCCUGGAAUUUGAGAAUGAAAAGAACCUUUUGUUUUGUAGUUGUGAGAAAUAUAAUCCCAACAUGCAUGAACCUACUAGAACAGCAUCCAAAUUAUUAUAUAUUAGAGAUGAAUCUUGGUGAAAAUUACACCAUUGGCCCUUCAACACCAAUGUACUUCAAUUUAUUCUGUGAGAAAUGAUUCGGUACUUUUAUUUUAUAAAAAAAUAAAAAUGAUUUUAACUGUUAAUCAAUAGAGGGUAAAAAUAUAAUUUUAACAUUUAGCAGGUAAAAGGAUUACUUCAUUCGAGAUUGUUUUUGUAAUUAAACUAUACAAUAUUUAAAGAAAGUUUUAAUUGAUAUCCAGAAUUUAGGCAUUAAUUUGUACUAAUUUGAAAAAUUGAUUGAAUACCUAAAUUUAGACAUUAAUAUAGGCAUUAAUUUAGGCAUUUAUUUUAGAAGUUUUAGUGUUUCUCAAAUUUAGGCAUUAAUUUAAAUUAUAGAAAUUUUAGAAAUAGUUCUAUUUCUAAAUACGCUGAAUUUAAAUAUUUAAUAUUUAAUAUUUAAAAUUAAAAAUUUAAAUUUAAGUUAGAGUAAUUUAAUUUGUAUUACUAUUUAAAAAUUAUGUAAUGUUGGUAAAUAUUUUAAUCCAACAUAUUUAAUAUGCUUAAGAAACUUUUAAAUUUCUAUAGUUUAGACAUUAAUUUUGUAUCACUUAUUUUAAAAAAUUUGAAUGUAGGUAAAAAAAAUUAUCAAUUAAAUGUAUUUAAUAUGUUAAAAAAAAUAGAAUUGUUUUAUUUUAGACAUUAAUUUUGCAUCACUAUUUAAAAAGGAUUGUAAUGUUGGAAAAUAUUUAAAUUUAACAUAUUUAAUAUGUUUAACAAAAUUGUGAAUUCAUCUUGUUUAGACAUUAAUUUUGUACUACUAAUUUUAAAAAAUUGAACGUGGGCAAAUAUUUAAAUUCCAAAAAUUUAUUAUAUUUAAAAAAAUUUAACAAUUUUUCUAAUUUAGAUAUUAAUUCUUUAUCACUAUUUAAAAAUUUUAAUGUGGAUAAUUGAUUAGAAAUAUAGGGUAUAGCUCAAAUUUAUUCUUAGGAUAGAAUUGUAUGGGCAAAAUUAAUUCAAAUUUUAAUAGUAAAAAUUGAUCUUUUAAAAUAAUAAGAUCAUGUAUUGUAAUUUAAAAUAUAAGAUGAAAUCAAAGUAAAUUAAUUUGAAGUUUAGAACCUAAAAAAUAUACAGAAACGUACCUCCAAUAAAUCUAAAUAGUAUAGUACAAUUUAAACUUACUAAUAAAUAAAUUUGGGCUAUAUAAUUUAAAUUUUAAGUUUAUAAUAAAUCUCCACCAUAGAGUGUUACUAGAGUAAACAAAAUUAGAAAUAUAGAUAAAUUAAAUAAAUUUAUGUUGAACAAAUCUAAGCUAUUUGUAUAUUUUAUCAAUUUGAUCAGUCGAAUUAAUUUGAUUUAUUAAAUUGAUUUUGAUCUUACCUUUAAAAUUUUUCAGAUUUUAGUCAAUUUUUUAAAUUUUAGUUCCUUACAAAUUGAAUUUGUAAGGAAAUAAAGAGAGAGAAAAAGGAAACAAAGAGAAAAUAACGAUUUUGAUAAUGUAGUAGAGGUAAAAUUAUUAAAUUACCCAUGUAUUAAAAGACAAAAAUAUCCUUCUUUGAGAUACUUGUUAACCGGUACGUCUCCCAAAGUGACCUGUUAUUGUAGGUUAUAAUUUAAAAAAAAUUAAAUUUGAGCUGCUAAAGAGGAGUGAAUGAAUGGUACCGAAAAAUAACAAGUAUAAAAGUACUACUACUCCUAUUUCUGUAACUAAGGUGUUAAACUUUUGUUCAAUCGCCAAAUUUUAGUUAGUUAAAAACCCAGUUUUGAUUUAUUUCAAGUGCAUGAGGUCACGAUAAACAUUAAGCUAAUUGAAAGAAGUACAAUACCUAAUUGACACUAAUUGUAUUUUGAUGGCUUAAUUAAGUCUAACUUUACUAGAAAUUCAGCGAUAACCAACUAAUGGUUAAUUUAAUUUAUCCUUUAAUCAUGUUAUUCGUAUAUAGUAUGUUAGAGCUAAACCAUAAGAUCCCAUUUGAUUCGGGAUAAAGUAGGAAUAACGAAAGUUAUCCCCGCUAUCCCACCAAAUUGUAUGUUUUUAGGCCGGGAUAUUUAUUCCGGUCAAAUAUUGUUAUUCCCGGCUAUUCCGAAAUAGCUUGGGAUUUACUAUUAUACCAUUUUGACGGAAUAGUGCUAUCAUAUGAUUUAAUUUCAAGUUUUAUUAAGAUUGAAAAUUGAAUUAAAACUGAAUUAUAUAGACAUAAUAUGUUAUAUAUUAUAAUAUAUUAUUUUUAUUAUGAACUUAUUAAUUGUACUACUUAAUUUAUUACGCUAAAUAUUUAAUUAGCCAUUUGAGUAAUUAAUUUAUUAUUUUAAUUAAUUUUCUAAUUAAAUAAUUAAUUAUUUAUUACUAUACUAAUUUAUAUUGAUUAAUUAAUUAUUUGACAUGACCAAUUUAUAUUGAUUAAUUAAUUAUUAAUUUACACCCUUAAAUAAUUAAUUAUUUGACAAAACCAAUAUUUGUAUUGAUUAAUUAAUUAAUAUUUUGACUAAUUUAAUUAUCUUACUGUUAUUAACUAAUUUAUUAAUUAAUUUAUUAAAUUACUUCUGGUUAAUUAAAUUAUUAAUUACUAAUUGAUCUAUUAAUUAAAUUUAGCGUUAUUUAGCAAUAUUCAUGAUUAAUUAGUAAAUUAAGCAAGUUGAAUUAUUAUUUAAUUAAUAUUUUUAUUAAUUAAUUAGAUAAAAUAUUAUUAUAUUAAAAUUAUAAUUAUUCUUAUCCUUACUAUUCUAAUCUAACCAUCCAUACGCCAUUUUGCUUAUUUCCAAGAAAAACUUAGUUUUUAUCCAAACGCAAAAUUGAUUUUAUUCUUACUUAUCCCAAGAAUUGUACUGUACCUGUCCAAAAGAUAGCCUAAAAUAACUUAUUCCCGAACCAAAUGAUACCUAAAACACCGAACUUAGUGAAAUUGUAUAAAAUUGGAUCCAUUACAUAUGUAGAUCGUGCUGGCUAAACAAAUCCAUUUUGAUCCAUUAUUUAGAAGAUCUAGAAAAGUUAAAAUUGUUUCGGCCUUUUCACUCUGUUACUUAAAAUUGGAGUUGUUAAUUUUUUGGCCCUCUAAAGCAUCAAAUAACAACAUAUUCCUAAACUAGCUAGGCUAGGCUAAAACAGCCAAAUGUGGCAGCAAAUAUUUUGAUAUACAACACUAUUUCCGCGAUAAGUAAUUAAAUCCACGCCAGAGUUUUCACUUCCCAUGAAACCAACUCAAUGGAUGAUGAUAUAUUAAUUAUGACGGUGAUGAGAGAGUAAAGGAUCACAGGAGGGAGAGAUUCUACUAUAUAUAUAUAUAUCAGUCACACUAUAUUAUUUAUAAACAAUCAAUCAUAUUAUUCCUCGAGUUAAAAGUAAAGUAAAAAUAUUUUUUUAAUAAUUAGAUUGGUUUGUGUUGCUAUAUCAGUAAUGUAACUGAUAUAUAUGUUCUAAAAAAUCUUCCAUAGGAGGACCCUUGGGCCAGCUCCAAUUAAAACACACACACAUACACAGCGACUUGAUUCGAAGUGAAGUGACCUCUCAUGAGACCCCUUAGGUGGUACAAUGAGAAAGUAUACUCGAGUCCAAGAGCCAAUCCAUUCUCUUCCCUAUACAAAAGCACGGUCACUUGUUGGAGAAAAGGACUUUCAUAUACACCUCUUAAAACGCACUCUAAUAAGUACACACACGCAAAAUGAUACAUUCCAAAAGUUUUUACACUAUAACGGGACUCCCCUUUAUGGUGAGAGAACUCCACAAGCAACAACUCUCUUUAGAUUCCACCCCACUCGUUAAGCUUUCUACCAUGCCACAACUCAUCCGCACAGCUCCAGAAGCUGCUAUCGCCAACACUAUCGAGACAACUAUUACUACUCGCCACACUCACACCACAAUUGGUGCUCGCAUAGCCGAGAAGCGAAGACGACGAUAGUGACGCUAGGUCCAACCCAUCUAGCUCUUGGUGGUAGUACCCGUGACUGCUGUGCCCGCCGAGAAGAGCGUCGAAAGCGACGCCGUUGAGCUCGUCGGUCGGGCUCGACGGGAAUUCGGGGAAUUGCGGGACUUGCGGGAGCGCGGUCGACCCCGAGGAAGUGCUCGGGCUAUAAUUCUCCGACCCGGAGAUGUCGUACGAGCGCGAGCACUCGAGAGGGUGCGGUACGAUCGGAUCGAGGAAAGGCGGAUGAUGAACGUGGUGGCGGUCUUGGCUGAGCGAUGAGGCGUUGGCGUUGGCGGCGGCAGUGGCAGCGGCGGCGGCGGUCGGGGUGGUCGAAAAGGGAUCGUGAAGGGAUCGAGAGGUUUGAGAGCCGAUCUUCUCGAGGAGCCUCGGCAUCCAGUAGCACCGGAGCGCAUCGCGGAACAUGGUGCUGUUGGCGUCGAUCUUGAGCUGCCUCGCCUGCUUCUGCACCCUCGUCCUCCAAUAAUUCUUGAUCUCGUUGUCUGUCCUCCCCGGAAGGUGCUGCGCGAUCCUAGACCACCUACAUCAGUAUAAUAAAAACUCCGUAAAUAAUCGAUCGUCACUUGAUUGUAACUAACUAAUUAACACGCAUAUAUCGAUCGAUCGAGCUUACCGAUUUCCCCACUUGGAAUGGAGCUCGAGGAUGAGGAACUGCUCCUCGGGGUUAAAUUUCCGCGCUUGAUAUCGGGCUUCAAUAAUUCAGCCACCGCAUCUGCAGCUCUUCCCGGUCCUCUUCAAUCCUACAGCAGCCGGGUAAAGGAAAGGAAAUCGACAUCACCAAGUACGUACUACAACAUAGCUAGUGACUAAACAACAAGCAUGGCUUAUUAGGAUUGAACUAAAUAUAUAUAUUUAUAUGUAUAUGUAUACCGGAGCACCAGCAAGGAGAUUCCAACGGCCCUCGCCGUGGUACGCAAUGUAGCGCAUGAGGAGCUCGUCCUCUUCGAGCGUCCACGGCCCUCGCCGUAGCUCCGUUAUCUCCUCCUCUCCACGUUGUUUAUUGUUGGCCCCUUCUUUUCCGACAUAUCUUGCCCCUGGCCUCCUUAAAAUAAAUUUUUUUUAAAAAAAAAAGAAAAAUAAAGGAGAAAAGGCUCUUCUUGGUUGAGAACUGAUUAGCUAGGGAGAGUUUGUGAGGAGGCUACAGCUACAAGGUAAGGAAUGAGAGGAGGGUAAGUGAACAUGCUUAUAGACCAUUUCCAACAAAAGUCCAAAGCCUACAUCUACUACUACCAAUAAUGGGUUGUUUUGAAAAAGUGGCAACCUUAUUGCAUGGUAAAAAAAAAAAACUUAAUAAAUGAACUGCUGCGGCUCACAUCAACUUGGGCUUUAGUGGACACAAGCAAACAAAAAAAAGGAGGAGAAAAUAUAUAUCAUUGGACUCAAAUUUCCUUGUGGCGGGGGGGUGGGGGGGGGGGUUGGUAAUUAAUUCAAGUGUAUAUCCUUUUUGAGGAGAGGCUUCAAUUGUGGAAGUGUACAUGUCCUCUUUAGAUUCUUUUUCUACAUGAAACGUGUUUGACCGAACAAUUUGCACUAUUAGGCUCAUGUUUUGAUUGCUAUAGAGAGAGAAAGAGAAAGAAAGAGAGGGAGAGAGAGGGGGGAGGGGGUCUAAUCAGAGUUUGCCUAAUCCGGCGGCAAUUUAGGUAGCUCCUGGAAUUUGUAGUGCAAUUGUAGGAACAUGCUCCUUUUAGAGUUCACAUUUCAAAACUGUGUCCACUAAAAAAAGCAAGCAACAACAACAAAAGCUGCAAAAACAAGGAGAACAUUAAUUAAUUAAUUAAGAUCAUGUUAAGUCCCGUAAACACUUUACCCCUCCACGUACAACCCACUAAGCCUUCCAUUUUAGGGACAGCACCCUAAGUUGUAAGCACAAAGUAGGCAUUUAUAGCUCUUCCUCCCUCCCUCCCUCUCACUCUCUCUCUAGAGUACAAACUUUUAGGUAGCUUGAUACCACUUUAUUUCCAAUGAUUCUCAAACUGCAAUUGUCUCAGAUGAUAUCAAAGCAAAGAAAAAAUUUAGAAUGCACUGGUUAUAUAACUAAUAUAGCGUCUUCAACCAAUCAGAUUGUUUUUCUUGGAUUCACCUAUUUGCACGAUCAUGAUUAUUAAAAAAUUUUUUUAUUGUGCAUACUAGAUUUUUUUUUUUUCCUAACUGAGAGCGUGGUUUGUGUACAUGUGGAUUGCUCUAAAAACUAGCGAAAUCAAUUUUCGAUGUGAAAAUUACGUACUUUUCAAGCUAUUUUGUUAACCAUAAAAGUAAAAGUGAAUCAUAAAAGUAUGUUUCUUUUACUGACCAUCCCUAGAGCAAGUAGCAAAGGGCCUUGUGGUUGGUACCCGAGACUGAAGUUUGAAUCCUAAUUGAUUCAUAUUUCCAGCUAAGUUUAUUUCUAAAUGAAAAAAAAACGAAGCAGAUAGCGUACUACCUAUCUCUCAAAAAAAAGAAAGUGUGUUUCUUUUAAAUUUAAUACUUUUACAGAUUUGAGAAAAAUUAGAUCUUUUCAUUUUCUGUUGAAACUAGCUGAAAAUUAAACCUCAGGCCACCAAAAAUCAUGGCAUAUUCGUGACGGCAAAAAAUUUAGCGCAGUCCACACAUAGUAACAGAGGUUAUUGCAUAGACUAGAUGUAUUCAUAUAUUUAUGUACACCACAUUUUCAUCCACCAUUUUUUUUUCUUUUUUAAUCUUAAUCUGUAUAUACCAUUUUGUAUACAGCAGUUUCUUUUAAUUUAAAAUUUGGAUAGUUAAGUUAAUUAAAAGUAUGAAUGAAUUGGCAGUUUUUUGAAGCACGGUGUGUGGGUUCGUGGGUGCACUGAGUGCACAAAUAAAUUUUUUUCUCAAUGGAUCUCCACUAACAUUGUUUUUAUAAUAAUAUGUAUAGUAUAUAAAAAUAUAAUUUUACAUGAAUUUAAUUUAAAAAUAUAAAUUAUAAUAAUAUUAUAUGUAGUAUUGUAACUAUUAUAUAUAAAUAAAUAAUAUAUAAUAUAUGUAAUAAAAUAAAAUAUAUAGCAUAAAAUAAUUUUUUAUUAUCUUUUUCUUUCAAUACAAGCAUGGUAAGAAAACUAAUUUUUAUUUUUUUUCCCAUAAAUCAAACACUAUGGACGCAUUUGGUUCGCGUUAUGUAACAUUACAGAUUAUUUCGACAUAUUUGUGUAUCUUAGAUUUCUGAAUGAGAUUAUUACUGAUAUUGUAUUAGCACAUUUGAUUUAAAACAGUAAUAUAAUACUAGAUUACAGUAUAUAUAGUAUUACUAUAUUUGAUUCAGUUGAUAAAAUUAAGUAAUUCUGACACCAAAGUGUAAUCUAUUCCAAAAUUACUCUCAUAUCGGCAAAAUUCUUUUACUAUUUACAAAUAAUAAUUUUUUAAAUAAAUUUUAUUUUAAAUAAUUUAAAAUUAGAAUUUACAUUUUAUUUUUUAAUUUUAAAUAUUAAAUUUAAAAUUUNAAUUAAGUAAUUCUGACACCAAAGUGUAAUCUAUUCCAAAAUUACUCUCAUAUUGGCAAAAUUCUUUUACUAUUUACAAAUAAUAAUUUUUUAAAUAAAUUUUAUUUUAAAUAAUUUAAAAUUAGAAUUUACAUUUUAUUUUUUAAUUUUAAAUAUUAAAUUUAAAAUUUAAAAUCUGAAUAAAAAUAUAAAAUUUAAUAUUUUAAUUUAAAAUAUAAAUAUAAAAUUUGAAAUUUGAAAUUUAAAAUAUAAAUAUAAAUUUAAAAUUUUAAAUAUAAAUUUAGAAUUUAGAAUUUAAAAUCUAUAUUUGAAGUUUAAAAUUUAAAAUUUAAAAUUUAAAACUUGAAACUUGAAACAUGAAACAUGAAACUUUAAAUUUAAAAUUUUGAAAUUUAAAAUUUAAAAUUUGAAAUUAAAAUUUGAAAUUUGAAAAUUAAAUUUUAAAAUAUAAACCUUAAUAUUUUAAUUUAAAAUUUAAAAUUUAAAAUAUUUAAUUUAAAAUUUUAAAAAUGAUGUAUUGAGAGGGUUUGAGGUUCGGAGGGAUAAACUUGUAAUUUUACAUACAUGCAAUAUAACACUCAUCAGUAAUACGAGAUACCCAGCCCUCGCUCGGUAAUAAUUUCAGUGUAAUUCCGUACAAUUUGUAAUGUUAUAUUACUGACCAGAUUAUAUUCUGGAUGAACCAAAUGCAGUAAUCUUGGCAGAAUUGUCUGUAAUCCUGUCAGGAUAACCCGAACCAAACGCACUCUAAGAGAUUUUGUGUUUGAAUCCCAACAAACUUGUUUGCCUUUCAAGUGAUCGAGAAUCAUAAUCUCCAUCCAUUUUAUUAAAAAGUUCAUCUUGAACCUACUAAAAUCGCAAGUCGAUCAUAAAUUCUUUGUGCUAAAACAUAAAAUACCAGAACAUUUUUCUUUAUUAGGUAAAUAUUGUUCUUUGCAGGCCGUGACUUGAAUAAUCCUUUUUUUUUUGGAAAAUUUAAUUGUUCUAAGUUCACACCAUAGCAGAAGAUAAAAUCUUUCAAUUCUCUUGUCUAAUCAUAGCGCACAUUUAAGCAGAAGAUCUAGAGUUAGAAUCCACUUUGGGCAUGUAUACUAUUUCAUUACAUGACCUCUACAUAAUUGAAUUGCAAUCUAUGUUAAUUUGGCUUGUUAAAAGUGUUACAACAAAAGAUGGAAACACCCAUUUAGUUUUUCGGGUAUGAAACACUAGGGGGAAUCGACAAAUAGAGAAAAAAAAUAAAGUACACAAACAGUUUACGUGGUUCAACCAUAAGUCUAUGCCCACAGGUAAAGAUAGUGCAUGACGUUUUACUAUAAUCUGUAAGAGUAAUACAAAAGAUGCCUUCUCUUAGAAACUUCUAGGUUUUAAAUACAGCCAACACUUUCUUUCUCACAUGAGAACCCAUGAAAAAAGUACUAGGUUAAAUCACAAGAGGAUUGGUAACAAUCUCACUUAAAUUAGCUCAUCAAAGGAGAAUAGAAUUAAGAAAACUUUGAUCCUAGUGUUACAUUUUGGUCUUCGCUCCAAAAAAUUUCUGAUCACGUCAUGAAGUGAGCCGAGCCUGAGAAAUAUUCAAGACAUAUCUAUCAACUCCUCAACAUGGGUUGAAUUCUCUAUCUUCUAUAUAAAACCCUCAAGGACUUUCUGGUGUGUUGCUAAGUAGAUCAAUCGUCACUAGAACAAAAACGGUCUAUAGCGACAUUUUUAAAUGUCGGUAUAGGUCAAAAAAAGUGCUGCUGGCUAAAUUACCGACACUUUUAAAAAGUGUUACUAUAUGUGGGGUCGCUAGGUAUAUAGUGACAGAUAAAGAGUGUCGCUAUAACCUAAAAGAGUGCUGCUAAUUUACCAACACUUAUUUAAGCAUUUAGCAACCGUCGGAACUCUAUUUCGUUGGCUGCAGUGACGAAGGAGGACGAAAGGAAGGGAUUUUCGUCUAGAAUUUCAGUAGAUUCAGUGAGAAGAGAAGGGGAGAUGGUAAUCGAUUUUUCUUUUUUUUUUUCUGUUUGUAAUCGAGCCGAAUAGACUGGGUGGGGUGGGUUGAGUAGAGUAACCUUUUAUUUUUGGUUGAAUUGGGCUUUAUAUUUAGGCAUUAGUAGAUUUUUUGUAAGUUUUGGUAUAAAUGGGACACUUACACAAAAAUGUCCCAAACAUGUGUCCCUAUAACCUAAUUCUGUUGUAGUAAUCAAGUCCAUGUAAUACUUGAACUUGGUCACUGAAAUAGAUUUACUUAGUGUAUUUGCCCAACCUUCUCGCCAGUGAUAUCAUCUUAUGCUACCACAUCACGAACGAAAUAUUAUGUACCUAACACUAAUAUUCUUUGUCCUCCUUUGAAACAUUUGAUCCGUGCAAAGAUUUAAAUGUGGUAUUCUGGCUGUGGCAAUGGACAAUUAAUAUUUAUCUUCUGGUUAUAAAUGGACUACAAGUACAAGCCUUUCAACCAAAUAUAACAUCUUUGAUAGCCUCCAUCACCAAUGUACAAUGCCUCUCAGUAGUGGAUAAUAUAAGCAAUAAUUAAUAGACAGCCAAAUAUAAAUGCAUGAUUACAUAACCCCCGCUUAUCUAAUUUGACUACGAACAUACGAAUAUUAGCUUAAAAGGGCUAGCAUCCCGUGUGAUGGGAGGUCAAGUUGGGUUGUGUUACUUUCGAAAUGGCGGGUAGUCAAGUUGAGCCAAGUCAUGUUCAAAUAAAUUAGCAGAAGACUGGUUUAGGAAAGUCACAAUCGAGAUCUGUGGAUACUGUAUCUGUAUGCUUUAAGUAAAUUGGUUGCAUUUUUCUAACAGUUCGACCUUUUAGAAUUAAUGGUUAGUGCUAAUGAUCGAACAAUGAGAUCUAAAUUAACAAAAGCAACAACAAAGUCAUCAAAAUUUUCAAACUCUAGACAUACAUCGAAACUCAAUAGAAGUGUGAAUCAAAUACAAUCUCUCUAACUUUCUAUCUCUAUGAAUCUCCAUGCUGAGAAUCUUCGUUGCUCAAUUGUGCACGGGAUUUUACUCUGCCAAUGUCAAGCUUGUUCUUAGACGCAGUAUGCGAUUAUCCAUAUAAAGGAACACAUAAACAGAAGUUUAUAUCAUUCAAUCCUUAGAUAUACAAAACUAUUGUACUUGCUUAAAUUUAUUAGGAUAAAAAUAUAUUUACAGGUCCAAUAGUCCAUAAAAAGAUAGCUCUACUUUUACCAUAACUUUGAAGGGCUUAACAACAUCAAAACUUAUUAAAUCCUCCUAGUAAUUAUCCGCAUAGAAAUGGCCAGUAAAUCCGUAGAACCCAGUAGAAUUCGUCCACUUUAGAUGCGUAAAGAAAUUAAGAUCACUUCAAUUGAAAUUCAAAUGAGCGAAGAUAUGGUUUUCGAAACUUCGAAUUGAUUUACUUUGUUUCGGUCGAUGUUAAUAAGUUUCUCUUACAAAUUGGUUGAGACUUAUUACUGCCUACCAUUAAUUGACUUAUAAGAGCCAACAUUCUAUGACAUCCCACUUCCCAAGGAGUCAUCCAUCCUAGGACUACUCUAACCAUAAUAUUCUUCACUCUUUUGACCUCUUGAGCCUAACUAUGUACCGUCCAUAAUGCCACAGCCGGUUUAAGAAAUUUCGUCAUAUUAUACCUUAUAUAUAUGACUAUUCCAAUUCCUGAGGUUUCACAUAUUCUGCCUCAUGAUGAAGGCUAGGUUGGGCCAACUCAUGUUCAAAAUAUCAGGAUGUUGGGUUGGGCCGAGUCAUGUUCGAAGUAGCGUGAGGCUGAUUAAACCGAAUCACAAUCAAGAUCCGUGGGCAACUGUGUUUAUAUGUUCUAAGUAAUUUGUUUGUGUAUUUCUACUAGCACGAGCAUUUGGGGUUAAUGGUUAGCACCAACGAUCCAGCACCAUUGAAGUCAUUACUUGAAACUUAUCUAGGUCAGAUCUUCUUGGACUACCCAUUAAGAUCUAGUUUAGAUGCUCUUUGAUCACUUAAUUGUUCAUUUCAAUGCAUUGGUUCAUGGAUUAGUGGCUCACAAAUUUUAGCAAUGCAUGAGUCCAAGAAUUUGAAGCUGGGGGUUGCCGUCGCAUAUGAAUUUGGAACUUGGCCAAGGGCGUGCGACACAAAUAACACGAGCUUCUUGGGGAUUUGAUUGACGAAUCUGUAGAUCCAACAUAACUCAAGUAUAGUGGUGUUGGAGGUUCCCUGAAGUGUGGUUAUUUUUUCAUUAUUUGUUCUGAUGUAACCAUACAUGCUGAAAUUAAAUUUAAGUAUUCUUUUUUUAUUUUGGUGUAACUUAAUACUAAUGUAACUAGUUUUUUGAAUUCUAUUAGUUCUUUAGAUGUAAUAAAAUAAAUCCAGUUAUCUCCUAAUAUAGCGGUAACUUACCUCCACAAAAUCCAACAUAUAAAUUAUUAAAUGCUCCAUUAUUAUUUAAAGGUAAUUCUAAUCCAUUGUAAAGUAGAGUUUGGAGUUUUAAUAUUUAAUUAAUUUUUAAAGAAGGUUGAGUGUGGUGGAAUUGAGUUCAGUAUUUAAGAGGUGGAAGUCAAGAGUAGAUGAAAGGAGGUUUAACAUAACUUGAGUUACAUUAUUUUUUAACUUAUACCAAACAAACGCCGAAAGUGAUAGAAUUUGAGUUCCGCUCCUCCACUUACAAACCAAACGGGCCGUAAGUCUUCACAGAUGUCCUAACCACUUUGUUCUCCUAACUAUUUCGGUUAAAUUCUGUUUUUUUCCUUGAUAUUUUUGUGCAGCUUUGGGUCUCCUGACUUUUUCUUCCAAGGGGUUUCCACGUGAUUUUGGAUUGUUGUUCACUUUCCGCAUUUUACUUUUACGGCAUUGUCCUCAAUUUAGUGUGCUGCAAAAUUGAAAUGUUUAGUUGAUCAACAUAUGUAGGGUCUCCGAUGAGCCGAAUACGAGCAAGCUGUGAUUGAUGAAAAAGUUGGAAAAAAAAAAAUAAAAUCUUAAUGUAAUAAUUAAAAUUCACAAAUUAUUGGUCUCUUUAUGCUUGGAAUUGACCUAAAAUCUAAAAUAAGGUAAAUGAUAUAUAUAUAUAUAUAUUAUUAUAUAUAUAUAUAUAUAUAUAUAUAUAUAGAGAGAGAGAGAGAGAGAGAGAGAGAGAGAGUGGGGCUACAAUACUAUUAUGAGUAUUGAGUCAUUCAUAUUUAUAAAUUAUUUUUGAUGAUGAAGUUUCUGAAUUGAUGAACGAUACCAUUAAAAAUGAUAUAGAGCAUUUGAAACUUCAAAAAAAAAUUUUGUAAUUUUUUAAAAUCAUAGUAAAUCCACCAAGCGGGCAUAAAAUGAAUAGUUAAAAUUAAAUGACUUUCUAAAAAUCAAGGAUAGGAUACUUCAAUUUAAUAUCAGAGUUAACGUUAUUGAUCUUAUCUAGAUAGUGAAUAGAAUUUUCUAUCAAAAAUUUAACCUCGAUUUUUUACACUGUUAAACUAGCAAGUAUCUCAUACUGAUCAUUAAAAAUUAUUAAUUUUGAGAUAUUUUUAUCGUAAGGUAAAUGAUGUCAAAAAGUUGUGAAAUUUGAUUUCUAAAAGUUUCGAAUGCUCUAAAUAAUAUUUAACAGUAUUAAUCAUCGAUUGAGAAGCUUUAUUAUCGAAAAUGACUUAUGAGUACUGUUGGCACCAUAAAAAUAAUGCCACGUGGUAGAAUAGUCCGAGCCACGUGAAUGAAUGAAUAGAAGCAAAACAUAAAGCGACACAUGAUACACAAGGAGCUGGAAGCCGCACGCCUAAAACGGAAAAGCGGUUUGGGCGGAAUGUGGUUGAAGACGUGGAUGAAGGAGUUCAUGGCCAAUAAGAAAUAAGCUGAAGCAUGACCUGAGAAAAUAAGGAUGUGGCCGAAUAAACCUCCACGAUGGAAUUAACUCAAAUAACAGCAAGUGGGAUUAUAAAUAAGUGCACCUGAAAGAGGGGUCCUUCACACGAGUAAGAGACUACAACAAAUUUCAAUUUCUUUCUUUUUGGCAUUUACAGCUUUUCUCGGAGUUAGUUUCAAUAGAUUGCCAAUUAGUUGUAGUAGAAUUUUUUUUUGUUAAUUCCCUAUAGCUAAGAGCGUGGUAGAGUAGGGAUAGGGUUAGAGUUUAUCUCCGUAACAACUCUUGUAACCCCACUUUAUCCAUUUUUCGAUAAAUACAAGCCACUCGGCUCAUUCAGCGGAGUUUAUGAAUAGUUGUAGAAGAGCCUGACUGAGCUGAUCCCUCAUCGACCGAAUCGCUCGACUCGUCAGUGGUGCACUCGAGGUCGUCUCAGGAGCUGUCUAACUAUCCGAGCUCGGUCAACGUUUUAAUCUGGUUCGUCUCGCUCCGCAUUCAGUUCCUAAUACAAUAAUUUUUGGCACGCUCGGUGGAACACGCUCAGGUACAUCCCAACCUUUCUCUCAUAGUUGAUGAUAAUACAAUGAACCUCUGAAAUAGGAUCAUUCCUAGGCUCUCAGGGAAUAACUAGGCCAGUAGCGCCGAAAAUGCGAAUGAUCAUCAGGCGAUGUUGCAGGCUGGGGGUGAAAAUAGCAGGCACUCAGGUCAUCAGGAGCCAGCUUGACUCAGGCAUUAGGGCAAAUGACCUGAGUCCAGCAGACAUUGGAUCAAAACAGUCAUCGAAGUAUCGCUUGAUUACACGGUACUGGCCACCAUCAUAGCCUUUGAUGAGAAUAUAGCUCGUAUCAGACAGUUAUUAACCCUGAACGAGCAACUUAUGGGGGUCCAUAAGGGCCUCUAAUCGCGCCAGUGCAGUAGAACCCAUUUGCAUUGACGGUCCCGCAGACACAACCCUAAGUAGCACCUUUUCAGACUGCCUAUAGGCCUGUGACUGUAAACGCCGGCUCUCAGCCGGAAAUUGCAUAGGGUUUACCUCCUCCACCUCAUUUGCCUAUUUAUCAACCCCAAAAUGUGGGCGUAAGGGCCGAGGGCAGGGCCCCAAUGUAGUAUAGGGACUUAAUCCUGCAGUACAAAACUACAUGCUCCCUCUAGGACCAAACAGAAUUUCGGCCCCGAUCCCCGAUCCUCGGAGUAGGGAAUAACUGUACGCUCAAAUAGAAGAGACGAUCUGGAACACAUUCGAUAUAGGAGAAGACCGGCAAUGCGGCCUGUAUUUAGAUCCCCAUAUCCAGCUAAUAUUGUGGAACAUCCGUAUCUGACAAAUAGGAAGAUGUGGAAGUUCGAUAAGUUCUAUGGCGAAAAGACCGAAAGUACUGUAGAACAUGUUGCUCGGUUCAUGGCCCAGUGUAGAGAAGCGGCCGUUGACCCAUUCUUGAAACUUCGCUUGUUUAUCAUGUCGUUUACUAAGAUAGUGUUUACAUGGUACACAAGCUUAUCCGACAACGCCAUCCGAGAUUAGGACGAGUUGGAGCGAAAGUUUUAUGAGCAAUUUAAUAGAUCGGAACCUAAAUUAUCAGUGGAUGUGUAGUAUCCUAGGUGGAAAUUGAGUUGGUAAAAGGGCCUUUUGGUCUUUUGCCAAUCCUUAUCAUUUCCACCGCCUUAUACAGAGGUGACAUGCAUUGGAGGAGCUUUGGGUUGCUUAAUUAAUUCCUCUCUCUCUCUCUCUAGAUUGAAGUGGAGAGCACGGUGAAGACCUCGAGUACGUGGAGUUCGGAUUGACGUUGAUUUCGCGCCGGACAGCCGUUUGAGCCUACGUGCGUCGUGGUAGCGCCGUUGGAGGCCGGGCGAGCGCGGGAUUUCUUCUCCUAUCGACUUCUCGCCGGAAUUGAAUUAGCUUUUGAGGUGGGUUAAUGAUAUACUUACCGAAAUUUUCUGAAUUAUCUCCUAAGCCUAUAUAUGUUGACAGCAUGUAUUUUUAGUUUCGUUUAGCAUACUUAGUAGCUCGAUUCUUUGAUUUGUAUGGUUUUUUAAAUAUGAAUUGGAGCUUAGAAUGUUAGAUAAAUUAUACAUGUUGGAUUUGGAAUUGACUUAGGAGAAAACUAUAGGUUCUACACUGUCAUUUUCUGAAAACUACAAGAUUUAGUUUUAAGAGCUGUAGUUUGUUUGUAUCGCCGCAGUUUGUAGGCGGUGGAUACCCAGAAUAGUGUAAAAUGAAAUUACGCUCAUGCUGGGAUACCGAGUUUAUUUUUACAGUAAUGUAUAGACUGUUUCGGACUGUCGGGUGCUGUUGUGAUUGACGGUGGACCCAGUUUGCUGUUUUUGCAUCGGAUUGUACCGAGGACACUUCAGUUUUGGUUGUUAGACCAGUUAGACCCUUCUGCUUUGACAAUAGCCUGUGAGAGCCUGAUUGAGCUUGGCAGAGAUACGCUUGCAUACUCGGUUGGGUAGCGCCCACGAGUACCACUCCGGAGUCGGGCUUUGUGCUUUUGCAUUGUUGUCGGUUUGUCCUGGUUGGACACGCUCUCCACUGACGAUCCAGCGUGGUGGUAGUUAGUGUUGCUUCAACAGGCGGGAAGGGUGUGUUCACAGUCCCUAGUGUGUUUUGGGUUAUACAGUGCAUUAUCAUAUCUACAGAUUGUCGAAUAGGGAUAGUAUAGUAGCAUAUAGCUGUGGAGUUUUUCAGCUUUCUUACUAUCUUUGAGCAUACAUCUGUAGACUUAGUGGAUGAGCCGUUGAGGUCGGUAGUGGUACCCACUGAGGACUACUUCUUUUUGCAACAGUUCUAACACACAGUUGUGGAUUCUUUUUGCAUAGCCUUCUUCUUUUGCUGCUGCUUUCGCGUAUACUGAUCGUGGAAAGGGAGUCGCAAGCUAGAUCCCUUCCCGGUUGCGGCUGAUCUAGAGCUAUAUACCAGCUACAGGUAGUUGUAGUUUUUGGUUUUUAUACAUACUGAUGUUAGUUCCUCGCUGGAGCGAGCGAUUUUUUUAUCAGGAUACUAUGUAUGUAUGUUAAACCGAUGUUGUUUAUAUUUGUAUUUCUUUUAGCAGCUCUAUACUACUAGUUGUAGUAUUGUAUGAUUAUAAGUACAGCUAUAGCUAUCGCUUCAUAUACAGGAAAAAUUCCUUUAUAUACGACGGGUUUGUCGGCGUGCCCGGGAAAACAUAUAAUCCGGGGCGUGGUAGGCUGAUUUAGCUUUAUACAGACAGAAGUCGGGUGAAACGGUCAAAGAAUACUUGAACCGUUUCAAAACGGCUAGAAACCGAUGUUUCGUGAGGAUGACGAAAUCAGAGUUCGCCAAAAUAGCGUUCAAUGGUUUAUAUUUUUAAAUAAGGGACCAUCUCGAAGAUAAGCAUUUCGCUAACCUGUUUGAUCUGGGCAUUCAGGUUGCCCAAUAUAAGCAAUUUCGAAAAGAAAAUGAGGAUGAUCGGCUGUGAUGGAGCUGAAACUAAGAGGGAUCGAGGACUUAGUUGGUGAAGACGAUGCGACGGAGAUGGUAUAGAACUGCCAGCCUUAUAAGUGUGCGGUACUUAAGCCAGCUAGGGCUAGCGAAUCUAAAGCACAAAUGGCGGCAUACACUUAUUUGAUUGAUAUUGCCAAAACUAACUAAAUAUUUGACCAGUUGCAUAAAAACGGCAGUAUAAAGCUCUAGGAGUGUCAAACAUUGUCCUCUAGAGAGGAGUUAAAGAGAAGAAAGUAUUGCAAGUGACACCACUCAUGGAGUCACAAGACUAAUGAUUGCACAACCUUUAAGAGGGAGAUAACGGCUAGUUUUUGUCGACCAAGAAAAUAAGAAAAUGAAAGUUAACCAAAACCCCUUUCCUACGCAGGUUAAAAUCGAACGACAUCCUAAAAAUAGGUGAUCGGAUCUUUCAAUUUAAGAUCGAAGUUAUUGAUCUUUAUUUAGGUAGUGAAUAGAAUUUUCUAUCAAAAAUUCAACCAAUUCUGAUUCUUUUUCACCGUUAAACUUGCAAAUAUCUCAUACCGGCCGUUAAAAAUUGUCAAUUUUGUGACUUUUCAAUCAUAAGGUAAAUGAUAUCGAAAAAUUAUAAAAUUUGAUUUCUAGAAGUUUUAAAUGCUCUAGAUAAUGUUUAACGGUAUGGAUCGUCGAUUCGGAAGCUCUGUCAUCGAAAACAACUUAUGAGUACGAAGGUGAUCAUACUCAUAAGAGUAUAGUAGCCGGACUUUAUAUAUAUAACUAGGCUGGAAUACUAUCAAUAGCAUCAAGCUAUUGGUGCUACUAGUUUUUUAGCCCUUGGAUUGAGAAAUGCGCGUUUAGGAUGAUGAGGGCCCCCUAGGGUUGAGUAGGGUUGGUUGAAUAGUAUAAUCUAACGGGUAAAAAUAAUCAAAGCGGUUAAUCUGACGGCAGAAAACUUGAUAGCACCAAAUACUUGGUGCUAUCGAUAGCAUAGCAGCUGGACUAUAUAUAUAUAUAUAUAUAUAUAUAUAUAUAUAUAUAUAUAUAGUCCGGCUACUAUACUCUUAUGAGUAUAAUCCCCUUUAUACUCACAAGUUUUUUGCCGUUAGAUCUAUUUCUUUGAUCAUUUCCACCCGUUAGAUCAUACUAUUCAACCAACUACCUACUCAACCCUAGGGGACCACUAUUAACCUAACCCGGGACCACUAUCAUCCUAACCACACAUCUCUUCAUCUAAUGAUUAGAAACUUAUGAGUACAAAGGGGGCUACACUCAUAAGAGUAUAAUAGCCCUAGCAUAUAUAUAUAUAUAUAUGAGAGAGAGAGAGAGAGUUUGACUAGAUUACUAUCGGUAGUAAACGGCUCGGUUUACUACUAAUUUAUUUUUGAUGAUAGAGUUUCGAAAUCGACGAUCGGCACCGUUGAGCUUUUACACACUUUAAACUAAAGGUCUAUCAAAUUAAUCAAAUCUAGUACAANNNNNNNNNNNNNNNNNNNNNNNNNNNNNNNNNNNNNNNNNNNNNNNNNNNNNNNNNNNNNNNNNNNNNNNNNNNNNNNNNNNNNNNNNNNNNNNNNNNNNNNNNNNNNNNNNNNNNNNNNNNNNNNNNNNNNNNNNNNNNNNNNNNNNNNNNNNNNNNNNNNNNNNNNNNNNNNNNNNNNNNNNNNNNNNNNNNNNNNNNNNNNNNNNNNNNNNNNNNNNNNNNNNNNNNNNNNNNNNNNNNNNNNNNNNNNNNNNNNNNNNNNNNNNNNNNNNNNNNNNNNNNNNNNNNNNNNNNNNNNNNNNNNNNNNNNNNNNNNNNNNNNNNNNNNNNNNNNNNNNNNNNNNNNNNNNNNNNNNNNNNNNNNNNNNNNNNNNNNNNNNNNNNNNNNNNNNNNNNNNNNNNNNNNNNNNNNNNNNNNNNNNNNNNNNNNNNNNNNNNNNNNNNNNNNNNNNNNNNNNNNNNNNNNNNNNNNNNNNNNNNNNNNNNNNNNNNNNNNNNNNNNNNNNNNNNNNNNNNNNNNNNNNNNNNNNNNNNNNNNNNNNNNNNNNNNNNNNNNNNNNNNNNNNNNNNNNNNNNNNNNNNNNNNNNNNNNNNNNNNNNNNNNNNNNNNNNNNNNNNNNNNNNNNNNNNNNNNNNNNNNNNNNNNNNNNNNNNNNNNNNNNNNNNNNNNNNNNNNNNNNNNNNNNNNNNNNNNNNNNNNNNNNNNNNNNNNNNNNNNNNNNNNNNNNNNNNNNNNNNNNNNNNNNNNNNNNNNNNNNNNNNNNNNNNNNNNNNNNNNNNNNNNNNNNNNNNNNNNNNNNNNNNNNNNNNNNNNNNNNNNNNNNNNNNNNNNNNNNNNNNNNNNNNNNNNNNNNNNNNNNNNNNNNNNNNNNNNNNNNNNNNNNNNNNNNNNNNNNNNNNNNNNNNNNNNNNNNNNNNNNNNNNNNNNNNNNNNNNNNNNNNNNNNNNNNNNNNNNNNNNNNNNNNNNNNNNNNNNNNNNNNNNNNNNNNNNNNNNNNNNNNNNNNNNNNNNNNNNNNNNNNNNNNNNNNNNNNNNNNNNNNNNNNNNNNNNNNNNNNNNNNNNNNNNNNNNNNNNNNNNNNNNNNNNNNNNNNNNNNNNNNNNNNNNNNNNNNNNNNNNNNNNNNNNNNNNNNNNNNNNNNNNNNNNNNNNNNNNNNNNNNNNNNNNNNNNNNNNNNNNNNNNNNNNNNNNNNNNNNNNNNNNNNNNNNNNNNNNNNNNNNNNNNNNNNNNNNNNNNNNNNNNNNNNNNNNNNNNNNNNNNNNNNNNNNNNNNNNNNNNNNNNNNNNNNNNNNNNNNNNNNNNNNNNNNNNNNNNNNNNNNNNNNNNNNNNNNNNNNNNNNNNNNNNNNNNNNNNNNNNNNNNNNNNNNNNNNNNNNNNNNNNNNNNNNNNNNNNNNNNNNNNNNNNNNNNNNNNNNNUAUGUAUACAUACAUAUAUGUAUGUAUACAUACAUAUAUGUAUGUAUACAUACAUAUAUGUAUGUAUACAUAUAUAUAUAUACAUAUAUAUACAUAUAUAUAUAUAGAGUCCGGCUAUGGUGCUUGUAAAAGUACCAAGCACUUGGUGCUUAUAAAUUUUUUAUCAUUAAAUCUCUGCCUUUGAUCAGUUUUACCCGUUAGAUUAUACUAUUCAACCAACCACCCACUCAACCCUACGGGGCCGACAUCAUCCUAACCGCACAUCCUUUAAUCCAAAGGCCGAAAACUUACAAGCACCAAUAACUUGGUACUUUUAAAAGCAUAGGAGCUCAAUUAUAUAUAUAUAUAGGGUUAAUUUCAUACAGGUCCCUACAAACAUAUUGAAUAGCAGAUAUAUCCCUGCAAAGUUCAACUUUCGUAAGUUAUCCCUGCAAAAGCCCUAAUGUAUUCAGAUAUGUCCCUACCGUUAAUCUCCGUUAGAAAAAUCUAGUUAACCACAGUUAAAAUACUUAACCAUGGUUAGUUAAUAAGGUAAAAUAACAUUUUUACCCUUCUUCUUCUUCCCCUUUCUUUUCUUCUUCCUCUGCUUCUUCUUCCUCUUCCUCUUCCUCUCCUGCUUCUUUUUCUUCCUCUUCUUCUUCGUAUCCUCAUUUUCCUCCUCCUUUUCUCCUCCUCCUUCUUCUUCUUCUUCGUCGUCGUCGAUGAUCCGAUCGUCGUCGCCGUCAUGGUGCCUGCGUGGGCCGUCGUCACGGGCACCUCCGACGGCAUCGGCGUGCCUUCGCCUUCCUCCUCUUCCUUGUCCUCGUUGGCCACAACCUCGACAAGCUCCGCAAAGUCGCUGUCGUCGUCGCUGUCGCCGCCGCCCACAACAUGAAAAGAAAAAGGAAGAUGAAGGGGCAAGGGCAAAAUAGUCAUUUCACAACUUUACUGUUAAAAAAUUAACAGUUCUCUAACAAAUCCAAACCAGAGGGACAUAUCUGAAUACAUUAGGGCUUUAUAUAUAUAUAUAUAUAUAUAUAUAUAUAUACAUCUUAACUCGAGGAUACGAAAAUUUUCGUGGUUUUAAAACCACGAACAUCUAAAAAUCGGUAACUUAAUUCUCUAUACGCCAAUCCUACUACACCCCGGAAUCCCAACUCAUCCACCACGUACCAACUUAUCAUAUUAGAUUACCAACUUUUACUAGGCUCUUCAUCUAGAUUGCCAUUUUUUGAAUGUUCAUGGUUUACGAAACAUGAAAAUGUUCGUGGUAUCGACCUGAGAGAGAGAGAGAGAGAGAGAGAGAGAGAGAGAUAUAUAUAUAUAUAUCUCUCUCUCUCUCUCUCUCUCUCUCUCUUGAUCCGAGGAUACGAUAAUUAUCGUGGUUCAGUAACCACGAUGGUUCAAAAACCGGUAACCUAAUUCUCUACACGCCAAUCCUACUACACCCGGGAAAUCCCAACUCACCCACCAACCAACUUAUCAUACUAGAUUACCCACUUUUACUAGUGUUCCCAUCUAGAUUGCCGUCUUUUGAACCAUCGUGGUUCACGAAGCACGAUAAUUAUCGUAUCAUCGGUCUGAGAUAUAUAUGUAUAUAUAUACCCAAUUAAAGUAUGUACAGGGACGUUUGUAUAACUUAUCGUCUAUAUAGGGACGUUUCAAAUUGAAAAUAUUCAAUAGGAAUGUNACGAUCGGCUCCGUUAGACUUGAUCUACACUAUUAAAAGUAUUUGAAAAUUAAAUUUUAUGAUUUUUCGACAUCAUUUGGCUAGUGAUUAAAAGGUCUCAAAAUUAACAAUUUUAAUGGUAGAUGUGAUGCGUUUGUGAAUUUAACGGUGUAAAACAAUCCAAAUCAGAUGAAAUUUUUAUAGAAAUUUUUUUUUUUACUAUUUAGAAUAAGAUCAGUACCUCUGAUCUUAAAUUCAAGUCUUCUAUCAUCAUUUUUUAUGAAAUUUUUAUUUUUAGCCGUUCAUUUUUAGACUACUCAUUUGAUAGGUAAAUGAUAUCGAAAAAUUAUGAAAUUUAGUUUCCAAAUACUUUCAAUAAUGUAGAUCAAGUCUAAUGGAGCCGAUCGUCGAUUUGGAAGCAGCAUCAUUGAAAACAACUUGGUAGCAUGGAGGCCUCCGUGCUACCGAUAGUAUACCAGCCUAGCUCUAUAUAUUUAUUUGAGCUAUAUCGAGCGAGCUGAUGUAUUCAGCUUGUUUUUAUUAAACUAACGAUCGAUCUCGAGCUUAUUUCAAGUCGAACACGGGCUGGCUGGUGAACAGCAAGCUAGAUUACCACCCGUACACCUAUUCAUUCCUCUCUAGGUCCGUUAGUGUUAAAACUUCUAAAAACUCUUAAUCCAGGGGUUGACAGUCUAAAACUUAUCGCGCGUUUAAUUUGCAAACUUUCUUGGCUUUCAUGUCUCAGAUCUACAAGGGUAAAACGUCAAUAACUCCCACGUUCUAGAUUAAGCAAAGAUGAUCGAGUUCUCUCGUUGCCGUCGAUACGUAAUCCGUCAUUGAAUGAAUGUACAACAAAUUGCUCUACUGGAGUUUUCAAAGUUGCUUUAAUAAAGGCGCUAAACUUCAACUUCUUGGUCAAUUUGAUCACUUAUGGUACUAUUUAGUUGUCGAAUUACCUAGUUAAUUCACAUUAUUGUCGGAUUAUUGACGCUAACUAUUAAUUUCAAAAGCUCGAGCUGUUAGAAAUACGCAACCAAUUCACUUAAAGCGUACAGAUACAGCGCCCACGGGUCUCGAUUGUGACUCGGCCUAACCAGCUUAAUUCACGCCACUUCGAACAUUACUCGGCCCACCCAGCCUUGCACCAUUUUGAACAUGACUCAGCCCAACAUGGCCUCACGCCACAGGGUAGGAUGCUGGCACAUUUAAGCCAACAAUUAUCACUUCAUCAACAAAGAAAAAAAAAAGAUAAUAAUAAUCCGAGUUCAAUCAUUCAUGUCAUUGAAGAAAAUCAAAGUUUAAGACCUAUUAAUUAAUUUGAUUGAAACAGAUCACAUUCAGCCACUAAACGAAGUUCUCACAUAGUUAGUUCAAAAUGGAGAUUCUAUAUGUCGGGGAGGUACGUCGACGCCGCAAUUUGAGUCCACAAGUUGGCUCGCAUGCGCUCAAUGUGCGAAUAGAAUGUCACAAUUAUAGUUAUUUGGAGGUUACCUCCGUCACCUAUAAAGGAACAAUUGUAGGUGGCCCAAGAAAUUAAAACUAGUUAAUAAUAAUAAUAAUAAUGAUAAUAAUUAAUACAUGCAUGUGGUGAGUACAUGCGUGGACCACAAAAGAAUUUAUUACCAUCCCCUAUAAAGAGAAUGGUGGAAUUCUCAGCACAACAUUCCACAAAGUAAUCAAUCGUAUCCAACGCAAGUGGCAAAAGGCUUAUGGUUUAGUUUUGAGGUUCUAAAUUCCAAAUUUAGUUGUCGCGCGCGGUAUAAUGCAUGCUACCUUUCUCUCUUUUGGAAAAGAAAAAAAAAACAUUCCACAAAGUAACGUUUCCAUUAGAUAAAACUAGAGAUGGCAUCUAGCUAUAAGUAAAAUAAUAUAAAAUUGAGGCAAUUGCUUUUAUACCUUUGAAAAGUUUCCUACUUUCUUAUUUAUUCCGAUUGGAAGACUAAUAUUAAAAAAGUACCCUUUUAAUAUUUCAGGUUCUUUUAAAUAUAUUCCUAGAGUUAGUUUCUGUUAGUGAACUAUUAGGUUCAGCCGUUAUCUCUAUAAAAUUUUUAUUUUACCCUUCCAAAUAUAACCUUCUAUGUCACCAACUUUUUUUAUUUGUCUUAAGUAAGGAGCAAAAUGCGUAUUUUGAUUUUUUUUUUUAAUUCUGAUAUAAAUUUAAUCCGAAUUUAAUCCGAGGUAACUUAACGGGUACUAAUAGCACGAUUAUUUUUGAAUAACAGAGAAAUAUAUAAGGAAAUAGUUGAAACAAAAAUAAAUAAAUAAAUAAGAUAUUUCAAAAAUAUAUAUUAAGGGGUAUACAGGCAAUUAUUCCUAUAACUUUCACCUAUGUUAAAGCCAUACCUAUGGGAAAGUCAAGUUGGUUCAUGCAAUCUAGACCCGUACACAUUCAAUUUCAUGUUUAAAUUUGAAAAUCACAAUUACAAAUAAAUUUCAAAAAAAAAUUACAAAUAAAUCCCUUUACCUAAAACAUUUAUAAAAAUCUCAUGGAAUGUAACAUUAAAUAUCUAUUAUAGGUUUACUAUAGUGGUCAAUUCUAAGUUGAAAAAUGAUCUUUUCAAAUGUGCAUUUAUGUGUCAUUACAAAUGCUCACUCUUUUGUGAAGUAACUUAGGAAAUAAUAAUUGACAACAUUUAUCAUCAUGACAUAUAUAUAUCGCAGUACUACAUAAAUACAUCACCAAUUGUCUAACUAUCUAAUUUUUCUCGCAAAAUUAAAAAUUGUCUUAGUUAAUUGAUUAUAUAUUUUCCUAGUAUAUGAUGCUAGAUUAGCUGUAAAAAAUCUCUAACGUUGUCGAUUUUUUUCAUCUCAUAUUUCUUUAAAAAACUAUUUUUAACGAUGUUGGUUUUAUGUUCAUUGACUUAUUUUCUUUAUUAUUAUUUUUACCAUACCACAUGUAAUUUAUGCAAAUACAAUAUCAUUUUAUCUUACUACAAACCAAAUUUGAAUAGAAAGUAAAAUCCGAUGUGAAACCAUUUUACGCAAUGAUCACAAAAGACGACUAAUGCAUCAAAAGGACAACACAAGAAACAUGCUGAUCUCUAGUUGAUACAGUUACAACCAAUCAUCAAUUUUUUCCAUUUUGGCAAUUUGUGUUGUAGGCCCCUCAAUUGGAUCUCUCCUACUUUCAAUUGAACGAUUGAGACCUCAGCAUAUUAACUUCCCAAAGACCCAUUAGAAUUUGAAUUAAGUCCUAUAUAUAAAAUAUAAUGGGACUAAAUGAUCUCUUAACUCGGCUAUAGUAUUUUAGGUAGUGAAUAGAUUUAAAAAGUUAAGCAUGUUAGGACUGGACCCAUUCUAGGUUGGGUGAGCCUUUGAGAAGUAGGGCGUCAGAGUUGGUAUCAGAGUUAAUCAUUAAUUAGAAGUGUGAGAUGAGUCAUGAACUGAGCUAAAAUCAUAUAACGAGCAGAGAGCGACUCCCAACUAUGUCGACUAAGACUAACGAGACGAGUCUCAUAUUGUCUGGUACUUGUGAGUGUGCUUGAACCUGACAAGAACAUUAGCGCUUAAAGAGGAGAGGAAUAUGACACCUCUAAAAUUUUGAAUAAUCUUACAUAUAAGCUAUAAUAGGACUAAAUAUUUUUACCCAACUAUAGUAUUGGUGGCGGUGAUUAGGCUCAAAAGUUUAAGAAGGUCAUGCAUAUGGUAGAGUUAGAGUAGUUUUAAAAUGAAUCAUCAUCCUAGGAAGCGGAGCGUCACAUUCACAAAGAUAGUCCUUUGAAGCGACAACUUCUGAUUAAAUUCGUAGGAAAACCAAUCACAAAGAUCAUAAUCUUUUGAAGAGACUUCUACUUAAAUUCAUAGAAAAACCAUACACUCAACGUUUUUGUUGAAAACAAUCACACCGAAUUCAAUACUUAACAAACAACGAGAAAAUUGUGAUCCCUUAAUCAUGUGGCUUCACCACCUUCUCCUUUUAUACAGAAUAUAUAAGAGCUAGCUAGGAACGCAGAUAAAAACAUAUAGGCUUCGGCCAUUCGACUUGUCAUAGAGUGGACCCCAAGUAGUAAUAUAUAUCGAUAUGCAUCUAGAGGAGAGGGACAAAAGGUACUCCCCAGGUGAGGACAUGCAUCAUGAUCCCUAUCCAAUAGCAUCAAAUUGCCACCCAAUAAUUUCGAUUGUUCUCUGCCCAUUCAUAGCUCAGGAUUUUGGAGCCCUAGUGUAGCUACAGCUAUAUAUAUAUAUAUAUAUAUAUAUAUAUAUAUAUAUAACAUGUCCCACCUCACCAUGUCAUCCACAUACUGUUUAUGAAUAGUUCUCUCAUAAAGGAUAACACAAACUGGGUGGGAGCUACUUAUUUGUUUUGUAGUUGCUCUCAACACCCAUUUGAUGCUGUAUCUUCCAAUUUCUUGGUAGUAGCAUAGCUAUGGAUCUUUAACUGAUUGGAGGGUGCAUGGAGCUUCCUUUUGGACCAUAUGAGGGGCAGGACUAGGUUGAUUUAUGUAUAUAUAUAUAUUAACAACAAUUUGGUGGUUGAGUUGGGUCCAUUUCUAAAAGGGCUUAGGUAAUGGAUUGAUUAUUGAUCAUGGUUAGUUUUGAUCUUAAUUAAUUGGGAGCGCCACUUGGUAGGUGGCUCGCGACGACACAUGGUAGGUUUCCUAUUUGGGGGGCUUGCUUCCUCCCAUCAAUCCGAUAGUGAUCGAAAACGACCGUUGCGAUCGUUCACCCUUUUUGAACUUUCUUUCUUUUGUUUUCCCUUACAUUCACAUAUCUUUUUUCACUUAGUGGAGAUACAUAGUCUAAACCUAUGGUUAGGGUGGAUGUAUGCUAGGAGAUGAGGAGGACGAUGAUGACGACGACGAUGUUGUUAAUUCUUCUGUGAAUUCUUUUGAUGACGACGACAGUGAUGAUGGUGGGCAUCACUAAUUGGAAGAAGUUUGCGUGACCAAACAGCCUCUUCUGCGGAUGACAGAUGUUCACCGUAAUUGAUGCGCAACCUAUGAAUCAAUCGAUUAACCAUUAAAAGUGAGAUAUAUAUAUAUGCUUUAUGUACCCAAAGGUAAAGCUAAACUUACUUUUAUUUUAGAAUUGUGAAACUUUUGAAAUGAUUGAUCAGGUCAAGUCAAGAAUAAUCCAAGUCAAAAAGAUGGAUAAAAUUAAUAAAGCAAAAGGUAUAGCAAACUUGCUCAAAAACGGAACUAAAAGAGCUAGAAUAUAUCAACUUUAGAUCAUGGAGAACAUUAGUUUAUGCGAAGUUGCGAGAAAAAGAAUAGAGCAAAAGAAUAUUAAUGCAUACCACGUAGAAUAAAUUCCGCUAGCCCAAGCCUAGUGUAGUAUAUGCACAACAGGUUUGCAUGAGUAGGAUUCAAAACCAUCUUUUGAUCAUCACUAGCUUUAUAAUAAUCACCAAAUGAUAUCUUACUUAUGAGUGGAUCAUAGUACAACGGAUCGCUUAGUUUAGGUAAUCCUUGUGACCAAUUGACCGGAUUAAUGCGACCACCGCCCACAAGAAAAGGAUGGAUUAACAUGUUGCGUUUCGACGAUGGAGCUUCGUCAUCGCUUAGCAGCUGAGAGAUGUUGAUGUUUAAUGUAAAAUAAUCGCUAAUGAACAGUGGAUUUUCGCAGCAAAAGCUCAUUAUUAUUCUUGUGCUGGCUGCCAGUCAUUUGUCGGGCUUGGAACAGACUGCUUCUGAUCAGGGUGCAAUUUCAAAUACAAAUAAGAAGAUAGAGAUAUAUAAGAGUUCAUGCAUUUGACAUUUACCAUUGCUUUCUAGCUAUAAAGCUAUCUAUGGAUAUAUUUUUUUUUGUAGAAAGAUUUGGUAGUGGGAAUUUUAGGGCAUCAGAAGCUAAAUAAAUCAAACAGCAAUAGAAUCUGCAUAUAUAUAUUCAAAUCAAACAGUAAUAAAAUUUGUAUAUAUUCAAAGCAUAUUGCAAAUUAAUGGCCUAAUUUUUCAGAUUACAAAUUUAAUUAUGCUAUUAGCAUCUUUAAAGUGAUGAAAUAAUAUUAUUCAGAUUAUUGAGUUGUGAUUUUGAUUUCUGCUUGGUAUUUUAAAUAUUACGGGAAAAAUUAAUUGAUCUGAAAAGGAAAAGGUGACAAAGUACUUUUGGUUAUCCAAAAGAUCGGUUUAAUAGAAAACGAGGCCAUAAAUAUAUAUUAAUAUUCUCACUCACGCGCCUGUAAAUAUAUAUUAACAAUCCCACUCACGUGAGUGUAUGAUGAAUAUGAAAUGCACGUAGAAUUGAUAGAAAAGAUGGAACAUGAGAAUUUAACCCAUUAUAUAAUUACUAAAAUUUAAACCCAUUAAAUGUCAAAGGUUGGGAUUGAGCUCACGACCUCACAGAAUAAAAAGAUUUGGAAUUGGCGCUUAUAUAUAUAUCAUGUUACCCAAAAGAUGAAUCUAGUAGAAAACAGGCCACUCAUACGUAUAGUGAGGAUCAGGUAAACUCUGUCACUUAUAUUGGCAGAAAAAAUAAGAAAGAGAUUUUACCCAUUAAAUGAUGAAUGUGGAAAACUAAGUCCUCGAUUUUUUAAAAUAUGUUAGGCUCGAUCUAAUAAGAAACUGUCAAACAUUAGUCCCUAGGCUGCCAAUGUCUGCUCUGUUUAAUAUGAAAACCUCAAUUUGGUUACUUGUGAUUUAAUGCAUUUUUAUUAUUUUGCCACCCUAUGGUUUACAUUUUUUUUCACUUUGCGAGCUCUUAUUUUUCCUCUUUGUAUUUGUGCAAUUGCUGAUGAAAAUAAAAUAAUAUAGGAACCAUGCAAUAUGGUAGUGAAAUACAUUAUUUUAAGUUGCAUAUAUAUAUAUAUAUAUAUAUAUAUAUUCGUCAGAUGAUUUGUAAAUCCUUAUAAUCAAACCAAUAUGGCAUAACUGGAAAAGUGAAACUUUACAAACCACAUGACCUUAAGAAUAAAAAAGCGUUAAACCACAUGAUAAUUAAAUAAAGUUUAUUCUUGUUCAACCUAUGUCAUCAGCAUCGACCGCGCGUCCCUAAAGCAUAUGGCAAAGGACUUGAUAGUUGGUAUCCGAGAUCCCAAGUUCGAAUCCUAAUUUAUUCACAUUUUCAGCUAAGUUUAUUUCUAACUGAAAUAAACGAAACGAAUAGCGUGCUACCUAUCUGUCAAGUCUCGGAUUACCACGUUUUCCCUGGCACGCCAACAGACCCGUCGUAUACAAAAGAAUUUUCUCUGUAUACAACAGACCCGUCGUAUACAACUAGUAGUAUAGAGCUGCUAAACUGAACUGUAUAUAAAUAAACAACAGGUUCACCAUACAUACAAAGUCUCCCUGAUACAACAUCUCUCGCUCCAGCGAGUAACAACAUAAGUAUGUACAUGAACCAAAAACCAUAACUAUCUGCAGCUGGUACUCCUCUAGUGCUGCAACCAGGGAAGGGAUCUAGUUCGCAACCCCCCUUCCACGAUCAGUAUCGGUGACAGCAGCAGCCACAAAAAAAGGCUCUGCGAAAAGGGAUAAACAACUGGGUGUGAGAACUACUACAUGAAGAACUAGUCCUCAAUGGGUACCGCUACCGACCUCAACGGCUCACCCACUAAGUCUAUAGAAAGUAUGCGAAGGAUAAUAAAGGAAGCUGGUAAAACUCUACAGCUAUAUGCCACUAUACUAUCACUAAUCAACUCUAACUAUCUGUAGAUAUGCAUCCCCUGCAAUAACGACUAUACUGUCAAGGGACUGCCAACAGGCCCAUCCCGCCUGCUUCCGAGCUAUACCGCACACCACCACUGAGGUGGCCGGUCCUAAAGCACCGAGCUAUACCGCACACUACCACUGAAGUGGCCGGUCCUAAAGCACCAUCCAAACAGGACUGCUUCAACAACAAAGCAAAAGCACAAAGCCCAACUCCGGAGUGGCACUUGUGGGCGCUACCAAACCGAGUAUGCAAGUAUGUCUCUAUUGAGCUCGAUCAGGCUCUCACAGGCUAUAAUCAAAGCAAAUGGGUCUAAUAACUAAAACUUACGUACCCUUGGCACAAUCUAAUGCAAAUACAGAAAUCUGGGUCCAUCGUCAACCGCGACGACACCCGACAGUACGAAACAGUCUACACACUACUGUAAAAUAAACUCGGUAUCCCAGUACGAGCGUAAACCCCUCCUACACUAAUCUGAGUAUCUACCGCAUACAAACUGCGGCAAUACAAACAAACCACAGCAUCUAACGCUAAAUCUGGUAGUUUUCAGAAAAUGACAGUGUAGGAUUUACAGUUUUCUCCUAAGUCAAUUCCAAGUCCAGCAUGUAAAAUUAUACUACUACUACUUAACUCCAAAUUCAUAUUUUAAGCCUAAUCCAUGAAUUCGAGUACAAGCAAGAAAAUAAACACAUGAUACAUGUUGACGAUAUAAAAACUUAGGAGGUAUUUCGGCGAUUUCGGUAAACUUCAACCCACCUCGAAAAGUUUGUCCAACAACAGCGAGAAGUCGAGAGAAGGGAAAACACACGCUCGCCCGGCCUCCAACGGUGCAACCGCGACAUCCUCGCGCUCGAACGGCUCCCCGACGCAACGUCGACGUCGAUCCGAGCUCAAGCCGUAGCCUCCACCAAGCACACAAUUAAAACUAGAGAGAUGAACAUGAGAUAAUUAAUCUCUCUCAAGUGGAUAAAUAUAAGGGAGUAGGUGGCGUGGAUAACUAUCACCACAAAUGACCACCAUACCCCUUUACCAACUCAAAAAACAGCUAGAGUACCGGUACCCGAUUUGGUUACCGGUACUCGGCCUCUUAGCCCACAAGCUCACACACAGGGUACCAGUACCAGCCCGAUACCGUACCGGUACUCAACACUGAAAUCUUGCACUUUGCGGAUUUCAGCGUCAGAACUCCACUCUCGCCUCGCGUUGACUCCGUUUUGUAUCCAUUUCAUGCCAAAACUUCUCCGACUGGUCCCGAUACUCUCCAGAUGUGUCGACAAGCCUCAGAUGCUGAAAUCACACAGGCUACAGAACACCAGGGAUACUACAUCUUCCUCCACUAUAAAAACUUUGGUCCUCGAAACUUAGAAGCAUACCUCAAACCUGAGUCUCGAACAAGUAGGGAUAGGACUCCUGCAUCACCGUCUCUGGCUCCCACGUCGCCUCACGCUCCUCGUGAUUGCUCCACUGCACUUUUACAUAAGAAAUGACCCGGUUGCGUAAUUCUUUCAUCUCACGAGACCGAAUUCGCACCGGUCGCUCCCCAUAUCUCAAGUCCUCCAGUGGAGUGAAGUCAAUCACGUGGGAGGGGUCGAACACGUAUCUUCUCAAAACUGAGACGUGAAAUAUAUCAUGAAUGCCGGCCAAUCUUGGGGGUAGAGCAAUCCUGUAUGCUACUGAUCCGACUCGCUCCAAUACCUCAAAAGGGCCUACAAAGCGCGGACUGAGCUUUCCACGUACUCUGAAUCUGUGUAUCCCUCGGGACGGCGAGACUUUUAAAAACACACGAUCUCCAACCUGAAACUCUAAGUCUCGUCUCCUGGUAUCGGCGUAGCUCCUCUGUCGACUCUAGGCUGUCAAAAUGUAUCGUUGCGCAACCUUGACCUUCUCCUCUGCCUCUAUCAGAAUCUCAGGUCCCAGAGUGUUCCUUUCACCCACAUAACUCUAAUGCAAAGGGGAUCAACACCUGCGUCCAUACAACACUUUAAACGGAGUCAUCUGAAUGCUCGUUUGAUAGCGGUUGUUGUAUGCAAACUCAACCAGUCUCAAAUGUCGAUGCCACCCUCCUCCAAAGUUCAGGACACAUGGUCUCAGUAUGUCCUCCAGAGUCUGAAUUUUCCACUAUAAUGGACCAUCUGUCUGUGGGUGAAAUGUUAUGCUGAAAUGUAGCUGUGUACCCAAGGCCAUCUUAAGACUCUUCCAGAAAUGCGAGACAAAUCUCGGGUCUCGAUCCGAUACUAUCGAGGUAGGCACACCAUGCAAUCUAACAAUCUUAUCUAAGUAUAGCUAAGCGAGUCUCUCUCUGGAUCAGGUGGUCUGUACUGGUAGGAAGUGAGCAGACUUGGUCAGCCCACUAUCACCCAAAUAGCAUCGAAACCACCCUAUGCUCUAGGUAAUCCCAAGACAAAGUCCAUCGUAAUCUGCUCCCAUUUCCACUCGGGCACUGGCAGGUUCUAAAGCUUGCCAGCAGGCACCUGAUGCUCUGCAUUUACUUGUUGGCAAGUCAGACACUGAGCCACAUAUCUGCGAAUGUCCCGCUUCAUUCCAUUCCACCAAAAGUGUGCCUUCAAGUCCUUAUACAUCUUGGUUCCACCGGGGUGAACCGUAUAAAGUGAGUAAUGAGCCUCUCUCAAAAUCUCCUCUCGGAUCUCUGAAUCCAUAGGAGUCCCUGUACUGGAGUACUCCCGAACUGUCUACUGAAAAGGCCUCCGCCUGUCCCCUCUCUAACUGCUCUCGAAUCCUCAACAAGUGAGAGUCUCUACUCUAUUUCUCCAUGAUCCUGUCCAACAAAGUGGGCUGCAAGACCAUAGACAUCAGUCUCGUAGUAGACCCAGGGGACACUAUCUCAAGCCUCAACCGCUGUAGCUCCUCAAGUAACGGUCUCUGCUAAGUAAUCAACAUGCUGAAGCUCUGCACUGACUUCCUGCUCAACGCAUCUGCCACCACAUUCGCUUUGCUAGGAUGAUACUGAAUGCUAACAUCAUUAUUUUUCAAUAACUCCAACCACCGGCGCUGCCUCAGAUUCAACUCCUUCUGGGUAAAUAGAUACUUGAGACUUUUAUAAUCAGUGAAAACCUCACUGUGCUCGCCAUACAAAUACUGCCGCCACAACUUCAAGGCAAAAAUCACUGUAGCAAGCUCCAAGUCAUGCGUAGAGUAAUUCUUCUCGUAAUCCUUCAAUUAUCGGGAAGCAUAAGCAAUUACCCUACCAUGCUGCAUCAGAACACAACCCAACCCACUAUGUGAUGCAUCACUGUAGAUCACAAAUCCUUCCCCCAUAACUGGAAGGGCAAGGAUAGGAGCUGACAUUAGCCUCAGUCUCAACUCGUCGAAGCUCCUCUAACAAUCCUCACUCCGAAUAAACUUAAUUCCCUUUCGAGUCAAUCGAGUGAGGGAUGUGGAAAGCUUCGCAAAGCUUUCCACAAACCUAAGAUAAAAUCCAGCUAGUCCAAGAAAACUCCUCACCUCAGUCACCGUCGUCGGUCUGAGCCAAUCCCAAAUAGCAUCAAUCUUCUUCGGGUCCACUGCUACUCCAACUGCAGAAAUCACAUGGCCUAAGAAAGAAACCUCCUGCAGCCAAAACUUGCAUUUCUUCAAUUUAGCAUACAACUUCUUCUCCCUCAGAAGCUGUAAUACUAUCCUCAAGUGCUCCUAAUGCUCAACAUCACUCUAGGAGUAUAUCAAAAUAUCAUCAAUGAAUACAACAACGAAUCUAUCCAAGUACGGCUUGAACACUCUAUUCAUCAAAUCCAUAAAUGCGGCAGGGGCAUUCGUCAAUCCAAAAGGCAUCACAGUGAACUCAUAAUACAAAAAGUCGUCUUGAAAACAUCUUCGGCCCUCACCCUCAACUGGUGAUGACCUGACUGGAGAUCAAUCUUCGAAAAGAUACAAGAUCCUUGCAGCUGAUCAAACAGAUCAUCAAUACGCGGCAAAGGAUACUUAUUCUUGAUAGUCACUUUAUUCAGCUCCCGAUAAUCCACACAUAAUCUAAGUGAACCAUCCUUCUUCUUCACGAAUAAUACCGGCACUCUCCAAGGCUAUACACUGGGUCUCACAUACAUAUCCCUUAUCUAUCAGAUCCUGAAGCUGCGCCUUCAGCUCUCUCAGCUCUGUCGGUGCCAUUCAGUAGGGUGCCUUCGAGAUUGGCGCAAUUCUAGGAACUACGUCAAUCACAAACUCGAUCUCUCUAUCCGGCGGUAAAGUCGUCAACUCCGAGGAGAAAACAUCCGAAAACUCACGAACUAUAGGGAUACCCUCGAGUCCUAGCGCCGCCGUAGGCACCUCUACAACCAUCGCCAGAAAAGCAGUGCAUCCUCUACUCAUCAACUGUCGAGCCCUCGCCGAUGAAAUCCAAGUGGCAAACAACAUACUCCUGCAGCCUCUGUACGUGAACUCCUCAUGGCCUGGCUCGCGGAACGUCACUAUCCUCAUUCCACAGUCGAUCGUAGCAUAGUAUCGCACCAGUAAAUCCAUGCCAAGCACAACAUCAAAGUACUACAGCUGCUCUAAGACCAACAAGUCUGCGGGCAUAAUCCAGGAGCCCAACUGCACCAGACACGACCAACAACACUCUGCUACCUGCAAAAUAUGGUCGAAAAUCUGCACCUCUCGUGCAUGCAAAAACGACCCUACCUCUAGACCAUGCAAUGAUGUAAAUGCUCGGCUAACAAAAGAAUAUGAUAUGCCGGUAUCAAAUAAGGUACGAGCUCUAAUACCAGAAAUCAAAAUGAUACCUGCCACCACCUGGCCGGCUGCUGUAGAGUCCAUCAUUCUCCUCCACCAAGAAUGCGCAUCGCGAGCCAAACAAUGCACUCCCAGAUGUACUUGCUCCCGCUCCGGUAUAAACAAAUUCUCAAAUAAUUUCUCCAUCACGCUCACCCAGCCCUCUACAACCCAGAGCUCCGUACAGCUGCCGUCAAAGCACAGCGGAUCAAACCGACGAAAACAAGUAAGCCUCUCAAUCAUUCGCUCCUGCUCAGCCUCAGACAUUUGCGACGCCUCUCCAAAGAAUGCAACUGGCGCCGAAGGAACUGUCACUUGUGGGGGUACAGCUGUGGCUGGUGCGGCCAUGGGAAUAGUCAGUGCUGCUGCUGACUGCUCUAGUGCUCUAAGCGCUGCGCUUGGCGGUGGAGUAAAUGUCUCACACAUCCUCUAUAACAGUGCCCCCUACUACCUCGUUGCCUCAGUCAAGGCAGCCAACUGUCUCUCAGAUCAGGGGGUACACUCAGCCCUGCCUACUCAGGCACCUCUGAUGGUGUGGCACGAUCCCGCGUCGGCGGUCGGCCUCGGCGUCGAUACAUGGCUACCUGAAAUCAAAACAAAGGUCAGAUACAAAACACAAUCAACUCUCGACCCAAUCAAGCGAAAGUCUAGAAGGCCGCCCCUGUUUCUCUUCAAAAUUAUGUCGUCUGCAGCCGACAUAAUUUCCUUGGCCGAAACAGACACUCCUUAAGUGACUCACUCCACUUUAGGAUAAGUUAAAACAAUUCAAUCGCUGACUUUCGUGAUAAAUCACGCCUCUCGCGUCUUGCCUUCCUAUGGUUUGCCAAGCAUAAAGUUUUCUAGGUCCCAACGACCUAAUACUAAACUCUGAUACUAACUUAAUCUGUCACGCCCUGGAUUACCACGUUUUUCCAGGCACGCCAACAGACCCACCGUAUAUAAAAGAAUUUCCUCUGUAUACGAAGUAAUAGCUGUACCUGUAUCUGUAAUCAUACAAAACUACAAUUAGUAGUAUAGAGCUACUAAACUGAACUGUAUAUAAAUAAACAUCAGAUUCACCAUACAUACAAAGUCUCCCUGAUACAACAUCUCUCGCUCCAGCGAGUAACAGCAUAAAUACGUACAUGAGCUACUAAACUGAACUGUAUAUAAAUAAACAUCAGAUUCACCAUACGUACAAAGUCUCCCUGAUACAACAUCUCUCGCUCCAGCGAGUAACAGCAUAAAUAUGUACAUGAACCAGAGAAGGGAUCUAGCUCGCAACUGGUACUCCUCUAGUACUGCAACCAGGGAAGAGAUCUAGCUCGCAACUUCCUUUCCACGAUCAGUAUCGGCGACAGCAGCAGCCACAGAAGAAGGCUCUGCAAAAAGGGGUCAACAACUGAGUGUGAGAACUACUGCAAGAAGAAGUAGUCCUCAGUGGAUACCGCUACCGACCUUAACGGCUCACCAACUAAGUCUACAGCAAGUAUGUAGAAGGAUAGUAAAGGAAGCUGGUAAAACUCUACAACUAUAUGCCACUAUACUAUCACUAACCAACUCUAAUUAUCUGUAAAUAUGCAUCCCCUGCAACAACGGCUAUGCUGUCAAAGGACUGCCAACAGGCCCAUCCCACCUGUGUCCGAGCUAUACCGCACACCACCACUGAGGUGGCCGGUCCUAAAGCACCGUCCGAACAGUACUGUUGUGACAACAAAACAAAAGUGUAAAGCCAGACUCCGGAGUCGCACUCGUGGGCGCUACCCAACCGAGUUUACAAGCGUGUCUCUACUGAGCUCAAUCAGGCUCUCACAGGCUAUAAUCAAAGCAAAUGGGUCUAACAACCAAAACUCACGUGCUCUUGGCACAAUCUGAUGCAAAUACAGAAAUCUGGGUCCACUGUCAACCGCGACGACACCCGACAGUCCGAAACAGUUUACACACUACUGUAAAAUAAAUUCGGUAUCCCAGCAUGAGCGUAAACCCCUCCUACACUAAUCUGAGCAUCUACCGCAUACAAACUGCGACAAUACAAACAAAGCACAGCACCUAACGCUAAAUCUGAUAGUUUUCAGAAAAUGACAGUGUAGAAUUUGCAGUUUUCUCCUAAGUCAAUUCUAAGUUCAACAUGUAAAAGUAUACUACUACUAUUUAACUCCAAAUUCAUAUUUUAAACCUAAUCCAUGAAUUCGAGUACUAGCAAGAAAAUAAACACAUGAUACAUAUUGACAAUAUAAAAACUUAGGAGAUAUUCCAGCAAUUUCGGUAAACUUCAACCCGCCUCGAAAAACUAGUCCAACAACGGCGAGAAGUCGAAAGAAGUGAAAACACGCGCUUGCCCGGGCUCCAACGGCACAACCACGACGUCCACGCGCUCGAACGGCUCCCCAGCGCAACGUCGACGUCGAUCCGAGCUCAAGCGUAGCCUCCACCAAGCACACAAUUAAAACUAGAGAAAUGAACAUGAGAUAAUUAAUCUCUCUCAGGUGAAGGAGUAGGUGGCGUAGAUAACCACCACCACAAAUGACCACCAUAUCCCACUACCAACUCAAAAGACAGCUGAAGUACCGAUACCCGAUUUGGUUACCGGUACUCGGCCUUUCAGCCCAUAAGCUCACACGUAGGGUACCGGUACCAGCCCGAUACCGUUUCGAUACUCAAUAAUGAAAUCCUACACUUUGCGGAUUUCAGCGUCAAAACUUCACUCUCAUCUCGCGUCGAGUCCGUUUUGCAUCUAUUUCGGCCCAAAACGACUCCGACUGGUUCCGACACUCUUUAGAUGUGUCGACAAACCUCAGAUGCUAAAAUCACAUAGGCUGCAGAAUAUUAGGGAUACUACACUAUCUCUCAAAAAAACCUAUGUGCUCAGCAUGCUUUAUAGAACAGCAAAUGUACGUACAUGCUAGCUGUGAAAAAGUAGAUACAGAGAGAUAAGAUUACUUAAAGAAUAUAGAAUAGUUUAAGUUGUUUCUCAUUGCAUUAAAGUCUAAUUAUUUUAUUCCUCUUGGAGAUGUGACUCUAGCAAACAGGGAAAUGUACUUAGCAGCUUCAAUUAUUAAGAAGCUAUAAAUAGGCCAGAUUAGCCUAUUUAAUUAUGGGGUUAAUUUAUUCAAUACCCUCCAACUGAAAGAUUGCAAUUUAAAAAAAAAAAUCUUUCAAAUUGUGAAAUAUCAUUUGAAGUAAUAAAUAUUUUUAUUUUUUUACUGACCUUUCCUAGAGUGACACUACAACAAAAACGGGCUAUAGCGACACUUUUAAAUAUAGGUACAGGUCAAAAAAAGUGCUGUUGGCUAAAUUACCGACACUUUUAAAAAGUGUUGCUAUAUGUGGGGUCGCUAGGUAUAUAGUGACAGUUAAAGAGUGUCGCUAUAAUCUAAAAAAGUGCUUCUAAUUUACCAAUAUUUAUUUAAUCAUUUAACAGCCGUCAGAACUCUACUUCGUUGGCUGCGGUAGCGGAGGAGGACGAGAGGAAGGGAUUUUCGUCUUGGAUUUCAGUCGAUUAAGUGAGGGGAGAAGGGGAAAUGGUAAUCGAUUUUUCUUUUCUUUUUCUUUUUUGUUUGUAAUCGGACCGAAUGGGCUGGGUGCGGUGGGUUGAGUAGAGUAACCUUUUAUUUUUGGUUAGAUUGGACUUUAUAUUUAAGCAUUAGUAGAUUUUUUUUUUAAGUUUUGGCAUAAAUUAGACACUUACACAUAAGUGUCCCAAACAUGUGUCCCUAUAAUCUAAUUCCGUUGUAGUGGAGUGGCAAAGGCUUGGUGGUUAGUACUUGAGGUUUCAAGUUCGAAUCCUACUUGAUUCACAUUUCUAGCUAAAUUUAUUUUCUAAAUGAAAUAAACAAAGCGGGUAGCGUGCUACCUAUAUCUCUCAAACAAAAAUUAUUUUUAUUUUUGAAAUAAACUAGUAUUAUAGAUACAGAGUAACGAAAAAAAAAUUGUGUUUUGGUUUAAUAUUUUUUUAUUCCCUAGAAUAAGCAAAAAUUUUUUUUUAGUAAUUUUAUUAAGAAUAAUGAAGAAUUGUACAAAAAAUAUAUAAAUUUUUAAAAUAUUAAGAUUGCGGUUAUUAUUAUCUAGAUUUGUUUCUGGUCAUAUAGUAGACUAUUUACUGGAUAUAUAUCAUAUAUUAUCUAAAUACUUCAAUAUUUUGAUUGAACAUACUUCAUGAAUAAUAUAUAAAAAAUAUUUCAGAAGGAUAAGUAUUUUAGGAUAGACAUAUAAUAUAUAAGAUAAAUUUAUAAAAGGAAUAAAGUAUAUAUAAUACCAGCUACUGAGUAGUGUGUUGUAUACUACGUAAACGUACUACAUACUGAAGAGAUAGGUAUAGAUGGAAGAUAAUAAAUAUUAUUGAUUAUUAUGUAUUUUAUUAGUUAUAAGAUAUUUAUAUAUAUAAAAUAAUAUAUAUAAUUAUAUAUAAUAUAUAUAUAUAUAUAUAUAUAUAUAUAUAUAUAUAGUAUAUAUAUAUAUAUAAUAUAUAUAUAGUCACUUAGGUGCUUGUAAAAGCACGCAAGGACUUGUGCUUGUAAGUUUUUUACACGUUAGAGUCUAUUUCUCGAUCAUUUUCAUACCAACCACUACUCAACCACUAGGGGGGCCCACAUCUCAUAACCGCAUAUCUCUUUUAUGGCUAAAACCUACAACAUCCAAUAACUUGGUACUUUUAAAAGCAUAGAGCUCAAUUAUAUAUAUAUAUAUAUAUAUAUAGUACCACUACUAUUAUACCAUAUAUAUAGUAUAUAACCCCAUAUUGUAUAUUACGUUUUAGGGUGCGUUUGGUGUCAAGUUAUUUCCGGCAGAGGAUUACAGUAAUUCUAUCAGGAUACGUGUUUGUUCAUCCGCUAUAAUAAUACUAAUCGUUAAUAAGCAGCAUUACAAUAUGAGUAGCUCAUUACACGAAAAUUAUACAACACGAGCGGGGUCGUCUAGUAUUUGCAUUAACUGAAAACCGAUAAAAUCAUACUUAUUAAUGUAAAAUGAUCAAUUUUAACGCUCUAACUCUCGAACCAACUUUCACUACACGAUUUUUUAAUUUUUAAUUAAAUUAAUUUAAAAUUUGAGAUGUCAACUUUUAAUUUAUUAAUUUUUAAUUUUCAAUUUAAUUUUAAAUUUUAAAUUUAAAUUUUUAAAUUAUUUAAUUUUAAUUUUUAAACUUCAAAUUAUAAUUAAUUUAAAUUUUAAAUUUCAAAUUUCAAAUUUGAAGUUGAAAUUUUGAAUUUUAAAAUUUUAAAUUUAAAAUACAAAUUUGUUUUUAAAUUUGAAUUUAAUUUAUAUUUUAAUUUUUUAUUUUAUAUAUAUUUAUAUUUACAUUUUAGAUUCUAAAUUUAGAAAUUUCAUAUUUAUAUUUUAAAUUAAAAUAUUAAAUUUAUAUGUUUGUUAAAAUUUAAAAUUUAAAAAUUAAAUUAUUUAAAAUAAAAUUUGGUAAAAAAAUAUUAUUUGUAAACAAUAAAAAAAAAAGUUUACGAAAUAUAACUAAGGGCUAUUUUGGAAUAGACUAUACUUUAUUGUCUAAAUUACUAAAUUUUAUAGACAAAACCAAAUAUAGUAACGCUAUAAACACAGCAAUCCGGUAUUACAUUAUUGUAUUAAACCAAACAUACUAAUGGUAAUCUCAUUUAGAAAUUUUAUAUCGAAAUACUCUAUAAUAUAAUAUAACUCGAACCAAACGUGCCCUUGUUAUCUUUAAUAAGCUAAGUUGUUCUUGGAAUAUUUAGAAAUUAUCUAAAUAAUCUGGUUUAACUGAAAUAAUUAUUCUUUUUUUUUGUAUAUUGUUUAGCAGAAUAGCUGGGAUAACUUUUGUUCACCCAGGUUUAUUCCUAAAUCAAAUGGAGCCUAAAAAGUUUUGGAUUUAGGCUUUGGGUUUGGGGUUAGAGGGGUAUUUGGGACAGCUUUAUAUGUCUAGAGGAGUACCAGUGAUAGAUUUACAAAUUUAGAGAGAGUAUGAAUGAUAUUUUAGAUUUUGAAGGAACCUAUAUGAUAUUUUUAAGUUUUAGGGGGUUAUAUUUGAAAUUGCCCCUUAAUUAUAUGUUGGUACUCUCGUUUUUCUGGAAAGGCCCAUUUAGAGUGGAGGAGAAGAGUCGCUGCAGCAGCCCAACAAGAGCCCAAAUUCUAACAUUACGUUCCAAACCCCAAACUAGAGCUAAAAACUAAAUUAAAAAUAAUAAUAAUGUAUCUUAUUUUGAAAUGUAUCUACAGUUAUAUAGUUAGUGAUUCUAAAAAAUUUGAUUCAAUUGAAAAUGCAUGUUUUUUUUUAAUGAAGAACAUACUGUUGAAACUCGAAUUUCUAUAUAUCACGAAUGCGACAACUUCUGGAGUAGACCUAACAGAGUAUCUGUUUGGCCCGACUUUUGCUGGGCCUAAACAGGCUUUCCCUACUUUGGGGGUGUUAGGUGGAUUUAUAUUUUUCUCAAGUCUCCACAUAUAUUUAUAUUAUAGUUUAAAAUCAACAAAUAGCAGCACGUGCGACUUAAGAAAGACAAUAUCGGUCUAAUCGCAAAAAGGCUCCAAAUUUCAAUCAAAACAUACUUGAACAUUAAUAUUUUCACAUGGAACAUGGGAAUCGGCUCUGAUACCAAUAUUAGAAUUACCGGUAUAAAAGAAAAACGCAACAGAAAAUAAUAUUAUAUUUUUUAAAUUUUUCGAAAAUCAAAACUCAUAUCACAUAAACAUCACGUUCCAUCUGAAUUACUUUAAAAUAUAUAUAUAUAUAUAUAUAUAUAUAUAUAUAGGCUAGUAUACUUAUGNNNNACAAGAUCAAUAACUUUGAUCUAAAAUUUUAAUAUCAUAUCAUCACAUUUUGUAAGAUUUUUAUUUUCAGCCGUUGAUUUUGAGACACUUCGAUCACUACGCAAAUGAUAUCGAAAAAUCGCAAAAUUUAUUUUCUAGAUACUUCCAAUACUCUAGAUCAAGUCUAAUAGAGCCGAUCAUCGAUUCGAAAGUCCAAACAUCGAAAACAAAGUGGAAGCACGGAGCGCUUCGUUCUUCCAUAAGCAUACCAGACGCACUCUAUAUAUAUAUAUAAUUGAGCUAUAAUACUUUUAAAAUUAUUACCCCAUUGAUGCUUUUAGAUUUCUGGCCCUUGAAUCUACUCCUUUAUUACUAAUAGCCCUUGGAUCAAACACUAUUCCAUCUACCACCACCUACCACCANCCCAUUGAUGCUUUUAGAUUUCUGGCCCUUGAAUCUACUCCUUUAUUACUAAUAGCCCUUGGAUCAAACACUAUUCCAUCUACCACCACCUACCACCACCUACUAUCAUCAUCACAACCUUACAUUCCUCCAUCCAAUGAUUAAAAACUCAAAAGCACCACCUCAUUGGUGCUUUUGAAUGUAUUCUAGGUCAUCUCUCUCUCUCUCUCUCUCUCUCUCUCUCUCUCUCUAUAUAUAUAUAUAGGGUCCGGCUACUAUACUAUUAUGAGUACAAUCACCCUCGUACUUAUAAGUUGUUUUUGAUGAUAGAGCUUCCGAAUCGACGAUCCACACCGUUAAACGUUAUUUACAGCAUUUAAAACUUCUAUAAAUCAAAUUUUAUAACUUUUCGACAACAUUUACCUUACGAUCAAGAGGUCACAAAUUUGAUAAUUUUUAACGGCCGGUAUGAGAUACUUGCUAGUUUAACGGUGUAAAAUAAUCAGAAUUUGUUAAAUUUUUUAUAGAAAAUUCUAUUCACUACAUAGAUAAAGAUCGAUAACUCUGAUCUUGAAUUGAAGGAUCCGAUUAUUCCUUUUUAGGACGUCGUUCAAUUUUGACCUUUCAUUUUUUGCCCACUUGAUGAACUUUACUAUGAUUUUGAAAAUUUACGAAAUUUAUUUUCUAAAAGUUUCAAAUACUCUAGAUCAUAUUUAACGGAAUGGAUCGCCAACUCCGAAGCUCCAUUAUUGAAAACAACUUAUGAGUACAAGGGCUCCAAUACUCAUAAUAGUACAGUAGUCAUGGCCUAUAUAUAUAUAUAGAGUCCGGCUACUAUACUCUUGUGAGUACGAUCGCCUUCAUACUCAUAAGUUGUUUUCGAUGAUAAAGCUUCCGAAUUGACGAUCCAUACCGUUAAACAUUUUCUAGAGCAUUUAAAACUUCUACAAAUCAAAUUUUAUAAUUUUUUGAUAUCAUUUACCUUACGAUCAAAAGGUCACAAAAUUGAUAAUUUUUUACGGCCGAUAUAGAAUACUUACUAGUUUAACGGUGCAAAAAAAUCAGAAUAGGCUGAAUUUUUGAUAGAAAAUUCUAUUCACUGUCUAGAUAAAGAUCAAUAACUCCGAUCUUAGCUUGAAGAAUCCGAUCAUUCAUUUUUAGUACGUCGUUCGAUUUUGACCAUUCAUUUUAUGCCCGCUUGAUGGCCUUUAUUAUGAUUUCAAAAAAUUACAAAAUUUAUUUUCUAGAAGUUUCAAAUACUCUAUAUCAUAUUUAACGGAGUGGAUCGUCGAUUCGAAAGCUCCAUCAUCAAAAACAACUUAUGAGUACGAAAAGUCCAAUACUCUUAAGAGUAUAGUAGCCCUACUCUAAUAUAUAAAUAAAUAUAUAUAUAUAUAUAUAUAUAUAUAUAUAUAUAUAUUAUUUUUUAAAAUUAUUUUACGUGCACUAAUGUACACUUUGCUAGUAUAUAUAGAUAUAUCAGAUUGUUUCAUUACACAUUCCGAUCGAUCUACAUGAAAGAUCUCGGCACACUUAUGAUGCCGCACGAAUCUUCACACGGCACGCUAAUGAAGCCGCACGAUGACGUGUAGGAUAAGAAAAUAAAUAAAUAGACUUAUCCAUAAUAUUUUAUGAUGAAUAUUUAAGUAUUUUAUCUUUACCUCUCUCUAAUGAAUUUUGAUUGGAACCUAUCUUUUAUAUUAUAAUUAAAUAUUUAUAUUUAAAUCUAAUUUAGUUAAAAUAUUAUUUCAUAAUAAUUUAUGAAUAUUUAAUUACUUUUUAAUUUAACUAAAAAUUAAAAGAUUUAUAAAUAAUUUUCAAAUUAGUACAAUUCCUUGUUGCUUUUACUAAACUGUUUAAUAUACUAGACUCAUCCUUUCAUUUGGAAUGCACACUAUUCGGCAGCGGAAUCCAAUACCAAAAUCUUUACUAUUGCAUUAGAAAGCUUCUAAUAGAAAAAUAAAAUAAUUUGAUUUAAAUUAUUUUUUAUUUUUCUCCUUGUCCACGAGUGACACCUUUCAAUAUAUCGUAGUCAUCCAAAAUGGCAAUGAAGAAUUGACACUUCCGCUUACAAUUAUCGUGUGAUUAAUUUUUUUCAUUAUACACUGUCCCGAUUGAAUCAAAGUUAUGGUUACUCGCCGAACUUUAUUAUUUGAUUAGAUGACUAGAAUUUUUAAAAUCGACUCAACAUGUUAAUACAGCGUGAAACUCUUUUCACGCAUCACGUACUUUGGCAAGUAGGGGUGGAAACAAGCCGAGCUCGAGCGAGCUUACAUCGGCUCAAAUUCAACUUGAAAUUAAUUUUUAAUUUCAAGCCUAAAUUUAGGCUCAAGCUCGGCUUGAAAUUAAUUCGAGCUGAGCUUGAGCGAGCCUAAUUUUGAGUCGAGCGAGCUUGAGCUCUAAACGAGCCGCUUGAAAUUCUCAACAUCGAUCGAUCAAUAGUUUAAUUUGUAUAAAACAUUAUUUACAAUUUGAUACAAAAAUAUAUCUAAUAGUUCAAAAUACAAAAUAAUUAUAUAAAAUACGGUAUUAUAAUAUGAAGAAAAAUAAUUUAUGAGUUGAAUAUCUAAUCUUUUCAGUCUCGUAUGUUUUCUCUUCCGCCUCUAAUCUCCAUAUUAUUCCUUUUCAUUUAUACGGUUAAAAAAUGAAUAAAUUCUAUAGGCAAAUAUUGGAUUUAACUAUCCAAUCAUAUAUAACUAAAAUCAAAAUUUUGUAUAAACAAUAAUUUUUUACCUUAAAAAUAUUCUGUAUAUUUUUUCAAGCACACAACUAAUGAUAAGGUAGGCAACGGCGGGCGCGCGCUGUUACUUGGUAACUUGGGGGCCUUCAUGUUAAAACUUUAUUAGAAAUUAAUAUCGUACCUUCUGCCAUGAUUUCGAUUUCUAUAUCCGGAUUGCAGACGAUGAUUCUUGCUUGUGGUUCGUCCUCGUUCACAAUCUGCAAAAGAGCAGAACGUUUCGAGUCUAAUUCCCUUAUCCUCAGAAAUGGAGCCGUCAUAAGAAUUAAAAUUAGAGUUAGAUCCUAUAUAUUACAUAUUUAUAUAUAACUUGAUGUAAGGACAUUAAAUCACGCACAUCCAUCAAGGACAUGUCCAGAUGCAUCCUAACCGUUAGAUCUACCAUAUCUUUAUACAUCGACUUGAAUAGACCGAUUGUAUCUUUAUAGAUCGCCUUGAAUAAAUUACAUGAGCCACAUCAAAUAAAUCUUCUUCAGGCCAAACCAAGGAAUCAGUUAGAUAUGAUGCAAAAUGAAAGGCUUGGCCACUUAGGGUGAGAGACAGACAGACAGAGAAAAGAGAGAGAGAAAGAGAGUAAGGAUUUAGAGAUAUAUGAAAGAAAGAGAGAGGGAGAGUGUAAAUUUAGUAGAAUUUUGCAUUUUUAUUUGUCUAUUGGGUUUGUUUUGUGGGCCAGCAACAUUAGCCCAUUUUUAUCUAAACUCAAAUUACUCAUUCAACCUACAUAUAAUUAAAAUAUAUUAUAUUUAUAUAUUAUUUUAAUAUAUAUAUAUAUAGAGAGAGAGAGAGAGAGAGUUAGGCUGGUAUACUAUACAUAGCACGGAGGCUUCCGUGCUACCAAGUUGUUUUCAAUGAUGCGGCUUCCAAAUCGACGAUCGGCUCCAUUAGACUUGAUAUACACUAUUAAAAGUAUUGGUAAAUUAAAUUUCAUAAUUUUUUAACAUCAUUUGGGUAGUUAUCAAAAGGUCUCAAAAUUGACAAUUUUAAUAGCAGAUGUGACGCGUUUGUGAAUUUAACAGUGUAAAACAAUCCAAAUAUGAUGAAAUUUUUAUAGAAAAUUUUUUUCACUACUUAGAGUAAGAUCAUUACCUCUAAUCUUAAAGUCAAAUCUUUUAUCAUAAUUUUUUAUGAGAUUUUUAUUUUCAAUCGUUCAUAUAUUUUUAGACUACUAGUUUGAUAGGUACAUAAUGCCGAAAAAUUAUGAAAUUUAGUUUCAAAUACUUUCAAUAAUAUAGAUCAAGUCUAACGGCGCCGAUCGUUGAUUUGGAAGCCGCAUCAUUGAAAACAACUUGGUAGUACGGAGGCCUCUGUGCUACCGAUAGUAUACCAGCCUAGCGCUCUCUCUCUCUCUCUCUCUCUCUCUCUCUCUCUCUCUCUCUCUCUCUCUCUCUCUCUCUCUCUCUCUAUAUAUAUAUAUAUAUAUAUAUAUUCAAGCUUUUCGAGCCUAAUUCGAGCGAGCCAAGUAAUACUCAAGCUUGGCUUGAAAUAAAUUUCGAGUUGAGCUAGAGUGAGCUGAAUAUCGAGCCGAACGCGAGCCGACUCACUCAUUUGCCAGCCUACUAGCAAGGAAUUUUUCGGUAUCAAGUCUGAUAGUCUACAUAAGACCUUCUCUCUCAAUAUUGAAAGUGUUGUAUUCCUUAUUUUACACUCACAUGCCUUAUCGUAUAAACUACUAUAGUCAAUUAAUACUAGACAUAAACUAAUGAUUAAAGGCUAAGUAUUAUUAAAAUCAAACGGUAGCAAUUUAUAUGUGAAUCAACCAUAAUGUCUCAGGUCCUUCACAACACUAUAGCAAAGACUAGCCAGUAGUAAGUAUUGAACCAUAUGACUGUUUAGCCAGUAGUAAGUAAUCAAACGGUAGCAAUCUAUAUGUGAAUCAACCAUAAUGUCUCAGGUCCAAAGAGUACUUCACAACACUAUAGCAAAGAACUAGUCAGUAGUAAGUAUCGAACCAUAUGACUGUUCAACUAAAUGGUCGCGUUCAAUUUACUUCUUCGAUCGCUAACAAGCACUUGUUGGCUAUUUAUUAUUAGGUUAAAAUUAGUUCAACUUUCUGCCCCAUGAUAAUCGACCCAGGAAACUAAUAAGUUGAGUUAGGUGAGCCUAAUAAGUUGAGUGGGACUGCGGUCCACAAAUAACUUAACGGCAAAAGACCCUACAAUAUACCUAACGUUCAAGUGGGUUGAGUCAGGUCGAAACCCGUGAGCGUUGAAGUUAAGCGUUUAAGUGCGAUGGGUGUGCCCUUCCUAUCAACACAUGCUUUUGGGAUAGUUGGUUAAUGCUUACGAUCCACAGCACUUGUAUGCUUGUUUCGGUGUACACUAGUGACUCAAAAUUUUUCAUCUCAACUUAGAAACAUAACAUAUAAUGGCCUAUCCAGAAUUUCACCGUCCUUAUGAUAUUUCUGUGGUAAUUAAGAAGCGUUUAAGAAUCUUAUACAAAGAAAUAUAUAUCUCAAUUUUUUUAUUUUUAGAAAUAUAUUUUCUCAAUAAAUAUUCAACUGAUGAUUUCAUCUAAAUAUAUUGUACUGCUAAUAAUAAAUAUGAAUAAACUUACAAUUUAUUAAUUAAUAAAAGAAUAUGUUCACAAGUCUACGUUGCAAAUUAACUUUAGAAUAUAUCACCAACAGAUGCAACUCACAAUAAGUUGAAUAGUAUGUAUAUAAACACUUCAAUUUGAGCAGCAUAUAUACAUUUAGUAGUCUCUUGAAGAGAGUUUUGUCGUUAAAUUCUCUAAAUUGUAUGCCUAAAUUUUUCAUUGCCUCUGUGAUUUUCCAAAUAUAUAUGUUAGUCAGAGAGAUAAAAAAAAAAGUAGGUCCAGAUAACAAGGAUGAAUUUUCCCGUCGAAGUGUGUAAGCAUACAAGAAAAUUAAAAAAAAAAAGAAAAAAGAAAAAAAAUCUUACAUCAAUAAUUAAAUUACCCUUAUGAGAUAUAGAUAGAAAAGACGACACUAGGUAAAAAGGGAAAGAACUUGAGUGGGGAGGUCCCUUACGACGCCUCAUUAGGGAGCUCAAAUUCAUCACCAUAUGUGUUACUUUUAUUUCUAAUCAAGGGUUAUAAUCUUUUUUUUUUAGGUUUGUAAACUCUUUUCAAGUUUAAUAUUAAAAAAUUUUCAAUGAACCAUUGGAUAGAGGCAAAAUUAAUACGUAACAGGAAACCAAGGGCUUCCCAACAAAGUAUCGUUGGAAAACUUCUCAGUAAAGUUUUAUCCGGUGAGAAUGGUAGGAGAGCUAAUGCACUAAAACUAUAUUAUUGGACUCUUAGCAGGAAACUAGGUUCUUUAACCUAAUCUUUAGGAAGUACUUUUAUUUUUCUUUGGUAGUUUCGUUCCCAAAGAAAUGCAAUAAGUCUUCUUGAUAUCAUGCACUGCAACUCCUUUGCUUUCUGCACUACAACAAAAUGCUUAUUAGUGCGACUUUUGUUGGCGACAAGUAACUGUCGCCACAAGUAUAAAUAUGGUGGCCGACAUUUACUUGUCCGCCAACAUUCAAGAGAAAUGGCGGGCGACAUGUAAGAGUCGCCACCUAUAUGCGACUCUUCUGUGCGGCGACAUAUAGGAGUCGCCACUGAUGCUAAAUCUUCUGCGGCACCAUAUAAGGUCGCCACUUGAUACUGGAAAUUGGCGGCGACAUAUAAAGAGUCGCCGCCGGAAAAAAUGAGUAUUAGUGCGAUAUUUGUACGCCACGAUGAUUCCUAUUUACCGGCACAAAUUCCCUCCUUUUUUUCGGCACUCCCACCCUCACUCUAUGCAAAAGACCAUUACCCCCACUUACUCUAUAUACCAUUGUAUUAAUUGUGGGGGCUUAUGUCUUUUUCAUUUAAAAAUAGUAAAAAAAUGUUAACCUGACUCUAACCCAUCCUCAAAUCCCAUGGUGUUAGCAUGGUCCGAUCACCUUUUCUCUCUCUCGCUCUAUCUUUUCGCCUAGCUCUUCGUCCCUCCGCCGCUCAUUCCACUGCGGCUCAGGGCAAGCAAGCCCCGCGCCUCCCUAAGCCCCACGCCUCCGCCAAGUCGUCGCCGCCUCUGGCCAAGCCCUGCGCCACCUCUGUUUACAUCGAAAGCGACCCCGGUCCUCCGCCCCUGCCGCUCUACAGCACCCCGCGACGGGGCUUUCGCUGCGGGCCACCGCAGCACCUCACGGCGGGCUUCGCCUGGCAUGGCCAGCCGCACCUGCGCGUCACCUUUCGUCGAGCCGCACCUGCGCGUCGCCUCGUCGAGCUCAGGUUCAAACUGCAUCACUUCGCUGGCAUGCGGCCGCCAGGUUCAAGCCGUCACCUGGCGUCGCCAUCGUCGAGCCGCAGGCUCAUCUAACAGAUCCACCCAACUCUCCACCAUGUAACCUCCUUCCUCCCUCACGCUCUCUCACCUCCUCCUCUCCUGUGCCUAAUUUUCUAUCUAUUUCCCUUUUUUUUCUUUUUUUUUCUCUUUAAAAUUAACUGGGGAUUCAUCCCACUAUCAGAUCUAGUGAGGUGUCAAUCGUCGUGGUGGAAAUCGUUGAGAAAUCGCUGAAGAAUCGUAGUGCUGAAUUGGGGUAUAAAAAUUACUAAAUCACUCUACUGCUGCUUUAAUAUUUUGCCUUCAGUUUUUAUUUUUUUUCUAAAUAUUUAAAGCGUUAAUAAAUGUAGGUCGGGUGUGGCACGAAAGGGGCUUUUUGCCAGCAACGUGAAGAAUUCAAUUACUCGUUUAUUUAUUCUAUUUUAUUUUUUUCUGGGUUUCAUAAUUGCUGAUAGCAAGGCUUUUACUAACUAGUAGAAAUAUAUGGCUAAUAAUAAAUAAUAUUCGACCAUCAAAUUCAAAUUUGUAUAUAUAUAGACUGCUUGAUCAAUUUCACACAUGAAUUCUGAUAGGAGUUAAUAGCUUAUUUUGCAAUCCCAUUUGUUUGCUUAGGUAUUGAGAAACCACCCUCCGAGGUUGACCUGACACCUGGAAACGGGGACCGCCGCUAGGCCCAGCAGCGCACGCUCCUAAAGAAGGCAUAUAUAUUAUAUAUAUAUAUAUAAUAUAUAUAUAUAUAUAUAGCUAAAGUUUUAUUUUAGGUUAUUACACUUCUAUGUGUGCAGAAACAAGUCCUUAACUUUUUGCUAUGUGUUCUUAACUUAGUCCAUUUUUAUCUACUAUUCCUUCUCUAUCAUAAUGAGAUGCAUCAUAAAGUUCAAUUUGUAGCAAAAUUUAUGAGAAUAUAUAUAUAUUUUUUGAAGUAAUAUGAGAAACAGUUUUGAAAUAACAUAAAAGACCCAUGUUUGUCUAAGUGUUGUCUAAGGUUCCAUGCCUCGACCCCGAAAAAAGGAUGCCAAGUAAAAGGGAUAUAUGAGGCUUAGCUUUCACACUAGGAAACAUUUUUAUCCUUCUAAAAGGAGAUACAUGAGGCAUAAAGAUGCAUCUAGAUUACAACCGCUAGGCUGGAACAAAGUAUAUUUGUCUUGAUUUGUUUACUUUUCUUUUNNNNNNNNNNNNNNNNNNNNNNNNNNNNNNNNNNNNNNNNNNNNNNNNNNNNNNNNNNNNNNNNNNNNNNNNNNNNNNNNNNNNNNNNNNNNNNNNNNNNGAUAGAAAAAUACUUCGUUUAUAACGUUCUGCAUAUCGCGAUAAAUCGAUUAUAAUAUAUUUUCUACAAUUUCAACGGAGAACACAGAAACAUAUCCUUAUAUACUUUUAUUUAUUUAUUUUUUUAUCUAAUAGCAUCAAUAUCUCUCAAUACCAAAUUAAGCUCUAAGCACGGUUCUCGGCCGUAGAUGCUCACUUUUUUUUUGUUUGGGUCAUAAUAAUAAUUUUAUUUUUGGCCACAAUUCAAAAUUUUUAAAAUACCGUAAUUGACUUAUGCUCAUUUCAGACUCAAGUCAAUUACGUCUAAAAAUGACCAAAAAAAAAAAAAAAUUGUCCCUCAUCACUUUCUAAACAAAUAGUAAAUUUUCUUUUUUUUUUGGUAUGAAACUAUUGUGGUAUUACAUGGUGCCUCUCAUCGUUUAGACUCUGACGUUCUCGUUAGGUCCAAACUCAGAUUACAGACAUAUAAAUCGGAACUAAUUAUCAACACUGUGGUGCGUGGUUUAGACCUUGACCCUUUUGUUAGGUGGAAAUCUGAAUUACAGACAUAUAAACUAGAAUCAUUUACCAACAGUGUGGUGUAGCCAAACUAUAUAUUAAAUUUACCUAAACUAUAUACUAUUUAAAGCUUGCUAUUUAACUUUUAAAGAAUUUAAAUUUUACUAUUAAUUCAAUCUUUUAAUAAUUUUUAUUUUAAAUAUUUGAUAACUCUUCUGCUAUAAAAUUUUGGUGACUUGUUUAUAUUAAUUGGAAAAUCGUCAUUCGAAUUUUAUAAAAUAUUAUGAUCACGUUCAUUCGAAUUUUAUAAAAUAUUAUAAUCACGUCUGAUAAACUAAAUCGUACACUCAAAUGCUAAAGUGGAAGAACCAUUAGAUAAUUCACAUCAAAUGAACAUAAGAAUUUGUCAGAAAAAUCAAAAAUUUUCAAGGUUAAUUAGAAUGUCGGAUCAAAAUACACAAUAGUUCAUGUAGGAAUAAUAUAUUUUGAGUUUUCAAUAUUUUUUUUAAGGAAAAAGGAAUCUGGUUCAUGGUCUUCUAUAACACUAUUCAGAGUCUCCUCACUUUUCACUUAAAAUAAAAUAACUUCUAAGCCAACCAAGUACCUUACAACCAAUAUAUUAUUGGUGCUUAUUUGAUUCACGAAAUUUUUAAAGAUUAUUUAUUUUUAUCAGAUUUAUUGCUUAAUAAUUAUUGAUUAGACAUAAGAGAUAAGUUUAUAUUUUAUUCAAUUAUUGCUAUUAGAAUUUUUUGAUUUAUGUCUAUAUAUAGACUUUUGUAAAUGUGUGAAAAUUCAUUCACCAUACAAAAUUCGUCCAAAAAUAAUUAAUAAAAUUUUUAGUUUAAUUUGGCGCAAAAUUUCUCUCCUUCCAACAUUAAAUAGGCUUAAGUUUAUGGAUUGGGCUUAAGUUCUUAAAGGCAAUAAAAUUUAGACAAACUAUAAUCUAUGAUCCUCUUCAAAUAAUUAUUAUUAUUAUUUUUUUUUUAUCACAUUGUAAAGAGCUAUUGUUUUUGCUUUUUGAGUAAUGGUACCAAUCAUAAAUAUUAUAAAAUCUAUUGUAUAAGACAAAUUAACUUUAAAGAGCGUCGAUAAAAGUACAUAAUAAUGUACAAAGAGACAUUAUUUGGUUUACAUAUAAUUCUCAAUAUAUAUAUAAUCUUAUGAAUGAUAUAAAAUAUUUUUAAUUAAUUAAAUUCUCGUAGAAUAAUAAUCCAAAUUUAAUUUAAAACUUAGUUAGAGAUUGAGCUUAUCCAAAUUAUAUAUUGAUUAUAUUUAAAAAUUUAUGUAAUUAAUUAGAAUAGGAUUAAUAAUUAUUCAAAAUAAAAGUUGGAUUUGUUAUGAUCAUAAUUAGUUAAUUCAUAUUCGGCAAAAAUUCGGUACGAAUAUAAUGCGCAUAAAAUUCGUAUAUUAAUUUUUAAAUUUGUUGAAAAAUACGGCUUAUAAAAUAGAUUUACCAAUUAUUCAGAUACGCGACUUAUACGAAAAUUAUACGUUCACCAAUUAAAAAUUCGGAAUAAAAAUUUUGGCUAUUAAACUAGGCUUUUUUCUCUAAAUUUAUGCUAUCAGCAUGCAUAGUUAUAAAUUCUUAGGAAUAUAAAAAUGAAGAGCUACAAAAUAAUAUUGAUUAAGGAAAAAAGGUAAUAGAAAAGUUUAUAAAAUUUUUCAAUAAUUUGUGAAUAAUUUGGCAAUAAUUUGUGAAUAAUUUUGAAAGAAAUUUUAUUCCAAAAUUUGCAUAUUUUUUUGACCAAAUAGUUUGGCAUACUCGAAUUAUUCGCAGAUAAUAAAUCUAACCAAAAAAUUGGCAUUUUAUUCUGAUUUUCGGAAAAAAAUCGCAUAUAGAUUGUUUUAUUCGGAUUUUCAAUAAUUCAUGAAUAAUUUUAAUUAACUAAUUAUGAUUAUGAAUUUAUAGCUAUAUAUACAGCUAGGAGUGAGUUUGACAGAUGAAUUAUCCACAGUAGAUACGGUUGCAUAAGGUUGAUGAUGUAGUAUAUGGUGUAAUUAGAUGUCUUUAUUAAUAAAAUAUUAGGCUUCGUUUGGAAUUGUGGGGAGAUUGCGUUACGUGUUGUGAAAAAGUAUAAUGACAAAAUACCAUGUUUGUUUCCAUACAUAAUACUGCGUUCCGCAUAUGAAGGAUAGUCGGUUACGAUAUAUUUUCUGCGGUCCCACUAGGAAAUGCAGAAGCAUAUCCCUCUAUGUUUUUGCCCCAACUUCAUUUUAUUUAAUAGCGUUAGAUAGGCCUCAAUACCAAACUAAGCCUUAGUUUAAUAAUCUUCUUCCUCCAAUAUCUUUUCUCCAUAUUAUUUUAUUUUAUUUUAAAAUUUAAAUUAUAUUAUCGAUAUUGGCACAAAUACUGAUUCCAAUAAAUAAAUUCAAAUAGUAAGUCUCCAAAGUAGAACAAGUAUAUAUAUUGUGCACCAAGUGCCCCUGAUAAUUUUNACUGUUUCUUCUUUUGUUGCACUGUUUAUUCUCUUGUUGCACCAUUUCUGUGUAAAUAAGAGGAGAAAUAGUGCAACAAGAGGAGAAACAGUGCAACAAGAGGAGAAACUGCACUGUUUUAAGAGAUAUAUAUACUGUUUCUCCUNUUGUUGCACCAUUUCUGUGUAAACAAGAGGAGAAAUAGUGCAACAAGAGGAGAAACUGCACUGUUUUAAGAGAUAUAUCUACUGUUUCUUCUCUUGUUGCACUGUUUCUCCUCCUGUUGUACCAUUUCUGUGUAAACAAUAGGAGAAAUAGUACAACAAGAGGAGAAACAAUGCAAUAAGAGGAGAAACUGCACCCUUUUAAGAGAUAUUUAUACUGUUUCUCCUCUUGUUGCAUCAUUUCUGUGUAAACAAGAGGAGAAAUAGUGCAACAAGAGAAGAAACAGUACAACAAGAGGAGAAACAAUAUAAAUAUCACUUAAAAGGAUGCAGUUUAAGAUAAAAAAUAGUAUAAUUUUAGUUCAAAGAGUAUAAUUUUUAUCUUAAAGUGGCAGUUUACAUCUUAAAUAGUGCAACUUAUAAUUUUUUUUGUAAUUAACAAUACAAUUUCAUCUCCAUCCUUCUUUUUAUAUAAUUCUUUAUCUAUUUUUUUUUUCUGUUUUUUCUAUAAUUUUUUUUGUCACCUUCUUUGCCAACAGCUACGGCGUCGGUGACGACGCCGCUAAGGACCCCCCGCUCCGAGGCUGUAGCGCCGCAGUGACCUCUACGGUGUUGACAUCUGCGUCAGCGAAGAUAAAUCGUCGUCGGAGGCGGCAGAAAAUAAGGGAGAGAGAGAGAUGAGAAGGGCGGGGAAGGGCGAGAGGCGUCGUCGUCGGAGACGGUGGAGAAGAGUCAGAGAAGAAAAGAAAAGAAAAAAGCAAAAAAAAAAAGUCGCGGCGCGGCCUUGGCGGGGUCGGAGGCGAGGAAGGUGGGGGGUGCAUGGACGAGGGCAAGGGCGAGGGCGAGAGCAUGAGGGUGAGAGGCUUGACGGACCGUUUCUGUCUCCGCUCUGCCGGCGAGAAAAAAAAAAGAACGAGAGAAACGAAGAAGAGAGAGAAAGAGGAAAGAGAAAAAGUAAUAAGGGUAUUUUGGUCAGUUUGCUGAAAAAGCGGACCGAAUCUGCAAAAACGAAAAAGGUGGCCCAGUUUUUUAAAAGUCGAAAAUAAGUGAAUUUUUUAUGCAAAUUGGCCAAAAAACUUUUUCAUAAUUAAGCUUAUUUUUCUUAGGGAAAACUUCAAAUACCCCCUUGUGGUUUCAUUUUUUCUCACUUUAGUACCCUGUGGUUUAAAGUGUAUAAAGUUAGUACCCUGUGGUUUGCACUUUGUCACUUUAGUACCUUGUGGUUUAAAGUGUAUCAAGUUAGUACACUGUGGUUUCACACUUUCUCACUUUAGUAUCCUGUGGUUUCGCACUUUCUCACUUUAGUACCCUGUGGUUUACAAAACCACAGGGUACUAACUUGACAGAAAAAUAAAACCAUAAGAUACUAACUUGAUACAAAAAUAAAAUCAUAGGGUACUAACUUGAUACACUUUAAACCACAGGAUACUAAAGUGAGAAAGUGCGAAACCACAGGGUACUAACUUGAUACACUUUAAACCACAUAAUACUAAAGUGAGAAUGUGCGAAAUCACAGGGUACUAACUUGAUACACUUUAAACCACAGGAUACUAAAGUGAGAAUGUGCGAAAUCACAGGGUACUANUUGCUUUUUCCAAAGGAAACUUUAGACUUUAGUUCUCUCUAGUGGGAGAAAUUAGGGUGUCGUUGAACGACUAUUUUAAGGGCGCGUUUGAUUCGUGUAAAUAUUCUACAGAUUAGUAAGUAACGGUGGUUAGAGCCUGUUUUGUUUCUCAUAAAAGGAUGCAUUUUUUUUUUUUUUUGAAUAUAUAGUUUUUUUAUGACAUACUUUUUUUCUUUUCAAUUUUCUAUCCGUUUGGUUUGAAGGAGAACCAGUAUUUUGGAAAUAUUUUUUUCAUAUUUAAUGGAAAAAAAAUAGCAUUUUUGUUUUUCUGAAUUUCUUUAGGGAAAAAAACUAGUUUUUCAUAAAAUUUGUAUAAAAAAGUUUUUCAUAAGCUUAUUUUUCUUAGGAAAAACUUUAAAUAACCCUCUUGUGGUUUCACUUUUUUUCACUUUCGUACCCUGUGGUUUAAAGUGUAUAAAGUUAGUACCCGUUUGCACUUUUUCACUUUAGUACCUUGUGGUUUAAAGUGUAUCAAUUUAGUACCAUGUGGUUUCACACUUUCUCACUUUAGUAUCCCGUGGUUUCGCACUUUCUCACUUUAGUACCCUGUGGUUUACAAAACCACAGAGUACUAACUUGAUACAAAAAUAAAACCAUAAGAUACUAACUUGAUACAAAAAUAAAAUCACAGGGUACUAACUUGAUACACUUUAAACCACAGGAUACUAAAGUGAGAAAGUGCGAAACUACAGGAUACUAACUUGAUACACUUUAAACCACAUAAUACUAAAGUGAGAAUGUGCGAAAUCACAGGAUACUAACUUGAUACACCUUAAACCACAGAAUACUAAAGCGAGAAUGUGCGAAAUUACAGGAUACUAACUUGAUACACUUUAAACCAUAGGGUACUAAAAUAAAAAAGUACGAAACCACAUGAGGUUUAAAGUUUUUCCUUUUUCUUAUAAACAGGGGAAAACUAAAAGAUCAUUUUUUACGAAUAAAUUUUUUCUUAAAAUUUUCCUUUCACAUUUUUCCAAGGAAUCAGAUAGCCCCUUUAGUAAUCUGGUAUAAAAUUUUUGAUCGGAAAGGAAUAGAAUUCCGUCCAAAAGAAAGAAUUCGAUUAACGACGUACUCAUAAAUUUGAAUUUCCAUACUACCUUCGAUAUAAAUUUACAUCUAAAUUUAUUUUAAAAUUUAAAUUUCAAAUUAAAUUUUAUACUUUACAUUUAAAAUUGUAAUUGAUUUAAAAUUCAAAUUUUAAUUUUGGAUUCAAAUUUUGAUUUAAAUUUUACUUUUGAGUUCAUAUUUAAAUUAAAUUAUAUGUUUUAGUUUAAAAAUAAAUUUAAAAUCUAAAUUUAAUUUCAAAUUUCAAAUCUAAAUGUAAAUUUGAAAUCAAAUUGUGAAUUCAAAUUCAAAUUCAAAUUUUUAUUUUAAAUAGUAAAUUAUAAACUUUAAAUUUAAAAUAUAAAAUUUAGAUUUAAAUCCAAAUUUUAAAUUCAAAAUGGUAAAUAUGUAGGCAAAUAAAAUUCUUAAGGAUAGACGUGGUAAUCGCGAAAAAUCUUAUAAAUUAUGCAGAAUCUGUAUUACUAAAAUAUUAUUGUUAAACCAAAUGUGGUAAUUGUACGAAAUAAAUACAAUAAUUAUACAGUUUUCACAUUUUCAGCUAAGUUAUUUCUAAAUAAAAUAAAAGAAACGGGUAGCAUGCUACCUUUUUCUCAAAAAAAUAAUUAUACUAUUUUUAAUAAUUUGAUUAUUGCGAAAAUUUUUUUUGUUAAUCUUUUAAUACGUAAAAAUUUUAGAUAACGUGAUUCAAACGACUCAUAAAAGUUUAUUAAGUGUUGAAAAAUCUCCGUCGAAUCGUCCAAAUCGGCUGCUUAAACGUAAAGAAAUAAACCAUUUGAGUCUUUAUGGAACGCACCAGUUGAAUUUUUUUUAUUUUUUUAUUUUUUUAGUUGCUUUUAAUUCUGAGAUUUUUUUAACUAAUGGAGUUGAAUGUAAGUAGUCAAAUAAAAUUACCUUUCUAAUUUUCUAUAAAGAUUUAAUUUAUGUUAUCAUCUUAUUGAUUUUGCAUGAUUAACAUUUUGCAAAAAAAUAAUUUAUGACUAUCAAAAAAGUAUUGGUGCACCUCAAAAAGGAAAUGUAAAUUUUAGAGAUAAUUUUCUAUUUACCACUCAAAAAUUUUGAAAUAUUUGAUAUAAUUUUUGUUUCAAAUAUACCUCUCGUAUAUUUUUUUGUUAUUUAAAAAUACCUCUAUUUUUAAUACCUGUUAAGUCAUUUUGGAUUAAACCCGAGUUAAAUUUCCACCAAAGUUUAAAGAAAACAAAAUUAAAAUGCCUCUUUUGCUGCUGACUUAAGAGCAAAUAAAAAAAAGUUGGUAACAGUAGAAUGGUUUAUUUGAAUGGGAAGAAGUCAAAAUAUUUCAUUUUGUCCCUAAUUUAAGGAAAAAUAAAAAAGAGUUGGCGGCGAUAGAAAAAUAUAUAUUUGAAAGGAUAAAAAUAGUAAUUUUAUAGAGAUAAUAAUUGUUUCUAAUAGUUCACUUAACAGAAUUUAACUUUAGGGCUAUACUUGAAAAACUUGAAACGUUAAAAGAGUAUUUUUUUAAAUAGAGCCACGCUAUAUGUACACUCCAAAAUGAGUGUACAUCUUACACUCACUCCAUUCCAAAAUCAUUAAUACUGAUCUACUUGUCACAUCAAUUUUUUAUUAUUUUUACUUAAAUAAUCUAGAUUUUUAUCAAUGUUAGACUUUGAAGUGUAAGAUCUACACCCCAUUUUAGAUGUACAGGAAGUAUCUGCCAAUCUUAUAUCCUAUUCAUCCAACGCCUAGCUCUUUGUCUUAUCAGUUCUUUUUUCUUUUUUUACAAAUAUUAAAAUCUUAAAAAAUUUUGCGAAUUUUUGGAUGGAGGGAUGUAAGUUAUGUAUGUCUUUUAAGAUAUACAUAUUACCUUUUCCUUGGAAAUAUUAUUAAAUUAUCAUCUAUGGUUAUUAUUUUUAUAAAUACGACCCUCUUUAUAUUUAUAAGUCGUUUUCAACAAUAUAGGCCCUAAUCAAUGAUCCUUACAUUUAAUUAUAGCAUUAAAUGAGCCAGAUCCCUUGUUACCUAGGAGGCUAUUUUAAGCCAUACAAAAAUUUGGGGUGGUUAUCAUGAUGGUGUGCUUUUUGGAUAGAGGAGACUAUUUCAAACCACACAAAAAUUUGGAUUAACUCCAUAUAUAUAUAUAUAUAUAUAUAUAUAUAUAGAGUGAGGCUGCUAUGCUAUCAGAAGUACGGAGCUUUCCGUGCUUCCAGCUCAUUUUCGAUGUUGCGACUUUCAAAUCGUCGAUCGGCUCCGUUAAACUUGAUUUAGAGUAUUUAAAGUACCUAGAAAAUAAAUUUUAUGAUUUUACGAUAUCAUUUGCCUAGUGAACGAAGGGGCUCAAAAUUAACGGCUGAAAAUAAAAAUCUUACAAAAUAUAAUAAUAUGACAUUAAAAUUUUAAAUCAAAGAUAUUGAUCUUGUUUUAUAUAGUAUAAAAAAUUUUCUAUCAAAAUUUCACGUGAUUUGGAUAUUUCUACACCGUUAAACUUGCAAACGGCUCACUACGGCCAUUGAAAUUUGUUAAUUUUGAGCCCAUUCGAUUACUAGGCAAAUGAUAUCGAAAAGUAAUAAAAUUUAUUUUCUAGGUACUCCAAAUACUCUAGAUCAAGUUUAACGGCGAUAACGAUUCGAAAGUCGCAACAUCGAAAACGAGUUGGAAGCACGGAAGACUCCGUGCUUUCGAUAGCAUAUAGUCUCUCUCCUCUCUCUCUCUCUCUCUCUCUCUCUCUCUCUCUAUAUAUAUAAUUAUAAUAUAUAUAUAUAUAUAUAUAUAUAUAUAUAAUAUAAUAAACCCUUCAAUGGUUAAUUACAUAGAAAUCACUCCAAAAUGUCAAUAUAAAAAAUAUUCUUCUAAUUUAGAAAAAUUAUUAUAAUAUUCAAAUUGAAAACAAUACUGGUAAAAAUUUAAUAUAAAUUCAUUUUGUGCAUCACCUAUUAUCUAUAACUUUUUAAUAAACUUAAUGAUAUUUUGCUUGAAAAUGUUAUGGAUACAAUUAAAUGUACGCUAGAUAUAUAUAUAUCUAUACUAUAUAUAAAAGCACGUAUAUUCAAAUUUGGGUCUGUCGACAGAUCCAUUUUUCGGCGGAAAAAUUAGCGCCCAUUUUUCUCUUUCCGUACGAAAAAUUUUAAACAUAAGAAUAAAAAUAGAAAUAGAACAGCAAUGAAUACAUAAGUUAUCUAUAACAGAUUACUGUUGUGAAAAUCCUAAAUAUAAAUUUUUCUAUUUAAUUCAAAAGUAAGUUUUCUAUAACAGAUUACGGUGUGAAAAUCCUAUAAAAGAUAUUUCCAAUUUUAUUUAAAAUAUCUUUUUUAGAUAUUAUCUAUUUAAUUUCAAAAUAUAUUUUCUUUUUAAGAUAACGGAUUUUAUUUUUCUAUUUAAUUUCAAAAAUUUAUUUCCUAACAGAUUUUAUUUUUCUAUUUAAUUUCAAAAGUAAUUUUUGCAUUAGAGAUUAUUGUUAAUUAUUUAUCAUUAAAGCAUAUCUUUCUUAAUUGCGUGAUUUAUUAUUUUAAAUUUUUUAGAUACAUAUUUGGCAAUCAUAUAAAAUAUGGCCUAAAAUUAAAAAUAAUUUAAAAAAAUUAUAACUUUUCUAAUAAUUAUUAUGUGCAUUUGCACGUACAUUUUACUAGUAUAUAUAUAUAUAUAUAUUAUAUAUAUAUAUAUAUAUUAUAAUAUAUAUAUAUAUAUAUAUAUUAUAUAUUAUAUAUAUAAUAAUAUAGAAACUAAUCAAGCAAACAAUUAAAGUAAACUUCUACUAAACAAAAAAAUCAUACGAAAUUAGACAAAGUAGAAAAUCGAUUCACAAAAAUCAUACGAAAUAUAUCUUUAGUUUUAACUAGUUUUUAAUUAAGAUCUUUAUGGGAUCCAUAUACAAUAAUUAGGAAAAAAAAUAAUAGUAAGUGGACCGAAACAUACAUUCAUAAACUACAUAAAAAUAAAUUGAGUUAUUUUUUCGUGAAAAAAAAUUUAUUAGCCCUAUAUAAUAUCACAAAAUAUUUAAAAUUAGGUAUAACUAGGGGCCAAUUAGCCAAAAACCCUUAGCUAUUUAUGAUCUAAUUCAUUAAUUUAUAGUAACAAAAAUAAUAUUGACAAUUUUAAAGAAAUAUACAAAAUAUUUUAUAACUUUGCACAUAUUUGAAAUCGCCCCUAAAAAUUUUUGUAACAAUCAGAUGUGAUCCUACACUCCAUCCAUCCAAAGGUGGCAAAAAAUGCAUGAAGACCCCUGAAUUUUAGCGCUUUUGCAAAUAUGUGCCUAAAACUUAGUUUUGCCAAUUAAAUUUCUUAAACUUUAGCAAAUAGUUUAAUAAGUCCCUCUGAGUUACUCAAUUAUACAAUCAUUUUGAUUGUAUGUCAUGCACAUAAUCUCGUGAGACUUCAAAAUGCUUAUAUUUUUCUCUUUUAAUUCUGAUAAUUAAUCAUGAAAAUCAAAGACACGAUAAACCUAACUGUCGAUUUUUGUUUUUCAUUUUUGGUAUGUUAGAGUAAAAUAUAUAUAAAUAUAUAUUGUAUAUUGAACUGAAUUUUGACUAGAUUAUAAGCAAAACAUUGACCAAUUAAAAUAGCUACAAAAGUUAUAUAUAACUUCAAUUGAAGAAAUGAGCUUAUUGAAUUAUUUGAUAAAAAUUUAAGAUCUCUCUAAUUGUGAAAAUUAAGAGUUCAAAUGCCUGUUCGCUAAAAAGCUAAAAGUUUAAGGAAUCUCUACACAUUUUUUUCCAAAAUAAAUAAGUAAAAAGAAUUUCUCGAAGUGAAAUUUAAUUAAUUAAAUUUUUUUAAUAAGAAAUAAGAAUUUAUUAUAAUGGGCUCUGAACGCUUUUAAUUGGGUCGGGCUAGUCAUAACUCGAUCAUAAGUCCAUUUUGCAUGGAUCCUUGGAGAAGAGAUUGUGCGUACGUAACUUUUGCUCGUAAAUCAUAUACCAUUUUCUUUUUUGUUUAUUUUAUUUGAGGCACAUUUAAAACUAUAUUUUCUAAGUGAAGAGAAAUCAUAAAAAUUAAGUCGCAUUUAUAUAUAUAUAUUUUUUUUGUUUUUCUAGUACCAAGCUUGUACUUAUAUCGAUCCCUAUCAAAUUCAAGCCCUAUAAAUUAAUAGAGAUGUAAAGAAAAUAAAGUUCUUCUCCUCUAAUUAAAGUUGAUCACUCUCUAAUUAGUUGUUAAUUUGGACAACAUCUUGAAUUGGUUUCAUGUUGCCGCAGCAAUUUUGUGUAGAAUUGUUUGGCCUAUGCUGUUGUAAUUUUUACCUAAAUUUAUGGUGCGUUUGGUUCAAAAUAAAGAGCAAAAUAGAAAAUGGGAAUCAAAAUGGACAUGUAUCGAAAACGGAAUUAAUGAUACAACCUCCCAAUUAAUAUAUUUGGUUCAGAAUAACAAUCGAAAUCGGUAUGGUUGAAUCGUGCUCUCAAUAAUUUUAAAAAAUAUUAUAAAAAUAAUUAAAAUUAAAAUACAAAGUAUAAAAAUAAUUCAAAAUUGAGUUUCCACCUCAAAAAAUAAAAUAAAAUUUAUAAUUUAAAUUUAAGCUAAAAGUUAAAUAUUGAAAAUUUACAUCAAUAAAUAUAAUUUUUAAAAAAUUUAAAAUUGAUUGGACAAUUCAAAAUAUAAUAGUAAUUUUUGAUUUGAUUCAAAUUCAAAUUUAUAAUUAAAGUUAAAUCUAAAUUUAUAGAUCACAUUCAAAAUGUUUGAUUGAAUUUCUACUUUAAUUUAAUUUCUAAAUCAAAGUCUAGAAUAAAAUAUUUAAUUUAUAAUUUUAAAUUUAUAUUUUAAUUAAAAAUUAAAGUCAAUAAUUAAAUCUAGUUUAAAUAAAAAAAUAAAACAUAAUUGAGAUAUUUGCGUAGAGUUUAUUUUUUCCGUCAGGAUUCAACUUCCAAUCUAGCCUCCUAUGCCGGAUUCGAAAAAAGGGUGAUUUGAAAACUCUUAUUCAUCCGAAAACCGAAAUCAGAAUGGAACUCCCAUAUAGCAAAUACCCAAAAACGGAUUCAUUUAUUUCGAUUCUGAUUUCUUAGUGAAAAAUCGAUGAACCAAAAACGCCCUUACCGUUUUCUAAAGAGGUUUAAUUGAAGUGGCCACUUAAAAUAGUCAGACAAUGAAUUAAUAAUAUUGUCCAGAUCACAGACUUGAGUUAAACCUAUGAAUUUUGGAAUUCGGAAUACUGCAUAUAAUCAGUCAAAUUAGUGAUUCAUUAAUCGGUUAGUUUUCUCCUGCAGAAUAAAUUUACGUGCUAAAUUAUAAGAAAUCUUAAACUAAUAGAUUAUAAUAGUGUUUUUAUAUUCUUGUAUUUAAAACUCUUCCUCACUUAUGGGUUCGAAACUAUUUGAUGAGCACAUGACGUGAACUUUAAAUUAACAACGAUAUGUUGUUUGAUCUUUAAAGUUUAAACUAGUGGAGAAUGGUCUUUUUUUUUUGCUUUUAUGUUUAAUCAUUGUUUCUCCAAAACAAUUAAGUGAGAGAAGGUUAAUGAUGCUAUGAGCCUGACGAAACUCAAACUCAGGCUGGGUCUUUGACUAUGAUAUCAUGUUAAAUUAUAUAAAAUAAAAAGUUUAAGUUAGCAACGGAAAGGACUGAGUUCUGUGGAGCUAGGUGACAUCCCUAUAUUUUGGGUACUCGAUUUGAUGCUGCAAUUAUUUUUUAAUCUUUUUAUUACUCUUCUCAUACUUUUUUUUUAGACAUUUUUUCUUUUCAUUUUAUCUUCUCUUGAGGCACCUUCUUUCUCACUCUAUAUAGCUAAAUUUAUUGUCUGAAUGAAUGAAAUAGGUAGCGUGCUAUUUUUUUUUUUAAAAAAAAAGUUUAAAUUAGUAGAGAAUAGUACUUCUAUAUUCUUAUAUUUAAGAGUACGUACAUACAUCCUUUAUGUUAAUAUUUAAUAGAAGAGGAAUUGUUAAGCAUAUAUAACUCGAAUCUUCCGUCCUUCAUCCUAUGGUUGAGCCAACCUCUUUAAAUUUUAGUACUAUAUAUAUAUAUAUACUGCUAAUUUUUAGACGACUAAAAUAUAUUAUCAAAAAACACAAAAAAAAUCAGCAGCAGAUCGACAAGCCGACGAUUUACAGAUGAGACGUUGGUGGCGACUAAUAUUUGAUGCCUACCAAGUUGGCAGCCAUCCCAUACCACUCACCCACAAGAAACUGGUGGUCCUCAUAAGUGACGUCAAUAAAGUACACCCAAAUUCAUUAAUCUUAAAACAAUAAUGACCACCACAUGGGUUACGUGAAGUGGAUGAUGAUGAUACACAGAUGCAAUGAGCUUAACUGUGUCUCUCACAUACCCCGCACAGGCACAUGGACGAUGAAUUUAUCUAUCAAUAUCAAUAUCAGCCAGUUGUGCAGAAAGCUAUCCGUCCCCAAAUCAUGGCAUGGAAUCCCCAGCCAACCUCAACUGCCGCCUGCUGCCUGCUGCCUGCUGCCUGCUGCCGACAUCUUUCUUUCGUCCUGACAUACAAUAAUUAGGUAAGACUUGCGUGGAGAUCCCUCACUAAUUCUAUCUCCAGAAAUACAUACUUAAAACACUUUAUUAUUAUUAUUAUUAUUUUCACCGACUAUUAGCUAGGAAUGUCAAUGGGUACCAAUAUCCGAAUCUGAACGCAAUGGGUGUAGUUUCAGAUACAUACAAAUAUAAAUAACAAAAAUCCGACGAAUUUAGAUUCGGGUAUGAAUUUUGUUUGUGCCUGACCUGAAUCCGAAAGCUGAAUUUGUAUUUUAAAAAUUUAGAUUUAACUAAUAUGUUUUGAAAUAUGAUAAAGAUAAAUAAUCAUUUCGAGUUCGGAUUCGAAUUUCAGAUAUGAAUUUUUUAAAUUUGUCGGAUUCGGGUUUAGAUUUCAGAAUUUGGUGAUCGGGUUCAGAUUCAAAUUUUUAAAAAUCAGCUCUGAAUUCGAUCCAUUGACACUCUUUUUGACUAUCGCUCAACUUUUGUACGUUAUAACUGUGAGUUUUUUGAAUAGCCGAAAAGUUGUUAGAGCUGUGAAGUUUACAAUUUAUACUAGUUAAUGAUGCAACCAAUUUAGCAUUAAAGUUUUUUGAAAAAUAUGAUUCAACCAAGCUGGUAUAAAAAUUUGUGAGUUCAAUACAUUUUACAUUCGUCAUGAAAAAUUUUUAAACGGUCAUAAUUUUUCGCUCGAGAUCUCAGAAGUUGAACCCAAAUUCAACUAUUUAUGCCUUUGUUUUUACAUUUUUAGAUUAUUAUUGGAAAGAUUCUGUAUUUUUUUAUUUUCAGUCCGGUUAUUUGAUUAUUUCUAAUUUAUUUAGAUUCAAAUAUAUAUUAAAAUUUUGUACCUUCAAUUAGAGCAUGUUUGGUUCACCUACUUUAAACUAUGGAAUCGGAAUGAAAUUCAUUGAUUCCGAUAGUUGCCGUUUGUUUUAUAGGAAUCAGAUUCCGAUUCCCAUUCCACUCCGGAGUGGAAAUGAUCAAAUCCAUUUAUGAUCCAAUCCGACUUUGAAUUCCAGAUUCGCUCAUUCCAAAAUAAACUAUUCAAAAUCCUUUUUUAUCAACACCUACCUCCUCCCCUUUCAUCACUUUUCUCUCUUUUAAUCAAAACACUUUCUAAAUUUUCAUUCCGAUUUUCAUUCCAAUAAUGAACCAAAUAUAUUUGGAUGAUUCGUCAUUUCAUUUUCCAUUUCAAAACAAUCCAAUUUCAUUUUCCAUUCCUAUUCCAAUCAUGAAACAAACAUGCCCUUAUAGUAGGAAUGAAAUAUAUAUCGUUUAUAUAUAUACAUAUAUUUGUCGUUCAGUUAAUGUAAUUAGUUUCUAGAGUUCGAUUAAUAAAUUUUUAAUUUCUCUUGUCAAACAAUUGAGUUCUUCGCGCAUCCGGCUCUCGCGUCCUUGUGCUUCUUCAUUUUAUCAUGCGGCUUUUAAGUACAUGUGAAGGUUAGCAAAUGUGAAAUAUCUAUAAAUAAAGAGAAAAUCCAAAAUAGAAUGUUAAUUAAACUUAUCUAGUUAUGUUUUGGCCUACUAUUAAUUGUUAUUAUGUCUCCUUAUAUAAAUUGUUUACUUAACUGAUUAUCUGGAUGUGGAAAGUUGUACAUACAUUUGUGAGAUUUUUUUUUUUUUUUUUUCAAUCUCUAUGUGUAUGGCAGAUCUGUCGGCAGAUCCCGUCUAAGAUUCCGGGAGGGGAAAGCGACAUUUAGCUUCUAGGAUUAUUCUUUCAAAAAGAACCUUUUUUGAAACGACCUAUAGUUGAGGGGGUUUCUCAUAAUCUUACCAACCAACAAUAAUUAUAUAUAUAUAUGAUGAGAUAGAGACUAGUGUGGUCCCCUAAUUAGUUAAUUAUUAUUUUUUUUUUCAUGCUCCUACCCCCUAUUUUAGUACCUAUAAGAUUUAGGGAACACAUCAACACACGUAGUCCCAUGUAGUUUUUUUUAUUUUUUAUUUUUAUUUUUUUUAAAAUAGUCUAUAACUAGGGACUGUUGAGAAUUAUAUCCCUACUUUGUUAUUUAUGUCUUUGUUAGAGCUUUAAUUAAGUACCUUCCAUGAUGAAACUCUGUGGAUUAUAUCAUUAGUGCAAAGAUAUGGGACUAAAAUUGAGAUCUUAAUUGAUAGAUAUGAAUUGGUGCAUGUUCUUGCGUGAUUAUGUACGUCUCGUGCGUCUUUUUUUUCUUUUUUUUUUUUCUACACAUGUCGGCAAAAUUUUGAACACAUAUCUUAAAAAAAGAACUUUUUAGAACCAUAAAAGUUUAAGAAAAAAAGUUAUCUAUCAUCAAAGUUUUAAAACGUUAAAAAUUGUCUGUAUCCUACAAAAAAUUUAUUUUCCAUUGGAACGCACGAAAGAACAAACUCGUCAUUUCACUCGAAAUAUGGCUCACAUGUCAUGAAUCACAUGAUUUUAAUGCUUAGAUAAUGAGUUCGAAUAUAUUUUAGGUGGUUCUGAGAUUUUUCUUUUUUCCAAAUUAAUUUGUUUGUUCAAAAAGAUCGAAAUACUGAUUAGUUCGACAAAGGUGUACAUCUUUGGUAUAUGAAGGUGGGCGGCCGAAUUGACCAUGGCGCUGAUAUUUGAAAAAGACAAUGAAAUUUUAUUUUAGUAGUUCCAUGUGUUUCCUUUAUCUUACGUAAAUAGUGUAAAUGUUUGUGUACGGCGUGAACUCGACGUUUUAUACAAAAAAUUAAUGAAUGAUGUCGAAAUUUGCUGUACAGACUCUCUAAAAAGUUGAUGGAUAUCGUGACUUGUGCGUAACGAACACGCCUUGAUUUUAUUUUGUAACUUAAAUAAAAAGCAUCUAAUUUCUCCUCGCGCACAACUACUAACAAAAGCUUCUUAUAGAAUUUUUGUUCAACGUUUUGGGUCGUCGAAGUUUAGGAAUCUCAAAAUACAAAAGAUUUCAAAAUUUUCAAAACAUUAUUUUUUUCUUAUUAAUAUUUAAUUAGUUGACCUUGCAAUAUUUAAUUCCCGGAGACUUUUUACCUACUAAUUUGUUCCUAGAAUCCAAAUUCUAUGAAUACCAAUCAAGCAAAUGCGAGCAAUUUAUUGAUGUGAUUGCAAAGCGACUCUUCCGAUUUUGAGAACUACUUUAUUCCUCAAAUAUUUUCCUCAAAUAUUUUUUAUUAGAAAUUUAAUGUUAUAUAAAGGUCAAAGUAUUUUAUGUAUAUUCUUAUUUUCAUUACUAUUAAAGAAAAAAAUAAUAAUUGUCUACAUCGGAUAAAGUUUUCAUCAGCUUCAUAAUAUAUUAAAAUUUCUUAUUUAUUUAGAGAUUAAAUGAAUAAUUAAAAGUAUGAAAUGGACGAACAACCCUAAAUUGGUGUUCAACGAAUGUACGAAUACAUUAACUUUAGUUGACAAAAUUUUAUGGUACAUAAUUAGUACCAAAAACGCAUUCAAUUUUUAAUAUUUUCAAAUACAUCAUUUAAAAGUUCAAGGAUAAAAAUAAUCUUGAGUAUAGGUUUAAAGAGUAGAUCUAUAAUAAUUUACUGCGGAGUAAAAUAUAGAAAAUUCUCACAUAGAUUUCACCUAUUUUUUUUUUUUUUUUAUAAUAAACACUUCACACUUUCUAUACUAAAAUUGUAGGCAUAAAAUUCUCCUCGAUCUUUGAAUAAAUAUUAAAUCUUAAUAUUUAGAAUGAAUGUUGAAUUUAGAGGCAAAACUUUAUAAACCUUGUAGACGAUAGUGAUAAUGCUUAGUGGAGUUUAAUCACAUAAACUAAAUAUAUUUUCCUCAUAAGUUGCCAACUUUUUUUUAUAGCUUUAGCAAAGAAAAAAAAAAAAGAAAAACUCAAUUCAACCCUCUAUCUCAGUUGUGAAUUCUAAUCGAGACACAGAUAAAAGGCACCUAUGCGCAAUUAAAAUCGAUAUAUAUUUUUACACGACUGGAUAAAUAAGAUAUGGGUUAGAUGAACUGCAAGCAGUGUCGCAAUAUAGAAACUUCAAAUAAUAAAUCAAAAUAAGUUAAAAUUUAAGAACCAAAGUAUAGCGUUAUUCACAGUUUGAGAGCCAAAAGUGUAAUUUAUCCUUACUUAAAACACGUUUUAUAAUUCUUAAUAAGUUUAAGGGAAGCAAUAAUAUUAGUACAUUUUCAAGUGAGAUGUACACUAGGCAUUAUGGACACUGACACGCGAUACGAGACACAACGCAAUUUGGACACGACCACUCGGCAAUUUUCAAAAUAUUAGGUAGUACAUUUCAAAGUGAGAUGUACACUAGGCAUUAUGGACAUUGACACGCGAUACGAGACACAACGCAAUUUGGACACGGCAACUCGGUAGUUUUCAAAACAUUAGGACACGGACACGACAUAAAUGCUGCUUAUAAAAUAUAAUAUUAUUAAUAUAAUAAUAUAUAUUUAUUAUAGAUAAAAUAUUAAUUUUGUAAAAUAUUGUUAUAUUUCUCGUGCGAAUGAAAGUUAGUAAAAUUUUUAUUAAUAAUUUAUAUAUUUUAAAAAAAUUUUCUGCACCAUACAUAAUUUAUUUAUAUUGUUAAAAAAAAUUACAUAUAUUCAUCAAGAAGUUAAAAUAUUUAUUAUCUUAUAUUUAUAAUACAUAAAAAAGUAAAAUAAAAUAAAAUAUAUAUAUAUAUAUAUAUAUAUAUAUAUAUAUAUAUAUAUUUUAAUUAUUUACGUUGUGAAUUGACAUUAAAUGGGCAUUUGAGAAAUAUCCACAUUAGAUAUGUGUUCGGCGCGAUGUCCGUACGUACUACAUAAAAUGGAUAUUUUAAGCUCACUAUAUUUAAAAAUUAUUAAUUUUUUACUUGCCACUGCAAUUCUUAUGGAAUGUACGAGUAAAAUUUCUCUUAAACAAAAGAGAAAAAAACAAAAGAGAGGAAAAUAGACAUAAGCUGGAUCCAGUGAUCCCUCAUACCUAUUUAUUACCAGAAAAAGGCACCAAUGCUCUUUUUCUUUUUUCCAUACCUACUAUAAAAGGAGUGCACAAAUCCAUUGUCAUGUCCCCACACUCACCCCCCCCCUCUAUUAACCCUUCCCGCCAUUAUCUUUCUCUCUGACUCAAACACAGAAGAGAGAGAGAGAGAGAGAGAGAGAUAAAGAGAGAUGAAGCGAAACCGCGCAGAGCCCGCGCCACCCCAAACACCCGCCAAAACCGCGCGCCGCUACGCGGCCCCGAACGCGCACCAGAAACUCCCCCAGAAGCCGCAGGUCCGCGCCGCCGCCGAGGAGAAGCCGCCGGCGCCGGCGCCGGCGCCGUCGCCGGCGGCGGAGGUGGUGGAGCAGGAGAUCGAGUGGGCCCCGCAGCUGGCGGGGUGGGACCCGGCGGGGGAGGUGGCGGGAGCGUGGAGCUCGUGGGGCGUGGCGGAGGAGACGCUCCUGGGGUGGUUCCCCUUCGCCGACGAGCACUUCCACGGCGCGGCGGCGGCGGCGGCGGGGGCGGCGCCGUUCUUGGAGGAGGAGAGCUUCUGCUGCUCCUACUGCUAUUAUUACCACGACGACAUUUGGCAUCUGCAGCACAUCCACGACGUUCCCAAGCAUUAAAUUUAAAUGUGGCCUCCUCACAGGAUCGAGAGUACAAAUUAAUUAAAGAGAGAGACAGAUGAUAGAGAUGAUUAGAUACAGAGCAGAUCUUUAAUUGUAGCUUUUUCUUUUUCUUUUCUUUUUUUUUUUUUUUUUUUNAUUAAGUCUAGUUGAUGUAUAGCUUGUUAUAUUUAGCAAGCAUAUAUGUUUAAUAUUGUAAGAUUAAUUACCAACUUAAUUAUCAUGUACAACAUAAAAUGAGAGUGUGUUGGGUGUAAUAUAGAAUGAUAUGCAUUACGAUAAAGUUUGCAAACUAUGGUGUGUAUUGUAUACGUCAAUUUCAUAUUAACUUAUCUCCCCUUGUUUUGAUGAUAUGUUGUUGCUCUUUUUUUUUUUUUUUUUUUUUUUUUUUUUUUUUUUUUUCUGAACUUGCCUUGAUUUAUUUUUUAUAUAAAAAUUAUUGAGAAGAAUCAGAAAGUAAAGAUAGGAUAAUCGAUAUAUACUUCAGAUUUGGUUACUGUUUGAUCCUCCACUCUUGAUGUUUCAAAUUAGUAUUUGUUUGAUUAAUUUUUGUUUCUAUUUUAAGAAGCCGCUAACACUAAAGAGGAGUUGACUAAAGAGGAGUUGGGCUGGAAUUAAUACUCUUGUAGAUAUUAUUUAAUUUUUAACACUUACAAAAAAAAAAAAAUAGUGGUCACAUUAGGAUUUUAUGAAAAUCAAAAUAGAAAUUUAAUAAUUAAAAAUUAAAUAAUAUUAAGCGUUUGAUACUCUUAAUAAUAUUUUAAAUUAUUUUUUUUUCUUAUGCUAUAUGCAGCAGCAAGACUAAAUAUCCCGUCUUGAAAGAUGAGUGAGUUGGUUUGGGAAAUAUAAAUGCUUUCGUGCCGUGUGGUGAUAAUGAGACGAGAAGGGCCAACUGCCGAAGAGCAGGUUAGAUCAGUACUGUCUGCCUUUUUUUUAAUGGCACCCAGCACCCUUGGCUGUCUCCCGCCGCUGCAAGGCUGUAUUGUAUGUUUCUUUCUUCUUUUGCAUUUAUUUGGUGGCCUCCUGGUGGUUGCAAAGGCUGCGGGCGGAUUGCAAGUUUUAUACGGACCUAACUCAAUUAAGAGUGUGACCCACUACCACGUCCGUUGCGUAUUGAGCUUCUGUUUCGAGUAAUGUGUGAUGUAGAUCUAGUUUGACAAAAAUGCAAUAACUAUAUAUAAAAAAUAUAUAUAUAAUAUAUAUAGUAUAUUAUAAUAUAUGAUAAUUUCAUCAAUACCCCUCUAGAAAUCAUAAUUAUAAACUAUAAAAUAUCAUCAAUACCCUCUAUAAAACUAAAAAUGUCACAAUACCCUUUAGGAAACUUUCUCUCAAGUGUCUAUCCAUAUUAUAAAUACCAAUUACCUCUAGCAACAAUUAAACAUAAUAUUUAAUAUUAAUUAUCUGAUAAUUUUUAACAUGAAUCACAUUUUUAAUUAUAUUUUAAAAAUCAAUUAAUAUAUCUAUAAGUAAACUUAAAUCUAUAUUUUUCGCUUUUAAAUUAUACAAUAUUAUAAUACAAAUUUGUCAUAGUAGAUCAACUAUUAACUAUUUAAAUAAAUAUUAAUUUCGAUUUGUUUUACGAGAUGCAAAACGUCCCCAAGAAACUCAAUAAAAAGAAAAACAUGAUAUUUAAGUAAAAAAUAAAACUUAAAGAGUUAUCAUAAAAUCUAUAGGAAAUUCAUUAUUUUUACGCCCAAUAAUUUAGUAGAAUAUUAUUUUUAAAAUUAGAAGGUAUUUAUGAAAUGGCCCUUAAUUAUUCAUCAAAAUAACACCUAACCCUUUCGGUUAAUUUCAUUUUGUAACUCAACCUUUUAUUUAACAAUUAUUAACCAUGUAUAUAACAGCGUUAGAAGAAGUAUUGUGAAAAUUUUGCAUUGAGCGUAUAAAGAUAUUUCACUUAUGCGGCUAUCUAUGAUAUUACAUAUUAGUAUGUAAAUUCCCCUAAUAAUAUAUAUAUAUAUAGUCCGCGCCAUGGUGUGUACUACAUUAGCCACUAAGGAUUCUAUUAAAUUUCACCUUUAAUUAAUCUCUUGAUUAUUUUUAUCCGACAUUAUACAUCAACCUUAAACCAUUCACUCAACUCCUUUAUCCACACUUCAUCCUAACCAGCCAUUUUACAUCAAGACUAAAAAAUCUACACAAAUAGCUUGUCUCAUUCAUGUAUUCAGCCUUAAUUCAUUAUAUACACGUAAAUAUAAACAACCGAAUAUCUAUUAGCCCUGGUUUCUCAAAAAAGGAUAACCGAAAUUAUCCCGCGACCAAGCUAUUCCGUCAAACGUAUAUUUUAUUCAUCCGGAUUAUUAUUUCUAUCAAUUCAUUUCUACGCUUCCAGAUAUAGCUUGAAUUUACUAUCUAUCAUUUUGAUGAAUGUCUAUUCAAAUUUUAUUCCAAAUUGAUUAAAAUUAAAUUGAAUUAAUAACUAAAUUAUAAUAAAAUAAUAUUUAUAUAUUAAUAUAAUUUUAUUAUAAAAUAUUAAUUACUCUAAUAUAAACAUUUUUUUAUUUAAAUAUAUAAUAAAUUUUAUAAUAUAUAAUUAAUAUUUAAUAAAUUAUUUUAUAAAUUAAUUUAAUAGACAUUUCAAAUAAUUUAAAAAUUAAUUAAUAAUAAAAAAUUUAUAAUUAUUAAAAUUUAUUUUAUCAAUUAUAAAUUUAAUAUAGUAAAUUAUUUUUAUUAAUUGUUCCCACCCCUAUUCUUAUUUUAAAAUUUUAAAAUUUAAAAUUUAUAAUUUAAAUAUUAAAUUUUUAAAAUUUAUAUUUUGUAAUCUCAAAAUGAAAGUUUAUAAUUUUAAAUUCUGAAUUUUGAUAUUUUAAAUUUUUAAAAUUUAAAAUUUGAUAUUUGAUAUUUUUUAAAUUUAAAUUUGAUCCUAAAUUUAAAGUUUGAAAUUUAAAAUUUUAUUUUCAAAUUUUGAAAUUUAAAAGUUAAAAAUUAAAAUUUAAAAAUAUAAUUAUAAAAUUUAAAAAUUCAAAUUCAAAUAUAAUGAGAGGGGUAAUAUCAUUAUUUUUUUAUUUAUAACUAUCCACUAUUCUUCGUAUUCUACCUUAUCUAUCUAAACACUAUUUUUUUAUUCCCGGGAGCAACCAAUUUUCAUACAAACGCAAAAUUAGGCUAAUUCUUGUUUAUACUUGAACUUAUACUAGAAUAGGUUGCUCUUACUUAUAUCCGAACCAAACGAUACCUUAGCAAGCAUUAGGUUGGGAAAUAGAGAGAGGAUAACGGGUUAUAUCCCAUUACCCCCCGACACAAAAAAAACGGAGUGGGAUUGGUAUCCCACCCCUUAACAGGUUAUCCUGGGAUAACCCGUUAAGGGUUGGAAUAGCAAUACCACCCCUUAUGUGGAAUAGGGGCGCUAUUUAAUUUUUUUAAAAAAUUAAUUUAAAUUUUAAAUUUUAAAUUUUAAUUUUUAAAUUUUAAAAAUUUAUAAUUUGUAAUUUUAAAUUUUAAAUUUUAAAUUGAUAUUUUAAAAUUUUAAAAUUUAAAUUUCAUAUUUUAGAUUUUUAAAUUUAGAUUUAAUCUUAAAUUUAAAAUUUAAAAUUUAAAACCUUGAAUUUUAAAAUUUGAGAUUUAAAAAUUUAAAUUUAAAUUUUGAAUUUUUAAAACUUAAACGUUAUAUAUUUAAAUUUAAAAUUUAAAAUUUAAAAUUAAAAAAUUUAAAUUCAAAUAUAAUAGGCCUUUUUGCAUAAAAAAUUCACUUAUUUUGGGCUUUUGCAAAAUCGGAUCACCUUUUUCGUUUUUGCAGAUUUGGUCCGCUUUUUCAGCAAACUGACCAAAAUACUCUUAUUACUUUUUCUCUUUCCUCUUUCUCUCUCCUCUUCGUUUCUGUCGGUUUUUUUUUUCUCGCCGAAAAAAAAAGGCGGACCGGACCGUUGCCUUCUUCUUCACCGUCGCCCCCCUCCUCACCCUCCUUCUUCACCGUCGCCUCCCUCCUCACCCUCCUCUCCACCGCCCGCGACCCCCUCCUCCUCUCCCCCGCCGCCGUCGCCGAGCCCACCCCCACCGUCGUCUCCGUCGCCGUCGUCGAGCCCACAGCCAUGGCGGCGGCGGCGAAGGCGGAGGAGAGCGGGGAGGAGGGGAGGGGGUCGCGCGACUCCAUGGCCACCACCACGCUCUCACGGCACCUCCCUGCCGUCGCCGUCGCCGUCGCUAUUGGCACUGUCGUCGUCGUCGUCUUCCGCCUUCUUCGGCGUCGCGUCGCCGAGUAUGGAGCCCGUGUCGGCGCCGGGGGGCUCAAAGAAGAGGCGGUCGACGUGCGCCGACGACUUAAUGCCGCGUAUCACGCUCUUCGACGACUCGCCGUCGUACUACUCGUCGUCGGACGGCGCCGUCGACAGGCUGGUCAUGUCCCGAUCGCGCCCCUCGUCCGACGAGUUGGUGAAGCGCGACUCCGGCGAGUCCGGCCGGUACACCGAGUUGGCCGUCUUGUACAUGCAGCCCGACGACUGCGAGGCGGAGAAGAAGACGACGGCGAAGAAGAAGGCCUAAACUGGAUGCGGAGGCCGAGGCGGAGAAGAAGACGAUGGCGAAGAAGAAGAAGAGGAGGCCGAGCGGCAGGGCGCAGGAGAGGGAGGCGGAGGCGCAGCCGGCGCCGGCGCCGGCGCCGCGCGUGUUCUUCUCUGUCGGCGCCGCCCCUCCUCCCGCCGCCGCGCAGAAAGUGAAUGGUGUAAUUGUGCAAAUGGUGUAACGGUGUAACGGUGCAAAUAGUAUAAUGGUGUAAUGGUGUAAAAUUGUAAUGGUAUAAUGGUGCAAAUGGUGUAAUGGUGUAAUGGUGCAAAAUGGUGUAAUGGUGUAAUGGUGUAAUGGUGCAAAAUGGUGUAAUGGUGUAAUGGUGUAAUGGUGCAAAUGGUGUAAUGGUGUAAUGGUGCAAAAUUGUAAUGGUGUAAUGGUGUAAUGGUGCAAAUGGUGUAAUGGUGUAAUGGUGUAAUGGUGCAAAAUGGUGCAAAAUGGUGUAAUAGUGUAAUGGUGUAAUGGUCCCCUCUCCUCGCCGGCGCCGGCUGCACCUACGCCUCUCCCUCCUGCGCCCUGCCGCUCGGCCUCCCCUUCUUCUUCUUCGCCGUCGUCUUCUUCUCAGCCUCGGCCUCCGCAUCCAGCACGACCCCGUACGCCGCGGCUGCUGCCGCUGCCGCUGCGGCGACGGGAUCGGGCUGGGGGUCCGCGGCGCCGGCGCCGGCUGUGCUUCCGCCUCCCCCUCCUACGCCUUGCCGCUCGGCCUCCCCUUCUUCUUCUUCGCCGUCGUCUUCUUCUCCGCAUCUAGCCCGACCCCGUUCGUCGCGGCCGCUGCCGCCGCAGCGACGGGAUCGGGCUGGGGGUCCGCGGCGGCGGGGGAGAGGAGGAGGGGGUCGCGGGCGGUGGAGAGGAGGGUGAGGAGGGUGGCGACGGUGAAGAAGAAGGCGACGGUCCGCCUCUUCUUUUUUCGGCGAGAAAAAAAAAAGAACGACAAAAACGAAGAGGAGAGAGAAAGAGGAAAGAGAAAAAGUAAUAAGGGUAUUUUGGUCAGUUUGCUGAAAAAGCGGACCGAAUCUGCAAAAACGAAAAAGGUGACCCGAUUUUGCAAAAGCCCAAAAUAAGUGAAUUUUUUAUGCAAAAAGGCCAAUAUAAUAUAAGGAAAAAUAUCAUUAUUUUUUAUUUAUAAUUAUUCACUAUUCUUAUUUCAUCAUAUCUAUCCUAACGCUAUUUUUUUUAUUUCUGGAAAUAACACAAUUUUCAUUCAAACGCAAAAUUGGCCUAUUUCAUGCUUAUACCUGAACUUAUACCCAUCCCUGUAAUAAACAGUUAUUGCUUACAUCCGAACCAAAUUUAAAUAUUUUUAUAUUUAACACCCCCCUCGCGUGUGGGUUUGAGACUUUUUAUAGACCCCAUGAUGUAUAUUUAAAUUAAAUUAGAGAAAAUAUAAUGUUAGGAGCUUGGAGUAACUCGAACCUUAAAUAUACAAAACAACCGUUAUACUCUAAACACUUAAAAUUGUAGAGAACAGUGUUUAUAUAUAUUUUUAUAUUUAACAGCCCCCCUCAAGUCUGCGUUCGAGACUUCUUGCAAAGCCCAUGACAUGGACUUGAAUUAAUUAAAUAGGAGAAAAUUAGUAAUGCUAGAAGCUUGGUGUGACUCGAACUCAGAACCUUCUACUCUCACACCAUGCGAAACAAUCUUUGUACUCUAAAAGAUUAAGCUGAUAGAUAACGGUGUUUAAAUAUUUUUAUAUUUAAUAAUAUAUAUUUGGUUUUAAUAUGCUAGUGGCGCCAAAGAUAGAAGUACUUCAAGAGCAUGUUUGGUUUGCACUAUCGGUAUACUGGGGCAUCUCGUCGCAAAGCAAUUUGAUCAUUAUGAUUGGAAAUCCAACCGGUUGGAUUUUUCGGGUUUAUGAUUCUUGUAGAACAACUUGAUCGGUUGGAGUGCCAAUCCGAUCAGUUCGAUUAGGUAGAAAUAUUGAAAAUUAAUUUCCGAUCGAUUGCACCUCUCUGAUCGGUCGGUUUUGGAGGUCUGAUUUGUCUGAUUUAAUAGUUUGAGUCUGGUUUGAAUCUGAGGUUUCGAGACUACAUAUAUGACCUCAUGUGUAGCUUAUUUGAUGGACUUUUUGGAGAGCACUACUGAGAAAAAUUAAAAUUUUGGAGAGCCACCAAAAGAGGAAAAAAAAAAAGAAGAGAAAAAAAGAAAGGUUUAGAGAGUGUUUCAAUCAACAGGAGAAGAUUGGAGAACGUAGAUUGGAGGGGUUCGCUCAACCGGGUGUUAAAGUUGUUCUAGCAAAGGUAAAGGUGUCCAAAAUAUCCGAAAUCCCAUACCCGACCCGGACUCUAUCCGGACCCGAACCAGAUCCGAACCGGACCCGAUAAAAAAUGAAUAGUAUACGGAUAAAAAAAAUUACCCAUUAAAGUUUCGGGUAUGGGUCCGGAUAUUUUAUACCCAUACCCGAUUUGGACCCGACCCGAACCUAACUUUUAAAUGGGUAGGGUCUGGAAUAGUUUUCAAAUCCAGACCCAGACCCGGACCCGAUAAAAUAUCCGAUAGUAAAUAAAAAAAAAAAUAAACUUUUGAAGUUGAAGGAUCAAUUUUAAUAUGACUUAUAGAUGAUGAGUCACUACGUAUUUUCAUCCUAAUGAAACCCUAGCCGUCUCUUUUACUCAUUACUUUUUUCUAAUUUUUUUACUCUUUAUUUUCUACUCAUUUUUUUUCAUUUCAUUUCCGCCAACAAUAUUUCAUUGUCAUCAUCAUCAUCAGUGUCAUCAUUAUCAUCAUCAGCGACAAUAUUUCUUUUGAAUGAAUUUUAUUAGACGGUGCAACUUAUUAGAAUGCGAGUUUUUUUAUGAUGGACUUUAUAGUUUGUCUAUUAACUAUUUAACAAAGUUUAUAAAAAAAUAUAUAUUUAUACAGAUAUCCGUAUCCGAUCUAGAUCCGAUCCAUAUCCGGUCUUGAACGGGUAGUAUACGGGUAGUCACUACCCAGACCUGCUCAAAUAGACCCGAUAGGUAUAUUAGUAACUUUAGUACCCAGAUCCGGAUCCGACCCGAAGUUAAAUGGGUAGGGUAUAUAUAUUUUUUUGUAACCAUUUCUUUUUAGGGUAUGGGUACAGUAUAUUAAUUACCCAGACCCGACCCAGUCCACGGACAUCUUUAAGCAAAGGUUCUUUUGUUAGUGAGAUUAUUUCAAUCUUGAGUUCUUUCUUCCCUUAUUGAAAGCGGCAUUUUCGGCAUGGUGUUGAAGAAGAUGUUGUAUUCUUAACUGUUUUAUAGUGAAGCACCUUUUUGCUCUUAUUUGAAUAGACAUAGACUUCAGGUGAACUACGUAAAUAUUCAUAUUCUUGGUUGCGUGAUUUAUGUGUUUUCUAUGUACUUUGUUGUCGUCAUCAAGUGUUGAAGUAAACACUAGCGCAUAGAGGAUUAAUCUUCAACGGAUCUCACGAUUAAAUAAACUUACAUCUACAAAUUACUCGAUUUGGAAGCCUUACAUAGAAUUUUUAUAAUCCAAUCAAAGGAGUUGUUGCUAUGAUUAAGAAGAUGUGAGACGGAGAAUGAGAUAAAUUAAAUCGCAAAACCAUUGGACUCAUUCGACAGUGGAUUGAUGAUAGCGUCUUCCACUAUGUUUCAAUGGAGGUUAAUGCCUAUAGCCCUAGUUGAAAUUGAAAAGUUUAUAUGAAAGAAACAUUGAAUAAGGCAUUCUUGAUCUGUAAAUUGGUAUAUACAAAAUACAAAGAGGGGGUUUCUGUGGCGGAGCAUGCAAUUAAUUUUCAAAAUAUGGUAAACCAGCUAGCCACGAUGAUGAUGACGUUAGAUGCGGAGCGUUAAGCCCUACUAUUGUUAAGUUCAUUGCUUGAUAGUUGGGAAACCCCUGUAAAAGGAGCUGCGAGUUUUGAGUCAUAAUAAGGCCCUCGUAAUUAAAAGAGAAAAAAAUAGCAAGUAUAGAGACAUCGUGAGAGAGGUCCAAGCGCAAAAGUGGUCGGCGUUACAACUAUGACAAAUGGGGCUAGUGUUAAACAACCGUUAUACUCUGUUAUCGAAAUUUUUUUAUAAGGCCCAUGAUGUGGACUUAAAUUAAAUGAAGGAAAUUAAUAAUACUAGGAAUCUGACGUGACUCGAAUUCAGAAUCUCCUAUUUUGAUACCAUGUGAAAUAAUUAUUAUAUUUUAAAAGCUUAUGCUGUUAGAGAACGGUGUUUAUGUAUUUUUAUAUUUAACAGCUAGUUCAAAAAGAUUGUCGAAUCCUGAAGAAGAGAAGGUGAAGAACAAGUGAUCAGAUGAUGACUCCAACUUGGACAAUGAGACGGCAUCCAUUUUUACAGGAGAGGAGGUGAUCAUUCUCCAUGACAUAGUGGACGAUGGUCUAGUAGGCACUACAAGCCAAGACUCCACUUGGGUGAUUGACUCCUCCCCUUCGUAUCAAUGUUAUUGUGAGGUGAAACUUAUUCUCAUCUUAUCAUUAUGGAGAGUUUCGGAUAGUGAAAAUGGGAACUGACGAAGAAUCAAAGAUUGCCUGCAUCGGAGACAUUGUGACGACGCAAGUUUGGGUAGAGGUUGGUGUUGAAAAUGUUUGAUAUGUACUAGACAUUCACUUAAACCUGUUGUUGAUAGGGGUUCUAGAUGAGGAGGGCUACUACAGUGUGUUUGGCGAUCAUCAGUGGUUGUUGACUAGCAAAUCACUAGUAGCAGCUAGAGGUACCAAGCAAGAUAAUCUCUACUUAAUACAGGCUAAACUCGAAAACGGGGAGGUGGAUAUAGCGAGGAAUCUACUAUCUUAGAGUUAUAGCAUCCGUGUAUGGGACACAUGAGCUAGAAAAGUAUGUCAAUUUUAGCUAAAAAUAGUGCUAAAUUGAAAAUGUGCAAAGAGCUGCUUGAUGGAAAUUUAAACUUGACUCUCUCAAAGAAAAUUUUUGCUGCAUUAGAUCUUGCUCACAGUGACAUUUGUUCUAUGGCUGAUAAAACUCUUAGUGGUUGCUCUUAUUUUGUAACUUUCAUUGAUGAACACUCAUAAAAGGUUAGGGCAUAUGCUUCGAAAUCGAAGGAUCUGGUGCUCGAUGUAUUCAAGUAAUUUCACAUCUUUUUUAAAGAGGGAAAGAAACUAGGUGAAAAUUUGAGUGCAUUUAGGCGUGUAAAGGAGAUGGAUAUAAGGAUUUUCGAGAAGUAAUGUUAACAUGGCAUCAAACAUGAAAAGAUAGUUUCUAAUAAAAGUCGCAGCAGAGUGCGGUUGCUAAGAGAAUAAAUGGAACGGCGCCCAGUGAGAAAAUCAGGAGUAUGCUCUCUCAUGCUAAACUACCAAAGGCGUCCUAGGGCAAAUAAUCGAUGAUUGCGAACUACCUUAUUAAUCUUUCUUUUAAUUUCCUAUUCUCUUGAGGUUGAUACACCACAAAAAAUAUAGUUAGUUUGAAAGUGUUUGGAUAUAAGGCGUUCGUGCAUAUUCCUAGGAAUGAGAGGUCUAAGCUAGAUGCUAAGGCGAAAUAUAGUACACAUGGAAAUGAUAGUACACAUGAAGGUCACAAGGGUGAGAAAAGUGUAGGUGAUAUUCUGAUUGAACUAUAUAAUGAGCUACCUGCACAAACGGUUCGAAGAUGUGAAAGCGGGAAAUGUGAAUCAAGUGGGAUUCGAACUUGGAACCUCGGGUAACAACCAUAAAGUCUUUUGCCACUUGCUCUGAAGACAGUCGGUACCAUAUGGUUGUUUGUUAUUGAUGAAUACAGGAGUGUUUGAGUCCUACUUUGAAGUUACAAAGUAUUUUUUUUUUUUUUUUUGGAGAAAGGCAAUGAAGGAGGAAAUGAAUUCCUUCUAGGAAAAUAAUAGUUGCAUGCUUGUGAAGAAAGCCAAGGGAAAUUGAGUAAUAAAAACUUUACUCAAAUUGAGUACCCAAGUGUUCACGUCGAGCCAUAGGAGAAAUAAUAGUUGACAACUAAGAUAUAAGGCAAGAUUGGUUGGACCUACUCAGGUAUAUGCAAUAGAUCUGCCGAAUGGGUAAGGUCCUCCUUUUUCGCACGAAGUAGAAAUAUAAUCAAUCUGUAAAACUCAUACAUGAUAUGGGUACACAAAGCAUCAAAGUGGAUUUUUCUAAAUUUAAAACCAUUAAGAAAAUCUUUUUUUUUUUCUUUUUGCAUUUUUCUCUAACGUUGUACAUUUCAAAGAGUGGGUAAAGGUUGGAAUGUCGGCAGCAGGACCGUUGGACAACGUUCCUUUUACCCACGUCGGGCGCGAGCCUUGCUGUUCCAUUUCGUGCAAGAAACGCAUUCAUGUUCUCCUGGAAAACGAAAUAAAAAAUAACCGAUUUACCCUCCAGCAAGCCGCAACUCGGUAGUUAGUAUUCAAGAUUCGAAGUUCAAAAUCUAGUUACUUUAUAUUUCUAACAAGUUUAUUUUUUAAAAAAUGAAAAAAGCGGGCAUGCUAUCCUUUUCUAAAAAAAUAAAAUAAUAAAUAAUAAAUAAAUAAAUUAAAUUUUGUAAGACACGAAACAAAAUGAAUUUAAGCAACCCCAGUUACAAACUAAGCCGCAGCUUUUAUUUUUGGACAAGGGUACUUAUUCAAUAAUUUAAGGAAUGAUUAAUUUAAGGAAUAAUUUAAGGAAUGAUUAAUUACACAAUUGAACAACUGAAUUCACUGCGUAUUCCUUUUAUUAGGUUAUUAACUUUUAUUUAUUACGAUUGAUUAUUACUUUCGUAUUUUCAACGGAGAAACUGCAGUUAAUUAAAUCUUUAUACUCUUGAGAUGAAGUGGUAGUUAGCUAUACCAUCAAUUAUUAGAGAAACUAGUGUUGAACCGGCGCUUUCGCCGCGGAUAAUUUUAACACUAAUAUUUUGAUGUAAAUUUUAAUAUAUAAUAAUUACGAAAAAUGAGAAAAAGAAUAGAAUUAAAAUAUCAACACAUAUGUAUGUAAGGGUGCGUUUGGUUCGAGUUAUCCUGGCAGGAUUACAGGCAAUCCUGUCACGCCCCGGAUGUCUCGUUCCCCGGGCACGCCGACAAAUCCGCCGUAUACAAAGAAAUUUUUCCUGUAUACUACAAAAAAAUUUUUCCUGUAUACGAAGCGACAGCUGUACCUGUAAACAUACAAUACUACAAACAGUAGUAUAGAGCUGCUCGAGUAAACAAAAGCUAAACAAACUAAGCUUCACAUACAUAGUUCAAAAAUCAAAACACAGAGUUACUCGCACUGGCGAGUUAAGUACUAUGUACAUAAGCUCGAAAUAAAACAACUACCUGCAGUAGGGUGCCUCUAGCUCUGCUCGGCGGGUAGGGCUCUAACUCGCGACGCCCUUGCCUCGAUCCUGAUCCGCGGAAGGCGCAGCAGCCGAAACCUGUGGCUCUGCAAAACAGGGGUAACAAUUGGGCGUGAGAACUACUGUAAAAACAAGUAGUCCUCAGUGGGUACCGCCCAAAACAACAUUGGUCCACCCACUAAGUCUACAGAAUGGAGCAAGAAUAGUCGGAAAAGCAGGAAGUAAACUCUACCGCUAUCAAUCACUACACUAUCAUGCUCUACACUAACCAACUGUAGGAAAUGUCAAAUCUGACCCAAUCCAAUCGGGACUGUAAAUACACCCGUCCCUGCCCAGUUGCGACUAUCCAGCUACCUCCACACUAACUGGUCCGUGGAGAGCAAGUCCAACCGGCAUGAGCGACACCAACGCGAAAGCACAAAGCCCGUCUCCGGAGUGGCACUCGUGGGCGCUACCCAACCGAGUAUGCAGCGUAUCUCUGUCGAGCUCAAUCAGGCUCUGUCAAGCCAAAGUCCAAGUAACCGACUCUAACUGGUCUAACAACAAACAAGUAACGUACCCUCGGCACAAUCUGACGCCAAAGCGGCGAACCGGGCCCACCACCGUCAACCCCAACGGCGCCCAAAAGUCCGAAACAGCCCAAACGGCCCUGUAAAAAUCCACUCGGCGAAUCAGCACGAGCGUAAAUAUAUUCUAAACUACCUGGAGUACUCAUCUCGAGGAUACUGCGACAGUAUAAUUUUAUAACGGCUCCUAGAGCUAAAUCAGGCAGUUUAAAUAAGUGAUAGGUCCAAAUCGCAGGUUUUCUCCUAAUUCAAAUUUCAAGUCCAACAUAUAUAAACUACUCAAUUUAUUAUCACAUACUCCAAAUUCAGAUAUACAAUCAAUCAUAUAAUCCAUGAAUUCGAGUUAGAAUAGAUUAUCCAAAUCGAAAUCUAUACAUGUCGACGAUUAUGAACUUAGGAGUAAAACCGAUGUAAACCCACCUCAAAGCUAAUCCCUGGCAGCGAAGGACUCCCACUGGUGUAGAGCGACCUGCUGGAUCAACCGGAAUCCGCCGAGUCCAGAAUCGAGCUAACUCUACGCUCUACACAACACAAGUCACCAAUUCAGUCUAGAAAUUGCAGCAGUGAGGUACAACAGGGAUUCGACCAAGCUAACCUUCACCAAAUCCAGCAAGUAAGGGCUUCGUGGAUUCCUCUCGCAGUCCUGAAUCCAACGAACUAAGCCUCGCUAAAAUCCGAUGCUCCUACGACAAGUACGAGCUGAAAUACUAACAGUCGACGAUGAAUUUCAGAAAACAACAUCACUCCGAGAUGAAGUAGUAAGAACUUGCCCAAAAACCAUGGAAAUGCUGAAUUACCCACCUCGACAACGCCAAGCACCGGUGCGACAGCAAGAACGGCGAAAACCUACGCUCGCCCCGCCUCCUCGCGCUACCCCGGCGUCAAACACGUGCUCGAACGGCUCCGCGGCGCAACGUCGGCAACGAAUUCUCCAACCGAGCUCUCUUGCCUUCAACCGGAUGAAAGUGAGAGAGAGGUGAAGAAAUGCAGCAAGAGGACCUCUCUCUCUCUCCACACGAAGCUAUAUAGAGAGAGGGAGGGUCGGUGAUACAAAUGAGGGAUAAAAUUACUCAUUUAGCCCUUUACCUACCCCCUUGUACCGGUACACGGGCUCCUAUACCGGUACAAGAGCCAACCCGAGAGCAGCUAAACCAGUGCGCGAUGGUUGUACCGAUACAGCGUGCUAGUUGUACUGGUACAGCAAGCAGAGAAAUCUGCUGUUUUGCAGAAUUCUUCGCGAUAAGCUGCCCUCGCGUCGCACGGAGUCCGUUUUGCGUCUAUUUGACGCCAACGCGACUCGGACUUGUCCCGACACUCUCCAGAGCUGCCGACAAGCCUCCACAACAGAACACCAGGGAUCUCACAAAUCCUUCCAGGAUAACUGUGUUUGGUUAAUCCGCUAUGUAAUCUAGUCGUUAAUGUAGCAUUACAAAUCGAGCAGGAUUACAUCGAAAAUAUUAACGGGAGGGGGUCGUGUAUCUUGCAUUACUGAAACCCGUUAAUACUACAUAUUAUGUAAAAUGACAAUUUUACCCUCCAACAAUCCCAAAUCUAAUUAACAGCAUUAUUUUCAUCUCUCUCGUCUUCCCCCCUCUCUCUCGCACGUCGCUUUCUCCUGCUCUCUCUUUCUCUCUCUCGACGUCUCUCUCUCUCUCUCUCUCUCUCUCUCUCUCUCUCUCUCGCGCGCGCGCGCGCACGAACACCUAUCAUCUUCUAUUGCGUCAUCCUCUCAGGUAAUCAUCAUGAUCUCCUUCCCUCCAUUCGUCAUUUCCGCAAAAAAUAAUAUUCAAAUGACCACAACAAGAGCAAUUUUGAAAAAAACUACACUUUUAUGUCAGGAUUACUAAAUUUUAUAAACUGAACCAAACGUAUUAAUGCUAUAAACACUGUAAUCUAGUAUUACAUUACUGCAUUAAACCAAACGCGCUAAUACAGCAUCAGUAGUAAUCUCACGCCGAAAUCCAAGAUACCUGAAUAUGUUGAGAUACUUUAUAAUAUUACAUAACUCGAACCAAACGGACCCUAAAGGCAAAAGAAUAGAAGCCAAAAAUAAUUUGUCAUGAAAAAAUAAAAUGGAACGAAAACAAAAUAUAUAAUUAUGAACUAUACAAAAUAUAUAUUUAGCUUGAGUGAUUGCUAAUUAUUUUAAUAUAUAUAUAAGUAAUUUGGAUUGACAAUAAAAUAUGUAAUUAUGUAAUAUGCAAAUAUAUAUUUAGUUUGAACAAUUUACUUUUAAAACAAUUCUAAAAGAAAAUAAUUUUUACUUUUGUUUUCGAAAAUUAUAAAGAGAGAUUACGUAGAAAUUAUUACAGAUAAAAGAGGUUUAGAUGAGGCUUGUGAAUCAAGAUGUGAGUAAGCACUAUCCUAGAAGCGAUAUUGCCUCUCCAUGUGUGAGGCUCUAACAAUCACUCCUAGAGAUAUAAUGACCACCAGUUUCCACCCCCUCGGCACGUCUUCAUGGUGGUGCAAUACGUAGCCAAGUAGCUAUCAGAAAUCCAGCAAAAAAUAGAAAAAAAAAUAUAAAGUUUAGUGCACGAGGGAGAAAGGAGGAAGAAGCAAUUAGAAAAAUUCUUCACGAUUCCAACCUCAUGAGUACAUGUUCUUCUAUAUAUACACCCAAAUCAAGAUGAGAAUUUUGUUCCUUCUCGAGAUAAGAAAAUAAGAAAAUUUUUCAAUGUUCCAGCCUCAUGAGUACAUGUACUCCUAUAUACACACGCGAAUCAAGGUGAAAAUUUUGUCACUUCUGAGUACAUGUUCUUCCAUAUACACACGCGAAUCAAGGUGAAGAUUUUGUCCCCUUCUUGAGAUAAGGAAGAUUUGGAUAAAUUUGAUACCUUUUCGAUGUGGAUUUGAAAAUAUUUGGUACCUUCCCAAGGUGUAAUCAUAAAUUCAGAUUUGGUACUUUACCGAAAUAAAGUAAUCAUGAAAUUCAAAAUAAAAAAAAUACUGAAAAAAAAUGGAAGCGCCAAGUGUAUUUAACAAACCACCAAUUUAUAUAUUUGUAUUGAUGAUUGAUAGAUUUGGUACCUUCCCAAAAUUGAUUUGAGAAGAUUUGGUACCUUCACGAGGUACCUUUUUGAGGUAAGAAAGAUUUGGAUAGAUUUGAUACCGUUUCGAUGUCGCGUAAUCAUAAAUCCAGAUUCGAUACUUUACCGAAAUAAAGUAAUUAUGAAAUUCAAAAUAAAAAAUACUGAAAAAAUAUGGAAGCACCACGUGUAUUUAACAAACCGCCAAUUAUAUAUUUGUAUUGAUGAUUGAUAGAUUUGGUACCUUCCCAAGAUUGAUUUGAGAAUAUUUGGUAUCUUUACGAGGUGUAAUUAUAAAUCCAGAUUUGGUACUUUACCGAAAUGAAGUAAUCAUGAAAUUCAAAAUAAAAAAAUACUAAAAAAAACGUGAAAGCGCCACGUGUAUCUAACAAACUGUCAAUUUAUAUAUUUGUAUUGAUUGAUUUGUAUUGAUGAUUGAUAGAUUUGGUACCUUCCCAAGAUGGAUUUGAGAAGAUUUGGUACCUUCGAGGUGUUAUCAUAAAUCCAGAUUUGAUACUUUACAGAAAUAAAGUAAUCAUGAAAUUCAAAGUAAAAAAAUACUGAAAAAACGUGGAAGCGCCACGUGUGUCUAACAAACCGCCAAUUUAUAUAUUUGUAUUGAUAGAUAAUAGAGCUCAUAAGAAUAACCUAAUUGAAGGGAAAAAAGCUAAAAUUACUCAAAUCUAAUACAAAAGAGUUCAAUGACCUAAUUAAGACUGAUAAAUUCAAUUACCAAUUGUAUAAAUUAUUCUUUAAUGGAUGAAAAACUGGUAGAACGGUUCAAAUAACUCAUCCGUGGGAAAUUGAACAAACAAUUCAAACAACAAAGUGUAAAUAUUGAUAUAAAACAUAAAAAAAAUUAUCCAUGGGAGUGCUAGCUAAAACAAUAAUAUUUGCUUAUCUGCAUGCAGGUGCUAGAAAACUACGCAUAUGUAUAUGUUGUUCGACAGACAAUUCAUUCUCAUUAUGAUGCGAACACGAACAAUUAAAGACACAGAAAUGAGAAAGGAACCACUGAACAAGUGCGACCUAAAUGUCGACGUACAAUUUUUUACAGAAACAAAUAAAAUAUUUUUUUUAUUACACUUUCUGACUGCACAUAAGCAUACUCUCUGCAAUCCGAGAUGAAACCUUCGCACAAGGAGGUGAUUGUUAGUGAUAUACCCUAAAGCCAAUCGGUGACACAGGCUUGUGAAUAUAUUAAGUAUUUUUCUUAAUUAAUAAAGGGCAAGUUUUAUUCAUAUUUAUUGUUAGCAGUACAAUACAUAUAUAUGAAUCGUCCAUUGAAUCUUUGUUAAGAAAAUAUAUUCCUAAGAGUUAGGAAUUUGAGAUAUAUAUUUCUUUGUACAAGAUUCUUAAAUGCUCCUAGCCAUAGGAAUAUCAUAAGGACGAUGAUAUUUCCGGAUAGGCCGGUGUAUGCUAUACUUCUAAGUUGAGGUGACGAAUCUCAAGUCAUUAGUGUAAGGACACUAAAGUAAGCAUGCAGGUGCUUGUUAGAGAACAAGUACACUGAGCGUGACCAUUUAGUUGAACAGUCACAUGGUUCCGAAUUCGCCAGUGACUAGUUCUUUGCUACAGUUGUGUGAAGUACUCCUUAGACCUGAGGCAUCAUGGUUGCUUCACAUGUAGAUUGCUACUGUUUAACUGUACUAAUACUUAGACUCUAAUGAUUGGUCUAUGUCUGGUACUGAUUGGCUGUAGUAGUUUAUAUGGGGAGGCAUGUGAAUGCGCAAUAAGGAAUUCAACACUCUCAAUAGUGAGAGAGAACGUCCUAUGUAGACUGUCGAACUUGACUCGGAAAAUCCUUGGCCAGGGUACGUGGUGUGUGGAAAGAGUUUCCACCUGUGUUACCAUAUUGAGUCAGUUUUAGAUAUUCUAGUCAUAUGAUCGAAUAAUAAGAUUUGGCGAGUAACCAUAAUUUUUAGUUCGAUCGGGGCGUUGUAUGUUGGAAGGAAUUAAUCACAUAGUAACUGUUAAUGAAAAGGUUCGUUUUUCAUCAUCAUUCUGGAUUACCGUGAUAUACUGCUAGGUGUCACUCACGGACAGUGAGAAGCUGAAAUAAUUUAAAAUAAAUUAUUUCAUAGAUUAGAAGAGUUCUAAUUCAAUAUUAAAGAGUUUAAUAUUGAAUUCCACUGCCGAAUGAUAAUGAACCUAUGCGGUCACACACAAUAGGAAUUGUGUGCAUCCAAUUUGAUAAGAUGAGUCUAAUUGAUACACUAAAUAGUUUAGUGAAAAUUGUGAGAAUUAUAAUUUGAUUUAAUCUCUAAUUAGAUUAGAGAAUAAUUAAUUAUUCAUAGAUUAUUAUGAGAUAAUAUUCUAAAUAGAUUAUAAUAUGAAUAUUUAAUGGAUAAGAUCCAAUUAAAUUAAAGAGAGAGAGACAAAGAUAAUAUAUCCAUAAAGAUAAGUAUAAAUUUGUUUUACUUAUCUAUGGGAACUAAUUGGAUAUGAUCCAAAUUAGUUAUACCAGAAUGCAUGCAACAAUUUAUGCAACUAAUUGGAUGUGAUCAAAAUUAGUUGCAACAGAAUUUUGAGGAUGCCGAUGGUACGGCUAGGCGUGGCUUAAUCAAUUAUUAAUGCACGGCUACGUGAAUAUAAUAUAUCAUCCUUUUACGAGAGGAAUUUAAUAAUAGCCUCUUGAGAAAUAUUAGAUAAUCCAUCUCUCUCUAAUUUUUCCAAAAAAAGCAGUACAUCUCACAAAAGGCGAACGUGGAUAUCACGAGACUGCUAGCACCGUCUUUGUAAUCCGCGACUCAUCUAUUCCGUGCGACGGAAAGCAUUGGAUCUGGAUCAAUUCCGUGUGGAUACGCGUAGAGGCCGGGCACGUGUGCGGCUGAUCGGAAUUUCAGUUUCAACCGUACAGUAGAUCAAGAGACCUUAACUGGUCCGAGGUAAUGUAACCUGAACUUUAAAUCUGUUUAGGUUAGUUUUUAUUUUACAUUGCAACAUGAGAAUGAUCCACCGGCACUGGAUUGAUUUGUUUUAUUUUGGUUCAUAUGUGAUAUGGAUUUUUAUUUUUCGAAAAUACAUUUUUAAUUUCCGCUGCGAUUUUUGUGCCGGAUAAAUUCUUACAUUGAUAUUCUUUCCCAUUUAAGAAGUCACCUCCCAAACAGAAACGCUUACAUGGAGACUAGGCUCAACUACAUAUUCAGCCCAUAAGUUUUGGCAAUGUAUGGGCUUGGCCAUUUGGACCUCCUACUAUUAUCUGAUAAUCAUCUCAAAGUUCAACAUUAUGUACUAUGGACUACAUUGUCGCUUCACCUUGAAUUGGGAAUAAAAUGUAAUGUUUUGGACACCUCAUAUAACACCUAGAAUUGGGUCUGAAAACGAAUAAAAAUUUUGCGACAUAUCAUCAACACAUACUGACUGUAGUUGAGAGGGCCGUUUCUGCUUCUUUCUUUCUUUCUACUUUUCUUUCUAUUAUUAUGUCUGUGGGCGUUACACUUAACAAAACCCUUGCGCAAAAAUCAUAUUUCUUCUUAGAUCCGAACUGAGAUAGCGGAGCGAGCUUCUGCGGUCAACUUUUGGAACCUAAACUGCUUUACAUCCAUAUUCUUUUGCAUUUGGAUACUGAUCUUCAUAGCUAGAGCUUCGAAAAAAAAAAAGAAAUAAAGAAAAAUUUUUGCUCGGUACAAAUUCUCCUCGGUACAAAUUUUUAGAUUUGUUAUGUCAAGAUAUAUACAUUCCUAGCUACUUAACUCAUUCACCGAAAGGUGAAGCAUUCUUAUGCAUUGUGUCAUGACAAUGCAAAUACGAUCCAAAAUUAUCAUGACAAAUACGAUCCAAGAAGACUAGUAAAAUAAGCAACCCAAUAUGAUUUUCAUUUCUGGAUACAUUAGCUAUUUAUUUUGUAAGUUUUCAUUGCCCUCUAAUUCAUUAAUCUUAUGCUCGUGCCGAGGCAAAAAUCGAAUUUGGUAUUCCAUGGCCUGAAAUUUGAAGCUUGAAUUUGGUAUUUUCUAUAAUUACUAGAAACAGAAUCUGUUGAAAAGAUUUUAAUACAAAGUUUUUCUCCCGAAGUAUCUAUUUAAAUACUAGAGCCUGUAAGAGAACUUAACAUACAUGCAUGCUUGUUUUUCCUUUUAUUUUAUUUUAUUAUUUUAUUUUUUUAGCUGUAGUCAUUCCCAAUUAUAAAGCAUUUCUGGAGCUUGUGCUGUAAUGUAAAGCAGCAAAAAGAAUUUGCUGAAAAAUUUUAAUAUAAAGCUUUCCUAAUAGAUUGAGUGAGUUUCUACUUUUGAUACAUUUUAAUAUCGAAGGGGGAAUAAAAUACAAAAAAAUUAUUUGCAUUUUAGCAUGCAUUAUAAUUCCAAUUCUCAACUGAGUACGUUUGUCAACGAGCUGUGAACACGAGGUGACUCGUUAAAAUAUUGAGCUAAAAAAAUUCAAUUCACAAUCGGCUCGUUUAAUAACGAGCCGAACACGAGUUGGCGAACACGAGUUGGCUCAUGAGCAGCAAACUAGAUUGUCAGCUCUAUUAUUGGGUAAAACAUUAAAAGAAAAUUAGAAUCAUAUUCUAAUAUUUAAAAUUUAUAAAAUAUAGAUCUCUUUAUAUUUGGAUUGGCUUAAAAUUCAAAUAGUAGAAACUGUUAAUAUAUAUAUAUGUAUAGAGAGAGAGAGAGAGAGAGAGAGAGAGAGAGAGGCUAUUGUGCUAUUAGAAGCACUACAGUCUUUAUGCUCCUAAAUUCCUAACCAUCCACCAAUUUUGAUGAAUGGUUAAGGUGAGAGAGAAAAGAAAUUGGAAAGAAAUUGGGUUUCUCAAGUUCUCUUCUUUUUAAAUUUCUUUCGAAUUUCUCUUCUCUCUCUCUCUCAUCGUAACCACUCAUCAAAAUUGAUAAAUUGUUAGAAACUUAGGAGCACAUAGGAUACUGUGCUCCUAAUAGCACAGUUAUCCUGUUCUCUAUCUCUCUCUAUAUACUCUCUCUCUAUACAUAUAGAGAGAUAGACAGAGAGUUCAACUACAGUG
rnacentral:lncRNA from 1 species